UAGAUGCUUCCCUCAAGGAAUCGACAUAUAUUUCGAAAACGUUGGGGGAAAGAUGCUGGACGCAGUGCUACUCAACAUGAGGCUCCGGGGCCGCAUUGCGGUAUGCGGUAUGAUCUCGCAGUACAACCUGGAAAAACCUGAAGGCGUACACAACUUAGAGCAACUAAUCGGGAAACGGAUUCGCCUGGAAGGAUUUCUAGCUGGUGAUUACUAUCACCUCUAUCCAAAAUUCUUGGAACUGGUCAUUCCUGCAAUCAGAGAAGGAAAGAUGGUGUAUGUGGAAGACAUAGCCGAAGGACUCGAGAAUGCUCCCGCAGCCCUUGUCGGGCUCUUCACUGGCCGGAACGUCGGCAAGCAGCUAGUUGCAGUUGCUUAAUACAAAAGCCAAUAUGGAUGAGCUGAGAAUAUGUGACUGAAUCCAUUGUCCGGUUAAAAAUGUUUGCAUGUGUUAAUAUGAACUAUCCUCGUUUAGUAAUGGGAUUGGAUUGUCCUGUCAUUACUUAAUUUUGUUGAGCUAGGGCAUCUGUGUGUAAAGUGUCAAAUAAUUUGGAUUCAGACAAGAACUUAGUGGAUGCAUUGAAGGAUUUUUUUUUUCUUUUUUUUUCUUUUCCAAGAUAUUGAGAUAAUGAUUGGAACAUUUGAGGGAUAAGAUCAAAGUAUCUUUUAGGAUACCUCAUUGGUAAGUAUUAAAAUAUCAAUUGCGUCUUUAUAAGGACAGGUGGUCCAGGAUCAAGAUUAAUGAAGAACAAAUUACAGCCAUUAGAUUAAAGUGAAAUUAAAGCUGUGAAUAGUACACACUUGUUGUGUGAAAAACUUAAAGGAGACAUUCCUCUGUACAAAAUUAACUUAAUAAUAUGUCCUUAUUCAUUCAUUUGAUUCUUCCUUCUCAAUCGUCAUUAAUAAAUUAAUAAUACAAAUAAGUCCCCGUUAAAGGUUAAGUCCCCGAUUGGCUUUACCGUCACGCUCAUGCAUGAUCAAAUUUCAGUUAAUGCUGACGUGAUCGAUGAUGAUUUCAUUGGGAGCUUCCUUUGUCGUGGCACUCUCAUGUUCACAUUUAUUUUUAGGGUUAAUAAUAAUAAUAGCUUCUAGAAACGCUUUGUUUUAAUGAGAUUUUAUUUUUCAAUUAGUGUAAAAAAAAAAUAACAAAAAUUAAUAAAAACUGAUUAUUUAAUGAUGUUCGGCCCUCGAGACAGUUUAUACUCGUAAUUUAUUGUUUGAAAAUUAUUUCAACAUAUGAAAAACAAAAUUUCCCAAAUUUACAACGAAUUUUAAAACAAAAUUUCGAAAUUUCAAAGAAAAUUACAAAUUUGACUAGAUUGACUGGAAAAAAUAAAAUAAAUAAAAUCGUCAAAAAUCCUGGGACCGACCAUUUCAAAAGUCUGGCUCUUUUCCAGGCUUUCCUUCCAAAUUUUCACACACAAAAUUUCUCGUAACUGCUACACAUUAAACGCGUUUCACAUUUUCACUCUCUCUCUAUAAAUAAAUACGCACAUAAAAUUUCUCACCAUCCAAAAACAAAAUCUACAUAAAAAAUGGCGGGUGAAGAAGCAGUGAGCAACAAGCAGGUGAUUCUGAGCAACUACGUGACAGGGUUUCCCAAGGAAUCAGACAUGAAGAUAAUAACAGGCUCAAUAAACCUGAAGGUGCCAGAGGGCUCAAAAGACACAGUGCUUUUGAAGAAUCUUUAUCUUUCCUGUGAUCCUUACAUGAGAGGACGUAUGAGUAAGCUUGAUAAGCCUUCGUUUGUUGCCUCCUUCAACCCUGGCGAGGUCAGUUUCUUCAAUUCCCACCUCUUGGUUUCAUAAUCUUUUAUGGUCUUAGAGGUGUUUUAGGGAAACAUUAUGGUUUUGGUUUGUGGGCAUGAAUCCUUGAAGAGAGUAUGAUGUGUCGGACUAUGUAUGCAAUAAUAAGUAUAGGGGAUCUUGUUAAGAGAAGAUUCUCUUAAUGAGAUUAAAACUUUUGUCUUAUCAAAACAUAUGUUUAGUUAUGAUAUCAUGUUAGCAUUGUUUCUGAGGAUUUGAUUGCUUGCUUUGGGAAAGGGAUGUUGAGGUUACAUUAUUCAGUAAUGAUUUUUUUUUUUUUUCAAAUGUUCAAAUUAUGCAGCCUUUGAGCGGAUAUGGAGUGUCCAAAGUGUUGGAUUCCACACAUCCAAAUUAUAAGAAAGAUGACUUGGUCUGGGGCUUAACCAGUUGGGAGGAGUACAGUCUCAUCCAAUCACCACAACAUCUGAUUAAAAUUCUGGAUACAAAUGUGCCUCUGUCAUACUAUACUGGGAUUCUUGGUAAGUUGUUACUAAAUUUAUCGAUGUCCAGUUUGCAUGAGCCGAAAAUCGUGUUUUAUUCAAUGCAAUGAGAUAGGGAUAUAUAAUAUGCCUGCUUGAACGUCUAGCAUUUUGAAUUUUCAACAAUUGGUCCGUCUGUAUGGGCAUGUAACUGAAGGAUUUCAUUUGAGGAAUUUACUAUUGUUGCUGAUUAUUGGGUAUUUUUCUGUUGAUUCUAGGUAUGCCUGGUUUGACUGCAUAUGGUGGUUUAUAUGAGCUUUGCUCUCCUAAGAAAGGAGAGUAUGUCUAUGUAUCUGCAGCAUCUGGAGCUGUUGGUCAGCUAGUUGGGCAAUUUGCAAAGUUGGUUGGUUGCUAUGUUGUUGGAAGUGCAGGAAGCAAAGAAAAGGUGAGUUUGCACUCUUGACCCUUAAGCUCCAAAUAAAAACAUAAUAACUUCCAAAAGAAUUGUGCAUGUCACAGUAUUUGUGUUCUAACUGAUCAUGGAUAUUUGAUCAGUAGUCUAGUAGAAACAGACCUAUUAAUACAUAGUUGAUUCGUCCUCAAGAAAAUUUAGUUGAUAUAUGCUUGAAAUUAUAUUCUGUUUUUUAUGCCAGAUUAUAUUAUUAGAUGACUAUAUUAACCAGAUUCUUUUUCUUUGUGCUGUUUCUCAUUUGAUUACGUUUUCAACAUUAGGUCAAUCUGUUGAAGAACAAGUUUGGGUUUGAUGAUGCUUUUAACUAUAAGGAAGAGCCAGACUUGGAUGCAGCUCUUAAGAGGUUAGCACGAAUGAAUGCUUUAACCACUUUUCUCACUUCAUUAUUACAAUGCGCUGAUUGAUGUUAUCUGCGUUGGUCCUGUAAAUGUAAAACAGGACAAACAGAGAUCACUGAUCUCAUUUGUUACAUUGAUAUUUUCUACCAUUGCCAUACAUAGUAUAAACUUGGAAUGAAGAUAGAUAUUCAAUUCAGAGGGAAAUUUUCACUUGCAGCUAACAGAAUCAUGUUUGUGAUGUAUGUUUAUUUAGGAAAUGAAAAGAUUCGUUGCAUUAUUUUAUUCCAAGUUUGCUGAAAUCAUAUUUGUUUUCCCAGGUGCUUUCCUGAAGGCAUCGACAUCUAUUUCGAAAAUGUUGGGGGUAAGAUGCUUGAUGCAGUCCUACUCAACAUGAGAAUUCAUGGCCGCAUCGCCGUAUGCGGAAUGAUCUCACAGUACAACCUUGAGAAGCCUGAAGGCGUACACAACUUGAUGCAAGUAGUUGGAAAACGAAUUCGCAUGGAAGGGUUUCUUGCCGGUGAUUUCUACCACCAAUAUCCGAAAUUCUUGGAACUGGUUAUGCCGGCAAUCAAAGAAGGAAAGUUAGUAUAUGUCGAGGACAUAGCUGAAGGCCUGGAGAAAGCUCCAUCAGCCCUAGUUGGGAUAUUCACUGGGCAGAAUGUUGGAAAACAACUGGUUGUAGUUGCUCCUGAAUGAUAUGAUUACAAUAUGCUUUAAAAGUGGACUGUGCCAUGCACUUUAAAAGCUUAGUGAAGAUGCCUCUGUCUUAUUUUUGAUACAUGUUAUGUUUGUUUGAUCAAGUUGUACUCAGCUAUAAAUGAAAGAUUCAGAACAUGUGUAUGGUACUGGUUUCUAAAUCAAUGAACGCUUUGAAAUGUUAGUGUUUUCACUGGAGAAUGCAGUUUAAUUCAUCAACAAUGUCCCAACAAGACCCUCAAGAGUGGUAGCUUGCAAAGUUAAUUACUAUAUUUUUUUCUUUCCGAUAUAUUGUUCAUUUCAUAGAAAGUUUACAUUAAUUAAAGUCUCAUGUUUCUUUGAAAGGUAAGCAAGUGUGAAUGUUUCUAUCUAGAGCUGGAAAAUGCAUUUCCGUGCAACUUACUUGAUGAAUGAAGUUUUCAUCUCUGACCUUGAUGUUUCCCAGAGCUGCAUUCAUUUCAGCUGAUCUAUUUCAUUUCGUUUGCAAAGGAGUGACACAAAACCUCCUUUGUUAAGGGGAGAAUUUAGAGUGGCUUCAACGGUUAACAAAUAGCCUAAUGUAAGACUUAAUCAAUUUCCUGCCCGGUUGCUUACCACUACUUAUCACUUUAACGUAUGAAACCUAAUCAAGAUUCCUUUGAUGAUUUUUCUAUUUGCUAAUUGAUUGAUAAGCUCUUCAGUGAAGAUAUAGUGUCCGCAAGCCAUAUGUUGAUAGAGUUAGAGUUUGCAGAAGCUACUGUACCAUAUGUUGUUAGAGGCGGUAAAAACGGAGGCAGAUCAACACACAUUUAAAUUUCAAUGACAAUUUACUGGAAAUAAAUUUCCUAUGACCCUACAUGUGACUAAUUGAUGAGAACUUGACAAUGACAAAAGAAAGUGUAUGAGCUUUGCAGGCUGGCUUGCCAAUAUUGACUGUAUGGCACCAUCCGCAAGUAAGUAUCAUUACUGUUUAAUCAACUUGGUGGAGUCCACUGGGACCACCCCACAUGGUCAGUCUUAUCUCUACUCCUAAAUUUUCAAUAUUCCAUACAUCAAACCAAUUGCAGUUUUGAUAUCAAAUUCAAUUUUAUUGUUGGUGACGAUUCUGAUUCCUUUCAUUCUCACAAAACGGAACCAUGGUUGCUGUUGGAGAGAUCUUACUCAACGCCUUCCUUGAGGUGUUGUUUGACAGGUUGGCUUCUCGUAAUUUGCUCCGCUUUGUGCGUCAACUCCAAGGCGGGGUUGAUUCGGAGCUCAAGAAGUGGGAGAAAAAGCUGAAGAUGAUUCAGGCUGUGCUCUGCGAUGCAGAGGAGAAACAACUGACCGAUGAGGCUGUGAAGAUGUGGCUGGACGAACUCCAAGACUUAGCUUAUGACGCUGAGGACAUUCUUGAUGAGUUUGCUACUCAAGCUUUGGAAAGCAAGUUGAUGGCGCAAAACCAGGAUAGCUCUGGCCAGGUUCUCAGUCUCAUCCCGGCUAGUUUGAAUCCGAAUGCUAUUAUGUUCAAUUAUAGCAUGGGGUCCAAGAUUAAAGAUAUGACUAGCCGGCUGGAGCAACUCUGCCAAGAAAGAAUUGAACUUGGACUGCAACGGCUUACUGGAGGGGCGUCAUCAACCGCUGCUGCUGCACACCGGAGGCCACCCAGUUCGAGUGUCCGAACAGAACGUGAAGUAUUUGGAAGAGAAGAAGAUAAGGCCAAAAUUCUUGAUAUGGUCAAUACCCCAAGUGAUCACGCCAACUUUGUUGUAAUACCUAUUGUUGGAAUGGGCGGGAUAGGAAAAACAACUCUUGCUCGGGAGGUCUACAAUGACAAGGCAGUUGAGGAUUCCAAGUUUGACGUAAAAGCAUGGGUUUGUGUCUCCGACAACUUUGAUGUUUUCAACAUUUCAAAGGCACUUCUCGAGUCAAUCACCUCCGCAGCUAGUGAUCUCAAGACUUUAAAUGAAGUGCAGGUUCAACUGAAAAAAGCAGUGGACGGAAAAAGAUUCUUGCUGGUCUUAGAUGAUGUUUGGAACGAGGACUACAGCUUGUGGGUAGACUUAAAAGCUCCGUUCCUGGGUGCUGCACCAAACAGUAAGAUGAUCGUCACCACACGCAAUUUAAACGUUGCAUCAACAAUGGGACCAAUUGAACAUUAUAAUCUCAAGAGUCUGUUAGAUGAUGAUUGCUGGUCCAUUUUCAUACAGCAUGCAUUUGAAGGUAGAGAUCUUAACGCAUAUCAAAUUUCAGAAUCAUUCAGCAAGAAAGUUGUUGGCAAGUGUGGGGGCUUGCCUCUGGCAGCAAAAACGCUCGGGGGCCUUCUGCGCACAACAAGGCAUGAUGCGUGGGACGAUAUAUUGGAUAGCAAAAUAUGGGAUUUACAUCAACAAAGCAGCAUUCUCCCUGUGUUAAGAUUGAGUUACCAUCAUCUUCCGUCUCAUUUGAAAAGAUGUUUUGCUUUUUGUGCCAUCUUUCCAAAAGAUUAUGAAUUCACUGAGAAGGGGCUAACUUUCUUGUGGAUGGCUGGAGGUAUUAUUCGACAGUCAAGAAACAGUGAGCAGCUGGAAGAUUUGGGCAGCAAGUGCUUUCAUGAUCUAGUGUCAAGGUCUAUUUUUCAACAAACCAGCUCUGGUAGUUCUAAAUUUGUAAUGCACGACCUUAUCCAUGAUUUUGCUGAAUUGGUUUCUGGAGAGACCAUUUUAAGGUUAGAGGAAUCCACCAACUUGUCGUCAAGGAGAUUUGAAAGAGUUCGCCAUUCUUCCUAUGCCCGUGGUUGGCUUGAUGGUAAAAAUAAGUUUGAGGUUUUCUAUGAAAUUGAACAUCUGCGAACAUUCUUGCCAUUCUGCAUAAGAGGUGGCCCUAAUACUAGUUACGUAACUAGUUUACUUCUAUAUGAUUUGUUGCCGAAGUUUAAAAAGUUGAGGAUGCUAUCUUUAGAAGGAUACCAGAUUGGUGAGUUACCAAUUCCAUUUGAAGAUUUGAGACCUUUAAGGUUCCUCAACCUUGCCGACACUGACAUAAGAAGUUUACCCGAGUCAACAUGCAAAUUGCUGAACUUGGAAAUUUUGAUAUUACGAAAUUGUUCCCGUUUGAUAAAGCUUCCGCCCAAAAUGAGGAAUUUGAUCAAUUUACGCCAUCUCGAUAUAAAAGGUGCAAAGCUGCUGAAGGAGAUGCCAUUGGGAAUGAAAGCGUUGAGGAGUCUUCAAACAUUGUCCAAUUUUAUUGUAGGCAAGGGUGAAUCUGCAUCUGGUUUGGAAGAUUUAAAAAGUUUAAACUUUCUUUGUGAUGAACUCUGCAUUGCUGGAUUAGAGAGUGUGAAUAGUCCACAGAAUGCAAGAGAAACCGCAUUAUGCGAGAAGCACAAUCUUGAAGCAUUGACUCUAGAAUGGGGGUCUCAAUCUAACAGUCCUCGGGAUGCAGUACUAGAGGAGAAUGUACUUGACACUCUACAGCCUCAUAAACGUAUAAAAGAGCUGGCAAUCAGGCACUAUGGUGGUGCAAGAUUUCCACUUUGGAUCGGACAUCCUUCGUUCUCCGAGAUGAAGGUCCUUAAAUUGGAGAACUGUGACAAGUGUGUAUCUCUGCCAUCGCUUGGCCUGAUGAAUUCACUUAAGCACCUUGCUGUUAAAGGGCUGAAGAAACUAAAAAGCAUAGAGUCUGCGGUCUUUCCAUCAUUGGAGAUUCUAAGUUUUGAGAAUUUGCCAGAAUGGGAGCAUUGGGACACCAAUAUCAAUGGAAAUGUGCACGUUGAAAUAUUUCCUCAUCUCCAAGAACUUUCCAUUGCAGAAUGUCCCAAACUCUCUGGAGAACUGCCUGAGCUCCUGCCCUCCUUGGAGACACUUGUCGUUAGUAAAUGUGAACAGUUGGCAGUUCCAUUGUCUUGCUAUCCGAUGCUCUGCAGAUUAGAAGUUGAUGAGUGCAAAGAACUCGUGUGCGGGACUCCAAUUAAUUUUAAGUUGGUAAAGUCUUUGACCAUUUCAAAUAGUUCAUUAGACAUGAAUGGAUGCAAUGGGAUGCUAUACCAUGGUCCAGCUGGCUCUUCACUGUCUAAACGCAUGACUAUUACAAAUGUUUUGGAGUUUGGAAAAUUAUUGAAGCCUGGAUUUCAGAUAUUAGAAUAUUUGGUAAUUGGCAAUUCUGAACAGCUCAAGUCAUGGAGGCGGGCCAGGAGACCUAGACGUUUUAAUGAACCAGAACACGGGCUAAAAAUUCUCGCUUCCCCUGAAGAGGUAACAAUUGAAGAAAGUUGCGUAAAUCUUGUUUUGUUUGCAGAGAUCAAUUUCUUUCCCAGAAAUCUGCGCUCUCUUCUAAUUUUCAAUAACAUACCUUUAAAAUCCUUACCCGAGGAAAUGAUGGACAACAAUUCACAACUGGAAAGCUUGUGCAUCAGAAAUUGCGAUUCUCUAACAUUCAUCACAAGACACAAGCUACCUUCAUCUCUAAAAAGUAUAGCAAUUAAGAAUUGUGAGAAAUUGCAACGUCCGUUCGAUGAUGAAGAGGAUGCUUCUUCUUCUUCUUCUCCUUCAUCCUCGUCUUCCCCAGUGAUGCUGCAAUGCCUGACUAUAGAGAACUGCCCAGAGCUCACCAGUUUAUCAUCGGGAAUCCAAUUCCUUGAGGCGCUUGAAGUACUCGAGCUAAGGGAUUGUCGAAAGCUGGAGUCAUUACCGGAUGGCCUGCAAAAUCUUAACUGUUUACAGAGCAUUCAUAUAGAUGGAUGUCCAAGUCUUGUUUCCUUCCCAGAAAGAGGGCUUCCCAACACCAUUUCGAGAGUUUACAUUCGUGGUUGUGAGAAGCUUGAAGCCCUGCCCAACGACAUGCACAAACUCAACUCUCUCGAAACUUUAAACAUACGGAAAUGUCCAAAUCUUGUAUCGUUUCCAGAGGAAGGUUUUCCUACCAGUCUAGUAUCACUUACAAUUGGAUAUGUCAAAAUGUAUAAGACACUCGUCCAGUGGGGGUUGCAUAGGCUUACCUCUCUUACACACCUCGAGAUUAUUGGAUGUGAUGAUGAAGCAGAGUGUUUUCCAGACGAGGAGAUAGGAAUGAUGCUGCCCACCUCUCUCACUCAUCUGCAACUUUCGGAAUUCAAAAAAUUGAUAUCUCUCUCUUCGACGGGUUUUCAGAGCCUCAACUCUCUUCAAUCUUUGUGGAUAUUGGGUUGCCCAAAUCUCACAUCAUUCCCAGAGGUGGGCCUUCCAUCCUCACUUUUGGAAUUACACAUUGUCAAGUGUCCAAAGCUUAAAGAAGUUUGCAAAAGAGACCAAGGAGAAGAGUGGCCCAAAAUUGCUCACAUCCCUUGUUUUGAGAUAGACUGGAAAUUCAUAUACGAUCCAGAAUCAGAGGAGUAGAUUCUCCUAUUAAGGUCAGUUGAUUUUUUAUUAUCCGUUAUAACAAGCUCCUCCUUUUUUAUUUUUUUAAUAAUAAUUUAGCAGUUCUAUAUAAUUAUAAAUCCUCCGCCCUUAAUUGAAAAUGUCACUCAUUUGAUUCCAUUUUCACAAGUCAGAUCGUAUGUUGAGGUUAUUUGCAUUUUAUCGGUGUUUAUUAAGGUAAUUAGUGCGUUAUAGGUUGAUUACUCACAGAUUAAGUUAUAACAUUUAUCUUAAAAUUUAAUGUCAUAGACAGAGAUGAUUUUUUAAUCCAAAGUUUUCUUGAUUCACUUCAAUUAGCAUUUUCUUUUCCCCAGAUCAGGCACGCGGAGAGUUCCAAUCAAGAAUUGGAGCAUGUGAAUGGGAUUUUUGUGAAAACAUAAUGAUGCAGGAACUGGGAUCUCAAAGUCAACAGAAUUUUAUUUACUCAUUGACUUUUCAACUCCUGUGGUUAUUUAUGGGUGAAAGAAAGAUAAGGGCAAUUUCAAGAAAUUUGCAAACUCUGUCAAUUUCUUUUAAUUGUACCAAUUUGUCGUUUAUGCUUUGGUUUUAUUUUUUCAGUUUUGUUUAUUGCUUAGAUGGUAGCAUACUUGAAAUGAUACAUAGCCUUCACCGGCAGAAUUCUAGUCUUGGCUUUCACCUCUCUAACUCAUCUCAUCUGUUCCUAUUGGGAUUCCAGAAAUUGAAAUUUCUGUCAUCAAUGGGUUUCAAAGCCUCACCGCUCUCCGAUUUUUGUGGAUCGGGAAUUGCACAAAUCUCACAUCAUUUCCAGAGGUGGGCCUUCCAUCCUUGCUUUUUGGAAUUACAAAUUGGAAAAUGCUACUUUCCCCGGGUCAAAUCCCAGGUCAAACCCCGAAUUAAACCAAAACGACACCGUUUUGGUUUCUUUUUUUUGUCCUUUUUGCUUCCAUGAAACGUGGUCGUUUCAGCCAAACAAAAGCAAAUGUCUUCGUUUUUUACUUCCUCUCCUCUUCGAUUCUCCUCUUCGUUUUACCAACAGACCAACAGAGCACAAAUUGCAGAAGUCACUUGCACAUCAAUUCAUCACAAAAUGCAGAGUUUUACUAAAGAAAAAAACGAUGCCGUUUUUCUUGCCAAAUAUUUUCCAUUUCCUUCGUUCAUGGAGCUCCUGCCACCGCCAAAGCCAAAUAUUUCCCCUUUCAUUUCCUUCGUCAAUCAAGCUCCAGCCACUUGCUUCGUCGAUCGAGCUCUAGCCACAGCCAUUCGCAAAUCGCAGUCCACAAUCCGCGCCUGAAAUUGUCAUUCACAAUCCACAACUCACAACCAUGACUUCACACAGAGAACGACUCCCACAGCCUUCACGCGACAGCGAGAUCGAGCUCUUUAACAUUCGAAGAACAUAUCUGGUUGCGAAAGUUGAUUUUUAAUUUGCUUGCGAGCUGAGAUGCUUCGAAUUCUCUGUUUUUUUUUUUUUUUUGUAAAUUACUAAGCCAAAAGCUUUGCAUAAGCUUCUGCUUCGGUUUUGAAGAUUGUGAAGCUGGAAAUGUUUUUUCCCUUUUUAUAAAUGGAUAAUUGAAAGUUUGAACUUUACCUUCGUACUUUCUUUUUCAUAAAUUGCUCAUGGUGCAGUCUCAUUUUGCUAGUUGAAGAAACAGUUAAGGGGGUCUGUAGUUGGGAAGAAAGAGGAAACGAAAAUGAAAAGAAAAAGCUUAAGUCUCGGUGCGUUCAAGUAGCAUUUUUUCAAUUAAAAAAUUUAAUUCUCAAAACGGCGUCGUUUUCUAAAGUUUCGGGGUUUGACCCGGGAUUUGACCCGGGGUAAAUAGCAGAACUCUUACAAAUUUACAGUUGUCAGAAGCUUGAAAAAGUGUGUAAAAGAGAUCAAAAUUCUUGUCUUGGCUUUCACGUAGGGAUGGCAAAAAUCCCCACGGGGACGGGUACCCUCGGGGAUUUUCCCCAUUCGGGGAGGGUAUGGGGAUAAUUUCAUACCCAAUUUCUUAUUCGGGGAGGGGACGGGGAAAUUUUGUUACCCAAUUUCUUAUUCGGGGAGGGGACGGGGAUGAGGUGGAAUCCCCAUCCCCUACCCAUUUCCCCAUUUUAAUUUUUAAUUUUAUUUUAAUUUUUUAAAAUUACUAGUAAAUAAAUAAUAAAAUUUAAAUUAUAAAAUUAUAAAUAUUGGUAAAAAUAAAAAAUAUCAAAAUAUUUAUAUUAUUAAACUUUUAGGCUUAAUUAACUAAUUAAAGUCCUAAAUUUUUAUUUAGGACAUUAAAAAGACCGAGUAGAUUCUAUUAGCCCAAAAGUUUUUUAUUUUUAAUAUUCUUUAAAUAUUUUAAACUUAAAUCUAUUUUUUAUUUAUUUUUAGAUGUUAUAAUUGCCCACAUCGAAUCACAAUUUUAAUAUCUAAUCUAAUCUAAUCUAAUCUAAUAUUUACUCUUGAUUUGCUCCGAUUUAACUAUUGUGUUGUAAAGGGAAUAGUCCACAUUUAUAAAGUGCCCACGCCACCAUUAAAAAAGUUAAUUUUGAAUCUAAAUUCGAUUUUAUUUGUAACAAUUUUGUAUUAAACUAUUAAUUUGUUCAUGAUAGUUUGUAAAAGAAGUUUGUAUCCCUUGCAUGCUGUGUUACUUACUAAUUUAAUGUAUGUGACUUUUGUAAUGGAUAUUAAUGUAAGAUAUAUUUCAAAUUUUACUUUUAUUUGAAUUUUUUAUUUUAAUAUGAUUAACUCAAAAUCGAAAAAAAAAUAUUAGUUAUUCGGGGAUCGGGGACCCUCGGGGAUCCCCUGUUAUUAUUCGGGGAGGGGAUGGAGAUUCGCUCAAGUAAUUCUGACGGGAACGGGGAGGGGACGGGGACAUACGCAAAAUAUCGGGGAUGGGUACGGAGAGAUUGGUCCCCUCCCCUCCCCUCCCCAUUGCCAUCCCUACUUUCACGGAUAGUUUUUAUCACGUAACCACGUGAGGAAGCAUGUGCUGGAGCCUGAAUUCAGUUAGUUAAAGUUUGUUAACCACGUGUCAACAAACUGUAUAAUCUGGAAAAUAAGCUAGCUAUUGAAACAGGGUAUAAAGGCUGGUUUUUCAGGGACUAUCGAGAGCUGAUUCUAGAGUCUUGUAGAAAGAGGUUUGUGAGAGAGAAAGUGUCAUCUUGUUCUCUGUAAAAUCCGAUAUAGGGCUCUGUAACGAUCUCCAUUGUUGAAUCAAUAAAACUCAUCUAGAAGCUUCUCUCGUGGACGUAUUCUGAGCAAUCAAUGCACAGCUGAACCACGUAAUAUCUUGGUUUCUGUGGGUUCUUGUUUUGGUUCUUGAUAAAUUCUUGUUGUUGUAUUGAGGUGUGAUUUGAUCUGUCUAAACUUGUAUCUGUGCAACUUGAAUUGAUUUGAUGAUAAGAAUCUUGGGCAGUGAUCAGAUUCGUUUAGUUUAAAGAACAAGCUGAUUACUACCGUACCUAUGCAUGGACCUGCAACCUGUGCUGACAAAACUGAAACUGUGAGUUUGAGGUAAAAAGGUCCUGGACCCUCACAGUUUAACUUUGACUUGUUGCUUUCUGGAUAAACAUAUUUUAGAAAUUUGCAAUUUGUUGUUAAUUAUGGUAUGUGAUUUUCUUCUUUGUUUUCGCUUUUGUAGAAUCUACCGUAUUACAUAUUGGCAGUUGUAUCUGAGGUACCUUUUUUGCAUUUAACUUGCCUUUAUCUGUUUUGCCUGUUACUUAACAACACAAACACAUCAUUUCCCAAACAUUUGGAGAAGCAUCUCAAGAUGCUUAACAAACUUGACAAACUUCAAGAUGCUCCCAAGCCUUGAUUCUUCACAAUGGAAGACCUGUGAGUACACUUAUGCCCGCAAUUAUUGUGAAGUGAUUGCAACUUUGAUGCAGCGAAAUGGUUUGCUGAUGCAAAGCUUUAAAACUGUUAAGAAUUACCCUGCAGGCUUGUUGGAUGUUGUAUACUCCAAAAGCCACCAACACCAAGAACUAUAACAGCAAGACUAGGUUUGCAUUAAUUCAAUUAGCUGAAAUAAUGAUGCAAAUGGCACUAUCCAGCUCGACUUAGAGACUAGUCAGGUCAAUCAUCCAUUUCAUCAACAGUUAAUGUCAGGAUGGUGGCUAGCAGAGGAAACAAAGGAUAUGUUGGAAUCAAUAAGAACAGUGAGAAGCAUGAGAGGAGCUUUGAUUAUAAGUAGGCUCAAUGAACUAGUGUUGGUAAGUGGUAAUUAGAGCAAUUUGUGAGCUUAGUAGAGUUUCAAUAUUUUCUGUUUGGGAUAUAGUUGAUAAGUUGAUACUCUGAUUAAGAAGGCUGAUUAUAGUAGCUGACUAUAUUAACCGGGUUCUCUUUUUUGGUUUGCUGUUGUUUUUUCUUUCAAUAUCUUUUUCAACAUUAGGUUUAGCUGUUGAAGAACAAGCUUGGGUUUGAUUAUCAGGUAAGAACAAAUGAAUGCUUUAACCAUGUUUCUCACUUAUCACAAUGCACGGAUUGAAGGCGUCUGAGUUGAUCCUGAAAAUUUGAUGGAAACACUUCUCUGUUUUCAUAAAACAGGACAACCAGAAAUAUCUGAUCAUGCCUGAGAAUUCGUCGCAUUGAAAUUUUCUACCAUUGCCAAACAUAGAAUAAACCAGGGAUACAUUAGCUUAAGACUCAAUUUUGAGAAGGAAGUUUGUACUUGCAGACUAUAAAAUCAUGUCUACCUUGUAUGUUUCUGUGGGGAAUGAAAGAUUCUGUGUGUUCUUUUACUUCGGGUUUGCUGAAAUCACAUUUGUUUUCUCAGAUGCUUUCCGGAAGGUAACAACGUCAAUUUCAAAAAUGUUGGGGUAAGAUGCAUCAUGCAGUGCUGCUCAACAUGAGAAUUCCUGGCCGCAUUACCCGUAUGUGGAAUGAUCUCACACUACAACCUUGAGAAGGUUGUAAGGAGUACACAACUAGAUGCGAGUAGUUUCAAAAUGAAUUCACAUGGAAUUAUAUGUUGCCGCUUAUUACUAUCACGUCUAUCCGAAAAUUCUUGGAAUUUGUCACCGGCAUUGAAGGAUUGUAUACGUGAAGACAUAGCUGAUGGCCUUGCGAAAGCUCCAUCAGCACUUAUAUCGGAAACAGCUGGUUGUAGUUGCUCCUGAGUGAUAUGAUUAAUAGAUACUGUAAAAAUGAACUGUGCCACUCAUAUCGAAAACCAGCUGUUAUGAUGUGUUGGUAAUGUGUUUGAUGCUUGUUUGAUUUAUGUUGUAUUCGGCUAUAAAUCAAAGAUCAGAACAUGGGUGUGUUACUGGUUUCCAAAUCAAAAAAUGCCUUGUGAUGUUAGUGUUCACUGUUUUCACAGGAGACCAGGUUCCUUGUUAAUGAGUCAAGAAGAAGACAAGUGAAUCCAUGUCUGAGUUCAAAUGUGUCUUUUCUAUUUCUUUUACCGACACAUUUAUUUUGAUUUCUUUGACUAGAUGACUAAAGAGUAAAGAUAGAAGAAAUCAAAACAAAUGAGUCAGGUCCCACCUGGCCCAUUGGCCCAUCUCUCUUCCAGCCCAAAUCACUCUCAUUCGCUAUUUUGCCACCUUCAUUUCACUGCCCUCAUAGCUCCCCGUUCUCACGGUGGCUGCCAUCUUUCUGCUCACGCAUCUUUCAAAUUUCAAACCUAACAGCAUUCUGUUGCUCUGUCGUGGGUACUUCAACUUCUGUCACCUUCGGUAAGCUUAUCUCUGCCCCUCUGUGGCUGUCUCUCUCUUUACAAUGUUGUUUCUUAUUCAAUUUACAGAAUUGAAUUCACUGUUCAGUUUAUGGGUUAGAUUUUUAUUCAAAAUAAUAUUAAACCCACCUCAGAUUUUAUCCCGUAGUAUGUAAAGUUCAUGUAAAGUUUCCACCUUUACGACCGUCCGAUGUUUAAAGUUCUAAUUUUGUUCCGGGGUUUUAUCAGUGUAUUUAGAAAUUAUGUCCAUUGUUUUUAUGAAAAUGGAACUAUUUUCAUUUGUUUAUUUCUCUAUGGAUGAGAAAACCGGUCUUUAAGCUUUAUAAUCUUUAUUUGAUUAUUAGAUUUCUCUUUUGUUAUUCAGAUGAGUUCAGUUUUCCAAUUCUGUGCAAUUGUUUUGUUGCAUUUUUCAAUUUUAUCUUUUUCCAAUGCGACGUUUAUGUUUGUAUUUUCUUAAAAGUGGACAUGAAUUUUGAUUUGUUGUUGCUUUGUUGUGAUUGAGUAGCCAAUUUUAAGUCCAUAUUAAACUUUCUCAAUUAUUAGUUGAAUUAUUUGGAUUUGAAAUUUUAAGUUCUUAAAACCGCCAUUUUAACUUGUUUGUUAAUGGCUCUGUUGAGCUUCAACAUUUGUUUUCAAGAACAAAAUUGAUGGAACUAUAAACCUUCGUUUCUCACAUGCGGGCAACAUGUUAUGUUAGACAGAGUGAAAUCGACAGAAGAAACCAAAACAUUGGAAACAGAGACACAGAGAGAGAUCAGCAGAAAUGGCUUGGUGCAGAGUACGCUCAGCUUCAUCGACACUCUUCAUUAGGCUUCUCUGCCCUUUCAUUCUCAACAAUAACACUACUUAACGCUAUCAGUCCUGUGGUACUCUUGUUUCUAUACUUGUGGAAUCUCUUUUUUAAUCCUCAAAGUUUGAAUUAAAUUAUAUUGCCUCUGUAUUUCUGCAGAAACGGAAUCAGUUGGUGAUGACAUUAAUUCUCAAGUUGGAAGUUGCAUGCCACUUUCUUGUAUGCAUGUUGGGACCAUCAUCAACAACAUUGAGGUAAACUCAGCCAAGAUUUUGAAAAAGAAUCCACUUCAAGGUACUGCUUAGUUUCUGGAAAUGAGAAAUUGAUUGACACUAGACGUCAACCCACCAUUGAUACAGCGUCUAACCCCAGCCAUGAAGCUAAGAUGCUUAGGAAGGCUGGUCAGAGCCAUUGGUUGGGCCAAAGACCUGUGAUUAGAGGAGUACCCAUGAAUCCAGUUGAUCAUCCUCGUGGUCGAGGUGAGGGACAAGGCAAAAGUAGUGGUAAGCAUGGAAGGUGUUCACUUACACCUUGGGGCAAGCCUUGUAAGUGGUGUAAAACUGCAUCUCGUAAGAAGAAAAGGAAAUUUAGCCGUCUGAUAAUAUUGUCCUUCUGUGCUAUUUAGCCUUUUUAAUAUUGUUACAUUGUUUGUUAUAUCUUUGAUGUUAGUUUUGGACCAGCUUUUAACUGAUCCAUAAUGAAACUGAAGUUUAAUUUUCGAUUGAACUUUUACUGGUUUUACUCCUGUCAUUUCAAUUUAGCUUUGAUUUAAGAUGCUGAAUUCUGUGAUUGGAGUAUGUAGAUUGGAAAGAGAGAUAUUAUGGGAUAGAAUAUAGAUUUUGUGUUUUGGUUUCUCAUGUUUAGAGAUAUUCUGUUCUUUUUCAUUUAUUCAAUUUGGUUAGUGGUGAUCUCUUAAAGAGUUAAUGCAUGUGUGUUUAUGUACUUUUCUUUUGGCCUUGAUUCUAUUUCUUGGGGAGUUUAUACAGAUUCCUCUUUUAUGCUUCACAUGCCACAUGCCACAUGAAAGAUGAAAGCCUUUUGUGUGAUUAGAAUUGACUUGCAUCAUAGUAACUUUGAACCACUGUAACAUUUUUAUAAUAGCAGUCUGCGAUCUCCUUGAAGGAUUCAAAGCAUUUUUUUUGUUAGUCUUGGCUUGCAUUAAAAUCCUUUAUACCGAUUGGUUGGUCUCCUUUAAAGCAAUUCCUGUUUUAAGUAAUCAAAAUCUUGAUUCGGAAGUGUGUUUUAGCACUACUAAAGGUUCUUUUAAAUACUAAAUUGAUUGUGAGUCUUCUAUAUCAUCUGAUUGAAAUACAUGAAAGCGAUAUUGGCUACAAAAGUACACUUGGGGUUGUUUAUAAAGUCUUCAACAGGAUUUUUUUUUCCCCUUCCUCAUGGUUUAUUUUUUAGUUGUUGUUUAACAAAACACUUAAAAGGUUCUCUUUAUAGGUUUCUGAAAAUAAUUUUAACAUAACCAUUUUUCAGAAGCACUUUAGAUACCUGUGGCAUUUAGAAAAUUUUGUUCCAGCAUUCACAUAAUAUACAUAGAAAUUUGAAUUUAUUUAAUUAUGAGCAUGUGCUAGUGCCUAUUGGCAUCCACUUGUAUAUACAAAUGUAUUAUACAAUACAAUAUUAGCUUGACUGUAGCAUAGAGGAGAAUAGGGUCGGAAUUGGUCUGAAUUCUGAUCUUUGAAUAAAUAUAAUAGCUGAUUGAAGCUGCUCAUGUGACUCCAUUGUCAGCAGCUUACACAAGGUCUUUUAGCUUUUUAAAAAGUUUUGUGAUAUUUCAUAGUUCACAUGGAUUGCUACAGUAUAGAAUACCCAAUUAGGGCAUUUUUAAUUCCUAUGCAUAGGAGUCUUCCUUCAUGCGCACGCGCGUACACACAUAUAUUUCCCACUUCCGUUCACUCCAAAAGUGAAAAUUGCGGGCAAUUUUUAUCUUCAGUAAAAUUGGAGUAGAUGUUGUUCUUAUUGGCGCAAAUUUGCGUACCAUGUUUGUGGGACCCUUAACCUUGCGCCUUUGUUACAAUCAUAUGCAUUCAGGCUUUUGGUAGACCCUUGGAUAGUAUGAUCAGUGUAUUAGAAUUUAGAAUUCGUGUUUAUAAGGGUCAGUUUGGUAAUGUUAUAAUUUUUAAAAUAAUUACUGUUAGCUAUACUAUAGAAAUAAUCAGUUGUGAAUAAAAUCAGUUAAACAGUUGAUAAAUUUUGUUUUUAAGGUGUUGUGAGUUUUAAACAAUUUGUAUGUAUUUAGUAAAUCUCGCUUUUAAAGUAUUAUAAGAAUGCAAAGACUUAAAUAGAUAGAAAUCUAUAAAAUUUAUUUACAUGUGCAUUUAUACAAUAAUAUUUUAUGCAUGUAUAUAAUAAUUAAUAACAGAAAUAAAUAUUUUUAUUUUAUUAAUUAUAUAUUUUUCUUAUUAUCUCAAUAUAAUUGGUAAUAAUAAUCUUUUUAAUAGUACAUUUAUUAAUCAGUAAUCGAAAUGGGCUGGAAUCGGAAUGGGGAAUGAAAAUCAUAAUAAUUUGUUUACUUUAGCUGUAGGAAUCAAAAUCACAUGGAGCUAUAUUAUCAUUAAUAUAUUUAUUUUGUCUUGGAAUCGAAAUAGAUUGUUACAAAUUACUAAACUGAUUUUAUUAUUAUCAAUAUUAUUAUUAAACAAGGUAAAGGGAAUUUUUAAUUUUCACUAGGUGUAGAAAUGUCGAUUCACUUCUCAUUCUCAUUCUCUGUUCUCAUUCCCCCUCCUCAUAGGAUUACCAUUUCACAUUCUCAAAAAUUUAUAAUUGACUCACAUUUCAUUCUCAUUCCUCCUUAUUUUGGAAGUAAAUAAGUUAAAGAAUCAUAUUCCUUUAUUCUUGUUUUUCAUUCACAUUCCUUCUCCUUAUUUUGGAAGUAAAUAACUUAAAGAAUCAUAUUCCCUUAUUCUUGUUCUCGUUCUCGUUCUCAUUCUCAAUUAGUAAGCACACUACAAAUGCAAUGAUUUUGUUUCCUAAUUAAACAAGGAUAAUUUUUAGAUUUUUAUAAUAUAUGUUAAGAUAUAUGUAGAAUUGUAUUAAAUAUGAAACUGACUCCCAAAAUCAUAUUUUAAAAAACUAUUUUUUUCUUAUUUUUUGAAAUUUAUUGUAGGCUAGGGUGAUUUUAUCAAAGUAAUUUUUUUAAAAAUUUUCGGACCCAUUUGGGAUUGUUUUUGGAAGACUCAAAAAGGAUUUUGAAUAGCUAAAAUCUAAGUUUGGUGUUUUAUAAUUUUUUUUUAAAAAAAUUACUUCUGAUAAAAUUAUCUUAUCCACGUUAAAUUUUAAAAAGAAAGGAAAAAGUAAUUUUUUAAAAUCUGAUUUUAAGAAUCAUUUUUAUACUUAAUACAAUUUCAUAAAUAUCCUGAUAUAUAUCAUAAAAAUUCAAAAUUAUCUUUAUUAGUUAGGAAAUAAAAUCAAUAAUUUUAAAAAGAUUAUUAUUAUUUCUAAUUAUAUUGAGCUAACAAAAAGAAAUAAAAUUACUAAUAUAAAAUUUAUUUUAACUAUUAAUUAUUAUAUUUACCAAUAAAAAACAUUUUAUAUACACGUUUAUAAAUAUUUAAAUAAAAUUUAUUCAUGUCGAGUUCAACCAUUUAUAUUAUUACAGCAAUUUAACAACUGGUUGUCGUUGCUCGGGAAUUAUAGAAUUACCAUAUGUUGUAAAAAUGCACUAAGCCAUGCCAUGUGUUUGAUACAGGUUAUGCUUGUUCGAUUAAAUUGUACUCACCUAUAAAUCAAAGAUUCAGUACAUGUGCAUGUUAGUGGUCUUCAGAAUCCAGAAUAAUAAAUGCCUUGAAAUGCUUGAGUUCAAUGAUUUCGCAGAAGACCAAGUUCCUUGUUAAUGAGUCAGCAUGACUGAAUCCUUCACUAAGCCAAAUUUGUUUUCACUUUUAGUUUAGAAAUUGUCAUUAAUUAAGAAAGUGUUUGAUAAAAUGCUUUGGAAGGCACUGUUCGUUGGACGUUUGCCCAGAAUUUAUGAAAUCAUUGGUGUUUCAUCCUACUUGUAACACUCUUCUUUAUUUUCUAUUCUAACGAAGAAAUCUUUUAUUAGAAAAGUGACAAGAUUGCACCUUUCAUUUGUAUGUUAAGGAGGUGUAAAAUUUUCUCGUUAAAAUCCCAUCAUGAAAAAAACUCACGGGCAAAAACCUACUGCAAAUUAAAGAAAGAAGAGUAAAUCAUGAUAAAUACACUCUCUUUUACAAUGCAAGCGGAUGCUUCAAUGAGUGGAUCAUGCGCCAAACUUGUAUAUCGUUGUUGGUAGUGCUUUGUUGAAUCAAUAUGAUAGAUUUUCACUUUUCUUUUUUUUCUUUUCUUUUUUUUUUCCUUGUGGAUACGAAAAUGAUUUGGGUUAAACUAUACUUAAUGCCGGUUUGGUACGACUUCUCUACUAAUUAAAAGAGUUUUUUUUCUUAAAUGUUCAAAAAGAUUUUUUAUUAUAAAUUGUAAUUUGAGUGGAUUUCUUGGGAUUAAACAAGUUACAUUUUUGUCUCUAUAAAGAAGUUCAAGUUAUAGAUUUUGGCAAUAGAGAUGUAGAGGUUUUUUUUUUUUCAGAGAACUAAAUUGUGGAGACUAUCUUUAUUUGGUUAUACAACUUUUUUUUUUUUAAUUUCAUAACAUAAUUUUAAAAGACUUAUUUAAUAAAUUUGAUAUUUUUUUGUAAAAAUUAUCAUUCACGUCCAAACUACUGAAGAUUUUUUUGUUAAACGCACUACUUAAAAGUUAUAUUAAUUAUAAACUUUCUAAAAAAAAAAAACAAUUCAAAGAGUUAUAGCAAACAAAGUGCUAGUUAACUUCAGUCGAUAAUAAUCUUCUAAUCCGUCCUACAAAUGACUUUCGACAAGAGUGGUGCUACUCACAUCUCUUCAAAACCCAUUUGACACCCCGUUUUCUUUAUUUAAAAUUUUAUACAUUUGAAAAUUAUUUUUUCUUUUACUUGACACUCUUCAAAUUCUAAAACUAAGCUUCAAAGAACCUUCGUCAUUAAAUCUCAUUGCCUUCCUUUAUUCUUGUUACUUGAGAAGAAGAAUGAGAGUCUGGAAGAAUGAAAGAAAAUUCAGCGAGAUAGAAAUCUAGUAAUUUCAUACCAUGAUUCAGAAUUUUUUUUUUCUCAAAAGAAUCUACUAUUCUUCUAUAUUUUAUAUAAAAAAAAGAGGAAAAGAGGAAACUGAGAGACUCUUUGUUUAAUGCUUGAAAGUUAGAAAGAAAAGGUCAGGAAGCUGCCUGGUAAUGAGAGUGAUGCAUCAGCACUAAUUUCUAUCUCGAUAGCUACCAAUUACCACCCCUAGAAAGGCUGUUGAUCAACAAGCCAUAUCUACUGGUUUCCUUUCUUUAAAAGUUCUAAUGGUCCCCUUAAAAAUCUCUAUAUGCUCAGUCUUCUCAUGAUAUAUCUGAUUUUCGCUGAGAAUUAUAGCAAGCGCUUCAGAUAUCAUAAUACUUUGUGACUGACUACUGUGCAUGCUUAAUUAUAAGAUUAUUCCUUGUGGCCAAAUAAAAUGACCCCCUUUAGAGCCUCUGUAUUUGAAAAAGCAAGACAAUGAGCUUAAUUAUUGUCAAGGUCUCCAGUAGGAUACUCCUAAAUCCAUAUACCCACCCACCAGAACUCCAAUCUUGAAACUUAUAGAUCAAACCAUAACUUAAUGUGCCUGGCAACCAGGGAUAUGUCAGGCCUUUAAAAAACCACUACAUACAUUUGAGUCUGAAAUUGCUCCAAUUAGUAUUAUGAUUAUUAUUUUAAAAAACUCAACCUAAGCAAAGUGCCUCAGCAUACAAUAUUUAUUGACAACUAAAAAGUAAUAGUGGGUGGGGGUUGCCCUGGGUUUUGUUUAAAAAUUGAAGUAAAAAAUUUUCAAAUUUCAAAUUUCUAGUACAAAGAAAAUUGAUGACUAAAUUAAAUUCUGCAAAUUAAUUUCUAAUAUUACAUGAAAAUAUAUCAAGUUAAUUGGUAACAUUGUUAAUCACUUAAUCCUCAAUCUAAUACGUUAUGUAUUUGUUACUCUGUCUUAAAUCAAAAGUGGCGGUGAUUUAUUUUUAUUUUCACUAAUAAGAAAGGCAUGUUAGAGCUUUUAUUUUGUUGAAAAUGAACCAAAAAACUCCGAUUGGGAGAUUAUAAAUGUAUUUAACAAUAAUUUAACUUCCAUUUUGAAAGUCAUUAUAUUGUUUAUUCAGGAGAAGCGUUCUUUUAUAUUUUAUAGAUAUAAUGUUUGCUAAUCCUAAUUUAAGCUAAAGCAUAUGCAUUUCCUAAUUAAUUCUAAUUUAAGCUUAUUCAACUGCAUUCAAUUAAUGUUCGAUAAUACAAAUUCUAAAUACUAUAUACUCUAAGAAUUUUAAUCGUAAUGACAAGGUGAUCAUUUAAUUAUUACCGUUAAAUUAUAUAUGUAUGGUGGAGACGAGUCCACACGGUUUUGACGAGAAAUUAAAGACAAUAUUUAGUUAAGCUAGUAGUAUUUGUUCUGUUUAGUACGUCGUUUUACCAGCAAGCAUCCCGGCAAUGCACGCAUUAAUAAAAAAAUUUAUCUGUUUGGACUGAUUGGUAGUGAAAAAUUCCACAUACUUUAAAUUAAGAAAAUGCUAAGUAUCUUAAAGAAAACAAUUAAAAUAUUGUCACUUGAUGCUUGAAUCAUUAUUGUUAAAUAUCUCCGUUGAGUUGUAUUCCCCAGCUGUGAGUAUCAUUAUUGUCUUUGCUAUCUAAUCAAUUCAAUUUUCUUUCUGGAGACAAGAUUUUGAUUCCUUUCAUCGUUACAAAAACGGAACCAUGGUUGAUGUGGGAGAGAUCUUACUCAACGCCUUCUUUCAGGUGUUGUUCGACAGGUUGGCUUCCCGUGAUUUGCUCAGCUUUGUCCGUCAACUUGGAGGGGGGGUCGAUUCCGAGCUCAAGAAGUGGGAAAGAAAGCUGAAGAUGAUUCAGGCGGUGCUCAACGAUGCAGAGGAGAAGCAACUGACUGAUGAGGCUGUGAAGAUGUGGCUGGACGAUCUCCAAGACUUGGCUUAUGACGCUGAGGACAUUCUUGAUGAGUUUGCUACUCAAGCUUUGGAAAGCAAGUUGAUGGAGCAAAAUCAGGAUAGCUCUGGCCAGGUUCUCAGUUUCAUCCCGGCUAGUUUGAAUCCGAAUGCUAUUAUGUUCAAUUAUAGCAUGGGGUCCAAGAUUAAAGAUAUUACUAGCCGGCUGGAGCAACUCUGCCAAGAAAGAAUUGAACUUGGACUGCAGCGGAUUACUGGAGGGGCAUCAUCAACUGCUGCUGCUACACAGCAGAGGCCGCCCAGUUCGAGUGUCCCAACAGAACGUGAAGUAUUUGGAAGAGCAAAAGAUAAGGCCAAAAUUCUUGAUAUGGUAUUGGCCGAUACCCCAAGUGAUCAUGCCGACUUUGUUGUAAUACCCAUUGUUGGCAUGGGCGGGAUAGGAAAAACAACUCUCGCUCGGGAGGUUUACAAUGACAAGGCCGUUGGCGGUUCCAAGUUUGAUGUAAAAGCAUGGGUUUGCGUAUCUGACGUCUUUGAUGUUUUGGGCAUCUCAAAGGCACUUCUCGAGUCAAUCACCCGCAGGCCAUGUCUUCUAAACAGUUUAAAUGAAGUGCAGGUUGAAUUGAAAGUAGCUGUGGAUAAAAAAAGAUUCUUGCUGGUCUUAGAUGAUGUUUGGAACGAGGAGUACAGCUUGUGGGUAGACUUAAAAGCUCCGUUCCUGGUUGCUGCACCAAACAGUAAGAUGAUCGUCACCACACGCAAUUCAAAUGUUGCAUCAACAAUGGGGCCAGUUGAACAUUACAAUCUCAGGAGUCUAUCGGAUGAUGAUUGCUGGUCCAUUUUCAUAAAGCAUGCAUUUGAAUCUAGAGAUCUUAACGCACAUCAAAUUUCAGAAUCAUUCCGCAAGAAAGUUGUUGCCAAGUGUGGAGGCUUGGCCCUGGCAGCAAAAACACUCGGAGGCCUUCUGCGUACGACGAGGCAUGAUGCGUGGGAUGAUAUAUUAGAGAGCAAAAUAUGGGAUUUACCACGACAAAGUGGGGUUCUCCCAGUAUUAAGAUUGAGUUACCAUCAUCUUCCUUCUCAUUUGAAAAUGUGUUUUGCUUUCUGUGCAAUCUUUCCAAAAGAUUAUGAAUUCAAAGAGAAGGAGCUGACUUUUUUAUGGAUGGCCGGAGGAAUUAUUCGACAGUCAAGAAGCAAAGAGCGGCUAGAAGAUUUGGGCAGCAAGUGCUUCCAUGAUCUGGUGUCAAGGUCAAUUUUUCAGAAAUCAGCAAUCUCUGCUAGUUCUAAAUUUGUAAUCCAUGACCUUAUCCAUGAUCUUGCUGAAUUGGUCUCUGGAGAAACCAUAUUUAGGUUAGAGGAGGCCAAUACUCUGUCAAGAAGAUUUGAAAGGGUUCGCCAUUCCUCCUAUGCUUGUGGUGGAUAUGAUGGUAAAAAUAUGUUCGAUGUUUUCAAUGAAAUUGAACAUCUACGAACAUUCUUGCCAUUACGCUUACGCAUAAGAGGUGGCUUUAGUUCUGGUUACAUAAGUCGAACGGUCCUAUCUGACUUGCUGCCAAAGUUCAAAAGGUUGAGAAUGCUAUCUUUAGAAGGAUACUGUAUUGGCGAGUUACCAAUUCCAUUUGAAGAUUUGAGACUUUUAAGGUUUCUCAACCUUGCUGACACUGACAUAAGAAGUUUACCCGAGUCAACAUGCAAAUUGCUGAACUUGGAAAUUUUUAUAUUAAGAAAUUGUUCCCGUUUGAUAAAGCUUCCAGCCAAAAUGAGGAAUUUGAUCAAUUUACGCCAUCUGGAUAUAAGAGGUGCGAAGUUGCUGAAGGAGAUGCCAGUCGGAAUGAAAGAGCUGAAGAAGCUUCAAACAUUGUACAAUUUCAUUGUGGGCAAGGGUGAAACUGCAUCCGGUUUGGAAGAAUUAAAAAGUUUAAACUUUCUUUGUGAUGAACUUUGCAUUGCUGGAUUAGAGAAUGUGAAUAAUCCACAGAAUGCAAGAGAAGCGGCAUUAUGCGAGAAGCACAAUCUUGAAGCACUGACUCUAGAUUGGGGGUCUCAAUUUGACAAUUCUCGAGAUGGAGUAGUAGAAGAGCAUGUACUGGAAAUUCUACAGCCUCAUAAACGUAUAAAAAAGGUGGCAAUCAGGAACUAUAGAGGUGCAAGAUUUCCACAUUGGAUAGGAGAUCCUUUGUUCUCCAAAAUAGAGUUCCUUGAAUUGGAGAACUGUGACAAUUGUGUAUCUUUGCCAUCGCUUGGCCGUUUGAGUUCACUUAAACACCUUGCUGUUAAAGGGCUGAAGAAACUAAAAAGCAUAGAGUCUAAGGUUUAUGGGGAGGGUUUCUCAAUGCCUUUUCCAUCAUUGGAGAUUCUAAGUUUCGAGAAUUUGCCAGAAUGGGAGCAUUGGGACACCGAUAUCAAAGGAAAUGUACUUGUUGAAAUAUUUCCUCGUCUCCAUAAACUUUCCAUUGUGGAAUGUCCCAAACUCUCCGGAGAACUGCCUGAUCUCCUGCCCUCCUUGGAGACACUUGUUGUUAGUAAAUGUGAAAAGUUGGUAGUUCCAUUGUCUUGCUAUCCGAUGCUCUGCAGAUUAGAAGUUGAUGAGUGCAAGGAACUAGCGUGCGCGACUCCAAUUGAUUUUAAGUUGAUAAAGUCUGUGACUAUUUCAAAUUGUUCACUAGACAUGUAUGGAUGCAAGGGGAUGCUAUACAAUGGUCCAGCUGGCUCUUCACUGCCGAAAUCCAUGACUAUUACAAAUGUUUUGGCGUUUGGAAAAUUAUUGAAGCCUGAAUUUCAGAUAUUAGAAACUUUGGUAAUUGACAAUUCUGAACAGCUCAUGUCAUGGAGGCAGCGUGGGAAUUUCCGAGAAGAAUAUUUGGCCGUUCGCCGAAGGCUUAUCAAACCAUUACAAGGGCUAAAUAUGCUCGCUUCCCCAGAAGAGGUAACAAUUGAAGAAAGUUGUGUGAGUUUUGUUUUAUUUUCAGAGAUCAAUUUCUUUCCCAGAAAUCUGCGCUCUCUUCUAAUUUGCAGCAGCACAGCUUUAAAAUCCUUACCCGAUGAAAUGAUGGACAACAGUUCACAACUCAAAAGGUUGUAUAUCAGAGAUUGCGAUUCUCUAACAUUCAUCACAAGACGCAAGCUACCUUCAUCUCUAAAAAGUAUAGAGAUUCAGAAUUGUGAGAAACUGCGACAUUUGUUCGAUGAUAAAGAGGAUGCUUCUUCUUCUUCUCCUCCUUCAUCCUCGCCCUCCCCAGUGAUGCUGAAACACCUGAGUAUAAAUAAUUGCCCAGAGCUCACCAGUUUAUCAACAGGAAUCCAAUUACUUGAGGCGCUUGAACACCUCGACAUACGGGAUUGUCGAAAGCUGGAGUCAUUACCAGAUGGCCUUCACAAUCUUAACUGUUUACAGGAGAUUACUCUAAACAGUUGUCCAAGUCUUCUUAGAGGGCUUCCCAACACGAUUUCAAGGGUUGACAUUUACAGCUGUCCAAGUCUUGUUUCCUUCCCAGAAAGAGGACUUCCCAACACGAUUUCAAAGGUUGACAUUUUUAAUUGUGAGAAGCUCGAAGCCCUGCCCAAUGACAUGCACAAACUCAACUCUCUUCGAGAUUUAAGCAUAUUGGGGUGUCGAAAUCUUGUAUCCUUUCCAGAAGAAGGUUUUCCUACCAGUCUAACAUCACUUAGAAUUGGAGAUUUCAAAAUGUAUAAGACACUCAUCCAGUGGGGGUUGCACAGGCUUACCUCUCUUAGACGCCUCUAUAUCGUUGAUUGUGAUGACGAAGCAGAGUGUUUUCCAGACGAGGAGAUAGGAACGAUGCUGCCUACCUCCCUAACUCAUCUAUCCUUUCGGGGAUUCCGAAAUUUGAUAUCUCUGUCUUCGACGGGUUUUCAGAGCCUCAACUCUCUUCAAUACUUGUGGAUCAGGGAUUGCCCGAAUCUCACAUCAUUCCCAGAGGUGGGCCUUCCAUCCUCACUUUUGGCAUUAUGCAUUAUCGAUUGUCCAAAGCUUAAAAAAGCGUGCAAAAGAGAUCAAGGAAAAGAGUGGUCCAAAAUUGCUCACAUCCCUCGCAUUGACAUAGACAGGAAAUUCAUAUACGAUCCAGAAUCAGAGGAGUAGAUUCUACUAUUAAGGUCAGUUGAUUUGUAUUAUCCGCCAUAACAAGCUCCUCCUUUUUUUUUAAAUAAUAAUAAUAAUUCUUACCAAUUAAUGAUGGUAAGAUGUGUACUUAUUCUUUCUUCCGGACAACCUUGCCUUCUUUCUUCGGUAGCAUAUCUAAUGAAUAUUUCUCUGUUUAGUUAAGGAUGAAUGCUUGGAGUGGAGUAUUUGGUAACAUUUCUGCCGUAGAUGAAACCUUGAAGAAAUGCCUGCACUUCCUGAGACCAAAUACAGGUCUGAUUCACAACAACACCUGUCCCAGAAAAUAUGAUACAAGCCAAAGCCAUGUUCUGAAGCAGAAAUAACGCAUUUCAAUUUUUAUCUGGUAAAAAUACACAGCCCUCGCCUACAAAAUUCUUAUCUUGGCUUUCACGGAUAUUUUUAUCACGUAACCACGUGAGGAAGCAUGUGCUGGAGCCUGAAUUCAGUUAGUUAAAGUUUGUUAACCACGUGUCAACAAACUGUAUAAUCUGGAAAAUACGCUAGCUAUUGAAACAGGGUAUAAAGGCUGGUUUUUCAGGGACUAUCGAGAGCUGAUUCUAGAGUCUUGUAGAAAGAGGUUUGUGAGAGAGAAAGUGUCAUCUUGUUCUCUGUAAAAUCCGAUAUAGGGCUCUGUAACGAUCUCCAUUGUUGAAUCAAUAAAACUCAUCUAGAAGCUUCUCCCGUGGACGUAUUCUGAGCAUUCAAUGCACAGCUGAACCACGUAAUAUCUUGGUUUCAGUGGGUUCUUGUUUUGGUUCUUGAUAAAUUCUUGUUGUUGUAUUGAGGUGUGAUUUGAUGUGUCUAAACUUGCAUCUGUGCAACUUGAAUUGAUUUGAUGAUAAUAAUCUUGGGCAGUGAUCAGAUUCGUUUAGUUUAAAGAACAAGCUGAUUACUACCGUACCUAUGCAUGGACCUGUAACCUGUGCUGACAAAACUGAAACUAUGAGUUUGAGGUAAAAAGGUCCUGGACCCUCACAGUUUAACUUGGACUUGUAGCUUUCUGGAUAAACACAUUUUAGAAGUUUGCAAUUUGUUGUUAAUUACGGUAUGUGAUUUUCUUUUUUGUUUUCGCUUUUGUAGAAUCUACCGUAUUACAUAUUGGCAGUUGUAUCUGAGGUACCAUUUUUGCAUUUAACUUGCCUUUAUCUGUUUUGCCUGUUACUUAACAACACAUCAUUUCCCAAAGAUUUGGAGAAGCAUCUCAAGAUGCUUAACAAACUUGACAAACUUCAAGAUGCUCCCAAGCCUUGAUUCUUCACAAAGGAAGACCUGUGAGUACACUUAUGCCCGCAAUUAUUGUGAAGUGAUUGCAACUUUGAUGCAGCGAAACGGUUUGCUGGUGCAAAGCUUUAAAACUGUUAAGAAUUACCCUGCAGGCUUGUUGGAUGUUGUAUACUCCGAAAGCCACCAACACCAAGAACUAUAACAGCAAGACUAGGUUUGCAUUAAUUCAAUUAGCUGAAAUAAUGAUGCAAAUGGCACUAUCCAGCUCGACUUAGAGACUAGUCAGGUCAAUCAUCCAUUUCAUCAACAGUUAAUGUCAGGAUGGUGGCUAGCAGAGGAAACAAAGGAUAUGUUGGAAUCAAUAAGAACAGUGAGAAGCAUGAGAGGAGCUUUGAUUAUAAGUAGGCUCAAUGAACUAGUGUUGGUAAGUGGUAAUUAGAGCAAUUUGUGAGCUUAGUAGAGUUUCAAUAUUUUCUGUUUGGGAUAUAGUUGAUAAGUUGAUACUCUGAUAAAGAAGGCUGAUUAUAGUAGCUGACUAUAUUAACCGGGUUCUCUUUUUUGGUUUGCUGUUGUUUUUUCUUUCAAUAUCUUUUUCAACAUUAGGUUUAAGAACAAGCUUGGGUUUGAUUAUCAGGUAAGAACAAAUGAAUGCUUUAACCAUGUUUCUCACUUAUCACAAUGCACGGAUUGAAGGCGUCUGAGUUGAUCCUGAAACGUGCCUCAGCAAGUAUUAUGAUUAUUAUUUUAAAAAACUCAACCUAAGCAACGUGCCUCAGCAUACAAUAUUUAUUGACAACUAAAAAGUAAUAGUGGGUGGGGGUUGCCCUGGGUUUUGUUUAAAAAUUGAAGUAAAAAAUUUUCAAAUUUCAAAUUUCUAGUACAAAGAAAAUUGAUGACUAAAUUAAAUUCUGCAAAUUAAUUUCUAAUAUUACAUGAAAAUAUUAUCAAGUUAACUGGUAACAUCGUUAAUCACUUAAUUCUCAGUCUAAUACGUUAUGUAUUUGUUACUCUGUCUUAAAUCAAAAGUGGCGGUGAUUUAUUUUUAUUUUCACUAAUCAGAAAGGCAUGUUAGAGCUUUUAUUUUGUCGAAAAUGAACCAAAAAAACUCCGAUUGGGAGAUUAUAAAUGUAAUUAACAAUAAUUUAACUUCCAUUUUGAAAGUCAUUAUAUUGUUUAUUCAGGAGAAGCGUUCUUUUAUAUUUUAUAGAUAUAAUGUUUGCUAAUCCUAAUUUAAGCUAAAGCAUAUGCAUUUCCUAAUUAAUUCUAAUUUAAGCUUAUUCAACUGCAUUCAAUUAAUGUUCGAUAAUACAAAUUCUAAAUACUAUAUACUCUAAGAAUUUUAAUCGUAAUGACAAGGUGAUCAUUUAAUUAUUACCGUUAAAUUAUAUAUGUAUGGUGGAGACGAGUCCACACGGUUUUGACGAGAAAUUAAAGACAAUAUUUAGUUAAGCUAGUAGUAUUUGUUCUGUUUAGUACGUCGUUUUACCAGCAAGCAUCCCGGCAAUGCACGCAUUAAUAAAAACAUUUAUCUGUUUGGACUGACUGGUAGUGAAAAAUUCCACAUACUUUAAAUCAAGAAAAUGCUAAGCAUCUUAAAGAAAACAAUUAAAAUAUUGUCACUUGAUGCUUGAAUCAUUAUUGUUAAAUAUCUCCGUUGAGUUGUAUUCCCCAGUUGUGAGUAUCAUUAUUGUUGUUUGUGCGAUAUGUUUCGACGAAGACCAGCAGUGAUGAGCAGGCGUCUGGUAGCAGGGUUCCUCGAACAGGUAUAUCUUGCAAGAGUCUGGUAGCAGGGGGAGCAAGAGCAGGAGUAUCCUGCUCGUCCACGAGUACGUCAUCCACGAGGCCGGUCUCCUGUUGGGAGCGUAAAGCCAUUCCUGCUAUAUUCCUGCUAGCGGUUGAGUCGAGGAGACCCGGUCAACGACAGUUGACGAGACAUGCUCUCCAGUCCGAGAAUCAAGGCGCGAAGGCCACGCAACCACCCACGACUACGGAAAUGGAGCAUCCACUUUCGAGAAGUGGGAGGAUGACAAGCGCAAAGGGAGGAAAUGCAUGGGCUCAGAAGUGGCCUAUAAAAAGGUAACCAACGAAGGUAAAAGGGUUAGCAAUUUUGAGAUUAUAACAGAGACUAAGGAAAUUCUAAAGAAGAGAAAACUAUUAAAAAGCCAUAAGAUCUGUGGCAAGCGUUCCCAGAGCCUUCAUAUCUGACUUGAGCGUCGGAGGGUUUACGCCGGGAAAACAACCGGCGUGCUCUGACUUGUUUCUGUGGACGCAGGAAUACUUGGAGAAGAAAGCAUACAAGGAGAGAUCCUGGUCGAGGUGAGGUUGAUUGAGCAGAUAUCCUGGUCGUAGGAAGAGCGUAACCAGAAUCUCGCAUCAAUAUUUUGGCGCCGUCUGUGGGGAGCUGAGCAAAAAGUUUCUGUUGAUAGCAAAGAAGAGGAGUGAAGCAAGUGAAAAGCAAUGGAGACAGGAGGAAGUAGUGCACAAGGGGGUGAUAUGAGGCUUAACGAUUCCGUGACGCUGAGGGAGAUAGCCAGUGAAGCACGGGAAAAAGCCAUGUUCGACCGGAUGGAACGGAUGGAAAAGCAGAUGGAGACCUUGACAACCAUCCUACAUGAGCUGCGGAGCGAACGAAGGGUAACCCAGGAGGAAAGGGUGAGAGGUGGUGGAGUGGCACCAGGUCCCGAUAGUGCGAGGAGAAGUCAAACCACCGGGAGAUUUGGUGGUGAGAGAGGUAACAUACCUCUGCAGGGAAAUUGCAUAGAGAGGAAGAGCAGUCCCCGGCAAGACAGAUUUUUGACGAGGACGACGGGGUGGCGAAUGCAGAGGAAGCAGAGUUGAGGCAAUACUUGCAUGAUGUAGUGCAAGAGCGGGAUCAAGUCGCAGCACGUGACCCUGGUCGUGCAGAGCAGCUGGAGGAGGAAGUGUGCAGGCUAGCGCAGAUAAUUGACGACAUACAAGGAAGGAGCAGAGCUCCUGGUUGGAGGAUAAUGCUGGACGGAGAAUCACCGCUCGCAGCAGAGAUCAUGAGGGCAGUUAUUCCAAGAGAUUUCCGCCUCCCAGACCUUAGAUAUUCGGGAUGAACUGAUCCGCUGGUGCACAUAGAGCGCUUCAACGACAUAACUGGGGUACAAGGAUUAUCUCAAUCCUAAAGGUGCAGGGUGUUCCCACUAUCCCUUGAGGGACGCGCACGAGAGUGGUACAGGAAACUUCCUCGGGGGAGCAUUAAAACCUUCGAGCAGAUGUGCCAGGAAUUUGCAGAACAGUUCCGUGGGGCAAUGGCACCAGAAGAUGACAUGAUGGAGUUGAAAAACAUGAAGCAGGGGGAACAAGAAACACUUCGGGAAUUCAUCAAGAGGUUUCACCGUGCUGUCCUCGACUUGGGAGCCUUCAACCACCCUCAAACGUUAAGGGGAUUGAAAGAAGGGGUGAAGAUAGGAAGGCUGUGGUACAACUUGAGAAGCCCAGUUAUUCAGACGUAUGCGGCCGCAUACGAGCAGGCUAAGAGAGACAUUGAGAUUGAAGAGGAGAAGGCAGCACAGAUUAAGACAGACCAGUUAGAAGGGUGGGGGAGGAAAGAGAAGAAAGCAUUACCGGGGAAUGGGCCGAUCAGGAGGAGGAACCACCAGGCCUCGAGUAGUGGAGCAGAAGGUCGGGUAACUGCUUACCAGCCUCAUCAGAGGCCACUACAGUAUCAGCACAGCAGGGCGCAACCUCCUCGUUCCCCAGCUGGGGAGCCUUGGAGAAGGCAUGACUCGGCGUAUGGUGGUCUUCAUCAACACUCCCACGGUAGUAGAAGGGGCAGACCAGAAGCGCUGCCACCGCCUCCAACUCAGAACGGAGCAAAUAGAGAAAGGGCAGUGCACCUGAUCGACCAGAACCAGGACUAUGGGCGAUAUACUUCCUUGAAGAUGUCCCUGGCCGAGGUGUACGAGGCCAUAAAGGAUCGAGGGUCGUUAUACCUCCCUGCCCCAAUAACAAAGCUACCCAGCAGGAGGGAUAGGGGACGCUAUUGUAAGUUCCAUGGCACUCAUGGCCACACCACAGCAGAUUACAGGGAUCUCAAGACCCAGGUUGAAGAUUUGGUGAGAAAUCGGUAUCUGGACGAGUUUAUAGAUGGGACCUUCCCAAUGGUAGCCUCGACCAGCGAAUGGGAGCAGAGUGACAGGAACUUGAGGCGCGAGCAGCCUGCAGUAAGGGUGAUAGCUGGGGGCCCAACAUUGGCCGGAGAUUCCAACAGGUUGAGGAAGAAUUACGCUAGAUACGCCAUGACCAGCAAAGAUGUAUUCUUCACCACCCCAGCAGCCAAACGUGCAAGAGUCAGGCAAGUGCCAAUUAUGUGGACAGAUGAGGAUGAAGAAGGGAUUCUAUACCCCCACGAGGAUGCUUUGGUCAUCAAGGCCACUGUUGCCAGCAAGAAGUUUGACAGGAUACUGGUUGACACAGGGAGCUCAGUUGAUGUGUUGUUUAAGUCAACCCUGGAGGAGAUGGGAAUAGCAGACCUGAAGUUGGAUUACACCAAUACCUCCUUGAAGGGGUUUGGAGGAGGAAAGUUGGUCCCUCUGGGCGUGGUCGAGCUGCCUAUCACGAUUGGGAGCUCCCCGACAGAAGGGACAAUGAUACUGGACUUUGUGGUAGUGGAUGAGGAAGGUCCUUAUCAGAUGAUCCUAGGCCGGCCAUUUCUGACGAUGAGCAAAGCGGUGCUGUCCAGCCAUUAUCUGGCUCUCAAGUACCGGGUGAAUGGGGUAGUUGGAGUGGUACGAGGAGACCAGAGGAUCGCAAGAAGCUGCUACUCCUCGGCAGCAAAGGAAGCAAUGCAGAUAACAUCCCUUGAUACCCGAGUGGAAGCCAGGAAUGGCAGCUAGUUGGACCCGGAGUUUACAAGCUGGUUCGCACGGAUGGCCACAAGGUGAAACGCCCAUGGAGCGCGACACACCUCAGGAAAUAUUUCUAGUAAGACUUACUCAUCUUUUAAAGUUAUUUCUGUUCGUGCCCGUUGUUUUCUAUUUUUCAUUUCUUAUUUCAAAGCAAUCUCAUGUAAGCCGAAUUCAAUAAUAAAUGAAUCAAUGAGGAGUUUCAGUCAACUACACUGUUCAAGAAAUUAUCAAAGGCAUGCAAAGGCUAGUCAAGUCUCAAAGCCUGUUUAUGGCGAGACCAGAAGCCAAGCGUGCCAGGAUCUGCUCGACCACGAGAAGGCGAGCAGAGUCCCAAGCUUUCAAGAAAUUAUCAAUGGCAUGCAAAGGCUCACCAAGUCUCAAAGCCUGUUUAUGGCGAGACCAGAAGCCAAGCGUACCAGGAUCUGCUUGACCACGAGAAGGCGAGCAGAGUCCCAAGCUUUCAAGAAAUUAUCAAAGGCAUGCAAAGGCUCACCAAGUCUCAAAGCCGGUUUAUGACGAGACCAGAAGCCAAGCGUUCCAGGAUCUGCUCGACCACGAGAAGGCGAGCAGAGUCCCAAGCUUUCAAGAAAUUAUCAAAGGCAUGCAAAGGCUCACCAAGUUUCAAAGCCUGUUUAUGACGAGACCAGAAGCCAAGCGUGCCAGGAUCUGCUCGACCACGAGAAGGCGAGCAGAGUCCCAAGCUUUCAAGAAAUUAUCAAAGGCAUGCAAAGGCUCACCAAGUCUCAAAGCCUGUUUAUGGCGAGACCAGAAGCCAAACGUGCCAGGAUCUGCUUGACCACGAGAAGGCGAGCAGAGUCCCAAGCUUUCAAGAAAUUAUCUAAGGCAUGCAAAGGCUCGCCAAGUCUCAAAGCCUGUUUUAUGGCGAGAUAGAAGCCAAGCGUACCAGGAUCUGCUCGACCACGUGAAGGUGAGCAGAAUCCCCAAGCAUCGGAAUAUUUUCCAAGGCAUGCAAAGGCUCGCCAAGUCUCAAAGCCUGUUUUAUGGCGAGACAGAAGCCAAGCAUGCCAGGAUCUGCUCGACCGCGCGAAGGCGAGCAGAAUCUCAAGCAUUGAAGAAUUUUCCAAGGCAUGUGGCAAAACCAUAUGCCGAGCCAGAACCUGCUAAACUAGACGAAGACGAGCAGAUUCUCAGACGAAAAAUAACUCAUGAUUACAACACAAGAAAGUAAUCAAAAACAUUUUUAUUAAUUUGUUAAUAAUUAACAGAGGAGAUAAUCUUCACAAACAUUGUUCAUUACAAUACAAGAAAUAUAUUAAGAGGACGGUGGAUCCGUAAGCCGAGCAGCCUCAGUCGGUUGGUCCACCUCAGGUGCUGGGGGAGUAUCACCGGUCGCGUCCGGGGGGGUGCUUGCCUCACCCACAUCAACAGGAACGGCACGAGGAGGAGAGUUUUCCUCAACUACGAUUGGUUCCACCGUUUCGGCAUCUUCCUUUGCAGCCUCCUCGUCCAUAUGUUGGGCGACACCAGUUGCAAGGUCGUCCAUCUUCAGAUCAGGAUGCUGCUUCCCGAGGACGACCAUGAUGCAACGAUAGGAAUGCCGAAGCCCCUAGUCGUACUGGUUGUCGGCCUCCCUCUCCAAGUUCUCGACCUGAGCUCGGUGGGAAUCGCGGAGAGAUUCGAGCUGAGCCUCAUAUAUAGCCUUCUGCCUUUGCAGAUCCUCCUCGACCUUGGUCAGCUCCUCCUCGAGGGUAAUGGCUUUUGCUUGAGCAAGAGAUUCUUGCUCUAUCAGCUUGAGGUUCUCAACAUUCAGCUCCCCUGCUUUCUUCUCGGCAGCGUCAGCUCUGGUCGUCGCCGAUUGAAUGUCCUCCUUAAUCUUGCGGUCGUAGCGGCCAACCUUCGCCUUGUAAUAGGUGGUCAUGCAGCUGAGGUAGAAAGCGCUAUACUGCAUGGCCCCCACCAGCUCACCCAAGGUGCAGCCGUCAAAGUCCUCCAGGUCCUUCUUGCUCACGAGUUUAGAUAACUCAUUGAGGUAGGGGACCAAGUGUUCUGCUUGGCUGUCAGGUAAGCGAGAUCGAGGCCCGACAGGAGGAGAAGAGGAAGCAGGAUCCGUGGCUGCUCCACUAGUUUCCCCAACUUUGGCAGGAGCAGGAGGUAAAGUCUUCAAGGGAGAGACUUGCUGUACGAUGUUGGCCUGCUUUGCAGAAGGGGCGUCCUUGUUCUGGUCCCUCUUCGUGGCUUGAGGUUGAGAACGUUUCCUGUUCAGAGCCCCAAUCACAGCGUCCUCCAUCUUAUGGCCAGGGAGUACCAAGCGAGACUCGAGCAAGUUGUAAACAGUUAUCAAUUCUCGGCUCGGGCAAGAGUUGGCUAGUAUAGCCUCGACCCGUUUGAGCUGAUCAGGUUGGAGCGAGAAGUGAACACCCCAAGAACCUGCAACACAAACAAACAUUUGAUUAGAGACAAACCAGUAAAGUGCAAACAACAAGGGAGACAAGACAUCUAAUACGAGCAGGCAACCUGGGACCAUGAAACGGGGUGGGACGCGACAAUCCUUCCCGUCUAUUUGUGCAACUUGACCCCAAGGACCCCCAGCAAAAAAGAAUUUCCUCUUCCAAGUCCCACCACCACCAGUUGGAAGAUCAGUUAUGGGUUUCUUGCUCUUGGUACUAGAUUGGAAGUAGUACCAGCCGGCAUCUUUGGGGCUGCUCUUUAGCUGGUACAGGUGCUUCACCUCAUCAACCGUGGGCUCGCUUUGGCAACAUCUGUCCCACAAUAUGAACAGACCAGAGAGCACCCUCCACCCAUUGGGGUUCAGUUGACCAGGAGCUAGAUUGAGCCCGUGGAGUAUGCGAGCAAAAUAGGGUUGCAAGGGGCACCUUAACCCGUACUUAAAACUCUCCUGGAACAAGGUGACAUAUCCCCUAGGAGGCCUGCUAGGACUAUCUUUUUUUCCUGGGAUCCUAAGGAGUACUUCACCAGGAAUAUGAUACCUGAGCCAGAGGUCAUCCAGCUCGUUGAAUGUGGUCGUGCAGGUCAUGUAAUCAAUAGCAUAAUCCCGCAACAAGGCUCUACCUCCUACUGUACUACGCCCUUCUGGUCGCAGUGUUCCCGGUGAAGAUCCCUCACCAGAGUCACCUCCUUGAUCCUCACUUAGGGUGUCUUCCGAGCCAGAAGGUCCUUCCUCGCCACUACUUCCGCUCGUGGAGGUUGUUUGGGGGGACAUCCUCCUAGCGCUAGUCCCGACACUAGACCUAGUGGGCUCUAAGGGGAUCCCGGGGUCAAAAGCAGAAUCAGUGAGCAGACUAGGCAAGAAACCUAGUUCGUCGUCAUCAGUCUCAAUGACUUUCUCCUUACCCUUCGACAUUCCCUAAGUUCUAACCAAAACACCACCACCGACUACAACCCCAAGUAAAGCAAAGAGAAAAGAAAUUAUCUACAACUAUCCGAGACCGAGGAGAUAGAAGUAAUACCUGAAGUAAUGGUUCAGUUAGAGAAAGGCAGGGGAGGAGACUUUUAUGCCGAGACUUCUUUGCCGGAGAGACAGAGACAGAGAUGGAGUAAAUGACGAAUUUUCCCUUUGAGAGGUUUUGGGUUUUCCUAAUGGAGAAUGAACUUUUGGAUUGCCAGCAUUUAAUAGCAUCGAAUCCCAAGGGUCUCGUAACCGUCGGUUUAAAAUUCAAAUAGAUGGGUAGAUUUCUGCCACAUCACCUGGUCCACAAUUAAAUGCGACACGACUCUUGGCAGCCUUUUCCUAUCCCGCGCGAGCAAGAACUGUCGAGUUUCUACUGUUGGCUCACUACGCUACCCAACACAAGAAACUGGGGGACUGGUGUUUGUGCGAUAUGUUUCGACGAAGACUAGCAGUGAUGAGCAGGCGUCUGGUAGCAGGGUUCCUCGAACAGGUAUAUCUUGCAAGAGUCUGGUAGCCGGGGGAGCAAGAGCAGGAGUAUCCUGCUCGUCCACGAGUACGUCAUCCACGAGGCCGGUCUCCUGUUGGGAGCGUAAAGCCAUUCCUGCUAUAUUUCUGCUAGCGGUUGAGUCGAGGAGACCCGGUCAACGACAGUUGAUGAGACAUGCUCUUCAGUUCGAGAAUCAAGGCGCGAAGGCCACGCAACCACCCACGACUACGGAAAUGGAGCAUCCACUUUCGAGAAGUGGGAGGAUGACAAGCGCAAAGGGAGGAAAUGCAUGGGCUCAGAAGUGGCCUAUAAAAAGGUAACCAACGAAGGUAAAAGGGUUAGCAAUUUUGAGAUUAUAACAGAGACUAAGGAAAUUCUAAAGAAGAGAAAACUAUUAAAAAGCCAUAAGAUCUGUGGCAAGCGUUCCCAGAGCCUUCAUAUCUGACUUGAGCGUCGGAGGGUUUACGCCGGGAAAACAACCGGCGUGCUCUGACUUGUUUCUGUGGACGCAGGAAUACUUGGAGAAGAAAGCAUACGAGGAGAGAUCCUGGUCGAGGUGAGGUUGAUCGAGCAGAUAUCCUGGUCGUAGGAAGAGCGUAACCAGAAUCUCGCAUCAACAAUUGUCUUUGCUCUCUAAUCUAUUCAAUUUUCUUUCUGGAGACAAGAUUUUGAUUCCUUUCAUCGUUACAAAAACGGAACCAUGGUUGAUGUGGGAGAGAUCUUACUCAACGCCUUCUUUUAGGUGAUGUUCGACAGGUUGGCUUCCCGUGAUUUGCUCAGCUUUGUCCGUCAACUUGGAGGGGGGGUCGAUUCCGAGCUCAAGAAGUGGGAAAGAAAGCUGAAGAUGAUUCAGGCGGUGCUCAACGAUGCAGAGGAGAAGCAACUGACGGACGAGGCUGUGAAGAUGUGGCUGGACGAUCUCCAAGACUUGGCUUAUGACGCUGAGGACAUUCUUGAUGAGUUUGCUACUCAAGCUUUGGAAAGCAAGUUGAUGGCGCAAAAUCAGGAUAGCUCUGGCCAACUUCUCAGUUUCAUCCAGGCUAGUUUGAAUCCGAAUGCUAUUAUGUUCAAUUAUAGCAUGGGGUCCAAGAUUAAAGAUAUCACUAGCCGGCUGGAGCAACUCUGCCAAGAAAGAAUUGAACUUGGACUGCAACGGAUUACUGGAGGGGCAUCAUCAACUACUGCUGCUGCACACCAGAGGCUACCCGGUUCAAUUGUCCCAACAGAACGUGAAGUAUUUGGAAGAGAAGAAGAUAAGGCCAAAAUUCUUGAUAUGGUAUUGGCCGAUACCCUAAGUGAUCAUGCCAACUUUGCUGUAAUACCCGUUGUUGGCAUGGGCGGGAUAGGAAAAACAACUCUCGCUCGGGAGGUUUACAAUGACAAGGCCGUUGGCGGUUCCAAGUUUGAUGUAAAAGCAUGGGUUUGCGUAUCUGAUGUCUUUGAUGUUUUGGGCAUCUCAAAGGCACUUCUCGAGUCAAUCACCCGCAGGCCUUGUCUUCUAAACAGUUUAAAUGAAGUGCAGGUUGAAUUGAAAGUAGCUGUGGAUAAAAAAAGAUUCUUGCUGGUCUUAGAUGAUGUUUGGAACGAGGACUACAGCUUGUGGGUAGACUUAAAAGCUCCGUUCCUGGCUGCUGCACCAAACAGUAAGAUGAUCGUCACCACACGCAAUUCAAAUGUUGCAUCAACAAUGGGACCAAUUGAACAUUACAAUCUCAAGAGUUUGUCAGAUGAUGAUUGUUGGUCCAUUUUCAUAAAGCAUGCAUUUGAAUAUAGAGAUCUUAACGCACAUCAAAUUUCAGAAUCGUUCCGCGGGAAAGUUGUUGCCAAGUGUGGAGGCUUGGCCCUGGCAGCAAAAACACUCGGAGGCCUUCUGCAUACGACGAGGCAUGAUGCGUGGGAUGAUACGUUAGAGAGCAAAAUAUGGGAUUUACCUCAACAAAGUGGGGUUCUCCCCGUAUUAAGAUUGAGUUACCAUCAUCUUCCUUCUCAUUUGAAAAGAUGUUUUGCUUACUGUGCAAUCUUUCCAAAAGAUUAUGAAUUCAAUCAGAAGGAGCUGACUUUCUUAUGGAUGGCUGGAGGAAUUAUUCGACAGUCACGAAACAGUGAGCAGCUGGAAGAUUUGGGCAGCAAGUGCUUUCAAGAUCUAGUGUCAAGGUCUAUUUUUCAACAAACCAGCUCUGGUAGUUCUAAAUUUGUAAUGCCCUAUCUUAUCCAUGAUCUUGCUGAAUUGGUUUCUAGAGGGACCAUUUUCAAGUUAGAGGAGUCCACCAACUUGUCGUCGAGGAGAUUUGAAAGAGUUCGCCAUUCUUCCUAUGCCCGCGGUUGGCAUGACGGUAAAAAUAAGUUUGAGGUUUUCUAUGAAAUUGAACAUCUACUAACAUUCUUGCCAUCACGCAUAAGAGGUGGCACUAAUACGAGUUACAUAACUCGAACGGUUCUAUCUGAUUUGUUGCUGAAUUUCAAAAGUUUGAGGAUGUUAUCUUUACAAGGAUACUGUAUUGGUGAGUUACCAAUUUCAUUUGAAGAUUUGAGACUUUUAAGGUUUCUCAACCUUGCUUACACUGACAUAAGAAGUUAUCUGAGUCAACAUGCAAAUUGCUGAACUUGGAAAUUUUGAUAUUAAGAAAUUGUUCUCGUUUGAUAAAGCUUCCACCCAAAAUGAGGAAUUUGAUCAAUUUACGCCAUCUCGAUAUAAGAGGUGCGAAGUUGCUGAAGGAGAUGCCAUUCGGAAUGAAAGAGUUGAAGAAGCUUCAAACAUUGUCCAAUUUUAUUGUGGGCAAGGGUGAAACUGCAUCUUGUUUGGAAGAUUUAAAAUGUUUAAACUUUCUUUGUGAUAAACUUUGCAUUGCUGGAUUAGAGAAUGUUAAUAAUCCACAGAAUGCAAGAGAAGCCGCAUUAUGUGAGAAACACAAUCUUGAAGCAUUGACUCUGGAUUAGGGGUUUCAAUUUGACAAUUCCUGAGGAGUAGUAGAAGAGCAUGUACUGGAAAAUCUACAGCCUCAUAAAUGUAUAAAAAAGGUGGCGAUCCGGAACUAUGGUGGUGCAAGAUUUCCCCUUUGGAUAGGAGAUCCUUUGUUCUCCAGGAUAGAGCUCCUAAAAUUGGAGAACUGUGACAAUUGUGUAUCUUUGCCAUCGCUUGGCCUAUUGAGUUCACUUAGACGGCUUGCUGUUAAAGGGCUGAAUAAACUAAAAAGCAUAGGGUCUGAGGUUUAUGGGGAGGGUUUCUCAAUGCCUUUUCCAUCAUUGGAGAUUCUAAGUUUCGAGAAUUUGCCAGAAUGGGAGCAUUGGGACACCGAUGUCAAAGGAAAUGUGCUUGUUGAAAUAUUUCCUCGUCUCCAUCAACUUUCCAUUGUGGAAUGUCCCAAACUCUCGGGAGAACUGCCUGAGCUCCUGCCCUCCUUGGAGACACUUUUUGUUAGUAAAUGUGAAAAGUUGGUAGUUCCAUUGUCUUGCUAUCCGAUGCUCUGCAGAUUAGAAGUUGAUGAGUGCAAGGAACUAGCAUGCGGGACUCCAAUUGAUUUUAAGUUGAUAACGUCUGUGACUAUUUCAAAUAGUUCCUUAGACAUGAAUGGAUGCAAGGGGAUGCUAUACGAUGGUCCAGCUGGCUCUUCACUACCAAAGCCUAUGAUUACUACAAAUGUUUCGGAGUUUGGAAAAUUAUUGAAGCCUGGAUUUCAGAUAUUAGAAACUUUGGUAAUUGCCAAUUCUGAACAGCUCAAGUCAUGGAGGCAGAAUGGGGAUUUUCCGGAAAAAUACACGGCCCCUGAACAUAGGUUUAAGAAACCAGUACGAGGGCUGAAUAUGCUCGCUUCCCCUGAAGAGGUAACAAUUGAAGAAAGUUGCGUACGUCUUGUUUUGUUUCCAGAGAUCAAUUUCUUUCCCAGAAAUCUGCGCUCUCUUCUAAUUAACAACAACACUGCUUUCAAAUCCUUACCCGAGGAAAUGAUGGAAAACAAUUCACAACUCGAAAGGUUGUAUAUCAGAGAUUGCGACUCUCUAACAUUCAUCGCAAGACGGAGGCUACCAGCAUCUCUUAAAAGGCUUGAGAUAGAAAAUUGUGAGAAAUUGCAACGUCUGUUCGAUGAUGAAGAGGAUGCUUCUUCUUCUUCACCUUCACCCUCGUCUUCCCCAGUGAUGCUGCAACACCUGAGUAUAGAGAACUGCCCAGAGCUCACCAGUUUAUCAUCGGGUGUCCAAUUCCUUGAGGCGCUUGAAGACCUCGACAUACAGGGUUGUCCAAAGCUGGAGUCAUUACCGGAUGGCCUGCCCAAUCUUAAAUGUUUACAGAGCAUUUAUAUACGGGGAUGUCCAAGUCUUGUUUCCUUCCCAGAAAGAGGGCUUCCCAACACGAUUUCAAGGGUUGACAUUUGCAGUUGUGACAAGCUCAAAGCCUUGCCCAAUGAUUUGCACAAACUCAACUCUCUUCGAGAUUUAAGAAUACGGCUGUGUCGAAAUCUUGUAUCGUUUCCAGAAGAAGGUUUUCCUACCAAUCUAACAUCACUUACAAUUGGAAAUUUCAAAAUGUAUAAGACACUCGUCCAGUGGGGGUUGCACGGGCUUACCUCUCUUAAACGCCUCUCGAUCAGUGGAUGUCAUGAAGCAGAGUGUUUUCCAGACGAGGAGAUAGGAAUGACGCUGCCCACCUCUCUCACUCAACUGCUCCUUUAGGGAUUCGAAAAACUGAUAUCUCUGUCUUCGACGGGUUUUCAAAGCCUCAACUCUCUUCAAUACUUAUUGAUCUGGGGUUGCCCAAAUCUCACAUCAUUCCCAGAGGCGGGUCUUCCAUCCUCACUUUUGGAUUUAGGCAUUUACAAUUGUCCAAAGCUUAAAAGAGCGUGCAAAAGAGAUCAAGGAAAAGAGUGGCCCAAAAUUGCUCACAUCCCUCGCAUUGAGAUAGACAGAAAAUUCAUAUACGAUCCAGAAUCAGAGGAGUAGAUUCUAUUACAAAGGUCAGUUGAUUUCUAUUAUCCUCUAUAACAAGCUCCUCUUAAUUUUUUUUUUCUAAGUAAUAAUUUUGCAGUUCUGUAUAAUUAUUAAUCGUCUGCUCUUAAUUGAAAAUGUCACUCACUUGAUUCCGUUUUCACUAGUCAAAUUGUAUGUUGAGGCUAUUUGCUUUUUAAUUAUAACACUUAUCUUAAAAUUUAAUACCAAAUUUUUUUGAUUCACUUCAAUUAGCAUUUUGUUUUCCCCAAAUUAGGCAAGCCGAGAGCUUCAUUAACUAGAGUUUUUUAUUUUUCGGACCUUGCAUCUGAAAGGUUCAGUGUAUUUUUUUUUUUUUCAAAUUUAUUGUUCAGAUCUCAGACGAGUAUACGGUUUAGAUUACAAAACACCUAUGAUUAAUUUCUUUUUUUUUUUUUUAAUUUCAGGGAGAAGAAGUGGUCAGUUUCAAUCCGGAAUUGGAAUAUGGCAAUUUGGUUCAAGCACACACACCUGGUCACUUGGUCAGUGAACCUGAACUUUACGCAGUUUUUUCAACUCAGUGAUUUUUGGAACGCAUAUUGGUGUAAGGAAAUCAAUAGAAAUUUAUGCAUAGUCAAAUUCUGAUAUUUGCUAUAAUAUUAUACAUUCUAAAGUUUCUCCAGUUUGUUCUCAGAUUACCAUCAUUUUUUGCCUUCACCAAAAAAAAAUCGAGUGGCUUUCCAGUGGAUAUUUAAUCGGAGGUAUGACUGGAUUUUUUUCACUUCUGUAAAUCUUGCAUUUUAAACUGGCAAAUUUAACUUUAAUUUUAAUACGACUUGUUUGAGGGAAAUACUCCGACGAGACCAGACGUGAUGAGCAGAUGUUUGGUGGCAGAAGUCUGCGAGCAGGUGUGUCCUGUAAGAGCCAGGUAGCAGGGAAACAGGGGCAGAAAUAUCCUGCUCAUCCACGAGCAUGUCAUCCGCGAGGCCAAUUUCCUGUAAGAAACAUAAAGCCAUUCCUGCUGUAUUCUUGCUAAGGGUUGAUUCGAGGAGACCCGGUCAACGACAGUUGGCGAGGCAUGCUCUCCAGCCCGAGAAUCUAGGCACGAAGGCCACGCAACCACCCACGACUACGGAAAUGGGGAAUCCACGUUCGAGAGGUGGGAGGAUAACAGACGUAGACUGCGGAAAACUGGGAUUCAGAGGAAGCCUAUAAAAAGGUAGCCAACGAAGGUAAAAGGGUUAGCAAUUUUGAUUCUAAAAGAGAGAAAACAACCUAACAACCAUAAGAUUUUUGGCAAGCGUUCCCCGAACCUUCAUAUCUGACUUGAGCGUCGGAGGGUUUGCGCCGGGAAAACAACCGGCGUACUCUGACCUGUCUGUGUGCGCAGGAACCUCUGGAGAAGAAGCUUUACGAGGAGAGAUCCUGGUCGUGGUGAAGUUGAUCGAGCAGAGACCCUGGUCGUAGAACGAGGAGAACCAGAAUCUCGCAUCAACACGACUUUGUUGGUGCCUUGUGUUCCAGAAACUAGAAUGAUGUGUAGUUUUCAGAUUAAGGGGCUUGUAAAUUCUCUAGUAAGAAUCCAAUAAUUUGCUUUUGCACAUUCAUUUUAUUUGUGGAUCCUUGCAUCUGAAUUUGAUCAAUCCAAAAGGAAUUGCUUUUAGACAGAAGAAGAAUUGCAGUACCUAGCCUACGACAUAGUAAAUGGACCUGCAAACCUGUAACUAUUAGUUUGAGGUAAAAAAUUCAUGACCCUCACAUGUUAACUUCUUCUAGUUACUUUCAUCAAAAACACAUUUAAGAAAUUUGCAAUUUUUUGUUAGUUUUGUAUACCGAUGUUGUUUUCUGUUUUAGCAUUUGUAUAAUCUACUGUAUUAUAUUUUGGCGGUUGCAGUAUCUGAGGUAUCUUUUGCAUUUAACUUGCUUUAUUUGUUUUGCUUGUGACUUAAGAACACCAAUAUUUGCCAGAGAUUUAGAGAAGCAUAUCAAGAUGCUUGGCAAACUUGACAAACUUCAAGAUCCUUCAUUCUUCACGACCCAAAACUUGUGAGUACACUUAUGCCCGCAAUUAUUGUGAAACGCUUGCAAUUUUGAUGCAGCGAAAUGGUUUGUUGAUGCAAAGGUUUAAACUUUUAAGAUUUACACUGCAGGGUAGUUGGAUGCUGUAUAGUCGAACGGCCACCAACAUCAAGAACUAUAACUCCAAGACCGGGUUUGCAUUAAUUCAAUCAGCUGAAAUAAUGAUGCAAAUGACACUAUCAGCUGGACUUAGAGACCAGUCAGAUCAAUCAUCCUUUUAUCAACAGUUAAUGUCAUGAUGGUGUCUAUCGGAGGAAACAAAGGAUGUGUCGGAAUCAAUAUGAACAGUGAGAAGAAUGAGAGGAGCUUUGAUUAUAAGUAGGCUCAAUGAACUCAUGCUGGUAAGUGGUAAUUAAAGAAAUUUGUGCGCUUAGUAGCAUUCAAUAUUUUCUGUUUGGGAUAUAGUUGAUGAGUUGAUACUCUGAUUAAGAAGCCUGAUUAUAGUAGCUGACUUUUUUUUUGUGGUUUGCUGUUGUUUAUUCUUUCGAUUAAUUUCAACAUUAGGUUGAUCUGUUGAAGAACAAACUUGGGUUUGAUUAUGCUUUAACUACAAGGAAGAGCCAGACUUGGAUGCAGGCGUUCAGCUUUUAAUGGGUAAGAACAAAUGUAUGCUUUAACCAUGUUUCUCACUUAUUACAAUGCACACAUUGAAGGCAUCUGAGCUGAUCCUGAAAAUGUGAUGGAAAUACUUCUCUGUUUACAUAAAACAGACAAAUAGAGAUCUCUGAUCAUGCCUGAGAAUUCGUUGCAUUUAAAAUUUCUACCAUUGCCAAAAAUAGAAUAAACUACGGAUACAUUAGCUUAAGACUCAAUUUUGAGAAGGAAGUUUGCACAUGCAGCCUAAAAAAUCACGUCCGUGUUGUAUACUUGUAUGUUUCUUUGGGAAAUGAAAGAUUCUGUGUUCUUUUAUUUCAAGUUUGCUGAAAUCACAUUUGUUUUCUUAGAUGCUUUUGGGAAGGUAACAACAUCAAUUUCAUAAAUGCUGGGGUAAGAUGCAUCACGCAGUGCUACUCAACAUGAGAAUUCCCGGCCGCAUUACCUGUAUGUUGAGUGAUCGCACAGUACAACCUUUAGAAGCUUGUAAGGAGUAGACAACUAGAUGCGAAUAGUUUCAAUAUGGAUUCGCAUCAAAUGAUCUCUUGCCAGUGAUUACUAUAACCUCUAUCCCAAAAUUCUUGGAACUGGUCAUACCAAUAAUGAAGUAUUGUGUACGUUGAAGACGUAGCUCAAGGCCUUGCGAAAGCUCCGUCAGCCUUUGUAUUGGAAAACAGUUGGUUGUAGUUGCUUCUGAAUGAUAUUAUUAAUAGAUACUGUAAAAAUGAAGUGUGCCACUCAUUUUCAGAGCCCUGUUAAGAUGUGUUGGUAAUGUGUUUGAAGGUUGUUUGAUUUGUGUUGUAUUCAGCUAUAAAUCAAAGAUUCAGAACAUGGUUAUGUUACUGGUUUCCAAAUAAAAAAAUUGCCUUGUGAUGUUAGUGUUCAUUGUUUUCACAGGAGAUCAGGUUCCCUGUUGAUGAAUCAAGAAGGCAAACGCAUCCAUGCCUUAAGUUCAAAUGUGUCUCUUCUAUUUUCUAUUACUGACUCCUUUAUUUUGAUUUCUUCAUUGUAAUGGAAUUGGUUUUCAUUCCAAAUUAGUCAAAACCUCCUAGAGUCAUUAAGUUCUGUUAGCAUUUGAAGAUAGAACUAGAACUAAAUGAUUGACUGGAUUAAAUUCCGAUAAAGAAUUAAGUUAUGUAUUUAGAGAUAUUUUGUUUUUUUUUUCAUUUGUUCAAUUUGGUUAGUGGUGAUUUCUUAAAGACUCAAUCCAUGUGCGUUUAUGCAUUUUUCUUUUGCCUUAAUUUCUGUUUCUUGGGGAGUUUAUACAGAUUCUUAUUUUAUGCUUCACAUGCCACAUGAAAGAUCGAAGCAUUUUGUGUGAUUAGAACUGACUUGCAUCACAGUAACUUUAAACCACUGCCACAUUUUUAUAAUAACAGUCUGAGAUCUCCCUGAAGGAUUCAAAGCAUUUUAUUUUAUAUUAACCUCCUUUAAGUGGGUUUCGACACUACCACAAGUUCUUUAAAUACUAAAACGAUUUUGAGUCUUUUGUAUCAUCUGAUUGAAAUACCUGAAAGCACUCGUGGCUGCAAAAAUAUAUCGAUUUUGAGUAUGGCGUGCAUGUAAAUUAUAUCGAUUUUUUCUAUAUGACAAGUAAGACUCUCUUUUACAAUGGCACGGAUGCGUCAUUGAGUAAUCAUGAUUCUUGCUGGUAGUGCUUUGUUGUAUCAAUCUGCUAGCUAUUCAGCUUUCUUUCUUUCUUUCUUCUUUUUUUUUUUUUUUUUUUGUUUUCAAAUAGCUUGUGGUUGUAGAAAUAUUUCAAUUAAACUAUACUUAAGUACUUAUUUAGUAUAACUUCUUUACUAGCCAAAAUAAUUUUUUUUUGGUUUUUUAUAAUUUAAUUAUACUUUAACUAGAGUUUUUGGGAUUAAACAAGUGAUAAUUUCUCUCUAUUAAGAAAAACUCAAAAUUUUUUAAUUACUAGAAUGCGUCUAAAUUAAAUUACAAUUAUAGACACUAAAAUAUAGUAAAUUUUUUUUUUUACUCUUUAAAACUGUCUUUACAUUCGAUAUCAUAUUUUUUUCUUAAAAUCUAAAUUGAUAUUUUUAUUUUAUUUUUGAUUAAUCUUAGAACACAUAUAAAGUGAUUCAUAUUGAUUUUAUACUAACAAACUAUCAUAGCACAUUCGAAAAUAAUUAACUCGUUCUUAUUUGCAUAGUGAAAAAGGCAAAUAGCUCACCCAAAUGUUAAGGAACUGGAGAGCUGCUGCUGGAGACGAAAGGAUGUGAAAAGCAUGGUAAAGAAAAAUUGCAUAAUUCUCACUUAGAAGAGGAAGAAAAAAAAAAUACAAUUAGAAUGAGAGGUAGCCAGUAGCCAGUAGCCGCCACCACCACCAGUCAAACUAUUUCGACACACUAAUACUGUAAUACAUAUCAAAAUGCAAUAUCGGUCCUAACAAAAUGAAAAUAAAAAUUCAUUACGAAUAUGUGUUAAAGAUAUCCCAAGUAUUGAUGUGAUUGAAAUAUUUGAGAUUGAAGUAGAAAUAAGACUCAAAAUCAAUUGAGAGGAAUAAAUGAGAAACUCUAAUACUAAUAAAAUAUAUUCACAAAUCCUAAUGCUAAUUAAAAUCACGGAUUAAAAAAAAUAAUAUGAAUGAAUUACAGGCGCAACUGUUUCAUUAAAAAAUUAAUAAAAUCGUGUAUUAAUAUUUUGUACACAUACAUUUUUCCAUAUAUAACUUUUGGUAAUUUAGUUUUCCACUUAUCAUUUUUACUCCAAAAAAAUAAUUGAGAAUAUUAUUUAUGUUUUGGUGCAAAAUAUUUAAACAACAUAAAAAUUUUCAGUUUAAUAAAUCUAAACAAUUCUCAAGUUAUAAAUGAAUUUAAUGGGUUUAAUUAGUAAAAAUACUAUUAUUUUAUAAAUUGGGUUUAGUAAUGGUAUAUUGGGUAUUUAAAUGGGUUUGUUGAGUAAAUUUUAAAAUUUUAAAGUUCAAGGGUAGGUUUAUUUAGUAAAUGGGUUAAUGCAGCAAUUUUCAAACUAAAUUUUUGGAAAAAGAGGCUAUUGAGUUUUUUUUAAGAAAAAGAAUUAAAAUGUUGAGAAUACCUUUAUUUAAUUUUAUAAUCUAAUUUUAAAAAAUUUACCCAAUAAAUUUUAUAAUUUUUUAUAAAAAUUAUCAUUAACAUCCAAACAGCUGAAGAUUAAAAAAAAAAAAAGAAGGGAACUGUACUAGCAAAAGUUAGAUUAACAAUAAAUUUAGUCCAAAGAAUAAAGUUAUAGCUAAAAAGUGCUCCUAUCCUAUUUUUCUCUAUUUUAACAAUAAUCUUCCAAUCCAUUUUACAAUGGACUUAACAAAUGGGCUCAAUCUCUAAACUUCAUUUUCUUUUGCUAACCCAUGGCCAUUAGCCAGAAAGCCUAAAACAAUUUUAGGAUCACAUGUGUAAAUGGAACCCCAAGAUUGAUCAAGAAUUAACAAGACAAGAUGAAGAGAUGAUCUUGUAACUAAGAAUGAAGAAAUUGAAUCAAGACAGUACUCUAGUAAAACCCAGAAAACAGAGCUUGAAGAAUCACGCACAAAGCAGUAAAUUUGUAAAACCAGAAUUGGAGCUUCACUUCUCAAGAUAGACGAAACAGGAUACAAUCUAGCUUUGGUCAACUUCGUUUGGCCACGUCAUAAAGUCUUCCCCCACAGUCUUUCCCGCCAAAACAGAAAAGCUUUAAAAGCCAUUUACCCUCCUGAGUUACUUGCUCCUAUUACAUCAAGGCCCUGUAAGUCUAUAUUUAUUAUUACAAAAGCACCCUUAAACCGAGAUUUGAGAUAUUUUUUCAAAGAUCGAAGCGCAUGAUUUCACGGCUAUGUUGCAUAGUGAAUUUUAGUGCUUUACAGUUAAGGGAUAGUUUAAAUUCAUUACAAAGCAUUCGCAAAGAAAUUGUUUUUAAAUGAAACUCCUCGUCUUGACCAGAUUAUUUAUUAUUAUUAAAAAAAAAAUGUUCAAAACUUAGCCAAAGUGAUAAACUCGUAAUUAUUCUACAAAGGGAACAAUUUUGAACGGUGGGAAAUUCCAUAAUUAUGCUUUUCUGUGAAUUAUUUUAAAUAAAAUUAUAAAAAUUAAUAUAAAAUUAUAAUAAUGAUAGAGCCACAAACUCUUGUACAAAUUUAUUUUAUACAAACUCAUGUGGCAUGAUAAGAUUGGUUGAAUUAAAUAUUACUUGGCCCACAUGAUUUGUUUUUAUUAUUUUAUAUUUUUAUUCAACCAAUAAAUUAAUACCACGUCAGUUUGUACAAAAUAAAUUUAUACAAAAAUUUGUGACUCGAUCAUCACUCAUAAAAUUAAUACCCGGUAAAGACUGUAGAGAGACAAGUGCCCCCAACAGAAUCAAGUGAAUAUGCCCCACAAAGAUCACAUGAUCAUUUCUGUUCUUUUUCUUUUUGAUAAUUUUAUCUGUGGUUUCAACUUUUAUGCUUUAUUGUCGUAUCCCGUUGAGGGCUCCGCUGCACCCAUUACAACUUACCCCUAAAUUGCCUCUUACUAACUAAACCGUUAGAUUUUAUGGAAGCACGUUCAAUGUUGAAUUUUAAUUAUGUCAUCGAAUUUCGUUUAGCUCCUUAAACUCCAUUUUAUUUGUAAUUUCUUCAUAAAAUAUUCAAAGCUUCAUCAAGCUCCUGAUGGACCAUCAUGGCUAGGGGUGCAUUAGAGCCGAACUGAAAUAUGUUAGUUCAGUUCAGUUUGGUCAGUUUAAAUCGAAUGGUUUAGAAUAUAUAAACUGAUCAAUUUUAAUUUUGAAUUGAACCGAACCGAAAAUCAAUUGGUUCACUAUUAGUAUUUUUGUAUAAACAAGAAUGAUUAGUGAUUAUAAUUAAAUUGGACUAAAAAAAAUUCAAACUAAGGUGAAAAAUAUCAAAUCUUAGACAAUAUAAAAAAAAAUAUUAAAUUUUUUUAACCGAAACGAACCGAAUUAUUUUGACUCAGUUUGGUUCAUAAUUUUUUAAACCAAACUGAUUUAUUCCCACCCCCUAAUCGUGGCUCUCUAUCUUUAGUCAUUCACCCUUGAGUUUGAUGCCAAUUGUUGGGUUUCAAAUGAUUAUACACUCAAAUGGAACCCUCAUAACAAAAAACUAACAGAAACAAUAAGAACACGAUGUUAAAAUCUUAAAUCAAUCGCAAAAAAGCACCCAAAACAGAUCGAUUAGGAACAGUUAAGAACAAAAGAUUUGAUGGUUCAAAAUCAUAAUGUGACCUACGUACUUUCAUCCAAGAAUCAUACUAAUUGCUUUACUAGUUGUCAAACUCAAGAUCACAAGAUUGUUUAUCACUCUACAUAAAAAUUUUUUUUAGAAGAAAUACUCCCCAAUUUUUCUCUUAAUAGUUAUGAAUCAACACCCCUAGGAAGCCUGUUGAUUUACUUUUCCUUAUUUCCUAUGAUCGGUUGCUGCAACUUAAUCCUUGCCAAGCUCCAACAUAGUCCAAACACUUUUAACGGUACAGGCAUAGUGCACCUUCAGAAACUUUACAGCUCCUCUUAAAACCUCAGGCAUCGUAAGCACAUUAAGCAGCCGACAACACUCUUCUUCAUUUCUUCAUUGUCAAUUUCCUUCUUGGAACAUUGCUCCAUUGAGAGUCUGCUAGAAUUGCUCCAAUUAUUAUUAUUAUUUAAAAAAAAAAGAAAACCCUGCAAUAAGAGUAUAAGACUAAGCAACGGUCCUUUUUUUUUCCCCAUUCUUGAACCUAAAGUAUUUGAGUAUGCAAAUUAAUAAAUAAAUUCAUUUAUUUUUAUUAAAAUUUUGUAAAAUUAUAAUUUUUAAUAAAAAUAAUUAUUAAAAUUUUGUAAAAUCUAAAUUUAGAAAAAUUCAGUUGGGCACCUCUAUUUGAGAUUUAUUUUUUAUUAAAUUUAGGGAUAUUUUUAUAAUUAUAAUUUUUAAUUUUAAAAGUUUUUAUAAGAUAAAAUAGUCUUUUAAUUUAUUUAGGGGGUAAAAUUGGUGUUUUAUUAAAAUUAUUUAAUUGUGUUAAUGCAAAAGUGGCUAUUUGAUACAAAUGUGAAAAGAAAGGUGGUGCAAAAUAUAUGUUAAAAUUUUAUAUUGGUUGGAUGAACAUAAGCUAAAAUAAAGGUGGUGCAAUGAUAAUUUCCCUAUCCUAAAACUUAAUUGACUUAAUUCUUACGGUGCAAGGAAGAGGUUUCCAAGUUUAAAUCUAAAGGCUUGUAUUUAAUUUGGGGUUGGGAAAGCACUGAGAAAUAAAUGUAACUAAGGAAAAAAAAAAAGUCACGCAGUCCAAAUAAGUAGAUAUAUUUAAUAUGAGGUGGGGAUGGGUGAACUGUAAUUCAGAAAAAAAUAAAAUAAAAUUUUAUAUAAAGUUGAGGGUGUGUUUUAAUGGUUUCUUAUGCUGCGUUUAUUUUUUGGACUAGAGUGAGAAUUCUAAAAAGUGAGAAUCCUAUGAUUAGGUGUGUGGAGUGGGAGUGGGAGUAUGGUAUUUACUUAGACUAAAUAAAAGUAUGGAUUGUCAAUCAGAAUCUCAAUUAUUUGUUACUUUGUCUUGGAUUGAGAGUAAAUUAUUUUAAAUUACAAUUUUAUCCUUAUGUAAAGAAUUAUAAUUUGUAAUUAAAAAAUUAAUAAAAAUAUAUUGGAAAAUAAAAUAAAUAUUUUAUUAUAUUUAUAAAAUAAUAAUAAUUAAUAAAAUUCUUAAUUAUGUAAAUCAUAAUUUUUUAUUAAUUUAAAUUUAAAUUAUGUGAAUAAAAUUAUUAAUAAUAGCAACACAAAUGAAACAUUAUUAUUAAUAAUAUAGUAUAAAAUUAAUAUUUUUUUAGAAUAAAAUAUUUAUUAUUAUUAAAUAAAUAAAUAAUAUUUAUUAAAAUUAAUGUUUAAUAUUAUUAAUUUAAAUAUAAUAUUUAUUUAUUUUUAUUUUAUUUUAUUAAAUUUAAUAAAAUAAAUAUGUUAUAAUUAUUAUUUUUAAUAAAUAUGAUAUUAUUUAUUUUAUUAAAUAUUAUUUAUUUAUUUUAAUUAUGAGGGUAAAAAUGGAAGAGGGGGAGUGGAUUCCCACUCCCACCUCCCCCCAUGGGAGUGGGAAUCCCACUCUCCCCUUAAAAAUGGUAAGUAAAUAUUAGAAUGGGAAGAAUCUACACUCUACACUUUCUAGAAAAUAAACACUACCUUUAUUUAAAUCGAUUUGUUGGAUAUUUAGCUAAAAUGAGAGUAGCUCUCUAAUAAUUAUUGCAUUAUUACAAACAUAUCCAACGGUUAUAAUAGCGCGCUGAAUCAAUGCUUCAGAAGGAUGACAGUCUGAGUGAAAAGGAAAUAAACGCUUUCAAUUGAAUUACUACCACUACACUCCAAUACUCUAUUAUUGUUUGUGUGCUUGCUUGUGGACCUUUUUACUUCUUACUAUCAUUAUUGAAUUCCAUUUCCAAAUUUUCAGCAUACUUUUGCUUUCUUUCAGUAUCUUCAGUUUCUCUUUUGCUUGCUAUCAAUUCAGUUUUCUUCUUGUGAAGAUCGAACGGAACCAUGGUUGCUGUGGGAGAGAUCUUACUCAACGCCUUCUUUCAGGUGUUGUUUGACAGGUUGGCUUCCCGUGAUUUGCUCAGCUUUGUCCGUCAACUUGGAGGCGGGGACGAUUCCGAGCUCAAGAAGUGGGAAAGAAAGCUGAAGAUGAUUCAGGCGGUGCUCAACGAUGCAGAGGAGAAGCAACUGACCGACGAGGCCGUGAAGAUGUGGCUGGACGAUCUCCAAGACUUGGCUUAUGACGCUGAGGACAUUCUUGAGGAGUUUGCUACUCAAGCUUUGGAAAGCAAGUUGAUGGCGAAAAAUCAGGAUCGCAUUGGCCAGGUUCUUAGUUUCAUACCGGCUAGUUUGAAUCCGAAUGCUAUUAUGUCCAAUUAUAGCAUGGGAUCCAAGAUUAAAGAUAUUACUAGCCGGUUGGAGCAACUCUGCCAAGAUAGAAUUGAACUUGGGCUGCAACGGAUUGCUGGAGGGGCAUCAUCAACUACUUCUGCUGCACAUCAGAGGCGAGACAGUUCGAGUGUCCCAACAGAACGUGAAGUAUUUGGAAGAGAAGAAGAUAAGGCCAAAAUUCUUGAUAUGGUAUUGACCGAUACCCCAAGUGAUCGUGCCAACUUUGUUGUAAUACCCAUUGUUGGCAUGGGCGGGAUAGGAAAAACAACUCUUGCCCGGGAGGUCUACAAUGACAAGGCCGUUGAAGAUUCCAAGUUUGAUGUAAAAGCAUGGGUUUGUGUCUCUGAUGUCUUUGAUAUUUUGGGCAUCUCAAAGGCACUUCUCCAGUCAAUCACCUCCGCAGCUAGUGAUCUCAAGACUUUAAAUGAGGUGCAGGUUCAACUGAAAAAAGCAGUUGACGGAAAAAGAUUCUUGCUGGUCUUAGAUGAUGUUUGGAACGAGAACUACAACUUGUGGGAAGACUUAAAAGCUCCGUUCCUGGAUGCUGCACCAAACAGCAAGAUGAUCGUCACCACACGCAAUUCAAGUGUUGCAUCAACAAUGAGACCCAUUGAACAUUUCAAUCUCAAGAGUCUGUUGGAUGACGAUUGCUGGUCCAUUUUUAUAAAGCAUGCAGUUGAAGGUGGAGAUCUUAACGAGGAUCAAAUUUCAGAAUCAUUCCGCAAGAAAGUUGUUGGCAAGUGUGGAGGCUUGCCUCUGGCAGCAAAAACUCUCGGGGGCCUUCUGCGUACGACGAGGCAUGAUGGGUGGGAUGGUAUAUUGGAUAGCAAAAUAUGGGAAUUACAUCAACAUAGCAGCAUUCUCCCUGUGUUAAGAUUGAGUUACCAUCAUCUUCCGUCUCAUUUGAAAAGAUGUUUUGCUUUUUGUGCCAUCUUUCCAAAAGAUUAUGAAUUCACUGAGAAGGAGCUGACUUUCUUAUGGAUGGCUGGAGGUAUUAUUCGACAGUCAAGAAACAAUGAGCAGCUGGAAGAUUUGGGCAGCAAGUGCUUUGGUGAUCUAGUGUCAAGGUCAAUUUUUCAACAAACAGCAAUCUCUGAUAGUUCUAAAUUUGUAAUGCACGACCUUAUCCAUGAUCUUGCUGAAUUGGUCUCUGGAGGAACCAUAUUUAGGUCAGAGGAGGCCAAUACUCUAUCAAGAAGAUUUGAAAGGGUUCGCCAUUCUUCCUAUACCCGUGAUUGGUAUGAUGGUAAAAAUAAGUUCGAGGUUUUCAAUGAAAUUGAACAUCUACGAACAUUCUUGCCGUUAAGAGGUAACUAUUGUACUAGUUACAUAACUCGACCGAUUCUAUCUGAUAUGCUGCCAAAGUUCAAAAGGUUGAGAACGCUAUCUUUACAAGGAUACUGUAUUGGUGAGUUACCAAUUCCAUUUGAAGAUUUGAGACUUUUAAGGUUCCUCAACCUUGCUGACACUGACAUAAGAAGUUUACCUGACUCAACAUGCAAAUUGCUGAACUUGGAAAUUCUGAUAUUAAGAAAUUGUUCCCGUUUGAUAAAGCUUCCGCAGAAAAUGAGGAAUUUGAUCAAUUUAUGCCAUCUGGAUAUAAGAGGUGCGAAGUUGCUGAAGGAGAUGCCAGUCGGAAUGAAAGAGCUGAAGAAGCUUCAAACAUUGUCCAAUUUUAUUGUAGGCAAGGGUGAAUCCGCAUCUGGUUUGGAAGAUUUAAAAAGUUUAAACCUUCUUUGUGAUGAACUUUGCAUUGCUGGAUUAGAGAAUGUGAAUAAUCCACAGAAUGCAAGAGAAGCCGCAUUAUGUGAGAAGCACAAUCUUGAAGCAUUGACUCUAACAUGGUGGCCUCAAUUUGACAGUCCUCGAGGUGUAGUAGUGGAAGAGAAUGUACUUGACGUUUUGCAGCCUCAUAAAUGUAUAAAAAAGGUGGCAAUCAGGAACUAUGGUGGUGCAAGAUUUCCACCUUGGAUAGGAGAUACUUUAUUCUCCAAGAUAGAGCUCCUUGAAUUGAAGAACUGUGACAAUUGUGUGUCUUUGCCAUCGCUUGGCCUAUUGAGUUCACUUAAACACCUUGCUGUUAAAGGGCUGAAGAAACUAAAAAGCAUAGAGUCUGAGGUUUAUGGGGAGGGUUUGUCAAUGCCUUUUCCAUCGUUGGAGGUUCUAAGUUUUGAGAAUUUGCCUGAAUGGGAGUAUUGGGACACCAAUAUCAGAGGAAAUGUGCUCGUUGAAAUGUUUCCUCGUCUCCAUAAACUUUCCAUUGUGGAAUGUCCAAAACUCUCUGGGGAACUGCCUGAGCUCCUGCCCUCCUUGGAGACACUUGUUGUUAUUAAAUGUGAAAAUUUGGUAGUUCCAUUGUCUCGCUAUCCGAUGCUCUGCAGAUUAGAAGUUGAUGAGUGCAAGGAACUAGCGUGCGGGACUCCAAUUGAUUUCAAGUUGAUAAAGUCUGUGACUAUUUCAAAUAGUUCCUUAGACAUGGAUGGAUGCAAGGGGAUGCUAUACGAUGGUCCAGCUAGCUCUUCACUGCCAAAGCCCACGAUUACUACAAAUGUUUUGGAGUUUGGAAAAUUAUUGAAGCCUGGAUUUCAGAUAUUAGAAACGUUGGUAAUUGGCAAUUCUGAACAGCUCAAGUCAUGGAGGCAGCAUGGGGAUUUUCUAGAAGAAUAUAUGGUCGCUCGCCAAAGGUUUAAGAAACCAGUACAAGGGCUGAAUAUGCUCGCUUCCCCUGAAGAGGUAACAAUUGAAGAAAGUUGCGUACGUCUUGUUUUGUUUCCAGAGAUCAAUUUCUUUCCCAGAAAUCUGCGCUCUCUUCUAAUUAACAACAACACUGCUUUCAAAUCCUUACCCGAGGAAAUGAUGGAAAACAAUUCACAACUCGAAAGGUUGUAUAUCAGAGAUUGCGACUCUCUAACAUUCAUCGCAAGACGGAGGCUACCAGCAUCUCUUAAAAGGCUUGAGAUAGAAAAUUGUGAGAAAUUGCAACGUCUGUUCGAUGAUGAAGAGGAUGCUUCUUCUUCUUCUUCUCCUUCAUCCUCGUCUUCCCCAGUGAUGCUGCAACGCCUGAAUAUAAAGAACUGCCCAGAGCUCACCAGUUUAUCAUCGGGUGUCCAAUUCCUUGAGGCGCUUGAAGGCCUCGAGAUAUGGGAUUGUCCAAAGCUGGAGUCAAUACCGGAUGGCCUGCACAAUCUUAAAUGUUUACAGAGCAUUCAUAUAGAUGGAUGUCCAAGUCUUGUUUCCUUGCCCAAUGACAUGCACAAACUGAACUCUCUUCGAGAUUUAAACAUACGGGCGUGUCCAAUAUCGUUUCCAGAAGAAGGUUGUCCUACCAAUCUAACAUCACUUACACUUGGAUAUGUCGAAAUGUAUAAGACACUCGUCCAGUGGGGGUUGCACAGGCUUACCUCUCUUAGAAGCCUCGACAUUUUUGGAUGUGAUGAUGAAGCAGAGUGUUUUCCAGACGAGGAGAUAGGAAUGACGCUGCCCACCUCUCUCACUCAUCUGCACCUUUUUGAUUUCGAAAAAUUGAGAUCUCUGUCUUCGACGGGUUUUCAGAGCCUCACCUCUCUUCAAUCUUUGGAUAUCUGGUUUUGCCCAAAUCUCACAUCAUUCCCAAAGGUGGGCUUUCCAUCCUCACUUGUGGAAUUACGCAUUAGAGAUUGUCCAAAGCUUAAAAAAGCGUGCAAAAGAGAUCAAGGAAAAGAGUGGCCCAAAAUUGCUCACAUCCCUUGCGUUGAGAUAGACGAUAAAUUCAUAUACCAUCCAAAAUCAGAGGUGUAGAGUGUAUUAUUAAGGUCAGUUGAUUUAUGUUAUCCACCAUAACAAGCUCCUCCUUUUUUUUUAAAUAAUAAUUUUGCAGUCACUCGCGUGAUUCCGUUUUCACAAGUCAGAUUGUAUGUUGAGGCUAUUUGCCUUUUAAUCGCAGAUUAAAUUAUAACACUUAUCUUAAAAUUUAAUACCAUAGACAGAUAGACGAUUUUUUAAUCCAAAGUUUUUUUAUUCACUUCAGUUAGCAUUUUUUUUUUCCCCAAAUCAUGCAAGCCGAGAGUUUCAAUCAACAGAAUUUUAUUCACUCAUUGACUUUUCAACUGCUGUGGUUAUUUAUGGGUGAAAGAUAAAUUUCUUAGAUGGUAGAUAUAUCGACAUUUUAGAUUUCAGAUAUUUGUCACCAAUUUCAUUCCUUUUUUUAAAAUUUUUUUUAAGCAAGUUUGACUAAUUUUAACCAGAAUUGGAGUAUAAUAUUUUGGAGCAAGCAUACUUGAAAUUUCUGUCUUCAAUUUUUUUGAUGCUUUUUUAAUUUUGAUCUAGUAAAAAUACAUAGCCUUCACCGGCAGGAUUCUAGUCUUGGCUUUCACCUCUCUAACUCAUCUGUCCCUAUUGGGAUUCCAGAAAUUUAAAUUUCUGUCUUCAAUGGGUUUUCAAAGCCUCACCUCUCUUCGAUUUUUGUGGAUUGGGAAUUGCACAAAUCUCACAUCAUUUCCCGAGGUCGAGGAAAAGAGCGGCCCAAACUAUCAGCGGUGUUGAUUCUCUUAUUAAGGUCAGCUGAUUUCUAUUAUCCACUCUGACAAUCUCCUAUUAGUGUUUUUUUUUUAAAAAAUUUGCAGUUCUGUAUAAUUGAAAUGCCACUCACUUGUUUCCUUCUUCACAGGUCAGAUAGUAUGUUAAAGCUAUUAGUGCUGCCUCAUAGGUUGAUUACUCACAGAUGAAAUCAUAACUUUUAUCUUAAAAUUUAAUAGCAUACACAGAUAGACGAUUUUUAGUCCAAAGUUUUUUUUAUUCACUUCAAUCAAAAUUUUAGAUUGCAGAUUUUUGUCGAGUAUUUUCAUUCCAAUUUUUUCAUUUUUUAUUUUAAACCAGAAUUGGAGUAUAAAAUUUUGGAGCGCGCAUACUCUGAUGCAUGCAAUUAACUGUUUUUAAUCGUUGGAUUUUGAAAUUAAUGAUGGUAAGAUGUGUACUUAUUCUUUCUUCCAACAACCUUGCCUUCUUUCUUCGGUCGCAUAUCUAAUGAAUAUUUCUCUGUUUAGUUAAGGAUGAAUGCUUGGAGUGGGGUACUUGGUAACAUUUCUGCCUUAGAUGAAUCCUUGAAGAAAUGCCCGCAGUUCCUGAGACCAAAUACAGGUCUGAUUCAAAACAGCACCUUUCCCAGAAAAUAUGAUCCAAGGCAAAGUCAUGUUCUGAUAAUGUUUCCUUAAGUACUAAGUUGCAAGGAAACUUGAUUCAUUAACUACAGUUUUUUAUUUUUAGGACCUUGUAUCUGAAAGGUUCAGUGUUUUUUUUUUUCAAAUUUAUUGUUCAGAUCUCAGAGGAGUAUAUGGUUUAGAUUACAAAACACCCAUGAUUAAUUUCAUUUUUUUUUUAAUUUCAGGGAGAAGAAGUGGUCAGUUUCAAUCCGGAAUUGGAAUAUGGCAAUUUGGUUCAAGCAAACACACCUGGUCACUUGGUCAGUGGUCACUUGGUCAGCGAACCUGAACUUUACGCAGUUUUUUCAACUCAGUGAUUUUUGGAACGCAUAUUGGUGUAAGGAAAUCAAAAGAAAUUUAUGCAUUGUCAAAUUCUGAUAUUUGCUAUAUAUUAUACAUUCUAAAGUUUCUCCAGUUUGUUCUCAGAUUACCAUCAUUUUUUGCUUUCACCAACCAAACAAAAACAAAAUGAGUGGCUUUCCGGUGGAUAUUUAAUCGGAGGUAUGACUGGAUUUUUUUCACUUCUGUAAAUCUUGCAUUUUAAACUGGCAAAUUUAACUUUAAUUUUAAUAGGACUUUGUUGGUACCUUGUGUUCCAGAAACUAGAAAGAUGUGUAGUUUUCAGAUAAAGGGGCUUGUAAAUUCUCUAGUAAGAAUCCAAUAAUUUGCUUUUGCACGUUCAUUUUAUUUGUGGAUCCUUGCAUCUGAAUUUGAUCAAUCCAAAAGGAAUUGCUUUUAGACAGAAGAAGAAUAGCAGUACCUAGCCUAUGACAUAGUAUAUGGACCUGCAAACCUGAAACUAUUAGUUUGAGGUAAAAAAUUCAUGACCCUCACAUGUUAACUUCUUCUAGUUACUUUCAUGAAAAACACAUUUAAGAAAUUUGCAAUUUUUUGUUAGUUUCGUAUCCGAUGUUGUUUUCUGUUUUAGCAUUUGUAGAAUCUACUGUAUUAUAUUUUGGCAGUUGCAGUAUCUGAGGUAUGUUUUGCAUUUAACUUGCUUUGUUUGUUUUGCUUGUGACUUAAGAACACCAAUAUUUGCCAGAGAUUUAGAGAAGCAUAUCAAGAUGCUUGGCAAACUUGACAAACUUCAAGAUCCUCCAUUCUUCACAACGCAAAACUUGUGAGUACACCUAUGCCCGCAAUUAUUGUGAAAUGCUUGCAAUUUUGAUGCACUGAAAUGGUUUGUUGAUGCAAAGGUUUAAACUUUUAAGAUUCACCCUGCAGGGUAGUUGGAUGCUGUAUAAUCGAAAAGCGACCAACAUCAAGAAUUAUGACUCCAAGACCGGGUUUGCAUUAAUUCAAUCAGCUGAAAUCAUGAUGCAAAUGACACUAUCAGCUGGACUUAGAGACCAGUCAGAUCAAUCAUCCUUUUAUCAACAGUUAAUGUCAUGAUGGUGGCUAUCGGAGGAAACAAAGGAUGUGUCGGAAUCAAUAUGAACAGUGAGAAGAAUGAGAGGAGCUUUGAUUACAAGUAGGCUCAAUGAACUCAUGCUGGUAAGUGGUAAUUAAAGAAAUUUGUACGCUUAGUAGAGUUUCAAUAUUUUCUGUUUGGGAUAUAGUUGAUAAUUUGAUACUCUGAUUAAGAAGCCUGAUUAUAGUAGCUGACUUUUUUUUUGUGGUUUGCUGUUGUUUAUUCUUUCGAUUAAUUUCAACAUUAGGUUGAUCUGUUGAAGAACAAACUUGGGUUUGAUUAUGCUUUAACUACAAGGAAGAGCCAGGCUUGGAUGCAGGCGUUCAGCUUUUAAUGGGUAAGAACAUAUGUAUGCUUUAACCAUGUUUCUCACUUAUUACAAUGCAUGCAUUGAAGGCAUCUGAGCUGAUCCUGAAAAUGUGAUGGAAAUACUUCUCUGUUUACAUAAAACAGGACAAGAGAUCUCUGAUCAUGCCUGAGAAUUCGUUGCAUUUAAAAUUUCUACCAUUGCCAAAAAUAGAAUAAACUAGGGAUAGAUUAGCUUAAGACUCAAUUUUGAGAAGGAAGUUUGCACAUGCAGCCUAAAAAAUCAUGUCCGUGUUGUAUACUUGUAUGUUUCUUUGGGAAAUGAAAGAUUCUGUGUGUUCUUUUGUUUCAAGUUUGCUGAAAUCACAUUUGUUUUCUUAGAUGCUUUUGGGAAGGUAACAACAUCAAUUUCAUAAAUGCUGGGGUAAGAUGCAUCACGCAGUGCUACUCAACAUGAGAAUUCCCGGCCGCAUUACCUGUAUGUUGAGUGAUCGCACAGUACAACCUUUAGAAGCUUGUAAGGAGUAGACAACUAGAUGCGAAUAGUUUCAAUAUGGAUUCGCAUCAAAUGAUCUCUUGCCAGUGAUUACUAUAACCCCUAUCCCAAAAUUCUUGGCAUUGGUCAUACCAAUAAUGAAGUAUUGUGUACGUUGAAGACAUAGCUCAAGGCCUUGCGAAAGCUCCGUCAGCCUUUGUAUUGGAAAACAGUUGGUUGUAGUUGCUUCUGAGUGAUAUUAUUAAUAGAUACUGUAAAAAUGAACUGUGCCACUCAUUUUCAGAGCCCUGUUAAGAUGUGUUGGUAAUGUGUUUGAAGGUUGUUUGAUUUAUGUUGUAUUCAGCUACAAAUCAAAGAUUCAGAACAUGGUUAUGUUACUGGUUUCCAAAUCAAAAAAAUGCCUUGUGAUGUUAGUGUUCAUUUUUUUCACAGGAGAUCAGGUUCCCUGUUGAUGAAUCAAGAAGGCAAACGCAUCCAUGUCUUAAGUUCAAAUGUGUCUCUUCUAUUUUCUAUUACUGACUCCUUUAUUUUGAUUUCUUCAUUGUAAUGGAAUUGGUUUUUUAUUCCAAAUUAGUCAAAACCUCCUAGAGUCAUUAAGUUCUGUUAGCAUUUGAAGAUAGAACUAGAACUAAAUGAUUGACUGGAUUAAAUUCCGAUAAAGAAUUAAGUUAUAUAUUUAGAGAUAUUAUGUUUUUUUUUUUUUCAUUUGUUCAAUUUGGUUAGUGGUGAUUUCUUAAAGACUCAAUCCAUGUGCGUUUAUGCAUUUUUCUUUUGCCUUAAUUUCUGUUUCUUGGGGAGUUUAUACAGAUUCUUAUUUUAUGCUUCACAUGCCACAUGAAAGAUCGAAGCCUUUUGUGUGAUUAGAACUGACUUGCAUCACAGUAACUUUAAAUCACUGCGACAUUUUUAUAAUAACAGUCUGAGAUCUCCCUGCAGGAUUCAAAGCAUUUUAUUUUAUAUUAAACUCCUUUACGUGGGUUUGGACACUACCACAAGUUCUUUAAAUACUAAAACGAUUUUAAGUCUUUUGUAUCAUCUGAUUUAAAUACAUGAAAGCACUCGUGGCUGCAAAAAUACAGUUGGGGCUAUUUCUAAAGUCUUCAACAGCAUUUUCUUUUUAACCUUUAUCCUCAUGGUUGUUUUUGCAGUUGUUCUUUAAGAAAACAUUUAAAAGGUUCUCUUUAUGGAUUUUUGAAAAUAAUUUUAACAUGAGCAAUUUUCAGAAGCACUUUAGAUGUCUGGCAUUUAGGAAAUUUUAUUUCGGUGUCACAUAAAAUACUUAGGAAGUUAAAUUUAUUUAUUUAUGAGCAUGUGCCAGUGCCCAGUGGCAUCCUCUUCACUUGUGAUAGUCAAAUGUAUUAUACGAUACAAUAUUAGCUUGACUGUAGCACAGAGGAGAAUAGGGUUGGUGUUGGUCUGAACCAGCUUAUGUAACAGCUGCCAAAGGAUAAUUUAAUUGUACUUUGAGUAAAGCUUUUGCGAAUUAAACAAGUGAUAAUUUGUUUUUAUUAAGAAAAACUUAAGGAAUUAGGCUAUUUUAACUGACCAAAUUACACAUUAAAAAUUCAUUUACAAAAAUAGUUUUUAGUUAUUAAAAUAUUCCUAAAUUAAAUUAUAAUUAUGGACACUAAAAUAUUUUUUUUAUAUUUUACUCUUUGAAACUGUCUUUAUAUUCGAUAUUAUAUUUUUUUCUUAAACUCUAAAUUGAUUUUUUUUUUUGAUUAAUUUUAAAACACCUAUAAAGUGAUUCAUAUUGAUUUUAUACUAACAAACUAUUAUAGCACAUUCGAAAAAUAAUUAAAUCGUUCUUAUUUACAUAGUGAAAAUGCAAAUAGCUCGUUCAAAUGUUAAGGAAUUGGAGAGCUGCUGCUGGAGAUGAAAGAUGUGAAUUAAACAUCAGAAAAAAAAUUAUGUUUACUAUCUUGCCAGACCAAGCACCGAAAAGCAUCGUAAAGAAAAAUUAGAUAAUUUAGAAGAUAAAGCACGUGGAAUGGAGGCAGAAAGCAAGUAAUGAUAACUCUUUCGACAAACUAAUAUAUACCAAAAUGCAAUAUCAAAAAUGAAAAUAAAAAUUCAUUACGAAUACGUGUUAAAGAUAUCCCAAGUAUAGAUGUGACUGAAAUAUUUGAGAUUGAAGAAGAAUUAAGACUCAAAAUCAAUUGGGAGGAAUAAAUGAGAAACCUCAAUACCAAAAAAUACACGCGCAAAUCCUAAUACUAAUUGUAAUUGCAGAUAAAUAGCAUAAUACGAAUAAAUUCCAUGGGCAACUAUUUCAUUGAGAAAUUAAUUAAAUCGUGUAUUAAUAUUUUGUAUACAUAUAUUUUUCUAUAUAUGACUUUCGGUAAUUUAAUUUUCCACUUAUCAUUUUUACUCCAAAAAAAUAAUUGAGAAUAUUAUUUAUGUUUUGGUGCAAAAUAUUUGAACAAUAUACAAAUUUUCAGUUUAAUAAAUCUAAACAUCUAUUAAGUUAUAAAUGAAUUUAAUGGGUUUAAUUAAUAAAAUUACUAUUAUUAUAUAAAUUGGAUUUAGUAAUGGUACAUUGGGUGGGUUUGUUGAGUAAAUUUUAAAAUUUUGAAAUUUAAGGAUGGGUUUAUUUAGUAAAUGAGUUAAGGGAGUAGUUUGUUGGGAUUCACAUAACGCCACCAAAUUCAAAUGUAAAAUUUAUGGAAAAAGAAGCUAUUGAGUUAUUCUUUUUAAAAAAAGAAUUAAAAUGUCAAGAAUACCUUUAUUUAAUUUUAUAAUCUUAUUUUAUAGUCAUAUUUUAUUUCCACCUUAACAUAAUUUUAAAAAACCUUAACUAAUAAAUUCUAUAUUUUUUUUAUAAAAGUUAUCAUUAAUAUCCAAACGGCUAAAGAUUUUUUUUUUUAAAAAAAAAGAAACUAUGCUUACAAAAGUUGUAUACAUUAACAAUAAAUUUAGUCCAAAGAAUAAAGUUAUUCCAAACAAGCACUCCUAUUCAUCUUGCUAAUGAAUCAAGAUGACUGAAUCCAUUCUCUAAGCCAAAUCUAUUUUCACUUCUAGGUCAGAAAUUGUCAUUAAAAAAGUGUUUGAUAAAAUAUGCUCUGGGAACACUAAUUCGUCAGAUGGUUACUCCAAGUUUAUGAAAUCAAUGGGGUUUCAUCAUAUUCAUAACAUUCUUCUUUAAUGUCUAUUCUAACAAAGAAAUUACUAGAAAACUUUUACUAGAAAAACUAACCACAAUUCAUCAUUCAUUUAUAUCUUAAGUAAGCGUAAGAUUUUAUCAUUAAAAUCUCAUCAUGAAAAAACUCAUGGGAGAAAAACUAUAAAAAUUGAAGAAAAAAGAGUAUGGCGUGCAUGUAAAUUAUAUCGAUUUUAUCUAUAUGACAAAUAAGACUCUCUUUUACAAUGGCACGGAUGCUUCAUUGAGUAAUCAUGAUUCUUGCUGGUAGUGCUUUGUUGUAUCAAUCUGCUAGCUAUUCAGCUUUCUUUCUUUCUUUCUUCUUUUUAUUUUUUUUGUUUUCAAAUAGCUUGUGGUUGUAGAAAUAUUUCAAUUAAACUAUACUUAAGUACUUAUUUGGUAUAACUUCUUUACUAGCCAAAAGAUUUUUUUUUUGGUUUUUUAUAAUUUAAUUAUACUUUAACUAGAGUUUUUGGGAUUAAACAAGUGAUAAUUUCUCUCUGUUAAGAAAAACUCAAACGGUAGGGUUAUCUCAAUCCACCAAACUAUUUAUUAAAAAUCCACUUAUGAAAAUAAUUUUUAAUUAUUAGAAUGCCUCUAAAUUAAAUUACAAUUAUAGACACUAAAAUAUAGUAAAAAAAAUUUUUUUUUACUCUUUAAAACUGUCUUUACAUUCGAUAUCAUAUCUUUUUCUUAAAAUCUAAAUUGAUUUUUUUUUUAUUAAUCUCAGAACACAUAUGAAGUGAUUCAUAUUGGUUUUAUACUAACAAACUAUCAUAGCACAUUCGAAAAUAAUUAACUCGUUCUUAUUUGCAUAGUGAAAAGGCAAAUAGUUCAUCCAAAUGUUAAAGAAUUGGAGAGCUGCUGCUGGAGAUGAAAGAUGUGAAAAGCAUGGUAAAGAAAAAUUACAUAAUUCUCACUUAGAUGAGGAAGAAAAAAAAAAGAAUACAAUUAGAAUGAGAGGUAGCCAAUAGCCACUAGCCGCCGCCACCGCCACCAGUGAAACUAUUUCACAUAAUAGAAGAUAAAGCACGCGUAAUGGAGGCAAAAAGCAAUUAAUGAUAACUCUUUUCGACACACUAAUACAUAUCAAAAUGCAAUAUCGGUCCUAACAAAAUGAAAAUAAAAAUUCAUUACGAAUAUGCGUUAAACAUAUCCCAAGUAUUGAUGAUGUGAUUGAAAUAUUUGAGAUUGAAGUAUAAAUAAGACUCAAAAUUAAUUGAGAGGAAUAAAUGAGAAACUCUAAUACUAAUAAAAUACAUUCACAAAUCCUAAUGCUAAUUAAAAUCACGGAUUAAAAAAAAUAAUAUGAAUGAAUUACAGGCGCAACUGUUUCAUUAAGAAAUUAAUUAAAUCGUGUAUUAAUAUUUUGUACACAUACAUUUUUCCAUAUAUAACUUUUGGUAAUUUAGUUUUCCACUUAUCAUUUUACUCCAAAAAAAUAAUUGAGAAUAUUAUUUAUGUUUUGGUGCAAAAUAUUUAAACAACGUAUAAAUUUUCAGUUUAAUAAAUCUAAACAUUUCUCAAGUUGUAAAUGAAUUUAAUGGGUUUAGUUAGUAAAAAUGCUAUUAUUAUAUAAAUUGGGUUUAGUAAUGGUAUAUUGGGCAUUUAAAUGGGUUUGUUGAGUAAAUUUUAAAAUUUUAAAAUUUAAGGGUGGGUUUAUUUUAGUAAAUGGGUUAAGGCAGCAAUUUCCCAAACUAAAAUUUUUAGAAAAAGAGGCUAUUUAGUUUUUUUUUUUAAAAAGAAUUAAGAUGUUGAGAAUACCUUUAUUUACUUUUAUAAUCUUAUUUUAAAAAAUUUACCCAAUAAAUUUUAUAAUUUUUUACAAAAAUUAUCAUUAACAUCCAAACAGCUAAAGAUUAAAAAAAAAAAAAAAGAAGGGAACUGUACUAGCAAAAGUUAGAUUAACAAUAAAUUUAGUCCAAAGAAUAAAGUUAUAGCUAAAAAGUGCUCCUAUCCUAUUUUUCUCUAUUUUAACAAUAAUCUUCCAAUCCAUUUUACAAUGGACUUAACAAAUGGGCUCAAUCUCUAAACUUCAUUUUCUUUUGCUAACCCAUGGCCAUUAGCCAGAAAGCCUAAAACAAUUUUAGGAUCACAUGUGUAAAUGGAACUCCAAGAUUGAUCAAGAAUUAACAAGACAAGAUGAAGAGAUGAUCUUGUAACUAAGAAUGAAGAAAUUGAAUCAAGACAGUACUCUAGUAAAACCCAGAAAACAGAGCUUGAAGAAUCACGCACAAAGCAGUAAAUUUGUAAAACCAGAAUUGGAGCUUCACUUCUCAAGAUAGACGAAACAGGAUACAAUCUAGCUUUGGUCAACUUCGUUUGGCCACGUCAUAAAGUCUUCCCCCACAGUCUUUCCCGCCAAAACAGAAAAGCUUUAAAAGCCAUUUACCCUCCUGAGUUACUUGCUCCUAUUACAUCAAGGCCCUGUAAGUCUAUAUUUAUUAUUACAAAAGCACCCUUAAACCGAGAUUUGAGAUAUUUUUUCAAAGAUCGAAGCGCAUGAUUUCACGGCUAUGUUGCAUAGUGAAUUUUAGUGCUUUACAGUUAAGGGAUAGUUUAAAUUCAUUACAAAGCAUUCGCAAAGAAAUUGUUUUUAAAUGAAACUCCUCGUCUUGACCAGAUUAUUUAUUAUUAUUAAAAAAAAAUGUUCAAAACUUAGCCAAAGUGAUAAACUCGUAAUUAUUCUACAAAGGGAACAAUUUUGAACGGUGGGAAAUUCCAUAAUUAUGCUUUUCUGUGAAUUAUUUUAAAUAAAAUUAUAAAAAUUAAUAUAAAAUUAUAAUAAUGAUAGAGCCACAAAUUCUUGUACAAAUUUAUUUUAUACAAACUCAUGUGGCAUGAUAAGAUUGGUUGAAUUAAAUAUUACUUGGCCCACAUGAUUUGUUUUUAUUAUUUUAUAUUUUUAUUCAACCAAUAAAUUAAUACCACGUCAGUUUGUACAAAAUAAAUUUAUACAAAAAUUUGUGACUCGAUCAUCACUCAUAAAAUUAAUACCCGGUAAAGACUGUAGAGAGACAAGUGCCCCCAACAGAAUCAAGUGAAUAUGCCCCACAAAGAUCACAUGAUCAUUUCUGUUCUUUUUCUUUUUGAUAAUUUUAUCUGUGGUUUCAACUUUUAUGCUUUAUUGUCGUAUCCCGUUGAGGGCUCCGCUGCACCCAUUACAACUUACCCCUAAAUUGCCUCUUACUAACUAAACCGUUAGAUUUUAUGGAAGCACGUUCAAUGUUGAAUUUUAAUUAUGUCAUCGAAUUUCGUUUAGCUCCUUAAACUCCAUUUUAUUUGUAAUUUCUUCAUAAAAUAUUCAAAGCUUCAUCAAGCUCCUGAUGGACCAUCAUGGCUAGGGGUGCAUUAGAGCCGAACUGAAAUAUGUUAGUUCAGUUCAGUUUGGUCAGUUUAAAUCGAAUGGUUUAGAAUAUAUAAACUGAUCAAUUUUAAUUUUGAAUUGAACCGAACCGAAAAUCAAUUGGUUCACUAUUAGUAUUUUUGUAUAAACAAGAAUGAUUAGUGAUUAUAAUUAAAUUGGACUAAAAAAAAUUCAAACUAAGGUGAAAAAUAUCAAAUCUUAGACAAUAUAAAAAAAAAUAUUAAAUUUUUUUAACCGAAACGAACCGAAUUAUUUUGACUCAGUUUGGUUCAUAAUUUUUUAAACCAAACUGAUUUAUUCCCACCCCCUAAUCGUGGCUCUCUAUCUUUAGUCAUUCACCCUUGAGUUUGAUGCCAAUUGUUGGGUUUCAAAUGAUUAUACACUCAAAUGGAACCCUCAUAACAAAAAACUAACAGAAACAAUAAGAACACGAUGUUAAAAUCUUAAAUCAAUCGCAACGGUCCUUUUUUUUCCCCAUUCUUGAACCUAAAGUAUUUGAGUAUGCAAAUUAAUAAAUAAAUUCAUUUAUUUUUAUUAAAAUUUUGUAAAAUUAUAAUUUUUAAUAAAAAUAAUUAUUAAAAUUUUGUAAAAUCUAAAUUUAGAAAAAUUCAGUUGGGCACCUCUAUUUGAGAUUUAUUUUUUAUUAAAUUUAGGGAUAUUUUUAUAAUUAUAAUUUUUAAUUUUAAAAGUUUUUAUAAGAUAAAAUAGUCUUUUAAUUUAUUUAGGGGUAAAAUUGAUGUUUUAUUAAAAUUAUUUAAUUGUGUUAAUGCAAAAGUGACUAUUUGAUACAAAUGUGAAAAGAAAGGUGGUGCAAAAUAUAUGUUAAAAUUUUAUAUUGGUUGGAUGAACAUAAGCUAAAAUAAAGGUGGUGCAAUGAUAAUUUCCCUAUCCUAAAACUUAAUUGACUUAAUUCUUAUGGUGCAAGGAAGAGGUUUCCAAGUUUAAAUCUAAAGGCUUGUAUUUAAUUUGGGGUUGGGAAAGCACUGAGAAAUAAAUGUAACUAAGGAAAAAAAAAAAGUCAUGCAGUCCAAAUAAGUAGACAUAUUUAAUAUGAGGUGGGGAUGGGUGAACUGUAAUUCAGAAAAAAUAAAAUAAAAUUUCAUAUAAAGUUGAGGGUGUGUUUUAAUGGUUUCUUAUGCUGCGUUUACUUUUUGGACUAGAGUGAGAAUUCUGAGAAGUGGGAAUCCUGUGAUUAGGUGUGUGGAGUGGGAAUGAGAGUAGGGUAUUUACUUAGACUAAAUAAAAAUAUGGAUUGUCAAUCAGAAUCUCAAUUAUUUGUUACUUUGUCUUGGAUUGAGAGUAAAUUAUUUUAAAUUACAAUUUUAUCCUUAUGUAAAGAAUUAUAAUUUGUAAUUAAAAAAUUAAUAAAAAUAUAUUGGAAAAUAAAAUAAAUAUUUUAUUAUAUUUAUAAAAUAAUAAUAAUUAAUAAAAUUCUUAAUUAUGUAAAUCAUAAUUUUUUAUUAAUUUAAAUUUAAAUUAUGUGAAUAAAAAUUAUUAAUAAUAGCAACACAAAUGAAACAUUAUUAUUGAUAAUAUAGUAUAAAAUUAAUAUUUUUUUAGAAUAAAAUAUUUAUUAUUAUUAAAUAAAUAAAUAAUAUUUAUUAAAAUUAAUGUUUAAUAUUAUUAAUUUAAAUAUAAUAUUUAUUUAUUUUUAUUUUAUUUUAUUAAAUUUAAUAAAAUAAAUAUGUUAUAAUUAUUAUUUUUAAUAAAUAUGACAUUAUUUAUUUUAUUAAAUAUUAUUUAUUUAUUUUAAUUAUGAGGGUAAAAAUAAAAGAGGGGGAGUGGAUUCCCACUCCCACCUCCCCCCAUGGGAGUGGGAAUCCCACUCUCCCCUUAAAAAUGAUAAGUAAACACUAGAAUGGGAAGAAUCCACACUCUACACUUUCUAAAAAAUAAACACUACCUUAAUUUAAAUUGAUUUGUUGGAUAUUUAGCUAAAAUGAGAGUAGCUCUCUAAUAAUUAUUGCAUUAUUACAAACAUAUCCAACGGUUAUAUAUGCUUGCCUGUGGAAAUAAAAGUCCCAAGUUUCUUUGAAAGGUAAGCUAGUGUGAAUGUUUUCAUCCGUGCAACUUACUUGAUGAAUGAAGUUUUCAUCCCUGACCUUGAUGUUUCUGGUGGCUACAAUCAUUUCAGCUGAUCUAUUCCAUUUUGUUAAGGUGAGAAUUUAGAGUGGCUUUAACUGUUAGCAAAUAGCCUAAUGUAAGACUUGAUCAACUUCCUGCCCUGUUGUAUGCUUAUGAAUUUUGAUAGAGUUAUGAGUUUGCAGAAGCUACUGUAUUAUAUGUUGUUAGAGGCUGUAAAAAUGAGGCAGAUCAAACACACAUUUAAAUUUCAAUGACAAUUUACUAGAAGUAAAUUUCCUAUGACCCUCCAGGUGACUAAUCAAUGAGAACUUGACAAUAACAAAAGAAAGUGUAUGAGCUUUGCAGGCGGGCACGCCAAUCUUGACUGCAUGGCACCAUCCGCCAUUUGCAAGUGAAUAUCAUUAUUGUUUAAUCAACAUGGUGGAGUCCACUGGGACCACACCACAUGGUCAGUCUUAUCUCUAUUCCUCAAUUUUCAGUAUUCCAUACAUCAAAACAAUUUCAGUUUUGUUAUCAAUUAUAAUUUCAUUGUUGGAGACGAUUCUGAUUCCUUUCUUUCUGACAAAACGGAACCAUGGUUGCUGUGGGAGAGAUCUUACUCAACGCCUUCUUUCAGGUGUUGUUUGACAGGUUGGCUUCCCGUGAUUUGCUCAGCUUUGUCCGUCAACUUGGAGGCGGGGUCGAUUCCGAGCUCAAGAAGUGGGAAAGAAAGCUGAAGAUGAUUCAGGCGGUGCUCAACGAUGCAGAGGAGAAGCAACAGACUGACGAGGCUGUGAAGAUGUGGCUGGACGAUCUCCAAGACUUGGCUUAUGACACUGAGGACAUUCUUGAUGAGUUUGCUACUCAAGCCUUGGAAAGCAAGUUGAUGGCGCAAAAUCACGAUAGUUCUGGCCAGGUUCUCAGUUUCAUCCCGGCUGGUUUGAAUCCGAAUGCUAUUAUGUUCAAUUAUAGCAUGGGGUCCAAGAUUAAAGAUAUCACUAGCCGGCUGGAGCAACUCUGCCAAGAAAGAAUUGAACUUGGACUGCAACGGAUUACCGGAGAGGCAUCAUCAACUGCUGCUGCUGCUGCACACCAGAGGCCACCCAGUUCGAGUGUCCCAACAGAACGUGAAGUAUUUGGAAGAGAAGAAGAUAAGGCCAAAAUUCUUGAUAUGGUAUUGGCCGAUACCCCAAGUGAUCAUGCAAACUUUGUUGUAAUACCCAUUGUUGGCAUGGGCGGGAUAGGAAAAACAACUCUUGCCCGGGAAGUCUACAAUGACAAGGCCGUUGAAGAUUCCAAGUUUGAUGUAAAAGCAUGGGUUUGCGUAUCUGACGUCUUUGAUGUUUUGGGCAUCUCAAAGGCACUUCUCGAGUCAAUCACCCGCAGGCCUUGUCUUCUAAACAGUUUAAAUGACGUGCAGGUUGAGCUGAAAGCAGCUGUGGAUAAAAAAAGGUUCCUGCUGGUCUUAGAUGAUGUUUGGAACGAGGACUACAGCUUAUGGGUAGACUUAAAAGCUCCGUUACUGGUUGCUGCACCAAACAGCAAGAUGAUCGUCACCACACGCAAUUCAAGUGUUGCAUCAACAAUGAGACCCAUCGAUCGUCACCACACGCAAUUCAAGUAUUACGAUCUCAAGAGUCUGUUAGAUGAUGAUUGCUGGUCCAUUUUCAUAAACCAUGCAUUUGAAUCUACAGACCUUAGCGCACAUCGAAUUUCAGAAUCAUUCCGCGAGAAAGUUGUUGGCAAGUGUGGGGGCUUGCCUCUAGCAGCAAAAACACUCGGGGGCCUUCUUCGUACUAAAACGCAUGCUGAGUGGGACGGUAUAUUGGAUAGCAAAAUAUGGGAUUUACCUCGGCAAAGCAGCAUUCUCCCCGUGUUAAGAUUGAGUUACCAUCAUCUUCCUUCUCAUUUGAAAAGAUGUUUUGCUUUUUGUGCCAUCUUUCCAAAAGAUUAUGCAUUCACUGAGAGGGAGCUGACUUUCUUAUGGAUGGCUGGAGGUAUUAUUCGACAGUCAAGAAACAAUGAGCAGCUGGAAGAUUUGGGCAGCAAGUGCUUUGGUGAUCUAGUGUCGAGGUCAAUUUUUCAACAAACAGCAAUCUCUGAUAGUUCUAAAUUUGUAAUGCACGACCUUAUCCAUGAUCUUGCUCAAUUGGUCUCUGGAGAAACCAUAUUUAGGUUAGAGGAGGCCAAUACUCUGUCAAGAAGAUUUGAAAGGGUUCGCCAUUCCUCCUAUGCCCGUGAUUGGUGUGAUGGUAGAAAUAAGUUGGAGGUUUUCAAUGAAAUUGAACAUCUACGAACAUUCUUGCCAUUUUGCAUAAGAGGUGGCGUUACUUCUGGUUGGAUAACUAGCACGGUUCACUACGAUUUGUUGCCGAAGUUCAAAAGGUUGAGGAUGCUGUCUUUAGAAGGAUACCAUAUUGGUGAGUUACCAAUUCCAUUUGAAGAUUUGAGACUUUUAAGGUUCCUCAACCUUGCUGACACUGACAUAAGAAGUUUACCUGAGUCAACAUGCAAAUUGUUGAACUUGGAAAUUCUGAUAUUAAGAAAUUGUUCCCGUUUGACAAAGCUUCCCCAGAAAAUGAGGAAUUUGAUCAAUUUACGUCAUCUGGAUAUAAGAGGUGCAAAGCAGCUGAAGGAGAUGCCAUUUGGAAUGAAAGAGUUGAAGAAGCUUCAAACGUUGUCCAAUUUUAUUGUAGGCAAGGGUGAAUCUGCAUCUGGUUUGGAAGAUUUAAAAAGUUUAGACCUUCUAUGUGAUGAACUCUGCAUUGCUGGAUUAGAGAAUGUGAAUAGUCCACAGAAUGCAAGAGAAGCCACAUUAUGUGAGAAGCACAAUCUUGAAGCAUUGACCCUAGAAUGGGGGUCUCAAUCUGACAGUCCUCGGGAUGCAGUACUAGAAGAGAAGGUACUUGACACUCUACAGCCUCAUGAACGUAUAAAAGAGCUGGCAAUCAGGAACUAUGGUGGUGCAAGAUUUCCACCUUGGAUCAGAGAUCCUUCGUUUCCCGAGAUGAAGGUCCUUAAAUUGGAGAACUGUGACGAUUGUGAAUAUCUGCCAUCACUUGGCCUGUUGAGUUCACUUAAGCACCUUGCUGUUAAAGGGCUGAAGAAACUAAAAAGCAUAGGGUCUGAGGUUUAUGGGGAGGGUUUGUCAAUGCCUUUUCCAUCAUUGGAGGUUCUAAGUUUUGAGAAUUUGCCUGAAUGGGAGUAUUGGGACACCAAUAUCAGAGGAAAUGUGCUCGUUGAAAUGUUUCCUCGUCUCCAUAAACUUUCCAUUGUGGAAUGUCCCAAACUCUCUGGGGAACUGCCUGAGCUCCUGCCCUCCUUGGAGACACUUGUUGUUAGUAAAUGUGAAAAGUUGGUAGUUCCAUUGUCUCGCUAUCCGAUGCUCUGCAGAUUAGAAGUUGAUGAGUGCAAGGAACUAGCAUGCGGGACUCCAAUUGAUUUUAAGUUGAUAGAGUCUGUGACUAUUUCAAAUAGUUCCUUAGACAUGAAUGGAUGCAAGGGGAUGCUAUACGAUGGUCCAGCUGGCUCUUCACUGCCAAAGCCUAUGAUUACUACAAAUGUUUCGGAGUUUGGAAAAUUAUUGAAGCCUGGAUGUCAAAUAUUAGAAACUUUAGUAAUUGGCAAUUCUGGACGGCUCAAGUCAUGGAGGCAGCAUGGGGAUUUUCUAGAAGAAUAUAUGGUCGCUCACCAAAGGUUUAAGAAACCAGUACAAGGGCUAAAUAUGCUCGCUUCCCCUGAAGAGGUAACAAUUGAAGAAAGUUGUGUGAGUUUUGUUUUGUUUCCAGAGAUCAAUUUCUUUCCCAGAAAUCUGCGCUCUCUUCUAAUUUGCAACAGCACUGCUUUGAAAUCCUUACCCGAGGAAAUGAUGGAAAACAAUUCACAACUGGAAAGGUUGUAUAUCAGAGAUUGCGACUCUCUAACAUUCAUCGCAAGACAGAGGCUACCAGCAUCUGUUAAAAGGCUUGAGAUAGAAAAUUGUGAGAAAUUGCAACGUCUGUUCGAUGAUGAAGAGGAUGCUUCUUCUUCUUCUUCUUCUCCUUCAUCCUCGUCUUCCCCAGUGAUGCUGCAACACCUGAUAAUAGGGAAAUGCCCAAAGCUCACCAGUUUAUUAUCGGGUGUCCAAUUCCUUGAGGCGCUUGAAUUCCUCAAGAUAGAGCAUUGUCCAAAGCUGGAGUCAAUACCGGAUGGCCUGCCCAAUCUUAAAUGUUUACAGAGCAUUUAUUUACUCAAUUGUCCAAGUCUUGUUUCCUUCCCAGAAAGAGGGCUUCCCCACACCAUUUCAUUUGUUUGCAUUUGCGGAUGUGACAAGCUUGAAGCCCUGCCCAAUGACAUGCACAAACUCAACUCUCUUCGACAUUUAAGCAUACAGCUCUGUCCAAAUCUUGUAUCGUUUCCAGAAGAAGGUUUUCCUACCAAUCUAACAUCACUUACAAUUGGAGAUUUCAAAAUGUAUAAGAUACUCGUCCAGUGGGGGUUGCACAGGUUUACCUCUCUUAGACGCCUCUAUAUCGUUGAUUGUGAUGACGAAGCAGAGUAUUUUCCAGACGAGGAUAUAGGAAUGACGCUGCCCACCUCUCUCACUCAACUGGAACUUUCGGGAUUCAAAAAAUUGAUAUCUCUGUCUUCGACGGGUUUUCAGAGCCUCACCUCUCUUCAAAGAUUGCGGAUCUGGGAUUGCCCAAAUCUCACAUCAUUUCCAGAGGUGGGCCUUCCAUCCUCACUUUUGGAAUUACACAUUUACAAAUGUCCAAAGCUUAAAAAAGCGUGCAAAAGAGAUCAAGGAAAAGAGUGGCCCAAAAUUGCUGACAUCCCUUGCGUUGAGAUAGACAAUAAAUUCAUAUACGAUCCAGAAUAAGAGGAGUAGAUUCUACUAUUAAGGUCAGUUGAUUUGUAUUAUCCGCUAUAACAAGCUCCUCCUUUUUUUUUUUUAAAUAAUAAUUUUGCAGUCACUCACGUGAUUCCGUUUUCACAAGUCAGAUUGUAUGUUGAGGCUAUUUGCCUUUUAGUCGCAGAUUAAAUUAUAACACUUAUCUUAAAAUUUAAUACCAUAGACAGAUAGACGAUUUUUUAAUCCAAAGUUUUUUUUAUUCACUUCAGUUAGCAUUUUUUUUUUUCCCCAAAUCAUGCAAGCCGAGAGUUUCAAUCAAGAAUUGGAGCAUGGGAAUGGAAUUUUUGUGAAAACAUAAUGGAUGAACGAACAUUUCAUCUGUGAUCUCAAAGUCAACAGAAUUUUAUUCACUCAAUGACUUUUCAACUGCUGUGGUUAUUUAUGGGUGAAAGAAAGAUAAGGGCAAUUACAAAAAAUUUGCAAAAUUUGUCAAUUUCUUAGAUGGUAGAUAUAUCGACAUUUUAGAUUUCAGAUAUUUGUCACCAAUUUCAUUCCUUUUUUUUUAUUUUUUCAAGCAAGUUUGACUAAUUUUAACCAGAAUUGGAGUAUAAUAUUUUGGAGCAAGCAUACUUGAAAUUUCUGUCUUCAAUAUUUUGAUGCUUUUUUAAUUUUGGAUCUAGUAAAAAUACAUAGCCUUCACCGGCAGGAUUCUAGUCUUGGCUUUCACCUCUCUAACUCAUCCGGCCCCAUUGGGAUUCCAGAAAUUGAAAUUUCUGUCUUCAAGGGGUUUUCAAAGCCUCGCCUCCCUUCGAUUUUUGUGGAUCGGGAAUUGCACAAAUCUUACAUCAUUUCCCGAGGUCGAGGAAAAGAGCGGCCCAAACUUGCUCGCAUCCCUUGGGUUAUGAUAGAUGGAAAAUUCAUAUACGAUCCAGAGUCAGAGGUGUUGAUUCUCUUAUUAAGGUCAGCUGAUUUCUAUUAUCCACUCUGACAAUCUCCUAUUAGUGUUUUUCCCUUUUUUUUUUUCAAAAUUUUGCAGUUCCGUAUAAUUGAAAAUGCCACUCACUUGUUUCCUAUUAGUAUGUUGAGGCUAUUUGCUUUCUAUCGGUGUUUGUUAAGGUAAUUACUCACAGAUGAAAUUAUAACUUUUAUCUUAAAAUUUAUUGCCAUUGACAGAUGGACGAUUUUUAGUCCAAAGUUUUGUUAUUAACUUCAAUCAAAAUUUUAGAUUGCAGAUUUUUGUCAAUUAUUUCAUUUUUUAUUUUUAUUUUAAAGCAGAAUUGGAGUAUAACAUUUGGAGCGCGCAUACUCUGAUGCAUGCAAUUAACUGUUUUUAAUCGUUGGAUUUUGAAAUUAAUGAUGGUAAGAUGUGUACUUAUUUUUUCUUCCGGACAACCUUGCCUUCUUUCUUCGGUAGCAUAUCUAAUGAAUAUUUCUCUGUUUAGUUAAGGAUGAAUGCUUGGAGUGGUCUGAUUCACAACAACACCUCUUCCAGAAAAUAUGAUACAAGGCAAAGCCAUGUUCUGAAGCAGAAAUGAUACAGCAGUUGCGGUACCCGAGGUACCUUUUGCAUUUAACUUGCCUUUAUUUGUUUUGCUUGUGACUUAAGAACACAUCAUUUCCCAGAGAUUUGGAGAAGCAUCUCAAGAUGCUUAACAAACUUGACAAGCUUCAAGAUGCACUUGCUCCCAAGCAUUGAUUCUUCACAAUGGAAAACCUGUGAGUACACUUAUGCCCGCAAUUAUUGUUAAGUGUUUGCAAUUUUGAUGCAGCGAAAUGGUUUGUGGAUGCAAAGCUUUAAAACUGUUAAGAACUACCCUGCAGGCUUGUUGGAUGUUGUAUACUUCAAAAGCCACCAACACCAAGAACUACAACAGCAAGACUAGGUUUGCGUUGCUUCAAUCAGCUGAAAUAAUGAUGCAAAUGACACUAUCAAGCUGGACUUAGAGACUUGUCAGGUCAAUCAUCCAUUUCAUCAACAGUUAAUGUCAUGAUGGUGGCUAUCAGAGGAAACAAAAGAUCUGUUGGAAUCAAUUCAAACAGUGAGAAGCAUGAGAGGAGCAUUGAUUAUAAAUAGGCUCAAUGAGCUCAUGCUGGUAAGUGGUAAUUAAGAAAUUUGUGAGCUUAGUAUAGUUUCAAUUUUUUUCUGUUUGGGAUAUAGUUGAUAAGUUGAUACUCUGAUUAAGAAGCCUGAUUAUAGUAGCUGACUGUGCUAACUGCGUUCUUUUAUUUUUUAUUUUUUUGGUUUGCCGUCGUUUUUUCUUUUGAUUAUUUGUUCAACAUUAGAUUGAUCUGUUGAAGACUACGAGGAAGAUCCAGACUUGGAUGCAGGCGUGCAGCUCGUAAUAGGUGAGAACAAAUGAAUGCUUUAACCAUGUUUCUCACUUAUGACAAUGCACGGAUCAAAGGCAUCUGAGUUGAUCCUGAAAAUGUGAUGGAAAUAGGUCUCUGUUUUCAUAAAACAGAACAAAUAGAGAUCUCUGAUCACGCCUGAGAAUUCAUUGCAUUGAAAUUUCUACCAUUGGCAAACAUAGAAUAAACUGGGGAUACAUUAGCUUUAGACUCUAUUUUGAGGAGGAAGUUUGUACUUGCAGCCUAUAAAAUCAUAUCCCUGUUGUAUGUUUCUUUGGGAAAUGAAAGAUUCUGUGUGUUCUUUUAUUUCAAGUUUGCUGAAAUCACAUUUGUUUUCUAAGAUGCUUUACAGAAGGUACCAACAUCAUUUUCAAAAAUGCUGGGGUAAGAUACAUCGUGCAGUGCUCCUCAACAUGAGAAUUCCUGGCCGCAUUACCCAUAUGUGGAAUGAUCUGAGAGUACAACCGUGAGAAUGUUGUAAGGAGUACACAACCAGAUGUGAGUAGUUUGAAAAUGAAUUCGCAUGGAAUGAUUUCUUGCCAGUGCAGAAAUGGCUUGGUUCAAAAUAUGCUCAGCUUCAUUGACACUCUUCGGUAGGCCUCUCCGUCCUUCCAUUCUUAACUACAAUACUACUCUUGUCUGUCUAGUUAUGGAAUCUCUCUUUUAAUCCUCAAAGUUUGAAUUAUAUUAUAUUGCCUCUGUGUUACCGCAGAAACUGAGUCAGUUGGUGAUCCUUCAAAACAAGAAAAACCAAAAACAGAUACAGCGCGCGAUAAGAUAAUGAGACAGAUGGCUCCCGUUGCUGCAUGCCACUUGCUUGUGUGCGUAUUGGGACCAUCAUCAACAACAUUGACGUAAACCCAGCUCAAGGUGGGAAGCUAGUUCGAGCUGCAGGGACGUUAACCAAGAUUUUGAGAAAGAACCCACUUCAAGGUGUUGCUUAGUUAGGCUACGUUGUGGAAAUGAGAAAGUGAUUGACCCUAGAUGUCGCGCCACCAUUGGUACAGUGUCUAACCCCAGCCAUGGAGCUAAAAAGCUUAGUAAGGCAGGUCAGAGAAGUUGGUUGGGUCGAAGAGCUGUGGUUAGAGGAGUAGCCAUGAUUCCAGUUGAUCACCCUCAUGUUGAACAAAGCAAAAGUAGCGGUAACAAUGGAAGGUGUUCACUCACACCUUGGGGCAAGCCUUGUAAGUCUGGGAAUUAAACUGCAUCUCCUAAGAAGAAAGAGAAAUCAGCUGUCUGAUAAUAUUGUCCUUUUCUGCUAUUUGGUCUUUUUAACAUUGUUACACUGUUUUUACAUCUUUGAGGUUAGUUUUAGACCAAUUUUUAACUGAUCCAUAAUGAAACUGAAGUUUAAUUUUUGAUUAAACUUUCACUGGUUUUACUCUUCUGUCACUUCAAUUUAGCAUUGAUUUAAGAUACUGAAUUCUGUGCUUGGAGCUUGUAAAUUGGAAAGAGAUAUUUUGGGAUAGAAUGUAGAUUUUGUGUUUUGCUUUCUCAAGCUAGUUGUGACUUCUUAAAAGAGUCAAUCCAUGUCUUUAUAUAUUUUUCUUUUGUCUUGAUUCUGUUUCUUCAUACAGAUUCUUAUUUUAUGCUUCACAUACCACAUGAAAGAUGAAAGCCUUUUCUGUGAUUAGAAUUGACUUGCAUUAUAGUAACUUUAAACCACUUGGAUAUUUUUAUAAUAGCAGUCUGAGAUCUCCUUAAAGGAUUCAAAAGCAUCCACUGGCAUCCACUUUACUCGUAUCGGUCAAAAGUUUUGUGCAAUACAAUAUUAGCUUGACUGUAGCGCAGAGGAGAACAGGUUGGUGUUGGUCUGAAUUCUGAUAUUUGAAUAAAUAUAACAGCUCAUGUGACUCCACCACUUUUUACUUGUUCUGUAGUCUGUACCUACCUCCAUUGUCGGCACUGCCCAUACAAGGUCUUUUAGCUUUUUAAAAAGUUUCAUGAUAUUCCAUAGUUCACAUGGAUUUCUACAGUUUGUAGAAAACCUAAUUAGGGCACAUUUAAUUACUAUGCAGAAGAUUCUUUUAUCUUGCUCACCAAUAAUUCUUUGUACUUAUUUGAAAGAUGUGUUUCAAAAAAAUAAAAAAAAACUAUUUGAAAGAUGAGAAAUCCCUUAGCCGAACGACAAACUCAUCUAUCAGUCCUAUCAAAAAAAAAAAAACUCAUGUUUUAGUGGUUUUUUUUUUUCACUUGUAUUCAGUCGCACAAGUGAAGAUUGUGGGCAAUUUUUUCCUUGAGUAAAAUUGGAAUAGAUGUUUUUAUUGACACAAAUUUUUGAGCUAUGUUUGGGAAACCCUUAGACUUAAGACUUUGUUACGAUGAUAUGUAUCUAAGCUUUCAACAGACCGUUGAGGUCUUAUUAUCAAAAUACUAGAAAUUUACAAUUCAAUUUUGGUAAGGACCAAUUUAAUAAUGCUGUAAUUUUUAAAAUAAUUACCGUUAACUGUGUUGUAAAAAUAAUCAAUUAUGAAGAAAAUUAAUUAAACAUUUAGUAAACUUUAUUUUUACAAGUGCUUUGAAUUUUAAAAAUAGUCAUAUGUGUUCAGAAAAUCUCACUUCUAAAAUAGUAUAAGAAUGGAAAAAACUUAAAAAGACAAAUGUAUAAUAUUUAUUUACACAUGCAUUUAUAAAUAUGUGUAUAUAAUAACAUUUUAUGUGUACAUAUAAUAAUUGAUAACUAAAAUAAAUAUUUUUAUUUAUUAAUUAUUUUUUUGUCUCAAUGUAAUUGGUAAUACUUUUUUUUAAUCUUCUCAUCCUAAGUUUUUUUAUUGUUUUGUACAAAAUUCAAGGUUUGGACUUUUAUAAAAUGUCCACUCAAAAAUAAAUUGUUUUCUAACUAAGAUUUGUUGCUAAUGUAUAACUCAAAGUAAUACUAGCUAUUUGUAAUUUUAUUUCAAAAUUUUUAUUCAAAUGAUAUGGUAACUAAUGUACAUUAGUUGAUAGCAAUUUUUUUUUUUUUACAAUAUUCAAAUCAAUCAAUUGCAUCAUCUCAACAUUUUUAUGAUGUCGUGUUAUUUUAAACGAAUUUUUUAUUUUUAUAUAAAAUUUAUUAUGUUUAACAUCAUUUGCAUAACUUGACCUUUUUUUUUUCCUACAAAUAUUAAGUCAAAUUUACUCACCCUAUAUUUCUAUCUAAAAUCUACCUAAAACUCAUGCAUCACUGUAAAACAAAUCCAAAGAUUGCGGUACGUUUUUCUUGGUAACAAAUCAAUAAUUAGGUCAAGUACUACUACUAAGCGUGCUCAAUUAAUUCUAAAAUACUACGGUGAUCAAAAUCAUACUUGACGCAAGAGGAUAAGGGCUAAACCUCAAUUAGGCAUUAUUCAUCCAAAAUUCGUUGACCCGGCAUUCUUUGCAAGUUGUAGCACGGGACAGCUAAGAUUAGCAAAUGCUGUGGACCAUAUGCCCCCAUACAUUUGUGACAUGUGAAACUUGGCAUUAAAGGAAAGGCAACGUGUUAAAAUUUAAUAGCGCCCAAUUCUUCAUUGAAUGAUUAUCAGAUCCAAUGAGCAUCCUUUGAUUGGAUUAUUUUAAGUCAAUUAUUGGUGGAUUGGGGCCCACUUGACUCUACCAAAUCGGGCUCCACCAUAUCACCUAUUAACGACCACCUGUCCUUAUCAUAAAUAGCAAAUGUCACUUGUUUUAUUUUGUAUUUUACCAAAAGCAAAGUCACUAUGAACCCAAAUGAAAGUGACCCCAAUUUUGGGGGUCAUGAGCUUUGGAUUAUUAUGGACACAAGAGACAAGCGCAAAGUUUCUCAUUUAUCACCGGAUAAGAUUUAAGUUAUCAACCCAACAUUAAUAAAUUCUGCUUAAAGUAAAGUUUGAAGCUUCAUUUUGCGAAUAUUCAAUGGUUAACAUUUAAGUAAUUAACCUGAUAUUAAUCCAAUUAAACUUUUUAUGUAAUCCAAGUCAAAAAUAUGUUGAUAAACCUAAAUUAAUCUAAUUGGACAUAUUAUUUCAACUUGAAAAGGCGAAUCUAUCAUUUUUCAAUUAAUUUUGAAUCAAGCUAUGUAAAAUAUAAGCUUAUUAAAGACAUAUUUUUAUCAUGUUAAAAUAUCGAAAUACUUCUUACUCGUUUCGUAAUAACAUUAACAAACCUUUUGGUAAAUUUGACAGUCCAAUCAAUUCAGUUGGUUUUUUGUUAUUGAAACUCCAACAAAAUUCAUCACGAUUAUUAAAAACCCAUUAAAAAAAAAUGAAGGUAACUAUUUAAAAAAUUCUAAUUGAAUUAUUUAACAACUACAUUUCAACUAAAUUGUGUUGCUAAUUAACUUCCUCAACUUAAACUAUAUUUUUCUCAAUUAAUUCAUAACAAAUAAUGUUAGAUAUUUUAUUCGAAUAAUAACAUUCAACAUCCUUAUUCUUUAUGAUUAUUGCAUAAAAACAUAUUUUAUCCAUUUACAUCACAUAUGUUCCUAAAUUGUAUAAGAAAAUCACCAAAUUUACUCUUGUAAGUUACUAUAUCAAUGAACAUGAAAUUCACUAAUCAUUAAAGUCUCGGAAUGACAUCAUGAGAGGGAUUCAGUUACAUUUAUUGAUAGGAUUAGAUAUAUGUCUUCUCAAAUAUUAGUAGGAGCAAUUUAACAGAUGCAGCUACUAAAAAUAUAGAAUUACUUAUCUCGUCAAUAACUAACGAUAUUUUUUAUCUAUGCUCAAUAAAUUGUAAUAUUUGUAGAUUGUAACAAUUGUUAAAAAAAAAGAGCUCCCUGAGACUAAAUGACAAAAGGACUGUUUUGAAAUAGAUAGAUAAAAUAUGCCCUUAUUUGAGAAAAUGUAAAACACUAGGGAUCUAAAUGUUAUUAUAAUCCCAUGCACAAAAAUACCAAAAAUAACUAAUAACAACUAACCGAAAAUCCCAGGCGUCAUAUUCCUUUUUUCCGCGUUUUAAAAUGCCCUCUGAUUCAUUCACAGUCAGACGCUGUCGGCAUUUCUCUUCUCUCCCUCUCUCUCCACGUAUUAAAACAUGUAAAGUACGGAAAAAUUUAAAAAAAAUUUUAAAAUUACAUAAUUUAAAAGAUAUAAAAUUAUAAAUUUUUAAAAUUAUACGGUUUUAAAAUUUUUUUAAAUUUUUUCGUAUUUUAAAAUUUCAGACUAAAAAAUUAUUAUACGAAUACUUCGUAUAACCGCUUUGCGCUUAAAAUCUGUGCCUAACAAACUCACGAAAUCACUCCUCAUUUUCCUCUCUCCCUCUCCUCCUCUCAUUCCCUUUCAAAUCCUUCCACCACCUUCCCCGCCUCUCUCUCUUUCUCUCUCCCCUCACCGCCACAGCUCAACUUUUCCAUGUAAACCACCACGGGCGCCGUCGUUUCAACCUCCCACUCAUCCGACGUCGUUUUGUGUGAAUAAGAUAACGAUUUAAAUUAAAAUACGAAAAUGGAGAACUUAACGGCGCAGUUGAAGCGAGGGAUAUCGCGGCAGUUCUCGACGGGAUCGCUGCGGCGGAGCCUGACGAGGCAGAUGUCGAGGCAGUCGUCGUUCGAUCCGAGGAGGAAUAACAUGAGGUUUAGCUUCGGGAGGCAGUCGUCGUUGGAUCCGAUACGCAGGAGUCCGGUUCAGGACGAGUUGACGGUGCCGGAGAACCUUGACUCGACGAUGCAGCUGUUGUUUAUGGCAUGCAGAGGUGACGUCAAGGGAGUCGAGGAUUUGCUGAACGAAGGCAGUGAUGUCAACAGCAUUGAUCUUGACGGACGGUUUUGGCGAGAAAUCAAAGAAUUAAGAGACAAUAUUUAGUUAAGCUAAUAGUAUUUGUUCUGUUUAGUACGUCGUUUUACCAACAAGCAUCCCGGCAUUGCACGCAUUAAUAAAUUUUUUUUAUCUGUUUGGACUGAUGGUGGUAAAAAAUUCCACAUACUUUAUAUUAAAAAGGAAAAAGGACAAACACACCCCUAACGUCAACUUGGAGGGGGGUCGAUUCCGAGCUCAAGAAGUGGGAAAGAAGAAAGCUGAAGAUGAUUCAGGCGGUGCUCAAUGGUGGGUAUGACGGCAAAAAUAAGUUGGAGGUUUUCUAUGAAUUUGAACAUCUAAGAACAUUCUUCCCAUUACACAUAAGAGGUGGCUCCAAAACUGGUUACAUAACUCGUAUGGUUCUAACUGAUUUGUUGCCGAAGUUUAAAAGGUUGAGGGUGCUAUCUUUACAAGGAUACCAUAUUGGACCAAUUCCAUUUGAAGAUUUGAGACUUCAAAGUAUAAUUACCCAAAGUGUAUACAAUAAAAGCCAAAUUUAAGAAAUUCCUGAACCUUGCUGACACUGACAUAAGAAGUUUACCAGAGUCAACAUGCUCAAUGUUGAACUUGGAAAUUUUGAUAUUAAGAAAUUGUUUCCGUUUGAUGAUACUCCCACCCAAAAUGAGGAACUUGGUUAAUUUACACCCAGACUCUUUUCUUUUGACAUGGGGUUAACGAUCAAAGUUGGUUUCGUGCGGUAUAUAUUUACAAAUUGAUAGGUAUGCCUGGUGUUGAUGCAGGAUUCCGGUUCUUCUCGUUCUACGACCAGGAUCUCUGCUCGAUCAACUUCGUCACGACCAGGAGGUCUCCUCGCAAGACUUUUUCUCCAGAGAUUCCUGCGCACACAGACAAGUCAGAGUACGCCGGUUGUUUUCCCGGCGCAAACCCUCCGACGCUCAAGUCAGAUAUGAAGGUUCGGGGAACGCUUGCCACCGAUCUUAUGGCUUUUUCGUGGUUUUCUCUUCUUUUUAAUUCCUUUUCUAAUGAGAAAAAUGCCAACCCUUUUACCUCGUCGGCUACCUUUUUAUAGGCUUCCUCUGAAUCCCAGUUUUCCGCUCUUUUCGAGACGGUAUGGGACUCUGACUGCUGUGUUAUGGGCAAACGUGGGAUCUUGCGUGUUACGCCACCGUUCUGGGAAAAGCGCGGCAGUCGUGGUUCUGUGAGAUCUUGCGUGUUACGCCACGGUUCUGGGGAAAGCGUGGCUGUCGUGCUUAGGUUCUCGGGCUGGAGAGCAUGUCUCGUCAACUGCCGUCGACCGGGUCUCCUCGCCUCUCGACCUCUAGCCGGAAUGACCUUAUGCCUCUUACAGGAAAUUGGCCUCGCGGAUGACCUGCUCGUGGACGAGCAGGAUAUUUCUGCUCCUGUUCCCCCGCGUACCAGGCUUUUACGGGACACACCGGUUCGCAGAACUCUGCCAUCAGAUAUCUGCUCACCGUGCCUGGUCUCGUCGACGUAUUUCUCCCAAACACCGGUCCCCCAGUUUCUGGUGUUGGGUAAUGUAGUGGACCAGCAGUAGAAACUCGUUAGUACUCGCCCGCGUGGGAUUGGAAAAGGCUGCCAAGAGUCAUGUCGCAUUUAAUUGCGGACGAGGUGACGUGGCAGAAAUCCCCCCCUCCAUUUGAAUUUCAAACCGACGGUUAUGAGAUCCUCGGGAUUCAGCGCCGUUAAAUGCUGGCAACCCAAGAGUCCGUCCUCAUUAGGAAAACCAAAUCCUCUCGAACGGCAUAUUCGUCAUUCACUCCGUCUCCGUCUCUGUCUCCCCGGCAAAGAGGUUCCGGCAUAAAAGCCCUCCAUCUCUGAUUUUCACCGACUGAACCGUUACUUCAGGUAUUUCUUCUAUCUCCUUGGUCUCGGAUAGUUGUAGAUAAUUUCUCUUCUCUUCUGUUGGGUAGUAGUUGGUGGUGUUGUGGUUAGAGCUUAGGGAAUGUCGAAAGGCAAAGAGAAGGUCAUUGAGGUUGGUGACGACGAGUUGGACUUCCUGCCUAGUCUGCUCACCGAUCCUGCUUUUGACCCCGGGAUCCCCUUAGAGCCCAUUAGGUCUAGUGUCGGGACUAGUGCUAGGAGGAUGUCUCCCCAAACAACCUCUACGAGCGGAAGUAAUGGUGAGGAGAGAUCUUCUGGCUCCGAGGAUACUUUGAGUGAGAAUGGCGAAGGUGACUCUGGUGAGGUGUCUCCAUCUGGAACAUCACGACCAGAAGAACGGGGUAUAGUAGGAGGCAGAGCCUUGUCGCGCGAUUAUGCCAUUGAUUACAUGACGUGCACGACCUCGUUUGACGAGCUCAAUGACCUCCGGCUUAGGUAUAGCAUUCCUGGUGAGAUACCUCUCAAGGUCCCAGGAAAGAAGGAUGCUCCCAGCCGGCCUCCUAGGGGAUAUGUUACCCUGUAUCUGGACAGCUUUAAGUACGGGCUGAGGUGUCCCUUGCAACCUUACUUUGCCCGGAUACUUAACGGGCUAAAUCUAGCUCCUGGUCAGCUGAAUCCCAAUGGGUGGAGAGUGCUCUCUGGUCUGUUCAUAUUGUGGGACAGAUGUUGCCAAAGCGAGCCCACGGUUGAUGAGGUGAAGCACCUGUACCAGCUAAAGAGCAGCCCCAAAGAUGCCGUCUGGUACUACUUCCAAUCUAGCACCAAGAGCAGGAAACCUAUAACCGACCUCCCUACUGGUGGUGGUGGGAAUUGGAAGAGAAAAUUCUUUUUUGCUGGGGGUCCUUGGGGUCAGGUUGCACAAAUGGACGGGAAGGAUUAUCGGGUCCCACCCCGUUUCACGGUCCCAGGUUGCCUGCUCGCUUUAGAUGUCUUGUAUCCACAAUUGUUAUUGCUUUAUUGGCUUGUCUCUAACCAAGUGUCUGUUUGCGUUGUAGUUUCUUGGGGUGUUCACUUCCCGCUCCCACCUGACCAGCUCAAACGGGUCAAGGCUGUGCUCGCCAAUUCCUGCUCGAGUCGAGAACUGCUAACUACAUACAACUUGCUCGAAUCUCGCUUGAUACUUCCUGGCCAUAGGAUGGAGGACGCCGUGAUUGGGGCUCUGACCCGAAAACGUUCUCGACCUCCAACCACGAAGAGGGACCAGGGUAAGGAUGCCCCUGCUGCAAAGCGGGCCAGCAUCGUGCAGCAGGUCCCACCCUUGGAGAUUUUACCUCCUGCUCCUGAAAAAGUCGGGGAAGCUAGUGGAGCAGCCACAGAUCCUGCUUCCUCAUCUGUUCCUGUCGGGCCUCGAUCUCGCUUACCUGACAGCCGAGCAGAACACCUGGUCCCCUACCUCAAUGAGUUGUCUAAACUCGUGAGCAAGAAGGACCUGGAGGACUUCGACGGCUGCACCUUGGGUGAGCUGGUGGGGGCCAUGCAGCAUAGCGCUUUCCACCUCAGCUGCAUGACCACCUAUUACAAGGCUAAGGUUGGUCGAUACGAUCGGAAAAUGAAGGGGGAUAUUCAAUCGGCGACGACCAGAGCUGACAUUGCCGAGAAGAAAGCAGGGGAGCUGAACCUCGAGAAUCUGAAGCUGAUAGAGCAAGAAUCACUUGCUCAAGCAAAGACCAUUACCCUCGAGGAGGAGCUUACCAAGGUCAAGGAGGAUCUGCAAAGGCAGAAGGCUAUGUAUGAGGCCCAGCUCGAAUCUCUCCGGGACUCCAACCGAGCUCAGGUCGAGAACUUGGAGAGGGAGGCAGAGAAUCAGUACGACCAGGGACUUCGGCAUUCCUAUCGUUGCAUCAUGGCCGUCCUCGGGAAGCAACACCCUGAUCUGAAGAUGGAUGACCUUGCGGCUGGUGUUGCCCAACAUAUGGACGAGGAGGCGGCCAAGGAAGAUGCUGAAGGGGUAGAGCCGAUCGUGAUCGAGGAGGAAAGCUCUCCUCCUCGUGCAGUCCCUGCUGAUGUUGGCGAGGCGAGCACCCCUCCGGACGCAACUGGCGAUACCCCUCCCGCACCUGAGGAGGUCCAGUCAACCGAUGCUGCUCGGCUCACUGAUCUACCAUCUUUUUGAUAUAUUUCUUUUUGUAUUGUAAUAAACAACGUUUAUGAAAUUUAUCCCCUCUGUUAGCCAUUAACACAUUAAUAAAGAUGUUUUUUGAUUACUUUCUCGUCUUGUAAUCAUCACUUAUUUUCCGUUUGGGAAUCUGCUCGUCUCGUCUGGUCGAGCAGGUUCUGGUUUGGCAUAUGGUUUUGCAACAUGCCUUAGAAAAAUUUCUUUUUUUUUUUUUUUUUUUUUUUUUUUUUUUUUUUUUGCUUGGGGAUUCUGCUUGCCUUCGCGUGGUCGAGCAGGUCCUGGCAUGCUUGGCUUCAGUCUCGCCAUAAAAAGGCUUUGAGACUUGGUGAGGCCUUUGCAUGCCUUAGAAAACUUUUUCGAUGCUUGGGGAUUCUGCUCGACUUCGCUCGGUCGAGCAGACCCUAGCAUGCUUGGCUUCCGUCUCGCCAUAAAAAGGCUUUGAGACUUAGUGAGCCUUUGCAUGCCUUAGGUGGCUUCUUCAAAGCUUGGGAUUCUGCUGCCUUCUCGUGGCCGAGCAGAUCCGGGCAUGCUUGGCUUCUGUCUCGCCAUAAGACAGGCUUUGAGACUCGACGAGCCUUUGCAUGCCUUAGAUGGCUUCUUCGAAGCUUGGGAUUCUGCUGCCUUCUCGUGGCCGAGCAGAUCCGGGCAUGCUUGGCUUCUGUCUCGCCAUAAGACAGGCUUUGAGACUUGACGAGCCUUUGCAUGCCUUAGAAAUUUUCUUGGUUUCAAGCGAAAGGAAUUCCUCGACGUUCCAUUAAUGGCAGGAUUCGGCUUACAUGAACUUGUUUGGACAUAAAGCGUGAAAGAUAAACGAUAAUGAUCAUGAGCAAAAAUAGCUUUCAGAUGUGAACAAAUCUUACUGGAAGUAUUUUCGGAGGUGUGCUGCGUUCCAUGGGCGUUUCAGCUCGUGGCCGUCCGUGCGAACCAGCUUGUAAGCUCCGGGUCCCGCUAUCUGCUUGACUCUAUAUGGCCCUUCCCAAUUCGGUCCCAGCACUCCUUGAGUCGAAUCUUUGGUGCUCUGAUUCACUCUUCUCAGUACCCAGUCUCCGACCUUGAAUUGCCGUAUGUUCACCUUCUGGUUAUAAUACCGAGCAACCCUCUGUUGGUAAAGGGCUGAUCGCUCGGCUGCUUGCUCCCUCCUUUCCGUUAGCAGAUCAAGAUUCAAACAUAUCUGCUCGUCGUUCUCCUGCUCGUUGAAAUGACCUGUCCGGUGUGUGGUCGUUCCUAUCUCAGCCGGCACGACCGCUUCAUGUCCGAAAGCCAAAGCGAACGGUGUCUCCCCAGUUGCGGUUUUGUGGGUUGUUCUGUAUGCCCAUAGCACACCUGACAGCUCGUCAACCCACGCACCCUUUUUUGCUCCAAGCCUGGUUUUCAAAAGCCUCUUGAUGGUCUUGUUGGCUGCUUCUACUUGUCCAUUCGAUUGAGGGUGAGCAGGCGAGCAAUACUUCAGCUCUAUCCCGAGGUUCUGGCAGAAAUCCCUGAAGCUGUGAUUAUCGAACUGCCUGCCAUUAUCCGUUACCAAGGCAUAAGGGAUCCCGUAUCGACAGACCAGGUUUCUCCACACGAAGUCUGUUGUUUUCUUCUUUGUGAUCCUGCUAAGGGCUUCUACCUCUAUCCACUUCGUGAAGUAAUCUAUAGCAACUAUUGCAUGUGUUGCUGCUCCUUGUGCCUUUGGCAAUGGGCCGAUCAGAUCAAUUCCCCAUUGAGCAAAUGGCCAAGGGGAGGCCAUGGAGGUGAGCUUCUCUGGGGGUUGGUUAGAGAAAUUUGCAAAACUCUGGCAGCUUACACAACUCCUGGUCUUCUCUUGCGCAUCCUGGUGCAUUGUCGGCCAGAAAUAUCCCUGCCUAAGAACCUUGUGGGCCAGGGACCUCCCGCCAGAAUGAUUUCCGCAAAUUCCUUCAUGUACUUCUCUCAGUACGUAAUCCGCGUCGUCCUCAUCCAAACACCGAAGGAACGGUAGUGUAUAUCCUCGCCGAUACAGCGCCCCAUCAAUCAUCGUGUAUCUCGAGGCCUGGGCUCUAAUCUUGCGAGCUCGCAGCUUAUCUGGUGGUAAUACUCCGUCUCUAAGGUAUGAAACUAUCGGGUCCCUCCACGAGCAUUUUUGUUCUAUCCGCAACACCCCCGAAUUCUGAUCGAUACUUGGGCUGGACUUCACCUCCAGAGGGACCGACUUUGGCAUUUUUGGGUCGGCUACUGCUGCCAUCCUCGCCAAAAUGUCUGCUCGACUAUUCUGCUCCCUGGGGAUCUGUACCACCUCCACUGCUUCGAACUUCCCCAUCAUCUGCCUGACUAUCUUCAGGUACUGCUCCAUCUUCUCCUCUCUUGGUUGGAAUCUUUCACUGACGUGAUUCGCAACCAGCUGGGAAUCAGUUCUGAUCUUAACUCUGUCUUCUUUCACGGCCUUAGCCAAUUCCAGACCUGCUAUCAAGGCUUCAUACUCUGCCUGGUUAUUUGUGGCUGCAAAUUCCAACUUUACAGCAUAAGAGAUCUCCUCCCCCUCAAGGCCUUCCAGGACAAUCCCUGCUCCUGAACCCCGCUCCCCUGAUGACCCGUCCACAGACAUCUGCCAUACUUGAUUUUCGUCAUUGCCUAUAACUGCAUCCUGUUGAUCUGAGCAUACUUCGGGCUCUGUGAAUUCAGCUACGAAAUCGGCCAUUGCCUGGGCUUUUAUCGCUGCGCGGGGUUUAUAGUCUAUGUCGAACUCGCUCAGCUCUACAGCCCACUUGACGAGCCGACCAGAGGCAUCUGGCUUGUGCAGAGUUUGACGCAAUGGCUGGUUUGUUAUUACCGAGACCGGGAAUGCUUGAAAAUAUGGCCUCAACUUCCGAGCAGCAACCACAAGGGCAAGUGCCCAUUUCUCCAACAGUGGGUAUCUAGUCUCAGCGUCGAGUAGGGCCUUGCUGGUGUAGUAUAUCGGAUACUGAACUCCUUCUUCCUCUCUCACCAGAACAGAACUGGCGGCCCGAUCCGACACCGCCAAAUACAGAUACAACUUGUCCCCAUCCCUUGGUGUGGACAGCAGCGGAGCUUGCUGCAAGUAUUGCUUCAAGUUCUGGAAGGCUUCCUCGCACUCUGGGGUCCAUUCUGUUUUCUUUCCCCUCCUUAUCACUUGAAAGAAUGGCUGACACUUAUCUGUAGCCUUGGAGAUGAAUCUGCUCAACGCCGCCAACCUCCCUGUGAGGCUCUGCAUCUCCUUCAGGUUACGAGGAGACGUCAUUUGCACAAUCGCCUGGAUUUUCUCGGGAUUUGCUUCAAUCCCCCUAUGGCUCACCAUGAAUCCAAGGAAUUUCCCUGACUCGACCCCAAAAGCACACUUUUCCGGGUUGAGCUUCAUCUUAUACUUCCUCAAAAGCUCGAAUGUCUCCUCGAGGUGUCUGACAUGUUCCUUCGGGAUUUUGGACUUGGUGAUCAUGUCAUCCACGUACACCUCCAUGGUUUUCCCAAUCAACGGCUUAAAGACUUUGUUCACCAGCCUUUGAUAGGUGGCCCCAGCAUUUUUGAGACCGAACGGCAUUACCCUGUAACAGAACAAACCUUGGUUAGUGACGAAAGCCGUGCUCUCCUCAUCCUGCUCGUACAUGGGGAUCUGGUUGUAUCCCGAGAACGCGUCCAUGAAGCUGAGCAGACCAUGUCCAGCCGUUGAAUCUACUAGCUGAUCGAUCUUUGGUAGAGGGAAGCUGUCUUUUGGGCACGCCUUAUUGAGGUCUGUGAAAUCCACACACAUCCUCCACUUGCCGUUUGCCUUCUUUACCAACACCACAUUCGAUAUCCACUCAGGGUAACUGACUUCCCGAAUGAACCCUGCUCUCAAGAACUUCUCCACCUCGCUAUUUAUUGCCUCAUACAUCUCCUGGUUGAAGCACCUCCUCUUCUGCCUUACUGCCCGAGCACCUUUCUUUAUUGCCAGCUUAUGACAUGCUACCUCAGGGUCAAUCCCUGGCAUGUCUUCAUGUGUCCAAGCAAACACAUCAGAAUGAGCCUGUAAGCAUUUCACCAACUCCUGCUUUUGCUCUCCCUCAAGCCUCGACCCGAUUCUGAUCAUCUUUCCCGGAUUCUCUGGUCCCAGGCUUACUGUUUCCAGAUCUUCUACAGGUUCUUGUCUGCCCUUCUUGUUUUCCACUCGGGUAUCGAGGGAUGUUAUCUGCAUUGCUUCCCUUGCUGCCGAGGAGUAGCAGCUUCUUGCGAUCCUCUGGUCUCCUCGUACCACUCCUACUACCCCAUUCACCCGGUACUUCAGAGCGAGAUAGUGGUUGGACAACACCGCUUUGCUCAUCCUUAAAAAUGGCCGACCUAGGAUCAUCUGGUAAGGACCUUCCUCGUCCACUACGACAAAGUCCAGUAUCAUUGUUCUUUCUGUCAGGGAGCUCCCAAUUGUGAUAGGCAGCUCGACCACGCCCAGAGGGACCAGCUUCCCUCCUCCGAACCCCUUCAAGGAGGUAUUGGUGUAUUCCAACUUUCGGUCGGCUAUUCCCAUCUCUUCCAGGGUUGACUUAAAUAACACAUCAACUGAGCUCCCUGUAUCAAUCAGUAUCCGGUCAAACUUCUUGCUAGCGACAGUAGCCUUGAUGACUAAAGCAUCAUCGUGGGGGUAUAGAAUCCCUUCCUCAUCCUCAUCCGUCCACAUGAUUGGCACUUGCCUGACCCUUGCUCGUUUGGCUGCUGGGGUGUUGAAGAGUACCUCUUUACUGGUCAUGGCGUACCUAGCAUAAUUUUUUCUCGAUCUGUUGGAAUCUCCGGCCAAUGUUGGGCCCCCAGCUAUCACCCUUACUGCGGGCUGCUCGCGCCUCAAGUUUCUACCACUCUGCUCCCCUUCACCUGUUGUGGCCACCAUCGGGAAAGUCCCAUCCAUAAACUCGUCCAGGUACCGAUUUCUCACCAAAUCUUCGACCUGGAUCUUGAGAUCUCUACACUCUGCCGUGGUAUGGCCAUGGGUGCCAUGGAACUUACAAUAACGUCUUCUAUCCCUCCUGUUGGGUAGCUUUGUUAUUGGUGUAGGGAGGUGCAGCAGACCUCGAUCCUUUAUGGCCUCGUACACCUCAUCCAGGGACAUCUUCAAGGAAGUGUACCGCCCAUAGUCCGGGUCCUGGUCGAUCAGGUGCACUGCUCUUUCUCUGUUUGCCCCGCUUUGAGUUGGGGGCGGUGGAAGUAAUUCUGGUCUGCUCGCUCUGCUACCAUGUUGGUGAAGACCACCAGAUGCCGACUCAUGCCUUCUCCAAGGCUCCCUAGCUGGGGAACGAGGAGGUUGCGCCCCGCUGCGCUGAUACUGUGGUGGCCUCUGAUGAGGCUGGUAAGCAGUUACCCGACCUCCUGCUCUACUACCGGAGGCCUGGUGGUCUCUCCUCCUGAUCGGCCCAUUCCCCGGUAAUGCUUUCUUCUCUUUCCUCCCCAACCCUUCCAACUGGUCUGUCUUAAUCCGUGCAGCCUUCUCCUCUUCAAUCUCGAUGUCUCUCUUAGCCUGUUCGUAUGCGGCUGCAUACGUUUGAAUAGCUGGGCUUCUCAAAUUGUACCACAACCUUCCUAUCUUCACCCCUUCUUUCAAUCCCCUUAACGCCUGAGGGUGGUUGAAGGCUCCCAAGUCGAGGACAGCCCGAUGAAACCUCUUGAUGAAUUCCCGAAGGGUUUCUUGCUCCCCCUGUUUCAUGCUUUUCAGCUCCAUCAUGUCGUCUUCCGGUGCCAUUGCCCCACUAAACUGCUCCGCGAAUUCCUGGCACAUCUGCUCGAAGGUUUUAAUGCUGCCCCGAGGAAGUUUCCUGUACCAUUCUCGUGCACGUCCCUCAAGGGAUAGUGGGAACACCCUGCACCUUUGGGAUUGAGAUAAUCCUUGUACCCCAGUUAUGUCGUUGAAGCGCUCUAUAUGCACCAGCGGAUCAGUUCUUCCCGAGUAUCUGAGGUCUGGGAGGCGGAAAUCUCUCGGAAUAACUGCCCUCAUGAUUUCUGUUGCGAGCGGCGAUUCUCCGUCCAGCAUUAUCCUCCAACCAGGGGCUCUGUUCCUUCCUUGCAUGUCGUCAAUUAUCUGCGCUAGUCUGCGCACUUCCCCCUCCAGCUGCAACGCACGACCAGGGUCACGUGCUGCAACUUGAUCCCACUCUUGCUCUACAUCAUGCAAGUGUUGCCUCAACUCUGUUUCCUCUGCAUUCACCACCCCGUCGCCCUCGUCACCAGUCUGUCUUGCUGGGGACUGCUCUCUUUCUCUAUGAAAUUCUCCCUGCAGAGGUACGUUACCUCUCUCACCACCAAAUCUCCCGGGGGUUUGACUUCUCCCCGCACUAUCGGGACCUGGUGCCACUCCACCGCCUCUCACCCUUCCCUCUUGGGUUACCCUUCGCUCGCUCCGCAGCUCAUGCAGGAUGGUUGUCAAGGUCUCCAUCUGCUUUUCCAUCCGUUCCAUCUGGUCGAACAUGACUUUUUCCCGUGCUUCGCUGACUAUCUCCCUCAGCGUCACGGAAUCGUUAAGCCUCCUAUCACCCCCUUGUGCACUACUUCUUCCUGUCUCCAUUGCUUUUCACUUGCUUCACCCCUCUUCUUGCUAUCAACAGAAGCUUUUUGCUCUGGUCCCCACAGACGGCGCCAAAAUGUUGAUGCAGGAUUCCGGUUCUUCUCGUUCUACGACCAGGAUCUCUGCUCGAUCAACUUCGUCACGACCAGGAGGUCUCCUCGCAAGACUUUUUCUCUAGAGAUUCCUGCGCACACAGACAAGUCAGAGUACGCCGGUUGUUUUCCCGGCGCAAACCCUCCGACGCUCAAGUCAGAUAUGAAGGUUCGGGGAACGCUUGCCACCGAUCUUAUGGCUUUUUCGUGGUUUUCUCUUCUUUUUAAUUCCUUUUCUAAUGAGAAAAAUGCCAACCCUUUUACCUCGUCGGCUACCUUUUUAUAGGCUUCCUCUGAAUCCCAGUUUUCCGCUCUUUUCGAGACGGUAUGGGACUCUGACUGCUGCGUUAUGGGCAAACGUGGGAUCUUGCGUGUUACGCCACCGUUCUGGGAAAAGCGCGGCAGUCGUGGUUCUGUGAGAUCUUGCGUGUUACGCCACGGUUCUGGGGAAAGCGUGGCUGUCGUGCCUAGGUUCUCGGGCUGGAGAGCAUGUCUCGUCAACUGCCGUCGACCGGGUCUCCUCGCCUCUCGACCUCUAGCCGGAAUGACCUUAUGCCUCUUACAGGAAAUUGGCCUCGCGGAUGACCUGCUCGUGGACGAGCAGGAUAUUUCUGCUCCUGUUCCCCCGCGUACCAGGCUUUUACGGGACACACCGGUUCGCAGAACUCUGCCAUCAGAUAUCUGCUCACCGUGCCUGGUCUCGUCGACGUAUUUCUCCCAAACACCUGGUAUGACUGCUUAUGCUGGAUUUUAUGAGGUGUGCUCUCCUAAGCAAGGAGAGUGGGUCUUAAUAUGGGCAAGGGUGCAGUUGGUCAGCUUAUGGGGCAGUUUGCAAAGUUACUGGGCUGCUAUGUUGUCGGAAGUGCUGGAAGCAAAGACCAGGUAUACAAACAAACAAUCCGUAUCAGUUGCUUGAUUGUUCCCAUUUUGCUUUCAAAAUAUCUAACUUACAUAAGGAAAAUUUUCACCAUCUCGUCUUUUCUUUGAUUUUGAACGCUAAGAUUGAUCUACUGAAGAAUAGGUUUGGGUUCGAUGAGGCGUUCAACUAUAAAGAAGAUCCUGAUUUGAAUGCAGCCUUGAUAAGGUUAGUAUAUCAGCAAACUACAAAUUAGAAGACAUUUUUUCCUGAAAAUCAAAUAAUGUUUCUAAUUUGACAGGUGGUUUCCUGAAGGCAUUGACAUAUACUUUGAAAACGUUGGUGGGAAAAUGCUCGAUGCGGUGCUGAUCAACAUGAAAAUCGGUGGUCGAAUUGCUGUGUGUGGGAUGAUCUCGCAGUACAACCUUGACGAACCCAAAGGCGUACACAACUUGACGCGUCUUAUUUCGAAACGGGUUCGGAUGGAAGGAUUCCUCGUAUCGGAUUACAAUAAACUCUAUCCGAAAUUUCUGGAAAUGAUCAUUCCUCACAUCAAGGGGGGAAAGAUUGUAUACAUUGAAGACACGGCUGAAGGUCUUGAGAGUGCUCGGGCAGCUCUCGUCGGUCUGUUCUCUGGCCGGAAUCUCGGGAAACAGGUGGUUGCAGUUGCUUCUGAAUGAAUGAAGGAUUUGGUUGUUUACAUCAUGCUUCUACUCGUCCAUUUAUUUAAUAAAAUGGUUACGCUCAAUGAGUGUAAUUUUUAUGAUGCUAAAUUAAAUGUGGAAUGUGGCUGCUGGUUUGAUAAUGUUAAAAGUGCUAAAAAAUUUCAUGUUAGGCGCGGUGUGCGUCUGUAUAUCAUUUUUAGGUACGGGCAUUCUAUCUUUUUUUUUUAAUUAAUACAGACACAUUCUUAAACUGUAUGGUUUAAGAGAGAGUUAAAAAAAACUUUUACCACAUGGUUUAAAAGCGUAUCCGUAUGGAAAAAAAAUGAAAGUCCAUUGGAGAAGAAUUUUAUAUAUAGUCCAGGAUAUUAAAGUGCGGGAAAACUAUAGAGUUUUAAAAACUUAAAAUUUAAAACGUUUAAACUGCACGAUUUAUGUGUUUUUCGAUGUGAUCCCACAUUUUAAAAUUGUGGAUUGGAACAUUUGUCUUUGAGGGAAAAAAAACAAUAACAACAACUUCUUUUGGAGACCGUGGGGCUCAUAUGCAGAUUCAACCCCGAGCUAUACACUGGAUCUGGUGGGCUAGGUUUGAACCCAAAACAAGCUCUAUUCAUUACACGGUUCAGCGGGUUGGUCCAUUUGACGCUUCUAACUUAACAAUUUAAUCAUAAUAAAUUGAAAAAAUAAAAUAAAACCCACGUAUCUAAAUUAUUGUAUUGAGCUAUUGGUGCAGAGAAUAAGUAUAUAUGAGAACAAAAACAACACGAUGUAGUCGCUCGUUUUGUCACUUCUAAAAUCAGGAUUUAGAGCAUCACCAAAAGGCUCUUCAAAUAAGAUUUUAUUACUCAUUUGAAGAGCCACAUCAAUAUUUAAAGCUCCAAAAGACACUCUAAUUAAGAUUCUUCAAAUAAGAAUUGAUUCUCUCUCUUCAAAUUUGGAGAGUUAAUUUCUCCCUCUUCAAUUUAUAUUUUAUUACUUUUCAUUAAAAAAAGAGAGAGAAGUGCUUUAAUUGCUAUUGACUUUUCCUUUUAAAAACUAAUUAUAUGAUUAAAAUAAUAUUAACUUAUUUCUAUUUGAAGAGUCUUUUGGAAAAUAUCAUAUUUUUUCACCCUUCUAUUUGCCACAUAGGUAAGCAAAUAGAUAUUUGAAGAGUAAAAUUUAUAGAGGCUUUUGGAGAUGCUCUUAUGAUAGAGUCAUAGUGUUAACAGUACAUCGGUGUAUAAUUAUUUGUAAUGAAAUUAAUUAAUAUGGGUUUUAUGUUGUCUUUGUCAAUAAUCAAUUAAAUUUUUCGUUUUCAUUUAAAUGUUACUGAUCGAUGAAACAUUUGACUGCGUUCAAGUUAUCUUUUAAUUUUGUGAGAUCCACAUUGUUUUUAUUUCAAAAACAUAAUUUUUCAUAUUAUUAAAAAGCUGUUGCUUGGGCCUAGAGAAAUUGGAUUAAUGAAAUACCUUAAGGGUGUGUUUGACACAUUAUAUUGUAUUAUGUUGCAUUGCAUUAUUUUAUUUGGUGUUGCACUAUACUUUACUAAUUUUUUUGCAAUUAAUUUAAAUUACAUAGUUAGCAAAUAAUAUUUAUUAGUGCUUAGAAAAAUACUAAAUAUAGAAGUCUUAAAUUUUAGAAAUUUAACAAUUUUUUUACUAUAAAUGUUAAAAAAUAUAAUAAUUCUUCAUAAAGAUGGAAGCUUACAGCCUUAAGUUUUUGGAAGCAGAGCAUUUAUUUUUUAGUAUCUUCUAAAUAUAUAAUUUUUGAAAUAAAGAUAUAAGCACAUAAUUUAAUCACAUAGUCUUUAAAUAAUAUAACAACAUAAAUAAAUAGUUAAAAUGUGCAAGAUUAGUUCAAAACUCAUCUUAGGAUGAUAUAAUAAAAGUUUAUACACACCACAAGAUAAUCACAAAAUAAUAAAGUGAUAAAAUUAUUAUAACAUAUUCACUACCAAAAUAAAUUAUAUUAAAUAAUCCAAGUGAGAGUUCUGUAGUUUAUAUAAUAAUAUUAUUUAUGUUAUUAUUAUUAAUUUUAAAUUAAUAUUAUCCAAAUUUAUUCAUACUUAAAUAUGUAUUAUUAGUUAUAUUACAUUAUUUUUACAUAUUAAUUAUUGUAAUAUAAUUAAAUAAUGUAAAAUUAUAUUAUAUUUUUAUAUACUAUUUAAGUAUUUAUUAUUAAUUAUAUUCAAUUAUAAAUUUAUUAAUAAAUUAUAGUGCAAAAAAAAAUAGAAAUAAAAAUUAAUAUUGUAUAAUAAAUAACAUUCUGCUCCCAAUUUCUGGAUUUUAAAUUCCAAAAAUAGUAUUCACGUUCGCCACAUUCAAAAAUCCAACCUGGGCUUGGAGAUUCGAUUCAUCUCAUAGAUUAAUUUUAUAAACUAAUGUUUAGUGAAAAAUUAACCUUAAUGGGUCCUCCUCUCCAGGCCUAAUUCUUAAUUUUUUUUUUAAUUUGGUCCUACUUAAGUGGCUUCUAACGUUACCGUGUCUUUAUUUUGUGUACAGUUGUUUUACUAAUUUGUCAUUUAGUGCAAAUAACAGCACUCAACUUGUAAUAUCCAGUAUCCACAAAUCAGCCACUUCGGCCAAGGCCGAAGUGGUGGGCUGCUGCCCUCACAAUGCUUGUGAGGGCAGCGGUUCUAGCCCCCACAAAAGCAUUGUGGGGGUUAAAUGUUCUUUAUAUUUCCAAAAAAAUCCUUCUCUCUUGCAAAAUGUAAGUGGAGUAUGGACAUCCCUCUCCUGUGAGGGGUUAUUUGUCUGGGCAUGUACUUCAUAGAAUUCAUUGUAAUAAUGUAAGUCCCAAUCAUGUAUAUCUGAUUGUAAAUAUCAGUGUAAUAUCUCUGCUACAAUAAGCAGUUGUUGUAAAUAUCUGUCUGAUGAUUAAUCAGUAUUCAAAAAAAAAAAAGUAUCCACAAAUCAUGAACUCAUUUUUUAGUUCUUUCAUGUGUACUAACAUUCGUACAAAUAUACAAUAAGUUCAUAAUUUAGUCCAAGUUGACGAGAAAUUCUUGACCCACCCCUAAAUAUCUGUCCGCCAAUAGCGUGAAGUGGCCGGCAUAAAUUUAAAGCAGCUGGGACAUUGUAACUCAUCCAAAGAUUGUAUAACAUCUCUUUUUUGCUUUAUCGUUUUUCUCCAGUUGCAUAGUUUCUUAUCCUACCGCUUUAAAAACAAUUAUUCCUAGAAAUUUUCAUUUAUCUAAUGAAUUUUAAGAAUUUUUUCAGCAAACAAUUUUUACUUUUUUUUUUUUUUAUCAUUGAUGGGUAAAGAAAAUAUUAAUGAAAAAUGAGGAGUUAUUGGCUGGUUCAACGGAUUAAUUGCAAUGAUAAAUACAGGGAGGAUUGGAUUAUAUGGCAAAUUUUUAUAGUAAAUGUAAUAUAUAUGCUAACACUUUUUAUUUAUGGCAAAAUAUCUUCCUCUUUUGAGACUUUUCCCUCUAAGAAAAUUGGAGGAUACGACAAUAUAUAUAUAUAUAUAUAUACUAAUAUUUAUCAUUUAUAGAAAAGUAUCUAUCCCACUUAAGAUUUGCCCCACUAGAAAAGGAAAAAAAAAUCCCUCAAAAUAAAAGAGCGAAAUGGAAACAGAACAAAAUUUGAUUUUGUGGAUCUUGUAUUGUGUGAUAAGUCCGGCAUGCAAUUUUGGGCCAGCUUACCGUGCGCAUGGGAGCAUUCACAAAGUAUCUCUCGUCACUAUCGAAAACUUUUAACAGUCAAUACAAAUGCUUCCGUUUCAUCCCAUAAACAAAUAAAAUUCACAUCUGUACACAUCUACUUUGCUUUGCUAGAUAGAGUUCCUCUGCAUUUCCCAAUUGCCUAAAGAGAAGGGGAAAAGAAAAAGAGGGCCAAAAAAUGCCUGAAAUGGUAAGGAACAAGCAAGUGAUAUUGAAGGACUAUGUGUCUGGUUUCCCAAAAGAAACAGACAUGUACAUGACCGAAAGUUCCAUAGAAUUGAAGGUGCCAAAAGGUUCAAAUGGGGUUCUUUUAAAGAACUUGUACUUGUCCUGUGAUCCGUACAUGCGACCAAGAAUGACCUACAUCGAAGGAUCUUAUGUUGAAUCCUUUAAACCUGGCUUGGUUAGUGCACUCGCUCAUGGCCACGCUUUUCAUUUCCAUGGCUUCUUGCUCUUUUGUUAUAGAAAAUUUAUUUUUGGUUGCAGUUUGGUUCGACUGCUAAAAUCUCGUGCGAUAAUUGUAUAAGAUAUCUAGAGUUUGAACUUCUUUCACAUUAGGGUUCAAGGAAGUUAACUUAAAUGAUUUUCAAAAUUUUAAAUGUGUACCAAUGAAUUUAAUUUCAUAGCUUAAACUUAUUGUUUGAUCAUACUCUAACUUUGGACAGGAAAAUUAUAUUUUUCCUUUUGUUCUUUGACUUCGUGUAUGUUGUGUGAAGUACUUGUGCUUGAAAAUGAAUUGCUGACACAGAAAUUUCUAUGAAUGCAUGCAGCCCAUAAGUGGAUAUGGGGUGGCUAAAGUUUUGGAUUCAGAGAAUCCAGAGUUCAACAAAGGUGACUUGGUUUGGGGAAUGACUGGAUGGGAAGAGUAUAGUCUCAUUACGGCUCCACACUUGUUUAAAAUUCAGCACACAGAUGUGCCUCUUUCUUACUAUACUGGAAUCCUCGGUAAACUUUUUGUUUGCGCAAUUUAUGUGAGCAAAUUGUGUCUUCUUUUUCAUAUGUAAAUGUUUUUGAUAUCUUGAUGUGAAGGUAGAAAAUUGCAUGUUUUGAGUUUUUGCAUAUUUGAUGGAAACACAGAACCGUACCUGAAUAUUUCAGAACCCCCUUUUCUUUGAAGUUUGAACACUUUUCUUGAAUGUAUCAACUUUAUUUAUGGGAUAUGUUGCCAAAUUGGCAAAUCUAUUCGUUAUAAAACUUUCCUUUGACAGUUUAAUCUAAGCAGAUGUUAAUUCUGCAAAUAGAGUGUGCCUUAGUUUAGAUUGAUAGAUUUGUCUCCUUCUGUACAGUAAAAACUUUGAGCAUUUUCGCCAUAUUCUGAUCAAUACACUCCAACUAGUUAGUUCUUGAGGCGUUUCCUGGUUUCGUGGAGUGAGCCAAGAUGUAUACGUUUGCAAAUUGGCAAUGUCUUUUGCUUGAUGUGUUGUGAGUUGUGAGUGUCAAUAGGAAAGUUUCAAAGUGCGCAGUGCUCACUUGAGCACCCAUAUUACUUGGUGACCUGUUGCCUCAGCAAACAAGACCUCUGUUUUAUGAACUCCAAAAAGUUAUUCUGUUAAAAAGAUCGAGACAGAGGCCAUACUAUAUUUAUUAUUGCUAUAAAAGUGUCAAACAAUAUUCUUUAUUUAAUAUUCUAAACGAUUGAGCCAUUUAGUUAUGAUACUCUGCUGUACUGGGGCUAAUAAUCUAAGUCGGUUCAAAGUGGUAAAUUUAUAAAUUGAUAGGUAUGCCUGGUAUGACCGCUUACGUUGGAUUUUAUGAGGUCUGCUCUCCUAAGCAUGGAGAGUGCGUCUUCAUAUCAGCAGCAUCUGGUGCAGUUGGUCAGCUUGUGGGGCAGUUUGCAAAGUUAUUGGGUUGCUAUGUCGUCGGAAGUGCUGGAAGCAAAGACAAGGUAUGUAAUCUGUGUGAACUACUUGAUUGUUUCCAUGUUACUUUCAAACAUUUAAAUUAAAAAGGAAAUUUUCAUAAUCUUGCCUUUUCUAUGAUUUUCAACACCAAGGUUGAUCUACUGAAGAACAAGUUUGGGUUCGACGAGGCAUUUAACUAUAAAGAAGAAGCUGAUUUGAAUGCAGCAUUGAAAAGGUUAGCAUCAAUAAAUGCCUUAGCUUGAUGCAGCUUGAUGAAGUAUGAUACACAUUUCUGACCAAUAUACUGCGUUCCCUGAUCUCUUACUUGAAAUAUCUUGGUUUGAGAAUCUCAUGCCAAUGCCUUUAACAUUUUGGCAGGUACUUUCCUGAAGGAAUUGAUAUAUAUUUUGAAAACGUUGGUGGAAAAUUGCUUGACGCAGUGCUACCCAACAUGAAAAUCCGUGGUCGAAUUGCUGCAUGCGGUAUGAUCUCACAGUACAAUCUUGACAAGCCUGAAGGUGUGCACAACUUGAUGUAUCUUGUUUCGAAACGGCUUCGAAUGGAAGGAUUCAUUGUUCUGGAUCACUAUCACCUCUAUCCAAAGUUUCUGGAAAUGAUCAUUCCUCACAUCAAAGAAGGGAAGCUUGUAUACGUCGAAGACAUGGCUGAAGGUCUGGAGAGUGCUCCGGCAGCUCUCAUCGGUCUAUUCUCUGGCCAGAAUGUUGGGAAACAGGUGGUUGCUGUUGCUCCUGAAUGAAGAACAAGUUAGUGUUGUGUGUUCUUUUACCCUUUGACACAAAACUUCAAUGUUAAAGAGAGAAUGCUGCUCAUACUGCUUUAUAAAAUAAUCAAAUGAGUGCAAGUUUCAUGAUAUGUGCUGAAUAAAAAUAUUGGAAAUUAAGCAGCUAGCCUAGCUCCUUCUUGUAGUUGCAGUUUGAAUGAUGCUGCUGCACAACUGCUGCCGAAAAAAUCCUUAAUAGAUGAUUAGCAAGGUUUCAAAAAUAAAAAUAAAUGUUUGUGCAAUGUGCCGAAUAUGACAGCCACAAAGAAAGAGCAUACAAAUUGACUGGUUUUAUGUCUUCUCUAGGAGAAAGCUACAAUACAAGAAAUUGUAUUGAUGCCAUGGACCAAAUUUCUUAUUUAAACUUUUAAUUUUUUUUUAUUAAAAUUACUUAUGUUAUUAUGGUUUAUAUUUUUAGAAAUUCUUUAGAAAUUAAUACAGAACUAGUAGCAAGUUGAGAAAUCUAAUGAAUGGUCGAGAUAUGAUCAUGUUUAUUGAAUUAAAUUGACAAUCAUCAUUUUGAUAAAUUAUUGUUAGGAUAUUUGAUUCAUCACAGGUGUAAGUAACUAAAUGUGCUAAAAAAAAAGUUAAUGAGUUGUGAGUGUUUGAUAUUCGUUUGUUGUAAUUCUUUUAAUAAUUGUUGUGGGAAAAAAAUUAUGGUAAAAAAAUUAUAAUUAUAAAAUAAAAAUUAAUAAUAUAUUAUAAAUAAAAUUUUUAAAUAAUAAUUUUAAUAAAAUAAUAAAUAUAUUAUGAAUUUUUCAUUAUAAAUUUUUAAGUUAAAAUAAUAAAUAUUUAUUAAAUAUUUUAAUAGCACAACUUUUAAAUUAUAACAGUACAAUGUAAAUACCAGAGGUCUUAAAAAAUAAAAUUACAGUCAAGUUUUAAAACUGUUAAUAAUGCUAUUCAUAAAGGCGCUCGUCGUGUAAACAACACAUGGGACCCAACCAAUAAAUGUUUAUGAUCCUCAACUUUCCUCCUCACCGUCCCUGCAAACAAUUCUGAUUUUCUUGUCUGAGAAAAAAACUGAGAAACAAUGGCGGCCGAACAAGAAGCUGUGAGCAAUAAGCGGGUGAUUCUAAGCAACUAUGUGACAGGUUUUCCAAAAGAAUCGGACAUGAAGAUAACAUGUGGAUCAAUAAAACUGGAGGUAGCAGACGGUUUAAAAGACACGGUGCUUUUGAAGAAUCUUUAUAUUUCUUGUGAUCCUUACAUGCGAGAGCGUAUGAGCAAGCUUGAUAGACCUUCUUUUGUUGAUUCAUUCCAUCCUGGUGAGGUUAGUUCAUCACGACCCAUCUCUUGAUUUUUUUUUUUUUUCAUUUGCUUCAAGUUUUGAUGAGUUUCUGAGGUCAUUUGUACGGUUUUGGAAUGUGAACACUAUUAGUGAUUUUGGGGCUGUAACUGUCAUUAAUGAUAUGUAGUAAUUCAAUCAGAAUUUGGAUUUAGUGCUGAUAUGAUCUCUGCUCAUUUUUUAAAAUCUUGUGUCCAGAUGCAUUUUUAUAAUCUUGUACGGUUGAGAUUGUAAGUAGAUUAAUCUACGUGCAGUAUUCUUGUCUAAUGACUACUAACCACAACCUUAUGAGACGAUCGAAACCAAGCUCAGAUCAAUAAUCCAAUUGAGAGAGGGUCCUAACUCAAGCUUAUCGUGUGUAGGAAUAUUUCGGUUAAAUUGUAAUUCUUUUAAUAAUUGUUGUGAAAAAAAAAAAGUUAUGAUAAAAAAAUUAAUAAUUAUAAAAUAAAAAUUAAUAAUAUAUAAUAAAUAAGAUUUUUAAAUAAUAAUUUUAAUAAAAAAUAAUAAAUACAUUAUCAGUUUUUCAUCGUUAAUUUUUAAGUCACAACCACAAAUAUUUACUAAACACUUUAACACCAUAAUUAACACCACAACUAUUGAAUUAUAACUGUACAAUCUAGACGCCAAGAGGCCUUAGUAUGAAAAAAAAAAAUUACAGUUAAGUUAAAAUUCAUCAUACAGAUGUGCCACUUUCAUACUAUACCGGGAUCCUCGGUAAUGAUUUUUGUUACACAAUAAGAUUUGCUUAUAGUAAUAUCAAUACAUAUGCUGCUUAAAUGCUUUCUGAUUUUUUGCCGGCCAUUGUCCAUUUUGCCAGGGAGUCUAUAAUUGAAGGAAUUUACUGAAGGAAUGCUGAUUGUUGGGAAUUUGAUUAUUCUAGGUAUGCCUGGUGUAACUGCAUACGCUGGUUUAUACGAAGUUUGCUUUCCGAAGAAAGGAGAGUAUGUCUAUGUAUCUGCAGCAUCUGGAGCUGUUGGUCAGCUUGUUGGACAGUUUGCAAAAUUAGCUCGUUGCUAUGUUGUUGGAAGUGCAGGAAGCAAAGAAAAUAUAGCACCGUGCCUUCUAGCAGAAUUUUACUUGCUUUAUGUUCCAACUAAGCAUCCAUAUUUGAUCAUGAUAAUUAGCAAGGUCAAUAAUUUUUUUUUGACUAUUUUUUCAACGUAAGGUCGAUUUGUUGAAGAACAAGUUUGAACGAUGCUUUUAACUACAAGGAAGAGCCUGAUUUGGAUGCAGCACUCAAAAGGUCAGCUGCAACAAACGUUUCAACUCUAAUAUUUCAUUUUAAUAUUACAGAGCUUUGGUUGAAGUGUGUGAGUUGAUCCCAGAAACGUAACUUCAUCAGUGUCUCUGUUUUCAAAAAACAGGACAAAUAGAAAUCUGAUUUUGCUUUAAAAUUUCCCAGAUGCUUCCCUCAAGGAAUCGACAUAUAUUUCGAAAAUGUUGGGGGAAAGAUGCUGGACGCAGUGCUACUCAACAUGAGGCUCCGGGCCGCAUUGCAGUAAGCAGUAUGAUCUCACAGUAUAACCUGGAAAAACCCGAAGGCGUUCACAACUUAGAGCAACUGAUCGGGAAACGGAUUCGCCUGGAAGGAUUUCUAGCUGGUGAUUACUAUCACCUCUAUCUGAAAUUCUUGGAACUGGUCAUUCCUCCAAUCAGAGAAGGAAAGAUGCUGUAUGUGGAAGACAUGGCCGAAGGACUCGAGAAAAUUUCUCGUAACUGCUACACAUUAAACGCGUUUCACAUUUCCACUCUCUUUCUAUAAAUAAAUACGCACAUAAAAUUUCUCACCAUCCAAAAACAAAAUCUACAUAAAAAAUGGCGGGUGAAGAAGCAGUGAGCAACAAGCAGGUGAUUCUGAGCAACUACGUGACAGGGUUUCCCAAGGAAUCAGACAUGAAGAUAAUAACAGGCUCAAUAAACCUUAAGGUGCCAGAGGGUUCAAAAGACACAAUGCUUUUGAAGAAUCUUUAUCUUUCUUGUGAUCCUUACAUGAGAGGACGUAUGAGCGAGCUUGAUAAGCCUUCGUUUGUUGCCUCAUUCGAGUCUGGCGAGGUCAGUUACUUCAAUUCCCAUCUCUUGGUUUCAUAAUCUUUUAUGGUUUUAGAAGGUGUUUUAGGGAAACAUUGUGGUUUUGGUUAGUGGGCAUGAGUCUUUGAAGAGAUUAUAAUGUGUAGGACUAUGCAUGCAAUAAUAAGCAUAGGGGAUCUUGUUAGGAGAAGAUUCUCUUAGCAAAAUAAAAACUUUUAUCUUAUCAAAACAUAUGCAGGGAACUUAGUUAUGAUGUCAUGUUAGCAUUAUCUCUGAGGAUUUGAUUUCUUGAUGGGGAAAGGGGAAUUUAAGGUUACAUUAUUCAGCAAUGUUUUUUUUUUAAAAAAUUAUGUUCAAAUUAUGCAGCCUUUAAGCGGAUAUGGAGUGUCCAAAGUGUUGGAUUCCACGCCUCCAAAUUAUAAGAAAGAUGACUUGGGUGGCGUUUGUUUUUUAACUUAAUGACUUAAAGUGACUUAACUUAAUUAAUUAAGUUAAUUAGAGAUGUUUGUUUUUAUAACUUAAUGUGACUUUUUAAAUAAUUUUGACUUAAUAAAAUAAGCCAAUUUUAUUUACUUUUUACUUAAUAGAGACAUCUGAAUUAAGUCAAGUACUUUCUAAUGUCAAAAAUAUACAUGCUUUAUAAUUUAUUUUUCAUGUCUAUCCCAAAACUCACCCAUAGACAUUUACCCCACAUAAUAAUCUCAUCAUUAUUUUUUUAGCCGUCAUGAAAUCCCUCCUCACUUUGGUAUCAACUCCUCAACUAUUGAAGAUCAAAAUUACAUGCGACAACUUCGAGAUGAAUGGCAAAUCAACUGUUUCAAGCAUCUUAUUCGUUUUUUUUCUUUUUUAUAUUAUAUACGAUAAAAUUUGAAAUUUAUGGUAUUUUAUAUAUUAAAAUUCCAAAAUCAUUAUAUAUUCACUUGAAUAUAGUUUUACUUAUAAAUGUUAAAAUAUUGUGAUAUUUAAUAUAUUAUUUAUUUGACAUUCAAAUUUAAUAAGGAUACAAAUGUAAAAGUACAUAUUUUUCAGUUUUUUAAGUUGAAAAAAGCAAACAACUUAAUAAUUAUUUUUCGAGAUUCAGACGAAAAAACAAACAUAUUAUUCAGAUUCAGACAUUCAGAUCUAUUCAGAAUUUAGACUAAUUCAGGUCUAUUCAGAUUUCAGAUAAAAAAACAAACGCCACCUUGGUCCGGGGCUUAACCAGUUGGGAGGAGUUCAGUCUCAUCCAAUCACCACAACUUCUGAUUAAAAUUCUGGAUACAAGUGUGCCUCUGCCAUAAUUAAUUGACAGGUUGCUAUGUUGUUGGAAGUGCCGGAAGCAAAGAAAAGGUGAGUUUGCACCCUUAACCCUUACGCUCUAAAUAAAAACAUAACACCUUCUGAAAGAAUUGUGCAUAGAGAAUUUUGCAUGUCACAUUAUUUGUGUUCUAACUAAUCAUGGAUAUUUGAUCAUUAGUCUAACUAAAACUGACAUAUUACCACCUAGUUGACUGGUCUUUGAGAAAUGUUAGUUGAUAUAUGCUUGAAAUCAUACUUGUUUUAUUAGAUGAUUAUAUUAACCUGCUUCUUUUUCUUUGUGCUGUUUCUCGUUUGAUUACAUUUUCAACAUUAGGUCGAUCUAUUGAAGCACAAGUUUGGGUUUGAUGAUGCCUUUAACUAUAAGGAAGAGCCUGACUUGGAUGCAGCUCUUAAUAGGUUAGCACGAAUGAAUGCUUUAACCAUUUUUCUCACUUCAUUAUUACAAUGCGCUGAUUGAAGUAAUCAGUGUUGGCUCUGAAAAUGUAACGUAUACUUCUCUGUUUUCAUAAAACAGGACAAACAGUGAUCAGUGAUCUCAUUCGUUACAUUGAUAUUUUCUACCAUUGCCAUACAUAGUAUAAACUAGGAAUUCAGUUGCUUAAUAGAUAUUCAUUUCAGAGGGAAAUUUUCACUUGCAGCUAACAGAAUCAUGUUUGUGAUGUAUGUUUAUUUGGGAAAUGAAAGGAUUUGUUGCAUUAUUUUAUUCCAAGUUUGCUGAAAUCAUAUUUGUUUUCCCAGGUGCUUUCCUGAAGUUAUCGACAUCUAUUUCGAAAAUUUUGGAGGUAAGAUGCUUGAUGCAGUGCUACUCAACAUGAGAAUUUGUGGCCGCAUCGCUGUAUGCGGAAUGAUCUCACAGUACAACUUUGAGAAGCCUGAAGGUGUACACAACUUGAUGCAAGUAGUUGGAAAACGAAUUCGCAUGGAAGGAUUUCUUGCCAGUGAUUUCUACCACCAAUAUCCAAAAUUCUUGGAACUGGUUAUGCCGGCAAUCAAAGAAGGAAAGUUAGUAUAUGUCGAGGACAUAGCUGAAGGCCUCGAGAAAGCUCCAUCAGCCCUAGUUGGGAUAUUCACAGGUCAAAAUGUUAAAAAACAACUGGUUGUAGUUGCUCGGGAAUGAUAUGAUUACUAUAUGCUUUAAAAAGUGGACUUUGCCAUGCACUUUAAAAGCUUAGUGAAGAUGCCUUUGUCUUAUUUUUGAUACAUGUUAUGUUUGUUUGAUCAAGUUGUACUCAGCUAUAAAUCAAAGAUUCAGAACAUGUGUAUGAUACUGGUUUCUAAAUCAAUGAACGCGUUGAAAUGUUAGUGUUUUCACAGGAGAAUGCAAUUUAAUUCAUCAACAAUGUCCCAACAAGACCCUCAGAGCUGUAGCUUGUAAAGUUAAUUACGAUAUUUUUUUGUAAAGUAAAUUACCAUAUUUUUUUCUUUCCAAUAUAUUGCUUAUUUCAUAGAAAGUUUACAUUAAAGUCUCAUGUUUCUUUGAAAGGUAAGCAAGUGUGAACGUUUCAAUCUAGAGCUGGAAAAUGCAUUUCCGGGCAACUUACUUGAUACAUGAAGUUUUCAUCUCUGACCUUGAUGUUUCCCAUAGUUGCAUUCAUUUCAGCUGAUCUAUUUAAUUUUGUUUUCGAAGGAGUGACACAAAAUCUCCUUUGUUAAGGGGAGAAUUUAGAGUGGCUUUGACUGUUAGCAAAUAGCCUAAUGUAAGACUUAACCAACUUCCUGCCCUGUUGUAUGCUUAUGAAUUUUGAUAGAGCUAAGAGUUUGCAGAAGCUACUGUAUUAUUUGUCGUUAGAGGCUGUAAAAAUCAAACACAUUUAAAUUUCAAUGAAAAUUUACUGGAAGUAAAUUUCCUAUGAUCCCACAGGUGACUAAUUAAUGAGAACUUGACAAUGACAAAAGAAAGUCUAUGAACUUUGCAGGCUGGCAUGCCAAUAUUGACUGGGUGGCACCAUCCACCAUCUGCAAGUGAAUAUCAUUGUUGUUUAAUCAACAAGGUGGAGUCCACUGGGACCACACCACAUCGUCAGCCUUAUCUCUAUUCCUCAAUUUUCAGUAUUCCAUACAUCAAACCAAUUUCAGUUUUGUUAUCAAUUAUAAUUUUAUUGUUGGUGACGAUUCUGAUUCCUUUCUGACAAAAGGGAACCAUGGCUGCUGCUGGAGAGAUCUUACUCAACGCCUUCUUUCAGGUACUGUUCGACAGGUUGGCUUCUCGUAAUUUGCUCAGCUUUGUGCGUCAACUCCAAGGCGGGGUUGAUUCGGAGCUCAAAAAGUGGGAGAAAAAGCUGAAGAUGAUUCGGGCUGUGCUCUGCGAUGCAGAGGAGAAGCAACUGACUGACGAGGCUGUGAAGAUGUGGCUGGACGAACUCCAAGACUUGGCUUAUGACGCUGAGGACACUCUUGAUGAGUUUGCUACUCAAGCUUUGGAAAGCAAGUUGAUGGCGCAAAAUCACGAUAGUUCUGGCCAGGUUCUCAGUUUCAUCCCGGCUGGUUUGAAUCCGAAUGCUAUUAUGUUCAAUUAUAGCAUGGGGUCCAAGAUGAAAGAUAUUACUAGCCGGCUGGAGCAACUCUGCCAAGAAAGAAUUGAACUUGGACUGCAACGGAUUACCGGAGAGGCAUCAUCAACUGCUGCUGCUGCACACCAGAGGCCACCCAGUUCGAGUGUCCCAACAGAACGUGAAGUAUUUGGAAGAGAAAAAGAUAAGGCCAAAAUUCUUGAUAUGUUAUUAGCCGAUACCAUAAGUGAUCAUGCUAACUUUGUUGUAAUACCCAUUGUUGGCAUGGGUGGGAUAGGAAAAACAACUCUCGCUCGGGAGGUUUACAAUGACAAAGCCGUUGGAGGUUCCAAGUUUGAUGUAAAAGCAUGGGUUUGUGUAUCUGAUGUCUUUGAUGUUUUGGGCAUCUCAAAGGCACUUCUCGAGUCAAUCACCCGCAGGCCUUGUCUUCUAAACAGUUUAAAUGAAGUGCAGGUUGAAUUGAAAGUAGCUGUGGAUAAGAAAAGAUUCUUGCUGGUCUUAGAUGAUGUUUGGAACGAGGACUACAGCUUGUGGGUAGACUUAAAAGCUCCGUUCCUGGGUGCUGCACCAAACAGUAAGAUGAUCGUCACCACACGCAAUUCAAAUGUUGCAUCAACAAUGGGACCAAUUGAACAUUACAAUCUCAAGAGUCUGUCAGAUGAUGAUUGCUGGUCCAUUUUCAUAAAGCAUGCAUUUGAAUCUAGAGAUCUUAACGCACAUCAAAUUUCAGAAUCAUUCCGCAAGAAAGUUGUUGCCAAGUGUGGAGGCUUGGCCCUGGCAGCAAAAACACUCGGAGGCCUUCUGCGUACGACGAGGCAUGAUGCGUGGGAUGAUAUAUUAGAGAGCAAAAUAUGGGAUUUACCUCGACAAAGUGGGGUUCUCCCAGUAUUAAGAUUGAGUUACCAUCAUCUUCCUUCUCAUUUGAAAAGAUGUUUUGCUUUUUGUGCCAUCUUUCCAAAAGAUUAUGAAUUCACUGAGAAGGAGCUGACUUUCUUAUGGAUGGCUGGAGGUAUUAUUCGACAGUCAAGAAACAAUGAGCAGCUGGAAGAUUUGGGCAGCAAGUGCUUUGGUGAUCUAGUGUCGAGGUCAAUUUUUCAGCAAACAGCAAGCUCUGAUAGUUCUAAAUUUGUAAUGCAUGACCUUAUUCAUGAUCUUGCUGAAUUGGUCUCUGGAGAAACCAUAUUCAGGUUAGAGGAGGCCAAUACUCUGUCAAGAAGAUUUGAAAGGGUUCGCCAUUCUUCCUAUGCUUGUGGUGGAUGUGAUGGUAAAAAUAUGUUCGUGGUUUUCAAUGAAAUUGAACAUCUACGAACAUUCUUGCCAUUACGCUUACGCAUAAGAGGUGGCUCUAAUACUAGUUACAUAACUCGUACGGUUCUAUCUGAUUUGCUGCCGAAGUUCAAAAUGUUGAGAAUGCUAUCUUUACAAGGAUACCGUAUUGGUGAGUUACCAAUUCCAUUUGAAGAUUUGAGACUACUAAGGUUCCUCAACCUUGCUGACACUGACAUAAGAAGUUUACCUGAGUCAACAUGCAAAUUGCUGAACUUGGAAAUUUUGAUAUUAAGAAAUUGUUCCUAUUUGAUAAAGCUUCCGCAGAAAAUGAGGAAUUUGAUCAAUUUACAUCACCUCGAUAUAAGAGGUGCGAAGUUGCUGAAGGAGAUGCCAUUCGGAAUGAAAGAGUUGAAGAAGCUUCAAACAUUGUCCAAUUUCAUCGUGGGCAAGGGCGAAACUGCAUCUGGUUUGGAAGAUUUAAAAUGUUUAAACUUUCUUGGUAAUGAACUUUGCAUUGCUGGAUUAGAGAAUGUGAAUAAUCCACAGAAUGCAAGAAGAGCCGCAUUAUGCGAGAAGCUCAAUCUUGAAGCAUUGACUCUAGAAUGGGGGUCUCAAUCUGACAGUCCUCGAGAUGCAGUACCAGAAGAGAAUGUACUUGACACUCUACAGCCGCAUAAACGUAUAAAAGAGCUGGCAAUCAGACACUAUGGUGGUGCAAGAUUUCCACUUUGGAUCGGAGAUCCUUCAUUCUACGAGAUGAAGGUCCUUAAAUUGGAGAACUGUGACAAUUGUGUAUCUUUGCCGUCGCUUGGCCUGAUGAGUUCACUUAAGCACCUUGCUGUUAAAGGGCUGAAGAAACUAAAAAGCAUAGAGUCUGAGGUUUAUGGGGAGGGUUUCUCAAUGCCUUUUCCGUCACUGGAGAUUCUAAGUUUCGAGAAUUUGCCAGAAUGGGAGCAUUGGGACACCGAGAUCAAAGGAAAUGCGCCUGUUGAUUUAUUUCCUCGUCUCCAAGAACUUUCCAUUGCAGAAUGUCCCAAACUCUCUGGACAACUGCCUGAGCUCCUGCCUUCCUUGAAGACACUUGUUGUUAGUAAAUGUGAAAAGUUGGUAGUUCCAUUGUCUUGCUAUCCAAUGCUUUGCAGAUUAGAAGUUGAUGAGUGCAAAGAACUAGUCUGCCGGACUCCGAUUGAUUUUAAGUUGAUAAAGUCCAUGACUAUUUCAAAUAGUUCAUUAGACAUGAAUGGACGCAAGGGGAUGUUAUACGAUGGUCCAGCUGGCUCUUCACUGCCAAACCCCAUGACUACUACAAAUGUUUUAGAGUUUGGAAAAUUAUUGAAGCCUGGAUUUCAGAUAUUCGAAACUUUGGUAAUUGGCAAUUCUGAACAGCUCAAGUUAUGGAGGCAGCAUGGGGAUUUUCCGAAAAAAUACAUGGUCACUGACCAUGGGUUCAAGAAACCAGUACGAGGGCUGAAUAUGCUCGCUUCCCCUGAAGAGGUAACAAUUGAAGAAAGUUGCGUACGUCUUGUUUUGAUUCCAGAGAUCAAUUUCCUUCUCAGAAAUCUGCGCUCUCUUAUAAUUAACAACAGCACUGCUUUCAAAUCCUUACCCGAGGAAAUGAUGGAAAACAAUUCACAACUCGAAAGAUUGUAUAUCAGAGAUUGCGACUCUCUAAUAUUCAUCGCAAGACGGAGGCUACCAGCAUCUCUUAAAAGGUUUGAGAUAGGAAAUUGUGAGAAAUUGCAACGUCUGUUCGAUGAUGAAGAGGAUGCUUCUUCUUCUUCUUCUCCUUCAUCCUCGUCUUCCCCAGUGAUGCUGCAACACCUGAGUAUAGAGAACUGCCCAGAGCUCACCAGUUUAUCAUCGGGUGUCCAAUUCCUUGAGGCGCUUGAAGACCUCGUGAUACAGCAGUGUCGAAAGCUGGAGUCAAUACCGGAUGGCCUGCCCAAUCUUAAAUGUUUACAGAGCAUUAAUAUACGGGAAUGUCCAAGUCUUGUUUCCUUAACAGAAAGAGGGCUUCCCAACACCAUUUCAUUUGUUUACAUUUGCAGAUGUGACAAGCUCGAAGCCUUGCCCAAUGAUUUGCACAAACUCAGCUCUCUUCGAGAAUUAUUCAUACAGCUCUGUCCAAAUCUUGUAUCGUUUCCAGAAGAAGGUUUUCCUACCAAUCUAACAACACUUGUAAUUGGAGAUUUCAAAAUGUAUAAGACACUCGUCCAGUGGGGGUUGCACAGGCUUACCUCUCUUAAACGCCUCUGGAUUGCUGUACGUGAUGAUGAAGCAGAGUGUUUUCCAGACGAGGAGAUAGGAAUGACGCUGCCCACCUCUCUCACUGAUCUGCACCUUUUUGAUUUCGAAAAAUUGAUAUCUCUGUCUGCGACGGGUUUUCAGAGUCUCACCUCUCUUCAGAGUUUGUGGAUCGGGAAUUGCCCGAAUCUCACAUCAUUUCCAGAGGUGGGCCUUCCAUCCUCACUUUUGGGCUUAGACAUUAGAUAUUGUCCAAAGCUUAAAACAGCGUGCAAAAGAGAUGAAGGAAAAGAGUGGUCCAAAAUUGCUCACAUCCCUCACGUUGAGAUAGACGGUAAAUUCAUAUACGAUCCAGAAGCAGAGGAGUAGGUUCUACUAUUAAGGUCAGUUGAUUUGUAUUAUCCGCUAUAACAAGCUCCUCCUUUUUUAUUUUUUUUAAAAAUAAUAAUUUUGCAGUCACUCACGUGAUUCCGUUUUCACAAGUCAGAUUGUAUGUUGAGGCUAUUUGCCUUUUAAUCGCAGAUUAAAUUAUAACACUUAUCUUAAAAUUUAAUACCAUACACAGAUAGACGAUUUUUUAAUCCAAAGUUUUUUUUAUUCACUUCAGUUAGCAUUUUUUUUUUCCCCAAAUCAUGCAAGCCGAGAGUUUCAAUCAAGAAUUGGAGGAUGUGAAUGGGAUUUUUGUGAAAGAGUAACAUAAUGGAUGAACGAACAUUUCAUAUGUGAUCUCAAAGUCAACAGAAUUUUAUUCACUCGUUGACUUUUCAACUGCUGUGGUUAUUUAUGGGUGAAAGAUAAGGGCAAUUACAAAAAAUUUGCAAAAUUUGUCAAUUUCUUAGAUGGUAGAAAUUGGAGUAUAAUAUUUUGGAGCAAGCAUACUUGAAAUUUCUGUCUUCAAUAUUUUGAUGCUUUCUUAUCCCAUGCACAAAAGUACUAGAAAAAACUAAUAACAACUAACCGAAAAUCCCAGGCGUCAUAUUCCUUUUUACCGCGUUUUAAAAUGCACAACAAUGAUAUUCUUACAAAUUUGCAAAAUUUGUCAAUUUCUUAGAUUUCAGAUAUUUUAAUGCUUUUUUUAAUUUUUGAUCUAGUAAAAAUACAUAGCCUUCACCGGCAGGAUUCUAGUCUUGGCUUUCACCUCUCUAACUCAUCUGUUCCCAUUGGGAUUCCAGAAGCUAGAAAAAUGUGUAGUUUUCAGAUAAGGAGGCUUGUCAGUUCUCUAGUAAGAAUCCAAUGAUUUGCUUUUGAACGUCCAUCUAAUUUGUGGAUCCUUGCAUCAGAAUUUGAUCAAUCCAAAAGGAAUUGCUUUUAGACAGAAGAAGAAUAGCAGCACCUAGCCUACCCGCAAACCUGAAACUAUUAGAUUGAGGUAAAAAAAUCAUUGACCCUCACAUGUUAACUUCUUCUAGUUACUUUCGUUGGGAAAAAAAAAAACAUUUAAGGAAUUUGCAAUUUGUUGUUAGUUAUGGUAUCUGAUGUUCUUUUCUGCUUUAGCAUUUGUAGAAUCUACUGUAUUAUGUGUUGGCAGUUGCCGUAUCUGAGGUAACUUGCCUUUAUUUGUUUGCUUCUGACUUAAGGACACCAACAUUUGCCAGAGAUUUAGAGAAUCAUCUCAAAACACUUAGCAAACUUGACAAACUUCAAGAUGCACUUGCCCCCACGCCUUAUUCUCAACAACGCAAAACUUGUGAGUACACCUAUGCCUGCAAUUAUUGUGAAGUGUUCGCAAUUCUGAUGCAGAGAAAUGGUUUCUUGAUGCAAAGUAUUAAACUGUUAAGAUUUAUCCUGCAGGCUUGUUAGAUGCUGGAUACGCGAAAAGCCAACAACAUCAAGAACUGCAACUCCAAGACCAGCUUUGCGUUAAUUCAGUCAGCUGUAAUAAUGAUGCAAAUGACACUAUAUCAAGCUGGACUUAGAGACUAGUCAGAUAAAUCAUCCAUUUCAUCAACGGUUAAUGUCAUGAUGGUGGCUAUCAGAGGAAACAAAAGAUGUGUCGGAAUCUAUACAAACAUUGAGAAGCAUGAGAGGAGCUUUGAUUUUGAGUAGGGUCAAUGAACUCAUAUUGGUAAGUGGUAAUUAAAGAAACUUUGUAAGCUUAGUAGAGUUUCAGUAUUUUCUGUUUGGAGUAUAGUUGAUAAGUUGACUCUGUUUAAGAAGCCCGAUUAUAGUAGCUGACUGUAUUAACCUUUUUUUUUUUUUUUUUGGGUCUGCUGUUGUUUUUGGUUUCGAUUAUUUUUUCAACAUUGGGUUGAUCUGUUGAAGAACAAGCUUGGGUUUGAUUAUGCUUUAACUACAAGGAAGAGCCAGACUUGGAUGCAGGCGUUAAGCUUUUAAUGGGUAAGAACAAAUGAAUGCUUUAACUAUGUUUCUCACUUAUUAAAAUGCACGGAUUGAAGGCAUCUGGGUUGAUCCUGACAAUGUGAUGGAAAUACUUCUCUGUUUUCAUAUAACAGGACAAAUAGAGAUCUCUGAUCAUGCCUGAAUUUUUGUUGCAUUGAAAUUUCUACCAUUAUCAAACAUAGAAUGAACUAGGGAUACAUUAGCUUAAGACUAAAUUUUGAGAAGGAAGUUUGUACUUGCAGCCUAUAAAAUCAUGUCCAUGUUGUACGUUUCUUUGGGAAAUGAAAGAUUCUGUGUGUUCUUUUAUUUCAAGUUCACUGAAAUCACAUUUGUUUUCUCAGCUGCUUUCCAGAAGGUAACAACAUCAAUUUCAAAAAUGCUGGGGCAAGAUGUAUCAUGCAGUGCGACUCAACUUGAGAAUUCCUGGCCACAUUACCCGUAUGUCUAAUGAUCGCACAGUACAACCUUGAGAAGCUUGUAAUGAGUACACAACUGGGUGCAAGUAGUUUUGAAAUGAAUUUGCCUCAAAUGAUUUCUUGCCGGUGAUUAAUAUAACCUCUAUUCCAAAAUUCUUGGAACUGGUCAUACUAGCAAUGAAGGAUUGCAUACAUUGAAGACAUAGCUGAAGGCCUUGCGAGAGCUCUGUCAGCCCUUGUACCGGAAAACAGCUGGUCGUAGUCGCUUGUGAAUGAUAUGAUUAAUAGAUACUGCAAAAAUGAAUUGUGCCAUACAUUUUCAGCGCUCUGUGAAGAUGUCUUGGUCAUUUGUUUGAUGCUUGUUUGAUUUAUGUUGUAUUCAGCCAUAAAUCAGAGAUUCAGAACUUGGGUAUGUUUCUGGUUUCCAAAUCAAAAAAUUGCCUUGUGAUGUUAGUGUUCACUGUUUUCACAGGAGAUCAGGUUCCUUGUUAAUGAAUCAAGAAGAAGGCAAGCGCAUCCAUGUCCAAGUUCAAAUGUGUCUCCUCUAUUUUCUAUUACCCACUCAUUUAUUUUGAUUUCUUCAUUGUAAUUGAAUUAGUUUUUUAUUCCAAAUUAGUCAAAACCUCGUAGAGUCAUUAAGUUCUUUUAGCAUUUAAAGACAGAACUACGAACCAAAUGAUUUAAGUUCUUCGUUGUAAUUGAAUUUGCUUUCCCAUCUUUAAAGAUAUUAUGUUCUUUUUCACUUUUUCGAUUUGGUUAGUGGUGAUUUCUUAAAGACUCAAUCCAUUUGCGUUAAUACAUUUUUCUUUUGCCUUGAUUUCUGUUUCUUGGGGAGUUUAUACAUAUUCUUAUUUUAUGCUACACAUGCCAUAUACAGAUUCUUAUUUUAUGCUUCACAUGCCACAUGAAAGGUCAAAGCCUUGUGUGUGAUUAGAAUUUACUGGCAUCAUAGUAACUUUAAACCAUUGUGACGUUUUAGUAAUAACAGUCUGAGCUCUCCCUGAAGGAUUCAAAGCAUUUUAUUUUAUAUUAUACUCCUUUAUAUGGUUUGGCUGGUCUCUUUUAAGGCAAUUCCUGUUUAAAGUAAUCAAAAUUUUGAUUUCGAAGUGUCUUUCAACACUACCGCUAGUUCUUUAAGAAAAGUAAAUCGAUUUUGAGUCUUCUGUAUCAUCUGAUUGAAAUACAUGAAAGCACUCUUAGCUGCAAAAGUACACUUGGAGUUAUAAUAGCAUUCUGAAAUCUCCUUGAAGGAUUCAAAAGCUCUUUAUUUGCUAGUCUUUGCUUGCAAUAAACUCCUUUAAUAUACAUUGGUUGAUCUUCUUUAAAGCAAUUACCAUAAGUUCUUUAAAUAAUAAAACGAUUUUGAGUCUUCUGUAUCAUCUUGUUGAAAUACAUGAAAGCACUCUUGGCUGCAAAAAUGCACUUGGGGUUAUAUAUAAAGUCUUCAACAGAAUUUUAUUUCCCCCUUUAUCCUCAUGGUGGUUUUUUUAGUUGUUUUUUAAGAAAUCGCUUGAAGGUUCUCUUUAAAAAUAAUUUUAACAUAAGCAUUCUUUAGAAGCACUUUAGAUGUCUGGCAUUUAGAAAAUUUUGUUCCUGUGUUCACAUAAUAUAAUAUAUAUAUAGAAAGCUGACUGUAGAAUAGAGGAGAACGAGUUGGUGUUGGUCUGAACUCUGAUCUUUGAACCUCAUGUGACUCCACUACUUUUUACUUGUUCUGUACAAGGUCUUUUAGCUUUUCAAAAAGUUUUAGCUUUAUGGAUAAAAUACUGUUAAUUGUAAUCUAUAAAUAAUGAAAGGAAUUAAUAAAAUAUUAGGUAAAUUUUAUUUUCUAAAGUGUUAUGAGUUCUAAAACGGCUGUAUGUAUAUAAAUUUAUUUACACAUAUAUUUAUAAAUAUGAUUAUAUAAUAAUAUUUUAUGUGUACAUAUCAUAAUUGAUAACUAAAAUAAAUAUUUUUAUUUUAUUAAUGGUUUUUUCGUCUCAAUGUAGUUGGUAAUAAUAAUCUCUUUAGAUGUAACGAUUUUAUUUCCUAACUGAAUAAGGAAAAUUUUAGAUUUUUAUAAUAAAUGUUAAAUAUAUUUAGAAUUACAUUAAGUAUGAAAUAAUCCUCAAAAUUAGAUUUUGAAAAGUUAUUCUUUUCUUGCUUUUAAAAAUAUGUCAUAUGAUGAGAUGAUUUUACUAAAAGUGAUUUUUUUAAAAAAAAUUACUAAACAUCAAAAUUAACUCUUAACUUUUUAAAAUCAUUUCUAAUCUUCUCAUCCUAAGUUCUUUAUUGUUUUGUACAAAAUCCAAGGUUUUGACUUUUAUAAAAUGCCCACUCAAAAAUAAAUUAUUUUCUAAUUAAGAUUUGUUGUUAAUGUAUAACUCGAAGUAAUAUUAGAUAUUUGUAAUUUUAUUUCAAAAAUUUUAUUCAAAUGAUAUGGCAAGCAAUGAACAAUAGUUGAUAGCAAUUUGUUUUUUUUUUUAACAAUGUUCAAAUCAAUCAGUUGCAUUAUCUCACCAUUUUUAUGAUGUCAUGUUAUUUUAAAUGAUUUUUUUAAUUUUUAUAUAAAGCAUACGACGUGUUAACAUCAUUUGCAUAACUUGACCUUUUUUUUUUCCUACAAAUAGUAAGUCAAAUUUACUCACCCUAUUUGUACCUAAAAUCUACCUAAAACUCAUGCAUCACUGUAAAGCAAAUCCAAAGAUUGCGGUACGUUUUUCUUGGUAAGAAAUCAAUAAUUAGGUCAAGUACCGCUACUAAGCGUGCUCAAUUAAUUCUAAAAUACGGUGAUCAAACUCAUACUUCACGCAAGAGGAUAAGGGCUAAACCUCAAUUAGGCAUUAUUCAUCCAAAAUUCAUUGACUGGGCAUUCUUUGCAAGUGGUAGCAUGGGACAGCUAAGAUAAUUAGCAAAUGAUAUGGACCAUACGCACCCGUAUGUUUGUGACAUGUGAAUCUUGGCAUUAAAGGAAAGGUAAUGUGUUAAAAUUUAAUAGAGCCCAACUCUUCAUUGAAUGAUUAUCAGAUCCAACGAGCAUCCUUUGAUGGGAUUAUUUUAAGUCAAUUAUUGGUGGAUUGGGGCCCACUUGACUCUACCAAAUCGGGCUCCACCAUAUCACCUAUUAACGACCACCUGUCCUUAUCAUAAAUAGCAAAUGUCACUUGUUUUAUUUUGUAUUUUACCAAAAGCAAAGUCACUACGAGCACUAAUGAAAGUGACCCCAAUUUUGGGGGUCAUGAACUUGGGAUUAUUAUGGACACAAGAGACAAGCGCAAUGUUUCUCAUUUCUCACUAGAUAAGAUUUAAGUUAUCAACCCAAUAUUAAUAAAUUCUGCUUGAAAAGUAAAGUUUGAAGCUUCAUUUUGCGAAUAUUCAAUGGUUAACAUUUAAGGGUGCGUUUGGGAUUGAGGUUGGGCAGCUGUAGCUUAAAAGCUACAGUACUAAAGUGUUUGGUAAACACUAGCUACUGUAGCUUUUAAGCUAUGUUGAUAUAAUUUUUCACUUGUAUAAUAUAAAAUUUAUUAUAUCUUUAAUAAUUUUGAUAAAAUUAUUAUUUAAAAUUUAUAUUUACUAUAUAUUAUUAACUUUUAUUUCAUAAUUACAGCUUUUUUUUCACAGCAGCUGUAGCUUAAAAGCUACAGCACCUCAAUCCCAAACACACCCUAAGUAAUUAACCUGAUAUUAAUCCAAUUAAACUUUUUAUGUAAUCCAAGUCAAACAUAUAUUGAUAAACCUAAAUUAAUCUAAUUGGACAUAUUAUUUCAACUUGAAAAGGUGAAUCUAUCAUUUUUCAAUUAAUUUUGAAUCAAGCUAUGUAAAAUAUAAGCUUAUUAAGGACAUAUUUGAAAAAUUCAAAUUGAAUUAUUUGACAAUUACAUUUCAACUAAGUUGUACUGCUAAUUAACUUCCUCAACUUAAAAUGUAUUUUUCUCAAUUAAUUCGUAACAAAGAAUGUUAGAUGUUUUGUUCGAAUAAUAACAUUCAACAUCCUUAUUCUUUAUGAUUAUUGCAUAAAAAAUAUAUUUUAUCCAUUUACGUCACAUAUGUUCCUAAAUUGUAUAAGAAAAUCACUAAAUUUACUCUUGUAAGUUACUAUAUCAAUGAACAUGAAAUUAACUAAUCAUUAAAGUCUCGGAAUGACAUCAUGAGGGGGAUUCAGUUACAUUUAUUGAUAGGAUUAUAUAUAUACCUUCUCAAAUAUUAGUAAGAGCAAUUAAACAGAUGCAGCAAUUAAAAAUAUGGAAUUACUUAUCUCGUCAAUAACUAACGAUAUUUUUUAUCUAUGCUCGAUAGGCGUCUGAGCUAUAUUAUAAAUUGUAAUAUUUGUAGAUUGUAACAAUUAUUAAAAAAAAAAAAAAAAGCUCCCUAAGACUAAAUGACAAAAGGACUGUUUUGAAAUAGAUAGAUAAAAUAUGCCCUUAUUUGAGAAAAGGUAAAACACUAGGGAUCUAAAUGUUAUUAUAAUCCCAUGCACAAAAAUACCAGAAAAAACUAAUAACAACUAACCGAAAAUCCCAGGCGUCAUAUUCCUUUUUACCGCGUUUUAAAAUGCAACAAUGAUAUCACUACUACAAAAAUGACAUUUACUGACACUUUGUUUCUGACACUUAGUAAAAAGUGUCAGAAAUGGUGUACAUUUGGACCAUUUUCCUCCUUUAACAAGUAUGUAUCAUAAAUCAUUGAUACUAAGGUGUCAGUAGCUUAAAACUCAGUGAUUAUUGAUACUAAAGCAUCAGUGAUAAAAAAAUAAUAGUAUUAAUUUUGUUUUAAUUUGAACUCGAACUCAAGAUCUCUAAACUUAAAAUUUGUAAGUUUAGAGUGCAAACCAUUGAUGCAAGUGUUUUUAAAUUUUCAAUUUGAUUAAUUUUUUUAUUUAAUUAAAUUUUAUACAAUUACUUUGUGGACAAUAAUAAUAAUAAUAAUAGUUUUGAGAAUAAUAUUUUUUAUUUUGCCACAUGUCAGCUUGUAAUUCGUUGUUAAUAAUAAUAAUUUUACUUGACCACGUGUCGACUUAUAGUUUGUUGUUUUAUUAAAUUACAAUGCGAACAACUACACUAUAUAAUUUUUCAAAGUAUAAAAUGAAAAUAAGAAACCCUAAAUCUAACCUAAUCAAACACACCACUUCUUAAGUUGCUGCCGCCGCUCCCCUGCUCCUUGACUUUCACUGCUGCCGGCCGCUGCUCCUCGACUUUCACUGCUGUCGGCUGUCGUUCCUUGACGUCACUGCCGCCUUUGCUCUGCUGUUGCCAAGCUUCAGCCACCGACGACUAGCUAGCCACCUUUCAGUACGUCGCUGCUACCACUUUUAUGCCGUCACAUCAACUUCAGCUCAGCCAGCCACCGUUCCUUUACCGCCGAGAUCAAGAACCAUUUCUUUCUCUUCUCUCUUUUGGUACAGGUAUGAAAAUAUUGCAGAGGAGUUAAUCUGUUAAUUACCUUUCUGUACGUCGCUGCUGUCAUUCGUGUACGUCAUUGCUGCUACUCAUCUUGGUCACUGCUGCCGCUCCUCUGCCGCCACGACAAGCUUCAGCCUUUUUGACAAAACAUUUCACUUGGAAUUAUAAGCAAACCCUUUUGAGACCAUAAAAAACUAAGCCAAUUUCUUUGGUUUCAAGGCCUUGUUUUUUCACUUUGAAAUCGGAUCAUACAAUGACAAGCCAAUUGAAAACUUCUGUUCAAGAUUUCAUUGUUAAAUUCAGCUUUAUUUUUAUUAUUUGUGUUCCUUUCAUUUUCUUUCCCUUUUUUUGAUUUUUAAUUCAAUUUGGGAUUUGACAGAUAUAUUUUUUAAUUUUUAUAAAAAUUUAUCUUAUUUGCAGGAUGCUAAGGGACAGGAUGUUGAUCUUAGCAUCUACAAGGGAAAGGUUCUUUUGAUUGUCAAUCUUGCAUCACAAUGGUGUGCCUCAGCUCCUUUCAUUUUUAAUUUUUUUUCCAUAAUGAUUUAUUGAUUAUUGUUGAUGCUUCCAUUUAAUUAAUGCUAAUACGUGUUAUCUAUCUAUCGGGAGUCUAAAUUUUAUAGAAUUAUAUCAUACUCGGAAGUAUGCAUGCUCCCAAUACAAAUAAGUGUUUAUAAGAGAGGAUUUCACCCAAAAUCUUUAAUUCUUGCAAAAUGCUAGUGGCUCCGUUUGCACAAGUUUAGUUUUCAUCCAUGUUCGUUCCUUUACCAUAGCGGUUCCUUUACCACUGAGGUCAGACACCAUUUCUUUCUCUUCUCUGUUUUGGCACAGGUAUGAAAAUACUACAGAGAAGUUUCUCUAUUAAUUACCUUUUAUGAAAAUAAUAUAUAUAUAUUAUUCACAUGUUUAAUUGAGAACAUCUAAUAAUAUAGUAAUAAUAUAGUGGGCAAACUAUAGGAAGGUUGUUAGUAGACAAUUCUAAUUUUAGCUUUACUUUGCAAAUGAAAGAUUAGAAAUAUUCCGUCGAACCCAUUUUACUAUAUUGGAGGUUUGGGCUAAUCUUGUAUAGAUUUUUGCUCAGAAGAAGGAUGGUUCUCCAAGGGCGGUGGGUUGGUUUUUCUAUAGACUAUUCCCCUAUUUUCCCAUUUUGCUUUUCUUUGAGGAAACCUGGUCCAUUUUUUUUGUGUUUUCUUUCUUCAAUCAAAUAUGUAUUUCUCAAUCUCCUCUCAAAAAAUACCUAUCUCAUUUUAUUAUAUGUUUAUGAAUUACUAAUUGUAUUUUGUUAGUAUUCCAUGUUCGAAGAAGAAUAUUAGAUUGAAGAAAGAAGAAUAUUAGAUUGAAGAAAGAAGAAGUUGUUCCUUUGCUAAUCGUUUGAAACCCAGGUUUGCACUGAAUCUGAUUUUUAUCUUUAACUUUUUUACUUGACCCAUACUUGAAUCAAAUUUUUGCUCCACUUUCCUUUCUUUCGUCAAUUUAAUUAUCAAUCCACUUCAAACCUAAAAAGAUUUAGUAAUUGGGAAACCCUUUUUUUUUUAAAGAAUUGCAAAGUACUGUAAUUGGAAACUGGGUUCAUGUCUUAAAAAGUAACCUGAUUUGUAAUGUUUGGCUUAUAGUGGCCUUCUAUUUCUGUUUUUCAUCUCGGCUUGGUUAAUUUCUUUACUAGUCGUUUAAAUUUUGUUAAUUUUUAUUUUUCCUCUUUAAGCUCAUUAAAUAUCUUUUUUUUUUCAAUUUAUGGCUUUCGGUCCAACUGAUCAUCGUUGAAUGUGGGCACUAUAAAUGUUAUAGUGCUUGUUAACUUAAUGUAUUUGAUCAUAUAUUAUAGUAUUGUUUACUUUAAAUUUAGACAAUGAAAUAGAUUACAAAAAAAAUAACUUAUGCUUGUCAAGUUGUAGACACCAUCGUUCAUGUCAUCAUUACUGAAUAUUGAUGUACUUAUUAAGUGUUCUCUUUAAUACUUGAUAGAAUACUUUUGGUGAAGCAAUUUUGGUAUCAUGAUUGCAGGCUGUAAUUAACUUGGGAACGUGUAGAUUCUACAAUUUCUUUUUCUGAUUCCUUAACUUGCUUCUUUUAAUCCUACUCUUCUAUGUUGAAGUAAUUUAUGAAUAUUUUUGCUUCAAAAUAACUAAGAUAUAUUUUUCACAGUAUACUAAUUGAUUUUAUGCAUUUGUAGGUGGGAAAAAAAUGAAGCCGUGGAUGGAUAUUGAGUGACCUUGUGCUUUUUUUUUUUUUUUUUUGGGUUGGAAACUUAAUUGAGUAGUAGUUAGCACUUGUUGUUUAGAGAUUGUUGAAAAUUUAAUUUGAUACUUAUGUUAAGUCUUUUACAUAUAGUGAUGUAGUUGAAUUGUGUGAAUUUAUGUGAUGUAUUUGAGAUGUUUAUUAUAUGAAUUGUGUUGCAAGAUAUUUAAUAAUAAAUAUAUUUCGUGUUUUCUUUUGGUUGUACAACAAACACGAAAAAUAUAAUUAAAAUAAAAAUAUACUAUUAACCAAAAGCAGUAUAACAUUACUAAAUACUGACACUACAUAUUUAAAAUAACAAUAAGAAUUUUUUAUAUUAUCGAGUCAGUUUCUGAUACUAUAGUCACAUAAAUUACUGACAUGUAAAUAGUAUCAUUAAAUACCAACAUCAUCGUGUCAUUAUUUUAGUGAUACUAUAGUGAAACAAAUUACUGACACAAAAAUUACUGACACCAAAAAUUAGUGUCAGUGUGUUCUGGCUUGAGCAACACUGACACAAUUAACAAGUGUCAAUAAAAGUAAUUACUGACGCUAAAUUAGUGUCAGUAAAACUCAUUUUUCUAGUAGUGUAUUCUCACAAAAGUUGGUACAAAGGUUUGUACAACCAGGGCCUCUUUGUAAAUUAUUUCAAAGUUUUGUGUUAUUUUUUAAAUUUAUGAAUUUUGUUAAUUUUGAUUGAUUGGAGCAUUUCUCCUUCCAUCUCUUCUACAUCUAUCUUUAAAUUUCUUUAAAAUUUUGACUAUAUCUUUAUAGAGUUCUAAAUGAUUAUCUUUUUCAUAAAAAUCUAUACUUAAAUUAAUCCCUGAAUUUAUAAUCAUUUGUCUUCUUUGAGUCAUAGACCAAAUUUUUUCUUCUAACAUAUCUAUAUAUACUCCUAAGCUAUCUUUGCAGCUUAGAUACAUUCUAUCAAAGCUUUCGCAUAUAAAUUGUAAUUUGAGAUCUGCAUCUUGAAUCAACAUGUCUAUAUUAUCCAUUGUUUUACGCUCGAUUUUGAGUUCUAUUAUUAGUCUUGCACAUGUCUUGGAUUAUUUCGAGGGUAGUUAAAAUUGAUUCUAUUAAUGCUAUCCUGUUUUCUUCUUCAAAAGAAUCAAAUAUUUCUGAAUCAUUAAUUUCUUUUAUUUCUUCAUACAAGCGUUUGUUUGUCGCUAAUCUUGUUUUAAUCAAGGAAACUGUAUAAGCAGCUUGAUAUUCUUGACAAAAGUCUAAAUGAUCUAUUGCAUCUAGAAAUUUAUUAAUAGAUCUUUCCAUUUUUAAGAAAUUGAGUUACUCUUAUCACUUCCAAUCUUUUAACAUCUCAGAAAACAAACAAGGCCCAACAUGCUUCCGUUUGUAGCUAAAAUAAAAGAAGAGUUCAUAUCACUAACCAGUGUAAUAUCUCUCGGAAUUCUGAGAUAGACUCACUAAUUGCCUCUAACCAUAGAGAGGUCCAUGGUUAGCACCACUAUAGCUCCACAUAUCAUACAAAAUCACUUCAACGACUGUUCCAUAUGGCCCAAAGCAACACACAGCAGACUGGCCUAAUAGGAUAUGUUUAAGUGAUUUUCUUGCAGUUGUCUCUGGAAGAGUGCUUAGUAAUAGAAAAUCUUCUUCGUUUAGUACAAGUAUUGGCAUGUAAGGUUCUUGGUUAAUUUUUAAAAGAUGUAUAAGAUAUCUAGAAGAUGAUAAUUUCACUCAAAAGAGUUUUAUUUAUUCCAUCAUUGAAAUUGUUUACAGAGGAAGGUUACAGAGAAUACAGAGGUAAUUGAAGGUUAGACAUCUGAUAUAUUUCCUUUCUUACAUGCUUUCAUUUAUAUAUCUCUCUAGAGAUAAGAUUAUUUCUUUUACAUAACACAUGUUCGAUCCUUGUGGUGGAAUCUCAAUUUCCUUUUGAUAAGGUGACCCCUUCUUUAUCAUUGAAGCUAGUAGUUGUCUUCUUUUCAUGUUGGCAGACAUGAAAUAUCUGGUUCUGGUGAGCUUUUUCUUUUUUGGAAUCUGUCUUUUUGAAUUAUUGAUACUUUUUGGAUAGCACCUUUUAUCUUUUUCAGUGGUCCUCGUCACGUGCCAAUUAUCAGAUCUUCAUCUAUAGACAUGUCUUCCCCACUAGAAUCUCUUUUUUUGAUCCUUCGUAGUAGUAGCCACAUGAUGAUUGAUGCUUUAGCACCUUAUAUAUCUCGUGGUGUGUUAGCAAGGUGGAUUCCACGAGAUUUUCGAAUAUGCCCUUUUUCUUUUCUAAUAUGUUAUCCUCAUCUUUAUCAAAUUCACAUUUACAAUAUAAUUCUUUGAAGCUACAUGUAUAUUCUUCUAAAUAACAUAUAUUACAUAUUUCAAGCCUUGUUAGCUUCAUUAAAUUUUCUAUCUGUUUUCUUUUUAUUUCUUGUUGAAAAUCAAUUUCCUAAUCUUCUCCCAAGAAUUUUUUUCUUAUUUCAUUUUUGAAUCUAUUUAAAACCUGAUCAACACUUUCGUUUCGAUUAUUAUUUUCUCCAUACAAUAUUCUAUUUUUAUGGUUAUCAUUUAAUCCCAUAAACCAAUGAGAAACAAUUCCUAUAAACGAAAUUUUAAGGAAUUCUAUACUAUUAUCCCUAUCAAUUUUGUGAAAUGCAAAAGCCAUUUUCAUAGAUUUAACCCAAGCGGUAAUCGUUUUAUCUCUAUCUUUGAUACAGUCUAAAUCUAACCAUACACCAUCAUGGUUGAUUGGUCUUUCUCUAUAUUCUCCUGGAGUUUUAUAAUCUUUUUUAGGCUUGUUAAUCCUAAAAUAUUGACCUUGUAAUCUUUCCUGAGUUGGUAUUUCUUCCCUAACAUAGGAAGCUCCAUUACUAGUUUCUCCUUGUUAAAAACCAUUUGGCUUUGAUUCAUUCAUUUUUAGAUGUUCUAUUCUAUUUUCAAUAUCCUGCAAAUUAAUGACUAUAUCACCUUCUUCUUCGGAUUCAGAUUCUUUAUUAGAUAUCUCUUGAUUAGGUAAUUCUAUGUUUUCACUUAGCAUUCUUAGACUUAUUAAUUUUUUGUCUUUGUUUAUUUUGUUAAAUAUCGGUUUAGAUAUUGUUAUCAUUUCUUUAUCUUUAAGUUCAUUAUAGUAAAUUAUGGUAUCUUGUAAAAUUUUGUUUUGUUUAUUGAUCUUCUGUACUUCAAUCCUUUUGUAAUUUUCCAUUUAUGCUUAUAGCGAAUUUAUUACCAAGUUGUUCAACAAUUUUUUCAAAUUUUUGUAGUUGGAUUUCAAUCUUGUUUGAAUUUAUUUUCAAUUGAACUUUUGUUCAUAAUAUUAAAGAUUUCUUGUUUUAAUCUAUCUUGAUCUUCAAUAUUAAAGUCUUUUAUUAAUAGCUUAACAAAAUCAAAUUCUUCACUCAUUCGCUCUCCUAUCAUUUUGACUUGUCUUAUAUUUUCAGCAUCAAAGCUUUUAAUCUCAAGUAUCUCAUUUAUACUUUCUAUAUCAUCUAUGGUUAAAUUAGGGUUUCCUAAUUUAUUUAAUAAAUAUAAUGAAAUCCAAUUUAAUUGAUUAUUUCCCCACAUAUCGGAAUCAUUUACUAAAUCAAAUGGUUGAAAUCUUCCAUAAGUAAAUCCUCUAUGCCUAUAGCUAGAAGGUGGUAAUAUGUUGGUUUCAAUAUUUUGAGAAAUUAACAAUGGUUUUGGUAAUUUAUUCAUAGUACCAUCUGCAUAAUAUCUCAUUAUAUUCUAAUAAGUAUUUAUGACAUAUAAUAUUUCUUAUAUCCUUAGGGAUAUUGUUUUAUGUUAAUCCUUUAUGUAUAUAGCAAAGUUUAUACAUAAUUAAAUCUUUAUAUCCUAUUAGCAUGUUGCUAGAAGGAUAAUAUUUACUUCUGAUUCUUUUAUUUUUCCAAUUGUAUUCACCUCGUUGUUUAACAUUUAAAAAUCCGUUGUAAUCUAUUAUAAGAUCAUCUACAUAAUCUUCAAUAGAGUUAAUAUUCCAUUGUUUCCAUGAAAAAUUAUUUCUAUAUACUUCUCUCCUGAUCCUAAAGAGAAGAAUAGGAUCAAUAUUUAAAUUUCUAAUUUUUAUUAUGAUGAGUUCUCCAAUUUUAAAUUCAUGAACUCUAACUAAAUAAAACUGUAUUAAUUGUUUAUCAUCCAAUAUAUUAACUUCUGAAUAAUAAUAUUGUUUAUGUUUUGUUAUAUUAUCUUUAAUUGUAUUUCUAUCUAUCAUUAAAUUAUAUCUUCCAUUAUUAAUGGAAUAAAUAACUGUUUCGUCUAUUUUUAUAUUUUAAACCAAAAACUUGGCUCUAAUACCGUUUUGCAGAAAUCAACUAAACCCAAAAUCCAAAUGAAUUCAAAUAGGGAUGUAUAUGAUUAAUUGUUAAGAUUUUAUCUAAAUUUUGUAAUUAUAAUUUUUCAAAACUCACAGUUUUGUGCAAUCAUUUGUGUAAUCCGUUGUGAGAAUGUCUUUUUCCUUGCAUCUAAGGCAACAAAGUGGAAAACGCGUACCAACGACUCACAUAACAAUAUAACAUCUGUCCCGGAUGGAGCCGGUUGUUCAUGUCAGCAACCUACUUUGAAACGACACGUGGACCGCAAUUUGUUCUUGUUCUCAACGUUGCUAUGAAAGAAAGCAUUUUUUUCCCCUUUUCUUCUUCAUUUUUUAAAGAAAUAUUUUACUAUAUAUUUAAAAAAAAAAAUCGUUGCAAUCUGAAGAUAUUAAAUUGUGGAUCUUGUAUUGUGUGAUAAGUCCGGCAUGCAAUUUUGGGCCAGCAUACCGCGCGCAUGGGAGCAUUCACAAAGAAUCUCUCGUCACUAUCGAAAACUUUUAAUAGUCAAUACAAAUGCUUCCGUUUCAUCCCAUAAACAGAUAAAAUUCACAUCUGUACACAUCUACUUUUCUUUGCUAGAUAGAGUUCCUCUGCAUUUCCCAAUUGCCUAAAGAGAAGGGGAAAAGAAAAAGAGGGCCAAAAAAUGCCUGAAAUGGUAAGGAACAAGCAAGUGAUAUUGAAGGACUAUGUGUCUGGUUUCCCAAAAGAAACAGACAUGUACAUGACCGAAAGUUCCAUAGAAUUGAAGGUGCCAAAAGGUUCAAAUGGGGUUCUUUUAAAGAACUUGUUUGGGAGAAAUACGUCGACGAGACCAGGCAUGGUGAGCAUAUAUCUGAUGGCAGAGUUCUGCGAACCGGUGUGUUCCGUAAAAGCCUGGUGCACGGGGGAACAGGAGCAGAAGUAUCCUGCUCGUCCACGAGCACGUCAUCCGCGAGGCCAAUUUCCUGUAAGAGGCAUAAGGUCAUUCCGGCUAGAGGUCGAGAGGCGAGGAGACCCGGUCGACGGCAGUUGGCAAGACAUGCUCCCCAGCCCGAGAAUCUAGGCACGACAGCCACGCUUUCCCCAGAACCGUGGCGUAACACGCAAGAUCUCACAGAACCACGACAGCCACGCUUUCCCCAGAACCGUGGCGUAACACGCAAGAUCUCACAGAACCACGACAGCCACGCUUUCCCCAGAACCGUGGCGUAACACGCAAGAUCUCACAGAACCACGACAGCCACGCUUUCCCCAGAACCGUGGCGUAACACGCAAGAUCUCACAGAACCACGACAACCACGCUUUCCCCAGAACCGUGGCGUAACACGCAAGAUCUCACAGAACCACGACAGCCACGCUUUCCCCAGAACCGUGGCGUAACACGCAAGAUCCCACGUUUGCCCAUAACGCAGCAGUCAGAGUCCCAUACCGUCUCGGAAAAAGCGGAAAACUGGGAUUCAGGGGAAGCCUAUAAAAAGGUAGCCAACGAAGGUAAAAGGGUUGGCAUUUUUGAGAUUAUAAAAGAAAUGAAAAAAGAAGAGAAAACGACGAGAAAGCCAUAAGAUCUGUGGCAAGUGUCCCCCGAACCUUCAUAUCUGACUUGAGCGUCGGAGGGUUUGCGCCGGGAAAACAACCGGCGUACUCUGACUUGUCUGUGUGCGCAGGAACCUCUGGAGAAGAAGCCUCACGUGGAGACCUCCUGGUCGUGAAGAAGUUGAUCGGACAGAGAUCCUGGUCGUAGAACGAGGAGAACCAGAAUCCCGCAUCAACAUUUUGGCGCCGUCUGUGGGGAGUGGAGCAAAAAGCUUCUGUUGAUAGCAAGAAGAGGGGUGAAGCAAGUGAAAAGCAAUGGAGACAGGAGGAAGUAGUGCACAAGGGGGUGAUAGGAUUAACGAUUCCGUGACGCUGAGGGAGAUAGUCAGUGAAGCACGGGAAAAAGUCAUGUUCGACCGGAUGGAACGGAUAGAAAAGCAGAUGGAGACCUUGACAACCAUCCUGCAUGAGCUGCGGAGCGAGCGAAGUAUAAUCCAAGAGGGAAGGGUGAGAGGCGGUGGAGUGGCACCAGGUCCCGAUAGUGCGGGGAGAAGUCAAACCACCGGGAGAUUUGGUGGUGAGAGAGGUAACGUACCUCUGCGGGGAGAAUUUCAUAGAGAAAGAGAGCAGUCCCCGGCAAGACAGACUGGCGACGAGGACGACGGGGUGGUGAAUGCAGAGGAAACAGAGUUGAGGCAACACUUGCAUGAUGUAGAGCAAGAGCGGGAUUAAGUCGCAGCACGUGACCCUGGUCGUGCAGUGCAGCUGGAGGAGGAAGUGCGCAGACUAGCGCAGAUAAUCGACGACAUGCAAGGAAGGAACAGAGCCCCUGGUUGGAGGAUAAUGCUGGAUGGAGAAUCACCGCUCGCAGCAGAGAUCAUGAGGGCAGUUAUUCCGAGAGAUUUCCGCCUCCCAGACCUCAGAUACUCGGGAAGAACUGAUCCGUUGGUGCACAUAGAGCGCUUCAACGACAUAACUAGGGUACAAGGAUUAUCUCAAUCCCAAAGGUGCAGAGUGUUCCCACUAUCCCUUGAGGGACGUGCACGAGAAUGGUACAGGAAACUUCCUCGGGGCAGCAUUAAAACCUUCGAGCAGAUGUGCUAGGAAUUCGCGGAGCAGUUUAGUGGGGCAAUGGCGCCGGAAGAUGACAUGAUGGAGCUGAAAAGCAUGAAACAGGGGGAGCAAGAAACCCUUCGGGAAUUCAUCAAGAGGUUUCAUCGGGCUGUCCUCGACUUGGGAGCCUUCAACCACCCUCAGGCGUUAAGGGGAUUGAAAGAAGGGGUGAAGAUAGGAAGGCUGUGGUACAAUUUGAGAAGCCCAGCUAUUCAAACGUAUGCAGCCGCAUACGAACAGGCUAAGAGAGACAUCGAGAUUGAAGAGGAGAAGGCUGCACGGAUUAAGACAGACCAGUUAGAAGGGCUGGGGAGGAAAGAGAAGAAAGCAUUACCGGGGAAUGGGCCGAUCAGGAGGAGGGACCACCAGGCCUCCGGUAGUGGAGCAGGAGGUCGGGUAGCCGCUUACCAGCCUCAUCAAAGGCCACCACAGUAUCAGCGCAGCAGGGCGCAACCUCCUCGUUCCCCAGCUAGGGAGCCUUGGAAAAGGCAUGAGUCGGCAUCUGGUGGUCUCCAACAACACCCCCACGGUAUCAGAGCGAGCAGACCAGAAGUACUUCCACCGCCCCCAACUCAGAGCGGGGCAAACAGGGAAAGAGCAGUGCACCUGAUCGACCAGAACCCGGACUAUGGGCGGUACACUUCCUUGAAGAUGUCCCUGGAUGAGGUGUACGAGGCCAUAAAGGAUCGAGGGCUGCUACACCUCCCUACACCAAUAACAAAGCUACCUAACAGGAGGGAUAGAGGACGUUAUUGUAAGUUCCAUGGCACCCAUGGCCAUACCACAGCAGAGUGUAGAGAUCUCAAGACCCAGGUCGAAGAUUUGGUGAGAAAUCGGUACCUGGACGAGUUUAUGGAUGGGACUUUCCCGAUGGGGGCCACAACAGGUGAAGGGGAGCAGAGUGGCGGAAACGUGAGGCGCGAGCAGCCCGCAGUAAGGGUGAUAGCUGGGGGCCCGACAUUGGCCGGAGAUUCCAACAGAUCGAGAAAAAAUUAUGCUAGGUACGCCAUGACCAGUAAAGAGGUACUCCUCAACACCCCAGCAGCCAAACGAGCAAGGGUCAGGCAAGUGCCAAUCAUGUGGACGGAUGAGGAUGAGGAAGGGAUUCUAUACCCCCAUGAGGAUGCUUUAGUCAUCAAGGCUACUGUCGCUAGCAAGAAGUUUGACCGGAUACUGAUUGAUACAGGGAGCUCAGUUGAUGUGUUAUUUAAGUCAACCCUGGAAGAGAUGGGAAUAGCCGACCGGAAGUUGGAAUAUACCAAUACCUCCUUGAAGGGGUUCGGAGGAGGGAAGCUGGUCCCUCUGGGCGUGGUCGAGCUGCCUAUCACAAUUGGGAGCUCCCCGACAGAAAGAACAAUGAUACUGGACUUUGUCGUAGUGGAUGAGGAAGGUCCUUACCAGAUGAUCCUAGGUCGGCCAUUUUUAAGGAUGAGCAAAGCGGUGUUGUCCAAUCAUUAUCUGGCUCUGAAGUACCGGGUGAACGGGGUAGUAGGAGUGGUACGAGGAGACCAGAGGAUCGCAAGAAGCUGCUACUCCUCGGCAGCAAGGGAAGCAAUGCAGAUAACAUCCCUCGAUACCCGAGUGGAAAACAAGAAGGGCAGACAAGAACCUGUAGAGGAUCUGGAAACAGUAAGCCUGGGACCAGAGAACCCGGGAAAGAUGAUCAGAAUCGGGUCGAGACUUAAGGGAGAGCAAAAGCAGGAGUUGGUGAAAUGCUUACAGGCUCAUGCUGAUGUGUUUGCUUGGACACAUGAAGACAUGCCAGGGAUUGACCCUGAGGUAGCAUGUCAUAAGCUGGCAAUAAAGAAAGGUGCUCGGGCAGUAAGGCAGAAGAGGAGGUGUUUCAACCAGGAGAGGUAUGAGGCUAUAAAUGGCGAGGUGGAGAAGCUCUUGAGAGCAGGGUUCAUUCGGGAAGUCAGUUACCCUGAGUGGAUAUCGAAUGUGGUGUUGGUAAAGAAGGCAAACGGCAAGUGGAGGAUGUGUGUGGAUUUCACAGACCUCAAUAAGGCGUGCCCAAAAGACAGCUUCCCUUUACCAAAGAUCGAUCAGCUAGUAGAUUCAACGGCUGGACAUGGUCUGCUUAGCUUCAUGGACGCGUUCUCGGGAUACAACCAGAUCCCCAUGUACGAGCAGGAUGAGGAGAGCACGGCUUUCAUCACUAACCAAGGUUUGUUCUGUUACAGGGUAAUGCCAUUCGGUCUCAAAAAUGCCGGGGCCACCUAUCAAAGGCUGGUGAACAAAGUCUUUAAGCCGUUGAUUGGGAAAACCAUGGAGGUGUACGUGGAUGACAUGAUCACCAAGUCCAAAAUCCCGGAGGAACAUGUCAGACACCUCGAGGAGACAUUCGAGCUUUUGAGGAAGUAUAAGAUGAAGCUCAACCCGGAGAAGUGUGCUUUUGGGGUCGAGUCGGGGAAAUUCCUUGGAUUCAUGGUGAGCCAUAGGGGGAUUGAAGCAAAUCCCGAGAAAAUCCAGGCGAUUGUGCAAAUGACGUCUCCCCGUAACCUGAAGGAGAUGCAGAGCCUCACGGGGAGGUUGGCGGCGUUGAGCAGAUUCAUAGCCAAGGCUACAGAUAAGUGUCAGCCGUUCUUUCAAGUGAUGAGGAGGGGAAAGAAAACAGAAUGGACCUCAGAAUGCGAGGAAGCCUUCCGGAACUUGAAGCAAUACUUGCAGCAAGCUCCGCUGCUGUCCACACCGAGGGAUGGGGACAAGUUAUAUCUGUAUUUAGCGGUAUCGGCUCGGGCCGUCAGUUCUGUUCUGGUGAGAGAGGAAGAAGGAGUUCAGUAUCCGAUAUAUUACACCAGCAAGGCCCUGCUCGACGCUGAGACCAGAUACCCACCGUUGGAGAAAUGGGCACUUGCCCUUGUGGUUGCUGCUCGGAAGUUGAGGCCAUAUUUUCAAGCAUUCCCGGUCUUGGUAAUAACAAACCAGCCAUUGCGUCAAACUCUGCACAAGCCAGAUGCCUCUGGUCGGCUCGUCAAGUGGGCUGUAGAGCUGAGCGAGUUCGACAUAGACUAUAAGCCCCGCGCAGCGAUAAAAGCCCAGGCAAUGGCCGAUUUCGUAGCUGAAUUCACAGAGCCCGAAGUAUGCUUAGAUCAACAAGAGGCAGAUAUAGGCAAUGACGAAACUCAAGUAUGGCAGAUGUCUGUGGAUGGGUCAUCAGGGGAGCGGGGUUCAGGAGUAGGGAUUGUCUUGGAAGGCCCAGAGGGGGAGGAGAUCUCUUAUGCUGUAAAAUUGGAAUUUGCAGCCACGAAUAACCAGGCAGAGUAUGAAGCCUUGAUAGCAGGUCUGGAAUUGGCUAAGGCCGUGAAAGCAAACAAAGUUAAGAUCAGAACUGAUUCCCAGCUGGUAGCGAAUCAUGUCAGUGAAAGAUUCCAACCAAGAGAGGAGAAGAUGGGGCAGUACCUGAAGAUAGUCAAGCAGAUGAUGGGGAAGUUCGAAGCAGUGGAGGUGAUACAGAUCCCCAGGGAGCAGAAUAGUCGAGCAGACAUUUUGGCUAGGAUGGCAGCAGUAGCCGACCCAAAAAUGCCAAAGUCGGUCCCUCUGGAGGUGAAGUCCGGCCCAAGUAUCGAUCAGAAUUUGGGGGUGAUGCGGAUAGAACAAAAAUGCUCGUGGAGGGACCCGAUAGUUUCAUACCUUAGAGACGGGGUAUUACCACCAGAUAAGAUGCGAGCUCGCAAGCUUAGAGCCCAGGCCUCGAGAUACACGAUGAUUGAUGGGGUACUGUAUCGGCGAGGAUAUACACUACCGUUCCUUCGGUGUUUGGAUGAGGACGACGCGGAUUACGUACUAAGAGAAGUACACGAAGGAAUUUGCGGAAAUCAUUCUGGCGGGAGGUCCCUGGCCCAUAAGGUUCUAAGGCAGGGAUAUUUCUGGCCGACAAUGCACCAGGAUGCGCAAGAGAAGACCAGGAGUUGUGUAAGUUGCCAGAGUUUUGCAAAUUUCUCUAACCAACCACCAGAGAAGCUUACCUCCAUGACCUCCCCCUGGCCAUUUGCUCAAUGGGGAAUUGAUCUGAUCGGCCCAUUGCCAAAGGCACGGGGAGCAGCAACACAUGCAAUAGUUGCUAUAGAUUACUUCACGAAGUGGAUAGAGGUAGAAGCCCUUAGCAGGAUCACAGAGAAGAAAACAACAGACUUCGUGUGGAGAAACCUGGUCUGUCGAUACGGGAUCCCUUAUGCCUUGGUAACGGAUAAUGGCAGGCAGUUCGAUAACCACAGCUUCAGGGAUUUCUGCCAGAACCUCGGGAUAGAGCUGAAGUAUUGCUCGCCUGCUCACCCUCAAUUGAAUGGACAAGUAGAAGCAGCCAACAAGACCAUCAAGAGGCUUUUAAAAACCAGGCUUGGAGCAAAAAAGGGUGCGUGGGUUGACGAGCUGUCAGGUGUGCUAUGGGCAUACAGAACAACCCACAAAACCGCAACUGGGGAGACACCGUUCGCUUUGGCUUUCGGACAUGAAGCGGUCGUGCCGGCUGAGAUAGGAACGACCACACACCGGACAAAUCAUUUCAAUGAGCAGGAGAACGACGAGCAGAUAUGUUUGAAUCUUGAUCUGCUAACGGAAAGGUGGGAGCAAGCAGCCGAGCGAUCAGUCAUUUACCAACAGAGGGUUGCUCGGUAUUAUAACCAGAAGGUGAACAUACGGCAAUUCAGGGUCGGAGACUGGGUACUGAGAAGAGUGAAUCAGAGCACCAAAGAUUCGACUCAAGGAGUGCUGGGACCGAAUUGGGAAGGGCCAUAUAGAGUCAAGCAGAUAGCGGGACCCGGAGCUUACAGGCUGGUUCGCACGGACGGCCACGAGGUGAAACGCCCAUGGAACGCAGCACACCUCCGAAAAUACUUCCAGUAAGACUUGUUCACAUGUGAAAACUAUUUUUGCUCAUGUUCAUUACCGUUUAUCUUUCACGCUUAUUGUCCAAACAAUUUCAUGUAAGUCGAAUCCUGCCAUUAAUGGAACGUCGAGGAAUUUCUUUCGCUUGAAACCGAGAAAAUUUUCCAAGGCAUGCAAAGGCUCACCAAGUCUCAAAGCCUGUCUUAUGGCGAGACAGAAGCCAAGCAUGCCAGGAUCUGCUCGGCCACGAGAAGGCAAGCAGAAUCCCAAUCCUCGAAGAAUCCAAGGCAUGCAAAGGCUCACCAAGUCUCAAAGCCUGUCUUAUGGCGAGACAGAAGCCAAGCAUGCCAGGAUCUGCUCGGCCACGAGAAGGCAAGCAGAAUCCCAAUCCUCGAAGAAUCCAAGGCAUGCAAAGGCUCACCAAGUCUCAAAGCCUGUUUUAUGGCGAGACAGAAGCCAAGCAUGCCAGGAUCUGCUCGGCCACUAGAAGGCGAGCAGACUCCAAAGCAUUCGAAGAAAUGCCCAAGGCAUGCAAAGGCUCGACAAAGUCUCAAAGCCUGUUUUAUGGCGAGACAGAAGCCAAGCAUGCCAGGAUCUGCUCGGCCACUAGAAGGCGAGCAGACUCCAAAGCAUUCGAAGAAAUGCCCAAGGCAUGCAAAGGCUCGACAAAGUCUCAAAGCCUGUUUUAUGGCGAGACAGAAGCCAAGCAUGCCAGGAUCUGCUCGACUACUAGAAGGCGAGCAGACUCCAAAGCAUUCGAAGAAAUGCCCAAGGCAUGCAAAGGCUCGACAAAGUCUCAAAGCCUGUUUUAUGGCGAGACAGAAGCCAAGCAUGCCAGGAUCUGCUCGGCCACUAGAAGGCGAGCAGACUCCAAAGCAUUCGAAGAAAUGCCCAAGGCAUGCAAAGGCUCGACAAAGUCUCAAAGCCUGUUUUAUGGCGAGACAGAAGCCAAGCAUGCCAGGAUCUGCUCGGCCACUAGAAGGCGAGCAGACUCCAAAGCAUUCGAAGAAAUGCCCAAGGCAUGCAAAGGCUCGACAAAGUCUCAAAGCCUGUUUUAUGGCGAGACAGAAGCCAAGCAUGCCAGGAUCUGCUCGACUACUAGAAGACGAGCAGACUCCAAAGCAUUCGAAGAAAUGCCCAAGGCAUGCAAAGGCUCGACAAAGUCUCAAAGCCUGUUUUAUGGCGAGACAGAAGCCAAGCAUGCCAGGAUCUGCUCGACUACUAGAAGGCGAGCAGACUCCAAAGCAUUCGAAGAAAUGCCCAAGGCAUGCAAAGGCUCGACAAAGUCUCAAAGCCUGUUUUAUGGCGAGACAGAAGCCAAGCAUGCCAGGAUCUGCUCGACUACUAGAAGGCGAGCAGACUCCAAAGCAUUCGAAGUAAUGCCCAAGGCAUGCAAAGGCUCGACAAAGUCUCAAAGCCUGUUUUAUGGCGAGACAGAAGCCAAGCAUGCCAGGAUCUGCUCGACUACUAGAAGGCGAGCAGACUCCAAAGCAUUCGAAGUAAUGCCCAAGGCAUGCAAAGGCUCGACAAAGUCUCAAAGCCUGUUUUAUGGCGAGACAGAAGCCAAGCAUGCCAGGAUCUGCUCGACUACUAGAAGGCGAGCAGACUCCAAAGCAUUCGAAGUAAUGCCCAAGGCAUGCAAAGACUCACCAAGUCUCAAAGCCUGUUUUAUGGCGAGGCAGAAGCCAAACGUGCCAGGAUCUGCUCGACCACUAGAAGGCGAGCAGUCUCCAAAGCAUUCGAAGAAUCUCCAAAGGCAUGUGGCAAAACCAUGAGCCAAGCCGGAACCUGCUCGUCUAGACAGAGACAAGCAGAUUCUCAACCGAAAAUUAAUUCAUAAUUACAUCACAAGAAAGUAAUCAAAAACCAUUUUUAUUAAUUUGUUAAUAAUUAACAGAGGGGAUAAUCUUCAUGAACAUUGUUCAUUACAAUACAAGAAAUAUAUCAGGAAGAUGGUGGACCAGUAAGCCCGGCAGCAUCGGUUGGCUGGACCUCCUCAGGUGCAGGAGGGGUAUCACCAGUUGCGUCCGGGGGGUGCUCGCCUCGCCAACAUCAGCAGGGACUGCACGAGCAGGAGAGUCUUCCUCCUCAAUCACGAUCGGCUCUACCCCAUCGGCAUCUUCCUUGGCCGCCUCCUCAUCCAUAUGUUGAGCAACACCAGCUGCAAGGUCAUCCAUCUUCAGAUCAGGGUGUUGCUUCCCGAGGACGGCCAUGAUGCAACGAUAGGAAUGCCGAAGUCCCUGGUCGUACUGGUUGUCAGCCUCCCUCUCCAAGUUCUCGACCUGAGCUCGGUGGGAGUCGCGGAGAGAUUCGAGCUGAGCCUCAUACAUAGCCUUCUGCCUUUGCAGAUCCUCCUUGACCGUGGUAAGCUCCUCCUCGAGGGAAAUGGCUUUUGCUUGAGCAAGUGAUUCUUGCUCUAUUAACUUCAGAUUCUCGAGAUUCAGCUCCCCUGCUUUCUUCUCGGCAACGUCAGCUCUGGUCGUCGCCGAUUGAAUAUCCUCCUUCAUCUUCCGGUCGUAGCGGCCAACCUUAGCCUUGUAAUAGGUGGUCAUGCAGCUGAGGUGGAAAGCGCUAUGCUGCAUGGCCCCCACCAGCUCACCCAAGGUGCGGCCGUCAAAGUCCUCCAAGUCCUUCUUGCUCAUGAGUUUAGUUAACUCAUUGAGGUAGGGGACCAGGUGUUCUGCUCGGCUGUCAGGUAAGCGAGAUCGAGGCCCGACAGGAGGAAAAGAGGAAGCAGGAUCUGUAGCUGCUCCACUAGCUUCCCCGACUUUUACAGGAGCAGGAGGUAAAAUCUUCAAGGGUGGGACCUGCUGCAUGAUGUUGGCCCGCUUUGCAGCAGGGGCAUUCUUAUUCUGGUCCCUCUUCGUGGUGGGAGGUCGGGAACGUUUUCGGGUCAGAGCCCCAAUCACAGCGUCCUCCAUCCUAUGGCCAGGAAGUAUCAAGCGAGACUCGAGCAAGUUGUAUGUAGUUAGCAGUUCUCGGCUCGAGCAGGAAUUGGCUAGUACAGCCUCGACCCGUUUGAGCUGGUCAGGUUCAAGCGGGAAGUGGACACCCCAAGAAACUACAACACAAACAGACACUUGGUUAGAGACAAGCCAAUAAAGCAAGAACAAUUAUGGAUGCAAGACAUCUAGAGCGAGCAGGCAACCUGGGACCGUGAAACGGGGUGGGACGCGACAAUCCUUCCCGCCUAUUUGUGCAACUUGACCCCAAGGACCCCCAGCAAAAAAGAAUUUCCUCUUCCAAGCCCCACCACCACCGGUUGGAAGAUCGGUUAUGGAUUUCCGGCUCUUGGUGCUAGAUUGGAAGUAGUACCAGCCGGCAUCUUUGGGGCUGCUCUUUAGCUGGUACAAGUGCUUCACCUCGUCAACCGUGGGCUCGCUUUGGCAACAUCUGUCCCACAAUAUGAACAGACCAGAGAGCACUCUCCACCCAUUGGGAUUCAGCUGACCAGGAGCUAGAUUUAGCCCGUUAAGUAUCCGGGCAAAGUAGGGUUGCAAGGGACACCUCAGCCCGUACUUAAAGCUCUCUAGAAACAGGGUAACGUAUCCCCUAGGAGGCCGGCUGGGAGCAUCCUUCUUUCCUGGGACCUUGAGAGGUAUCUCACCAGGAAUGCUAUACCUAAGCUGGAGGUCAUUGAGCUCGUCAAACAAGGUCGUGCACGUCAUGUAAUCAAUGGCAUAAUCGCGCGACAAGGCUCUGCCUCCUACUGUACCCCGUUCCUCUAGUCGUGAUGUUCCAGAUGGAGACACCUCACCAGAGUCACCUUCCCCAUUCUCACUUAAGGUGUCCUCAGAGCCAGAAGGUCCCCCCUCACCAUUGCUUCCGCUCGUGGAGGUUGUUUGGGGGGACAUCCUCCUAGCACUAGUCCCGACACUAAACCUAAUGGGUUCUAAGGGGAUCCCGGGGUCAAAAGCCGGAUCAGUGAGCAGACUAGGCAGGAAACUUAGUUCGUCGUCAUCAAUCUCAACGACUUUCUCCUUACCUUUCGACAUUCCCUAAGCCCUAACCACAACACCACCAACUACUACCUAAACAGAAGAGAAGAGAAAUUAUCUACAACUAUCCGAGACCAAGGAGAUAGAAGAAAUACCUGAAGUAAUGGUUCAGUCGGUGAAAGUCAGAGAUGGAGGCCUUUUAUGCCGGAACUUCUUUGCCGGAGAAACAGAGACGGAGACGGAGUGAAUGAUGAAUAUGCCGUUCGAGAGGAUUUGGUUUUCCUAAUGAAGACGGACUCUUGGGUUGCCAGCAUUUAACGGCGCCGAAUCCCGAGGGUCUCAUAACCGUCGGUUUGAAAUUCAAAUGAAGGGGGGGAUUUCUGCCACGUCACCUCGUCCGCAAUUAAAUGCGACAUGACUCUUGGCAGCCUUUUCCAAUCCCACGCGGGCGAGUACUAACGAGUUUCUACUGCUGGUCCACUACAUUACCCAACACCAGAAACUGGGGGACCGGUGUUUGGGAGAAAUACGUCGAUGAGACCAGGCAUGGUGAGCAGAUAUCUGAUGGCAGAGUUCUGCGAACCGGUGUGUUCCGUAAAAGCCUGGUGCACGGGGGAACAUGAGCAGAAGUAUCCUGCUCGUCCACGAGCACGUCAUCCGCGAGGCAAAUUUCCUGUAAGAGGCAUAAGGUCAUUCCGGCUAGAGGUCGAGAGGCGAGGAGACCCGGUCGACGGCAGUUGGCAAGACAUGCUCCCCAGCCCGAGAAUCUAGGCACGACAGCCACGCUUUCCCCAGAACUGUGGCGUAACACGCAAGAUCUCACAGAACCACGACAGCCACGCUUUCCCCAGAACCGUGGCGUAACACGCAAGAUCUCACAGAACCACGACAGCCACGCUUUCCCCAGAACCGUGGCAUAACACGCAAGAUCUCACAGAACCACGACAGCCACGCUUUCCCCAGAACCGUGGCGUAACACGCAAGAUCUCACAGAACCACGACAGCCACGCUUUCCCCAGAACCGUGGCGUAACACGCAAGAUCCCACGUUUGCCCAUAACGCAGCAGUCAGAGUCCCAUACCGUCUCAGAAAAAGCGGAAAACUGGGAUUCAGGGGAAGCCUAUAAAAAGGUAGCCAACGAAGGUAAAAGGGUUGGCAUUUUUGAGAUUAUAAAAGAAAUGAAAAAAGAAGAGAAAACGACGAAAAAGCCAUAAGAUCUGUGGCAAGUGUCCCCCGAACCUUCAUAUCUGACUUGAGCGUCGGAGGGUUUGCGCCGGGAAAACAACCGGCGUACUCUGACUUGUCUGUGUGCGCAGGAACCUCUGGAGAAGAAGCCUCACGUGGAGACCUCCUGGUCGUGAAGAAGUUGAUCGGGCAGAGAUCCUGGUCGUAGAACGAGGAGAACCGGAAUCCCGCAUCAACAGAACUUGUACUUGUCCUGUGAUCCGUACAUGCGACCACGAAUGACCUACAUCGAAGGAUCUUACGUUGAAUCCUUUAAACCUGGCUUGGUUAGUGCACUCGCUCAUGGCCACGCUUUUCAUUUCCAUGGCUUCUUGCUCUUUUGUUAUAGAAAAUUUAUUUUUGGUUGCAGUUUGAUUCGACUGCUAAAAUCUCGUGCGAUAAUUGUAUAAGAUAUCUAGAGUUUGAACUUCUUUCACAUUAGGGUUCAAGGAAGUUAACUUAAAUGAUUUUCAAAAUUUUAAAUGUGUACCAAAGAAUUUAAUUUCAUAGCUUAAACUUAUAUUUUGAUCAUACUCUAACUUUGGACAGGAAAAAUUAUAUUUUUCCUUUAGUUCUUUGCCUUGGUGUAUGUUGUGUGAAGUACUUGUGCUUGAAAAUGAAUUGCUGACACAGAAAUUUCUAUGAAUGCAUGCAGCCCAUAAGUGGAUAUGGGGUGGGUAAAGUUUUGGAUUCAGAGAAUCCAGAGUUCAACAAAGGUGACUUGGUUUGGGGAAUGACUGGAUGGGAAGAGUAUAGUCUCAUUACGGCUCCACACUUGUUUAAAAUUCAACACACAGAUGUGCCUCUUUCUUACUAUACUGGAAUCCUCGGUAAACUUUUUGUUUGCACAAUUUAUGUGAGCAAAUUGUGUCUUCUUUUUCAUAUGUAAAUGUUUUUGAUAUCUUGAUGUGAAGGUAGAAAAUUGCAUGUUUUGAGUUUUUGCAUAUUUGAUGGAAACACAGAACUGUACCUGAAUCUUUCAGAACCCCCUUCUCUUUGAAGUUUGAACACUUUUCUUGAAUGUAUCAACUUUAUUUAUGGGAUAUGUUGCCAAAUUGGAAAAUCUAUUCGUUAUAAAACUUUCCUUUGACAGUUUAAUCUAAGCAGAUGUUAAUUCUGCAAAUAGAGUGUGCCUUAGAUUAGUUUCAUAGAUUUGUCUCCUUCUGUACAGUAAAAACUUUGAGCAUUUUCGCCAUAUUCUGAUCAAUACACUCCAACUAGUUAGUUCUUGAGGCGUUUUAUGGUUUCGUGGAGUGAGGCAAGAUGUAUACGUUUGCAAAUUGGCAAUGUCUUUCUCUUGAUGGGUUGAGAGUUGUGAGUGUCAACAGGAAACAAGACCUCUGUUUUAUGAACUCCAAAAAGUUAUUCUGUUAAAAAGAUCGAGACAGAGGCCAUACUAUAUUUAUUAUUGCUAUAAAAGUGUGAAAAAAUAUUCUUUAUUUAAUAUUCUAAACGAUUGAGCCAUUUAGUUAUGAUACUCUGCUGUAUUGGGGCUAAUAAUCUAAGUCGGUUCAAAGUGGUAAAUUUAUAAAUUGAUAGGUAUGCCUGGUAUGACCGCUUACGUUGGAUUUUAUGAGGUCUGCUCUCUUAAGCAAGGAGAGUGUGUCUUCAUAUCCGCAGCAUCUGGUGCAGUUGGACAGCUUGUGGGGCAGUUUGCAAAGUUAUUGGGUUGCUAUGUCGUCGGAAGUGCUGGAAGCAAAGACAAGGUAUGUAAAAUUAGAAUUUGAUCAACAGAUUUGGAGUGUUUGUUUACAGAGAAAAUCUAAGAGAAAAUGUAAGAAACUUUAGCUGAGAAUAUUCAUUUUGUUCAACUUAAUAACAGAAUGAGAUUACAAAGCUUAUAUACUGCUAUCAAGAAUCAUCUUAACACAUACAUCAUUUUCACGUGUAUUUAUCUUUGAAAGAAGCUAAAUAACCAGCUUAACAAACUCACAACUACUUUGCUGACUGGACUGCCACGUCACCAUAACUAACUUAACUAAUCCAAUCAGUUAAUCACAGUUAACACAUAUUCUUAUCAUCCCCCCUCAAGCUUAAGUUCGGGGAAGGACAUUAAGCUUGGUACGAAGAUAAGCAAACUGAUCAAAAGAGAGGGGCUUGGUGAGAAUGUCUGCAAGUUGUUCUGAACUGGAAACAUGACUGAUCGUGAGUUGCUUCUGGGCAAUAUGCUCUCGAAUAAAAUGAAGAUCCAACUCAAUGUGCUUUGUUCGAGAGUGAUACUUAGGAUUGCUAGCUAAUGCCUCAGCACUCUGAUUAUCACAUUAUAGAACAGGACUUUGAGUUGGCUGAAUUUGCAGUUCUUGAAGCAAAUAAGUGAGCCAAAGAAUUUCAGAGGUUGCCGAAGCAAGAGCUCUAUAUUCAGACUCUGCUGAGGAACGAGAAACAAUGGUUUGUUUCUUGGAGGACCAAGAAAUAAUAUUGUUUCCUAAGAAUACACAAUACCCUCCAGUAGACUUUCGAUCAUCAGGAUCAGCUGCCCAAUCAGCAUCAGAAAAUGCUGUUAAAGUCACAGAGCCUGAAUUGAAGAAUUGAAUCCCAAAGUGUGAAGUAGCUUGAAGAUAUCGAAGAACCCUUUUACAAGCUUGCCAGUGUGCAAUGGUUGGAUGAGCUAGGAACUGACUAAGCUUGUUAACAGGAUAAGCUAUAUCAGGUCUUGUUAGCAACACAUACUGAAGAGAGCCCACAAUACUUCUGUAUAAUGAGGGAUUAUCAAAAACUUCACCACUGUCCUUUGUAAGCUUAUCACCUGGACUCAUAGGAGUAUUAAAACCUUUGCUGUCAAGCAUAUUUACUUUUCUAAGGAUAUCACCAAUGUAUUUGGUCUGAGAUAAAUGCAGUCCCUGAACAGAGGGUGUUACUUCAGUACCAAGAAAGUAGUUAAACUCUCCUAGAUCUUUGAGUGCAAACUCUGAAUGAAGAUAUUGAAUAACAGCCUCAAUAUGUUGAGAAUUAGAACCAGUAACUAAAAUAUCAUCAACAUAUAUAAGAAUGAGCACAAUAUCAUGGUCAAUAUGCUGAAUAAACAUGGAUGUAUCAGAUUUUGAGGAUUGAAAACCUUUAUGGAGUAAGGACCCUUUCAACCUCUCAUACCAAGCUCUAGGAGCUUGCUUGAGACCAUAUAAGGCUUUGUUUAACUUGCAAACAUAUGAUGGAUUUGCAAAGUCUAUAAAACCUUGUGGCUGAUGCAUGAACACAUCCUCUUCAAGCAUACCAUUGAGAAACGCAUUAUUAACAUCCAGCUGUCUAAUCUGCCAAUGAUGCAACACUGCUAGACUGAGGACAACUCUGACUGUGCAAGGUUUCACAACUGGGCUGAAGGUCUCAAAGAAAUCCACCCCUUGAGUUUGAUGAUAACCCUUGGCAACCAACCUAGCUUUGUAUUUGGAAAUGCUGCCAUCAGGGUUAUACUUCACCCUAAAUACCCACUUAUUACCAACUAUUUUAGCAGCACUUUCAGAGGGCACUAGAGUCCAGGUUUGAUUUCUUUGCAGAGCAUCAAAUUCCUCUUUCAUAGCACAAAACCACUUGGAGUCAUGCAAGGCACUUUUGACACUAGUUGGCUCAAGAUUUUCAGUAGCUGCUAGAUAUGACUUGGGUUUGAAGAUACCAGCUUUAGCUCUAGUAAUCAUUGGGUGAGAUGGUAAUGAAGAUGAGUGAGUUGGUUCAGCUGAAGGAUGAGAAUAAGAAGGUUGUGCUGAACUGGAACUUGAUGGAGGAGACAUUGCUGAAUGAAAAUUAGGAGAUGAUGACUCUACAUUGCUACUGUCAACCUGAGCAGAAGUUUGAAGAAAAGAAAGUUGUACUGGUGAAGAAGGGACAUCAACAUUGGAGACUUGUGAGGUAGAGUGUUUUAGAAACAAUUCUGUGUUAGGAAACUCAGUUUCAUUAAAAACAACAUGUCGAGCAACAAACACUUUACCAGAUGAAUUUAAACACUUAUAACCUUUAUGAAGUGGACUGUAACCAAUGAAAAUACAUUUUUGAGUAUGAAAGUCAAGUUUAUGCUGGUUAUAAGGUCUGAGGAAUGGAAAACAGGAGCAACCAAAAACCUUUGGAAACUGAUAGUCAGGCAGAUGAUUAUGUAAUUUCUGAAAUGGGGAUAGAUUGUUUAGAACUGAUGUGGGCAUUCUGUUGAUAAGGAAAGAAGCAGUGUGGAAUGCUUCCCACCAAAAGGAGAGAGGUAACUGUGAUUGAGCUAGAAGUGUCAGACCUGUUUCAACAAUAUGCCUGUGUUUCCUCUCAACAACACCAUUUUGAUGGUGUGUAUAUGGACAACUAUACCUAAAACAUAUACCCUCUUGCUGAAGAAAGGUUUUAAAAGCUAUAAAUUCACCCCCCAUAUCUGACUGUAGUGUUUUGAUAGACAAGGAGAACUGUUUUUCAACAAGAAGUUUGAAGUGUUUGAAGGUUUCUAAGGCUUCUGACUUUGCUGUGAGAGGAAAAAUCCAAGAAUAUCGAGUGAAAUCAUCCACAAAAGAGAUAUAAUAUCUGUAUCCACUCAUUGAAUAUUCAGGAGCUGGUCCCCAUAAAUCUGUAUAUAGAAGCUCAAGUGGUGCUUUUGUUUUAAUGGUAGUGACAGAAAAAUGAAGCUGAUGCAUUUUGCCAUGUUGACAAGCAUCACAGAAGCUAAUGAAUUUAUUUGAAAAGCAAUGUGUGGGAAGACUUUUAAUAAUUGUUUGCAAAGCAUGUUUAUUGGGAUGACCAUAUCUAUUAUGUAACAACUGAACUGAUAUCUUUCCAGCUCUAGAAGAAUUUCCAGAAACAGAACAUGCAAAAGCUUCAGACAUAUUUACAUUAUCCAACUUUGACACAUGAUUAUUUGACUCUGGUAAAGAGUUUACAACUUUAUUAUCAAAACAAAAUGACAACAUGGAACUUGGUUUAAAAAGAUUUGGAUUGCAAUCUGCAGAGUAAGGAGAGAAGACAUCAAGUGACAGUAGCUUGUAAAGACCACCUUUAACAAUCCCCUGUGCCAGCAAAGUUCCCUCCUUCUUGUCCUUAAUAAAGCACAUGGUGGAACAAAAUUCAAUGAUUAUGUUAUUAUCCAAAAGAAGUUUAGAUAUACUGAUGAGGUUUUUGGUUAUUUUAGGAACACACAAAGUAUUGGUUAAGGAUAAACAUGUGCCAAAAGAAGUAGAAAGAUGAGUGCAGCCAAUAUGUGUGAUAGUAAGACCUUGUCCAUUUCCAACAAACAACAGUUGAGUACCAUUAUAAGGAUUACCUUCAACCAGGUUUUGCACAUUGUUGGUGAGAUGAUGAGUGGCUCCACUGUCCAGAUACCAUCCCUGAUCAGCAACUCCUUCUGAGGUAGCCAUAUAAGCUGUUCUUGGCCCUGGGUUCUGCAUUGGAGAAUUUGAAACAAAAUUUCUGUUAAAUCUGUUUCUACAAUCAACAGCUGAAUGGUUUGGUUUAAAACAUAUUUGGCAGGUAAUAUUUCCUCUGCCACCUCCUCUACCAAAGCCACCAGAGGACCCUGGAUUUCCACCAUUAAAACCACCAUUUCCACUAAAUCCACCAGUAUUUCCAUUAAAACCACCAGAGUUUGAACCUCUUCCUUGGUUUCCAAACCAGCCUCUCCCUGAGUUUUGAUCCAUAAAGCCACCUCUGCCAGAUCCAUAACCUCCUCUAUUGUUGAAAUUUCCAUUUCCAUUUCUAUUCACAAAAUUAACAUUCCAAUUACCCUGGUUAUUAGUAUUCCAAUUAGCAUUGCUUCCUGACUUCUUCUGAUUAUUACCAGUCUGAGCCACAUUAGCACUAAAAUUCACCUUAGUUUCCUUAGCUACACCAGAAUGAUUACUCUCAAGCCUAGCUUCAUGAGAUAGCAACAUAGAAUAAGCCUCAUUGAUGCUCAUUUUAAGAGCAUUUGCCUCAAUAUAAACUACAACAGGAUAGUAAGCCUGACCUAGCCCUGAGAUUAAAUGUGUAAUGAAGUCAAUAGAGCUAACUGAACUUCCAGCCAUUGCUAAUUCAUCAGUUACUGACCUUAGUUUACAAAAAUAUUCAGUAAUUGACAUGGAUCCUUUCUUAAGAUUGUUUAGCAGCAUCUUUAAAUGCACUUUCUUAGCUGCUGUUUCAAAUCCAAACUGUUCCUCUAAGCUUAUCCAAAGUUCUCGAGAGUUUUUAGAAUUUACCACAAUGCUUAAGAUCUCCACACUGAUUGAAGAUAGAAGCCAGCUCAAGAUCAUCUGAUCUUGCCUUUUCCAAGUAGUGUAGGCAGGAUUUUCUGAGAUGACUGCCGCAUCUGUGCUUGUUGAUUCACCAGUCAGCAGCUGGUUUGGACAGGUACGUGAUCCAUCAAGAAAACCUUCCAGAUCAUUUGCUCGAAUGGCUGAAAGGAUCUGAGAUUUCCAUAUAGUAUAAUUCGAUCUGUCAAGCUUGAUUGGUGUGGCGAAAGUAAAUGUUGAGAUUGCGGAAGAAACAUUUGUACUAAGACUUGAAGAAGCCAUGAUCAAGAAGUGAUUCAAGGCUCUGAUACCAAAUUAGAAUUUGAUCAACAGAUUUGGAGUGUUUGUUUACAGAGAAAAUCUAAGAGAAAAUGUAAGAAACUUUAGCUGAGAAUAUUCAUUUUGUUCAACUUAAUAACAGAUUGAGAUUACAAAGCUUAUAUACUGCUAUCAAGAAUCAUCUUAACACAUACAUCAUUUUCACGUGUAUUUAUCUUUGAGAGAAGCUAAAUAACCAGCUUAACAAACUCACAACUACUUUGCUGACUGGACUGCCACGUCACCAUAACUAACUUAACUAAUCCAAUCAGUUAAUCACAGUUAACACAUAUUCUUAUCAUGUAAUCUGUGUGAAGUACUUGAUUGUUUCCAUGUUACUUUCAAACAUUUAAAUUAAAAAGGAAAUUUUCAUAAUCUUGCCUUUUCUAUGAUUUUCAAAACCAAGGUUGAUCUACUGAAGAACAAGUUUGGGUUCGACGAGGCAUUUAACUAUAAAGAAGAAGCUGAUUUGAAUGCAGCAUUGAAAAGGUUAGCAUCAAUAAAUGCCUUAGCUUGAUGCAGCUUGAUGAAGUAUGAUACACAUUUCUGACCAAUAUACUGCGUUCCCUGAUCUCUUACUUGAAAUAUCUUGGUUUGAGAACCUCAUGCCAAUGCCUUUAACAUUUUGGCAGGUACUUUCCUGAAGGAAUUGAUAUAUAUUUUGAAAACGUUGGUGGAAAAACGCUUGAUGCAGUGCUACCCAACAUGAAAAUCCGUGGUCGAAUUGCUGCAUGCGGUAUGAUCUCACAGUACAAUCUUGACAAGCCUGAAGGUGUGCACAACUUGAUGUAUCUUGUUUUGAAACGGCUUCGAAUGGAAGGAUUCAUUGUUCUCGAUCACUAUCACCUUUAUCCAAAGUUUCUGGAAAUGAUCAUUCCUCACAUCAAAGAAGGGAAGCUUGUAUACGUCGAAGACAUGGCUGAAGGUCUGGAGAGUGCUCCGGCAGCUCUCAUCGGUCUAUUCUCUGGCCAGAAUGUUGGGAAACAGGUGGUUGCUGUUGCUCCUGAAUGAAGAACAAGUUAGUGUUGUAUGUUCUUUUACCCUUUGACACAAAACUUCAAUGUCAAAGAGAGAAUGCUGCUCAUACUGCUUUAUAAAAUAAUCAAAUGAGUGCAAGUUUCAUGAUAUUUGCUGAAUAAAAUAUUGGAAAUUAAGCAGCUAGCCUAGCUCCUUCUUGUAGUUGCAGUUUGAAUGAUGCUGCUGCACAACUGCUGCCGAAAAAAAUCCUUAAUAGAUGAUUAGCAAGGUUUCAAAAAUAAAAAUAAAUGUUUGUGCAAUGUGCCGAAUAUGACAGCCACAAAGAAAGAGCAUACAAAUUGAUUGGUUUUAUGUCUUCUCUAGGAGAAAGCUACAAUACAAGAAAUUGUAUUGAUGGAGCCUUGGACCAAAUUUCUUAUUUAAAUUUUUAAUUUUUUUUAUUAAAUUACUUAUGUUAUUAUGGUUUAUAUUUUUAGAAAUUCUUUAGAAAUUAAUACAGAACUAGUAGCAAGUUGAGAAAUCUACUGAAUGGUCAAGAUAUGAUAAUGUUUAUUGAAUUAAAUUAACAAUCAUCAUUUUCAUAAAUUAUUGUCAGGAUAUUUGAUUCAUGUCAGGUGUAAGUAACUAAGAGAGCGUUUGGGACAGACACCACAGUUGCUCCCGAUGCUUUAUUUUAGGGAAAUAUCCCCUGGAAUAAUGCAUAGGGCGCAGCCCCAAACGGACCCUAAAUGUGCUAAAAAAAAAUUAAUGAGUUGGGUGUGUUUGAUAUUCAUUUGUUGUAAUUCUUUUAAUAAUUAUUGUAGAAAAAAAUAUGAUAAAAAAUUUAUAAUUAUAAAUAAAAAUUAAUAAUAUAAUAAAUAAAAUUUUUAAACAAUAAUUUUAAUAAAAUAAUAAAUAUAUUAUCAAUUUUUCAUCGUUAAUAUUUAAGUCACAAUAAUAAAUAUUUAUUAAACACUUUAAUACUAUAACUAACACUACAACUUUUGAAUUAUAACAGUACAUUCUAAAGACCGUGGAACAAUAGUACAAAAGGUGCUCGUCGUGUAAACAACACAUGGGACCCAAGCAAUAAAUGUUUCUGAUCCUCAACUUUCCUCAUCACUGUCCCUGCAAACAAUUCUGAUUUUCUUGUCUGAUAAAAAAACUGAGAAACAAUGGCGGCCGAACAAGAAGCUGUGAGCAAUAAUGUAAAGCCACAAAUUUUCAUAAUAUUAAAUUAUGAAAAUUGGGCUUUCAUUGAGAAUUAUGGGUGGCCUAUAACCCUUAUUAAGAAAGGGAUACUAAUUAUAAAUACAAGUUAUUUAUGAGAUAGUUUUGAAAAAAUGUUAUUUUUCCUUAUUAAAUAAGGUUUCUUAAGACUCCCUAUAAAUUCAUACUUUUUCCCUUCCAUGACCCUAAGUCCAUGACGUUUAUUCUUCUUCUCUGCUGCUCUUUACGCUCCUACCCAAAUCAUAGGAUUCAAACCUUUGUUUAGGAGAGAAUCAAAGCGACGAGUAAGUUAUUCUCCCUAUUCUCAACAGAUUUCUAAUCACUCUAUCUAGGGUUUAUAUUGGCACGAUUCUAGAUGGUUAUAGAUCAUAAUGCAUGAUUUAGAAUGUAUUUAGGCUUUGUUUAGGGUUUUGAUUUAUUAUGAGUUUAGUUAAUCAAUCCUUGACGUAUUAAGCACAGGAUAAUUCUGGACAAUAUGAGUAUCUCGAAUUUAAACCUAUAUUUUCUGAACGAGUUUUAUUAUAAAAUUUAUAUUUCUGGAAACUAGACAUGUAGGGCUUCUUGAGUAAAUUUUAUUUCAUUAAAUUCGACUUCGUUUUCAAUUUUAUAUUUAUUUUCGAAAUAGAAACCACUGCACUGGAAAACUGCGAUUCCAGCAUUGCGAUCGGAUUCACAAGACUAUUUGUACCACCAAACGAACUCGGAAAAUUCUGAAAGUUUAUAUGUAGGUUAAUAUAUGUGUCUAGGAUUACCAGUUUUAAUUUCAUAAUUUUCUGAUUAGUAUUUUAUUUUAUAAAAAUCACAGAACCCGUUCUGUUUGGUUUAGAUUAUGUGAAAACAGUUUCGAAUUUGCUGAGAAAUAAAUAGUUUCGAAAAUGUUUUUGAUAUCGGAUCCUCUUGCAAAUUUUACAUAGGGUACUCAUGGAUGUCCAGAAUAGUCCCAUAGAAUAUUAUAUCAUUCUGAGUCUUAGAUUAAGAGUUAAAUUCUGAGAAUCAGACCUGUACGGGUAUGAAUUAGAAAAUCAGAUUCUUAGAAUAAGUUAUUAAUUGUCAUAUCUUGUAUUUGUUUAAGGUGUUGAAGGUGAUUGAGGUUCUUAGAAGCUUAAAGGUGUGUUAAUUCAAAUUCAUUUGUCGAGGUAAGUUACUUCAUUCCUACUAUAUUGGAUAUGUAUAAGUAUUUUGAUAUUAUCAUUAUAAGUAUAAAUGUUUUCAUACUAUUUAGAAGAUUAAUGGAUUUUCAUAACAAAAUUAGCUUAUGAAAAUGUUUUCAAAACCUAAUUUCUUUUUAACAAAGCAUUUUAUAAAUACUUUUUAAAUAUGUAAGUUAUUUUGUUACAUGCCUACUUUUAUGAUUUUAUUUAUAAAAUAUUUUGCAAGCCUAAAUUAUUGUUAUGGACUUUUAUGAAUCCGAUACGAAUGUUUUAUGCCUAUGCAUGAUUUCAAUUAUAUAUGAUUGUAUGGGGGCCACCUCUUGGGACUAUAUGGGGGCCACCUCUUGAAGGCCAAAGUGUCGCAAAGUGCCACAUAUAGUGCAAAGUGCCACGUAUAAGUCAUUAUGUUUUGGCUCAUUGUCCGUAGUCAUUUUGAUUCUGAUUCUGAUCAUAUAAUACGAUAUAUGUCUGUUUUGGACCAGUACUGGGUUUCUGUUCUGAGUGUGCACACGAUAUUUUGAUUCUGUUUCUGGCCGGGUCACUGGGACUAUAGGUGACACUAUGUGACAAGAGCUAACCUUUUGUUUUCUGUAUACGUAUUAUAUGAUUUACUUCAUAAGUAAAUAUGCUUUUGGAUAUUCGGAAUUAUUAAGAAUUUAUGUUAUGUUAUCGUGAUAUAUUGUUUUAUGAAAUUUAUGGAUUAUGAUAUAUGUUUUAAACAAAAGAAGGCUUGCAAUAUUUUUGUAUCGAUAGGCCCAGUAUGUUAGAAAUUGUUUUACUUACCGAGUUGACGGCUCACCCCUCGUCAUUACUUUUUGCAGAUUAAGUUUCUUUUGAGAGGUGCGCUUAGCUUUGGAGUUAGUAAUUUUCCGUUUCCAUUUGCCAUUUGAAUAAGAGGAGGAAUAAACUCGUGUUUCUAUUUAGUUAUUUCUAUUAUGAACGUGUAAUUUGGAGUUUGAGACUUUUGUUAUUAUUUUUAUGUCCUCGGGAGAGAUUAUUUAGUAUUAGACGUUAGAAUUUGUGGAUUUAUUUGAAUAAGAAUUGGAGGUAUUUCAGUUUGAAACUUAUGAGUAAAGAUUAUGAUUUGUGAGUAACCUCCUUCUUCACGUGCUCCGCACGUGUUAGAUUUGGGGUGUUACAAAUAAGCGGGUGAUUCUAAGCAACUAUGUGACAGGUUUUCCAAAAGAAUCAGACAUGAAGAUAACAAGUGGAUCAAUAAAGCUGAAGGUAGCAGACUGUUCAAAAGACACGGUGCUUUUGAAGAAUCUUUAUCUUUCUUGUGAUCCUUACAUGCGAGAGCGUAUGAGCAAGCUUGAUAGCCCUUCUUUUGUUGAUUCAUUCCAUCCUGGUGAGGUUAGUUCAUCACGGCCCAUCUCUUGAUUUUUUUUUUUCAUUUGCUUCAAGUUUUGAUGAGUUUCUGAGGUAAUUUGUACGGUUUUGGAAUUUGAACACAAUUUGUGAUUUUGGUGCUGUAACUGUCAUUAAUGAUAUGUAGUAAUUCAAUCGGAAUUUGGAUUUAGUGCUGAUAUGAUCUCUGCUCAUUUUUUUAAAUCUUGUGUCCACAUGCAUUUUUGAAAUCUGGUACGGUUGAGAUUGUAUGUAGAUUAACCUACGUACAGUAUUCUUGUCUAAUGACUACUAACCACAACCUUAUGAGACGAUCGAAACCAAGCUCGGAUCAAUAAUCCAAUCGAGAGAGGAUCAUAACUGAAGCUUAUCGUGUGUGGGAAUAUUUCGGUUAAAUUGUAAUCAUGAUCAUGAAUCAUGCAGGGAAAAGGGAAGUUGAGGUCAAUUUAUGCACUUGAUGGAAUUAAAGAACCAAUAUUUGAUUUUGGUUUACAUUAUUUCUCAGUAAUGGUGACUUUGUGAUGUUAAAUUUAUGCAGCCUAUAAACGGAUAUGGGGUGGCCAAAGUUUUGGAUUCUACACAUCCAAAUAAUGCAAAAGAUGACUUGGUUUGGGGCUUUACCGGGUGGGAGCAGUACAGUCUCGUUACAGCUCCGCAGCUUUUGAUUAAAAUUCAUCAUAAAGAUGUGCCACCUUCAUACUAUACCAGGAUCCUCGGUAAUGAUUUUUGUUACACAUUAAGCUUUGCUUAUAGUAAUAUCAAUACAUAUGCUGCUUAAAUGCUUUCUGAUUUUUUGCCGGCCAUUGUCCAUUUUGCCCGGGAGACUAUAAUUGAAGGAAUUUACUGAAGGAAUGCUGAUUGUUGGGAAUUUGAUUAUUCUAGGUAUGCCUGGUGUAACUGCAUACGCUGGUUUAUAUGAAGUUUGCUCUCCGAAGAAAGGAGAGUAUGUCUAUGUAUCUACAGCAUCUGGAGCUGUUGGUCAGCUUGUUGGACAGUUUGCAAAAUUAGCUGGUUGCUAUGUUGUUGGAAGUGCUGGAAGCAAAGAAAAGGUGCUGUUAUAUCAUUCUUAAGUAGUAAAUAUAGCACCGUGCCUUCUAGCAGAAUUUUACAUGCUUUAUGUUCCAACUAAGCAUCCAUAUUUGAUCGUGAUAAUUAGCAAGGUCAAUAAUUUUUUUUUGACUAUUUUUUCAACGUAAGGUCGAUUUGUUGAAGAACAAGUUUGGACGAUGCUUUUAACUACAAGGAAGAGCCAGACUUGGAUGCAGCGCUCAAAAGGUCAGCUGCAACAAACGUUUCAACUCUAAUAUUUCAUUUUAAUAUUACAGAGCUUUGGUUGAAGUGUGUGAGUUGAUCCCAGAAACGUAACUUCAUCAGUGUCUCUGUUUUCAAAAAACAGGACAAAUUAAAAUCUGAUUUUGCGUUAAAAUUUCCCAGAUGUUUCCCUCAAGGAAUCGACAUCUAUUUCGAAAAUGUUGGGGGAAAGAUGCUGGACGCAGUGCUACUCAACAUGAGGCUCCGGGGCCGCAUUGCGGUAAGCAGUAUGAUCUCACAGUACAACCUGGAAAAACCCGAAGGCAUACACAACUUAGAGCAACUGAUCGGGAAACGGAUUCGCCUGGAAGGAUUUCUAGCAGGUGAUUACUAUCACCUCUAUCUGAAAUUCUUGGAACUGGUCAUUCCUGCAAUCAGAGAAGGAAAGAUGGUGUAUGUGGAAGACAUAGCCGAAGGACUCGAGAAAAUUUCUCGUAACUGCUACACAUUAAACGCGUUUCACAUUUCCACUCUCUCUCUAUAAAUAAACACGCACAUAAAAUUUCUCACUAUCCAAAAACAAAAUCUACAUAAAAAAUGGCGGGUGAAGAAGGAGUGAGCAACAAGCAGGUGAUUCUGAGCAACUACGUGACAGGGUUUCCCAAAGAAUCAGACAUGAAGAUAAUAGCAGGCUCAAUAAACCUCAGGUGCCAGAGGGUUCAAAAGACACAGUGCUUUUGAAGAAUCUUUGUCUUUCCUGUGAUCCUUACAUGAGAGGACGUGUGAGCGAGCUUGAUAAGCCUUCGUUUGUUGCCUCGUUCGAGUCUGGCGAGGUCAGUUACUUCAAUUCCCAUCUCUUGGUUUCAUAAUCUUUUAUGGUUUUAGAAGGUGUUUUAGGGAAACAUUGUGGUUUUGGUUAGUGGGCAUGAGCCUUUGAAGAGAUUAUAAUGUGUAGGACUAUGUAUGCAAUAAUAAGUAUAGGGGAUCUUGUUAGGAGAAGAUUCUCUUAGCAAAAUAAAAACUUUUAUCUUAUCAAAACAUAUGCAGGGAACUUAGUUAUGAUGUCAUGUUAGCAUUGUCUCUGAGGAUUUGAUUUCUUGAUGGGGAAAGGGGAAUUUAAGGUUACAUUAUUCAGCAAUGGUUUUUUUUUUUUUUUUUUAAUUAUGUUCAAAUUAUGCAGCCUUUGAGCGGAUAUGGAGUGUCCAAAGUGUUGGAUUCCACGCAUCCAAAUUAUAAGAAAGAUGACUUGGUCUGGGGCUUAACCAGUUGGGAGGAGUUCAGUCUCAUCCAAUCACCACAACUUCUGAUUAAAAUUCUGGAUACAAGUGUGCCUCUGCCAUACUAUACUGGGAUUCUUGGUAAGUUGUUACUAAAUUUAUCAAUGUCCAGUUCGCAUGAGCUGAAAAUCAUGUUUUAUUUAAUGCAAUGAGAGAGGGAAAUAGUAUGCUGCUUGAACGUCUAGCAUUUUGAAUUUUCAAUGAUUGUACCCUACGUAUUGGCAUGUAACUGAAGGAUUUCUCUUGAGGAAUUUACUAUUUUUUCUGAUUGUCGGGUAUUUUUCUGUUGACUCUAGGUAUGCCUGGUUUGACUGCAUAUGGUGGUUUAUAUGAGCUUUGCUCUCCUAAGAAAGGAGAGUAUGUCUAUGUAUCUGCAGCAUCUGGAGCUGUUGGUCAGCUUGUUGGGCAAUUUGCGAAGCUGGUAGGUUGCGAUGUUGUUGGAAGUGCCGGAAGCAAAGAAAAGGUGAGUUUGCACCUUUAACCCUUACGCUCUAAAUAAAAACAUAACACCUUCUGAAAGAAUUUGCAUAGAGAAUUUUGCAUGUCACAGUAUUUGUGUUCUAACUAAUCAUGGAUAUUUGAUCAUUAGUCUAACUAAAACUGACUUAUUACCACCUAGUUGAUUGGUCUUUGAGAAAUGUUAGUUGAUAUAUGCUUGAAAUCAUACUUUGUUUUAUUAGAUGAUUAUAUUAACCUGCUUCUUUUUCUUUGUGCUGUUUCUCGUUUGAUUACAUUUUCAACAUUAGGUCGAUCUAUUGAAGCACAAGUUUGGGUUUGAUGAUGCUUUUAACUAUAACGAAGAGCCUGACUUGGAUGCAGCUCUUAAUAGGUUAUCACGAAUGAAUGCCUUAACCAUUUUUCUCACUUCAUUAUUACAAUGCGCUGAUUGAAGUAAUCAGUGUUGGCUCUGAAAAUGUAAUGUAUACUUCUCUGUUUUCAUAAAACAGGACAAACAGUGAUCAGUGAUCUCAUUCGUUACAUUGAUAUUUUCUACCAUUGCCAUAUGCCCAUACAUAGUAUAAACUAGGAAUUCAGUUGCUUAAUUGAUAUUCAUUUCAGAGGGAAAUUUUCACUUGCAGCUAACAGAAUCAUGUUUGUGAUGUAUGUUUAUUUGGGAAAUGAAAGGAUUUGCUGCAUUAUUUUAUUCCAAGUUUGCUGAAAUCAUAUUUGUUUUCCCAGCUGCUUUCCUGAAGGUAUCGACAUCUAUUUCGAAAAUGUUGGGGGUAAGAUGCUUGAUGCAGUGCUAUUCAACAUGAGAAUUUGUGGCCACAUCGCUGUAUGCGGAAUGAUCUCACAGUACAACAUUGAGAAGCCUGAAGGUGUACACAACUUGAUGCAAGUAGUUGGAAAACGAAUUCCCACGGAAGGAUUUCUUGCCGGUGAUUUCUACCACCAAUAUCCAAAAUUCUUGGAACUGGUUAGUGGUUAUGGCGGCAAUCAAAGAAGGAAAGUUAGUAUAUGUCGAGGACAUAGCUGAAGGCCUUGAGAAAGCUCCAUCAGCUCUAGUUGGGAUAUUCACUGAGCAGAAUGUUGGAAAACAACUGGUUGCAGUUGCUCGGGAAUGAUAUGAUUAUUAUAUGACCAUGGACUUUAAAAGCUUAGUGAAGAUGCCUCUGUCUUAUUUGUGAUCCAUGUUAUGUUUGUUUGAGAUACAUGUUAUGUUUGUUUGAUCAAGCUGUACUCAGAUAUAAAUCAAAGAUUCAGAACAUGUGUAUGAUACUGGUUUCUAAAUCAAUGAACGCUUUGAAAUGUUAGUGUUUUCACAGGAGAAUGCAAUUUAAUUCAUCAACAAUGUCCCAACAAGACCCUCAGAGCUGUAGCUUGUAAAGUUAAUUACCAUAUUUUUUUGUAAAGUUAAUUACCAUAUUUUUUUCUUUCCAAUAUAUUGCUUAUUUCAUAGAAAGUUUACAUUAAAGUCUCAUGUUUCUUUGAAAGGUAAGCAAGUGUGAACGUUUCAAUCUAGAGCUGGAAAAUGCAUUUCCGGGCAACUUACUUGAUAAAUGAAGUUUUCAUCUCUGACCAUGAUGUUUCCCACAGGUGCAUUCAUUUCAGCUGAUCUAUUUAAUUUUGUUUUCGAAGGAGUGACACAAAAUCUCCUUUGUUAAGGGGAGAAUUUAGAGCGGCUUUGACUGUUAUCAAAUAGCCUAAUGUAAGACUUAACCAACUUCCUGCCCUGUUGUAUUCUUAUGAAUUUUGAUAGAGCUAAGAGUUUGCAGAAGCUACUGUAUUAUAUGUCGUUAGAGGCUGUAAAAAUCAAACACAUUUAAAUUUCAAUGAAAAUUUACUGGAAGUAAAUUUCCUAUGAUCCUACAGGUGACUAAUUAAUGAGAACUUGACAAUGACAAAAGAAAGUGUAUGAACUUUGCAGGCUGGCAUGCCAAUAUUGACUGGGUGGCACCAUCCACCAUCUGCAAGUGAAUAUCAUUGUUGUUUAAUCAACAUGGUGGAGUCCACUGGGACCACACCACAUCAUCAGCCUUAUCUCUAUUCCUCAAUUUUCAGUAUUCCAUACAUCAAACCAAUUUCAGUUUUGUUAUCAAUUAUAACUUUAUUGUUGGUGACGAUUCUGAUUCCUUUCUGACAAAAGGGAACCAUGGCUGCUGCUGGAGAGAUCUUACUCAACGCCUUCUUUCAGGUACUGUUCGACAGGUUGGCUUCUCGUAAUUUGAUCAGCUUUGUGCGUCAACUCCAAGGCGGGGUUGAUUCGGAGCUCAAAAAGUGGGAGAAAAAGCUGAAGAUGAUUCAGGCUGUCCUCUGCGAUGCAGAGGAGAAGCAACUGACCAACGAGGCUGUGAAGAUGUGGCUGGACGAACUCCAAGACUUGGCUUAUGACGCUGAGGACAUUCUUGAUGAGUUUGCUACUCAAGCUUUGGAAAGCAAGUUGAUGGCGCAAAAUCACGAUAGUUCUGGCCAGGUUCUCAGUUUCAUCCCGGCUGGUUUGAAUCCGAAUGCUAUUAUGUUCAAUUAUAGCAUGGGGUCCAAGAUUAAAGAUAUUACUAGCCGGCUGGAUCAACUCUGCCAAGAAAGAAUUGAACUUGGACUGCAACGGAUUACCGGAGAGGCAUCAUCAACUGCUGCUGGUGCACACCAGAGGCCACCCAGUUCGAGUGUCCCAACAGAACUUGAAGUAUUUGGAAGAGAAGAAGAUAAGGCCAAAAUUCUUGAUAUGUUAUUAGCCGAUACCCUAAGUGAUCAUGCUAACUUUGUUGUAAUACCCAUUGUUGGCAUGGGUGGGAUAGGAAAAACAACUCUUGCUCGGGAGGUUUACAAUGACAAGGCCGUUGGAGAUUGCAAGUUUGAUGUAAAAGCAUGGGUUUGCGUAUCUGACGUCUUUGAUGUUUUGGGCAUCUCAAAGGCACUUCUCGAGUCAAUCACCCGCACGCCUUGUCUUCUAAACAGUUUAAAUGAAGUGCAGGUUGAAUUGAAAGUAGCUGUGGAUAAGAAAAGAUUCUUGCUGGUCUUAGAUGAUGUUUGGAACGAGGACUACAGCUUGUGGGUAGACUUAAAAGCUCCGUUCCUGGGUGCUGCACCAAACAGUAAGAUGAUCGUCACCACGCGCAAUUCAAAUGUUGCAUCAACAAUGGGACCAGUUGAACAUUACAAUCUCAAGAGUCUGUCAGAUGAUGAUUGCUGGUCCAUUUUCAUAAAGCAUGCAUUUGAAUCUAGAGAUCUUAACGAACAUCAAAUUUCAGAAUCAUUCCGCAAGAAAGUUGUUGCCAAGUGUGGAGGCUUGGCCCUGGCAGCAAAAACACUCGGAGGCCUUCUGCGUACGACGAGGCAUGAUGUGUGGGAUGAUAUAUUAGAGAGCAAAAUAUGGGAUUUACCUCGACAAAGUGGGGUUCUCCCAGUAUUAAGAUUGAGUUACCAUCAUCUUCCUUCUCAUUUGAAAAGAUGUUUCGCUUACUGUGCAAUCUUUCCAAAAGAUUAUGAAUUCAAUGAGAAGGAGGUGACUUUUUUAUGGAUGGCCGGAGGUAUUAUUCGACAGUCCAGAAGCAAAGAGAGGCUAGAAGAUUGGGGCAGCAAGUGCUUCUAUGAUCUGGUGUCAAGGUCAAUUUUUCAGCAAACAGCAAUCUCUGAUAGUUCUAAAUUUGUAAUGCAUGACCUUAUUCAUGAUCUUGCUGAAUUGGUCUCUGGAGAAACCAUAUUCAGGUUAGAGGAGGCCAAUACUCUGUCAAGAAGAUUUGAAAGGGUUCGCCAUUCUUCCUAUGCUUGUGGUGGACGUGAUGGUAAAAAUAUGUUCGAGGUUUUCAAUGAAAUUGAACAUCUACGAACAUUCUUGCCAUUACGCUUACGCAUAAGAGGUGGCUCUAAUACUAGUUUCAUAACUCGUACGGUUCUAUCUGAUUUGCUGCCGAAGUUCAAAAUGUUGAGAGUGCUAUCUUUACAAGGAUACCGUAUCGGUGAGUUACCAAUUCCAUUUGAAGAUUUGAGACUUCUAAGGUUCCUCAACCUUGCUGACACUGACAUAAGAAGUUUACCUGAGUCAACAUGCAAAUUGCUGAACUUGGAAAUUUUGAUAUUAAGAAAUUGUUCCCGUUUGAUAAAGCUUCCGCAGAAAAUGAGGAAUUUGAUCAAUUUACGUCAUCUCGAUAUAAGAGGUGCAAAGCUGCUAAAGGAGAUGCCAUUUGGAAUGAAAGAGUUGAAGAAGCUUCAAACAUUGUCCAAUUUUAUUGUAGGCAAGGGUGAAUCCGCAUCUGGUUUGGAAGAUUUAAAAAGUUUAAACCUUCUUUGUGAUGAACUCUGCAUUGCUGGAUUAGAGAAUGUAAAUAGUCCACAGAAUGCAAGAGAAGCCACAUUAUGUGAGAAGCACAAUCUUGAAGCAUUGACUCUAGAAUGGGGGUCUCAAUCUGACAGUCCUCGGGAUGCAGUACUAGAAGAGAAUGUACUUGACACUCUACAACCUCAUGAACGUAUAAAAGAGCUGGCAAUCAGGCACUAUGGUGGUGCAGGAUUUCCACUUUGGAUCGGACAUCCUUUGUUCUCCGAGAUGAAGGUCCUUAAAUUGGAGAACUGUGACAAGUGUGUAUCUCUGCCAUCGCUUGGCCUGAUGAAUUCACUUAAGCACCUUGCUGUUAAAGGGCUGAAGAAACUAAAAAGCAUAGAGUCUGCGGUCUUUCCAUCAUUGGAGACUCUAAGUUUUGAGAAUUUGCCAGAAUGGCAGCAUUGGAACACCAAUAUCAAAGGAAAUGAGCCUGUUGAAAUAUUUCCUCGUCUCCAAGAACUUUCCAUUGCAGAAUGUCCCCAACUCUCUGGAGAACUGCCUGAGCUCCUGCCUUCUUUGGAGACACUUGUUGUUAGUAAAUGUGGAAAGUUGGUAGUUCCAUUGUCAAGCUAUCCGAUGCUCUGCAGAUUAGAAGUUGAUGAGUGCAAAGAGCUAGUGUGCAGGACUCCAAUUAAUUUUGAGUUGAUAAAGUCUGUGACUAUUUCAAAUAAUUCAUUACUCAUGAAUGGAUGCAAGGAGAUGCUAUGCCAUGGUCAAGCUGGCUCUUCACUGCAGAAACCCAAGACUAUUAUGAAUGUUUUGGAGUUCGGAAAAUUAUUGAAGCCUGGAUUUCAGAUAUUAGAAACUUUGGUAAUUGGCAAUUCUGAACGGCUCAAGUCAUGGAGUACUUUUAUUGAACCAGGGCUACAUUUGCUCGCUUCCCCUGAAGAGGUAGCAAUUGAAGAAAGUUGUGUACGUCUUGUUUUGUUUCCAGAGAUCAAUUUCUUUCCCAGAAAUCUGCGCUCUCUUCGAAUUUGCAACAGCACUGCUUUCAAAUCCUUACCCGAGGAAAUGAUGGAAAACAAUUCACAACUCGAAAGGUUGUAUAUCAGAGAUUGCGACUCUCUAACAUUCAUCGCAAGACGGAGGCUACCAGCAUCUCUUAAAAGGCUUGAGAUAGAAAAUUGUGAGAAAUUGCAACGUCUGUUCGAUGAUGAAGAGGAUGCUUCUUCUUCUUCUCCUUCAUCCUUGUCUUCCCCAGUGAUGCUGCAACACCUGAGAAUAGAGAAUUGCCCAGAGCUCACCAGUUUAUCAUCGGGUGUCCAAUUCCUUGAGGCGCUUGAAUACCUCAAGAUAGAGCAUUGUCCAAAGCUGGAGUCAAUACCGGAUGGCCUGCCCAAUCUUAAAUGUUUACAGAGCAUUUAUAUACGGAAAUGUCCAAGUCUUGUUUCCUUCUUAGAAAGAGGGCUUCCCAACGCCAUUUCAAGUUUUUACAUUUGCAGAUGUGACAAGCUCGAAGCCUUGCCCAAUGAUAUGCACAAACUCAACUCUCUUCGAGAUUUAAGCAUACAUGGGUGUCCAAGUCUUGUUUCCUUCCCAGAAAGAGGGCUUCCCAACGCCAUUUCAAGGGUUUACGUUUGCAGAUGUGAGAAGCUCGAAGCCUUGCCCAAUGAUUUGCACAAACUCAACUCUCUUCGAGGUUUAAGCAUACAGAUGUGUCCAAAUCUUGUAUCGUUUCCAGAAGAAGGUUUUCCUACCAAUCUAACAUCACUUACAAUUAGAUAUUUCAAAAUGUAUAAGACACUCGUCCAGUGGGGGUUGCACAGGCUUACCUCUCUUAAACGCCUCUGGAUUGCUGUACGUGAUGAUGAAGCAGAGUGUUUUCCAGACGAGGAGAUAGGAAUGACGCUGCCCACCUCUCUCACCGCUCUGCACCUUACUGGAUUCGAAAAUUUGAUAUUUCUGUCUUCAAUGGGUUUUCAAAACCUCACCUCUCUUCAAUCUUUGAGGAUCGAGAAUUGCCCGAAUCUCACAUCAUUUCCAGAGGUGGGCCUUCCAUCCUCACUUUUGGAAUUACACAUUAGAGAUUGUCUAAAGCUUAAAAAAGCGUGCAAAAGAGAUCAAGGAAAAGAGUGGCCCAAAAUUGCUCACAUCCCUCGCGUUGAGAUAGACGAUAAAUUCAUAUACGAUCCAGAAGCAGAGUAGAUUCUAUUAUUAAGGUCAGUUGAUUUGUAUUAUCCGCUAUAACAAGCUCCUCCUUUUUUUUUCAAAUAAUAAUUUUGCAGUCACUCAUAUGAUUCCGUUUUCACAAGUCAGAUUGUAUGUUGAGGCUAUUUGCCUUUUAAUUAUAACACUUAUUGGAGUAUAAUAUUUUGGAGCAAGCAUACUUGAAAUUUCUGUCUUCAAUAUUUUGAUGCUUUUUUAAUUUUUGAUCUAGUAAAAAUACAUAGCCUUCACCGGCAGGAUUCUAGUCUUGGCUUUCACCUCUCUAACUCAUCGUCCCCACUGGGAUUCCAGAAAUUGAAAUUUCUGUCUUCAAUGGGUUUUCAAAGCCUCGCCUCUCUUCGAUUUUUAUGGAUCGCUUCGAUUUUUGCACAAAUCUCACAUCAUUUCCCGAGGUCGAGGAAAAGAGCGGCCCAAACUUGCUCGCAUCCCUUGGGUUAUGAUAGAUGGAAAAUUCAUAUACGAUCCAGAGUCAGAGGUGUUGAUUCUCUUAUUAAGGUCAACUGAUUUCUAUUAUCCACUCUGACAAUCUCCUAUUAGUGUUUUUCCUUUUCUUUUUCAAAAUUUUGCAGUUCUGUAUAAUUGAAAAUGCCACUCACUUGUUUCCUUUUUCGCAGGUCAAAUAGUGCGUUGAGGCUAUUUGCUUUCUAUCGGUGUUUGUUAAGGUAAUUAGUGCUCCAUCAUAGGUAUGACUGGAUUUUUUUCACUUCCGUAAAUAUUGCAUUUCUAUCGGUGUUUGACUGGAUUUUUUUCACUUCCGAAAAUAUUGCAUUUUAGACUGGCAAAUUUAGCAGUAAUUUUAAUACAAUUUUGUUGGUGCCUUUUGUUCCAGAAGCUAGAAAAAUGUGUAGUUUUCAGAUAAGGAGGCUUGUCAGUUCUCUAAUAAGAAUCCAAUAAUUUGCUUUUGCACGUCCAUCUAAUUUGUGGAUCCUUGCAUCAGAAUUUGAUCAAUCCAAAAGGAAUUGCUUUUAGACAGAGGAAGAAUAGCAGUACCUAGCCUAUGUCAUAGUGUAUGGAACCGCAAACCUGAAACUAUUAGAUUGAGGUAAAAAAAUCAUUGACCCCCUCACAUGUUAACUUCUUCUAGUUACUUUCGUUGGAAAAAAAAACAUUUAAGGAAUUUGCAAUUUGUUGUUGGUUAUGGUAUCUGAUGUUCUUUUCUGUUUUAGUGUUUGUAGAAUCUACUGUAUUAUGUGUUGGCAGUUGCCGUAUCUGAGGUAACUUGCCUUUAUUUGACAAAGAUUUAGAGAAGCAUCUCAAAACACUUAGUAAACUUGACAAACUUCAAGAUGCACUUGCCCCCACGCCUUAUUCUCCACAACGCAAAACUUGUGAGUACACCUAUGCCUGCAAUUAUUGUGAAGUGUUUUCAAUUUUGAUGCAGAGAAAUGGUUUCUUGAUGCAAAAUAUUAAACUGUUAAGAUUUAUCCUGCAGGCUUGUUAGAUGCUGUAUGCUCGAAAAGCCAACAACAUCCAGAACUAGAACUCCAAGACCAGCUUUGCGUUAAUUCAGUCAACUGUAAUAAUAAUGCAAAUGACACUAUAUCAAGCUGGACUUAGAGACUAGUCAGAUCAAUCAUCCAUUUCAUCAACGGUUAAUGUCAUGAUGGUGGCUAUCAGAGGAAACAAAAGAUGUGUCGGAAUCUAUACGAACAUUGAGAAGCAUGAGAGGAGCUUUGAUUUUGAGUAGGGUCAAUGAACUCAUGUUGGUAAGUGGUAAUUAAAGAAAUUUGUAAGCUUAGUAGAGUUUCAGUAUUUUCUGUUUGGAGUAUAGUUGAUAAGUUGACUCUGUUUAAUAAGCCCGAUUAUAGUAGCUGACUGUAUUAACCUUUUUUUUUUUGGUCUACUGUUGUUUUUGGUUUCGAUUAUUUUUUCAACAUUGGGUUGAUCUGUUGAAGAACAAGCUUGGGUUCGAUUCUGCUUUAACUACAAGGAAGAGCCAGACUUGGAUGCAGGCGUUAAGAUUUUAAUGGGUAAGAACAAAUGAAUGCUUUAACCAUGUUUCUCACUAAUUAAAAUGCACGGAUUGAAGGCAUCUGGGUUGAUCCUGACAAUGUGAUGGAAAUACUUCUCUAUUUUGUUCCUGUGUUCACAUAAUGUUUGUGGGAUAUGCUUCGACGAAGACCAGCAAUGAUGAGCAGACACCUGGUAAUAGGGUUCCUCGAGCAGGUAUAUCUUGUAAGAGUAUGGUAUUCAGGGGAGCAGGAGCAGGAAUAUCCUGCUCAUCCGCGAGCACGUCAUCCACGAGGCCAAUCUCCUGUUGGAAGCAUAAAGCCAUUCCUGCUACAUUCCUGCUAAGGGUUGAGUCGAGGAGACCCGGUCAACGACAGUUGGCGAGGCGUGCUCUCCAGUCCGAGAAUCAAGGCAUGAAGGCCACGCAACCACCCACGACUACGGAAAUGGGGCAUCCACUUUCGAGAGGUGGGAGGAUAACGAGCGCGAAUGGAAGAAGGCCCGAGUUCAGAGAUGGCCUAUAAAAAAGUAGCCAACAAAGGUAAAAGGGUUAGAAUUUUUGACAUUGUAACAGAAAAAAAGAAAGCUCUAAAGAACUGAGACUAAAAAAGAAAAGCCAUAAGAUUUGUGGCUAGUGUUCCCAGAACCUUCAUAUCUAACUUGAGCGUCGGAGGGUUUACGCCGGGAAAACAACCGGCGUACUCUGACCUAGUUCUGUGUACGCAGGAACUUCUGGAGAAGAAGCCUUACGAGGAGAGAUCCUAAUCGAGGUGGAGUUGAUCGAGCAAAGAUCCUGGUCGUAACAAGAGAGCAACCAGAAUCUCGCAUCAACAUUUUGGCGCCAUCUGUGGGGACUUGAUCAAAAAGCUUCUGUUGAUAGCAAGAAGAGGAGUGAAGCAAGUGGAAAAGCAAUGGAGGCAAGAAGAAAUAGUGCACAAUGGGGUGAUAUGAGGCUUAACGAUUCCGUGACGCUGAGGGAGAUAGCCAGUGAAGCACGGGAAAAAGCCAUGUUUGACCGGAUGGAACGGAUGGAAAAGCAGAUGCAGACCCUGACAACCAUCCUACAUGAGCUGCGGAGUGAACGAAGGGGAACCCAGGAGGAAAGGGUGAGAGGUGGUGGAGUGGCACCAGGUCAUGAUAGUACGAGGAGAAGUCAAACCACCGAGAGAUUUGGUGGUGAGAGAGGUAACCUAUCUCUACGGGGAGAAAUUCAUAGAGAGGAAGAGCAAUCCCCGGCAAGACAGAUUUUUGACGAGGACGACGGGGUGGCGAAUGCAGAGGAAACAGAGUUGAGGUAACACUUGCAUGAUGUAGAGCAAGAGCGGGAUCAAGUUGCAGCACGUGACCUUGGUCGUGUAGUGCAGCUGGAGGAGGAAGUGCGCAGACUAGCGCAGAUAAUUGAUGACAUGUAAGGAAGGAGCAGAGCUCCUGGUUGGAGGAUAAUGCUGGACGGAGAAUCACCGCUCGCAGCAGAGAUCAUGAGGGCAGUUAUUCCAAGAGAUUUCCGCCUCCCAGACCUUAGAUAUUCGGGACGAACUGAUCCGCUGGUGCACAUAGAGCGCUUCAACGACAUAACCGGGGUACAAGGAUUAUCUCAAUCCCAAAGGUGCAGGGUGUUCCCACUAUCCCUUGAGGGACGUGCACGCAAGUGGUACAGGAAACUUCCUCGGUGGAGCAUUAAAACCUUCGAGCAGAUGUGACAGGAAUUUGUAGAGCAGUUUCGUGGGGCAAUAGCACCAGAAGAUGACAUGAUGGAGUUGAAAAGCAUGAAGCAGGGGGAACAAGAAACCCUUCGGGAAUUCAUCAAGAGGUUUCAUCGUGCUGUCCUCGAUUUGGGAGCCUUCAACCAUUCUCAGGCAUUAAGGGGAUUGAAAGAAGGGGUGAAGAUAGGAAGGCUGUGGCACAACUUGAGAAGCCCAGUUAUUCAGAUGUAUACAGCCGCAUACGAGCAGGCUAAGAGGGACAUUGAGAUUGAAGAAGAAAAGGCAGCACGGAUUAAGACAGACCAGCUAGAAGGGUUGGGAAAGAAAGAGAAGAAAGCAUUACCAGGGAAUGGGCCGAUCAGGAGGAAGGACCACCAGGCCUCAGGUAGUGGUGCAAGAGGUCGAGUAACCGCUUACCAGCCUCAUCAGAGACCACCACAGUAUUAGCACAGCAGAGCACAACCUCCUCGUUCCCCAGUUAGAGAGCUUUGGAGAAGGCAUGACUCGACAUAUGGUGGUCUUCAUCAACACUCCCACGGUAGUAGAGGGAGCAGACCAGAAGCGCUGCCACCGCCUCUAACUCAGAAUGGAACAAAUAGAGAAAGGGUAGUGCACAUGAUCGACCAGAACCAGGACUAUGGGCAGUAUACUUCCUUGAAGAUGUCCCUGGACGAGGUGUACGAGGCCAUAAAGGACCGGGGAUUGAUGUACCUCCCUGCCCCAAUAACAAAGCUACCCAGCAGGACGGAUAGGGGACGCUAUUGUAAGUUCCAUGGCACUUAUGGCCAUACCACUGCAGAAUGCAGAGAUCUCAAGACCCAAGUUGAAGAUUUGGUGAGAAAUCGGUACCUGGAUGAGUUUAUAGAUGAGACUUUCCCGAUGGUGGCCUCGACAUGUGAAGGGGAGCAGAGUGAUAGAAACUUUAGGCGCGAGCAGCCUGCAGUAAGGGUAAUAGCUGGGGGCCCAACAUUGGCCGGAGAUUUCAACAGAUCGAGGAAGAAUUAUGCUAGAUACGCCAUAACUAGUAAAGAGUUACUCUUCAACACCCCAGCAGCCAAAUGAGUAAGAGUCAGACAAGUGCCAAUCAUGUGGACGGAUGAAGAUGAAGAAGAGAUUCUAUACCCCCACGAGGAUGCUUUAGUCAUCAAGGCUACUGUUGCAAGUAAGAAGUUUGACCGGAUACUGGUUGAUACAGGGAGCUCAGUUGAUGUGUUAUUUAAGUCAACUCUGGAGGAGAUGGGAAUAGCAGGCCGGAAGUUGGAGUACACCAAUACCUCCUUGAAAGGGUUUGGAGGAGGAAAGCUGGUCCCUCUGGGCGUGGUCGAGCUGCCUAUCACGAUUGGGAGCUCCCCGACAAAAAGGACUAUGAUACUGGACUUUGUGGUGGUGGAUGAAGAAUGUCCUUACCAGAUGAUCUUAGGUCGGCCAUUUCUGAGGAUGAGCAAAGCGGUACUGUCCAACCAUUAUCUGGCUCUCAAGUACCGAGUGAAUGUGGUAGUUGGAGUGGUACGAGGAGACCAGAGAAUAGCACGAAGCUGCUACUCCUUGGCAGCAAGGGAAGCAAUGCAAAUAACAUCCCUUGAUACCCGAGUGGAAAACAUGAAUGGCAGACAAGAACCUGUAGAGGAGCUGGAGACAGUAAGCCUGGGACCAGAGAAUCCGGGAAAAACGAUCAGAAUCGAGUCGAGACUUAAGGAAGAGCAGAAGCAGGAGUUGGUGAAAUGCUUACAGGCUCAUGCAGAUGUGUUUGCUUGGACACAUGAAGACAUGCCAGAGAUUGAUCCUGAGGUAGCAUGUCAUAAGCUGGCAAUAAAGAAAGGUGCUCGGGCAGUAAGGCAGAAAAGGAGGUGCUUCAACCAGGAGAGGUAUGAGGCUAUAAAUGGCGAGGUGGAGAAGCUCUUGAUAGCAGGGUUCAUUUGCGAAGUCGAUUAUCCUGAGUGGAUAUCGAAUGUGGUGUUGGUAAAGAAGGCAAAUGGCAAGUGGAGGAUGUGUGUAGAUUUCACAGAUCUCAAUAAGGCGUGCCCGAAAGACAGCUUUCCUUUAUCAAAGAUCGACCAGCUAGUAGAUUCAACGGCUGGACACGGCCUGCUUAGCUUCAUGGACGCGUUUUCGGGAUACAACCAAAUUCCCAUGUAUGAGCAGGAUGAGGAGAGCACGGCUUUUAUUACUAACCAGGGUUUAUUUUGUUACAGGGUAAUGCCAUUUGGUCUUAAAAAUACUGGGGCCACGUACCAGAGGCUGGUGAAUAAAGUCUUUAAGCCAUUGAUUAGGAGAACCAUGGAGGUGUACGUGGACGACAUGAUAACCAAGUUGAACAUCCCGAAGGAACAUGUCAGAUACCUCGAGGAGACAUUCGGGCUUUUGAGGAAGUAUAAGAUGAAGCUCAACCCGGAAAAGUGUGCUUUUGGGGUCGAGUCAGGGAAAUUCCUUGGAUUCAUGGUGAGCCAUAGGGGGAUCGAAGCAAAUCCCGAGAAGAUCCACGCGAUCGUGUAAAUGAGGUCACCUCGUAGCCUGAAGGAGAUGCAGAGCCUCACGGGGAGGUUGGCGGCAUUGAGCCGAUUCAUAUCCAAGGCUACUGAUAAGUGUCAGCCAUUCUUUCAAGUGAUAAGGAGGGGAAAGAAAAUAGAAUGGACCCCAGAAUGUGAAGAAGCCUUCCAGAACUUGAAGCAGUACUUGCAGCAAGCACCUCUACUGUCCACACCGAGGGAUGGGGACAAGUUAUUUUUGUAUUUGGCGGUAUUAGAUCGGGCCGCAAGUUUUGUUCUGGUGAGAGAGGAAGAAGGGGUUCAGUAUCCGAUAUACUACACCAGCAAGGCUCUGCUCGACCCUGAGACCAGAUACCCACCGUUGGAGAAAUGGGCAUUUGCCCUUGUGGUUGCUGCUCAGAAGCUGAGGCCAUACUUUCAAGCAUUCCCAGUCUCGGUAAUAACAAACCAGCCAUUGCGUCAAACUCUGCACAAGCCAGAUGCUUCUGGUCGGCUCGUCAAGUGGACUAUAGAGCUGAGCGAGUUCGACAUAGACUACAAACCCCGAGCAGCGAUAAAGGCUCAGGCGAUGGCCGAUUUCAUAGCAGAAUUCACAGAGCCCGAAAUAUGUUUGGACCAGCGAGAUGUAGCUACAGACAGCAACGAAGCCCGAGUAUGGCAGAUGUCUGUAGAUGGAUCAUCCGGGGAGUAGGGAUCAGGAGCAGGAAUUGUUUUGGAAGGCCCAGAAGGGGAGGAGAUCUCUUAUGCUGUAAAGUUAGAAUUCGCAGCCACAAAUAACCAAGCAGAGUACGAAGCCUUGAUAGCAGGUUUGGAAUUGGCUAAGGCAGUGAAAGCGGAUAGAGUGAAGAUCAGAACUGAUUCCCAGCUGGUCGCAAAUCAUGUCAGUGAAAGAUUUCAACCGAGAGAGGAGAAGAUGGAGCAGUACCUGAAGAUAGUCAGGCAUAUGAUGGGGAAAUUUGAAGCGGUUUAGGUGAUACAAAUCCCCAGGGAGCAGAAUAGUCGAGCAGAUAUUUUGACGAGGAUGGCAGCGGUAGCAGACCCAAAAAUGCCAAAGUCGAUCCCUCUGGAGGUGAAGUCCAGCCCGAGCAUCGAGCAUAAUUUGGGGGUGCUGCGGAUAGAACAAAAAUGCUCGUGGAUGGACCCGAUAAUUUCAUACCUUAGAGACGGGGUAUUACCACCAGAGAAGCUGCGAGCUCGGAAGAUUAGAGCCCAGGCCUCGAGAUACACGAUGAUUGACGGGGUAUUAUAUCGGCGAGGAUAUACGCUACCUUUCCUUCGGUGUUUGGAUGAGGACGACGCGGACUACGUACUGAGAGAAGUACAUGAAGGAAUUUGCGAAAAUCACUAUGGUGGGAGGUCCCUGGCUCACAAGGUUCUAAGGCAGGGAUAUUUCUGGCCGACAAUGCACCAGGAUGCGCAAGAGAAGACCAGGAGCUGUGUAAGCUGCCAGAGUUUUGUGAGUUUCUCUAACCAACCACCAGAGAAGCUCACCUCUAUGGCCCCCCCCUGGCCAUUUGCUCAAUGGGGAAUUGAUCUGAUCGGCCCGUUGCCAAAGGGAUGAGGAGCAGCAACACAUGCAAUAGUUGCGAUAGACUACUUCACGAAGUGGAUAGAGGUAGAAGCCCUUAGUAGGAUCACAGAGAAGAAAACAACAGACUUUGUAUGGAGAAACCUGGUCUGUCGAUACGGGAUCCCUUAUGCCUUGGUAACGGAUAAUGGCAGGCAGUUUGAUAAUCACAGCUUCAGGGAUUUCUGCCAGAACCUCGAGAUAGAGUUGAAGUAUUGCUCGCCUGCUCACCCUCAAUCUAAUGGACAAGUAGAAGCAGCCAACAAGACCAUCAAGAGGCUUUUGAAAACCAGGCUUGGAGCAAAAAAGGGUGCAUGGGUUGAUGAGCUGUCAGGUGUCCUAUGGGUAUACAAGACAACCCACAAAACAGCAACUGGGGAGACACCGUUCGCCUUGGCUUUCGAACAUGAAGCGGUCGUACCAGCCGAGAUAGGAACGACCACGCACCGGACAGAUCAUUUCAAUGAGCAGGAGAACGACGAGCAGAUGUGUUUGAAUCUAGAUCUGCUAAUGGAAAAGAGGGAGCAAGCAGCCGAGCGAUCAACCAUUUGCCAGCAGAGGGUUGCUCGGUAUUAUAACCAGAAGGUGAAUGUACGGCAGUUCAAGGUCGGAGAUUGGGUGUUAAGAAGAGUGAAUCAGAAUACGAAAGACUCGGCUCAGGGAGUACUUGGACCAAAUUGGGAGGGGCCAUAUAGGGUCAAGCAGCUAGUUGGACCCGGAGCUUACAAGCUGGUUCGCUCGGAUGGCCACGAGGUGAAACGCCCAUGGAACGCAACACACCUCAGGAAAUAUUUCCAGUAAGAAUUGUCCAUGUUUUCAAGUUAUUUCUGUUCGUGUUUGUUGUUAUUUAUUUUAUGUCAAAACAAUUUCAUGUAAGUUGAAUCCUGCAAUUAAUGAAACGUCGAGGAAUUUCAUUCACUUGAAACUGUGAAAAAUCUACUAAGGCAUGCUAAGGCUCACUGAGUCUCAAAGCCUGUUUAUGGAAAGACCAGAAGCCAAGUGUGCCAGGAUCUGCUCGACCACGCGAAGGCCAGCAGAAUCCCAAAUCAUUGAAGAAUCUACCAAGGCAUGCAAAGGCUCGUCAAGUCUCAAAGCCUGUUUAUGGCGAGACCAGAAGCCAAGUGUGCCAGGAUCUGCUCAACCACGCGAAGGCGAGCAGAAUCCCAAUCAUUGAAGAAUCUACCAAGGCAUGCAAAGGCUCGUCAAGUCUCAAAGCCUGUUUAUGGCGAGACCAGAAGCCAAGUGUGCUAGGAUCUGCUCAACCACGCGAAGGCGAGCAGAAUCCCAAUCAUUGAAGAAUCUACUAAGGCAUGCUAAGGCUCACCGAGUCUCAAAGUCUGUUUAUGGCGAGACCAGAAGCCAAGUGUGCUAGGAUCUGCUCGACCACACGAAGGCGAGCAGAAUCCUAAAUCAUUGAAGAAUCUACCAAGGCAUGCAAAGGCUCGUCAAGUCUCAAAGCCUGUUUAUGGCGAGACCAGAAGCCAAGCAUGCCGGGAUCUGCUCGGCCAAGUAAAGGCCAGCAGACUCCCCAACAUCAAAAAAUUAUCCAAGGCAUGCAAAGGCUCGUCAAGUCUCAAAGCCUGUUUAUGGCGAUACCGGAAGCCAAGCAUGCCGGGAUCUGCUCGACCAAGUGAAGGCUAGCAGACUCCCCAACACUGGGAAAAUUAUCUAAGGCAUGAGAAAGCUCGUCAACUCUCAAGGCCUCCUCUGUGACGAGGUCAGAAGCCAAAUGGAUAAAUAAAUUAAAAUUCCAAUGCGAGGAAGCAAAUAAGAACAAUUUUAUUAAGCUCUUAAAAGUCUGCAAUUCUGUUACAUACAACGCUAAAAAAGCAAUUACAACGCAAGACAAGUUCAGGAGGACGGCGGAUCAGUAAACCGAGUAGCUUCGGUUGGCUGGUCCACUUCAGGGGUCGAGGGGGUGUCACCAGUUGCGUCCGGGGGGGUACUCGCCUCACCAACGUUAGCAGGGACUGCAUGAGGAGGAGAGUUUUCCUCCUCAACCACGAUUGGCUCCACCCCUUCGGCAUCCUCCUUUGCCGCCUCCUCGUCCAUGUGUUGAACAAUACUAGCCGCAAGGUCAUCCAUCUUCAGAUCAGGAUGCUGCUUCCCGAGGACGGCCAUGAUGCAACGAUAGGAAUGCCGAAGUCCCUGGUCGUACUGGUUGUCGGCUUCCUUCUCCAAGUUCUUGACCUGAACUCGGUGGGAAUCGCGGAGAGAUUCGAGCUGAGCCUCGUACAUAAUUUUCUGCCUUUGCAGAUCCUCCUUGACCUUAGUCAGCUCUUCCUCGAGAGUAACGGCCUAUGCUUGAGCAAGAGAUUCUUGCUCUAUCAGCUUCAGAUUCUCGAGAUUCAAGUCUCCCGCUUUCUUCUCGGCAGCAUCGGCUCUGGUCGUCGCCGAUUGAAUGUCCUCCUUCAUCUUCCGGUCGUAACGGCCAACCUUGGCCUUAUAGUAAGUGGUCAUGCAGCUGAGGUGGAAAGCGCUAUACUGCAUGGCCCCCACCAGCUCACCUAGGGUGCAGCCAUCAAAGUCCUCCAGGUCCUUCUUGCUCACGAGUUUAAAUAGCUCAUUGAGAUAGGGGACCAAGUGUUCUGCUCGGUGGUCAGAUAAACGAGAUCUAGGCCCGACAGGAGGAGAAGAGAAAGCAGGAUCAGUGGCAGCUCCACUAGUCUCUCUGACUUUGGCAGGAGGAGGAGGAGGUAGAGUCUGCAAGGGAGCAACCUGUUGCACGAUGUUCACCUGCUUUGCAGUAGGAGCAUCUUUAUUCUGGUCCUGCUUGGUCGUUGGAGGUCGAGAACGUUUCCUAGUCAGAGCCCCAAUCACAGCAUCCUCCAUCUUAUGGCCGGGAGGCACCAAACAAGACUCGAGCAGGUUAUAAGUAGUUAUCAGCUCUCGGCUCGAGCAGGAAUUGGCUAGUACAGCCUCGACCCGUUUGAGCUGGUCAGGUUUGAGCGGGAAGUAAACACCCCAAGAACCUGCAACACAAAUAGACACUUGGUUAGAGACAAACCAGUAUAGCGAGAACAAUUAUGGAUACAAGACAUCUAAAGCGAGCAGGCAACCUGAGAUCACGAAACGGGGUGGGACGCAAGAAUCCUUCCCGUCAAUUUGUGCAACUUGACCCCAGGAACCCCCAGCAAAAAAGAAUUUUUUCUUCCAAUUCCCACCACCACCAGUAAGAAGAUCGGUUAUGGGUUUCCUGGUCUUGGUACUAGAUUGGAAGUAGUACCAGCCGGCAUCUUUGGGGCUGCUCUUUAGCUGGUACAGGUGCUUCACCUCAUCAACUGUGGGCUUGCUUUGGCAACAUCUGUCCCACAAUAUGAACAGACCAGAGAGUACUUUCCACCCGUUGGGGUUCAGCUGACCAGGAGCUAGAUUUAGCCCGUUAAGCAUCCGGGCAAAGUAGGGUUGCAAGGGACACCUCAGCCCAUACUUAAAGCUCUCUAGAAACAGGGUAACGUAUCCCCUAGGAGGCCGGCUAGGGGUAUCCUUCUUUCCUGGGAUCUUAAGAGGUAUUUCACCAGGAAUACUAUACUUAAGCCGGAGGUCAGUGAGCUCGUCAAACGUGGUCGUGCACGUCAUGUAAUCAAUAGCGUAAUCCCGCGAUAGGGCUCUACCUCCUACUGUACUCUGCCCUUCUGGUCGCGAUGUUCAUAAUGGGGACACCUCACCAGAAUCACCUCUUCGAUCCUCACUCAGGGUGUUUUCCGAGCCAGAAAACCCCUCCUCACCGCUAUUUCUGCUCGAGGAGGUUGUUUGGGGGGACAUCCUCCUAGCGCUAGUACCAACACUAGGUCUAAUGGGUUCUAAGGGGAUCCCGGGGUCAAAAGCAGGAUCGGUGAGCAGACUAGGCAGGAAGUCCAACUCAUUGUCAUCAACCUCAAUGACCUUCUCUUUACCUUUCGACAUUCCCUAAGCUAUAACUAGAACACCACCACCAACUACUACCCAAGCAAAGCAAAGAGAAAAGAAAUUAUCUACAGCUAUCCGAGACUGAGGAGAUAGAAGUAAUACCUGAAAUAGUGGUUCAGUCGGAGAAGGACAGGGAUGGAGGCCUUUAUGCCGGAACUUCUUUGCCAGGGAGACAGGGACAGAGACGGGGUAAAUGACGAAUUUUCCUUUGGAGAGGUUUUAGGUUUUCCUAAUGGAGAAUAAACUCUUGGGUUGCCAGCAUUUAACAGCACCAAAUCCCGAGGGUCUCGUAACCGUUGGUUUGAAAUUCAAAUAGAGAGGUAGAUUUCUGUCACAUCACCUCGUCCGCAAUUAAAUGCGACACAACUCUUGGCAGCCUUUUUCCUAUCCCGCGCAAGCAAGAGCUGUCAAGUUUCUACUAUCGGCUUACUACGUUACCCAACACCAGAAACUGGGGGAUCGGUGUUUGUGGGAUAUGCUUCGACGAAGACCAGCAAUGAUGAGCAGACAUCUGGUAAUAGGGUUCCUCGAGCAGGUAUAUCUUGUAAGAGUCUAGUAUCCGGGGGAGCAGGAGCAGGAAUAUCCUGCUCAUCCGCGAGCACGUCAUCCACGAGGCCAAUCUCCUGUUGGAAGCAUAAAGUCAUUCAUGCUACAUUCCUGCUAAGGGUUGAGUCGAGGAGACCCGGUCAACGACAGUUGGCGAGAUGUGCUCUCCAGUCCGAGAAUCAAGGCACGAAGGCCACGCAACCACCCACGACUACGGAAAUGGGGCAUCCACUUUCGAGAGGUGGGAGGAUAACAAGCGCGAAUGGAGGGAAGGCCCGAGUUUAGAGGUGGCCUAUAAAAAGGUAGCCAACGAAGGUAAAAGGGUUAGAAUUUUUGACAUUGUAACAGAAAAAAAGAAAGCUCUAAAGAACUGAGACUAAAAAAGAAAAGCCAUAAGAUUUGUGGUUAGCGUUCCCAGAACCUUCAUAUCUGACUAGAGCGUCGGAGGGUUUACGCCGGGAAAAGAACCGGCAUACUCUGACCUGCUUCUGUAUACGCAGGAACUUCUGGAGAAGAAGCCUUACAAGGAGAGAUCCUGAUCGAGGUGGAGUUGAUCGAGCAGAGAUCCUGGUCGUAACAAGAGAGCAACCAGAAUCUCACAUCAACACAUAAUAUAAUAUAUAUAUAUAUAUAUAGAAAGCUGAAUUUAUUUAUUUACGCGCAUGUGCUAGUGCCCACUGGCAUCCACUUGAUUUGUAUCGGUUAAAUGUAUCAUACAAUACAAUAUUAGCUUGACUGUAGAAAAGAGGAGAACGAGUUGGUGUUGGUCUGAACUCUUAUCUUUGAAUCUCACGUGACUCCACUACUUUUUACUUGUUCUGUAGUCCAUUGUCGGCAGCUCAUACAAGGUCUUUUAGCUUUUUAAAAAGUUUUAGCUUUUUGGAUAAAUUACUGAUAAUUGUAAUCUAUAAAUAAUGAAAGGAAUUAAUUAAAUAUUUGGUAAAUUUUAUUUUUUAAAGUGUUAUGAGUUUUAAAAACGGUUGUAUGUAUAUAAAUUUAUUUACACAUAUAUUUAUAAAUAUGACUAUAUAAUAAUAUUUUAUGUGUACAUAUAAUAAUUGAUAACUAAAAUAAAUAUUUUUAUUUUAUUAAUGGUUUUUUCGUCUCAAUGUAGUUGGUAAUAAUAAUCUCUUGAGAUGUAACGAUUUUAUUUCCUAACUGAAUAAGGAAAAUUUUAGAUUUUUAUAAUAAAUGUUAAGAUAUAUUUAGAAUUACAUUAAGUAUGAAAUAAUCCUCAAAAUUAGAUUUUGAAAAGCAAUUCUUUUCUUGCCUUUAAAAAUAUGUCAUAUGAUGAGAUGAUUUUACUAAAAGUGAUUUUUUUUUAAAAAAUUACUAAACAUCAAAAUUAACUCUUAACUUUUUAAAAUCAUUUCUAAUCUUCUCAUCCUAAGUUCUCUAUUAUUUUGUACAAAAUCCAAGGUUUUGACUUUAAUAAAAUGCCCACUCAAAAAGAAAUUAUUUUCUAAUUAAGAUUUGUUGUUAAUGUAUAACUCGAAGUAAUAUUAGAUAUUUGUAAUUUUAUUUCAAAAAAUUUAUUCAAAUGAUAUGGCAAGCAAUGAACAAUAGUUGAUAGCAAUUUUUUUUUCUUUAACAAUGUUCAAAUCAAUCAGUUGCAUUAUCUCACCAUUUUUAUGAUGCCAUGUUAUUUUAAACGAUUUUUUUUUUAUAUAAAACAUACGACGUGUUAACAUCAUUUGCAUAACUUGACCUUUUUUUUUUUCCCUACAAAUAGUAAGUCAAAUUUACUCACCCUAUUUCUACCUAAAAUCUACCUAAAACUCAUGCAUCACUGCAAAACAAAUCCAAAGAUUGCGGUGCGUUUUUCUUGGUCAGAAAUCAAUAAUUAGGUCAAGUACUACUACUAAGCGUGCACAAUUAAUUCUAAAAUACGGUGAUCAAAAUCAUACUUUACGCAAGAGGAUCAGGGCUAAACUUCAAUUAGGCAUUAUUCAUCCAAAAAUCAUUGACUCGGCAUUCUUUGCAAGUUGUAGCAUGGGACAGCUAAGAUAAUUAGCAAAUGAUAUGGACCAUAUGCACCAAUACAUUUGUGACAUGUGAAUCUUGGCAUUAAAGGAAAGGCAAUGUGUCAAAAUUUAAUAGAGCCCAACUCUUCAUUGAAUGAUUAUCAGAUCCAAUACGCAUCCUUUGAUUGGAUUAUUUUAAGUCAAUUAUUGGUGGAUUGGGGCCCACUUGACUCUACCAAAUCGGGCUCGACCAUAUCACCUAUUAACGGCCACCUGUCCUUAUCAUAAAUAGCAAAUGUCACUUGUUUUAUUUUCUAUUUUACCAAAGUAAAGUCACUACGAACGCAAAAGAAAGUGACCUCAAUUUUGGGGGUCAUGAACUUUGGAUUAUUAUGGACACAAGAGACAAGCGCAAUGUUUCUCAUUUAUCACUGGAUAAGAUUUAAGUUAUCAACCCAAUAUUAAUAAAUUCUGCUUGAAAAGUAAAGUUUGAAGCUUCAUUUUGCGAAUAUUCAAUGGUUAACAUUUAAGUAAUUAACCUGAUAUUAAUCCAAUUAAACUUUUUAUGUAAUCCAAGUCAAAAAUAUAUUGAUAAACCUAAACUAAUCUAAUUGGACAUAUUAUUUCAACUUGAAAAGGUGAAUUUAUCAUUUUUCAAUUAAUUUUGAAUCAAGCUAUGUAAAAUAUAAGCUUAUUAAAGACAUAUUUGAAAAUUUCAAAUUGAAUUAUUUGACAAUUACAUUUCAACUAAGUUGUACUGCUAAUUAACUUCCUCAACUUAAAAUGUAUUUUUCUCAAUUAAUUCGUAACAAAGAAUGUUAGAUGUUUUGUUCGAAUGAUAACAUUCAACAUCCUUAUUCUUUAUGAUUAUUGCAUAAAAACAUAUUUUAUCCAUUUACGUCACAUAUGUUCCUAAAUUGUAUAAGAAAAUCACCAAAUUUACUCUUGUAAGUUACUAUAUCAAUGAACAUGAAACUAACUAAUCAUUAAAGUCUCGGAAUGACAUCAUGAGGGGGAUUCCGUUACAUUUAUUGAUAGGAUUAGAUAUAUGUCUUCCCAAAUAUUAGUAGGAGUAAUUAAACAGAUGCAGCUAUUAAAAAUAUGGAAUUACUUAUCUCGUCAAUAACUAACGAUAUUUUUUAUCUAUGCUCGAUAGGCGUCUGAGCUAUAUUAUAAAUUGUAAUAUUUGUAGAUUGUAACAAUUAUAAAAAAAAAAAAAAAAAGCUCCCUAAGACUAAACGACAACAGGACUGUUUUGAAAUAGAUAGAUAAAGUAUGCCCUUAUUUGAGAAAAGGUAAAACACUAGGGAUCUAAAUGUUAUUAUAAUCCCAUGCACAAAAAUGCUAGAAAAAACUAAUAACAACUAACCGAAAAUCCCAGGCGUCAUAUUCCUUUUUACCGCGUUUUAAAAUGCACAACAAUGAUAUUCUCACAAAAGUGGGUACAAAGGUUUGUACAACCAGGGUCUCUUUGUAAAUUAUUUCAAAGUUUUGUGUUAUUUUUUAAAUUUAUGAUUUUUAUUAAUUUUGAUUCAUUGGAGCAUUUCUCCUUCCAUCUCUUCUACAUCUAUUUUUAAAGUUUUUUAAAAUUUUGACUAUAUCUUUAUAGAGUUCUAAAUGAUUAUCUUUUUUCAUAAAAAUCUAUACUUAAAUUAAUCCUUGAAUUUAUAAUCAUUUAUCUUCUUUGAGUCAUAGACCAAAUUUUUUCUUCUAACAUAUCUAUGUAUACUCCUAAGCUAUCUUCAUGGCUUAGAUACAUUCUAUCAAAGCUUUCACAUAUAAAUUGUGAUUUGAGAUCUGCAUCUUGAAUCAACAUCUCUAUAUUAUCCAUUGUUUUACGCUCGAGGGUAGUUAAAAUUGAUUCUAUUAAUGCUAUCGUGUUUCUCCUUCAAAAGAAUCAAAUAUUUCUGGAUUAUUAAUUUCUUUUAUUUCUUCAUACAAGCAUUCGUUUGCCGUUAAUCUUGUUUUAAUCAAGGAAGCUGUAUAAGCAACUUGAUAUUCUUGACAAAAGUCUAAAUGAUCUAUUGCAUCUAGAAAUUUAUUAAUAGAUCUUUCCAUUUUUAAGAAAUUGAGUUACUCUUAUCACUUCCAAUCUUUUAACAUCUCAGAAAACAAACAAGGCCCAGCAUGCUUCCGUUUGUAGCUCAAAUAAAAGAAGAGUUCAGAUCACUAACCAAUGUACUAUCUCUCGGAAGUCUGAGAUAGACUCACUAAUUGCCUCUAACCAUAGAGAGGUCCAUGGUCAGCACCACCAUAGCUCCACACAUCAUACAAGAUCACUUCAACGACUGUUCCACAUGGCCUAAUGCAACACACAGCAGACUGGCCUAAUAGGAUAUGUCUAAGUGAUUUUCUUGCAGUUGUCUCUGGAAGAGUGCUUAGUAAUAGAAAAUCUUCUUCGUUUAGUACAAGUAUUGGUAUGUAAGGUUCUUGAUUAAUUUUCAAAAGAUGUAUAAGUGUUAGAGUGCAAUUUAUGCACUAGUUUUGCAUUAUUUACUUCCCUUAAUAUCAAUGUUUUGCACUUAAUAAUAGUGAUUUACUUGUGUUUUACUUUUGUAGGUCCAAUUCUAUUGAUUGAUGAUAAAAUUGAGCUAUAAGAUGAUGUUUAAGGAUGAUUGUUCUCUUGGAGAAAUUAUGAGCGUCAGAAGAACUUUGUUGAUAAGGCGUGGGCGCGUGCUGUCAAUUGCGGACCUGCAGUUUUUAGUUUAACGUGUUUUGUAUUUUUGGUUAUUUUUGUAAUUACGAAUUUAAUAUUUCAGAUAUUAAGAUUUUAUUUUAAAUAGAAUUCUAAAAGAGAAGAGAGAGAGAGUAUUUAAGGGAGGAAUCUAUUGUGAAAAAGGGGGAUUUUGGAUUGGAGAAAGAAAGAAACCCUAGAUCUAAUUUUUCUCUUCUCUCUAUGAAGAACUAAACUUAUUUUUCUAGUUGAAGGUUAACGAAGCUUUGAUUCAUCACUACUGUGAGAUCUUUCUUAUGCUUUAAUUGUUUUAUUACUUUUUGGAUAUUUGUUUAUUCUCUGAAUUUUUUUCAUGAUUAUGUUUGUUAAUUAGGUAAUUGGCCACUAUUUAAUUAUCAACUUAAUCUAUUGUCAAUUAAAGGAUUCAUCGUAUGAAGAAUUUAAUAUUUGUGACAAAUAACAUAGCAGAGAGUUGUGUUGUGAGAAUAAACAAUCUAAUUUAAAUGAAUCAUCAUAUGUGUUGAUUAGGAUUUGGGUCUCUCUGGUUUUUCAGGCUGUCAAUGAAUUAAAUCCUAUGAUCGUAUCUAGGGUUGUCCAUUGAUUAGGGAAAUAACCAACGGUCGUACCUUGGUUAUCGACUAGUAAAGGAGAGAUUGGCUAUUAGAGGGUCUCAAUAGCUAUAACCGGUCUAUUCAUAAGUAAUAAUAAUCUAUAUUUGAAUCAAUGAUCAGUAGUAGAAUCAAGCUGAGUUAAUUCCUUCAACCAGAGCUUUCUCCAAUUUGAAUUACAACUUUAAUUUGCAUUCUUGUUAUUUUGAUUUGAUUUUUAUUAUUGUCAACAAUUCCCCCAUUUUACGUUUUACGUUUCAAAAGGAUUUAAAUAAUUACCGAUCUCUGUGGACACGACCCUGCUCAAUCACUAUACACAAUUUAUUUAGAGUAGGAAUUUAUUUUUGUUCGCUUCGACACCACUGCUGCCUCGCCAACUAUUCCUUCUACAUCCGCACCACCUUUGAGCAUUCAGUUAGAGAAAAUAGAGCACAAGCUGAACAAGAUGGAGCAGAAUUUGGCCGCAUACUUCGAGAGUGUGGGUUUUACCCCACCAUUUCCGCCAAGCCCAUAGACGUUAUGUGGAUCAAAGCUCACAAUUCAGGGAAGUUUCUUUUUGCCCUUAAUCUUUUAUCCUUACGCUUUAAUUUUUAUGUGAGCUUUAAUUAUCUUACAUUGGGGACAAUGUAAGUUCUUGGUGUGGGGGAGGGAUUUUUGCAUUAUUGAUGUCUGGAAGUAUUAUUUUCACUCUACUCAUCUAUUUUCAUUCUACUCGUCCUUAAAUGAUUUUGGAGUUAGUAUGCUUCAUAUAUUAUUAUUUUUCUUUUCUUUUCUUUCUCACUACUUUUUUCCCAUCUAUCUCAAAUUAUUUACAUCUAUUUUUAUUCUAUCAUACUCUUUCAUCACUCACAUUUUAUCUUUCACUUUUCAUAUUACUACAUACAUCUUUCUCACUUCUUAUCAUUUUUACCUUUCCUUCACUCAUACCUUCUUCUCAUUCUACACCACUAUUGAUGGUUGAUUCAUUUGAAGAGUGUACAUGAUUUGAUGGCAAAUUUACCAACUUUGUGAGGAUUUGAGCCUAUGAGCAACCACUUUGCUCUAAUUAUUUUUAUUAUGUGAAUAUCAAUCUUAGUUUGUUUAUUCUAGAACUUGCUUUGUUAUGCAUGUUGAAGCCACAUUACGGGAUUUUUUGCAUUAAAAUGAUAAGGGCAAACCAUUUACCAUUUUUCUAUUCUCGCAUUUUCUUUUUUUUUUCUCUACCCGAAGACCUUGAUUUACUAUCUUUGUUUGAGCCUUAACCAUUACCCAUCUAAUUCUCUCCGUCUACUUAACCAUUUUUCUUCUUUUUUAGCCUCAAUUUAAGGAGAUUUUUGGACUCAUUGUGUGGAUAUAUUUUGUAUAUAUUUUGUUGCUUUUUCUACCUUGUAUUAAAGUUUCUCAAUUAGAUCAACAAGCAUUAUGCUUGAAUUAAAUUGUGCAAGGUUCAUUUCUUUUGUUUGAUUCAAAAAAAAAAAAGAAAGAAAAAGAAAAGGAAAAAGAAAAAAAAAGAAAAAAAAAGAAAAAUCGAAAAAAAAAGAAAAAGAAGAAAAAAAAAUGUUUACAUUCUUGGUGACUUGAGUAGAAAUAAGCGUUUCGAUAUCAUAAAGUUCGUUCAAUGAGUUCAUUCUUCUCAUUUUGAUCUCUUUUUCUUUCAUAAACCUUUCUUUUUCAUUUAACCCAUUUAACCCCGUUACAACCUUUUAAGACCCUUAGAUUUUUGUAUUUAAUUCAUGUUUUGUGGAUUGAAAUGUGAUAUAUAAGCAAGCUUAUGGUAAUAGCAUUCUUUGAUUUGAUUUGAGUGAAUAAAUGACACCCUAAACACUUUGAGUGCAUGGAGUGAAGUCAAUGAGAGGGCUAUUAAAUCUUGUUGCACUUGAAUUUUGAAUGGAUCUUCUUGGUGGUUGAAUGUUCUUAUUCUAUCUUAUGAGAUUCUAUGCUUUAAAAUCCUUGUCUCUCGAAUGUUGAUCGACUUAAUUUCUUGAGGUAUACUUGCUUAAAAUUGUUUUUGGAUGAGUUGAGAUGAGAAUUGAGUGGAGAUUUGGGAUUAGUCUUGAGUUAUAUGCUUGAGGACAAGCAUCAUCUUGGUGUGGGGGAAUUUGUUAGAGUGCAAUUUAAGCACUAGUUUUGCAUUGUUUACUUCCCUUAAUAUCGAUGUUUUGCACUUAAUAAUAGUGAUUUACUUGUGUUUUACUUUUGUAGGUGCAAUUCUAUUGAUUGGUGAUAAAUUAAGCUACAAGAUGAUAUUUAAUGAUGAUUGUUCUCUUGGAGAAAUUAUGAGCGUCAGAAGAACUUUGUUGAUAAGGUGUGGGCGCGUGCUGUCAACUACGGACCUGCAGUUUUUAGUUUAACGUGUUUUGUAUUUUUGGUUAUUUUUGUAAUUACGAAUUUAAUAUUUCAGAUAUUAGUAUUUUAUUUUAAAUAGAACUCUAAAAGAGAAGAGAGAGAGAGUAUUUAAGGGAGGAAUCUAUUGUGAAAAAGGGGGAUUUUAGAUUGGAGAAAAAGAAAGAAACCCUAGAUCUAAAUUUUUCUCUUCUCUCUAUGAAGAACUAAACCUAUUUUUCUGGUUGAAGGUUAAUGAAGCUUUGAUUCAUCACUACUGUGAGAUCUUUCUUGUGCUUUAAUUGUUUUAUUACUUUUUGGGUAUUUGUUUAUUCUCUGAAUUAUUUUCAUGAUUAUGUUUGUUAAUGAGGUAAUUGGCCACUAUUUAAUUAUCAACUUAAUCUAUUGUCAAUUAAGGGAUUCAUCGUAUGAAGAUUUUAAUGUUUGUGACAAAUAACAUAGCAGUGAGUUGUGUUAUGAGAAUAAAUAAUCUAAUUUAAAUGAAUCAUCAUAUGUGUUGAUUAGGAUUUGGGUCUCUCUGGUUUUUCAUGUAUAAGAUAUCUAGAAGAUGAUAAUUUCACUCAAAAGAGUUUUAUUUAUUUCAUUAUUGAAAUUGUUUACAGAGGAAGGUUACAGAGAAUACAGAGGUAAUUGAAGGUUAGACAUAUGAUAUCUUUCCUUUCUUACAUGCUUUCAUUUAUAUAUCUCUCUAGAGAUAAGAUUAUCUCUUUUACAUAACACAUGUUCGAUCCUUGUGGUGGAAUCUCGAUUUCCUUUUGAUAAGGUGACCCCUUCUUCAUCAUUGAAGCCAGUAGUUGUCUUCUUUUCAUGUUGCCAGACAACCUUUAUCUUGUUCUGGUGAGCUUUUUCUUUUUUGGAAUCUCUCUUUUUGAAUUAUUGAUACUUUUUGGAUAACACCUUUUAUCUUUUUCAGUAGUCCCCGUCACAUGCCAAUUAUCAUAUCUUCAUCUAUAGACAUGUCUUCCCCACUAGAAUCUCCUUUUUUUUUUAAUCCUUCGUAGUAGUAGCCACAUGAUGACUGAUGCUUUAGCACCUUAUAUAUCUCGUGGUGUGUCAGCAAGGUGGAUUCCACGAGAUUUUCGAAUAUGCCCUUUUUCUUUUUUAAUAUGGUAUGUCUGGCUAAAAUAUUUUCUUUUCUACUCAUAGAAAAGAUUAUAUGCUCUUUUGUGGCUUCAUGGAGCCAUAUUUUCUCCUUGUUUAUCCUCUCAAGAGAUUCAUAGAGGACUUUCAUUUCUAUGGCCCUUUUGUUGGUGAGAGCUUUUGGCUCGAAUAAUUCAGGAUCAUAAUCAUUGUAGACUUGAUGUAAAUCAAUGGUUGGACUAACUUUUCUACUGCUAAUUCCAACUUGAAUCAAGUGCUGUGCUGGAUACCACUUGUUACCAUAGUAUUCAGGGCAAGCAGUGAGGAUCUUGACAAAAAUCACUUCUUUUGUUUUAGACAUGAUUUUGAGAUCAUUAAUAGCCUCUGCAACUUUUGUGGGAAGCUCUUUUAUUUCUCUGCAAUCAUCACUUACAUAAACAAGGUUAAGAAAACCAUAUUCAAACAUGUCUUUUAUUAGUUUUAGAUUAGCUCCUGGCACAACGUUUAUCAUUGGAUAUAACCCUAAAUGAUCUAGUAUAAUAGUCUGGCUAGGACGAAUCCCAUAGGCUAUUUUACCAAUUCUUUUAUAAUCAUAAGCGUAGUCGCUUCCUAUUGGUAUUUUAACCAUAGGGACAGAUUGUCUGCUUUUAUCAUAUUGGGGUCUUAGGCUUACUGAAGAUCCCUGAGAUUCUUUUUUCUUUGUACAUUGAUCUUUAAGAUCAUUGAUUGUGAGAUAUCUCUCUGAAUGUGUGACCAUUGAUCUUUAAAAUACCAAUAGGAAGAGUAGUCGCUUCCUAUUGGUAUUUUAACCAUAGGGACAGACUGUCCGCUUUUAUCAUAUUGGGGUCUUAGGCUUACUGAAGAUCCCUGAGAUUCGUCUUUCUUUGUACAUUGAUCUUUAAGAUCAUUGAUUGUGAGAUAUCUCUCUGGAUGUGUGACCUUUAAGCUCUGCGAAGAACUCGAGGCAUUUUGACCCUCAAUUUGAUCUUUAAAAUGGACAUUUUUUUAGCAUAUUGCUAAUAUAUUGUUAUGAAGUUUGGAGUUCUGGAUGAUCUUGCAAACUUUUGUUUGGGCAAAGUUUGCUCAAUUCUUCAUGGGCAUCAUCUAUCAUGGCAAGCCCAUCAUAAAUCAUACUAUUGCCUUUGAGAAGUUAUUCUUGACCUUCAGAGCACAUUAUUAUGCCCUUAAUUAUUUUGGAAAUGCUCUGCUCCAUUGUAUUCUUGGCAAAGAUUAGAUCCUUUAAUAUAUUCAAUUUCAAAAUCAUAUUCAGCAAAAAACUGCUGCCAUCUAAUUAAUGUUUUCUAUUGAGGAAGAUUAGGCAAUUUAUUGAAUAUAAAUCCUUUGACUUGAGUGUUAUCGGAUCUUACCUUAAAUUUCUUUGGUAACAAAAAGAAAGUAAAUUUAGCUAUUCCUUUUUUAAUAGCUAAUAAUUCAUUUUCAUUACUAUGAUAAUUCUUUUCUAUGGGUUUGAAGGUCCCGCUAGAAUAUCUACAAAUUUUUUCUUGAUAUGUUUUUAAGACUGCUCGCCAGUGAUUAUCUGAAGCAGUAGUUUCAAGAAUUAAAUUAUCACUAGAGGUAGGGAAUCCUAACCUUAAGUAAAAAGCCAAAAAAAUUGACUUAUUUUAUUAAGUCAAUUUUUGAAAAUAUAAAUAAUGCAAAAUAUAAGAAUAUCAUCUACAUGAUCUAUCUUAUUAUUUGAAAAUAUAAGAAUAUCAUCUACAUAAAUAAUGCAAAAUUCAUGAAAUUUUUUUAAGAUGCUAAAUAUCUUUUUAUUUAUUAUAGAAGUAAUUAAUGUAUCUUUAUGAGGUAAAAAGUAUCCAUCGAAUUUGGUAUAUUUAUUUAAUUCUUUGUAGUUAAUGACCAUAUGAGCUUUUCCUCGUUUAAUUUCAGCAUGAUUUCUAACUGAUUAGUAUUAAAAAUUGUUUAAUUAUCAAGCGAUAAUAUGUUAUUUUAUGCUUAUGUUAUAAUUUAUAUUUGUGUUUAUGUAAUAUAUUAUGAAUUAUGAAUUAUGUUUUAAAUAUAUUUAAUUUUGUGUAUUUUUAUGUGUUUAUUAGGAAAAUUAUUAAUUUCACGUACUUUGAGGCUCCAAACAGAUAAACGGAGGUCAAAUUUGGAUUCCGGAGGUCCGAAAACCUUAAGAUCAGUCAAGAUCGGCUUAAAAUUGGGCUUGUGUAAAAAAAGUUGACUUUUCCUGUUGACCGAGCACUGAUUGGAUGAUGAAAUGAGCUUACAAUAGAUAUGAGUGCAUGGGAUAACUGGCAAUCUUGACUAAAUCUCAACCGUUCAUGAUUCAAUGGCCAUGAUUGUGCCACGUGGCAAUGGUUGGUGAAGCAAGUUGGAGGAUCCGAAUCUUUGUAUUCGGGUCGACCCGAUCCACCCAUUAACCCGCCAAAUCUCAACCGUUCUUUGGGCAAAUCGGACGAGUCAAAUGAUGCCAUGUGUGAUGUUGACUUUUGAAGUUUGACCAGCCAUUGGAUCUUGAUCUAAGGGUUGUGAGGAGCACAUGCAUGAAGCCUAUGAUGGACCGCAAAGCACUGGAUUAUGAAUUUAUUUUUCUAUAAAUAGGGCCUCAUUUUUAUGUUUUAAUCAUCUCUCUACAACUCUCUUCUUCUCAAAUUCUCUCCAUCUCCUUGUAAUCUUGAUUUCCAUAUGUGUUUUUAAUAUUUUGUAUAAUUAUUUUCAUUAAUAAAAUUAGUUUUAUUUCCAAUUUUAGUUGUUUUUAUUUCUUUUAAUUAUAAGUAAUUCAAUUUUACUACUUCUUUUUAUUUUAAUUAUGCUUAACUAAAUAAUAUUAGUUAGGGGAAGGUGAAACUCUUAAGAAAUAAAUAUGAUUUAAUCAAAUUCUAUGUUUAAUUUUAUAAAUUAAAUUAUUUUCUAUUUAAUUUUAUACAUGUUUUAUAUUUUGAAAAUUUAAUUUAUUGUAGACAAACAAAUGAAUUUGGCACAAUAAAUUCUUAAGAUCUUAAUAUAAGGCAUGGUGAAAUGGUAUUUUGACUUAUUGUAGACAAAUUAAAUUUUGGCACAAUAAAUACUUAAUCCAUCAUAAAAUUAAAGGGAAAAUAAUAAUAAUUUGUAUAAUUAAUCUUUUGAGUAAUAAAUCUAAAACAAAUUGGCAAAAAGAAUUUAUUAAGUUUUAUUUAUUUCUAAGAGUGGAUCCAUAACCCUAACUAGUUCAAUUCCAUAGUUUCAUUUAAAUUAAGUUGUUUAUAUUCAAGUUUUAAUUUCAAUUUUUAGAUAAAAUAAAAUAAACUAAUUAAAUCUUUUCUCUGUGGAUCGACCUCGGACUCACCGAGUUAUAAUACAACAAGACACUCUUAUACUUGGGAGUUAAAAUUUACUUUUAAGUUGUGUCAAGUUUUUGGCGCCGUUGCCGGGGAAAAGUUUUUUAUUUGGUUUGUUUUUCCGUUUUUUAUUUUUCUCUUAUAUGUAAAACUUCGUUUGCCCCCUUUUCCUUUUCUUAAAUUCUCCUUAGUCCCCAUGUCUUUCAUAUUUCUCGUUUCACCCCAACAAUUUCCUUUUCUAGCCCAAUCUUCUGGUAAUUACGUUCGGACCCCAACAUCUUUCAACUGUUUCACUUUCAUCCCAAAUUACUAAUUCUAAACUUCUAAAAAUUACAUUUUGACCAUAAAAUUAAAAAUAAUUUGCAAUAGAAUCCCUAGACGAAAUUCCUCAACAUAAUCAAGACUUGGACAUAUUUGGACAUACUUUGGACAUAUUUGGACAUAUUUGGACUUAUUUUGGACCAAACUAACUUUAACUACUAACUCUAAUUACUAACUCUUAACUUACUAACUGCUAACUGCUAACUGCUAACUUUUAUUUAAUUUCAGUUAUUUAAUUUUCUGCAUUUAUUUUAUUUCGUAUUUAUUUAUUUGUUUUUGCUUUAUUGGUGGGUUUAACCACCAAACUAACUACUAACUCUUAACUUUUAUUUUCAGUUAUUUAAUUUUCAGUAUUUAUUUAAUUUUGUAUUUUUUAUUUUUUUUAAUUGGUGGGUUCAACCACCAUUUUUUUUUAUUUUGCAUUUAUUUAUUUAUUUAUUUUUUACUUUGUUGGUGGGUUCAACCAUCAAAAUUGUUAUUUAAUUUUCUUUUGUAUACUUAUAUUAUUUAUUUAUUUAUUUUUUUAUUUUAUUUUGUUAUCAAUUUGUGUAAAUAUUAUCUUUAUAACAUAACCAUUGCAUGAGACGUUGGUCUCGAUCUUCAAGUGGCAGGUUAAUUCGUAGAUCUCAAUCUCCACCACCAAUCAUGGAUGAGAAUGAAGGCGAAAACGUUUUGGGCGAACUUAAUCCUCAAAUUGAUCAGGGAGACAACCAAUCUCAACAUGGGCAUGAUCAGAAUCAACCAAGGACUCUGAGAGACUACAUGAAUCCAACCAGAACCGGAGCACCGUCGUGUAUAGUAUUUCCUCCAGAAGCAUCUCGAUUCAACUUUAAACCAGGUAUUAUCCAACUUUUACCAACAUUUCAUGGUUUAGAAUCUGAGAAUCCGUACUUGCAUCUAAGAGAUUUUGAGGAAGUUUGUAAUACAUACACGGACCAAAAUUGUAGCAUGAACAUAAUUAGAUUAAAGCUUUUUCCUUUUUCAUUAAAAGAUAAAGCUAAAACUUGGCUACAAAACCUUAGAUCUGGAUCAGUAAGAACUUGGAAUAACAUGCAAGAACAGUUUUUUGAAAAAAUUCUUUCCACCUCAUAGAACAAAUUCUUUUAAAAGGCAAAUCACUUCUUUCACUCAAAAAAAUGGAGAAACAUUAUACCAAUGUUGGGAUAGGUUUACAGAGUUGCUUAACAUAUGCCCACAUCAUGGUUUUGAAACUUGGCGAUUGGUCACUUAUUUCUACGAGGGCUUAAUACCCCAAAGUAGACAGGUUGUUGAAAUGAUGUGUAAUGGUGAAUUUAGGGAUAAAAAUCCUGAAGAUGCACUAGAUUACCUUGACCAAUUAGCUGAAAAUGCACAACAUUGGGAUACUGUUGGAACUUUUGAAUUGACAAAUAAGCAACAAUCAUCUCCAUCUAGUGGAGGAAUCCAUAACCUUAGGGAAGAUCAUGAUUUACAAGCAAAAUUUGCAUCCCUAGUUAGGAAAGUUGAAGCUUUGGAGCAUAAAAAGAGUGAUCAAGUAAAAUCUGUUCAAGAAAUUGCAUGUAACAUAUGUAAUUCGAAUGAUCAUUUCACUCAAGAGUGUCCCACUUUGCCUGCACUUAAAGAAUGUCUAAAUGAUCAAGCUAAUGUCAUUAACACUUUCAAUAAACCAAACCCAUAUUCACAGACUUAUAAUCCUGGUUGGAGAAAUCAUCCGAAUUUCAGUUGGAGGAAUAAUAAUAAUGCACAAUCUUCACAAGCACCACCUCCACAAAAUUUUCAAAAUCCUCAGCCUUAUGCACCAUAUGUUCCACCACCCUGGAAAAAUCUGGAAGACACAAUGCAUUCAUUCAUCAGAAAGCAAGAUGUUAUUAACAAUCAAAAUGCACAAAAUUUUUCUGAUUUGAAAGAUACUCUUGCUAAAAUUGCUUCUGCACUCACCAUUCAAGAAAAAGGAAAAUUUCCAGCCCAACCACAACCAAAUCCUAAAAUUCAACAAAAUCCACCCACAGACCAAGUCAAGUCAGUUAUAACUCUUCGUAGUGGUAAGGUUGUUGAUAGACCUAUGCCUGAACCUUAUGAAAAUGAUGAAAAUUCAAAGGGUAAGGAAGGACUAAAUGAACUUACACCUAGUGAAGAAAUAACUAGUGUUCCACCUGAACCACCAUUUCCGCAUGCAUUGAAUAAACCAAAGAAAUCAAACCACUCUUCUGAAAUUUAUGAAAUCUUUAAGCAAGUGAAAGUUAACAUUCCUCUAUUAGAUGCAAUCAAGCAGGUUCCUUUAUAUGCCAAAUUUUUAAAGGACUUGUGCACUGUUAAGAGGAAAUUGAAGGUAAGAAAGAGUGCUUUCAUGGCCGAACAGGUAAGUACAAUUCUGUCUACUAAUAAUAAGUUGAAAUAUAAAGAUCCUGGUUGUCCUACCAUUUCUUGUAUUAUUGGUAACCACAGAAUUGAGCAUGCUUUACUAGAUCUUGGUGCUAGUGUUAAUUUGCUUCCAUAUUCAGUUUAUCUUCAACUUAAUCUUGGUGAGUUAAAAUCAACUUCAACUACACUUUUGCUUGUCGAUAGAUCAGUUAAAGUACCAAAAGGAAUAGUGGAAGAUGUUUUAGUACAAGUUGAUAAAUUUAUUUAUCCUGUGGAUUUUAUUGUCUUGGAAACUGAACCUGUUGUGAAUAAUUACAAACCAAUUCCUGUAAUUUUAGGUCGACCAUUUUUAGCAACUGCUAAUGCUUUGAUUAAUUGUAGGAAUGGUUUAAUGAAUUUAUCCUUUGGGAAUAUGACUUUGGAAUUGAAUGUUUUCAACAUGUGCAGGCAACCUAAUGAAGAAAAUGAGAAUGAAGAUGAUACUGAUGAACAAAAGGAAUUGUUUGAAUCUUGUAUCGAGGAAAAUAUUCAAAAAGGGGAUUUUUCUGAACUUUCAAAUGUUUGUUUAGUUAAUUCAAUUGAGUCAAAUAAGCAACUUGAACUUGAUAUUUCUAAUAUAAAUUCGUUGCUUGAUUCUGUGCAGACUUCACAAAAUUAUGAUGACGAGCCAAAAUUUGAGGAGCUUGGAAGUAUUGAAAAGACAGAACAACAAGAAGCACCUAAAAUGGAAUUGAAACCUUUGCCUGAAGGAUUGAAAUAUGCUUUUCUUGGAGAAGAACAAACUUAUCCUGUUGUGAUUUCUUCUACUUUAACAAGCGACCAAGAAGGUAAGUUACUUACUGUUCUUAAAAAGCAUAAAAAUGCAAUAGGAUGGACUUUAAAUGACAUUAAAGGCAUUAAUCCCUUAAUCUGCACACAUAGAAUUAAUUUGGAAGAAAAUGCUAAAAUAUGUCAACAACCUCAAAGAAGAUUAAACCCACACAUGAAAGAGGUAGUCAAAACAGAAGUCCUUAAAUUACUUGAUGUGGGAAUUAUCUACCCUGUUUCUGAUAGUAAGUGGGUAAGUCCUACACAAGUAGUGCCUAAAAAAUCUGAAAUCACUGUUGUUAAAAAUGAAAAAGGUGAAUUAAUUCCAACACGAAUUACAUCUAGUUGACGCAUGUGCAUUGAUUAUAGAAAAUUAAAUGAAGCCACUAGAAAAGAUCAUUUUCCAUUACCAUUCCUUGACCAAAUCUUAGAAAGAGUAGCAGGACAUCCCUACUACUGUUUUUUAGAUGGAUAUUCAGGUUAUUAUCAAAUUCCUAUAGCACUUGAGGACCAAGAAAAGACCACAUUCACAUGUCCUUUUGGAACAUUUGCAUUUAAAAGAAUGCCAUUCGGGCUUUGUAAUGCUCCUGCAACAUUUCAAAGAUGUAUGUUAAGCAUUUUUUGUGAUAUGGUUGAACAUUGUUUAGAGGUCUUUAUGGAUGAUUUGACUGUGUUUGGGAAUUCUUUUGAUGAUUGCCUUGAUAAUUUGGAGAAAGUUUUAAAAAGAUGUGUUGAAAAAGAACUCGUGUUGAAUUGGGAAAAAUGUCACUACAUGGUUACUUCUGGAAUUGUUUUGGGUCAUGUUGUUUCUAUUAAAGGAAUUGAAGUUGACAAAGCAAAAAUCGAAGUCAUAUCUAAAUUGCCACAACCAAAAACAGUUAGAGAUGUGCGAUCCUUUUUAGGACAUGCAGGAUUUUAUAGGAGGUUUAUAAAAAACUUUAGUGCCAUAUCUAAACCACUUUGUAACCUCUUAUUAAAAGAUGCACCGUUUGAAUGGAAUGAUGAUUGCCAAAAAUCUUUUGAAAAAAUAAUUUGUCUUUUAACAUCUGCACCUAUUAUGCAAUCUCCUGAUUGGUCUUUGCCAUUUGAAUUAAUGUGUGAUGCAAGUGAUUUUGCUGUUGGUGCUGUUUUAGGACAAAGAAGGGAUGGUAAGCCUUUUGUGAUUUAUUAUGCGAGUAAGACUUUAGAUAGUGCUCAAAUGAAUUAUUCUACAACUGAAAAAGAAUUACUUGCUGUGGUAUUUGCAUUAAACAAAUUCCGUUCAUAUUUGCUUGGCUCCAAAUCUGUUGUGUUUACUGACCACGCUGCUGUGAGAUAUUUGAUGAGUAAACAGGAUGCCAAACCGAGGAUAAUUCGUUGGAUUUUGUUACUACAAGAAUUUGACCUUACCAUCAAAGAUAAAAAGGGUGCUGAAAAUGUUGUUGCGGAUCAUCUAUCAAGACUCACAUCCGAAUUCUGCAAUGAUAUAACACCCAUAAAUGAUUCUUUCCCUGAUGAAUUUUUAUUUUCUGUUACUUCAAUGCCAUGGUAUGCUAACAUUGUUAAUUUCCUUGUUACAGGUAAAAUGCCUUUGCAAUGGAAUGCUCAAGAGAAGAAGAAAUUUUUUGUUGAAGUAAAGAAAUUUUAUUGGGAUGACCCUUAUUUGUUCAAAUAUUGCCCAGAUCAAAUUUUUCGGCGAUGUAUUCCUCAUAAUGAGGUAAGUAGUGUCAUUAAUUUUUGUCAUUCUGAAGCAUGUGGUGGUCAUUUUUCUUCAAGAAAAACUAUUGCUAAAAUUUUACAGUGUGGAUUUUAUUGGCCUACCAUGUUUAAAGACACAUAUGAAUUCUGCAAAAGUUGUGAAAAAUGUCAAAAAUUGGGAUCAAUUACAAAAAGAAACAUGAUGCCCUUAAAUCCCAUACUUGAAAUUGAAAUAUUUGACUGUUGGGGAAUUGAUUUCAUGGGUCCAUUUCCAUCAUCUUUUGGAUUUGUGUAUAUAUUAGUUGCAGUUGAUUAUGUCUCAAAAUGGAUUGAAGCAAUUUCUUGUCGAAAUAAUGACAGUAAAACUGUGAUUAAAUUUUUAAGAGAAAACAUUUUAAGUCGAUUUGGAAUCCCUCGAGCCAUUAUCAGUGAUGGAGGUAAGCAUUUUUGUAAUAAGUCAUUUGAGUCUUUAAUGAAGAAAUAUGGAAUUACACAUAAAAUUGCUACCCCUUAUCAUCCUCAAACAAAUGGUCAAGUUGAAUUAGCAAAUAGGGAGAUAAAACAAAUUUUGGAAAAAACGGUUAACCCAAACCGAAAAGAUUGGUCUCUUAGACUUAAUGAUGCACUUUGGGCUUACCGCACUGCAUUUAAAACAUCAUUAGGAAUGUCACCCUAUCGGUUAAUUUAUGGUAAACCUUGUCAUUUACCUGUUGAACUUGAACAUAAAUCACUUUGGGCUAUUAAAGCUUUUAAUUCAAAUUUGGAUGAUGCUGGUAAUGUGCGAAAAUUGCAAUUGAAUGAACUUGAGGAAUUAAGGAAUGAUGCAUAUGAAAAUUCAAGAAUUAUUAAGGCAAGAACAAAAGAAGAUUAAACCCACACAUGAAAGAGGUAGUCAAAACAGAAGUCCUUAAAUUACUUGAUGUGGGAAUUAUCUACCCUAUUUCUGAUAGUAAGUGGGUAAGUCCUACACAAGUAGUGCCUAAAAAAUCUGAAAUCACUGUUGUUAAAAAUGAAAAAGGUGAAUUAAUUCCAACACGAAUUACAUCUAGUUGACGCAUGUGCAUUGAUUAUAGAAAAUUAAAUGAAGCCACUAGAAAAGAUCAUUUUCCAUUACCAUUCCUUGACCAAAUCUUAGAAAGAGUAGCAGGACAUCCCUACUACUGUUUUUUAGAUGGAUAUUCAGGUUAUUAUCAAAUUCCUAUAGCACUUGAGGACCAAGAAAAGACCACAUUCACAUGUCCUUUUGGAACAUUUGCAUUUAAAAGAAUGCCAUUCGGGCUUUGUAAUGCUCCUGCAACAUUUCAAAGAUGUAUGUUAAGCAUUUUUUGUGAUAUGGUUGAACAUUGUUUAGAGGUCUUUAUGGAUGAUUUGACUGUGUUUGGGAAUUCUUUUGAUGAUUGCCUUGAUAAUUUGGAGAAAGUUUUAAAAAGAUGUGUUGAAAAAGAACUCGUGUUGAAUUGGGAAAAAUGUCACUACAUGGUUACUUCUGGAAUUGUUUUGGGUCAUGUUGUUUCUAUUAAAGGAAUUGAAGUUGACAAAGCAAAAAUCGAAGUCAUAUCUAAAUUGCCACAACCAAAAACGGUUAGAGAUGUGCGAUCCUUUUUAGGACAUGCAGGAUUUUAUAGGAGGUUUAUAAAAAACUUUAGUGCCAUAUCUAAACCACUUUGUAACCUCUUAUUAAAAGAUGCACCGUUUGAAUGGAAUGAUGAUUGCCAAAAAUCUUUUGAAAAAAUAAUUUGUCUUUUAACAUCUGCACCUAUUAUGCAAUCUCCUGAUUGGUCUUUGCCAUUUGAAUUAAUGUGUGAUGCAAGUGAUUUUGCUGUUGGUGCUGUUUUAGGACAAAGAAGGGAUGGUAAGCCUUUUGUGAUUUAUUAUGCGAGUAAGACUUUAGAUAGUGCUCAAAUGAAUUAUUCUACAACUGAAAAAGAAUUACUUGCUGUGGUAUUUGCAUUAAACAAAUUCCGUUCAUAUUUGCUUGGCUCCAAAUCUGUUGUGUUUACUGACCACGCUGCUGUGAGAUAUUUGAUGAGUAAACAGGAUGCCAAACCGAGGAUAAUUCGUUGGAUUUUGUUACUACAAGAAUUUGACCUUACCAUCAAAGAUAAAAAGGGUGCUGAAAAUGUUGUUGCGGAUCAUCUAUCAAGACUCACAUCCGAAUUCUGCAAUGAUAUAACACCCAUAAAUGAUUCUUUCCCUGAUGAAUUUUUAUUUUCUGUUACUUCAAUGCCAUGGUAUGCUAACAUUGUUAAUUUCCUUGUUACAGGUAAAAUGCCUUUGCAAUGGAAUGCUCAAGAGAAGAAGAAAUUUUUUGUUGAAGUAAAGAAAUUUUAUUGGGAUGACCCUUAUUUGUUCAAAUAUUGCCCAGAUCAAAUUUUUCGGCGAUGUAUUCCUCAUAAUGAGGUAAGUAGUGUCAUUAAUUUUUGUCAUUCUGAAGCAUGUGGUGGUCAUUUUUCUUCAAGAAAAACUAUUGCUAAAAUUUUACAGUGUGGAUUUUAUUGGCCUACCAUGUUUAAAGACACAUAUGAAUUCUGCAAAAGUUGUGAAAAAUGUCAAAAAUUGGGAUCAAUUACAAAAAGAAACAUGAUGCCCUUAAAUCCCAUACUUGAAAUUGAAAUAUUUGACUGUUGGGGAAUUGAUUUCAUGGGUCCAUUUCCAUCAUCUUUUGGAUUUGUGUAUAUAUUAGUUGCAGUUGAUUAUGUCUCAAAAUGGAUUGAAGCAAUUUCUUGUCGAAAUAAUGACAGUAAAACUGUGAUUAAAUUUUUAAGAGAAAACAUUUUAAGUCGAUUUGGAAUCCCUCGAGCCAUUAUCAGUGAUGGAGGUAAGCAUUUUUGUAAUAAGUCAUUUGAGUCUUUAAUGAAGAAAUAUGGAAUUACACAUAAAAUUGCUACCCCUUAUCAUCCUCAAACAAAUGGUCAAGUUGAAUUAGCAAAUAGGGAGAUAAAACAAAUUUUGGAAAAAACGGUUAACCCAAACCGAAAAGAUUGGUCUCUUAGACUUAAUGAUGCACUUUGGGCUUACCGCACUGCAUUUAAAACAUCAUUAGGAAUGUCACCCUAUCGGUUAAUUUAUGGUAAACCUUGUCAUUUACCUGUUGAACUUGAACAUAAAUCACUUUGGGCUAUUAAAGCUUUUAAUUCAAAUUUGGAUGAUGCUGGUAAUGUGCGAAAAUUGCAAUUGAAUGAACUUGAGGAAUUAAGGAAUGAUGCAUAUGAAAAUUCAAGAAUUAUUAAGGCAAGAACAAAAGCAUUUCAUGAUAAAAGAAUUUUUCGAAAAACAUUUGAGAUUGGUCAAAAAGUGUUGCUUUAUAAUUCUCGUCUUCAUUUAUUUCCAGGAAAGUUAAAGUCAAAAUAGAGUGGCCCAUUUGUUGUAAAAAAUGUAUAUUCAUAUGGGGCCAUAGAAAUUGAGAAUCCAAAUAACGGUGUCACAUUUAAAGUUAAUGGUCAAAGAUUAAAACCAUAUCUGGAACAUCACCCACGUGACGAGGACACCGAAAUUAAUUUGGAUGACCCACCAGUUCUUGAUUAAGUCUUUAAUGAUUUUUUUUUUUUUUACUAUUAUUUUACCGUUUCAUUGUUUGAUUUUUUUUCUUUAGAUUGAUGCACUGUACAUAGUUUUUUUUUAACAUUGUUUUUCUUGUGUAAGCGUGUUUGUUUGACAGUUGUACAUUCUCUCAUCAAUUUUCAUUUUACAUCAUGAGCACCUCAAUGAGAAAAUACCUAUUCGCACAUCUUAAAAGAUUUCGGCGUAUAAAAUUUCACUUAAGAGGCCUAAUACAAAGCUGUAAAUCACAUCCACUUUGGGAUCUGCAACCACCAGAAUUCGUGUCCUAUGUUGAGGAUCUAGAAGGACAACUCAGAACAGUAGAGAGUGGCAUAUAUGAAUUUCAAAUAGAGCUUGAGGUUAACUCAAUGAGAGGACGAAUGUAAGUUCAUUUUCCUUUUAUAUUGUGUGCUUUUUUUUUGCUCGCUUUCACGCUUGAUUUGAUUUUGCAGAUUUGAUUUUGGUGUGUUUUGAUUUAUUUUCCCGUAUAAAUGGCGGAUAACGGUACUCCGUGACUUCUUAAGUCGGUAUCUUCAGUUUCCCACAAUAACUGAAACCCCAAAAUCAAACAUGGAAGAAAUACAACAUAAACUCCAUAAGCAUUUUCCCUCUCUCCCUCAGAAUGCCCUCAGGAAAAUUUACAAAGCUCGUUGUGAACGACUGCGUUUGUUAAUGAUCAAUGGCAUUCUUUCUGACAUUCGUUGGUUAAUUGAAGCAAAGGUCUGAUUAGCAGGUGAGUUUUCUAGUCAAUUUGUUUCUUACAUGCCUGGUUUUGGUAAAAGUACGUUUGCUAAGAAAAGGAGAGCUAAACGACUUGGCUCAAAAUGUCAUAACUGUGUAAGACUUGGUUGCAAACGACCGGAUUGUAAAUCUUUAGGAAUGGUUUCUGAUACUCGUGAAGAUAAAAUUAAAUUCGUUAAAGAUGGCAUGAGUAAAGAAUCGUUGGAUGAUAUCUUACGAUCUCUUGAGACGCAUCGAAGCGGAAUUGUGCAAUGUGAGAUUUACAAUUUGUGGAUACUAUUCCAAAAACAAAGUGCACAGUUAAGUCUUGGGAAUCUGACUCAAAAAGACCCUGUUUGCCAGUUUAUAAGAAAACUGGAUGGGAAGCCGAUCCUCGACCCAUAGAGGGCGUUCAAGCCGUUACUGGACGUAAAACCAGAGGAAGAUGUGAGCCACAAUCACAACUACUAGUAAAUAUCCUUUCACUUCACUGUUAUUUUACUUUACUGUUAUUUUAUCAUUUGAAUUAUUGCAUUUAGCGAUGUGAUUUUGUAUUUAUUUGGUUUCUUUUACUGUUUGCUUUUUCUAAUCAUUACUUUUUUUUUUACUAUUUGUUUUUGAAUUAUUGAGCCACGAGCUUUCCUCGUCAUUUGACAAAUAUGCCAACCCAUUUACAGCUGUUUCUCUUUAUUUAUGUCACCAAGAUCUUUAAAUAUGAGCUCGUUUUUCAAACACUCACAACUUGUUUUUGAAAAAUUAGUCCAAUGGCAGCAUCUUCAAGUAAACAAUUCAAAAAUAUUUGUGUGCUUUCUGGGUUUCACUAUGGAAAGUACAAAGAGUUCGUUCAGGUAGCUGUAGAUCUUGGUCGUGUCAUAGCAGAGAGGAAACUGCAUCUUGUAUAUGGAGGAGGUGAACGAGGGUUAUCAAGACUUGUCUCAGAAGCUGUUUUUACCAGAGGAAGCCAAGUACUCGGCAUUAUCCCAAAACCCAUGAAACCGCUAGUGUGCAUGUCUGGCCCACCAAUUGGAGAAGAAUUAGUGGUAUCAAGUAUGCAAGAGAGAAUAUCUGAAAUGAUGAAUCAUGCUGAUGCUUUUAUUUUCUUGCCAGGAGAUCUUGCAACUUUUGAGGCACUAAUUACAUUUGCAUCUUGGGCCCACUUGAACAUUCAUCAAAAGCCCAUCGGUUUGUUAAAUGUUAAUAAUUUUUAUGACGGCUUGCUAACUUUUAUUAAUCAUGCAAUAAAGAAUCAUUUUGUUCCACAUUCUGUAAAAAAACUCUUUAUCUCUGCUUCUACUGCUAAUGAGUUACUUGAUCUUUUACAAGCUUAUACACCAGAGCCAGAUCCACAGACUGUUGCACUGAAUUGGUCGACUAAUGAUGGUAACGGUAACAGUAGCAGUAAUAAGAAGUGCGAUUUAGAUUUAACUCUCCGUUUGUAAAUAUUUGCUGUUGUAGUGUUCAUGUGAUGUCUUCUACACUCUUUCUAUUUCCUUUUAAAACAUUGAGGACAAUGUCUUUUUCAGGUUGGGGGGAGGGAAUAGUUGAUAAUUGUGGAAUGUCUUAGUCCUGGUUAUGUGUUUACAAAAAAAAAAAAAAAAAAAACAAUAACAAAAUUUUUUUUUUCUGUAAAGACUAACUUAGGACAAAUUUGAGUCGAAGAUGGCAGGAUAUAGAGAAUGUAGUCUCUCUAGAAACGCAUCUUCUUAAUCUUAAGGGUGUUGUUAAAAAAAAAAAAAAAUUGACUUUUUCUUCAUCUUUGUUAUCUACUUUUAAGCUUCUGCAUCAAGUUAAGGUGAGAUCUCCUAUUCUUCUUCUUUUAUUAUUCUCUUUUAUUUUUAUUUAUUAUUAUUAUUAUUUUUUUGCAUAUCUGUAAAAUUAUAAAAUGUUAGGAUAAUGUUUAGAUUAGGUUGUGGGGUGGGGAUAAUUGACGUAUGUUUUAAAUAUGUAUGUUGUUUUUUUCUCUUUUCUCUUUUCUUUUCUUUUCUUUGCCAAAAAAAAAAAAAAAUUGUUUUUUGUCUAGGAUGGCCGUGUAAAGAGUCACGACUUUUGAGACGCAUCCUAAUAGUCUUGUUGUAUUAUAUUUUGAUUUUGAGAUUCAUGGUAAGUUGUUUUUGUUCCCUUUUCUUUGAAUUACUCAAAUUUGUGAACUCUCCACUUGGUUAUUAAGUUAUUUAAUUGUUUACUCAUUUAACAGGUAUUAUUGAAUCAUUCUUCACACACACAUUAUGACACAUACUAGUGGGUUGUAAGUUAAAAUUUUACAGCAUUUAGUUCUUUUGAUUUAUUAGGAAAAGUAUCUAAGGUAGUAGAAAGUGUAUAGUUCCAAAAAAAAAAAAAAAAGUAGAAAAAAAAUUGUUUUUAAUUUUUCUAUAUCUAGAACCCGAGUAAUUAAGUCCGUAGGGGUGUUUCAACACCUAGUGCCCUAAGGUCAACUGGUCUGGGAGUCACUGGCCUAAAGCUCACUACAUGGGUAAUAGAUAUAUUGUUUGUUUAUUAGAAACCCGAGUAAUUAAGUCCGUAGGGGUGCUUUAACACCUAGUGCCCUAAGGGCAACUGGUCUGGGAGUCACUGACCCAAAGCUCGCUACACGGGUUAGAAAUGUAAUAUAUAAAAAAAAAAUGUGUGAAUAAUCUAUUGCCUAAAGAUAUAAUUUCUAAUGAAUUUUAGAACGAAAAUGUUGUUUUUCUUUUAAUGAAGCCCCAUAAGUAUUGUGUUAAUUACUUGAGCACAAAAGAAGGUUUGAUGAUAUUCUGGAUAAUGAGUGAACAUCAAUGUGGUAAAGGAAUUUGGGAGAGUUCAUUUAUUUGGUAAUUUAGAGGAUAGAUGAACAACUAUUAACUUGCAUGUGAAUUUUAUAAAUCUUAAUAUAACGCUUUAAUUGCUAGAGGGCUAGCAAUAAGCUGGUUGGGGGGUGUGAUUAGUAUUAAAAAUUGUUUAAUUAUCAAGCGAUAAUAUGUUAUUUUAUGCUUAUGUUAUAAUUUAUAUUUGUGUUUAUGUAAUAUAUUAUGAAUUAUUAAUUAUGUUUUAAAUAUAUUUAAUUUUGUGUAUUUUUAUGUGUUUAUUAGGAAAAUUAUUAAUUUCACGUACUUCGAGGCUCCAAACAGAUAAACGGAGGUCAAAUUUGGAUUCCGGAGGUCCGAAAACCUUAAGAUCAGUCAAGAUCGGCUUAAAAUUGGGCUUGUGUAAAAAAAGUUGACUUUUCCUGUUGACCGAGCACUGAUUGGAUGAUGAAAUGAGCUUACAAUAGAUAUGAGUGCAUGGGAUAACUGGCAAUCUUGACUAAAUCUCAACCGUUCAUGAUUCAAUGGCCAUGAUUGUGCCACGUGGCAAUGGUUGGUGAAGCAAGUUGGAGGAUCCGAAUCUUUGUAUUCGGGUCGACCCGAUCCACCCAUUAACCCGCCAAAUCUCAACCGUUCUUUGGGCAAAUCGGACGAGUCAAAUGAUGCCAUGUGUGAUGUUGACUUUUGAAGUUUGACCAGCCAUUGGAUCUUGAUCUAAGGGUUGUGAGGAGCACAUGCAUGAAGCCUAUGAUGGACCGCAAAGCACUGGAUUAUGAAUUUAUUUUUCUAUAAAUAGGGCCUCAUUUUUAUGUUUUAAUCAUCUCUCUACAACUCUCUUCUUCUCAAAUUCUCUCCAUCUCCUUGUAAUCUUGAUUUCCAGGUGUGUUUUUAAUAUUUUGUAUAAUUAUUUUCAUUAAUAAAAUUAGUUUUAUUUCCAAUUUUAGUUGUUUUUAUUUCUUUUAAUUAUAAGUAAUUCAAUUUUACUACUUCUUUUUAUUUUAAUUAUGCUUAACUAAAUAAUAUUAGUUAGGGGAAGGUGAAACUCUUAAGAAAUAAAUAUGAUUUAAUCAAAUUCUAUGUUUAAUUUUAUAAAUUAAUUUAUUUUCUAUUUAAUUUUAUACAUGUUUUAUAUUUUGAAAAUUUGAUUUAUUGUAGACAAACAAAUGAAUUUGGCACAAUAAAUUCUUAAGAUCUUAAUAUAAGGCAUGGUGAAAUGGUAUUUUGACUUAUUGUAGACAAAUUAAAUUUUGGCACAAUAAAUACUUAAUCCAUCAUAAAAUUAAAGGGAAAAUAAUAAUAAUUUGUAUAAUUAAUCUUUUGAGUAAUAAAUCUAAAACAAAUUGGCAAAAAGAAUUUAUUAAGUUUUAUUUAUUUCUAAGAGUGGAUCCAUAACCCUAACUAGUUCAAUUCCAUAGUUUCAUUUAAAUUAAGUUGUUUAUAUUCAAGUUUUAAUUUCAAUUUUUAGAUAAAAUAAAAUAAACUAAUUAAAUCUUUUCUCUGUGGAUCGACCUCGGACUCACCGAGUUAUAAUACAACAAGACACUCUUAUACUUGGGAGUUAAAAUUUACUUUUAAGUUGUGUCACUAACUAUAAAGGCUGGGUUACUUUGAGGACUUUUAGAUUCUCCAAAAUUUUUAUCAAGUUUUUCUAUUUUUUUUUUCAUAAUCUGAUAUAAUUUGAUUGAUUUUUAUAUUGUAUUCACCACGCUGGCUGCUUCGAAAAUGUAAUUUUCGAGUUGUUUACCUAAUAAGAUUAUAAAUUCUUGGUGUGGUGAUGGAAUGAUUACAUGGUGUUGUAAGAGUAAUUCUUUCGUUAGUCAUUAUAUAAAUGAACUGACAAAGGAAAUUGACUUCUAAAAGUAUAUAUGCUCCUAUAUGAUUAUAAGACCAUAAUAUAUGGAUACUUAAAAUGUAAUCUUCGAUUUGGAUUAAAGUUUUUAUCCUACAUGUUCCUAAAAUGAUUUGUUCACCAUUUAUUCCUUGUCCUGUUAAGGGUUUAUAAUCUUUCGAAUAUGAUUUUGGAUAAAUCCUUAAAUUAGGUAAGCUAACUCCUGAACCAGUGUCUAUUAAAGCAUGAAACCAUUCUGGCUUAUGCUUAUAAUAUGGUUUAAUCACUUUUAUAUAAACUAUAAAAAGAUUAGACAUAUCUUGAUAUGGUUUGCUUAAUUCCUUCAACUGUUAAGCUUAUUUUUCUAUCUCCUAUAGAAUAAGGAGUAAAAUUCUCAAGAAAGUUCAUCCCUAAUAAUAAAGGACUUAUUUAUGUUUCAUAAUCUGGUUCUAUGAAAAAAGAAAAGAUGAAUUCUAUCCCUUUUAUUCUUAAUAGUAUUUCACUAUAUUGACUUAAUGUCUUUCUUUCUCCAUUAAAUCCUACAUAAGUAUGAGGCUCAAUUAAAAUUUUUCUUUCUAAAUAUUUAAUAAUUUUAGAAUCUACAUAAGAUUUUGCAGCUCCUGUAUCAAGGAUAGCAAAAGUCUCGUGCCAUGAUUUUCCAUUAUUAUAUUCAAUCUUAAUUUUUAGAUUUUGAUUAUCCAGUAUUGCUAAAUUUACUGGACUAUUUGUCCUUUCUCGAAAAUGAGCUCUUAUCAUGACUUGAAUUCCUCCGAUAUGAACAUAUCCAAUUUUAAGUCUAUCACUAGAUUUUAUCUCAUUUAUCUUAUCUUUUAUAUCAGUUUUUAAUAAUAAUGGUAUAUUUGUAUUUCCUCUAGCAUACCUAAUUUCAAUAGGUUCUUCUCUUACAGUAGCACUAAGAUACAUUAUAUUUUUUCUUUUAAUCAUGUUAGCAAUGCCUUGUGCUAACUUAUUAACCGAAGUCAUAGAUGAUUCCAAUCCUUUUUUAUUAUUCUUGAGAUAUUGCUUUUUAUCAAAGAUUAAUUCUCUAUUAAAAGAACCUUGUUCUUCUAACUCUUCAUCUUGAUAUAAAUCUUUAUUUUCUAAUUCUUCUAUACUCAUUCUGAAUCAGAUUCUAAAUCAGAACUUCUCAAAGUUUCAUUAGAAAGAUAAUAUAUGCUAUCAUUUUCACUAAUAUCUUUGCUAUCGGUGAUUAAUUCUAAAUCAUUGAAAUCUUCAAAUAUUUUUAUAUUUGCUUUCUUCGUUUUAGGACAUUCAUUUGCAUAAUGUUCUUCUUCAUUACAUAACUAGCACUUGCAUUUUUUAGGUGCAUUGGUUUUGGAUCUUCUUUUAAAUUUAUUUUUCUUGUAGAAUUUCUUUUUAUAUUUAUUUUUCUUGUAAUAUUUCCUGUUGGCUUUAAAGAAUUUCUUCUUUUUGAAUUUUUUUUCUUGUGUUUAUAGAUUUUAUCUGAACAUCCAAAUCUUGGCGGAUCUUCUAAUUUAGAACAACAUAAUUCUCGAUUUUGCCUUUUCAUAAGUCUUCUAUCUCUUAUUUCAGAACACUAUUCAUUUAUUCUAUUUUGAGCAAAUCUAAUCCUAUUUCGUAAUGUAUAAGUUUCUGUAGUAUCUUUGUAUUCUUUGUUAUAUUCCAACAUAAUCCUUCUACCCCAUGGGUCUGGUAUCUUUACAAAAUAUAGAUCAUGGUAAUAGCAUAUGUUAUCCUCAUCUUUAUCAAAUUCACAUUUAUAAUAUAAUUCUUCGAAGCUACAUGUAUAUUCUUCUAAAUAACAUAUAUUACAUAUUUCAAGCCUUGUUAGCUUCAUUAAAUUUUCUAUCUGUUUUCUUUUUAUUUCUUGUUGAAAAUCAGUUUCCCAAUCUUCUCCCAAGAAUUUUUUUCUUAUUUCAUUUUCGAAUCUAUUUAAAACCUGAUCAACACUUUCGUUUCGAUUAUUAUUUUCUCCAUACAAUAUUCUAUUUUUAUGAUUAUCAUUUAAUCCCAUAAACCAAUGAGAAACAAUUCCUAUAAACGAAAUUUUAAGGAAUUCUAUACUAUUAUCCCUAUCAAUUUUGUGAAAUGCAAAAGCCAUUUUCAUAGAUUUAACCCAAGCGGUAAUCGUUUUAUCUCUAUCUUUGAUACAGUCUAAACCUAACCAUACACCAUCAUGGUUGAUUGGUCUUUCUCUAUAUUCUCCUGGAGUUUUAUGAUCUUUUUUAGGUUUGUUAAUCCUAAAAUAUUGACCUUGUGCUCUUUCCUGAGUUGGUAUUUCUUCCCUAACAUAGGAAGCUCUAUUACUAGUUUCUCCUUGUUAAAAACCGUUUAACUUUGGUUCAUUCAUUUUUAGAUGUUCUAUUCUAUUUUCAAUAUCCUGCAAAUUAAUGACUAUAUCAUCUUCUUCUUCGGAUUCAGAUUCUUUAUCAGAUAUCUCUUGAUUAGGUAAUUCUAUGUUUUCACUUAGCAUUCUUAGACUUAUUAAUUUUUUGUCUUUGUUUAUUUUGUUAAAUAUCGGUUUAGAUGUUGUUAUCAUUUCUUUAUCUUUAAGUUCAUUAUAGUAAAUUAUGGUAUCUUGUAAAAUUUUAUUUUGUUUAUUGAUCUUCUGUACUUCAAUCCUUUUGUAAUUUUCCAUUUAUGCUUAUAGCGAAUUUAUUACCAAUUUUUUCAUCGAUUUUUUCAAUUUUUUGUAGUUGAUUUCAAUCUUGUUGAAUUUAUUUUCAAUUGAACUUUUGUUCACAAUAUUAAAGAUUUCUUGUUUUAAUCUAUCUUGAUCUUCAAUAUUAAAGUCUUUUAUUAAUAGCUUAACAAAAUCAAAUUCUUCACUCAUUCGCUAUCCUAUCAUUUUGACUUGUCUUAUAUUUUCGGCAUCAAAGCUUUUAAUCUCAAGUAUCUUAUUUACACUUUCUAUAUCAUCUAUGGUUAAAUUAGGGUUUCCUAAUUUAUUUAAUAAAUAUAAUGAGAUCCAAUUUAAUUGAUUAUUUCCCCACAUAUCAGAAUCAUUUACUAAAUCAAAUGGUUGAAAUCUUCCAUAAGUAAAUCCUCUAUGCCUAUAGCUAGAAGGUGGUAAUAUGUUGGUUUCAAUAUUUCUAUAUACUUCUCUCCUGAUCCUAAAGAGAAGAAUAGGAUCAAUAUUUAAAUUUCUAAUUUUUAUUAUGAUGAGUUCUCCAAUUUUAAAUUCAUGAACUCUAACUAAAUAAAAUUGUAUUAAUUGUUUAUCAUCCAAUAUAUUAACUUCUGAAUAAUAAUAUUGUUUAUGUUUUGUUAUAUUAUCUUUAACUCCACACUUGUUUAAAAUUCAACACACAGAUGUGCCUCUUUCUUACUAUACUGGAAUCCUCGGUAAACUUUUUGUUUGCGCAAUUUAUGUGAGCAAAUUGUGUCUUCUUUUUCAUAUGUAAAUGUUUUUGAUAUCUUGAUGUGAAGGUAGAAAAUUGCAUGUUUUGAGUUUUUGCAUAUUUGAUGGAAACACAGAACUGUACCUGAAUCUUUCAGAACCCCCUUUUCUUUGAAGUUUGAACACUUUUCUUGAAUGUAUCAACUUUAUUUAUGGGAUAUGUUGCCAAAUUGGCAAAUCUAUUCGUUAUAAAACUUUCCUUUGACAGUUUAAUCUAAGCAGAUGUUAAUUAUGCAAAUAGAGUGUGCCUAAGAUUAGUUUCAUAGAUUUGUCUCCUUCUGUACAGUAAAAACUUUGAGCAUUUUCGCCAUAUUCUGAUCAAUACACUCCAACUAGUUAGUUCUUGAGGCGUUUUAUGGUUUCGUGGAGUGAGGCAAGAUGUAUACGUUUGCAAAUUGGCAAUGUCUUUUGCUUGAUGGGUUGAGAGUUGUGAGUGUCAACAGGAAACAAGACCUCUGUUUUAUGAACUCCAAAAAGUUAUUCUGUUAAAAAGAUCGAGACAGAGGCCAUACUAUAUUUAUUAUUGCUAUAAAAGUGUGAAAAAAUAUUCUUUGUUUAAUAUUCUAAACGAUUGAGCCAUUUAGUUAUGAUACUCUGCUGUAUUGGGGCUAAUAAUCUAAGUCGGUUCAAAGUGGUAAAUUUAUAAAUUGAUAGGUAUGCCUGGUAUGACCGCUUACGUUGGAUUUUAUGAGGUCUGCUCUCCUAAGCAAGGAGAGUGUGUCUUCAUAUCCGCAGCAUCUGGUGCAGUUGGACAGCUUGUGGGGCAGUUUGCAAAGUUAUUGGAUUGCUAUGUCGUCGGAAGUGCUGGAAGCAAAGACAAGGUAUGUAAUCUGUGUGAAGUACUUGAUUGUUUCCAUGUUACUUUCAAACAUUUAAAUUAAAAAGGAAAUUUUCAUAAUCUUGCCUUUUCUAUGAUUUUCAAAACCAAGGUUGAUCUACUGAAGAACAAGUUUGGGUUCGACGAGGCAUUUAACUAUAAAGAAGAAGCUGAUUUGAAUGCAGCAUUGAAAAGGUUAGCAUCAAUAAAUGCCUUAGCUUGAUGCAGCUUGAUGAAGUAUGAUACACAUUUCUGACCAAUAUACUGCGUUCCCUGAUCUCUUACUUGAAAUAUCUUGGUUUGAGAAUCUCAUGCCAAUGCCUUUAACAUUUUGGCAGGUACUUUCCUGAAGGAAUUGAUAUAUAUUUUGAAAACGUUGGUGGAAAAUUGCUUGACGCAGUGCUACCCAACAUGAAAAUCCGUGGUCGAAUUGAUGCAUGCGGUAUGAUCUCACAGUACAAUCUUGACAAGCCUGAAGGUGUGCACAACUUGAUGUAUCUUGUUUCGAAACGGCUUCGAAUGGAAGGAUUCAUUGUUCUCGAUCACUAUCACCUCUAUCCAAAGUUUCUGGAAAUGAUCAUUCCUCACAUCAAAGAAGGGAAGCUUGUAUACGUCGAAGACAUGGCUGAAGGUCUUGAGAGUGCUCCGGCAGCUCUCAUCGGUCUAUUCUCUGGCCAGAAUAUUGGGAAACAAGUGGUUGCUGUUGCUCCUUAAUGAAGAACAAGUUAGUGUUGUCUGUCCUUUUACCCUUUGACACAAAACUUCAAUGUUAAAGAGAGAAUGCUGUUCAUAUAUACUGCUUUAUAAAAUAAUCAAGUGAGUGCAAGUUUCAUGAUAUUUGCUGAAUAAAAUAUUGGAAAUUAAGCAGCUAGCCUAGCUCCUUCUUGUAGUUGCAGUUUGAAUGAUGCUGCUGCACAACUGCUGCCGAAAAAAUCCUUAAUAGAUGAUUAGCAAGGUUUCAAAAAUAAAAAUAAAUGUUUGUGCAAUGUGUCGAAUAUGACAGCCACAAAGAAAGAGCACACAAAUUGAUUGGUUUUAUGUCUUCUCUAGGAGAAAGCUACAAUACAAGAAAUUGUACUGAUGGAGCCAUGGACCAAAUUUCUUAUUUAAACUUUUAAUUUUUUUAUUAAAUUACUUAUGUUAUUAUGGUUUAUAAUUUUAGAAAUUCUUUAGAAAUUAAUACAGAACUAGUAGCAAGUUGAGAAAUCUAUUGAAUGGUCAAGAUAUGAUCAUGUUUAUUGAAUUAAAUUGACAAUCAUCAUUUUGAUAAAUUAUUGUCAGGAUGUUUGAUUCAUGACACGUGUAAGCAACUAAAUGUGCUAAAAAAAAGUUAAUGAGUUGGGCGUGUUUGAGUUAAUGAGUUGGGCUUGUUUGAUAUUCAUUUGUUGUAAUUCUUUUAAUAAUUAUUGGGGAAAAAAAGUUAUAAUAAAAAAAAUUAUAAUUAUAAAAUAAAAAUUAAUAAUAUAUAAUAAAUAAGAUUUUAAAUAAUAAUUUUAAUAAAAUAAUAAAUAUAUUAUAAAUUUUUUAUGAUUAAUUUUUAAAUUACAACAAUAAAUAUUUAACAAACACCUUAAUACCACAACUAACACCACAACUUUUGAAUUAUGAUAGUACAAUCUAAAUGCCACAGGCCUUAAAAAAUAAAAUUACAGUCAAGUUUUAAAACUGUUAAUGAUAUUCACAAAGACUCUGGAACAAUAUUACAGAAGGUGCUCGUCGUGUAAGCAACACAUGGGACCCAACCAAUAAAUGUUUCUGAUCCUCAACUUUCCUCAUCACUGUCCCUGGAAACAAUUCUGAUUUUCUUGUCUGAUUAAACAACUGAGAAACAAUGGCGGCCGACCAAGAAGCUGGGAGCAAUAAGCGGGUGAUUCUAAGCAACUAUGUGACAGGUUUUCCAAAAGAAUCAGACAUGAAGAUAACAAGUUGAUCAAUAAAGCUGAAGGUAGCAGAGGGUGUUUGGGAGAAAUACGUCGACGAGACCAGGCAUGGUGAGCAGAUAUCUGAUGGCAGAGUUCUGCGAACCGGUGUGUUCCGUAAAAGCCUGGUGCGCGGGGGAACAGGAGCAGAAGUAUCCUGCUCGUCCACGAGCACGUCAUCCGCGAGGCCAAUUUCCUGUAAGAGGCAUAAGGUCAUUCCGGCUAGAGGUCGAGAGGCGAGGAGACCCGGUCGACGGCAGUUGGCAAGACAUGCUCCCCAGCCCGAGAAUCUAGGCACGACAGCCACGCUUUCCCCAGAACCGUGGCGUAACACGCAAGAUCUCACAGAACCACGACAGCCACGCUUUCCCCAGAACCGUGGCGUAACACGCAAGAUCUCACAGAACCACGACAGCCACGCUUUCCCCAGAACCGUGGCGUAACACGCAAGAUCCCACGUUUGCCCAUAACGCAGCAGUCAGAGUCCCAUACCGUCUCGAAAAAAGCGGAAAACUGGGAUUCAGGGGAAGCCUAUAAAAAGGUAGCCAACGAAGGUAAAAGGGUUAGCAUUUUUGAGAUUAGAAAAGAAAUGAAAAAAGAAGAGAAAACCACGAAAAAGCCAUAAGAUAUGUGGCAAGCGUUCCCCGAACCUUCAUAUCUGACUUGAGCGUCGGAGGGUUUGCGCCGGGAAAACAACCGGCGUACUCUGACUUGUCUGUGUGCGCAGGAACCUCUGGAGAAGAAGCCUCACGUGGAGACCUCCUGGUCGUGAAGAAGUUGAUCGGGCAGAGAUCCUGGUCGUAGAACGAGGAGAACCGGAAUCCCGCAUCAACAUUUUGGCGCCGUCUGUGGGGACCGGAGCAAAAAGCUUCUGUUGAUAGCAAGAAGAGGGGUGAAGCAAGUGAAAAACAAUGGAGACAGGAGGAAGUAGUGCACAAGGGGGUGAUAGGAAGCUUAACGAUUCCGUGACGCUGAGGGAGAUAGUCAGUGAAGCACGGGAAAAAGUCAUGUUCGACCGGAUGGAACGGAUGGAAAAGCAGAUGGAGACCUUGACAACCAUCCUGCAUGAGCUGCGGAGCGAGCGAAGUAUAAUCCAAGAGGGAAGGGUGAGAGGCGGUGGAGUGGCACCAGGUCCCGAUAGUGCGGGGAGAAGUCAAACCACCGGGAGAUUUGGUGGUGAGAGAGGUAACGUACCUCUGCGGGGAGAAUUUCAUAGAGAAAGAGAGCAGUCCCCGGCAAGACAGACUGGCGACGAGGACGACGGGGUGGUGAAUGCAGAGGAAACAGAGUUGAGGCAACACUUGCAUGAUGUAGAGCAAGAGCGGGAUCAAGUUGCAGCACGUGACCCUGGUUGUGCAGUGCAGCUGGAGGAGGAAGUGCGCAGACUAGCACAGAUAAUCGACGACAUGCAAGGAAGGAACAGAGCCCCUGGUUGGAGGAUAAUGCUGGACGGAGAAUCACCGCUCGCAGCAGAGAUCAUGAGGGCAGUUAUUCCGAGAGAUUUCCGCCUCCCAGACCUCAGAUACUCGGGAAGAACUGAUCCGUUGGUGCACAUAGAGCGCUUCAACGACAUAACUGGGGUACAAGGAUUAUCUCAAUCCCAAAGGUGCAGAGUGUUCCCACUAUCCCUUGAGGGACGUGCACGAGAAUGGUACAGGAAACUUCCUCGGGGCAGCAUUAAAACCUUCGAGCAGAUGUGCCAGGAAUUCGCGGAGCAGUUUAGUGGGGCAAUGGCGCCGGAAGAUGACAUGAUGGAGCUGAAAAGCAUGAAACAGGGGGAGCAAGAAACCCUUCGGGAAUUCAUCAAGAGGUUUCAUCGGGCUGUCCUUGACUUGGGAGCCUUCAACCACCCUCAGGCGUUAAGGGGAUUGAAAGAAGGGGUGAAGAUAGGAAGGCUGUGGUACAAUUUGAGAAGCCCAGCUAUUCAAACGUAUGCAGCCGCAUACGAACAGGCUAAGAGAGACAUCGAGAUUGAAGAGGAGAAGGCUGCACGGAUUAAGACAGACCAGUUAGAAGGGUUGGGGAGGAAAGAGAAGAAAGCAUUACCGGGGAAUGGGCCGAUCAGGAGGAGGGACCACCAGGCCUCCGGUAGUGGAGCAGGAGGUCGGGUAGCCGCUUACCAGCCUCAUCAAAGGCCACCACAGUAUCAGCGCAGCAGGGCGCAACCUCCUCGUUCCCCAGCUAGGGAGCCUUGGAGAAGGCAUGAGUCGGCAUCUGGUGGUCUCCAACAACACCCCCACGGUAUCAGAGCGAGCAGACCAGAAGUACUUCCACCGCCCCCAACUCAGAGCGGGGCAAACAGAGAAAGAGCAGUGCACCUGAUCGACCAGAACCCGGACUAUGGGCGGUACACUUCCUUGAAGAUGUCCCUGGAUGAGGUGUACGAGGCCAUAAAGGAUCGAGGGCUGCUGCACCUCCCUACACCAAUAACAAAGCUACCCAACAGGAGGGAUAGAGGACGUUAUUGUAAGUUCCAUGGCACCCAUGGCCAUACCACAGCAGAGUGUAGAGAUCUCAAGACCCAAGUCGAAGAUUUGGUGAGAAAUCGGUACCUGGACGAGUUUAUGGAUGGGACUUUCCCGAUGGGGGCCACAACAGGUGAAGGGGAGCAGAGUGGCGGAAACGUUAGGCGCGAGCAGCCCGCAGUAAGGGUGAUAGCUGGGGGCCCGACAUUGGCCGGAGAUUCCAACAGAUCGAGAAAAAAUUAUGCUAGGUACGCCAUGACCAGUAAAGAGGUACUCCUCAACACCCCAGCAGCCAAACGAGCAAGGGUCAGGCAAGUGCCAAUCAUGUGGACGGAUGAGGAUGAGGAAGGGAUUCUAUACCCCCACGAGGAUGCUUUAGUCAUCAAGGCUACUGUCGCUAGCAAGAAGUUUGACCGGAUACUGAUUGAUACAGGGAGCUCAGUUGAUGUGUUAUUUAAGUCAACCCUGGAAGAGAUGGGAAUAGCCGACCGGAAGUUGGAAUACACCAAUACCUCCUUGAAGGGGUUCGGAGGAGGGAAGCUGGUCCCUCUGGGCGUGGUCGAGCUGCCUAUCACAAUUGGGAGCUCUCCGACAGAAAGAACAAUGAUACUGGACUUUGUCGUAGUGGAUGAGGAAGGUCCUUACCAGAUGAUCCUAGGUCGGCCAUUUUUAAGGAUGAGCAAAGCGGUGUUGUCCAACCAUUAUCUGGCUCUGAAGUACCGGGUGAACGGGGUAGUAGGAGUGGUACGAGGAGACCAGAGGAUCGCAAGAAGCUGCUACUCCUCGGCAGCAAGGGAAGCAAUGCAGAUAACAUCCCUCGAUACCCGAGUGGAAAACAAGAAGGGCAGACAAGAACCUGUAGAGGAUCUGGAAACAGUAAGCCUGGGACCAGAGAACCCGGGAAAGACGAUCAGAAUCGGGUCGAGACUUAAGGGAGAGCAAAAGCAGGAGUUGGUGAAAUGCUUACAGGCUCAUGCUGAUGUGUUUGCUUGGACACAUGAAGACAUGCCAGGAAUUGACCCUGAGGUAGCAUGUCAUAAGCUGGCAAUAAAGAAAAGUGCUCGGGCAGUAAGGCAGAAGAGGAGGUGCUUCAACCAGGAGAGGUAUGAGGCUAUAAAUGGCGAGGUGGAGAAGCUCUUGAGAGCAGGGUUCAUUCGGGAAGUCAGUUACCCUGAGUGGAUAUCGAAUGUGGUGUUGGUAAAGAAGGCAAACGGCAAGUGGAGGAUGUGUGUGGAUUUCACAGACCUCAAUAAGGCGUGCCCAAAAGACAGCUUCCCUUUACCAAAGAUCGAUCAGCUAGUAGAUUCAACGGCUGGACAUGGUCUGCUUAGCUUCAUGGACGCGUUCUCGGGAUACAACCAGAUCCCCAUGUACGAGCAGGAUGAGGAGAGCACGGCUUUCAUCACUAACCAAGGUUUGUUCUGUUACAGGGUAAUGCCAUUCGGUCUCAAAAAUGCCGGGGCCACCUAUCAAAGGCUGGUGAACAAAGUCUUUAAGCCGUUGAUUGGGAAAACCAUGGAGGUGUACGUGGAUGACAUGAUCACCAAGUCCAAAAUCCCGGAGGAACAUGUCAGACACCUCGAGGAGACAUUCGAGCUUUUGAGGAAGUAUAAGAUGAAGCUCAACCCGGAGAAGUGUGCUUUUGGGGUCGAGUCAGGGAAAUUCCUUGGAUUCAUGGUGAGCCAUAGGGGGAUUGAAGCACAUCCCGAGAAAAUCCAGGCGAUUGUGCAAAUGACGUCUCCCCAUAACCUGAAGGAGAUGCAAAGCCUCACGGGGAGGUUGGCGGCGUUGAGCAGAUUCAUAUCCAAGGCUACAGAUAAGUGUAAGCCAUUCUUUCAAGUGAUGAGGAGGGGAAAGAAAACAGAAUGGACCUCAGAAUGCGAGGAAGCCUUCCGGAACUUGAAGCAAUACUUGCAGCAAGCUCCGCUGCUGUCCACACCGAGGGAUGGGGACAAGUUAUAUCUGUAUUUGGCGGUAUCGGAUCGGGCCGUCAGUUCUGUUCUGGUGAGAGAGGAAGAAGGAGUUCAGUAUCCGAUAUAUUACACCAGCAAGGCCCUGCUCGACGCUGAGACCAGAUACCCACCGUUGGAGAAAUGGGCACUUGCCCUUGUGGUUGCUGCUCGGAAGUUGAGGCCAUAUUUUCAAGCAUUCCCGGUCUUGGUAAUAACAAACCAGCCAUUGCGUCAAACUCUGCACAAGCCAGAUGCCUCUGGUCGGCUCGUCAAGUGGGCUGUAGAGCUGAGCGAGUUCGACAUAGACUAUAAACCCCGCGCAGCGAUAAAAGCCCAGGCAAUGGCCGAUUUCGUAGCUGAAUUCACAGAGCCCGAAGUAUGCUUAGAUCAACAAGAUGCAGAUAUAGGCAAUGACGAAACUCAAGUAUGGCAGAUGUCUGUGGAUGGGUCAUCAGGGGAGCGGGGUUCAGGAGCAGGGAUUGUCUUGGAAGGCCCAGAGGGGGAGGAGAUCUCUUAUACUGUAAAAUUGGAAUUUGCAGCCACGAAUAACCAGGCAGAGUAUGAAGCCUUGAUAGCAGGUCUGGAAUUGGCUAAGGCCGUGAAAGCAGACAGAGUUAAGAUCAGAACUGAUUCCCAGCUGGUUGCGAAUCAUGUCAGUGAAAGAUUCCAACCAAGAGAGGAGAAGAUGGGGCAGUACCUGAAGAUAGUCAGGCAGAUGAUGGGGAAGUUCGAAGCAGUGGAGGUGAUACAAAUCCCCAGGGAGCAGAAUAGUCGAGCAGACAUUUUGGCUAGGAUGGCAGCAGUAGCCGACCCAAAAAUGCCAAAGUCGGUCCCUCUGGAGGUGAAGUCCAGCCCAAGUAUCGAUCAGAAUUUGGGGGUGUUGCAGAUAGAACAAAAAUGCUCGUGGAGGGACCCGAUAAUUUCAUACCUUAGAGACGGGGUAUUACCACCAGAUAAGAUGCGAGCUCGCAAGCUUAGAGCCCAGGCCUCGAGAUACACGAUGAUUGAUGGGGUACUGUAUCGGCGAGGAUAUACACUACCGUUCCUUCAGUGUUUGGAUGAGGACGACGCGGAUUACGUACUGAGAGAAGUACACGAAGGAAUUUGCGGAAAUCAUUCUGGCGGGAGGUCCCUGGCCCAUAAGGUUCUAAGGCAGGGAUAUUUCUGGCCGACAAUGCACCAGGAUGCGCAAGAGAAGACCAGGAGUUGUGUAAGCUGCCAGAGUUUUGUAAAUUUCUCUAACCAACCACCAGAGAAGCUCACCUCCAUGACCUCCCCCUGGCCAUUUGCUCAAUGGGGAAUUGAUCUGAUCGGCCCAUUGCCAAAGGCACGGGGAGCAGCAACAUAUGCAAUAGUUGCUAUAGAUUACUUCACGAAGUGGAUAGAGGUAAAAGCCCUUAGCAGGAUCACAGAGAAGAAAACAACAGACUUCGUAUGGAGAAACCUGGUCUGUCGAUACGGGAUCCCUUAUGCCUUGGUAACGGAUAAUGGCAGGCAGUUCGAUAAUCACAGCUUCAGGGAUUUCUGCCAGAACCUCGGGAUAGAGCUGAAGUAUUGCUCGCCUGCUCACCCUCAAUCGAAUGGACAAGUAGAAGCAGCCAACAAGACCAUCAAGAGGCUUUUGAAAACCAGGCUUGGAGCAAAAAAGGGUGCGUGGGUUGACGAGCUGGCAGGUGUGCUAUGGGCAUCCAGAACAACAAAACCGCAACUGGGGAGACACCGUUCGCUUUGGCUUUCGGACAUGAAGCGGUCGUGCCGGCUGAGAUAGGAACGACCACACACCGGACAAAUCAUUUCAAUGAGCAGGAGAACGACGAGCAGAUAUGUUUGAAUCUUGAUCUGCUAACGGAAAGGAGGGAGCAAGCAGCCGAGCGAUCAGUCAUUUACCAAUAGAGGGUUGCUCGGUAUUAUAACCAGAAGGUGAACAUACGGCAAUUCAGGGUCGGAGACUGGGUACUGAGAAGAGUGAAUCAGAGCACCAAAGAUUCGACUCAAGGAGUGCUGGGACCGAAUUGGGAAGGGCCAUAUAGAGUCAAGCAGAUAGCGGGACCCGGAGCUUACAGGCUGGUUCGCACGGACGGCCACGAGGUGAAACGCCCAUGGAACGCAGCACACCUCCGAAAAUACUUCCAGUAAGACUUGUUCACAUGUGAAAACUAUUUUUGCUCAUGUUCAUUACCGUUUAUCUUUCACGCUUAUUGUCCAAACAAUUUCAUGUAAGUCGAAUCCUGCCAUUAAUGGAACGUCGAGGAAUUUCUUUCACUUGAAACCGAGAAAAUUUCCCAAGGCAUGCAAAGGCUCACCAAGUCUCAAAGCCUGUCUUAUGGUGAGACAGAAGCCAAGCAUGCCAGGAUCUGCUCGGCCACGAGAAGGCAAGCAGAAUCCCAAUCCUCGAAGAAUCCAAGGCACGCAAAGGCUCACUAAGUCUCAAAGCCUGUCUUAUGGCGAGACAGAAGCCAAGCAUGCCAGGAUCUGCUCGGCCACGAGAAGGCAAGCAGAAUCCCAAUCCUCGAAGAAUCCAAGGCAUGCAAAGGCUCACCAAGUCUCAAAGCCUGUCUUAUGGCGAGACAGAAGCCAAGCAUGCCAGGAUCUGCUCGGCCACGAGAAGGCAAGCAGAAUCCCAAUCCUCGAAGAAUCCAAGGCACGCAAAGGCUCACCAAGUCUCAAAGCCUGUCUUAUGGCGAGACAGAAGCCAAGCAUGCCAGGAUCUGCUCGGCCACGAGAAGGCAAGCAGAAUCCCAAUCCUCGAAGAAUCCAAGGCAUGCAAAGGCUCACCAAGUCUCAAAGCCUGUCUUAUGGCGAGGCAGAAGCCAAGCAUGCCAGGAUCUGCUCGGCCACGAGAAGGCAAGCAGAAUCCCAAUCCUCGAAGAAUCCAAGGCAUGCAAAGGCUCGACAAAGUCUCAAAGCCUGUUUUAUGGCGAGACAGAAGCCAAGCAUGCCAGGAUCUGCUCGACCACUAGAAGGCGAGCAGACUCCAAAGCAUUCGAAGAAAUGCCCAAGGCAUGCAAAGGCUCGACAAAGUCUCAAAGCCUGUUUUAUGGCAAGGCAGAAGCCAAGCAUACCAGGAUCUGCUCGACCACGAGAAGGCGAGCAGACUCCAAAGCAUUCGAAGAAAUGCCCAAGGCAUGCAAAGGCUCGACAAAGUUUCAAAGCCUGUUUUAUGGCGAGACAGAAGCCAAGCAUGCCAGGAUCUGCUCGACCACGAGAAGGCGAGCAGACUCCAAAGCAUUCGAAGAAAUGCCCAAGGCAUGCAAAGGCUCGACAAAGUCUCAAAGCCUGUUUUAUGGCGAGACAGAAGCCAAGCAUGCCAGGAUCUGCUCGACCACUAGAAGGCGAGCAGACUCCAAAGCAUUCGAAGAAAUGCCCAAGGCAUGCAAAGGCUCGACAAAGUCUCAAAGCCUAUUUUAUGGCGAGGCAGAAGCCAAGCAUGCCAGGAUCUGCUCGACCACUAGAAGGCGAGCAGACUCCAAAGCAUUCGAAGAAAUGCCCAAGGCAUGCAAAGGCUCGACAAAGUCUCAAAGCCUGUUUUAUGGCGAGACAGAAGCCAAGCAUGCCAGGAUCUGCUCGACCACUAGAAGGCGAGCAGACUCCAAAGCAUUCGAAGAAAUGCCCAAGGCAUGCAAAGGCUCGACAAAGUCUCAAAGCCUGUUUUAUGGCGAGGCAGAAGCCAAGCAUGCCAGGAUCUGCUCGACCACUAGAAGGCGAGCAGACUCCAAAGCAUUCGAAGAAAUGCCUAAGGCAUGCAAAGACUCACCAAGUCUCAAAGCCUGUUUUAUGGCGAGACAGAAGCCAAGCGUGCUAGGAUCUGCUCGACCGCGCGAAGGUGAGUCGAAUCCCAGGCAUUGAAGAAUCUCCAAAGGCAUGUGGCAAAACCAUGAGCCAAGCCGGAACCUGCUCGUCUAGACAGAGACAAGCAGAUUCUCAACCGAAAAUUAAUUCAUAAUUACAACACAAGAAAGUAAUCAAAAACCAUUUUUAUUAAUUUGUUAAUAAUUAACAGAGGGGAUAAUCUUUAUGAACAUUGUUCAUUACAAUACAAGAAAUAUAUCAGGAAGAUGGUGGACCAGUAAGCCCGGCAGCAUCGGUUGGCUGGACCUCCUCAGGUGCAGGAGGGGUAUCACCAGUUGCGUCCGGGGGGGUGCUCGCCUCGCCAACAUCAGCAGGGACUGCAUGAGCAGGAGAGUCUUCCUCCUCAAUCACGAUCGGCUCUACCCCAUCGGCAUCUUCCUUGGCCGCCUCCUCGUCCAUAUGUUGAGCAACACCAGCUGCAAGGUCAUCCAUCUUCAGAUCAGGGUGUUGCUUCCCGAGGACGGCCAUGAUGCAACGAUAGGAAUGCCGAAGUCCCUGGUCGUACUGGUUGUCAGCCUCCCUCUCUAAGUUCUCGACCUGAGCUCGGUGGGAGUCGCGGAGAGAUUCGAGCUGAGCCUCAUACAUAGCCUUCUGCCUUUGCAGAUCCUCCUUGACCGUGGUAAGCUCCUCCUCGAGGGAAAUGGCUUUUGCUUGAGCAAGUGAUUCUUGCUCUAUUAGCUUCAGAUUCUCGAGAUUCAGGUCCUUCUUGCUCACGAGUUUAGUUAACUCAUUGAGGUAGGGGACCAGGUGUUCUGCUCGGCUGUCAGGUAAGCGAGAUCGAGGCCCGACAGGAGGAAAAGAGGAAGCAGGAUCUGUGGCUGCUCCACUAGCUUCCCCGACUUUUACAGGAGCAGGAGGUAAAAUCUUCAAGGGUGGGACCUGCUGCAUGAUGUUGGCCCGCUUUGCAGCAGGGGCAUCCUUACUCUGGUCCCUCUUCGUGGUUGGAGGUCGGGAACGUUUUCGGGUCAGAGCCCCAAUCACAGCGUCCUCCAUCCUAUGGCCAGGAAGUAUCAAGCGAGACUCGAGCAAGUUGUAUGUAGUUAGCAGUUCUCGGCUCGAGCAGGAAUUGGCUAGUACAGCCUCGACCCGUUUGAGCUGGUCAGGUUCAAGCGGGAAGUGGACACCCCAAGAAACUACAACACAAACAGACACUUGGUUAGAGACAAGCCAAUAAAGCAAGAACAAUUAUGGAUGCAAGACAUCUAGAGUGAGCAGGCAACCUGGGACCGUGAAACGGGGUGGGACGUGACAAUCCUUCCCGCCUAUUUGUGCAACUUGACCCCAAGGACCCCCAGCAAAAAAGAAUUUCCUCUUCCAAGCCCCACCACCACCGGUUGGAAGAUCGGUUAUGGGUUUCCGGCUCUUGGUGCUAGAUUGGAAGUAGUACCAGCCGGCAUCUUUGGGGCUGCUCUUUAGCUGGUACAAGUGCUUCACCUCAUCAACCGUGGGCUCGCUUUGGCAACAUUUGUCCCACAAUAUGAACAGACCAGAGAGCACUCUCCACCCAUUGGGAUUCAGCUGACCAGGAGCUAGAUUUAGCCCGUUAAGUAUCUGGGCAAAGUAGGGUUGCAAGGGACACCUCAGCCCGUACUUAAAGCUCUCUAGAAACAGGGUAACGUAUCCCCUAGGAGGCCGGCUGGGAGCAUCCUUCUUUCCUGGGACCUUGAGAGGUAUCUCACCAGGAAUGCUAUACCUAAGCCGGAGGUCAUUGAGCUCGUCAAACAAGGUCGUGCACGUCAUGUAAUCAAUGGCAUAAUCGCGCGACAAGGCUCUGCCUCCUACUGUACCCCGUUCCUCUGGUCGUGAUGUUCCAGAUGGAGACACCUCACCAGAGUCACCUUCCCCAUUCUCACUUAAGGUGUCCUCAGAGCCAGAAGGUCUCUCUUCACCAUUGCUUCCACUCGUGGAGGUUGUUUGGGGGGACAUCCUCCUAGCACUAGUCCCGACACUAAACCUAAUGGGUUCUAAGGGGAUCCCGGGGUCAAAAGCAGAAUCAGUGAGCAGACCAGGCAGGAAACUUAGUUCGUCGUCAUCAAUCUCAACGACUUUCUCCUUACCUUUCGACAUUCCCUAAGCCCUAACCACAACACCACCAACUACUACCCAAACAGAAGAGAAGAGAAAUUAUCUACAACUAUCCGAGACCAAGGAGAUAGAAGAAAUACCUGAAGUAAUGGUUCAGUCGGUGAAAGUCAGAGAUGGAGGCCUUUUAUGCCGGAACUUCUUUGCCGGAGAAACAGAGACGGAGACGGAGUGAAUGAUGAAUAUGCCGUUCGAGAGGAUUUGGUUUUCCUAAUGAGGACGGACUCUUGGGUUGCCAGCAUUUAACGGCGCCGAAUCCCGAGGGUCUCAUAACCGUCGGUUUGAAAUUCAAAUGGAGGGGGGGAUUUCUGCCACGUCACCUCGUCCGCAAUUAAAUGCGACAUGACUCUUGGCAGCCUUUUCCAAUCCCACGCGGGCGAGUACUAACGAGUUUCUACUGCUGGUCCACUACAUUACCCAACACCAGAAACUGGGGGACCGGUGUUUGGGAGAAAUACGUCGACGAGACCAGGCAUGGUGAGCAGAUAUCUGAUGGCAGAGUUCUGCGAACCGGUGUGUUCCGUAAAAGCCUGGUGCGCGGGGGAACAGGAGCAGAAGUAUCCUGCUCGUCCACGAGCACGUCAUCCGCGAGGCCAAUUUCCUGUAAGAGGCAUAAGGUCAUUCCGGCUAGAGGUCGAGAGGCGAGGAGACCCGGUCGACGGCAGUUGGCAAGACAUGCUCCCCAGCCCGAGAAUCUAGGCACGACAGCCACGCUUUCCCCAGAACCGUGGCGUAACACGCAAGAUCUCACAGAACCACGACAGCCACGCUUUCCCCAGAACCGUGGCGUAACACGCAAGAUCUCACAGAACCACGACAGCCACGCUUUCCCCAGAACCGUGGCGUAACACGCAAGAUUCCACAUUUGCCCAUAACGCAGCAGUCAGAGUCCCAUACCGUCUCGAAAAAAGUGGAAAACUGGGAUUCAGGGGAAGCCUAUAAAAAGGUAGCCAACGAAGGUAAAAGGGUUAGCAUUUUUGAGAUUAGAAAAGAAAUGAAAAAAGAAGAGAAAACCACGAAAAAGCCAUAAGAUCUGUGGCAAGCGUUCCCCGAACCUUCAUAUCUGACUUGAGCGUCGGAGGGUUUGCGCCGGGAAAACAACCGGCGUACUCUGACUUGUCUGUGUGCGCAGGAACCUCUGGAGAAGAAGCCUCACUUGGAGACCUCCUGGUCGUGAAGAAGUUGAUCGGGCAGAGAUCCUGGUCGUAGAACGAGGAGAACCGGAAUCCCGCAUCAACAGAGGGUUCAAAAGACACGGUGCUUUUGAAGAAUCUUUAUCUUUAUUGUGAUCCUUACAUGCGAGAGCGUAUGAGCAAGCUUGAUAGACCUUCUUUUGUUGAUUCAUUCCAUUCUGGUGAGGUUAGUUCAUCACGACCUCAACUUAGAUUUUGGGAUGGUUUACGAUUCACUCUCAGUUUAUGCAGAAAAACAAUCUAGUUUUAAUUUGGCAGGGUUUUUCCUUCUCUCUCCUUUUCUUCCUUUUCUUCAUUGGUUUCUUCCUCUUUUAUAGCCGCUAUCCCACGUUUUCGUUCAUCCUUCAUCCCCAUUUUUCGGGUAGUGGCAGCCCCUCAUGGGACUCCAACUGCUACAUUAUGGGUAAAUGUGGGACACCGUAUCUCCCUCAAUGGUUUUAGAAAAAGCGCAACUGUCGUGAUUUCGUGAGAUUGUGUUCCCGUUCUUUGGGGAAUGGAUAUCUGCUCGGUAUAUGUCUCUGGUCGGCCUAUAUUUAUAGAAGGCUCAUUAUCAGUAUUCUACUUAUACCAUUCAGCUGAGGUGAUCUACCUCGAAAUGAGAAUGAUAACAUGACUGACCUGAUGCUCUUAUUUACUUAACAGUAAAUUUUCUAUGACCCUACAGGUGACUAAUUAAUGAGAACUUGACAAUGACAAAAGAAAGUGUAUGAGCUUUGCAGGCUGGCAUGCCAAUAUUGACUGUGUGGCACCAUCCACCAUCUGCAAUUGAAUAUCAUUAUUGUUUAAUCAAUGUGGUGGAGUCCACUGGAACCACACCACAUGGUCAGUCUUAUCUCUAUUCCUCAAUUUUCAGUAUUCCAUACAUCAAACCAAUUUCAUGUUUGUUAGCAAUUAUAAUUUCAUUGUUGGUGACGAUUCUGAUUCCUUUUGUUGAGAAUCAAAUAAAACGGCAUUGAAUGAAGCUUUCAAAGACAGAAUCUGCACUUGUCAAAGGGGUAAUCUGCACUUGUCAAAGACAAGAUCCGCGCCGAACGGAUUGACACAUUUCCUUCCGUAUUCACAUAUGUAAUCUUUGAAAAAAUGUAGCCUCUGCAUCUAUAAAUAACUCUCAAUGUAUAAUGCUUUAUUUAAGAAAUGAAAACACGUUUCUUCAUGGUAUCAGAGCCAUGAAUACGCUCAAGUUUCUUCAAGUUCCGCUGCUCUGUUUGUAACAAAAAUAGAGGAAACCAAAUUCCUCCCACAACCAUUUUUCCCACCAUUUUCUUUCUUAAACCCAUUCCUACCAUUACAGAUAUCCAUGCCGAUCAAGAAACAAGCCACCCAUACGUAAAAAACUUGAGUUUACAAAUUUAUCAACAAUCCCAUCAAUUUUCUGAGAGUGUGUUCCUAAAAAACCAAGAACACCAUCAAAUUUCUCAGUUUUCAGUGAGGAAACUGUAAAAAUUUCGCAUUUAAACACAUUCCCACGCGCUCCCACGCGCCACCCGAAGCCACGGCCAGUCAACCACGCGCCUCUGUCAUCAUUCACGCGCUCUCACGCGCUCCAGAGGUUGAAGAAGACGCCAGCCGACAUGUCGUUCUUAUCUCAGAAGUUCAGCAGUCACAAAACGACGUGUCGUUUUUUGUUAUAUUAAAAUCGACAUGUCGUUUUGUAAAUUAGAGAUAAAACGACGUGAUGCUUAGUCUCCAGAAGUGCAGCAGGAUUAAAACGACAUGUCGUUUAUAUUCCACCAUAAUCGACAUGUCGGUUUGGCAAGCAGUGGCCAAACGACCUGGCGUUUUGUUACCUAAAAAGGUUAUUUUUUUUCUUCUUCCAAUCUAGAUGGAAAAAAAAAAAACAAACAAAAAAAAGAAAAAAAAGAAAAAAAAGAAAAAAAAGAGAAAAAAAAAAAAACAAAAAAAAAUGGAGAAAACUCCAACUGAAUCUAGUCCUGUUGUCAUUCAAUCUGUUCAAUCUGAUGGAGUAUUUAAUGCUGGAAUUAUCCUCACUGAGACAAACUACGAUGUUUGGUCUCAAAUAAUGGAGAUGCAUCUUGUAGAAAGAGAAAAACUCUCAUAUAUUCGUAGCAGCACAAAGCCAUUUGAGGAAUCUUCAAAGGAAUAUGAGAAAUGGUAUAGUGAGAACCAAAAAGUAAAAAGAUGGUUACUCAUAUCCAUGUCUCCGGAGAUCAUGAAGCGAUAUUUACGAAUUCCUACAGCCUACGAAAUCUGGGAUGCAUUAUCAAAAGCCUUCUAUGAUGGAAGCGAUGAAUUACAAGUUUUCACUCUAAACCAGAAGGCAUUCUCUACCAAGCAAAAUGGACAACCACUCUCUAAAUUCUAUGGAGAAUUGGUCGAAAUAUUUCGAGAACUUGAUCACCGAGAUAAAGUGGUCAUGAAGGAUCCAGAAGAUAUUGUAAUAUACAGAAGGUCUGUUGAAAGAUUGAGAGUGCACAUUUUUCUUGCUGGGCUAGAUGAAGAAUUUGACCAAGUUCGUGGAGAAAUUCUACGAAAAGACAUUAUCCCAGACUUAGAAGAAUGUUAUUCUUUGAUCCGAAGAGAAGAUAUACGGCAAAGCAAACUAAACAAGAAGGUCGACUCAGAAACGUUUGCAAUGAUAGCACGACAGCAGCCUCAAAGGAAGUUUGUUGACAAGUCAUCACUCCAUUGCACUCAUUGUAGAAAGAAGGGUCAUACGAAAGAACAAUGUUUUGAAAUCAUUGGAUAUCCUGACUGGUGGGAUACUCGAAAGAAGAACACCAAGCAUGGAUCAAAAACUGCAGUAGCUGAAUCCACAUCCACUACAGAUCUUAGAAAAGAAUCUUCAGUGCAAAUCGCAACCUCUGUCAGUCCAGGUAAGGCCCUUAAAACUCUUACACCUGUUAUUAAUAGUACAUGGAUAAUUGAUUCUGGGGCAACUGAUCAUAUGACUUUUGAUUCUCGACAAGUUUCUCAAUUGAAACCAUCUUCACAAAAAUAUAUUUCCACUGCAAAUGGAACCACAACCUCAGUUAUUGGGGAAUGAUCUUUACGACUCACAAAUGAAUUAAAUUUAGACGCUGUGUUAAUUGUUCCAUCUUUAGAUUAUAAUCUUUUAUCUGUGUCUCAAUUAACCACUUACUUAUCAUGUGUUGUAAUUUUUUGGCCUGAUCAUUGUGUGUUUAAGGACAUCCAAACGAAGCAAACGAUUGGUUAUGGUAUUAGACGAGGCAGCUUGUACUACUUGGAGAUGUCAUCAACAAACACUGGAAAGCUAAGCCCCGCACUAGUUGCAGAUAGUUCCAUAAAAAAAGGGAAAUCAGAAAUUUGGUUAUGGCAUAGACGUUUAGGGCAUGUGUCAUUUAGUUACUUAAAAAAAUUAUUUCCUAGUUUGUUUCUGAAAUUUGAUGUUUGUAACUUUAAAUGUGAUGUUUGUGAACUUUCAAAAAGCCAUCGAACUACUUUUCCAUUGUCCUUAAAUAAAAAUCCAGUUCCUUUUAUGGUAGUACAUUCUGAUGUAUGGGGGCCAUCUAAAGUUUCUACAAUUGGAGGUGCUCGUUGGUUUGUUACAUUUAUUGAUGAUUGUAGCAGAAUGACAUGGAUUUUUCUGAUGAAAUCGAAAGACGAAGUAAACUCUUUAUUUCAAAGAUUUCAUAAGAUGGUGACAACUCAAUUUCAGACACAAAUUCGAGUUCUACAUACUGAUAAUGGAGGUGAGUAUAUGAGCACAGCAAUUCAACAGUUUCUGAAAUCACAAGGAUCUGUCCAUCAAACCACUUGUGUGGGGACACCCCAACAAAAUGGCGUUGCUGAACGAAAGAACAGACAUUUACUAGAAGUUGUUCGAGCAUCACUAAUCCAAGCCCACAUGCCAUUAUCUUAUUGGGGAGAAGCAUUGACAUCCGCAGCAUACUUGAUCAAUCGAACACCUUCAAGCUCCCUUGGAUUCCAGACUCCUUUCCAAGUUCUGAAUGAUGCAAUUAUGUCACCAAAUGUGCCGAAUCUGCCCCCACAUGUGUUUGGCUGUGUUGCCUUCGUUCAUUUGCCGCAACAAGACAAAUUAUCUCCUCGAGCACUACGUUGUGUGUUUGUAGGGUAUGCCUUACAUCAAAAGGGAUACCGAUGCUAUCAUCCACCAUCAAGAAAAAUAUACAUCACCAUGGAUGUCGUUUUUCAUGAAGAUAUCAUGUACUACUUGUCAGAGUCUGAAUUUCAGGGGGAGUAUAAUGAAGAGGAAAUUCAUACUCUUACAUAUCUUCCACCUGAAGAAAGUCAAUCUUCCAUUGAGAUAGUAAACCUUCAAGAUACUGGAAAAGCAAAUGGUGAUGAUUCGCAAGCUGAGAUAUGUGAAAACACAUUUGGGGAGCACAAUACUCAGACACAACUGCAAUCGAGAAUGAGUCACAUGAAGAAAUACCUAACCAAUCGUCUGCAGAGGAUGUUCCUACCACAAGUCCAAUCAGAAGAAUUCUUCCCCAGCGUCAAAAUAGAGGUAUCCCUAAACCCACAUAUGAGCCUGACUUCUCUAGUAGAGUCAAAUACCCUAUGAGUCAUUUUGUGUCUAACCAUCGCUUGUCAGAAUCAAAUCAGUCAUUUGUGAAUCAAUUAUCUGCUGUAUCUAUUCCUAACAGUGUGCAGGAAGCUUUAAAAGAUCCAAAGUGGAAAGCGGCUAUGAAUGAUGAAAUGAGAUCUCUUCAGAAAAAUCAAACAUGGGAACUAGUUGAUCUUCCACCAGGAAAGAAACCAAUGGGUUGUCGAUGGAUCUACACUAUAAAAUACAAAGCAGAUGGCUCUAUUGAACGAUACAAAGCAAGACUCGUAGCUAAGGGUUACACCCAAACCUACGGGAUUGAUUAUACUGAUACGUUUGCACCGGUAGCAAAAAUUAAUACUAUUCGUAUCUUAUUAUCAUUAGCAGUCAACUUGGAUUGGCCAGUGCAACAGUUCGAUGUAAAGAAUGCUUUCCUCCAUGGAGACCUGUCUGAAGAAAUUUAUAUGGAUCUGCCACCAGGAUGCAGUGGACCAGAACGACUCAAUCAGAAAGUAUGCAAAUUGAAGAAAUCAUUGUAUGGGUUGAAGCAAUCCCCAAGAGCAUGGUUCGGGAAAUUCACGAAGGCUAUGGUUCGUUUUGGGUAUAACCAAAGCAAUUCAGAUCAUACCUUAUUCAUUAAAAAACGACAAGGUAAAAUCACUGCCCUUAUUGUCUAUGUGGAUGAUAUGGUAGUUACAGGCAACGACGAGGAAGAAACAAAGGCUCUUCAGAAGUACUUGUCAAGAGAGUUUGAGAUGAAGGAUUUAGGUGCCUUAAAAUACUUUCUUGGAAUUGAGGUUUCUCGAUCUAAGGGAGGAAUCUUUCUGUCUCAAAGGAAAUAUGCCUUAGAUCUAUUGCACGAAACGGGAAUGACAGCUUGUCAGCCUAUUGACACCCCAAUAGAAGAAGGACUGAAGUUUUGUAUUACUUCAGACCAAGUUCCAGUAGACAAAGGAAGAUAUCAAAGGCUGAUUGGAAGAUUGAUGUACUUGUCCCACACAAGGCCAGAUCUUGCUUAUGCAUUGAGUGUUGUAAGCCAGUUUAUGCAUAAUCUCGGAGAACAACACAUGAAAGCAGUAAUGCGGAUCCUGAGGUACCUGAAGACAAAUCUAGGAAAAGGAAUCUUAUUUUCCAAAAAUGAAGAUUACAGCAACAUAGAAGUUUAUACUGAUGCAGAUUGGGCCGGGUCAGUUAGUGAUAGACGCUCUACUUCAGGAUACUUUACCUUUGUGGGAGGAAACCUUGUCACAUGGAGAAGCAAGAAACAACAUGUCGUUGCCCGUUCGAGCGCUGAAGCAGAAUAUCGAGGCAUGGCCCUUGGGAUAUGUGAAGGGCUAUGGAUAAGUUUUAUCUUAAACGAUUUGGGCUAUCCAUCACAACAACCAAUACAACUAUACUGUGACAACAAAGCUGCACGAGAUAUUGCUCAUAACCCAGUUCAACACGAUCGAACAAAACAUGUGGAGGUAGAUAGAUUUUUCAUCAAGGAGAAAUUAGAUGAAAAAAUCUUAGAAUUGCCGAAAAUUCGAUCAGAAGAUCAACUUGCAGAUAUUUUAACGAAGGCCAUUUCAAGCAGGGCAUUUACAAAAUUCCUAGACAAGUUGGGUAUGCAAGACAUCUAUGCACCAGCUUGAGGGGGAGUGUUGAGAAUCAAAUAAAACGGCAUUGAAUGAAGCUUUCAAAGACAGAAUCUGCACUUGUCAAAGGGGUAAUCUGCACUUGUCAAAGACAAGAUCCGCGCCGAACGGAUUGACACAUUUCCUUCCGUAUUCACAUAUGUAAUCUUUGAAAAAAUGUAGCUUCUGCAUCUAUAAAUAACUCUCAAUGUAUAAUGCUUUAUUUAAGAAAUGAAAACACGUUUCUUCACCUUUCUUUCUCACAAAACGGAACCAUGGUUGCUAUUGGAGAGAUCUUACUCAACGCCUUCUUUCAGGUGUUGUUUGAUAGGUUGGCUUCUUGUAAUUUUCUCAGCUUUGUGCGUCAACUCCAAGGCGGGGUUGAUUUGGAACUCAAAAAGUGGGAGAAAAAGCUGAAGAUGAUUCAGGCUGUGCUCUACGAUGCAGAGGAGAAGCAACUGAUCGACGAGGCUGUGAAGACGUGGCUGGACGAACUCCAAGACUUGGCUUAUGACGCUGAGGACAUUCUUGAUGAGUUUGCUACUCAAGCUUUGGAAAGCGAGUUGAUGGAGCAAAAUCAGGAUAGCUCUGGCCAGCUUCUUAGUUUCAUCCCAGCUAGUUUGAGUCCGAAUGCUAUUAUGUUCAAUUAUAGCAUGGGGUCCAAGAUUAAAGAUAUUACUAGCCGGUUGGAGCACCUCGGCCAAGAAAGAAUUGAACUUGGUCUGCAACGGAUUACUGGAGGGGCAUCAUCAUCUACUGCUGCCGCACACCAGAGGCCACCCAGUUCGAGUGUCCCAACAGAACGUGAAGUAUUUGGAAGAGAAGAAGAUAAGGCCAAAAUUCUUGAUAUGGUUUUGGCCGAUACCCCAAGUGAUCAUGCCAAAUUUGUUGUAAUACCCAUUGUUGGCAUGGGCGGAAUAGGAAAAACAACUCUUGCUCGGGAGGUCUACAAUGACAAGGCGUUGAAGAUUCCAAGUUUGAUGUAAAAGCAUGGGUUUGUGUCUCUGAUGUCUUUGAUGUUUUGGUCAUCUCAAAGGCACUUCUGGAGUCAAUCACCCGCAGGCCUUGUGUUCUAAGCAAUUUAAAUGAAGUGCAGGUUGAGCUGAAAAUAGUUGUGGAUAAAAAAAGAUUUCUACUGGUCUUAGAUGAUGUUUGGAACGAGGACUACAGCUUGUGGGUAGACUUAAAAGCUCCUUUCAUGGCUGCUGCACCAAACGGUAAAAUGAUCAUCACCACACGCAAUUCAAAUGUUGCAUCAAUAAUGGGACCAAUUGAACAUUACAAUCUCAAGAGUCUGUUAGAUGAUGAUUGCUGGUCCAUUUUCAUACAACAUGCACUUGAAUCUAGAGAUCUUAACGCAAAUCAAAUUUCAGAAUCAUUCCGCAAGAAAGUUGUUGGCAAGUGUGGGGGCUUGCCCCUGGCAGCAAAAACACUAGGGGGCCUUCUGCGUACUACGAGGCAUGAUGCAUGGGACGAUAUAUUAGAUAGCAAAAUAUGGGAUUUACCUCAACAAAGUGGCGUUCUCCCUGUGUUAAGAUUGAGUUACCACCAUCUUCCGUCUCAUUUGAAAAGAUGUUUCGCUUAUUGUGCAAUCUUUCCAAAAGAUUAUGAAUUCAAUGAGAAGGAGCUGACUUUCUUAUGGAUGGCUGGAGGAAUUAUUCGACAGUCAAGAAAGAAUGAGCAGCUGGAAGAUUUGGGCGGCAAGUGCUUUCAUGAUCUAGUGUCAAGGUCAAUUUUUCCACAAACCAGCUCGGGUAGUUCUAAAUUUGUAAUGCAUGACCUUAUCCAUGAUCUUGCUGAACUGGUUUCUAGAGAAACCAUUUUCAGAUUAGAGGAGGCCAACUUGUCAUCAAGAAGAUUUGAAAGGAUCCGCCAUGCUUCCUAUACCCGUGGUUGGUAUGAUGGUAAAAAUAAGUUCAAGGUUUUCAAUGAAAUUGAACAUCUACGAACAUUCCUACCAUUACACGAAAGACGAGGAUAUUACAUACCUCGAACGGUUCUAUCUGAUUUGCUGCCAAAGUUCAGAAGGUUGAGAACGCUAUCUUUACAAGGAUACUGUAUUGGUGAGUUACCAAUGUCAUUUGAAGAUCUGAGACUUUUAAGGCUCCUCAACCUUGCUGACACUGACAUAAGAAGUUUACCUGAGUCAACAUGCACAUUGUUGAACUUGGAAAUUUUGAUAUUAAGAAAUUGUUCCCGUUUGAUAAAGCUUCCGCCCAAAAUGAGGAAUUUGAUCAAUUUACGCCAUCUCGAUAUAAGAGGUGCGAAGUUGCUGAAGGAGAUGCCGUUCGGAAUGAAGGAGUUGAAGAAUCUUUUACAAGUUUGGAAGAUUUAAAAUGUUUAAACUUUCUUUGUGAUGAACUCUGCAUGAGUGGAUUAGAGAAUGUGAAUAAUCCACAGAAUGCAAGAGAAGCCACAGUAUGCGAGAAGCACAAUCUUGAAGCAUUGACUCUAGAUUGGGGGUCUCAAUUUGACAAUUCUCGAGAUGGAGUAGUAGAAGAGCAUGUACUGGAAAUUCUACAGCCCCAUAAAUGUAUAAAAAAGGUGGCAAUCAGGAACUAUGGUGGUGCAAGAUUUCCGCAUUGGAUCGGAGAUCCUUCGUUCUCCAAGAUGAAGGUCCUUAAAUUGGAGAACUGUCACAAUUGUGUAUCGUUGCCGUCGCUUGGCCUGUUGAGUUCACUUAAGCACCUUGCUGUUAAAGGGCUGAAGAAACUAAAAAGCAUAGAGUCUGAGGUUUAUGGGGAGGGUUUCUCAAUGCCUUUUCCAUCACUGGAGAUUCUAAGUUGCGAGAAUUUGCCAGAAUGGGAGCAUUGGGAUACCGAGAUCAAAGGAAAUGUGCCUGUUGAUAUAUUUCCUCGUCUCCAAGAACUUUCCAUUGCAGAAUGUCCCAAACUCUCUGGACAACUGCCUGAGCUCCUGCCUUCCUUGGAGACACUUGUUGUUAGUAAAUGUAAAAAGUUGGUAGUUCCAUUGUCUUGCUAUCCGAUGCUCUGCAGAUUAGAAGUUGAUGAGUGCAAAGAACUAGUCUGCCGGACUCCGAUUGAUGUUAAGUUGAUAAAGUCCAUGACUAUUUCAAAUAGUUCAUUAGACCUGAAUGGAUGUAAGGGGAUGCUAUACGAUGGUCCAGCUGGCUCUUCACUGCCAAAGCCCAUGACUACUACAAAUGUUUUGGAGUUUGGAAAAUUAUUGAAGCCUGGAUUUCAGAUAUUCGAAACUUUGGUAAUUGGCAAUUCUGAACAGCUCAAGUCAUGGAGGCAGCAUGGGGAUUUUCCUAAAAAAUACAUGGUCACUGACCAUAGGUUUAAGAAACCAGUACCAGGGCUGAAUAUGCUCGCUUCCCCUGAAGAGGUAAAAAUUGAAGAAAGCUGCGUAAGUCUUGUUUUGUUUCCAGAGAUCAAUUUUUUUCCCAGAAAUCUACGCUCUCUUCUAAUUAAAAACAGCACAACUUUAAAAUCCUUACCCGAGGAAAUGAUGGCAACAAUUCACAACUCGAAAGGUUGUAUAUCAGAGAUCGCGACUGUCUAACAUUCAUCGCAAGACGGAGGCUACCGGCAUCUCUUAAAAGGCUUGAGAUAGAAAAUUGUGAGAAAUUGCAACGUCUGUUCGAUGAUGAAGAGGAUGCUUCUUCUUCUUCUCCUGCAUCCUCGUCGUCCCCAGUGAUGCUGCAACACCUGAGUAUAGAGAACUGCCCAGAGCUCACCAGUUUAUCAUCGGGUGUCCAAUUCCUUGAGGCGCUUGAAUUCCUCGAGAUACGGGAUUGCCCAAAGCUGGAGUCAAUACCGGAUGGCCUGCCCAAUCUUAAAUGUUUACAGAGCAUUUAUAUAUGGAAAUGUCCAAGUCUUGUUCCUUCCCAGAAAGAGGGCUUCCCAACACGAUUUCAAGGGUUGGCAUUGGCGAAUGUGACAAGCUCGAAGCCUUGCCCAAUGAUUUGCACAAAAUCAACUCUCUUCGAUAUUUAAGCAUACAGCUGUGUCGAAAUCUUGUAUCGUUUCCAGAAGAAGGUUUUCCUACCAGUCUAACAUCACUUAGAAUUGGAGAUUUCAAAAUGUAUAAGACCCUCGUCCAGUGGGGGUUGCACAGGCUUACCUCUCUUAGACGCCUCUAUAUCGUUGAUUGUGAUGACGAAGCAGAGUGUUUUCCAGACGAGGAGAUAGGAAUGACGCUGCCCACCUCUCUCACUGAUCUGUACUUAUCGGGAUUCCAAAAAUUGAUAUCCCUGUCUUCGACGGGUUUUCAGAGCCUCAACUCUCUUCAAUAUUUGUUGAUCGCGGGUUGCCCAAAUCUCACAUCAUUUCCAGAGGUGGGCCUUCCAUCCUCACUUUUGGGAUUAUUCAUUUUCAAAUGUCCAAAGCUUAAAAGAGCGUGCAAAAGAGAUCAAGGAAAAGAGUGGCCCAAAAUUGCUCACAUCCCUUGCGUUGAGAUAGACGAAAAAUUCAUAUACGAUCCCGAAUCAGAGGAGUAGAUUUCUGUUAUCCAUUAAAAACGAUCUCCUAUUAGUUUUAUUUUUUAAAUAAUAAUUUUGCAGUUCUGUUUUCUGUAUAAUUAUAAAUCCUCUGCCGUUAAUUAUUGACAAUGUCACUCACGUGAUUCCGUCUUCACUAAUCAGACUGUAUGUUGAGGCUAUUUGCUUUUUAAUCAAAGAUUAAAUUAUAACAUUUAUCUUAAAAUUGAAUAUCAUAGACAGAUAGACGAUUUUUAAAUCCAAAGUUUUUUGAUCCACUUCAAUUAGCAUUUAUUUUUUCCCCCAAAACAGGCAAGCCGAGAGUUUCAAUCAAGAAUUGGAGGAUGUGAAUGGGAUUUUUGUGAAAACAUAAUGGAUGAACGAACAUUUCAUCUGUGAUCUCAAAGUCAACAGAAUUUUAUUUACUCAUUGACUUUUCAACUCCUGUGGUUAUUUAUGGGUGAAAGAUAAGGGCAAUUACAAGAAAUUUGCAAACUUUGUCAACUUCUUUUAAUUGUACCAAUUUGUCGUUUAUGUUUUAGUUUUAUUUUUUCAGUUUUGUUUAUUGCUUAGAUGGUAGAUAUAUCGACAUUUUAGAUUUCAGAUAUUUGUCACCAGUUUCAUUCCCUUUUUUUUCGUUUUUUUAAGCUAGUUUGACUAAUUUUAACCAGAAUUAGAGCAGAAUAUUUUGGAGCGAGCAUACUUGAAAUGAUGCUUUUUAAUUUUGAUCUAGUAAAAAUACAUAGCCCUCACCGGCAGAAUUCUAGUCCCUACCGGGAUUCAAGAAAUUGAAAUUUCUGUCUUCAACGGGUUUUCGAAGCCUGACCUCUCUUCGAUUUUUGUGGAUCGGGAAUUAUAAAUUUACAGUUGUCAGAAGCUUGAAAAAGUGCGCAAAAGAGAUCGAGGAAAAGAAUAUUUCUCUGUUUAGUGAAGGAUGAAUGCUUGGAGUGGAGUAUUUGGUAACAUUUCUGUUUAGUUAAGGAUUUUGAAAUUAAUGAUGGUAAGAUGUGUACUUAUUCUUUCUUCCAGACAACCUUGCCUUCUUUCUUCGGUAGCAUAUCUAAUGAAUAUUUCUCUGUUUAGUUAAGGAUGAAUGCUUGCAGUGGAGUAUUUGGUAACAUUUCUGCCGUAGAUGAAUCCUUGAAGAAAUGCCUGCACUUCCUGAGACCAAAUACAGGUCUGAUUCAAAACAACACCUGUCCCAGAAAAUAUGAUACAAGGCAAAGCCAUGUUCUGAUAAUGUUUCCUUAAGUACAAAGUUGCAAGGAAACUUGAUUCAUUAACUACAAAUUUUUAUUUUUAGGACCUUGCAUCUGAAAGGUUCAGUGUAAUUUUUUUUUUUCAAUUUAUUGCUCAGAUCUCAGACGAGUAUAUGGUUUAGAUUACAAAACACUUACGAUUAAUUUCAUUUUUUUUUAUUUCAGGGAGAAGAAGUGGUCAGUUUCAAUCCAGAAUUGGAAUAUGGCAAUUUGGUGCAAGCACAAAUACCUGGUCACUUCGUCAGUGAACCUGAACUUUACUGAACUUUACACAGUUUUUUCAACUCAGUGAUUUUUGGAACGCAUAUUGGUGUAAGGAAAUCAAACGAAAUUUAUGCAUAGUCAAAUUCUGAUAUUUGCUAUAUUUUAUACAUUCUAAAGUUUCUCCAGUUUGUUCUCAGAUUACCAUCACUUUUUGCCUUCACCAAAAAAAAAUAUAUAUAUAUUUGAGUGGCUUUCCGGUGGAUAUUUAAUCGGAGGCAUGACUGGAUUUUUUUUCACUUCUGUAGAUCUUGCAUUUUAAACUGGCAAAUUUAACUUUAAUUUCAAUACGACUUUGUUGGUGCCUUCUGUUCCAGGAGCUAGAAAGAUGUGUAGUUUUCAGAUAAAGGGGCUUGUGAAUUCUCUAGUAAGAAUCCAAUAAUUUGCUUUUGCACGUUCAUUUUAUUUGUAGAUCCUUGCAUCUGAAUUUGAUCAAUCCAAAAGGAACUGCUUUUAGAGGGAAGAAGAAUAGCAGUACCUAUUCGAUGACAUAGUGUAUGGACCCUCACAUGUUAACUUUCAUGAAAAACACAUUUAAGAAAUUUGCAACUUUUUGGUUAGUUAUGUAUCCAAUGUUGUUUUCUGUUUUAGCAUUUGUAGAAUCUACUGUAUUAUAUUUUGGCAGCUACAGUAUCUGAGGUAUCUUUUGCAUUUAACUUGCUUUAUAUGUUUUGUCUGUGACUUAAGAACACCAAUAUUUGCCAGAGAUUUAGAGAAGCAUAUCAAGAUGCUUGGCUAACUUGACAAACUUCAAGAUCCUUCAUUCUUCACAAUGCAAAACUUGUGAGUACACUUAUGCCCGCAAUUAUUGUGAAAUGCUUGCAAUUUUGAUGCAGCGAAAUGGUUUGUUGAUGCAAAGGUUUGAACUUUUAAGGUUUACCCUGCAGGGUAGUUGGAUGCUGUAUACUCGAAAAGCCACCAACAUCAAGAACUAUACCUCCAAGACUGGGUUUGCAUUAAUUCAAUCAGCUGAAAUAAUGAUGCAAAGGACACUAUCAGCUGGACUUAGAGACCAGUCAGAUCAAUUAUCCAUUUUAUCAACAGUUAAUGUCAUCAUGGUGGCUAUUAGAGGAAACAGAGGAUGUGUCGGAAUCAAUAUGAACAGUGAGAAGAAUGAGAGGAGCUUUGAUUAUAAAUUGGCUCAAUGAACUCAUGCUGGUAAGUGGUAAUUAAAGAAAUUUGUGCGCUUAGCAGAGUUUCAAUAUUUUCUGUUUGGGAUAUAGUUGAUAAGUUGAUACUCUGAUUAAUAAGCCUGAUUAUAGUAGCUGACUGUAUUAACCAGGUUCUUUUCUUUCUUUUUUUUUUGGUGGUUUGCUGUUGUUUUGAUUAUGCUGUAACUACAAGGAAGAGCCGGACUUGGAUGCAGGCGUUCAGCUUUUAAUGGUUAAGAACAAAUGUAUGCUUUAACCAUGUUUCUCACUUAUUACAAUGUACGCAUUGAAGGCAUCUGAGCUGAUCCUGAAAAUGUCAUGGAAAUACUUCUCUGUUUACAUAAAACAGGACAAAUAGAGAUCUCUGAUCAUGCCUGAGAAUUCGUUGCAUUGAAAUUUCUACCAUUGCCAAAAAUAGAAUAAACUAGGGAUACAUUAGCGUAAGACUCAAUUUUGAGAAGGAAGUUUGUACUUGCAGCCUAAAAAAUCAUGUCUUUGUUGUAUACUUGUAUGUUUCUUUGGGAAAUGAAAGAUUCUGUGUUCUUUUAUUUCAAGUUUGCUGAAAUCACAUUUGUUUUCUUAGAUGCUUUCCAGAAGGUAACAGCAUCAAUUUCAAAAAUGCUGGGGUAAUAUGCAUCACGCAGUGCUACUCAACAUGAGAAAUCCUGGCUGCAUUAACUGUAUGUUGAGUGAUCGCACAGUACAACCUUGAGAAGCUUGUAAGGAGUAGACAACUAGAUGCGAGUAGUUUCAAUAUGGAUUCGCAUCAAAUGAUUUCUUGCCACUGAUUACCAUAACUUCUAUCCCAAAAUUCUGGGAACUGGUCAUACCAGCUAUGAAGUAUUGUAUACGUUGAAGAGCUCAAGGCCUUGCAAAAGCUCCGUCAGCCUUUGUAUUGGCAAACAGAUGGUUGUAGUUGCUUCUGAAUGAUAUGAUUAAUAGAUUCUGUAAAAAUGAAUUGUGCUAUACGCUUUCAGAGUUCUGUUAAGAUGUCUUGGUAGUUUUUGAUGCUUGUUUGAUUUAUAUUGCAUUCAGCUAUAAAUCAAAGGUUCAGAACACGAGUAUGUUGCUGAUUUCCAAAUAGAAAAAUUGCCUUGUGAUGUUAGUGUCCAUUGUUUUCACAGGAGAUCAGGUUCCUUGUUAUUGAAUCAAGAAGGCAAACGCAUCCAUGUCUGAGUUCAAUUGUGUCCCUUCUAUUUUCUAUUACUGACUCAUUUAUUUUGAUUUCUUCAUUGUGAUUGAAUUGGUUUUUUAUUCCAAAUUAGUCAAAACCUCAUAGAGUUAUUAAGUUCCGUUAGCAUUCAGAACUACGUACCAAAUGAUUAACAGGAUUAAAUUACAAUAAAGAAUUAAGUUCUUUAUUGUAAUUGAAUUUGCUUUCUCAUGUUUAGAGAUAUUAUGUUCUGGUUAGGGGUGAUUUCUUGAAGAGUCAAUCCAUUUGUGUUUAUACAUUUUUCUAUUGCCUUGAUUUCUGUUUUCUGGGGAGUUUAUACAGAUUCUUAUUUUAUGCUUCACAUGCCACAUGAAAGAUCAAAGCCUUCUGUCUGAACAUAAUAUACGUAGAAAGUUAAAUUUAUUUAUUUAUAAGCAUGUCCCAGUGCCCAGUGGCAUCCUCUUAACUUGUGAUAGUCAAAUGUAUUAUACGAUACAAUAUCAGCUUGACUUUAGCAUAGAGGAGAAUAGGGUUGGUGUUGGACUGAAUUCUGAUCCUUGAAUAAAUAUAACAGCUGCCUGAACCAGCUUAUUUGACUCCACAACUUUAUACUUGUUUUAUAGUCUAUGCCUACCUCCAUCGUCGGCAGCUUACAGUCUCUUUUAGCAUUUUAAAAAGUUUCAUGAUAUUCCAUAGUUCGCAUGGACUGCUACAAUUUAGAGAAACAUAAUUACGGCAUAUUUAAUUACCACGCGAGGAGUCUUCUUUUUUGCGCACCAAUAAUUCUUUGUACUUAAUUAGAAGAUGAGAAAUCCUUUAGCCGAACCACGAACUCACCUAUUAGUGGGGUUUUUUCCGCUUGCAUUCAGUCGCUCAAGUGAAAAUUGCGUGCAAUUUUUUCCUCAACUAAAAUUGGAAUAGAUAUUUUGUUAUUGCUGGCACAAAUUUUCCUUUAAGUCAAAUUGGAAUAGAUGUUUGUGAGAUGCCUAGACCUGAGAUUUUGUUAUGAUUAUAUGCAUUAAAGCUUUCGGUAGACCCUUGAAAUCUUAUGAUCAAUGUAUUAGAAAUUUAGAAUUGGGGUUUAUAAGAGCUAGUUUGACCAUGUUAUAACUUUUAAAAUUAUUGUUGCUAAUUGUGUUAUAGAAAUAAUUAAUCAGUUGUAAAAAUAAUUAGUUAAACAUUUGGUAAAUUUUAUUUUUAAAAGUGUUAGGAGUUUUAAAAGCAGACGUACGUACUUAGUAAAUCUCACUUUUAAAAUAUUAUAAGAAUGCAAAAGGUUUAAAUAUAUAUAAAUCUAUACAAUUUAUUUACACAUGCAUUUAUAGAUACAUGUAUAUAUAAUAAUUGAUAACUAAAAUAAAGAUUUUUAUUUUAUUAAUUUUUUUUGUUAUCUAAAAAAAGGUAAUAAUAAUAUCUUUAAUGACGUAUUUAUUAAUCAGUAAUCGGAAUGGACUGGAAUCAAAAUGGAGGAAUGGAAAUCGGAAUAAAUUGUUUACUUUAACUAUCAAUAUUGGAAUCGCAAUGAACUGUAUUAUCACUUAUAUAUUUAUUUUAUCUGAGAAUCAGAAUGGAUUGAUUUAAAUUACUAGACAGACCUUAUUAUUAUUAUUAUUAUUAUUAUUAUUAUUAUCAUCAUUAUUAAAUAAGGUAAAAAGGAAUUUUCAAUUUUUACUGAAGUAAAAAUAUCAAUUCACUUCUCAUUUUCAGCCCUAGGGAAUGAGACUCCCAUUCCACAUUCUAGAAUUUAUAGAGUCCACUCAAAUUUUCAUUCCCAUUCCCCCUCCUUGUUUUGCAAGUAAACAAGUUAAUAAUCCUAUUCUCUCAUUUCUACUCCCAUUCUCAUUCUCAAGUACUAACACAUCAAGGUAUUCGGUUCGGUUUUUGCCCAAUAGAACUGAAAUUAUUCGGUUUGGUUUGAUUUGGUUUAAUAUAAAAAGCCAAAGGGUUUAUAUUUUUAUGAACCAAAUGGUUUGUAUUUGAUUCAAUUCUAAAACUGAACCGAAAGCACAAACCAAUCGGUUCACGUAAUUUUAAUUAUUUUUAGAAAAAGAAAAACCAAAACUAAAUCGUAGAAUGUGAAUCCCUAAAAUCUAAAUCCCUAAUUCUCCUAACUAACUAAAACUAAUCACAGAACAACACAACCACAACAACCUAGCAAGCGCAGCGGUAGCCCCUCGAACCACGCUCACUCUCAAGUAUAGCAUGACAAUAGGGCUCUCUCAUGCAAUGAUAGGUAAUUUCUUAGUUUAGAAGGGAAAGUAAGAGAAACAGAGGAAGAAUAUAAGUUGAUUAAAAGGGAAAAGUCAAUUCUUAUUCCAAAAACUUGCUUAGUGCAAGUUCAAUAGGGUCUCUUAAAUAGACCUAUACAUAUAAUAAAAACUAGAAAAGACGAAAAUCACUUGAAAAUAAAAAGCAUGAUCACUUAAAUGGUAAACAUACAUAACCGCCAUGAGCUACAUGCAACCUAAGUCAAAUAAUCAACUGAAGAAACUUGAUCCCCAUGCAUAUUGAGCACAUACCAUUCCCCACCCUUUAGAAACACCUUGUUGGUGCGGUUAAAGUGAGGGUGAGCCUUUGAGAAUCACCAACAGUUCCAACGAGUGUCCUCAAUUGCUGCUCCUAUCCCUAUAACCAGUAUUGAGUUGUACGAAUGGCACAUGAUCUUCAAUCAUGAAUAGUUGCAGCUUUUAACAACAGUGUGAUACAAACUAAUAAAAAUAAUAAAAAUUAUUUAUUUUAUUUUAUUGUAUUAGUUAAUUUUGAACUAGUCAAAACUAGUUGCCCUUAUUUUGUGGAACUACAUGUAAUUAGUGGAGCAUUAUGUGAGAACAUGCUUAGUGUUACUAAUUUUUAGGUUGUAAUCCUAAAUAAACUUUUAUUAUAUAAAGCUUAAUGUUACUCAAUAAAAAGGAUCAUGAGUUUAUUAUUUUGGCAACAUAAAAGUUGUAAUUGGGAGUUUAUUGGUUUCUCGAAUAACCAAUACUUAUUUGGAGGUUUGGAUUUCCUUGAAUUAACUCCAUUUGUCAUCUAAUUUUUCUAUUUCAUUUGAUUUCUCCUUAUAAACUUUAGUGUUCGUAUCACAGUGGCCAAGAAUAAGUUUCUCGUCACAAUAAUAACACAACCCUUUUCCACGAUGAGCAUGUGCUUCUUAGUUAGAUAGUUGCUGGAUAUGAGGGGAAGCGAUGUCAUCGGCUAUUUAAUCAACCUUAGGAGGUGGACCUAAGACUCUAACAAAGCUAUUUGGGGUUGGUUGCUAUAUCACCAAAAUAGAGGGUGGUAGAGAAAAGUGACUAGUGCAUUGAGAAAGUGAAUUUCGCUCCUCAAUCAGUCUUGUCACACCAAUGGUGUUAGCCAAGGUAAAGGGCUAUUUAAUCUUGACAUCUAGUUGUAUCUCAUCCUGAAGACCUACAAUAAAACAACCAAUUAAAAAACAUUCGAGUAAGCCAUCAACCUAAUAUAAAAGCUUUUCAAAAGUUUAUUGAUAUUAAGCUAAUAAUGGAAGUCUAUUUCAGGUGCAUCAAAGCCUUAGAUGGGUCCUCAUAAUCCAUUAGUUCGAAUCGUAGAAGGACUGUUGUUGAUGCUGAAAUCUGCUCGCCCUCUACCCAACCAAAUCAUUCCACCAACAUUUGUGUAUGCAAUGGAGAGAAUACUGCCCUUUUGCCUCCUUCAGCAACUGCGGAUGCUCCAGGGGUUGGAAUCACCUUUUUCCCUUCUUUCUAAUCCUGCACUCACAGAGAUAGAUCAGAGACGCCGGUGGUUUUACCAGCAUAAACCCUCCAAUACUUAAGUUAGCACAAGGUGUUUUACGGGAAAACUAUGUAACUUGGAUUGUUUGGUUUCUCGUAAUGCUUUCUAAAACUUGUAAAGAAUAUAAUCUGGUUUCAAUUUGGCAGAGUUUUCCUUUUUCUCUCAAUUUUUCCAUCCCUUUUUUCAUUGGUUUCCCGGCUUCUUGUAACCGUUGUCCCACGUUCCUAUCUACUCCUCAUGCCCCCCCUUUUAUCGGGUGAUGGCAGGCCUUCAUGGCCUCCAACCACUGGAUUGUGGGUAAACAUGGGAUGACAUGUCCCUCUUGACGGUUUGGGGCAUAGCGAAACUACCGCAUUUUCGUGAGAUCGUGUGCCCCUUGUUUGGGUGAUGGGUAUCUGGUUGGUAUAUGUCUCUAGUCGGUACAUUCCUCUGGUCGGUGCUCGUCUCUAGUAGGCCCACUUUUGUAUGAGGCGUUUUACCAGGGCUCUUUUUGUGCCGCUCAGUUGAGGUGAUUCACCUCGGGGUGGGAAAUGAGGGCAUGGCUGAGCUGGUGCUCUUUAUUACUUAAUACCAGUCCCCUAGUUUCUGGUCUUGCGAGUGAAAUGAGUUGAGAUUAGAAACUAAGAAUCGGAUUUUAUCGACCCCGGGAAAUUCCUAUCUGGUCUUCGUGUUAUUGUGAUGGACCUGAGGUUCUGCCUUUUGUUUAGGGAGAUUUUUUAUCUAAGUAUGGGCCUUUGUGAGCAUGUCCAAUAUAUAGCUGGGCUAACAUCUCGUCAGGCCUUUUAUAACGGUCAGUGACGUGUCGUUUCUCGUCCUUUCAUAUUUGAAAUUUGAAACGACGGCUUAUCUGCCCUCGAUAUACGGCGAGUGAGCUAGCACCCGUAUAACUUAAACGCUUCCAUUUCCCUAUUUCAUUUCAAAUCCCUAAAUUGAAGCUGUCAUUGCGUUUCACUAUCCGCCAUUUCACUGUAAACUAAGUCCCUCUUUGGACUUCAAUCACACUUUUUGCGUCCGAAACCUCUAUUUGCUGGGUCCUCUCUCCGUCACAGCAGCACUACCAGUGCCAGUUUAUUCUAGGUAUCACUUUUAACUUCUUCGCUGGUUGUUGUUGAUUGGGUUCUGUGUUGCCCCUUUUUGUACCCAUACACUCGGAUUUACUGUGUUUUCCUUUUUGAGUUUUUGAUAUGUCAAACCGAAAGGGGAAACUAAUUGUAGAUGAGAGUGAUGAAGAGGUGGGGGACUCAUACCCCAACCUGUUUGGGCCUAAUGACCCCUUAUCAUCUUCUCGUAGUAUAAGUCUUUCCCAUCAUAGGGAUACCCUAGAGUAUCCUCAUCGCGUGACCACUUUGCCUUCCCCUGAAUUAGAACCCGUGGGAAACCGUGGUGGUUCAGCUUCUUGCUCUGGUGAAAAUCACAGUUCUGAGGGCUGGGGGGGUCCCUGGAAAGUGGGUGAAGGUAAGGAGAGUAGCUCCGAGCCGAGCAGACCCUCUAAGAAGAGAAACUUUGGUCAUAUGAUGGCGGGAGAUGCUUAUCCCAUUGACUAUAUCACCUGUGUUACCACCCACACUGACCUACUCAAGUUUAGAAACCUCUACCAUAUCCCUGAGGUGGUUCUUCUUUUAAUCCCUGGGAAAGGUGACUUCCCCAGUCGGCCUCCAAGGGGAUAUGUCACGAUGGGCACGAUUACCCCUUCAACCUUACUUUGCUUGGAUACUGGGUGGUAUGCAUCUGGCUCCAGGUCAGCUUCACCCGAAUGGGUGGAGGGUUCUCUCAGCCAUGUAUGUGCUAUGGAAAAAGUGUGGACUUGAGGAGCCUUCUCUUGAGGAAGUGAAGCAUUUAUACCAGCUGAUGAGCUUUCCAAGGGAAGCAGGUUGGUACUACUUCAUGUCAAGCUCUGCAAAGAGGAAGCCUGUCACCGACUUUCCUUCUUCCUGUAAAAAUUAGAAGAACAAAUUCUUCUUUGCUGGAGGAAAUUGGUGUCCAACAAUUCAUUCGCUUAGUGGUGAUAUUCACCUCCCAACACAUUUUGUCACCCCAGGUCGUUAAUUUUUCUGCAUACUUCACUUCUCUAAUCGUUACUUAUCGAGUUCCUUAACCUUGUUUGUUCUUUCAGAAUUGUGGGGUUUGAUCAAGAAACUUGACGAUAGACCACUGCUCCAGGUGGAAAUGGCUCUGGUGAACGCGUCUACCUGUCACGAUCUCAUAUCGUUAAUAAAUCUUGUCGGGUUGCACUUAGUGGACGUAGCUAUUGGGAUGGACAACAAGAUCCUCAGCGCUAUGUCUAAGAAACACACUUUGGGUUCAGGUAGCUCCAGCAACCUCCCUCCUCCUUUGAAGAAAGUCAAUGUUGGUUCCUCCAAGGCUUCUGCUCCUGCUCUGCCCCCUCCUUCACCUCGGAAGAAUGGUAGGGAGAAAGUUAGUGACAAGAGCCCCGAGGUCAGCAUUCAAUUUGGAGACCGAUCCUCUCCUCUACCGCCUCGGGACCAGGGUGACUAUCUGACCCUGUACCAGAGAGAUUACAACAAGUCGAUGGGACCAAAAAUGGUCAAGGACAUUGAAAGCAUGAACCUCAGCGAGCUAGGUGGUUCAGUUCAAAUGGUCUCCUUUAAGCUGGCUACUCUGGUUUCUUGCUACAAGAAUAGGUCUACGCGCCAAGAGAGGAGGCUUCAAGCUGAUAACGAGGACUUGAAGAAAAAGGCUAAUUCUGUUGAUCGCUCGAAGGAGAAGCAGAUUGAGCUACACAAGCAGAUCAUGGACCUGGAGGAGAAAGUGGCUAUUGCUGAGUCUAACUCCUCCAAGCUUGAGGGUGAGUUGGGUGAUCUAAAGUCCGAUCUCCAGGUUGCUCACAGUGAACGAGAUACUUUGAGGACGACCCUUGAGGAACAUAUUAGGUCCUUAGAUGAGCAGGUAGCCGAGCUGAAAGGCAAAUCUGUUGAGGUGGACAAUUGACUGGAUGCAGAAUAUAACUCUGGGCUCGCCUUUUGCUACAAGUGCAUCAUGUUUGUGCUUAAGGGAGAAUAUCCUGAGCUUGACAUGAGCAAGCUGGAGGCUGGAGUGCAGAAAUACAUGGCCGAGCCCGAUCAAGGGGAUAAGGAGCAGGGAGAGCAGGAUCAGGUGGAGGCUCCUUCAGAUGGGGUGCAGGAGAGGGAAACAGAGGAUUAUGCUCUUGAAACAGGUCAGGGGUCACUGCCUGCUCCCCCAGAAGUUGCUGGUCCACCUUUUAUCGAGGCUGCUGAACCUCAUAAUCCUUAGGCUUAUAUAUAUAUAUAUAUAUAUAAAUAUUAUUUUGUAUAAAUUCUAAACUCCCAUCUGUCUACAAAUGUUUGGAUGUUUAUAAACUUUGGAUGCUUUUUGUUUGCUUUCUUGCCAUGGUUUUGGUUGUGAAUCGUUUCUACAAGUUACCUUAACAAUUUUGAGUGACUUUGGCUGCUGGUCCUUUUGUCGUCCGAGCAGGAACUGACACUUGUUUGCCUUAGCGAAAUUUGUAAAACUUACAUUUCAGUUUUUCAAACGACUGAGCAGGAACUGGCGUUGGUUUGCCUUAACGAAAUUUUGUAAAAUUGCCUGCUGGUGCUUUAGGCGACCAAGCAGGAAUAGGCACUUGCUUGCCUUCAUAAAAUUUAUAGAUUUGCCUGCUGGUCCUUUAGGCGAUCGAGCAGGAAUAGACACUUGCUUGCCUUAAUAAAAUUUGUAGAUUUGCCUGCUGGUCCUUUAGGCGUCCGAGUAGGAAUAAACACUCGCUUGCCUUAAUAAAAUUUGUAGAUUUGCCUGCUGGUCCUUUAGGCAACCGAGCAGGAAUAUGCACUUGCUUGCCUAAAUAAAAUUUGUAGAUUUGCCUGCUGGUCCUUUAGGCGAUCGAGCAGGAAUAGGCACUUGCUUGCCUUACUAAAAUUUUUAGAACGAGGGAAUUUAUGCUGAAUUCAUCUUUAUUGAACUUUGCAUGGAUUACAAGAGGCGAGAUAUAGUCACGUGUAACAAUUCAUCAUGCUUUUAACAUAAAUAACUUAUUGAAAUAAAACUUGGUAAGGCAGUUUGCUUACUGGAAGUAUUUCUUCAAGUGCUUAGCGUUCCAUGAUCUUUUCACGUCUCGUCUAUCUGGGUAAAUCAGCUUGUACGCUCUUGGGCCAGUUAUUCAUACCACUCUGUAUGGGCCCUCCCAUUUCGGGCUAAGAACACCAUGAAUAGGAUCUCUUGUGCAUUGGUUCACUUUUCUAAAUACCCAAUCUCCUGCUCGGAACUGUCUCAUGCGAACAUUUUUGUUGUAGUAACGCAUGAUCCUUUGCUGGCAUUUGGCUGUUCUCUGCGAUGCCCCUUCUCUUUUUUCCUCCAGCAGGUUCAGGCUCAAGCAGAUCUGCUCGUCAUUUUGUUCUUUGUUGAAAUACUCUGUCCGAUAUGCCCCCACCCCAAUUUUUGCUGGGAUUACUGCCUCAUGACCGAAAGCUAAAGCAAACGGGGUUUCUCCCGUGGCCAUUUUGUGGGUUAUCCGGUAGGCCCAUAACACUCCUAGUAACUCGUCGACCUAAGCUCCUUUUUUUUCUCAUAGCCUGGUUUUCAAGAGUUUCUUUAUUACUUUGUUGGCUGCUUCCACCUGCCCAUUUGCCUUGGGGUGUGCUAGGGUACAAAACUUCAGGUCCACCCCUAAAUUUUGGCUAAAUUCUCUGAAGUUGUGAUUGUCAAACUGUCUCCUAUUGUCUGUAAUGACAGCAAUGAGGAUCUCCUAUCUGCAGAUGAUAUUCUUCCAAACAAAAUCCGUUAUCUUUCUCUCUGUGAUUUGACUGAGGACCCUUACUUCUACUCAUUUGGUGAAGUAGUCUAUAGCCACAAUUGCAUGUAUUACUUCUCCUCGGCCCUUGGGUAAUGGGCCAAUCAGGUCAAUUCCCCACUGAGCAAAAGGCCAUGGGGAUGACAUAGUGGUUAACCUUUCUGGGGGCUGAGCAGGGACUUCCGAGAAGCUCUGGCUGACUUUAUAGUUUUUUGCCAUCCCCGUCGCAUCCUGAUGCAUGGUCGGCCAGAAGUACCCUUGCCGAAGCACCUUGAAAGUCAAAGUUCUCGCCCCCGAGUGGUUGCUGCAUAUUCCUUCAUGAAUUUCCCUCAACACAUAAUUUGCUUCCUCGUCAUCCAAGCAUCUCAAAAGGGGCAAGGUGAAUCAUCGGCGGUAGAGUACCCCAUCGAGUAGCGUAUACCUUGCUGCCUGACAUUUCAACUUUCUUGCUUGCUUCCUGUCCUCUGGUAAGAUGCCCUCACGAAUGUAUAAUAGAAUGGGGUCCAUCCAGGAUUUUUCGAUGCUCACCUGCAUUACUUCUGCUUCCUCCCCUAUGCUUGACGAGGUUCUCACUUUUAGUGGAAUUGACUUGGGUAAUUUUGGAUCUGCAAUUGCGGCCAUUCUGACCAAUAUAUCUGCUCGGUAAUUCUCAUUCAGAUAUAUCUGCUUUAUUUCUAUCUCUUGGAAGAGCUCAACCAUCUGUUUUGCCUUCUUCAAAUAAAGCCCCAUCUUCUCUUCCCUCGCUUGGAAUUGAUCACUGAGCUGAUUACAGACUAAUUGGGAAUUUGCUCAGAUUUCUAUCCUUUUUGUUCGUAGUGCGUGUGCAAACCCCAGCCCAGUGAUGAAAGCUUCAUAUUCAGCUCGGUUAUUCGUAAGCUGAAAUUUAAAUUUCACUGCAUAAGAUACAUCGGCCCCUUCUAGGCUUCGUAUUACAAUUCCUGCUCCAGAUCCCUGUUUACUACGUGACCCAUCAAUUAUUACUAGCCACACCCCCUUUGAUUUCUCCUGCUUCACUGGUUGCUCCUCCCAAAUUUCCUCCCCUAAUUUAACACGGUCAACCAUAAAAUCGGUCAAGGCUUGGGCUUUGAUUGCUUCUCGGGGUUUGUAGGAUAGGUCGAAUUCGCUCAACUCCACGGACCAUUUACUAACCGACCAGAUGCAUCUAGUUUUAGAGCAUUUACCGAAGAGGCUGGUCAGUCAUCACAACUAUCGGGUGGGCCUGAAAGUAAGGUCUGAACUUGCGUGCUACUGUUAUUAAAGCUAGUGCCCAUUUCUCCAUUAGUGGAUAUCUGGUUUCUGCAUCUACCAGGGCCUUGCUAGUGUAGUACACAGGGUGCUGCUUUCCUUCCUCUUCUCUGACUAAUACCGAGCUGGUAGCCCAUUUAAAGACUGCCAAGUACAAAUACAGCUGGUCACCUUCUCCAGGAGUUGAUAGUACAAGGCGCGGGCUAAAUAUUCCUUCAGCUGCCCGAAUGCCUCCUCACAUUCUAACGUCCACUCCAUUUUCCUUCAAUUCUUUAUGAUUUGGAAGAAAUGGUGACAUUUAUCUGUGGCUCGCGAGAUGAAACGGUUCAAUGCUGCUAACUUCCCUGUAAGACUCCGUACCUCUUUAACUGUCCGGGGGGACUUCAUUUUUGUUACUGCCCGUACUUUUUCCGGGUUGGCCUCAAUCCCUCGAUGGCUCACCAUGAACCCCAAAAAUUUACCCGCGCUAACUCCAAAUGCACACUUUUCCGGAUUCAGCUUCAUCUGAUACUUCCUUAGCAGUUCAAAAGUCUCUUCCAAAUGCUUCACAUGAUCCUUCGGUUCCUUGGACUUUGUGAUCAUAUCAUCCACGUAUACCUCCAUAGUGUGACCGAUCAGUGGCUUGAAAAUCUUAUUCACCAACCUUUGAUACGUAGCCCCUGUGUUUUUCAGGCCAAAAGGCAUCACCUUGUAGCAAAAUAAACCCAUGUUAGUUAUAAAGGUGGUACUCUCCUCAUCUUGCUUGUUCAUGGGUAUCUGGUUGUAUCCCGAAAAGGCAUCCAUGAAGCUAAGCAGACUAUGACCUGCCGUUGAGUCCACCAACUGAUCUAUUUUAGGUACGGGAAAGCUGUCAUUUGGGCAUGCCAUAUUAAGGUCUGUGAAAUCCACAUACAUUAUCUAUUUCCCAUUGGCCUUCUUUACCAGCACUACAUUAGAAAUCCACUCCGCAUAUUUAGCCUCCCUUAUAAAUCCUGCUUUCAACAGCUUCUCCACCUCGGCAUUUAUGGCCUCGUACCUUUCCUAGUUAAAGCACCUCCUUUUCUGCAUCACCGGCCUUGCCCCUUUCUUGAUUGCCAACUUGUGGCAAGCUACCCCGCGAUCAAUUCCUGGCAUGUCCUCAUGAGACCAGGCAAAUAUAUCUGCGUGGGACUAUAGGCACUUCACCAGCUCAUCUUUUAUUGCUUCACCUAAUCCUGACCCGAUCUUAAUCACUCUGCUCGGGUUAUUCUUGCUCACAAAAAUCUCCUCCAGUUUCUCGACAGGCUCUUGACGACCCUUCUUAGAAUCUCUUCGGUUAUCCAGAGAGGUAACAUGUAGCGUCUCCUUGGCCGCUGUUGCGUAACAGCUCCUUGCUAUUCUCUGGUCACCUUUUACUACGCCCACAACUCCGUUUACUCUGUAUUUCAAUGCUAGAUAAUGCAUGGAUAUAAUGUAUUAGCUUGCUCUCAUAAAAGGUCGCCCUAGUAUCAUCUGGUAGGGGUUUUUCUCUUCCACCACUACGAAGUCCAGCAUAAUUUUCUUUUUAGAUGACUUCGCUCCUACGGUAAUCGGCAGCUCUAUGAUCCCCAUAGAGGUCAACUGUCUUCCUCCAAAUCCCUUUAAGGAUGUGUUCGUUCGCUCCAAUUUCAAAUCUGCAAUCCCCAUAUCAUCUAGGGCCGACUUAAAUAAUAUGUCGACCGAGCUGCCUAUAUCCACCAAUAUUUGUCGGAAUUCCUUACCCGCCACUAUUACUUUAACUACCAGUGCAUCCUCAUGAGGGUAUAAAAUGCCCUCUUCAUUAUCAUCUGUCCACAUAAUGGGAACUUGUCUUACUUUCACCCUCUUGGUCGUUGGUAAGUUGAAAAGUACCUCUUUGCUGGUCAAAGCGUAUCUCUCAUAAUUCUUUCGUGCUCUGUUUGAGUCUCCAGCCAAUGUUGGCCCUCCUGUUAUCACCUGAAUAUUUAGCUGUUCCCGCUCUAGGCUCCUUUCAACUCCAUCACCCAGCGUAUAUUGUGAUUCAAUGACGGGGGAUACUCCAUCUACAUACUCAUCCAAAUACUGGUUCCUCACCAAAUCUUCCACUUGAGUCUUCAAGUCAUGAUAUUGGCUGAUAGUGUGACUAUGAGUGUCGUGAAAUUUGCAGAAUCUGUUCUUAUCAUGUCUAUGAGCGGGUUUUGUUAUAGGGGCAGGAGGGUACAGCAGGCAUCGUCCCUCGAUUCUCUCAUACAACUCCUCCAUAGAGACUUUCAGUGGGGGUGUACUGUUUGUACGCCAAGCUUUGGUCAAUCAGUUGGACCGUUCAGCUAUCGUGGGUAUCGUUCCGAGCUGGUAUUGUAGGUAGCUGGUUUGGUUGACCAGCCCUGGAGUUAACUAUAUGCAGUACCCUGGGAGCGCUGUGAUAAGGGUGGGCGACUAACUGCCUGAAUUCUCGUUGCCACUCGGGGAAUGAGGGGCGCGGAGGCUGAGCUCAGUUGUGUUGGAGCUGUUGCGGUCUCUGAGCCAUGGGAUAAGGGCGAGACCAAGCUGAUAUUCCACACAUCACUAGCGAUUCUCCAGCUCGCCUUCCUGAUCCGCUCCCGCUCAGGGUUCUUCAAUCUCCAUGUCUCUCUUUGCCUGCUCAUACCCCGUUGAAUAAUUCUGAACGAUGGGACUUCACAAGUUGUACCAUAAUCGGCCUAUUCUUACACCCUCUUUUAAUCCCCUUAACGCCUGCAGGUGAUUGAAAGCUCCCAGAUCAAGCACGGCCCAAUGGUAUCUUUUCACAAAAUCCUGAAGGGAUUCGUGUUCCUCCUGCUUCAUCCCCAUCAAAUCCAUCAUAUCGUCAUCUGGGCCUACUGAUUAUCGGAACAGUGUUGUGCAAAUUUUAAUGAACUCGCAAGCACACGAAUCUAUUGUAGUAUAGAUCAUUGGUAACGAGUGUCGAUCUCAUGAGGAGGUGGAUUUUAAUUGUGUAUAGAAUUGAUUUUGUAAAUGGGUGGUUGGAUUUGUGGUGGAAGUGAUUCAGAUUAUCCUAAAAUUGGAAUUAAAAUGGUGAAAAUAAUUUGAAGAGAAUUCUAUUGAAAUGACGUACUUGGGUAUCUGGAUCCGUAUCAACAUGCAUCAUGGGCUAAAUAUUCCUUAUUAAUACCAAUUAAAUCAUGAGGGGGGAAUCCACACCUCAUGAACCACGCUCUAAUCAAUAUGGUGUUAAGGGCUUAUCGUGCCAAAUAAUAAUAACCUGUACUAGAGAGCCGGUGUAACCAAGGCGGUAUCUAGACAAUACUAGUAUUAUUUGUCAACGAGAAGUCAAAACAUCCAAAAAAACUAGAGGGGAAGAGAAAAUAAAUUUACCAAAUAAAGCCCAUGACACAUGUUGAGACUUCACCUUCAACCCAAGCUUGAAAGAAAAUUAGCUACUCAUAAUUGAACUAGGGGCAAAAUGGGAAUUUAUUAAAAUACGUAGAAAAUACAAGAUGGAGAGAGAAUUACAGAAAAUGGAGUCCAAAAAUGGAUUUAGGGAUAUCAAAUUAGGGGGAGAGGCCCCCUUUUUAUAGAUACAUUGAGUAAAUCGUGGUCAUCGGAUAAAAAAUAGUUUGGACGCUCAGGAUUGCGCCACGUCAUCAGUCAACAGUCCGCGUGAACAGUACACGAUUUGACCACGCGGAUGAACAGUAACACAGUUUGACCCGGGUGAACAGUGACGCAGUUUGGUUGAAAAUGAUCCUGUGUGUUGCAUGUACCGUACAUGAGAUUUUUGAUCCACUGAUAUGCUGCCACGUCAUCGAUCAACAGUGCAUAAGAAUUUUAGUCCAACAGGAUCGUGACACCUCAUCAGUCAAUGCCACAUCAUCGGUCAAUGCCACGUCAUCGAUCCGUCUAUGUGAACAGUGCCGUGAACAGUAACGUAGACAGUACCCGUACAUGUGAAUAGUACCGUAUAUGUGAAUAGUAUUAUUUUUCUUUUUAUGCUCCUCCUAAGAUUUUUGACCGUCCUAAGUUCAAAAAUGAUGUCCGUUUUGCCAUCUGAUCUCUCGUUUAUUGUGAAAUGACUGUGAUACCCCUAAAAUACAUAAAAUACUUGAUUAAAAUAAAACACACGUAAUUAAAUUACAAGUAAGGGUUGUUAGUAAGACAUUUUCUAACACUCAACAAACAGCUCGGCCAACUCUUGGUAUAUCUGCUCGUAUCCCCUUAUACUUCCUCGUGGUAGCUUACGAUACCAUUCUCUGGCUCGUCCUUCUAGUGUCAAUGGGAACACCCUGCACCUCUGAGCUGCUGUUAGCCCCUGUAUGCCCGUCAUGUCAUUGAAGCACUCAAUGUGCACUAGCGGGUCGCUUCUCCCGGAGUACUUGAGGUUGGGAAAGCAGAAAUCUCUUGGGAUAAUAGUGCUUAUGAUCUCGGCUGAUAGCGGAGAUUCUUCAUCCAGCAUUAUCCUCCAGCUUGGAGGCUUUCUCUUGCCCUAUAUCUCAUCCAUCACCUGCGCUAGCCUGCGCACCUCACCUUCCAAUUCCAAAGCACGGUCAAGGUCGCGCGCAGCUACUUGAUCUCGCUCCUGCUCGGCAUUAUGCAGUCGCUGUCUGAGCUCGCCUUCGUCAACAUUUACUCCUCGGUCAUUGAUUUCUAGAACUCGCCCAAGGCGAGAUUGAUCUCUCCUUUCAUCCACACGCUCCCCGGGGAUCCGACCAGCACUUCUAUGGGGAUGUAUCCCAUAGGGUUGUUCUACUAGCGGAGGGAUCUCCUCGAUUCUACGCCUUCGUAGGUUGGGUUCCGCCAUAGUUUCAUCCCUUACCACAGUGGUCUCGCCUUCCCUUCUCCGCUCAUCCCUAAAGUCAUAUAAUAUAGCUGUGAGCGUCUCCAUUUGGUUUGCCAUCUGUUCCAUUCGGUCUUGCAUCAUCCUCUCUCUAGCUUCAUUCGCGAUCUCUCGGAGAGUGAUCGAUUCACCAGUUUCAUUGUCGCCCCCUAAGGCGUCCUUCCUUGUCAUAUCCAUAACUAAUCGUUCACUGCGUCUCUGGUGAUUACUAACUUGAUGGUAGCUUUUUAUCCAGCUCCCUACAGACGGCACCAAAAUGUUGAUGCUGAAACAUGCUUGCCCUCUGCCCGGCCAGAUCGUUCCACUAACGUUUGUGUAUUCAAUGGAGAGGAUACUGCCCUUUUGCCUCCUUCAGCAACUACGGAUGCUCCAGGGGUUGGAAUUACCUUUUUCCCUUCUUUCUAAUCCUGCACUCACAGAGAUAGAUAAGAGACGCCGGUGGUUUUAUCGGCGUAAACCCUCCGAUGCUUAAGUUAGCACAAGAUGUUUUACGAGAAAAUUAUGUAACUUGGAUUGUUUGGUUUCUUGUAAUGCUUUCUAAAACUUGUAAAGAAUAUAAUCUGGUUUUAAUUUGGCAGAGUUUUCCUUUUUCUCUCAAUUUUCCAUCCCCUUUUUCAUCGGUUUUCCAGCUUCUUAUAGCUGUUGUCCCACGUUCCUGUCUACUCCUCAUGCCCCCCCUUUUAUUGGGUGAUGGCAGGCCUUCAUGGGCCUCCAACCACUGAAUUGUGGGUAAACGUGGGAUGACAUGUCCCUCUCGAUGGUUUAGGGCAUAGCGAAACUGCCGCAUUUUCGUGAGAUCGUGUCCUCCUUCUUUGGGUGAUGGGUAUCUGGUCGGUAUAUGUCUCUAGUUGAUACAUUCCUCUGGUCAAUGCUCGUCUCUAGUAGGCCCACGUUUGUAUGAGGCAUUUUACCAGGGCUCUUCUCGUGCCGCUGAGGUGAUUCGCCUCGGGGUGGGAAAUAGGGGCAUGGCCGAGCUGGUGCUCUUUAUUACUUAACAACUGUCUUUGAAAAUUUUGGCUAAGUUAGUAGGCCACAAAAUUUUAUUAACCAUCUAUGCAAUUAUAGAGCAAUCCCCUCCAAAUAGAAUGAUGCCAAUUGUAUUUAUUGUUCUAGGACUACAUUCUCAAAUCCGAAGAAUUAUUCCACCUUAUGAAUCCAACCAGUCGGAUCAUCUCCGUUGAAAUUUGGAAAGUUUAGUUUGAGAUAGUGGUGAUGGUUGGGAAAGUUUGAGGAGAAAGGUUUUAUGGCUUGGUUAGAGGAUGUUGUAGCCUGUAGGUGCAAAGGGGUUAAUUUCAGAGGCAAUUAUGUGUGAGGUUUGUGAUGCACGAAGAGAUUGAAGAUUUCUUGAACCUCAUUACGAAACUCAGCAUUUGAUUGACUUCGGGUAGCCGUAUUUCGAGCAACCUUUGUUUGAUACCAGAUGAUAGGUAAUUUCUUAGUUUAGAAAGGAAAGUAUGAAAAGUAGAGGAAGAAUAUAAGUUGUUUAGAAGGAAAAAGAUAAUUUUUAUUCCAAAAGCAUGCCCACUAUAAAUCCAAUAAUUUCUCUUAAAUAAACCUAUACAUAUACCAAAAACUAAAAAACUAGAAAAGAGGAAAAUCACUUGAAAAUAAGAACAUGAUCAAUUAAAACGGUAACAUGCACAACCGCCACGAAUCAAAACCAAUCGAUUUUAAAUAGUAUGAAUUGAAAUCAAAUUAAACCAAACCAAACUAAAUCGGACCGAACCGAAAUAUUAGGUUCGGUUCUAAAUUUUGGUUUGAUUUUGGUUCAGUUCUAAAUUUUCGGUUCGAUUCUAACUUGUUGUUUUAACACCACGAUUUAUGUUCGUUGGAAGUAUCUUCCUCGUCGUCCAAAAUUCAUCCCACUUGCAGCUCAUUCUCUCAUGCAAUCCCUCAUCUUCUGUAGUGAUUUGAUUGCUCUGAUAACUAUAAGCAAUAAACCACUGCCCAAGAAAUUUUGCCAAGAACAAUUCAAGAUGAAAAUAAGCCAAUGAUUGAUUUAAAGUUCUAAUGAUGAAACGAAACCUUAGCUCUAGGUUAAUGGAGAUUUAACAAAAGAUUGAAACAAAUCAAGAAGCAAACACACUCAAUGCAAAGACAGGAUUUUAAUGUGGUUCAAUUAUGCACAAAGUUCAUAAUCUACAUCCGCGGGAGAAGCCACAAAAAUCUCUUUAUUGAUGAUUCAAGAUGAAUUUUAUUGAGAAAAUACAGAGAUCGUUACAAGGAACAAGAUUACUCUUUCUCACUUUCUAGAAACUCUCUGAAAAGCUCAAUCACACACACGUAAUCUGCUUCAACAACCAGCCUCUUUAUACUCUCUUAUGAAAACCCAGAUUGCACAGCCCUUUGACACGUGUGUAACAGCUUCUAACGACUUGAUUCCUCCCUCACAUGCUAGCUCACGUGUUUUACUUAAGUUUCCUAAAAACGACACAAAGCAAUGUCGUUCUGCCUUAUGCUGAAGAGCCCGUGACUGCACGUGAGUUGUAAGUAAUUCCAACUGAUCAAAACGCAAUCGUUUUGGGACUCUGAGUUUUGAAUUCAUAACACUCCGGUCCACAUCUUCCUCACCCACUAAUAUAAACAAAGCACAAAACAAUUCCAAUCUCAGAAUUAAGAUCAUGCUCAGACAAAUCCUUAAGCCCAUCAGCGAUCUAUCGUCUACUGCGAGCUAAUCGAGAGUGCCAUCUAAUACGAGGUGGCUGAGAGACCGUGAGAGUGAGAUGUUGACCAGAGAUAGACAUAGUGAGAGUGAGCGUGGUUGCGUGAGUGUGGAAGAAAGGGGAUGCUGCUAUGCUGCGUGUUGUGCUUGAGAGUGAGCAUAGUUGCAUGAGAGAGAGAGGGGCUACUGCUAUGCUGUACUUGAGAGUGAGGGUGGUUGCAUGAUAUCUGCUCAAUAUGUAUGGGAUGAAGUUUCUGAUGGGUAAAAAUCAUGUUUUUAAAUUUUUAUAAAACCUUUUUAAGAUCGCUUUCAUAUAAUAUAUAAGAAUUUGUAAUCUAGAAAUCAUACCUUGAAAAUCCGAUUUAGCUUUUUCCGCUGGAAUGAUUUAGGCUCCCAGAUCACGAUCCAUCACCACCACUCCUGUUAGAUUACGAUCCGUCACCACCACGCUUGUUAGAACACGAACUGGCACCAAUGAUCUUCCAGGUUAUGACUCAAGUUUGAUCUGCACUUGACGUGUGGGCGCCUUUAUCACUACCAAAGCAACUAGCACAAGAAAACUUUUCUCUCAACAAUAGAGAGAAAAAUCUUUUUCUCUGAUCUGUAUAAAGUGCCUGCUCCCUUUUUCUUUAGAGAAAAUAAGCAUUUUAUAUCUCCCUUUAGUGAAAACCCUAAGCUCCAAAAAAUCAAAAAACAAAACUCACGUUACUUGCUUUUUCUAUAGGGGACACACCUUGUAAAAUAACAUAAUAGCCCUUACACACAAGCGAAUUAAAUGGAGCCUCCCACUAAAAGAUAUAUUUAGGCUUUUGACCCAAAUAGCUUAUCUUACUUAUUAGUCCAGUAGUGGUGCAUUCAAUUAAAUGAGCUAACCCGGGGAUCAUUUGGGAACAUACAAUAGUGGCUAUAACAAUUAGACCUGUAAUUAAACUAGCCUAAUUAUUUAAUUCCAAAUCUACUCCACUAAAAGAUUGGAAUUGACCUCCAUAAUUGUAUGCUCGAAUAAUAAUUUGUCCCAAGUCUAAUUGAUUUCUUUACUGCACAAUCCUUUGUAUCACAUCGUUAAUUCAAUUGAUAUCUCAACUGUCCAAUCAAUUUAAUAACAUCUUGUUCCUUGAUACUUAUUGGUUUUCUCUAAUGAUCAUUUUCAACAUACUAAAUAUGUUGACACACUCUGGCCAAAGAAUUCUAUGAUCAAGUGCCGAAAACCCAUCAAGAGAUGUAUUGUACAAAUUCUAUAUUGUUAAUCCAUAACUCCAAUACUCAUAAUUGCUCCCACCAAGAUACCGGGUAAUCUUGACCACAAGAAUGUGUCGUGCCCAUUGGUAACUCAAAUGGAAUAACAAUUACAAUCAUGAAAUCAUAAUUAACUCAAGAUUAAGAUUACAGUAAAAUCAAUAGAUUUAAUAAGUCUGACAGUCAUUUCAAUGUUAAUUAAAUCUCAUAUGUGAUCCUGUUCAAUGUAGUCGUACUACAUUAAUAAAUUCAUACAUGAUUAAGACAAAUCAUUCAAUGAAUUCAUUACAGUCUAUACUUAAAUAAAGUGCCCAACUUUAUUUAUCAACUGCGAACUAAAUUUAUUUAAUCAUAAGAUAACUUAUAUUUAUGUCUUCUGUGAAUCCACAUGGUGAUCACAUAAAUACAUAUAAUAUGAUUAAAUGGACUUUGAUCAAAAUAUUAAUGCAAUUAAGAUAUUUGAAUAAAAUACCUCAUUAAUUUUAUUAGUCAGAAAAAAUGUUUAUUAUAAUUAAAUAAACACAUAUACUUUUAAAGAGUAUAUUUUCCCAACAGUUUCUUCAGUUGGUUAUUUCACUUAGUCAAAAUAAAUUAUAGUAGUGGUUGCAUACCUGACUUUGGAGGUAAGGCUGGAGGCAAACUUCUACAUUAAUUUAUAACUUGUUUCACAACAUAUUACGGUUAUAAAUGAGACUUAAUCCAAAGACGGAAAGAGAGAAAUUUGCUACACUCUUUAGUAUCCAUUAUUGAGAAAAACACCAAAAUUAACUUUUACUUCUUUAAAAUCAUUUUUGAAACCUCCCAAAAGAUAUCUCAAAUGGGUUCUCAAUUUUUUAAAACAUUACUUUUGGCUAAACACCCCAUCCUCCAGUAGAUUUUGAAAAUGUCAAAAUGUAUAAGACACUCAUCCAGUGGGGGUUUCACAGGCUUACCUCUCUUAGAAGUCUUUGCAUUCUUGGAUGUCAUGAAGCAGAGUGUUUUCCAGACGAGAAGAUAGGAAUGACGCUGCCCAAUUCUUUAACUUGUCUGUCCUUUCGAGGAUUCAAAAACACAUUUAAGAAAUUGGCAAUUUGUUGUUAGUCACAGUAUCUGAUGUUCUUUUCUUUUAUAGUUUGCAGAAUCAACUGUAUUAUAUGUUGUCAUUUGCAGUAUCUGAGGUGCCUUUUGCAUUUUACUUGACCUUUAUUUGUUUUGCUAGUGACUGAAGAAUACCAACAUUGGUUAGAGAUUUGGAGAAGCAUCUGAAGAGGCUUGACAAAGUUGGAGAUGCACUUGCUCCCAAGCCUUCAAUCAUCACAAUGCAAAUCCGAUGAGUACUUAUGCCGGCAAUUAUGUAAAAUAUUUGAAAUUUUGAUUCAGGGAAAUGGUUUGUUGAUGCAAAGCUUUAAACUGUUAAGACUUACCUAGCAGGCCUGUUGGAUGUUGUAUCAACUCCAAAAUCCAACAAGAACUACGGCACCAAGACCCAUUUUUUACUGAUUCAAUCAGCUGAAAUGAUGAGGCAAAUCCCACGUGUUCGAAUCAGUCAUCCAUUUCAUGAACUGUUAUUUUCAUGAUGCUGGCUAUUGGAGUUGAAGAGGAAACAAGGAUGUGUUGGAAUCAAUGAGAACAGUGGGAAGCAUGACUCGAGCUCUGAUUAUAAAUAGACAUUUUAAAAACAUGUGCUGGUAAGUGGUGAUUAAAGAAAUUUGUGAGCUUAUUCAAGUUUCAGUAUUUGCUGUUUGGAUAAAGCUGAUACCAAGUUUGGCAAAAUCUGUGCUUUCUUUGUUCAAUCUGUGUUAUGGUUAAAGUAGAUGCUCUGAUUAAUAAGCCAGCCUACGAUAGCUGGCUCUAAUAAUCGGCUUCCUUUUUCUUGUUUGCUGUUGUAUAUUCUUUCAAUUUUUUUUCCGCAUUAGGACGAUCAGUUGAAGAACAAGUUUAUGUUUGACGAUGCAUUUAAGGAAGAGCCAGACUUGGAUGCAGAUCUGAAAAGGUUAGCAUGAACGAAAACCUUCAGAACUGACUGAAGGUUUCUGAGUUGAUCCUAAAAAUGUAGCAGUUGUCUGUUUCAUAAAGCAGAACAAAAACAGAAUAAGAGAUCACUAAUCAUGCUUGAGAAUUCAUUUAAAUAAAAUUUCAAAAAUUGCCAAACACAGCAUAAACUAGGAUGCACUUGCUUAAGAUUCAUUUUCAGAAGGAAGUUUGUACUUGCAGCUCAUAAAAUCAUGUUUAUGUUGUAUGUUUAUUCAGCAAAUGAAAGAUUCCAAGUUUGCUGAAACCAUAUUAUUUUUUUACCAGGCGCCUUCCUGAAGGUAUCGACGUCAAUUUCAAAAAUGUUGGGGAUAAGUUGCUUGAUGCAGUGCUACACAAAUAUGAAGGAUUUCUUGUCGGUGAUUACUACCACCUCGAUAAAAAAAUUCAUGGAACUGGUCAUGCCGGCAAUAAAAGAAGGAAAGGUGGUAUACGUCGAAGACAUAGAUGAAGGCCUCGAGUCCAUCAGCCCUCGUUGGGCUAUUCACUUGUCGGAAUGUCAGGAAACAACUUGUUGAAGUUGCGUGGGAAUUUUAAAACUACCAUAUGUUGUAGAAAUGCACUGAGCCAUGUGCUUUCAGAGCUUUGUGAAGAUGUCUUGGCCAUGUGUUUGAUACAGGUUAUGCUUGUUCCAUUAAAUUGUAUGCACUUAUAAAUCAAAGAUUCAGAACAUGUGUAUGUUACUGGUUUCCAGAAUCCAGAUCAAUAAAUGCCUCCAUGUAGAAGUUCAAAUUUUAAAUUUUUUGAAGUAGAGGUGUAGAGUUUCUUUUUUCAAAAAAGAAAAAGUAAAUUCUGAAGACUUUCUUUAUUUAAUUUUACAAUCUUAUUUUAUUUCUUUUACGAUAUAUUUUUAAAAUACUUAUUUAGUAAAUUAUUAACAUCUAUACCACUAAAAGAUUUUUUUUGUUAAACGCUCUACUUACAAAGUUAUAUUAAUUAUAGAUUUACUCAAAGAAGCCCUAUUUAAAAAGUUACAGCAAAAAAAGUCAUAGUUACCUUUAGUAAAUAAUAAUCUUCUAAUCUGUCUUACAACGGACUUUUGACAAAAGUGUGCUACUCCCACCUCCUCAAAGUCCACCCGACACCCCGUCUUCUCUAUUUAAAAUUUUAUAUAGUUGAAAAUUAUAUUUUCUUUUACUUGACGCCCCUCCAAAUUCUAAAACUUAGCUUCGAUGAACCUUCUUCGUUAAAUCUCGUUGCUUUCCUUUUUUCUUGUUACUUGAGAAGAAGAACCAGAGUCUAGAAGAAUGAAAGAAAAUUCAGCGUGAUAGAAAUUUAGAAAUUUCAUCCGAUCUUUUUUUCUUAAAUUUUUUGGUAUUUUGAUUCGUUCAAUGGAUUCUUGAUCAUUCUUCAUUCUUUCUAGUUUCUACCAUGAUUCGGAAAUUUUUCUUAAAAAAACUACUACUCUUGUGUAUUUAAAAAAAAAGGAAAGAAAGAAAAAAGGCAUUAAUAAAGAAUUGCGCACGUAACAUUAUUAGUACCCUGUUGAUUGGUCGUUUGGUCUUCAAGAAAUGCUAGUUAAUAUGUGCUUGAAAUUAUAUUCUGCUUUUUUUUUCCCUAUGUAUUGUUUCCCGUUUGAUUACAUUUCAAACAUUUUUAACACGAAUGAAUGUUUUAACCAUUUUUGUCACUUCAUUAUUACAAUAAGCUGAUUGAAGUUAUCUGCGUUGGCCCUGAAAAUGUAAUGGACACUACUCCGUUUACAUAAAACAGGACAAAACAUCGAUAUUUCUACCAUUGCCAUACAUAGUAUAGCCUAGGAAUACAUUUCCAUAAUUAAUAUUUAUUUCAGAAGGAACUUUUCACUUGCAGCUAACAGAAUCAUGUUAAAUUUAUGAUGUAUGUUUAUUUGGGAGAUGAAAGAUUCGCUGCAUUAUUUUAUUCCAAGUUUGCUGAAAUCAUAUUUGUUUUCCCGGCUGCUUUCCUGAAUGUAUCGACAUCUAUUUCGAAAAUGUCGGGGGUAAGAUGCUUGGUGCAGUGCUACUCAACAUGAGAAUUCAUCUUCUAACUCGUUACCUGAUAUUAUUGUCUUCUUGAAAAUUUAAUUAAGCUUAGAAGUCCCUUAACCACAAAAUCAAUGGAGUUUAACUCUAUCGAUAGACAACUUUUAAGUAAUAAACCAACACAUGAGUUCAUCUCUAUUGAUACUCAAGUUCUAAGUCCCUUAUUCAAUACUAAAAUCCAUGAGAAUUAAACUAACCGUAGUUUAACAUGUGAUUAACAAAUGGUAAAAGGUUCAAAAAAUACAUCAAUUAUAAAAGAAAUAAAAUCAGCAAAGAGACCACAUCAGAAAUUUCUUAGAUGUCCGAAACUAUUAAAAGAAUUCACAUACCAAAUCAAAAAAAGUAGAAAAUGCUUAAGCUCCUUAAGGUAAUUUGAAGUAUGAAAGUGAAUGGCAUAUAAUCCAAUAUAAAAAAAAAAUGGUUUUAGUGCCGUAUAAAGAGAAGUUAAUGGUGGUUACAGAAGUGGGGAAAGUUGAGUACAAAUCAGAUAAUGGGAGGUUCCUAAACUUCCUUAAAUCAAUUUUAAUUUCAAAAAUAAAAUAAUAAAAAAUAAAAAAUAGCAUAAAAGAAAUAAGAUAAAAAUUACUUUUCUAAAAUUGCAUGCAAGUAUACAAAAAUAACAUAUGUUGAUAUUACAUCGAGAAAGGUCCAUCAGCCCUAGUUGGGCUAUUCACUGCAUAGAAUGUCGGAGAACAACUUGUUGUGGUAGCUGUUGGGAAAAUAUGCUCUUUAAAAGCAUGUGUGUUUAUUUAAAUGUAAUAAACAUUUUUUCUGAUUAAUAAAAAUAAUGAGGUAUUUUGUGCAAAUAUCUUAAUUGCAUUAAUAUUUUUAUUAAAGUCCAUUUAAUCAUAUUAUAUGUAUUUAUGUGAUCACCAUGUGGAUUCACAGAAGACAUAAAAUACAAGUUAUCUUAUGAUUAAAUAAAUUUAGUUCGCAGUUGAUAAAUAAAGUUGUGCACUUUAUUUAGGUAUAGAUUGUAAUAAAUUCAUUGAAUGAUUUGUCUUAAUCAUGUAUGAAUUUAUUGAUGUAGUACGACUACAUUGAACAGGAUCACAUAUGAGAUUUAAUUAACCUUGAAAUGACUGUCAGACUUAUUAAAUCUCAUUGGCAUUGAUUUUACUGUAAUCUUAAUCUUGAGUUAGUUAUGAUUUCAUGAUUGUAAUUGUUAUUCCAUUUGAGUUACCAAUGGGCAUGACACAUACAUGUAGUCUAGAUUACUCGGUAUCUUGGUGGGAGCAUUUAUGAGUAUUGGAGUUAUAGAUUAACAAUAUAGAAUUUGUACAACACAUCUCUUGAUGGGUUUUCGGCACUUGAUCAUAGAAUUCUCUAGCCAGAGUGUGUCAACAUAUUUAGUAUGUUGAAAAUGAUCAUUAGAGAAAACCAGUAAAGAUCAAGGAAUAAGAUGUUAUUAAAUUGAUUGGACAGUUGAGAUAUCAAUUUAAUUAACGAUGUGGUACAAAGGAUUGUGCAGUAAAGAAAUCAAUGUGGCUUGGGACGAAUUAUUAUUCGAGCAUACAAUUAUGGAAGUCAGUUCCAAUCUUUUAGUGGAGUAGAUUUGGAAUUAAAUAAUUGGGCUAGUUUAAUUAUAGGCCUAAUUAUUGUAGCCACUAUUGUAUGUUCCCAAAUGAUCCCCGGGUUAGCUCAUUUAAUUGACUGCACCACUACUGGACUAAUAAGCAAGAUAACUAGCUAUUUGGGUCAAAAGCCUAAAUAUAUCAUUUAGUGGGAGGCUCCAUUUAAUUAGUUUAUGUGUAAGGGGUCUUAUGUUAUUUUACAUGGUGGGUCCCCUAUAAAAUAAAAAGUAACGUGAGUUUUAUUUGUGAGCCUAGGGUUUUCACUAAAGGGAGAUAUAUAAGGCUUAUUUUCUCUAAAGAAAAAGGUGAAGCCACUUUAUACAGAUCAGAGAAUAAGAUUUUUCUCUCUAUUGUUGAGAGAAAAAUUUUCUCGUGCUAGUUGCUUUGGUAGUGAUAAAGGCGCCCACACGUCAAGUGCAGAUCGUACUUGAGUCAUAACCUGGAAGAUCAUUGGUGACAGUUCGUGAUCUAACAAGCGUGGUGGUGACGGAUCGUGAUCUAACAGGAGUGGUGGUGGCGGAUCAUGAUCUAGGAGCUUAAAUCACUUCAGCGGAAAAAGCUAACUCGGAUUUUCAAGGUACGAUUUCUAGAAUACAAAUUCUUAUAUAUUAUAUGAGAGCGAUCUUCAAAAGGUUUUAUAAAAAAUUUAAAAACCUAAUUUUUCCCCAACAAUUGGUAUCAGAGCCAUCUCAUAUUAAUAUAUAAGAAUUUCGUAUGAAAUUAAUCUUGAUAUUUAUGUAUUAGAGUGGCACAAUUUAUUCAGAUAUAUAUUAUUUGUUUAAUAUAUGAAUAAAGCAUGUUUAUGGUUUGUCUUAAUUCAUGGUUAGAUUUUCUGUUGUAUUUUUCGUUUGGAUCUUUAACAAGAGGGGUGGUUUUUAUCACAAUGUUUCCCUCUUGAUUUAUUUUACUGUUAUAGAAUUUUUGUAAGCCAAAAAUUGGCCUAGGAAAUUUGUAAAUAAAUCACGGAUGACAAAUCAAAGCGACGGAGGCCGGAAAUUUCGACAUCGACCGCUGACCAGCGCACUCGCUACAACCAACGAGCGGCACACGCUGCAAGCGCAUGCUGGCAGUGCGCGCAGCAAGCAGCGCGCGCGGCCAGCCUGGCCAGCGGCGCGCGUUCCAGCAAGCAGCGCGCGCAGGGAUGGUUUGUUUCCGGCAUAUCGGCAACGGCAAACUCGACGUUGAUAGCGGCUGUCCGAUGAGAUUGGCCUGAACAGUGGCCGUUUGUGGAGAUGGCGACUGGGGAAGAAGAAAGAAAGAAAAAUAUGGAUUUAGGGUUUCAUGGCUUUUAUCAUGGAGAUCCCUAUGGUUCCAUAAUUUUUCACUUGGGCAAUUAAGUUUUAAUUUUUUGCAUUUAAGUCUAAAAAUAGUUUUCGGCUUAAAGAAUCCUAGUUUUAGGUCCAAUUGAAAUUUGGGCUUAAUGGAUUAAAAAUGCAUAGAUAAAAUUAAAUACAUUAAAAUUUAUUUUUGGUCCAAAAGUUUUAUUUUAAUAAAAAAAAUUAUUUAUUUAUUUAUUUCCUUUAAAAAUUAAAAUUGGACCAAUUAGAAAUUAUUUAUUUAUCUCUCAUUUGUACUUGGGAGACAGUCUAUUGUAAGUAGUGUGUAUUUUUGCAUGUCUAGGAAAGUUCUGUCAACAAAGGCGAUAAGUGUAUAAGGAUUCUGGUUUUUAAUUGGGACCAAGUUCCCAUCUAGUUUCCUGGAAACUUUCUUGGUGCAUUUAUUCACGCGAAAUUAACAUCAUAGAGACUGUUUUUCAAGUGAAAAUAGUUCGUUGAGAAAAUGGUAGAAGGUGAAACUUUCAAAAUUGGGGAGAGAUCUACCGAGACUAUUUCAGGAGACACUUCAGGUGGGAGGCGAGAUUUGUCAAAUCGCUAUUCAGCACCUGUAUAGAAGGCCAGAAGAUCGAUGUUGAAAAGUUUGAUGGGAAAAUCAACUUCGGCAUGUGGAGGCGCGAAGUUAUGGAUGCCCUUAUUCAAAUCGAUCUCGAUGUUGUUCUGAAAAAUAAAAGACACUUGUAUGAUGAAGAAAUUUGGGAUCGUAUGAAUGAAAAAGCAUGUGGUCAGAUCAGAUCUUGUUUGACCAAGGAGGUGAAAUACUUGGUGAAAGAUGAGGAGUGUGCGGUGACUUUGUGGCGUACAUUGGAGGAGAAGUACCUGGUGAAAAGUCCUGAAAAUCGCCUUCAUGCAAUGAGCCAAGUAUAUGGCUUUCGAAUAAAGUCUGGGGUGUCAAUGCACGAUCAUGUUUUAAGAUUUGAAAAGUUACUUGCUGAUUUGAAGAAUCUUGAUGAAGAUAUUAAGGAUGAAGUCAAGGCUAUGAUUCUGUUACACUCACUACCAGAGGAAUAUAGCCAUUUUGUGACUACUUUAAUAUAUGGGAAGAGUGUGAUCAUCUUUAAAGAUGUUUGCACAACAUUGACUAGCUUAGAGAUUCGAAAUAAUGAUAAAAAUUCUAAACGAGCAUCGUCUGAAGCUUUGGUGAGUAGAGAUUGGGCGAUGGAGAAACAAAAGAAGCGUGGUGGAAAGAAUUCUCGAUCCAAAUUGAAAAGCAGAAAUAUAGCUCGAGAUGAGUGUGCCUUUUGUCAUGAAAAGGGCCAUUGGAGGAAAGAUUGUCCAAAGGCUCAAAAGAGAGAUGGGAAGAAACCAGCAGCAGCAAACAUGGCACGGAAAGAUGAGGGCUCUGAUUAUUCACUAAGUAUUACUCUUGCAGCAUACGUGGCUAGUUCGAGUGAGUGGAUACUUGAUACUGGAGUGGUUUACGGAUUUUUAUCAUUUGUGUCCUAUUAAGGAAUGAUUUACGGAUUUUCGUAAUCUGGAAUCCGGUGCAGUUGUGAUGGGGAAUGAUCAACCUUGUCGCACAAUGGGGAUAGGAACAAUUCGGCUCAAAAUGUUUGAUGAAAUGAUCAGAGAACUCAAAGAGGUUAGAUUUGUUCUAGCUUUAAAGAAAAAUCUAAUUUCUGUGGAUUUCUGUGGGUGCUUUGGAAGCUAAAGGCUACAAGGUUACCAUUGAAGAUGGUAUAAUGAAGUUUACACAUGGGGCUAUGGUGAUUCUGCAAGGGGUUCGGUGUCACAAUCUGUACUAUUUGAAGGGAGGUACAACUGAUGAAGCAAAUGUUGUUAAGGCGCACAGUGACACCACCAAGCUAUGGCAUGUACGAUUGGGACAUGCUGGAGAGAAGUCUUUGCAAACUCUGAUGAGGCAUGGACUCUUAAAAGGUACCAAAACCUGUAAAUUAAAUUUCUGUGAGCAUUGUGUAGUAGGCAAGAAAACAAGGGUCAAGUUUGGUAUAGUUAAUCACGAUACUCGUGAGAUUCUUGAAUAUGUUCAUAGUGAUGUAUGGGGACCAACCAAGACUGCAUCAAUUGGUGGAAGCCAUUACUUUGUUACAUCUAUUGAUGAUUUCUCUAGACGUGUGUGGGUGUACACCAUGCGAGCAAAGGAUGAGGUUCUAGAGAUUUUCGUGAAAUGGAAGAAAUUGGUGGAGACUCAAACUGGCAGAAAGAUCAAAGUAUUACGAUCUGAUAAUGGGGGUGAAUAUACUUCUGAUCCAUUCUUACAAGUAUGCCAGAACGAGGGUAUUAAAAGACAUUUCACGGUGAGACAUACUCCGCAACAGAACGGUGUGGUUGAGCGUAUGAAUCGUACUUUACUGGAGAAGAUACGGUGUAUGUUAUCUAAUGCUGGUUUAGAUAAAAAGUUUUGGGCUGAAGCUGUGAGCUACGCAAGUCACUUGGUAAACCGGUUGCCUUCUGCUGCAAUUGGAGGUAAAACUCCUAUGGAAAUGUGGUCUGGAAAGCAUGCACAAGACUAUGAUUCCCUUCGUGUAUUCGGGUGUUCAGCUAAUCAUCAUGUCAAAGAUGGUAAACUGGAUCCUCGUGCUAGAAAAGCUAUCUUUGUGGGAUUCAAAGGUGGAGUAAAGGGCUUUAAGCUUUGGGAUCUCGAAGACAAAAAGUUUGUGUGUAGCAGAGAUGUCACAUUUGAUGAAGCUUCAAUGAUGAAAGCGUCAAGUUCUCAGCAGGUGGAGAACAAGACCAAAAAGGUAUUGCAGCGGGUGGAGUUUGAUGCAACUCCAUAUGUACCAGUUAGUUCUACAUCAAAUAAGAGUUCAACUAUGGAGGUGACACCUAGAGUUGAAGAAGAGGUCAUUUUUUCUGAUGUCUCACAAAAUGAAGAAACAAUUGAUGAUGUAGAUAAUGAUGAUUUUAUAGCAACAAGGAGGCCAAGAAGAGAGAUAAAGAAACAGGGAUGGCUUACUAAAGAUAUGGUGGUAGCAUAUGCACUUCCAGUUAUUGAUGAUGACAUCCCCAACACUUUUUGUGAAGCAUUACGCAGCAGUGAAAGUGAUCAGUAGAAGUUAGCCAUGGAGGAAGAGAUGAAAUCUCUCCAUCAAAACCAGACUUGGGAACUUGUAAAGUUACUAAAUGGGAAAAGGGCUAUUGGUAAUAAAUGGGUCUACACCACAAAGCAAGGAUCUCCGAAUCAAACAACUCCUCGAUACAAGGCAAGGCUCGUGGCAAAAGGUUUUGCUCAAAAGGAAGGUAUUGACUACAAUGAAGUUUUCUCCCCAGUUGUAAAACAUACUUUCAUUCGUAUCCUACUUGCCGUCGUUGCAGAAUAUGAGUUAGAGUUGGCUCAAUUGGAUGUUACGACGGCGUUCUUACAUGGAGAUUUGGAAGAGGAAAUCUAUAUGAUUCAGCCUUGUGGUUUCAAAGUUGCUGCAAAGGAGAAUCAUGUGUGUAGGUUGAUUAAAUCUUUGUACGGACUGAAGCAAUUGCCAAGGCAGUGGUACAAAAGAUUUGAUCAAUUUAUACAAGGGCAGAAAUUCACCAGAAGUGAACACGAUCAUUGUGAUUACUUUAGAAGACUACCAGAUGGAGCUUUCAUCUAUUUGUUACUCUAUGUCGAUGAUAUGCUUAUAGCUUCGAAGAAUAGAGAUGAGAUCGAAAGAUUAAAGAAGCAGCUGGCUUCUGAGUUCGAGAUGAAAGACUUGGGUGAUGCACAGAGAAUACUUGGGAUGGAGAUUCGUAGAGACAAGAAGAAUGGGAGCGUAUGAUUGACUCAAAAGUCUUAUUUGAAGAAAGUGCUAGAAAGAUUCAGUAUGGAUGACAAAACUAAACCGGUAUGUACACCUCUAGCUCCUCAUUUCAAAUUAAGCUCUUCUUCAUGUCCUAGAUCUCAAGAAGAGCGCGAUUACAUGGCUCGUGUUCCAUAUGCUAGUGCUGUGGGUAGUCUUAUGUAUGCUAUUGUAUUCACAAGGCCCGAUAUAUCUCAAGCAGUGAGCAUGGUUAGUAGAUACAUGCACAAUCCGGGUAAAAAUCAAUGGCUUGCGGUAAAGUGGAUUCUCCGAUAUUUGUAUGGGACAGUUGAUGUUGGGUUAUUAUUCAAGAAAGAUUGUGGUCAACAAUGUGUUGGGUAUUGUGAUUCUGAUUUCGCUGGAGACCUUAACAAGAGAAGAUCAACAACGGGCUACGUAUUCACAUUGGGUGGAGGUCCGGUUAGCUGGAGAUCGAUUCUACAAUCGACAAUUGCUCUAUCCACUAUGGAAGCAGAGUAUAUGGCAGCAAUUGAAGCUGUAAAAGAAGCUAUCUGGUUGAAAGGCUUGUUAGGUGAUUUGGGAGUAAUCCAGGAGAACAUUACGAUCUUCUGUGAUAAUCAAAGUGCGAUAUUCCUUGCAAAGAAUCAAACAUAUCACGCUCAGAUGAAGCACAUAGAUGUGAAAUAUCAUUAUGUGAGGGAGAUUAUCGAGAGCGGUGUUGUGUUGUUGAGAAAGAUCGAUACCAAAGAUAAUCCAUCAUAUAUGUUAAUGAAGGUAGUUUCUGGAGUUAAGUUUCAACAUUGCUUGAAACUAAUUCAAAUCCUUCGAUUGUGUUAAGAUAUGUCCUUCGGAAAUUUUGAACUACGGUUGGCUUGAUCCCAAAUUUUGGGUACGUUUGGCAGUCACAGAGAUACAGCCACUUUGCGGAUGAUGAUUGGUUGGGAGUCGGCUCAGAUUUGAACAAACCUUCGCCGAGGUGGAGAAUUGUUGAAAAGUCAAAGAAUUGCUUGCCAAUUUCAAAAGCAAAGUUGGUGGGUUUGCCAAAUUCAAAAAAACAAAGUUGGCCGGCUUGCUAAUUUCAAAAGGCAAAGUUAGGUGUUGAAAAACUUGUACAUGCAAUAUAAGAUCCAGCUCAACGUUUUGACCAAAUGAACCCAACUUGGAGCAGAAUGCACUCUAUAAAUAGAGAAGCAUUUUGCAAUUGUCAAUCAUCCCAACAAUUUGUUAAGCUUAUAAAUUUCUAAGCUUUUGAGAGUUCUAAGAGUGUGAAUAAUUGGAGAGUGUGUGUGAGAGUACUUGGUAUAUUUGGGUUCUGGGAAAGUGAGAUUUCUUUACUCAAAUAAUUAUUAAUAAUAUAAUUAUUUUUCUCUUGCUUCCGUGGACAUAGGCAUAUUGUCGAACCACGUAAAUUUUGUGUCCUUUAUUUUUCAGUAAUUAUUUGGUGUGUUUGAUUCCGCAUUCCGCGCACAACACCUACAGGUGACUAAUUAAUGGGAAAUUGACAAUGACAAAAGCAAUUUAUGAGUUUUGUAGGCUGGCAUGCCUAUGUUAUAGCAUUGUUCGAUGAACUGCCACACCACAUGUUUUUGACGAGAAAUAAAAACAUCAAGAUAUUGCCCGCUUGCCGUAUUCCACAUCGUGAAUUGUAUCUCUGUUCCUCAAUUUUCAGUGUUCCAUACAUAAAACCAUUUUCAGUUUCUCUUGUUAUCAAUUCAAUUUUCUUGUUCGUGACGAUCUUGAUUCCUUUCUUUCUGGUAAAACGGAGCCAUGUUUGCUGUUGGAGAGGUCUUCCUCAACGCUUUCUUUCAGGUGUUGUUUGACAGGUUGGCUUCUCGUAAUUUGCUCAGCUUUGUGCGUCAACUCCAAGGCGGGGUUGAUUCGGAGCUCAAAAAGUGGGAGAAAAAGCUGAAGAUGAUUCAGGUUGUGCUUAGCGAUGCAGAGGAGAAGCAACUGACUGACGAGGCUGUGAAGAUGUGGCUGGACGAACUCCAAGACUUGGCUUAUGACGCUGAGGACAUUCUUGAUGAGUUUGGUACUCAAGCUUUGGAAAGGAAGUUGAUGGCGAAAAAUCAGGAUAGCACUGGCCAGAUUCUUAGUUUCAUACCGGCUAGUUUGAAUCCGAAUGCUAUUAUGUCCAAUUAUAGCAUGGGAUCCAAGAUUAAAGAUAUUACUAGCCGGUUGGAGCAACUCUGCCAAUAUAGAAUUGAACUUGGGCUGCAACGGAUUGCUGGAGGGGCAUCAUCACCUACUGCUGCUGCACACCAGAGGCCACCCAGUUCAAGUAUCACAACAGAGCGUGAAGUAUUCGGAAGAGAAGAAGAUAAGGCCAAAAUUCUUGAUAUGGUAUUGACCGAUAUUAGAAUUCGUAAUAAGAUGUUUGGAAACAAAGAAAAACAGAGAAAAUGAAAAAGGAAACUUCACGAUUUAUUAACCAGAAUAUUCAAUGCUUAUUAAGCUUACUUAGCUAAGCUUAUAUACAAUUAUUCUAACUAAUUAAACAACUGCAAAACAACUAAUAACAACUUCAGAUUUAGUUUAGCCAUUGAGCUCUUGCCACAUGUCAUUCAGUUACAUUCAAUCUUGUCCAGCUCAGCAGCUCUGUCCAGCUCAGCAGCAACUAUAUCUUCAACAUCCCCCCUCAAGCUCAACCGAGGAAGUAAGGUUGAGCUUGUCACGUAAGUAGAGAAAAGGGUGAUAAGAAAGAGCUUUGGUGAGAAUAUCAGCAGUUUGUUCUGAGCUAGAAAUAUAUUGAACCUUAAGACAUUGAGCAGCAACUUUCUCUCGAACAAAAUGAACAUCUAAUUCAAUGUGUUUUGUUCUGGAAUGAAACUUAGGAUUAGAGGCUAAAGCAGCUGCACUUUGAUUAUCACACCAUAUGAUUGGAAUGGAGGGAAGAGUAAGACCAAUCUCAGCAAGAAGAGAACGAAUCCACAAGACUUCAGCUGCUGCCAUUGCUAGUGCUCGAUAUUCAGACUCAGCACUAGAUCGAGAGACCACUGCCUGUUUCUUAGAGCACCAAGACACUAGAUUUGGACCCAUAUAGACACAAUAACCAGCCACUGACCUCCUAUCAUCUCUGUCUCCAGCCCAAUCAGCAUCACUGAAACAAUCAAUCUGUAUGCUGCCAUGAUUGUAGAACUGUAAACCAAGAUUAACAGUACCCUUCAGAUAUCGUAAAACCCUUUUACAAGCCUGCCAAUGAUUGACAGUUGGAGAAGAUAGAAACUGACUGAGCUUGUUGACAGAGAAAGCAAUCUCUGGUCUGGUCAAUGUUGCAUACUGAAGAGCACCUAUGGUGCUUCUGUAUAGAGUAACAUCAGAAAAGGGUUCACUAUCAGCUUUAGUAAAAGCCACUCCAGAAAGCAUAGGAGUAGAACAAGGAGUACUAUCCUGCAUGUGCACCUUGGCAAGCAAAUCAGUGAUAUACUUGGAUUGAGAAAGAUGAAUACCAGAUUUAUUGUAAAUGACCUGAACUCCCAGAAAAUAAUUCAAUGCACCAAGAUCUUUAAGUGCAAAAACAGACUGGAAGUUGGUGAUGGUCUGCUGAACAAGCUGAGGAUUGGAGCCUGUAAUAAUAAUAUCAUCUACAUACACCAAGACAAGUAGCAGAUGACCUUGUGUGCUCUUAAAGAAGAGUGAAGUGUCUGAAAUAGAAUUUGUAAAGCCCCACUGAGUUGUAAGAACUAGUUUGAGUCUGUCAAACCAUGCCCUUGGAGCCUGUUUAAGGCCAUAAAGAGCUUUGUGCAGCUUACAGACAUAAUCAGGCCUGGAACUAUCUAUAAACCCCUCAGGCUGUUGCAUAUAAACUUCUUCAGUGAGGUAGCCAUUAAGGAAGGCAUUAUUAAUGUCUAUUUGCCUCAGUACCCAAUGAUUCAUGACAGCCAUACUCAAGAUAAUUCUGAUGGUUGAAGACUUAAUGACAGGACUGAAUGUUUCAUGAAAAUCCAGCCCUUGAGUUUGGUGAAAUCCCUUAGCAACAAGUCUAGCUUUGUAUCUAGAGACACUGCCAUCAGGAUUAUAUUUAAUCCGAAAUACCCACUUAUUCCCAAUUACUUUAAUGGGAUGUGUAGGUUUGACAAGAGUCCAGGUAUGAUUAUUGACUAAGGCUUGAUAUUCAUCUGUCAUUGCUUUAUGCCAAGCUGAAUCUUGAAGGGCUUUUAAGGUAGUAGCAGGUUCUGUAGGUUUGGUAGGAUUGGCUGUAAUAUAGGCUUUAGGUUUGAAGAUACCAGCCUUUGAUCGAGUGAGCAUUGGAUGACCAGUAGAUGACUGCAAUGGUGGAGUUAAAUGAUGAACAGGUGAGGUAGAUGGUUCUGAGUGUGAUUGUAUAGAAGAUUGAGAAGGAGAGUCUGGAGAGGAUUGAGAGAACCUGAGAUCAGCUGCUGUAGAGGAUGAAGACUUGGUUAUAUCAAGUUGAAUCAAAGGACAAACAGAAGAUGAACAAUGUGAAGAAGACUGAGAUGAAUGAUCUGAAGAAGAGCAAGAGUGACUGACAGAGGAAAAAUCAACUCCUGACUGAAAAGGAAAACAUGACUCAUCAAAUGUAACAUGGUUACUGACAUAGAUUCUACCAGAGGAAUGAAGACACAAGUAGCCUUUGUGAAGGGAGCUGUAACCAAGAAAAAUACAUCUAGCAGUUCGAAACUCUAACUUAUGAUGAUUAUAAGGCCUCAGAUAUGGGAAACAAGCACAUCCAAAAACUCUCAUAACAGAAUAAUCUGGUCUUUUGUUGAAUAAUUUUUCAAAAGGUGAUUUGUUAUCCAGAAUGGGUGUAGGGAGCCUAUUUAUGAGAAAUGUGGCAGUAUGGAAAGCAUUCCACCAAAAUUUCAGUGGUAAAUGUGCUUGAGCAAGAAGGGUAAGGCCUGUUUCCACUAUAUGUCUAUGUUUGCGUUCAAUCUUUCCAUUUUGAUGGUGAAUAUAAGGACAAGGAUGUCUAAAUUGGAUUCCCUGCUCAGCAAGAUAAGGAAGAAAUGGCCUAAAUUCACCUCCCCAAUCUGUUUGAAGACACUUGAUUUUCCUAUUUAGGCAUUUUUCUAUCAUAUGCUGGAAUUCAAUAAAGGUUUGUAAGGCUUGAGAUUUGGUAACAAGAGGGAAUAUCCAGGUGAACCUAGUGAAAUCAUCUAAGAUGGAAAGAUAGUAGUGAUAGCCUUGAGAGGACAGCAAAGGAGCUGGACCCCAUAGAUCAGCAUGCAACAGCUCCAGUGGUUGAAUGGUAGUGGUGUCUAUAGAAGGAAAAUGCUGCAUGUGACACUUUCCAAAUUGGCAAGCAUUACAAAAAAUUGGUUUCAGGGCUCUAUUGAUAUCGAGAGAAGGAUGCAAAUGCUUCACAAUUUGUUUAAGAGCAUGCACAGUUGGAUGACCCAUUCUUUUAUGUAAAACAUUGUAAUCAACUGAUUUUGAAUGAGUAACAGACAAGGCCAUUGAGGCAUCAUUAUUGAAUUGAGAAAUAUUUACAUCUGUCAAAAUUUCUCCAGAAUGUAUAGAGUUUGAAACAUUGGAAUGACUAAUCAUUGACACUGGAGAGGAACAGACAUUUGACACAGAACUGGAAUUUGAGAUGACACAGAAAACAUUAGACGGAACUCUAUUUGAAACUGCAGCAUGAGACACUACAACAGGACCUUCAACUUGAUAUAAUCCUCCUCUAGCAAUCCCCUUGAGCAAGAUGAUCCCUGAUUUCUUGUCCUUGACAAAACAGGAGGUUUUAUGGAAUUCAACAACAACAUCAUUGUCAGCAAGUAAUUUAGAUACACUUAAAAGGUUUUUGGUUAUAGUUGGGACAUGCAAAAUAUUAUUAAGAUAGAUAGAUGUUGCAGCAAGUGUAUUCAAUCGUGUGCACCCAACAUGUUUAAUAUGUAAUCCCAUGCCAUUUCCUACAUGUAGCUUAUCAAAACCAUGAUAAACUGAGUAAGAAGAAAAGAUACCUGCUUCCUUAGUCACAUGAUUGGUUGCCCCGGAGUCAAUAUACCAAGCAGGAUCAGCUACAACUCCAUAAUCAGCAACUGGACCAGUGGGAGCAAAUUGUGCAGUGGGAAUAGCAGAAGGAGCAACUCCAUAGUUAGCAAAUGGAGUAGCAAUUGCACCAUUGUAUUGACCUUGUAAUCCUUGAAACACAAGAAACCCUUGAGGAUACAUAACAUUUGCAUUCUGAUAUGCAACAUUCCCUUGAAACAUGGGUGCAUUAUAUCUAGGAGCACCAGUUGCAGUUCCAUAAAAAUUUCCAUAACCUCUUCCAAACAUGUUCUGAGGCUGACCAGGAAAGCCUCUAAAAUUGAAUCCACCUCUAGGCCUAAAGCCACCUCUUCCUUGUCUAGGAAUAAAGUUCUGAUUAAAUCUGUUCCUGCAUUUGUAUGCUCCAUGACCAGGUAUGAAGCAUAUUUGACAAAUUACUUCCUUAUCAACAUUAUAUCCUCCUUUGCCAUUAUCAAAAUUUCCACCAUUAAAACCUCUCUGAUUAGCAUUAUUGAACUUAUUGUAAUUCUGUCCUUUCUGAGCAAAAUUAGCUGACAUAUCAUGCAACAAUUCAUUUUGCACCUUUCCCUUACUCAUCUCAACCCUAGUUUCAUGACUAAGCAUUAAGGAAUACACUUCUUCAAUAGUGAGAUUAUCUUUUUCCAGCCUAGCAAGUAUAGUUGUCACUAAUGACUCAUAGUUGUCAUCUAAACCAGUGAGCAAAUGCAUUAUAAAAUCUGUUGAAGCAAGAGGAUUACCACCAAUAGCUAAGCUAUCUGCAAUUUUUUUCAUCUUAUUGAAGUAAUCACUUACUGACAUAGCUCCUUUCUUUGUGGUUUGAAUCUGCAUUUUCAGAGGCAUGUAUCUAGCCUUUGACUGUGACAUGAACAUCUCGGCAAGUUUCUCCCAGAUCUCAAGUGAAGUAUCACAAUCCACAACCAUGAUAAGUACAUUGUCUACCAUAGAUGACAGCAUCCAGCUCUGUAGAAGCUUGUCAGCUUUCUUCCAGUCAAUAUAGUCAGAAUUUUCACGUCUGCUUGAGCUAGGAGCUUCUGAUCUACUGGCAGCAUUCUCAUAUGAGGAAAGAAAACGAUCUGGACAAGGAGAUUCUCCAUUGAUAAAACCUUCAAGUCCAUUGGCAAUAAUCGAAGCUUGAAUUUGAGCUCUCCACACCAGAUAAUUUGUUCGAUCAAGUUUUGUUGGUUGAAUAAAAGAAAAAGAAAGUGAAGACGAUCCUGAAUUGCUUUGAUUCGUCAUGUUUCGUGGCUCUGAUACCAUAUUAGAAUUCGUAAUAAGAUGUUUGGAAACAAAGAAAAACAGAGAAAAUGAAAAAGGAAACUUCACGAUUUAUUAACCAGAAUAUUCAAUGCUUAUUAAGCUUACUUAGCUAAGCUUAUAUACAAUUAUUCUAACUAAUUAAACAACUGCAAAACAACUAAUAACAACUUCAGAUUUAGUUUAGCCAUUGAGCUCUUGCCACAUGUCAUUCAGUUACAUUCAAUCUUGUCCAGCUCAGCAGCUCUGUCCAGCUCAGCAGCAACUAUAUCUUCAACAACCGAUACCCCCAGUGAUCAUGCCAACUUUGUUGUAAUACCCAUUGUUGGCAUGGGCGGGAUAGGAAAAACAACUCUUGCUCGGGAGGUCUACAAUGACAAGGCCGUUGAAGAUUCAAAGUUUGAUGUAAAAGCAUGGGUUUGUGUCUCUGAUGUCUUUGAUAUUUUGGGCAUCUCAAAGGCACUUCUCGAAUCAAUCACCCGCAGGCCUUGUCUUCUGAACAGUUUAAAUGAAGUGCAGGUUGAGUUGAAAGUAGCUGUGGAUAAAAAAAGAUUCUUGCUGGUCUUAGAUGAUGUUUGGAACGAGGACUACAGCUUGUGGGUAGACUUAAAAGCUCCAUUCUUGGCAGCUGCACCAAACAGUAAGAUGAUCGUCACCACAUGCAAUUCAAAUGUUGCAUCAAUAAUGGGACCAAUUGAACAUUAUAAUCUCAAGAGACUGUUAGAUGAUGAUUGCUGGUCCAUUUUCAUACAGCAUGCACUUGAAUCUAGAGAUCUUAACGCACAUCAAAUUUCAGAAUCGUUCCACAAGAAAGUUGUUGGCAAGUGUGGAGGCUUGCCCCUGGCAGCAAAAACAUUAGCGGGCCUUCUACGUACUACGAGGCAUGAUGCCUGGGACGAUAUCUUGGAUAGCAAACUAUGGGAUUUACCACGACAAAAUGACGUUCUCCCUGUGUUAAGAUUGAGUUACCAUCAUCUUCCGUCUCAUUUGAAAAGAUGUUUUGCUCAUUGUGCCAUCUUUCCGAAAGAUUAUGAAUUCAAUGAGAAGGAGCUGACUUUCUUAUGGAUGGCUGGAGGUAUUAUUCGACAGUCAAGAAAGAAUGAGCAGCUGGAAGAAUUGAGCAGCAAGUGCUUUCAAGAUCUAGUGUCGAGGUCUAUUUUUCAACAAACCAGCUCUGGUAGUGCUAAAUUUGUAAUGCACGACCUUAUCCAUGAUCUUGCUGAAUUGGUUUCUAGAGAAACCAUUUUCAGGUUAGAGGAGUCCACCAACUUGUCAUCAAGAAGAUUUGAAAGGGUUCGCCAUUCUUCGUAUGCCCGUGGUAGGCUUGAUGGUAAAUCUAAGUUCGAGGUUUUCAAUGAAAUUGAACAUCUACGAACAUUCUUGCCAUUAUGCAUAAGAGGUGGCGUUACUUCUGGUUAUAUAACUAGCAUGGUUCUCUAAGAUUUGUUGCCGAAGUUCAAAAGGUUGAGGAUGCUGUCUUUAGACGGAUACCGUAUUAGUGAGUUACCAAUUCCAUUUGAAGAUCUGAGACUUUUAAGGUUCCUAAACCUUGCUGAUACUGACUUAAGAAGUUUACUUGAGUCAACAUGCGCAUUGCUGAACUUGGAAAUUUUGACAUUAAGAAAUUGUUCCCGUUUGAUAAAGCUACCGCCCAAAAUGAUGAACUUGAUCAAUAUUCGUCAUCUCGAUAUAAGAGGUGCAAAUUUGUUGAAGGAGAUGCCAUUCGGAAUGAAAGAGUUGAAGAAUCUUCAAACAUUGUCCAACUUUAUUGUGGGCAAGGGUGAAACUGCAUCUGGUUUGGAAGAUUUAGGAAGUUUAAACUUUCUUUGUGAUGAACUUUGCAUUGCUGGAUUAGAGAAUGUGAAUAAUCCACAGAAUGCAAGAGAAGCCGCAUUAUGUGAGAAGCUCAAUCUUCAUGCAUUGACUCUAGAUUGGGGGUCUCAAUUUGACAAUUCUCGAGAUGUAGCAGUAGAAGAGCACGUGCUUGACAUUCUACAGCCUCAUAAAUGUAUAAAAAAGGUGGCAAUCAGGAACUAUGGUGGUGCAAGAUUUCCACUUUGGAUAGGAGAUCCGUGGUUCUCCAAGAUAUAAUUCCUUGAAUUGGAGAACUGUAACAAUUGUGUAUCUUUGCCAUCGCUUGGUCUAUUGAGUUCACUUAAGCACCUUGCUGUCAAAGGGCUGAAGAAGCUAAAAAGCAUAGAGUCUGAAGUUUAUGGGGAGGGUUUCUCAAUGCCUUUUCCAUCAUUGAAGAUUCUACGUUUUGAGAAUUUGCCAGAGUGGUGGCAUUGGGACACCGAUAUCAAAGGAAAUGUGCACGUUGAUAUAUUUCCUUGUCUCCAAGAACUUUCCGUUGUGAAAUGUCCCAAACUCUCUGAAAAACUGCCUGAGCUUCUGCCCUCCUUGGAGAUACUUGUUGUUAGUAAAUGUGAAAAGUUGGUAGUUUCAUUGUCAAGCUAUCCAAGGCUCUGCAGAUUAGAGGUUGAUGAGUGCAAAGAACUAGUGUGCAGGAUCCCAAUUGAUUCUAAGUUGAUAAAGUUCAUGACUAUUUCAAAUAGUUCAUUAGACAUGAUUGGAUGCAAGGGGAUGCUAUACGAUAGUCAAGCUGGCUCUUCACUGCCAAAACCCAUGACCACUACAAAUGUUUUGGAGUUUGGAAAAUUACUGGAGCCUGGAUUUCAGAUAUUAGAAACUUUGGUAAUUGGCAAUUCUGAACAGCUCAAGCCAUGGAGGCAGGGAAGGGGACUUUCAAGUUUUAAUAGACCAGAACACCGGCUAAAAAUACUUGCUCACCCUGAUGAGGUAACAAUUGAGGAAAGUUGCGUAAGUCUUGUUUUGUUUCCAGAGAUCAAUUUCUUUCCCAGAAAUCUGCACUGUCUUCGAAUUUACAACAGCACUGCUUUCAAAUCCUUACCGGAGGAAAUGAUGGACAACAGUUCACAACUCGAAAGCUUGUAUAUCAAAGAUUGCCAUUCUCUACCAUUCAUCACAAGACGCAAGCUACCUUCAUCUCUAAAAAGGAUAGAGAUUGAGAAUUGUGAGAAAUUGCAACGUUUGUUCGAUGAUAAAGACGAUGCUUCUUCUUCUUCUCCUUCAUCCUCGUCUUCCCAAGUGAUGCUUCAACAUCUAAGUAUAAAGAAUUGCCAAGCGCUCUCCAGUUUGUCAUCGGGAAUUCAAUUACUUGAGUCGCUCGAAGAACUUGUGAUAACAAAUUGUCGAAAGCUGGAGUCAAUACCCGAUGGCCUGCACAAUCUUAACUGUUUACAGAAGAUUACUCUAGUGAGUUGUCCAAGUCUUGUUUCCUUCCCAGAAAGAGGGCUUCCCAACGCCAUUUCAUGGGUUGACAUUAGUUAUUGUGACAAGCUUGAAGCCCUGCCCAAUGACAUGCACAAACUCAACUCUCUCCAAACUUUAAGCAUAAUUCAAUGUCCAAAGCUUGAGUCGUUUCCAGAAGAAGGCUUUCCCACCAAUCUUAGAACGCUUAAAAUUGGAAAUUUCAAAAUGUACAAGACCCUCGUCCAGUGGGGGUUGCACAGGCUUUCCUCUCUCAGAAGCCUCUACAUUUAUGGAUGUCAUGAAGCAGAGUGUUUUCCAGACGAGAAGGUAGGAAUGACGCUGCCCACAUCUCUAACUCAUCUGUCCUUAUUGGGAUUCCAGAAAAUGAUACUUCUGUCUUCAGUGGGUUUCCAAAGACUCACGUCUCUUCAAUGUUUGAAGAUAUGGAAUUGCCCAAAUCUCACGUCAUUUCCAGAGGUAGGCCUUCCAUCCUCACUUUUGGAUUUAUACAUUAACAAUUGUCCUAGGCUUAAAAAGGCGUGCAAAAGGGACCAAGGAAAAGAGUGGCCCAAAAUUGCUCACAUCCCUUGCGUUGUGAUAGAUGGAAAAUUCAUAUACGAUCCAGAAUUGGAGGUGUAGAUUCUAUUAUUAAAGUCGGUUUAUUUAUAUUAUCCACUAUAACAAUCUCCUAUUAGUUUUUUUUUUUUUUUUUUAAUGAAAAAAAUUGCAGUUCUGUAUAAUUUAAAAUAUAUAUAUUAAUCCUCUGCCCUUAAUUGAAAAUACCACUCACUUGUUUCUGUUUUCACAAGUCAGAUUGUACGUUGAGGCUAUUUGCUUUUUAUCGGUGUUUGUUAAGGUAAUUAGUGUCUCAUAGGCUGAUUAUAGGCAGAUGAAAUUAUAACUUUUAACUUAAAAUUUAAUACCAUAGACAGAUAGAUGAUUUUUAAUCCAAAGGUUUUUAGAUGUGAUCAAAUUGUCACAUGCAUAACAUAUUAGGCAUGCAUGAUGUAUCACAAGGUUGAUACAUCUUAUAUGCCACGUGAUGAAAUUAAGGAUGUUUCUCUUACAAGGGACACAUCCUUACAUGUUCAAAUUUGAACAUGUAACUUCCAAGUGGUUAAUGGAAGUUACUUGUUCAAAAUUCGAACAUAUAACUGUCAUAUUGUUGCCUAUAUAGAGGCAUGAACGCAUCACAAAUUCAUACAUUCCAAGACAUACUUAAAGUCUUAUCAUAUUAUGAUCUUGCAGUUUUGCAUGUAGCCACCAGCCUAAGGGCAGUGUAAAACGAUCCCAAAAACCAUCAAUAAUAACAAUGGAUAUAGUUCCUAAAUAAACUGAUGAAAUUUAAGGAUGAUUGGAUGAAACAGCUAUGAUAAAAUGAACUAUCUCGAACCGAGCGAAUGGCACUGACUCAUGAAUAAGUGUGGAUUCCAAAUAUCUUCAUAUCUUCAUAGAUAUUCAUUUCCGUGUUAAUUCGAGGACUUCUAGAAAUUUAGUUAGUUAUUCUAUGAAAUAGAUAUACUAAUAAUAAUAAAACAAAAACGACGGGUGUUACACAAAUUCACAAGUAAAACUGUACUACUUGGAAACUGUGAACAGUAUAGAUUGAAGAUCAUACGAUUGCUAUUUUCAUUGAGUUUCAUGCAUAAAACUUUAUCGAUUAUUAAAUUAGACAUCUUUAUCUUUCUAUCCAUAUGUUUAUUGUUCAAAAACUUAUUGUAUAUUAAUUGUUUUGAUUUUUAAAAAUUGAAACACUGGUGCUGGAAAAUUCUGAUUUUCAGUAGCGAUUCUCAAUUCUAUAAUUUAUUUCAUAACUCCAAAUACUUCUGAAAAUUCUGGGAAUUUUUAUUACUGUACACUUAUAUGUCUAGUUUCUGUCUUUUUAAUUUCGUAAUUUUUGGCUUUAUAUAAAAAUCAUAGAGUUAGACUGCGCAAUCCCAGAAACUGUUUUCCAGAAUUGCGAGGGCUGAUAUUUAGGGCAGUUUGGGAUAGUUUUUCAUCAGUAAAUGUCUUAUAAAUCUUUAAUUCUGACUCCUAUUGUUUCCUCUAAUUGUCAAAACUAGAAUCACUAUUUUUGGACAUGUGUAACUAAAGUUAUAAAUUUUUCAAGCAACAGUCCUCUGUUUAUAUCGUUAUUGGACAGUUUGGAUAAUUUUGUGGAAAAAUAAGUUUUCAGGGGAUGUUUUUAAACUCUAAUUGAUUAUGUAAAAAUUUAAAUUGAAUGCCAAUAUGUUGACAAUAGUGUUUUGUGAUAUUUGUGAUAUUUCCGACGUACUUAUAGCUUGUUAGAAAUCAGCUCCUAUAUAAUGGUCUAGUAUAGUUUAGUGAAUUGAUGUGCUUAAGUAAGAGUGCAUGGUUUAAGGAUUUUUGGAUUUUCCUAUCUAGGUCAGAAUUGAAUAAGAUAUUGAUAGUACUUUUUUCUUAACAAUCAUAGGCCAAAAGUGAGCUCGUUUGAUUUGGGUUAUUGUUGAUUGCUUUGUAUCAUGGUAAGUAAAUUCAUGCAUAAUAUUUAUUAAAGUAUACACGUAAAUAUUUAUUAAUAGAAUAAUGUUGUCCAAAUGGAUUGGCAAGUUAUGGUUUUGAAGUUAUUUUAAAAUGUUUUCUUAAAUUUGUUUUAAAAAUAACUUCAAAAUACCUGCUUCUCUAUAAAAUGUUUUCCUUAAAAAUAUUUGUAAAGCUUUGCCAAUUCAAUGUCUUGUAAGCGUUUUAUCGAAAUAUUAUGGAAUGAUUGAUAUUGGAAAUCUGAAAACUGUUUUUAAGGUUUUGGCUCAUUGUCCGUAGUUAUCGUUACUAAUAUUACUAAAUAGCUAGUUGUAUUGUGCGCACCUAUUGACGAUUAUUGCAGGGUAAAGUACCCUGGUAGAACUAUAAGUUGGGUCACCGAGAUUAUAGGUGACAUAUUGAACUAUUGACCAGGUCACCGGGGGUAUAAGUGACACUAUGUGAUAUGAGUAAAUUGAAUGAAAGAAAAGUUUUAUUGAUAAAAGAUUUCUUACACGAUUAUUUAUUGAAAAUGAUUAUUAUGCUAUGACUUAAUUGAUUAUGAGUUUUACCGCACACAUAUGAUUACAAAAUGAUUUUUGUUUCCUAACUUGUGGUACUACAUAAUAAUGAUUAUAUACUUUUUUCCUUAUUGGUAACCUUAUGCAUGAGUUCGCUUACCGAUUGACGGCUCACCCCUCGUCUCCAACAUUUUAUAGAUUGAUUUUAGUGAUGUGCGCUUUUGGUCUAGCAAAGAGGAUUUAGCUGAAAAACUUUGGCAUUUUCUAGAUGAAUUAAUUGUAGCUAGUUUGAUUAUUGCUUAGAGCUAGAUUUUAUUUUGGAGGAUUUUUGAGUUAUUUUUUAUUUUAGAGACUAUGUUUUGUCAAUGAACAACAUUGACUUUAUUUGAAAAUAGUAAUAAGAUUAAUGUUAUAAGGUUUCAUUUGGGGUGUUACAACUUGUCUCUUAGUAAGUUUAUUUUUGUUAGCCUAUCCAGUAAGGUUUAUUAUCGACUGACAUCAUUUUCAAUGAAAUCAUCUUAUGUUGUUAAGUUUUGCAUAAAUAAAUAUUUCAGUAGGGUCAAAAGAGCAAGAGUUUACCUAUAAAAAAAAAGUCAAAAUUAGUUUAACCACCCCAGUGCGAAUUUCUGACCACGUCUUGCUUUGUAUGAUUUAACUCUAUUAUUAAUUAGUACUAAAAUAUCGAUGAAAAAAAUGGACAUGAAUUUUGAUCUCGUGUUGCUUUGUUUUGGUUGAGUGGCCAAUUUUAACUUCAUGUUAAACUUUCUCAAUUAUUAGUUGAAUUAUUUGGAUUUGAAAACUUAAAACCACCAUUUUAAUUUGUUUAGUAAUGACUAUGUUGAACUUCAACAUUUGUUUUCAAGAAAAAAAUUGAUCAAACUAUGAUGCUCUUGUUUCUAUUAUUAUGGAAUCUCUUUUUCAAUCGUCAAAGUUUGAAUUAUAUUAUGCUGCCUCUGUAUUUCCGCAGAAACAGAAUCAGUUGGUGAUCCUUCAAAACAAGAAAAACCAAAAAAAGAUGUAGUGCGUGAUAAGAUAAUGAGACAGAUGGCUCAUGUUGACAUUAAUACUCAAGUUGGAAGUUGCAUGCCCCUUGCUUGUAUGCGGACUGGGACCAUCAUCCACAAAAUUGAGGUAUACCCGGCUGAAGGUGGCAAGCUAGUUCGAGCCGCUGCGACGUCAGCCAAGAUUUUGAAGAAGACCCACUUCAAGGUACUGCUUAGUAAGGCUAACUUCUGGAAAUGAGAAACUGAUUGACGCUAGAUGUCGAGCCCACCAUUGGUACAGUGUCUAACCCCAGCCAUGGAGCUACGAAGCUUAGGAAGGCUGGUCAGAGCCGUUGGUUGGGUCGAAGGCCUGUGGUUGGAGGAGUAGCCAUGAAUCCAGUUGAUCAUCCUCAUGGUGGAGGUGAGGGACGAAGCAAAAGUAGCCGUAACCAUGGAAGGUGUUCACUUACGCCUUGGGGCAAGCCUUGUAAUUCUGGGUAUAAAACUGCAUUUCCUAAGGGAAAAAAAAAAAGAAAAAGAAAUUACCCGUCUGAUAAUAUUUUCCUUCUUUGCUAUUUAGCCUUUUUAAUAAUGUUACAUUGUUUGUCAUAUAUUUGAGGUUAGUUUUAGACCAAUUUUUAACUGAUCCAUAAUGAAACUGAAGUUUAAUUUUCUAUUGAACUUUUCCUGGUUUUACUCUUCUGUCAUUUCAAUUUAGCAAUGAUUUAAGAUGUUGAGUUCUGUGCUUGGAACAUGUAAAUGGGAAAGAGAGAUAUAAUGGGGUAGAAUAUAGAUUUUGUGUUUUGGUUUCUCAUGUUUAGAGAUAUUCUGUUCUUUUUCAUUUGUUCAAUUUGGUUAGUGGUGAUUUCUUAAAGAGUCGAUGCACGUGUGUAUAUAUACUUUUCUUUUGGCCUUGAUUCUGUUUCUUGGGGAGUUUAUGCAGUUUCUUUUUUUAUGCUUCGUAUGCCACAUGAAAGAUGAAAGCAUUUUGUGUAUUUAGAAUUGACUUGCAUCAUAGUAACUUUGAAUCACUGUUAACAUUUGUAUAAUAGCAGUCUGAGAUCUCCUUGAAGGAUUCAAAAGCAUUUUAUUUGAUGGUCUAGACCUAAAAUCAACUCCUUUAUAUAGAUAGGUUGGUCUUCUUCAAAGCAAUUCCUAUUUUAAGUAAUCAAAAUUUUGAUUUGGAAGUGUGUUUUAACACUACCAAAAGUUCUUUAAAUACUAAAAAUGUGUUUGGGAGUGAGGUGAUGUGGCUUUUAAGCUACAAUUACUGCAAAGUAAAAGUCAGUGAGUAUAAAUAAGAAAAAAUGACUGUUGAGUUGCCAAAGCCCAACUGCCGCACAUCACUUCCAAAUGCACCGUAAAAUGAUUUUGAGUCUUCUAUAUUAUUGAAACAAAAUACAUGAAAGCACUUUUGGCUACAGAAGUACACUUGGGGUUCUUUAUAAAAUUCUUCGACAGCAAUUUUUCCCCCUUUUUGCUCAUGGCGGUUUUUCUGGUUGUUCUUUUAAGAAAACACUUAAAGGUUCUUUUUAUAGAUUUCUGAAAGUACUUCCAACAUAAGCAUUUUUCAGAAAUUUUUUCUGAAAUUAAUUUUAUUUACUUAUCGACUUUUCAACUCCUGUGGUUGUUUAUGAAAUGAAAGGCAAGGGUAAUCACAAGAAAUCUGCAAACUUUAUCAAUUUUUAACUAUACCAAUUUGUUGUUUAUGCUUUACUUUUAUUUUACAGUUUUGUUUAAUGUUUAGAUGAUAGAUAUAUAGACAUUUUAGAUUGGAGAAUUUUGUCAACAAAUUCAUUCCUUUCUUUCACUUUUUCCCUUUUCAGAGGAAAGCAAUUUUGACUAAUUUUAGCCAGAAUCGGACUAUAAUAUUUUGGAGCAAGCCUACUUGAAAUGAUGCUUUUUAAAUUUGAUCUAGUUAAAAUACACUGCCGUUACCCAAAAAAUUCUAGUCUUGGAUUUCAUAGAAUGCCCUUUUAAGAUAUUUUCUCAGCUCUUUGUUGGUCGCAGCAUCUGAGAUUAGCAUUCUCACAUUUCACUUGUUUUGCCUUUGUUUUGAAGGUAACUUAGUUGCAUAGGUGAAUCGAGGUUCAAGAAUGCCGAGAUGGCUACAAGUUUCAAGAAUCAUUUAAAGAGGCGUAAUGACAGCACCAAGAUGGGCUUUGUGAUUAACAAGAUUACUAAUUGAACCAAUCUUGAUGGGACAGAGGACAUGUCAGAACCGUUGCGCACAGGGAGAAGAGUUAGGGGAGCUUUGAGAGUUGAGACCAUCAACAUCCAGAAAGGCUGCUGGUAAUGUUUCAUGUGUUACAAAGUUGCAAGGAAAUUUCAUUUAUAUUUUAACACCUUGUAUUUGAAAAAUUUAAUGUAAUUUUCUCUUUUUUCAAUUUAUUAUUCAGAUCGUAGACUAGUAAACGGUUUAGAUCGCAAGCUUUUAUUAUGCAGUUAUUUUCUCCUUUUCAGGAAGAAGUGGUCAGUUCCAUUCCAGAAUUGGAAUAUGGUAAUUAGGUGCAAGCAUACGUUGUAACAAUCAUUUCUUGUUUGUUUGAUUAUGCUUAUCUAUUUAGUUGUUUAUCGUUUGGUUGUGUUAAAUUAUUUGAAUUAGCAUUAUUUGAGAUAAAGCAUAAUUCUUUUAUUUAUUUAUUUAUUUUUUAAAUAAAUUAUUAUAGAAUAUCGUCUUUAUCGUAUAAUGUAUUUUUAUAAAAGUAAGCAUUUUUAUAAAAUUUAAACUCUUCCAAUCUCCUUAUGAUUAAAACCCUUAACCUAAUAAACGUAUAAAAGCAAAGAGUCCUAGGAUUUUCUUUUGUGCACAUUUGGAAGAAUUUUUGAGGUAAUUAUCCUUCUCUAAAACAUAUUCUCUAAUCUUAGGUGUUUAAUGAUGAAUGCAUGCAUUGUUUUUUUAAUCAUGAAUGACUAGCUAGACAUUAUGAGGCAUGAGUACUGUGAUUCUAUUACUGUUUUCCCUUUAUUUUUUAUUCAGGUUUUCACUAAAGUUUUCAUAAAAUUAAACUAGACAUUUUAAGGCUUUCAAUGAUAUAUUUUGUACGAAAAGAUUACCAGUAACCAAUUUGUUGUGAAUUUUCGAAUUCAGAACAGUGGUGCUGGAAAAUUCUGAUUUUCAGCAGCAUGUUUGACUUUGCCCAUUUUUCUGUCUGUCUAAAUGAUCCCUAAAAUUAUGCUGAUUUUUCUAUUAAAUCCUCAUUAUGUCUACUUACUAUAUGUUCACUUUCAUAAUUUUCAUUGAGUAAAAAAAAAAUUAAAAAUCAUUAUGUUGGGCUGCUGCAGUUUUGGAAACUGCUUUCCAGAAUUGCGAUGGCUGACAAUAAAAUUACUUUAGGCUAUUAAAAGGCUUUAGAAUGGCCUAUAAAAAUUAUAUUCAUAUAAUUUAUGAAUUCCUUAUGAUUUAAAGUUUAUUUGACUAAUUUUGAUAGUUAACAUUAAGUUAUGAAUUUUUCAAGUGCAAAACAUAAACCUGAAUGUUUCUGGACAGGUUUGCUGGUCUCUUAAUAUAAAUUCGUUUAAAAUAGUGUCAUAUCUUCAAAAAUUCUAGGAAUUUGAAGCUUUGUUUCUUGAUGCAUCUACUGUUUUAAAAUCAAGUGGUCUAAUUUUUAAGAGUUCUAUUAAAUAUUUUACAAAUUUUCCAGUUCAGCAACCUCUGUUUUUAUCACUGUUGGACAGUCUGGAUAUGCAUGUAAAAUUCUUUUUGCAAUAUGUUUGACUUUUAUUCAUUCUUUUGAAUUUUUAUUUGAAAUGUUAUCCAUGUUUAUGGUUUAUUUUCUUUGAUUUUACAAUUUUCCAACAUUUGAUUAGCUUGGUAAAAAUCGGCUCAGACUAGCUUUAAUGGUUUAGUGCUUAUGACUAGGCUUGAUUAUGUUAGAUUUAUAUCAAGAUCAGAAUGAGUAAUAGUAUUGAUAAGAAUGUGUCUUGAUAUUUUAGGACGAGAUUGAGCUCGAGGCUAAGGUUACUAUUCUUUAUUGUUGAGGAUUGAGAUAAGUAGAUUCAUGCAUGGUAUAUGUAUUUCACUAUUAAAUUAUUUUUAAUUCGAGGUAUCUAUUAUGUUAAAUGAAAAGUAUUUGAAACUAAUUUGUUUUAGCCUAUUACAAUAUUUUGUUAAAAUAAAAUCGUUCUUUAAAUUAUUUAUAAUAAACCUUUUAUUUAUUAAAAACUUGUUUUAUAAAUUGUCUUAAAAAAACUUUUAUUAAAUUGUUUUAAGUCAAAUACUUUGAAAUAAUUAUCAAUUAUUUAAAUGAUUAAAAGUUCAAGGAUGAUUUUAAAUGUUUUUGCUCAUUGUCUGUAAUGAUGCUAUGUUAUGUUAUAUGUUGUGGAAGGCUAGUUGGAAUAUGUGUACAUAUGAUGUUAAUGUUAAUGAUUCUCGUGGGGUACAGUACUCUAAAUGAUGUCAUACGGAUGGGUCACUGGGUCUACAAGUGAUACUAUGUGGAAUGAGCUAAGUAUGUUUUAUGUAUUUAAAAAGCUAAUUAUGUUUUACAUGUUUGAAAUGCUAUUAUUAUGUUUAAAGGAUUUAAAUGACUUUCUGAUGUUUUGAUUUAUUUUUUAUAAAUGAUUAUUUACAAAAGUAAUUUCCCUUAUUAUUAUUAUGCAUAUCUAAGAAAUUCAAACAAUUAUAAUUUAAUGGUUUUUAGUAUUGUGCAUGAAUUUACUUACCGAGUUGACGGCUCACCCCUUGUUAUCAUAUUUUUGUAGAUAGAGUUAGAUGAUGUGAGCUCAUGAUCUUAGGAGGAAGAAUGAGAGCUCGUUUAUUUUUGGGGAUUAAUGUUACAUUAAUAAUUUAGCUUCCUUUGGCAUGAUAUUUAUUUGAGAAUUUGUUAUUUCAUUACUUAUUAUCUUUUGGAAGAGGAGCAUUUACUGUUGGAUAUUAAUUUGAUGAUUUUAGAUACGAGAGUGAUGAAAUACAGUUUCACUUCAAUUUCACUUUAGUAUCUUAUUAGUGGAAUUGGGGUGUUACAUACGUGCCCGGUCAAUGAACUUGAACUUUAAAUAGUUUUUUCAACUCAUUGAUUUUUGGAACUCAUAUUGGUGCAAGGAAAUCAAAAGAAAUUUAUGAUUAGUCAAAUUCUGAUAGUUGCUAUAUAUUAUACAUUCUAAAGUUUCUUGAGUUUGUUUUCAGAUGAAAAUAUGAUCAAUUCAUUUUGUUUUUGAAGUGUAGGAAAAUAGGCUGGGAUAUUAAUGCAUAGGCAAAAACUUUUUGAGUGGCUUUCCAGCGGAUAAUUAUCGGAAACAUGACUGGAUUUUUUGACUUCCGUAAAUCUUGCAUUUUAACCUGGCAAAUUUAACAAAAGUUCAAUACAACUUUGUUAGUGCCUUGUGUUCCAGAAGCUAGAAAGAUGUGUAGAUUCCAUAUAAGCGGGCUUGUAAUUACUCUAGUAAGAAUCCAAUUAUUUGCCUUUGCACCUUCAUUUUAUUUGUGGAUCCUUGCAUGUUUCUGAAUUUGAUCAAUCCAAAAGGAAUUGCUCUGAAGAAUAGCAGUAACUAGCCUAUGUCUUAGUGCAUGGACCUGCAAACCUGAGCUGACAAAGCUGAAACUAUUAGUUUGAGGUGACAAAUCCAUGAUCGUCACCUGUUAACUUCUGCUAGUUGCUUUCGUGAAACACUUUUAAGAAAUAAGCAAUUUGUUGUUAGUCGCCGUAUCUGAUGUGCUUUCUUUUAUAGUUUGUAGAAUCAACUGUAUUAUAUGUUGUCAGUUGCAGUAUCUGAGGUGUCUUUUGCAAUUUACUUGACCUUUAUUUGUUUGCUAGUGAGUUAAGAAUACCAACAUUGGCCAGAGAUUUGGAGAAACAUCCGAAGACGCUUAACAAACUUGGAGAUGCACUUGCUUCCAAGCUUCAUUCAUCACAAUGCGAAUCCGGUGAGUACUUAUGUCUUCAAUUAUGUAGAGUGUUUGAAAUUUUGAUGCAGCGAGAUGGUUUGUUGAUGCAAAACUUUAUACUGUUAAGGACUUACCCUGCAGGCUUUUUGCAUGUUGUAUCAACUCCAAAAUCCAACGAGAACUACAGCACCAAAGCCCAGUUUUCACUGAUUCAAUCAGCUGAAAUCAUGAGGGAAAUAACAGUAUAGCACCAUCAAGCUGGACUUAGAGAAUAAUCAGAUCAGUCAUCCAUUUCAUGAACUGUUAAUUUCAUGAUGGAGGCUUAGUGGAGCUGAAGAGGAAACAAGGAUGUGUAGGGAUCAACAAACAACAGUGAGAAGCACGAUUGGAGCUCUGAUUACAAAUAGACAAUUUAAAAAUAUGUGCUGGUAAGUGGAAAUUAAAGAAAUUUGUGAGCUCAUUCAAGUUUCGGUAUUUUCUUUUUGGAUAACGUUGAUACCAAGUUUGGCAAAUCUGUGUUUUCUGCGUUUAAUCUGUGUUUUGGUUAAAGUAGAUGCUCUGAUUAAUACUUGUUUGUUUUCAUAAAACAGGACAAAAAGAGAUCACCAAUCUUGAUUGAGAAUUCAUUUAAGUAAAAUUUCAAAAAUUGCCAAACACAGUAUAAACUAGGAUGCACUUGCUUAAGAUUCAUUUUCAGACGGAAGUUUGUACCUCCAGAUCAUAAAAUCAUGUUUAUGUUGUAUCUUUAUUCAGCAAUUGAAAGAUUCCAAGUUUGCUGAAACCAUAUUAUUUCUUUCCCAGGCGCUUUCCUGAAGGUAUCGACAUCUAUUUCGAAAAUGUUGGGGAUAAGUUGCUUGAUGCAGUGCUACAAAACUAUGAAGGAUUUCUUGUCGGUGAUUACUACCACCUGGAUAAAAAAUUCAUGGAACUGGUCAUGCCGGCAAUAAAAGAAGGAAAGGUGGUACACGUGGAAGACAUAGAUGAAGGCCUCUGUAUACGUCGAAGACAUAGAUGAAGGCCUGGAGUCCAACAGCCCUCGCUGGGCUAUUCAUUGAUCGGAAUGUCACGAAACAACUGAUUGUAGUUGCUUGGGAAUUUAAAAACCACCAUAUGCUGUAGAAAUGCACAGAGCCAUGCACUUUCAAAGCUUUGUGAAGAUGUCUUGGUCAUGUGUUAGAACAGAUUAUGUUUGUUCGAUUAAAUUGUACGCAGUUAUAAAUCAAAGAUUCAGAACAUUGCAUGUAGAAGUUCAAAUUUUAAAUUUUUGGAAGCAGAGGCGUAGAGUUUUUUUCUUUUGGAAAAAAAAAUCUAAAUUGUGGAGACUAUUUUUAUUUAAUUUUACAAUCUUAUUUUAUUUCUUUCACAACAUAAUUUUAAAAUAUUUAUUUAGUAAAUUAUUAACAUCCAAACCACUAAAGAUUUUUUUGUUAAACGCUCUACUUACAAAGUUAUAUUAAUUAUAGAUUUACUCAAAGAAAGUAUAUUUAAGAAGUUAUAGCAAAAAAAAGUUCUAAUCUGUCUUACAAAGGACUAUUGACAAGAGUGGUGCGACUCCCACCCCUUCAAAGUCCACUUGACACCACGCUUUCUCGAUUUAAAAUUUUAUAUAGUUGAAAAUUGUGUUUUCUUUUAAAUCUCCUUGCUUUCCUCUAUUCUUGUUACUUGAGAAGAAGAACCAGAGUCUAGAAGAACGAAAGAAAAUUCAGCGAGAUAGAAAUUUGGAAAUUUCAUCCGAGCUUUUUUUUUCUUAAAUUUUUUGGUAUUUCUUCCUUGUUUCUAUGGAUUCGUUCAAUGGAUUCUUGACCAUUCUUCCUUCUUUCUAUUUUCUACCAUGAUUCAGAAUUUUUCCUUAAAAAAAAUCUAGAUGCAUGGCCAAAUGAAAUGACCCCCUUUAGAGCUUCGGUUACUGUUGCAUAUUCAGCGUCUGCAUUUGACAAAGCAACUAAAUGCACACUAAAGACUUGCUGUUUCCAUUCAGUAUGCAGUUACACAGACAAAGGCCUUAAUUAUUGUCAAGUUCUCCAGUAGCAUACUCCGAAAUCCACAUACCAACCCACCAGAACUCCAAUCUUGAAACUCCAUAAAUCAAAAUUGAAGUGCCUGCCUCUCUGGUACCUCUCAAGGUCCAUUUUACUACUUUCCAUGUCUUUCCAUGCAUCUACUGACAACUUGGGAAAUGCCAGGUCUUGCAAGCACCACUACUUACAUUUGAGUCUGCUAUUAUUAUUAUUACUAUUUUAUUAUUAUUAUUUAAAAAAAAACACUCUAACUAGGAGAGACAAGUUCCGUGUAGUAGGACUGAGCAACAGGGCCGUAGCAAAUAUUAUGUUUUUAAUCAUUCUUGUACCAAAGUAUUUAAGUAUGCGAUAAAAAAUAAUAAUAAUAAUUUAUUGACAACUAAAAGUUAAUAGUGGCUGGGGUGGACCUGGGUUUUGUUUAAAAAAAUUGAUUAAUAAAAUUUUCGAAAUUUCAAAUUUCUAGUACAGAGAAAAUUGAUGAAUAAAAUUCUGCAAGUUAAUUUCUAAUAUGCCAUGAAAAUAUUAUCAAGUUAAAUUGUAACAUCGUUAAUCACUUAAUCCUCAGUCUAAUAUGCCAUAUAUUUGUUUCUCAGGCUUUAAUCGAAAGUGCCGGUGAUUUAUUGUUAUUUUCAGUAAUCAGAUAGGUAUGUUAAGGCUGUUUAAUUCAUCGACAAUGUACCAACAAGACUCAGAUUGGGAGAUUGUAAAUGUAAUUAACAAUAAUCUUUUAUUCAUUUUGAAGUUCAUUCUAUUGUUUACACAGGAGCAGCGUUCUCUUAUGUUUUAUGGAUAUAAUGUUUGGUAAUCCUAAUUUAAGCUAAGGUAUAUAUAUUUCCUAAUUACAUCUAAUUUAAGCUUAUUCAAAUGCAAUCAAUUAAUGUUCAAUAGUAAAAAUUCCAAAUACUAUAUAUUGUAAGAAUUUUAAUCGUAAUGACAAGGUGAUCAUUUGAAUUAUUAUUAUUAAAUUAUAUGUAUGGUGGAGUCCACACGGUUUUGACUAGAAAUCAAAGAGUUAAGAGACAAUAUUAAUUUAUUUAAGUUAAUAGUAUUUGUUCUGUUUAGUACGUCUUUUGACCAACAAGCAUCCCGGCAUUGCACGCAUUAAUUAAUAAAGCAUUGUGCAUGUCACAUUAUUAGAGCCAAUUGCGCCCGGUACACCUCCAUACUUCAAAAAUUAUCUUAAUACCCUAAAAUCUGUUUUUACCAAAAUUUUCAUCGAUACCCUUUAAAAACGGAUAGGAAAUUACUAAGCUAUCCUCAUUUUAAAACAUUUCAACUCAACGGACAGCACCUCUCCCUUCUCUACUGAAGCAAACAAACACUCAUCUGCUGCAAUUCCCUCCAUUAUCAAACUCAAAUAAACAAACACUGCAAUUCCCUCACCGGCAUCACCUCUGCAAUUCCCUCACCGGCAUCACCUCUACCGAAACAAAUAUUCAUUCUCCAUACAUGAUAAAUUGAACUUCAACACGAGCAAACUAAGCUUGAGAAGGGGAAGCUGCCACAACUGAGAAAGAGAAGCCUAGUUCGUCUCUACAUAAUCGCCGGCGAGAGCUGAUCCUUUACUGUAAAAUAGUCAUAAUUUAACUAGUUGAGGUAAGUAAUUCUCUAUAAAUAGUUUUCUUGUUGAUAUUCAGGGAAAAAAAAAACAAAAAGUUAGGGUUUAUAUAGAAAAAUUAGAUUAAUUAGUUGCGGGUCUCUCAUUACAUGUUCAAAAACAAAUUUCUAGUUGUUUUACUACAUGCAAAUUGUGAACAAUUGAUGGAUUGUGCCGAUUAUAAUUUUGUCAUGUAACACACAAUUUGGUCGUGUAAGGUUAUGUAGGAUUCAAGGUUGUGUAUUACACGACCUUCAUGUAUUGCACUUACACGACUUCAUGUAUUGCACUUACACGACUUCAUGUAUUGCAAUUACACGACUUCAUGUAUUACACGACGUUCAUGUAUUACACGACGUUCAUGUAUUACACGACCUUCAUAUAUUACACGACCUCAUGUAUUACACGACCUCAAAAUUACACGACUUUUUUUACUGUUGUUAAUUCAUUAUAAUAACUUAGUUGUUUAAACACUUAAUUUUUGCUAAGAAUUUAUAUUUGUUGCUAUGCAGAAAAUGUCAACGAAAAGUAUUCAGGAAAAAAUGAAACGAGGCAAACCGAAAGUGAAAAUUACUAAUUUGUCAUCGUUGGAACCAAUAAGAAUAAUAAAAAAUAACCUUAGUGACGUACAAUUGGGGAUUUUUCGCAAAUCAUGUUUUGGGCACUUUUUGGACUUGAAUGAGUUUCAGUUUUGUGCCCAGUUGUUGCACAAGUUGGUAUUAAGUCAUAUGCAUUCAUCCGAUAAGGCAAUGUAUUUUAAGAUAGGGAAAAAAGUUUGUCGAUUUUCAAUGUUUGAAUUUGCAUUAGUUACUGGACUGAAUUGUGAAGAAAUUUAUAAACCUAACUUGGACAUUGUUGAUGACGGUGGUCGUGUAUGUGAUGUUUUGUUGGACGGUUGCACAAAGUUCACUAACACAACGCUAGGUCAGAUAUUUGAAGCAACUAAGUCCAAGGAUGAUAUGAAAAUGGUUAAAUUUGCCAUGUUGUACUUUUUGGAGGUUGUAUUACUUGGAAAAGAAUAUAGAUCAUCUAUAAUUAGGGAUCACAUUCUCCACAUUGACAACUUUGAAGAUUUCAAUAAAUAUCCUUGGGGCCGUGUCUGUUUUGAGAACACAUUAGAAAGUAUGAAGAAUGUGAUUGCAAUUAGACAGAAUAGAGAAAGGGCAAAUCCAGACUAUGUCCCUGAAAAGGAGGCAUACAGUCUUCAUGGCUGUCCAUUUGCAGUUCAGGUAACAAAUUGUCAAUAUUGGUUUCGUAAAGAUUAUUAAGAUUAGGAAUAUUAAUUAUUUCUUUUACUUGCACAGGUAUGGGCACUUGAAAUUUUCAGUGAAGUGUGUGAAACUUUUUCCUCGAAAUGUAAGCAUGUCAAAUAUCCAAGAAUUCUAAAUUGGACAAUCACUAAACAUGUUAGCUCUAAUUUGCUUGACUAUUCCAUAUUUGAUAAGAAAAAGGUAAUAACAAACAAUCUAGAUCGUUAGUGUCUUUCUUUUUUUCUUUUUAAUUUAUCUUUGACAUUUAUUAAUUGGCCUAAUUAUUACAGCUUAAGGUACUGGAGAAGUUGGAUGUCGCUGAUGAAAUAGAGGCAUCACAGCCUAAUCUACAAUGGUUUUGGCAAACAAAUUGGCUGCAACAACUUGAAAAUGAUUUUCGUGUUGACUCAAAGAGUAAAAAAUCAGCCACUCCAGUCUCAGAACAGAAAAGUAGCAGUGUUGUGCAGAAAAAUUAUGUGGCCAUGGAAGUUAAAGAGACUAAUAAACGUGCGAAGUGUCAAGUUAUGUCCAUGAAAUACAAAAUGAAUUAUGAACAUGCAAAUUCUGUUGAGGACAAAACUGUAAGUUUUUUUAAUCUUUUAAUAACAAUUGCAUUUUUCAAUUUUUUUUUUGUUUGCCUAAUAGGCUCUGUCUUGUUCUGCUUGCAAGGGUAAACGUCUUGGUUACAUUGAUAAUUUGAUUUCUUUUAUCGAGGACAAGUUUAAUUGUUUGGAUAAGCGUCUCAAAAAGAUCGAAGAGAAGGUGCAAAAAAUUGACUCAUUAGAGGAGAAUACAGGUGAUGUGAGGGAGAUGAGAGAACAAGUCAAUAAAAUUGUAGACUUAGUGGAGUUCCUAAAUUCAGCGGACUACAAUGUGAAGGUUCAUUUUAUUAUUAUUUUUAACUAAGUAUGUUAUUAUUUUUAACUAAGUACAAAUUGUGUAAAGUUAUUAAUAUUUGCUGCUGUGCAGAUUCCGACAACAUUUGAUGAUAACCCGAGUAUUGCCACACCUGCGACUGUGUUUCCAAGCUUCACCACAAAUGCAGGCAUAGUCAAAGAGGAUCCAAUAAUUAUUCCGUCUACACAGCAAGAGGUGAAAAAAUAUGAAAGAAAAAGGCGAUCUCGAAAGGAUGCAGCUGUUUUACGCACGCCAUAUACUAACCCAUUUCGAAAAUCGCGACAUGUCAACGUCGAUGAAGCAAAACAGCAAGUUCAGUUUGAGCAUUGGCUGAAGGAGGAUAAUAUGGAAUCGUAAUUCCUUAUUUCUCUUUGUAAACUUACUUUUAUUUGAAACAAUAUUUCCUGGUUGACUAUAACAAGCAAUAAGUUUUACUCACAUUUUCUUUUUCGUUACUGCACAGUAAAAUAUUAUCGUGGCCUAUGCAUAAAGCAACAAAGAACUUCUUCCGCAGCUUGUAUGAUGCAGACGCGUGGUUAAAUGGCGGGGUAUUAUUAAUAUAGUUUUUGUUUAGCAUGUAAUUUACUGCAGUAAUGUUUGCAUUUAAUAUUAAUUUACAUAUGUUGGUAAUAUGUACAGCAUAUAGACGUUGGUUGUUACGUGAUAAGAUAUGAUUUGGCCAAGCUCACUAUGCCACAUUUGCACCAAUGUGCAAUCAUGGAUAGUGUAUUUCAGGUACUUAGUACUCUGUAGUAAUAAACAAAUAAGAUAUGUAAAUUUGUGCACUGAAAACUUGCAAAAUUCAUUGUUUUUUCAGCAAAAGCUUUUGUUGAAGUAUGAGUUGUUUAAGAAGGAUCCAACUACAAUAUGGGAUGAAGAUCAAGAACAUGAUUUGACAAUCAAACAAGCAAAUGGCGAAGAUCUUCCAUUCGCUAUUCCAUGGAGAGAUGUUUAUAAGGUAAAGUUUAAAUUUUCUUAAUGCAUCGCUAAAGUUUAAAUUUUCUAUUUUUGAUUGGCUCAAAUUAUUGUAGGUUUAUAUCCCAAUUAAUGUACUUGAGUGUCAUUGGAUUCUUGCUGAGGUUGACAUUGUAAGGGAGACAAUUUCCAUAUAUGACUCCAUGGUUUCUAUAAUGAAUGACUCAACAUUUUUGAAAGAAUUAUUGCCAUAUGCUGUUAUUAUUCCUCUUCUACUGGAGAAGGUUUUAUGGUAUGAUUCGCACCCUGAAACUACCCAAAAAAAUAAAGUUUGGAUAGUUUUGCGUUUAGCGAAUACGCCACAGUAAGAAUCUCGGUGAGCAUACCAAAUGCUCAAUUUAUUUUCAUUUUACUGUUAUAGUUAUAUAUUCAGUAUAUAGUUAACUAUUUUUUAAAAUUCUCAGUGGAGAUUGUGGUGUGUUUGUUUUGCGUUACCUGGACACACUUGCACGUGGUGAAGAUAUUCAAACAAAUUGUACGCAGGCACAUGUCUCUUCUUAUCGCAAGCAACUAGCUGAAAGACUUUUCUAUGACCAGUCAUUACUUUCAAAGAACAACUAACAUGUGAGUAUUAUUUUUUUAAAUGAAGUCAUUGCUGUUGGAAUAGUUUGGUUUCUUAAUGUGAAACCAAAAUAGGCCAUCACUGUUAGUUUGGUUUCUAAUUAAUUUCAUGGAUUUAUUAUAUGCAGGCAUUCCUCAUGCAUGCAUGUAUGCUUCGGCAGAGGAAGAAAGCAAUUUCAAGAAAAAAAAACUUUUAAAUGGUUGUAAUAUGUUUAAUUGCGAUAUCCAUUAGUGUAUCCUAUCCAAAUAUUGACAUUGUAAACUGAUAACUUUCUUUAUUUAUAAUAAUUAAUCUCAUCAUUUCUCAAACUGUCGAAUAUGCAAACUUAUUUGUUUGCUGUAAUUUAUGAACACACAAUUUGGUCAUGUAAGGUCAUGUACACGACGGUCGUGUAUUACACGACCGUCGUGUAGUACACGAGUAUAUUACAUGACCUUAAUAUAGUACGCGACUAUUACAUGACGUUCAUGUAUUACAGGACUUCAUGUGUUACACGACUUUUUCCAAUAAUCAUCAGAUUAAUUUAGUUCUUUAAGGACUUAAUUGGGGCUAAAAUUUUAUAUUUGUUGCUUUGUAGAAAAUGUCAACUGAAAUUAUAAAAACAAAGAAGUUAAAUUAAAUUGGAAUGUAAAGAAAUUUAGUUAUUUCAUAAUGCAACAAAUUACAGUUUCCAAGCAUAACAUAUCCAAGACUAAAAAAUUGUAAAUCCAAUUAUCUAAGUUUGGUUAGCCGUAGGGCCAUGCUCUUGCUCUGAAAGUGGUGUUGUUGCAGUGCAUGUUAGUCGAUUAUGCCCCUCAAUCUGCACCUACUACACUUGCGGUGCACGAUGUCUUCCCCUUGAGAAGGUAUUCUAGUAGUUCGCGGUCGUCCUACCUCUCGCUUUUUCAUUGGCAGUGACAGCACAUAUGCACGCACCUCUUCUGAAACAUCCCAUUCCUCUUGUGGACCCACAAGAUAAAUGCUCUCUGCAUAUGCUGUAACCCAUGCAUUGACAGAAUAAUAAUGAGCACAUAAAUCAUAAAUAGAAUAGUUACGCAUAUGCUUACAUACAGCUACCACAUGUUCAUAGGGAAAUUGGUCAAUUUGAAACUCAUUACAACUGCAAGUCUUUUGUAGCACGUCAACAUGGCCAUCAAGGUCGCCAUCCUUAACUAUAAACUCAUGGAAAUUAAUCUGUAUUACUGGAUAUGUGUGUGAUUUAUCCAAUUUCCCUUUCAACUAUUUCUCAACCCAAGUAGUCAUUAAAGUACAUGCAUCCAUUGCCAAAUCUCGCCUUUUUGCAAACCAUUCUUGUAAUUUGUCAAUGAUACAAUCCAUUAACUUAUAAAUAGGCAAGGUUCGUGCUUCUUUUAAGAUAGAAUUCAUACUUUCUGCAAUGUUAGUCGUCAUAAUCCCAUAACGCCUCCCCUCAAAAUGAGAACGAGCCCACUUCUCAUAUCCGGCAUCAGUCAGGUAUUGGUGAACAUUCAAACUAACACUGCGGAUGACAUUCAUAUAUUGAGUAAACUUAAUGGGCCGAUAUGCCUUUGCAGCCAAUUCAAAUAAAGCACCCACAUCAACUUCUUUAAAAUGAGCAUUUACAUUUCGUUUUAGAUGAUGCGUACAUAUGUCAUACCCUACAGUAGGAAAUACUUUAUCAACUGCUUUCUUAAUACUUCCAUGACGGUCAGAAAUGAAUACUAAAUUAGGAACAUCACCAAUAGACUCUCUUAACUUCAUAAAAUACCAUUCCCAUGAAGCGUCAUUCUCACUGUCACCUACACCAAAUGCAACAGGGUAAAGUUGAUUGUUGCCAUCAAGAGAUGUUGCAAUGAAUAAUGUUCCUUUGUACUUGCCCCUCAUGAAUGUACCAUCAACUGCAAUAACAGGCCUAAUACAUGAAGUGAAUCCUCUCAAAGAACUUCCAAUGGCCAUGAAACAGUACUUGAAGUUGUUCGCACUGUCUUUUUUAAUGAAUGUUCGACUUCCAGGAUUUUUUUUUUUCAACCAUUGCCAUGUAUGAGGGUAAUAAAUGGUAUGAAUCAGCCGGACUGCCCCUAACCAUCUCCAUUGCAAACUCCCUUGCUCUCCACGCCUUGUGAUAACUUAUUUCAUAACCAAACUCUUUUUGAAAAUCUUGCAUAAUAUCAGCUGGCUUAUACGUAGAUGAAGCACCAUCAAACUUGUGCCGAAAAUUUUUCCCAACUAACUUGGAUGAAGCUUGACGGUUGUCUUUUUCCUGUGAAUCAAGGGAGCAAGUAUGGACAUUGUAAUACUUUCUAAUUUCAAACAUGUUGCAACCUUUAAGUCUACUUGCACGAAGGCGCCAUUUGCAGUUGUCAUCCAUACAAACAACAACAAGUAAGUCCUUGUCUGAUUUUGGGGUUUUGAAUUGGAACCUUUUUUUCACAACUAGUGCUUUAAGCUUUUCUUGCAAUGCCUCCUUUGACUCAAACACCUCUUUCACCAUCGACACAUCAGUAUCACCACUAACUUCUGUUGAUAAUAAAUUACUGCUACUAGUAAGUAAAUUUAUUCUGGGCACAUGUCCAUUGUUUGAGGUUCUUGAACUUAUAGGAGCUGGAGUAUUAUCUCCUAAUGCUAAAUCAACAGCUAAUGGUGGCUCAUCCAAACAAUCAACUUCAGUUACAAAUUCAUUAACUUCAGUAAAAUUGUUCGAACUGAGAAUAGGAAAUGAUGGAGGCACGUAGCUGGAGAAAGCAUGACUCUCUUCCCAUGAAAGACGAGGUGAAGGUUGUCUAUCCACCGGAACUGUCGAAAUUGAUCUACGUUCAAAAGUAAUGCAGAGCGGGUUUCUAAACUCCAUUCCACUAGCUACUUCCUCUAAGAAAAAUUCCACAUCAUCAUUGGUUUGAAUUGUAACUGGUGGCAUAGGAUCAGAUGUCUUAAGUUUGAACUUCAUUGUGAUUUCGAAUUCCGAAGUAUCUAUAUCAAUAACUUCAGCUAUCUUGUCCACCAAUUCGGCAUAUGUUGUCGAUCGUGGUAUCAUUAUCCCUUUAGCCUUGGAACCUUUGAACUUAUACUCGUCAUUUUGCUCAAUCCAUUCACCAUUAAAGAGAAUAGGCACACGUACCAAAACCAUUUCUGAUGAUACAAUAAAAACAAUAAUAUCAAAUUUCAUAUACAAGUAAGUACACGACUUACACGACUAUAAUACUUACACGACUUACACGACUAUAUUUCUUACAUGACCUACACGACUUACACGACUAUAUUUCUUACAUGACUUACAUGACUUACACGACUAUAUUACUUACACGACCUACAUGACUAACUAUAUGACGUACACAGUAUCAAGAGAAUGCACGGCGCGAAACAUUUUCGCUAUAAAUAAGUUAUAUUGCUGAAAAAAAUAAUUAAACAACCUACAUUGCAUAUAUUUCUACAUAUAAGAAAAAAUGGUGAAAAUAAAACAUUGUAAUGUGAGGAAAAUUUCUAAAUUUUUCUCAAAAUUAAUAAAUUUAAAACCCAAAAACAUUAACAUACCUUAUUGGGUUGUUUAAUAAGCAAUGCACCUUUAAAGAAAGAGUGGGUGUUAAAGAAAUAAAUACAUAAUUGUAUUUGUGUAAGAAGUUAUGAGAGAUUUUGAGAGAUUCUAAGAGAUUUUGAAAGAAUCGGCAGCAAAAAUGGAGUUGGGUGAAAGAAAUGAGGAAAUGAAUAUGAAGACAAUUUAUUGAAUGAAUUUGAUGCAUUCAUUAAGGGUAUUUCUGACUUUACUCACAUUUGUUAGGGUAUUCAUGAAAACUAAAAAGGGAGGGGGUAUUUCAAUAAUUUUGAAACUAUUAAAGGGUAUUUAAUUAAAAACCCCACAUUAUUAGUACCUAGUUGAUUAGUCAUUUGGUCUUCAAUAAAUGUUAGUUGAUAUAUGCUUGAAAUCAUAUUCUGUUUUAUAUGCCGAAUCAUAUUGUAAGAUGGUGAUAUUAGCAUGUUUCUUUUUCUUUGUGCUGUUUCUCGUUUGAUUACAUUUUCAACAACAAGUCGAUCUGUUGAAGAACAAGUUUGGGUUUGAUGAUGCUUUUAACUAUAAGGAAGAGCCAGACUUGGAUGCAGCUCUCAAUGGGUUGACACGAAUGAAUCCUUUCACCCUUUUUCUCACUUCAUUAUUACAAUGCGCUUUGAAGUUAUCUGUGUUGUUAAGGUUAAGGUUAACCCUGCAGGCUUGUUCGAUGCUGUAUCAACUCCAAAAUCGAACAACAUCUACAGCACCAAGACCCGGUUUCAAUCAGCUCAAAUGAUGAGGUAAAUAACACCAUCAAGCUCAGCUUAGAGACUCAUUAGAUAAGUAAUCCAUUUUCUCAGCUGUUAAUCUCUUGAUGGUGGCUAGUGGAGAAGCAGAGGAAACAAAGGAUGUGCCGGAAUCAAUUAGAACAGUGAGAAGCGUGAGGGGAGUUAUGAUUAUAUUUAGGCUUUUUGAUGAUGCUUUGAACAAAAAGGAAGAGCCAGACUUUGAUGAAGCUCUUGAAAGGUUAGCGAAAAUGAACGCUUUAACCAUGUUUCCAACUUCAUUAUCACAAUAUCUGACAUUGCAUAACUUCAAGUAAAGUUGCUCUUAAAAGGUUAGCAAAAAGCCAAAAAUGAUUGAAGUUAUCUGAGUUGAUCCAGAAAAUGUAAUGGAAAUACUCCCCUGCUUCGUAAAACAGGACAAACAGAGAUCGCUGGUCGCGCAUGGGAACUAAUUGCAUUAAAGUUUCAAACAUUACCAAACAAACUAGGAUGCAUUUGCUUAAGAUUCAUUUUCAAAAGCAAGUUGUAUGUUUAUGUUGCAGCCUAUAAAACCAUGUUUAUGUUGUAUGUUUAUUCAGGAAAUGAAAGAUUCGUCGUGUUAUUUUAUUCCAAGAAUUCGCUGAAACCAUACCUGCUUUCCCAGAUGCUUUCCUGAAGGUAUCGACAUCUAUUUAAAAAAUUCUGGGGGUAAGAUGCUUGAUGCAGUGCUACUCAACAUGAGAAUUCACGGCCGCUGCUGUAUGCUGAAAGAUCUCACCGUACAACCGUGAGAAGCCUGAAGGUGUAUUCAACUUGAUACAACUGGUCGUAGUUGCUAGGGAAGGAUAUAAGGUGUACUCAACUUGAUAUGCUGUAAAAGUGCACUAUGCCAUGUACUUUUAAAGCUUUUUGAAGAUGUUUUGGCCAUGUGUUUGAUUAGAUUGUACUCAGAUAUAAAUCAAAGAUUCAGAACAUGUUUGUUACUGUUUUUCAGAAUCCAGAACAAUAAAUACCUUGAAAUGUUUUUGUUCAAUGAUUUUGCAGAAGACCAGCUUCCUUGUUAAUGAAUCAAGAUGGCUGAAUCCGUCCCUAAGCCAAAUCUGUUUUCACUUUUAGGUUAGAAAUUGUCAUUAAAAAGUGUUUGAUAAAAUAUGCUCCGGGAACGCUAUUCGUCAGAUGGUUACUCCAAGUUUAUGAAAUCAAUGGUAUUUCAUCAUAUUCAUAACACUCUGCUUUAAUAUCUAUUCUAACAGAGAAAUUAUAUACAGAGAAUAGGUUGCGUUAGAACUUUUGCUAGAAAAAAGUGACAAGAAUUCAUCGUUCACUUGUAUCUUAAGUAAGUGUAAAAUUUAAAAUCCCAUCAUGAAAAACUCCUGGGAGAAAAAACUAUAAAAAUUAAAGAAAAAAGAGUGUGGCGUGCAUGUAAAUUAUGUCGAUUCUAUCUAUACGAUAAAUACACUCUCUUUUACAAUGGCACGGAUGCUUCAUUGAGUAAUCAUGAUUGUUGCUGGUAGUGCUUUGUUGAAUCAAUCUGCUAGAUAUUCAGCUUUCUUUCUUUCUUACUUUUUUUUUGUUUUAAUAAAUAGCUUGUGGUUGUGAAAAUAAUUUGAAUUAAACUAUGCUUAACUGCCUAUUUGGUACAACUUCUCUACUAGCCAAAAGAUUUUUUUUUAAUCAUUUAUUUAUACCUCGAGUAGAGUUUUUGGAGAUUAAAUAGGUGAUAUUUUGUCUCUAUUAAAAAGAAAACUCAAAAGGUAGGACUAUUUGAAGUUUGAAUCCACCAAACUACUCAUUAAAAAUUCAUUUGUGAAAAUAAUUUUUAAUUAUUAAAAUACCCCUAAAUUAAAUUACAAUUAUGAACACUAAAAUAUAGUAAACAAUUUUUUUUUUACUCUUUGAAAUUGUCCUUACAUUCGAUAUUAAAUUUUUUUCUUAAACUCUAAAUUAAUUUUUUUUUUCAUUUUUAAGUAAUUUUAAGGCACAUAUAAAGUGAUUCAUAUUGAUUUUAUACUAACAAACUAUUACAGCAGAUUUGGAAAAUGAUUAACUCGUUCUCAUUUUCCUAGUGAAAAUGCAAAUAGCUCAUUUAAACGUUAAGGAAUUGGAGAGUUGCUGCUGGAGAUGAAAGAUGUGAAUUAAACAUCAGAAAAAAAAAUUAUGUUUACUAUCUUACCAGACCAAGCACCGAAAAGCAUGGUAAAGAAAAAUUACAUAAUUCUGACUUAGAAGACGAAAAAAAAUGAAAUACAAUUUGAAUAAGAGAUAGAAGAUAAAGCACGUGAAUGGAGGCAGAAAGCAAGUAAUGAUAACUCUUUCGACAAAACUAAUAUAUAUCAAAAUGCAAUAUCAAAAAUGAAAAUAAAAAUUCAUUACGAAUACAUGUUAAUGAUAUCCCAAGUGUUGAGUAAUAAAAAGUACCAGGCAGGCAUCUCCCCAUUCCAUGCCUGAGAAUGAAUCUCUCCAGCUGAAUGAUACGAGCAGAUUCCUAAUAAUAUAUCCUUUAUGGAACACAUACCAACUAGAAACGAAUACCGACCAGAAGUUCAUACCGACCAGGUACUUGUCACUCAAAGAAAGAGAAUACAAUCUCACGAACGCGCGACAGUUUUGCCACAUUCCAAACCGCUAGGGAGAACACGACGCCCCACGUUUACCCACAUUCAGUUGUUGAAGACCCAUUAAGGCCCUUGAUCACCCAAAUAUGACGGGAAGGAAAAAUAUUCUGAGAAAGUGGGACGAUUGCCUAUAAAAAGCUGGGAAAUCAAUUAAGAAAGGGACAGACAAAAAGAGAGAGGGGGGAAACUCUACCGAAUUGAUACCAGGCAUUACUACAUAAUAGCCUUAAAUACAUUUUACUUUAAGAACAUCACAAUGAGUGUGCGUAACCAUAAAUCAUACAAUUUUCCCGCAAACUUCAUGUACUAACUUAAGCAUCGGAGGGUUUAUUCCGGAAAAACCACCAACGUCUCUGGUUUGUUUAUGUGAAUGUAGAUUUGAAAAGAAGAGAAAGAGUGAUUUGAGUUCAAGGAGCUCGGGCAAUUGCUAAAGUUAGUGGAAAAAAUUAAAUGAGACUCAAAAUCAAUCCAGAGGAAUAAAUGAGAAACCUAAUCCUAAUAAAAUACAUUCACAAAUCUUAAUGCUAAUUAAAAUCACGGAUAAAAAACAUAAUAUGAAUGAAUUACAGGCACAACUAUUUUAUUAAGAAAUUAAUAAAAUCGUGUAUUAAUAUAUUUUGUACAUUUUUUUUCCAUAUAUAACUUUCGGUAAUUUAGUUUUCCACUUAUCAUUUUUACUCCAAAAAAAUAUUGAGAAUAUUAUUUAUGUUUUGGUGUAAAAUAUUUGAACAAUAUACAAAUUUUCAGUUUAAUACAUCUAAACAUUUAUUAAGUUAUAAAUGAAUUUAAUGGGUUUAACUAGUACAAAUACUAUUAUUUUAUAAAUUGGGUUUAAUAAUAGUAUAUUGGGGAUUUAGGUUGAGUAAAUUUUAAAAUUUUAAAAUUAAAGGGUGGGUUUGUUUAGCAAAUGAGUUUUUUUUUUUUUUUUAUUACAUGAGACUAUUGCUCAAAUUACAGUUCAAGUUACAACUCAUAUUACAUGAGAGUAUAAUUGAUAUGUACAAUCAUAUAUUUAUACUGAGCCCUGUUGAUAUUAAUGCUGAUAUGACACCGCUCAGAUUUUUAACCCUCUCAAAUAUUUGAGGGAUGUCAAACUCCCAUCCUGGGAGAAAGACUGUCUUCACUCGAGCUCAAGGGCUCCAAGAAAGAAUAUUUAAAGUAAAACCCCUACAAUGCGACUGCGGAGGCUCGAACCCCUUCCCUCACAUUUGUGAGGGAGGGGCUUAGCCUUAGCCCAAGUGGCUCUUUUAGCAAAUGAGUUAAGGGAAUAGUUUGUUGGGAUUUAAAUAGCCCCACCCAAACUCAAAUGUAAAAUUUUUGAAAAAAGAGACUAUUACGUUUUAAAAAAAAGAAUUAAAAGGUCAAGAAUACCUCUAUUUAAUUUUAUAAUCAUAUUUUAUUUCUACCCUAAUAUAAUAUUAAAAAACUUAACUAAAAAUUUUAUAAUUUUUUAUAAAAAUUACCAUUAACAUCCAAAAAGCUAAAGAUUAAAAAAAAAAAAGGAACUGUAUUUACAAAAGUUAUAUCAAUAAUAAAUUCAGUCCAAAGAAAAAAGUUAUUGUAAACAAGUACUCAUAUUUAUCUCUACUUUAACAAUAAUCUUCGAAUCCGUUUUACAAUGGAUUUUAACCAAUGGGCUUAUGAGUCCUUUUUUGGAAAGCAUGAAAGCGAUGGCCCAAUCUCUAAACUUCAUUUUCUUUAGCCAGAAAGCCUAAAACAAGACCAGCCCAUAGAUAUAUAACUACCGGAAAAAAUUAAAAAGAAAAAAAAGAGUAAAAUUGUGUAAGAGCUUUUAGAAUUACAAUUUUAGGAUCACGUGUGUAAAUGGAACUCCAAGAUUGAUCAAGAAUUAACAAGGCAAGAUGAAGGGAUGAUCUUGUAGCAAAGAAUGAAGAAAUUGAAUCAAGAAAGUACUCUAGUGCUUUAGUGCUUUACAGUUAAGGGAUAUAGGGUGCGUUUGGGAUUGAGGUUGGGCAGCUGUAGCUUAAAAGCUACAGCACUAAAGUGUUUGGUAAACACUAGCUGCUGUAACUUUUAAGCUAUGUUGAUAUAAUUUUUCACUUGUAUAAUAUAAAAUUUAUUAUAUCUUUAAUAAUUUUGAUAAAAUUAUUAUUUACAAUUUAUAUUUAUUAUAUAUUAUUAACUUUUAUUUCAUAAUUACAACUUCUUUUUUACAGCAGCUGUAGCUUAAAAACUACAGCACCUCAAUCCCAAACACAACCAUAGUGUGAAUUCAUUACAAAGCAUUCGCAAAGAAAUUGUUUUUAAAUGAAACUCCUCGUCUUGACCAGAUUAUUUAUUAUUAUUCAAAAAAAAAAUGUUCAAAACUUAGCCAAAGUGAUAAACUCGUAAUUAUUCUACAAAGGGAACAAUUUUGAACGGUCGGAAAUUCCAUGCUUAUGAUUUUCUCUGCACUAUUUCAAUAAAAUUAUUACCCAGUGAAGACUUUAGAGACAAGUGCCCCCAUGAGAUCAAGCAAAUAUGCCCCCACAAAGAUCACAUAAUUAUUUCUUGUUCUUUUUCUUUUUGACAAUUUUAUCUGUGGUUUCAACUUUUACGCUUUAUUGUCAUUUCUCGUUGAGGGCUCCGCUGCACCCAUUACAACUUACCCCUAUAUUGUCUUUUACUGACUAAACCGUUAGAUUUGACGGAUAGCACGUUCAAUGCUGAAUUUUAAUUAUAUCAUCAAAUUUCGUUUAGCUCCUUAAACUCCAUUUUAUUUUUUAUUUCUUUAUAAAAUAUUCAAAGCUUCAUCAAGCUCCCGAUGGACCAUCAUGGCUAGGGGUGCAUUAGAGCCGAACUGAAAUAUGUUAGUUUAGUUUAGUUUGGUCAGUUUAAAUCGAAUGGUUUAGAAAAUAUAAAAUGAUCAAUUUUAAUUUUGAAUUGAACCGAACCAAAAAUUAAUUGAUUUGCUGUUAGUAUUUUUGCAUAAACAUAAAUGAUUAGUGAUUAUAAUUGAAUUGGACUAAAAAAAAUCAAACAAAAGUGAAAAAUAUAAAAUCUUAGACAAUAUAAAAGAAAAAAUAUUAAAUAUAUAAACCAAAACGAACUGAAUUAUUUUGACUCAGUUUUGGUUCAUAAUUUUUUAAACCAAACUGAUUUAUUCCCACCCCCUAAUCGUGGCCCUCUAUCUUUAGUCAUUCACCCUUGAGUUUGAUACCAAUUGUUGGGUUUCAAAUGAUUAUACACUCAAAUGGAACCCCUCAUAACCAAAAACUAACAGAAACAAUAAGAACACAAUGUUAAAAUCUUAAAUCAAUCGCAAAAAAGCACCCAAAACAGAUCGAUUAGGAAUAGUUAACAACAAAAGAUUUAAUGGUUCAAAAUCAUAAUGUGACCUACUUCCAUCCAAGAAUCAUACUAAUUGCUUUACUUGUUGUCAAAUACGAGAUCAUAAGAUUGUUUAUCACUCUACAGAGAAAAAAAAUUUAGAAGAAAUACUCCCCAAUUUUUCUCUUAAUAGUUAUGAAUCAACACCCCUGAUUUACUUUUCCUUAUUUCCUAUGAUCGGUUGCUGCUACUUAAUCCUUACCAAGCUCCAACAUAGUCCAAACACUUUUCAUGGUACAUGCACAGUGCACCUUCAGAAACUUUACAGCUCUUCUUAAAACCUCAGGCCUAUAGAGUGCAAUUUCGCACCUAUAUGCUUAGUCCUCUCAGUUCUCGUGAUGUUUUUGAUUUAUUUCUCGGACGAGUAGCACUUUUAGCUGCCAUAAUACAAUGUAAUUGACUUCUGAGCAUGACUUAAUUUUGAGAUCAUUACUUUUAGUUAAAUGAUCUCCUCCAGAGCUUCUACCUAUGUAGUGUUUUUAGACCUCUAUAGUUGAUAAAGCAUGUUCAAGGUGAAGGCUUGUUUUCCAAUCUAUAGUCCAAUUAUAGACUGGAACUGGUCAGGCUUAAUGCACCUUCAAAAGCUUCACAACUUAUAUUGAAACCUUAAGCCUUGUAGAAUGCUACAAAUUUUAAAUCCAUAUACUUAGUGCUCUUAUGAUUUGUUUGAUUUUUACUUAGAUGAAGAGCAUUUUAGCUAUAGAAUACAGAAACUAAUUCAAAGCCUGCCUUAGCUAUGAGAUCAUUCAUUCUAGCCAAAUGCCCCUUUAGAGAUUCUGCUAUUGUUGCGUAUUAAGCCUCUAUAUCAAAGCAAUUACAUGUCGAAGGCUUGCUUUGCAGUUAACAGCGCAAUUACAAUUAUAUAGAUUAAAGGUGUAAAUCCAUAAAACUACCAGACUUCAAUCUUUAGACUCCAUAGAUCAAACCAUAACUUAGUGUGCCUUUCAAUCUCAGGUAACUGUUUUCCACGUCUUGCCAUGUACUUGCUGCUAACACUAACAAUUUGAGAAAUGUUAGGCAUCGUAAGCAGCCGACAACACUCUUCUUCAUUUCUUCAUUGUCAAUUUCUUUCUUGGAACAUUGCUCCAUUGAGAGUCUGCUAUCAUUGCUCCAAUUAUUAUUAUUUUUGUUUUUGUUUUUUAAAAAAAUAACCGUGCAAUAAGAGUAUAAGACUAAGCAACGGUCCUUUUUUUUUUACCCAUUCUUGAACAUGAAGUAUUUGAGUAUGUAAUAAAAAUUGUUUAUCGAUAAUUAAAAGUUAAUAGUGGGUGGCUUUAGGUUUUGUUUACAAAAUUGACAACAAAUUAGAUUUUUCAAAUUCAUAGGUAAGAAACUUUUCAUUUAUUCAUAGAUUUUCCGGUUUAAACUUUAAAGGAAACUUAAAAGAAAAAGAUGUAUCAUUAGGUUUGUAAUUAAAAAAAUUUAAUAUUGUAUGAUCUGUUCGAUAUGCAUAAUUUAAAUAAACAUUAAUAUAGAUGUUAUAUAUCCUAAAACUUAAUUGACUUAAUUCUUAUGGUGCAAGGAAGAGGUUUCCAAGUUUAAAUCUAAAGUCUUGUAUUUAAUUUGGGGUCGGGAAAGCACUGGGAAAUAAAUGUAACAAAGGAAAAAAAAAAAAGAAUGACAGUCUGAGUGGAGCCAACGCGGUUUUAAAAAAAGUGAAAAAAAGGGUUUAAAAAAAAAAACGCGGUUUGCUUGCUUGUGGAAAUAGAAGUCUCAUGUUUCUUUGAAAGGUAAGCAAGUGUGAAUGUUUCUAUCUAGAGCUGGAAAAUGCAUUUCCGUGCAACUUACUUGAUGAAUGAAGUUUUCAUCGCUGACCCUGAUGUUUCCCUGAGCUGCAUUCAUUGCAGCUGAUGUAUUUCAUUUUGUUUUCGAAGGAGUGACACAAAAUCUCCUUCGUUAAGGUGAGAAUUUAGAGUGGCUUUAACUGUUAACAAAUAGCCUAAUAUAAGACUUAAUCUACUUCCUGCCCUGUUGUAUGCUUAUGAAAUUUGAUAGAGUUAUGAGUUUGCAGAAGCUACUGUAUUAUAUGUUGCUUGAGGCUGUAAAAAUGAGGCAGAUCAAACACACAUUUAAAUUUCAAUGACAAUUUACUGGAAGUAAAUUUCCUAUGACCCUACAUGUGACUAAUUGAUGAGAAGUUGACAAAUGACAAAAGAAAGUGUAUGAGCUUUGCAGGUUGGCAUGCCGAUACUGACUGUGUGGCACCAUCCGCCAUUUGGAAGUGAAUAUCAUUAUUCUUUAAUCAACAUGGUGGAGUCCACUGGGACCACACCACAUGGUCAGUCUUAUCUCUAUUCCUCAAUUUUCAGUAUUCCAUACAUGAAAACAACUUCAGUUUUGUUAUCAAUUAUAAUUUCAUUGUUGGUGACGAUUCUGAUUCCUUUCUUUCUGACAAAACGGAACCAUGGUUGCUGUGGGAGAGAUCUUACUCAACGCCUUCUUUCAGGUGUUGUUUGACAGGUUGGCUUCCCGUGAUUUGCUCAGCUUUGUCCGUCAACUUGGAGGCGGGGUCGAUUCCGAGCUCAAGAAGUGGGAAAGAAAGCUGAAGAUGAUUCAGGCGGUGCUCAACGAUGCAGAGGAGAAGCAACUGACUGACGAGGCUGUGAAGACGUGGCUGGACGAUCUCCAAGACUUGGCUUAUGACGCUGAGGACAUUCUUGAUGAGUUUGCUACUCAAGCUUUGGAAAGCAAGUUGAUGGCGCAAAAUCAGGAUAGCUCUGGCCAGGUUCUCAGUUUCAUCCCGGCUAGUAUCCGAAUGCUGUUAGGUUCAAUUAUAGCAUGAGGUCCAAGAUUAACGAUAUUACUAGCCGGUUGGAGCAACUCUGCAAAGAAAGAAUCGAACUUGGACUGCAACGGAUUCCUGAAGGGGCAUCAUCAACUGCUGCUGCUGCACACCAGAGGCCACCCAGUUCAAGCGUCCCACCAGAACGUGAAGUUUUUGGUAGAGAAGAAGAUAAGGCCAAAAUUCUUGAUAUGGUAUUGGCCGAUAGCCCAAGUGAUCAUGCCAACUUUGCUGUAAUACCCAUUGUUGGCAUGGGCGGGAUAGGAAAAACAACUCUCGCUCGGGAGGUCUACAAUGACAAGGCCGUUGAACAUUCCAAGUUUGAUGUAAAAGCAUGGGUUUGUGUAUCUGAUGUCUUUGACAUUUUGGGCAUCUCAAAGGCACUUCUCGAGUCAAUCUGCUGCGCAGCUAGUGAUCUCAAGACUUUAAAUGAAGUGCAGGUUCAACUGAAAAAAGCAGUGGACGGAAAAAGAUUCUUGCUGGUCUUAGAUGAUGUUUGGAACGAGGACUACAGCUUGUGGGUAGACUUAAAAGCUCCAUUCUUGGCUGCUGCACCAAAUAGUAAGAUGAUUAUCACCACACGCAAUUCACAUGUUGCAUCUACAAUGGGACCCAUUGACCAUUAUAACCUCAAGCAUCUGUUAGACGAUGAUUGCUGGUCUAUUUUCAAAACGCAUGCAUUGGAGGGUAGAGAUCAUAAUGCACUUGAAAUCUCAGAAUCAUUUCGCAAGAAAGUUGUUGCCAAAUGUGGAGGCUUGCCCCUUGCUGCAAAAACACUCGGAGGCCUUUUGCGUACGACGAGGCAUGAUGCGUGGGAUGAUAUAUUAGAGAGCAAAAUAUGGGAUUUACCUCAACAAAGUGGGGUUCUCCCAGUAUUAAGAUUGAGUUACCAUCAUCUUCCUUCUCAUUUGAAAAGAUGUUUCGCUUACUGUGCAAUCUUUCCAAAAGAUUAUGAAUUCAAUGAGAAGGAGGUGACUUUUUUAUGGAUGGCUGGAGGAAUUAUUCGACAGUCAAGAAGCAAAGAGCGGCUAGAAGAUUGGGGCAGCAAGUGCUUCUAUGAUCUGGUGUCAAGGUCAAUUUUUCAGCAAACAGCAAUCUCUGGUAGUUCUAAAUUUGUAAUGCACGACCUUAUUCAUGAUCUUGCUGAAUUCGUCUCUGGAGAAACCAUAUUCAGGUUAGAGGAGUCCACCAACUUGUCGUCAAGCAGAUUUGAAAGAGUUCGCCAUUCUUCCUAUGCCGGCGGUUGGUAUGAUGGUAAAAAUAAGUUUGAGGUUUUCUAUGAAAUUGAACAUCUACGAACAUUCUUGCCAUUACGCUUACGCAUGCGAGGUACUUUUUUCAUAACUAGAACGGUUCUAUCUGAUUUGCUGCCAAAGUUCAAAAAAUUGAGGAUGCUAUCUUUAGAAGGAUACUGUAUUGGUGAGUUACCAAUUCCAUUUGAAGAUCUCAGACUUUUAAGGUUCCUCAACCUCGCUGACACUGACAUAAGAAGUUUACCUGAGUCAACAUGCAAAUUGCUGAACUUGGAAAUUCUGAUAUUAAGAAAGUGUUCCCGCUUGAUAAAGCUUCCCCAGAAAAUGAGGAAUUUGAUCAAUUUACGUCAUCUGGAUAUAAGAGGUGCACAGCAGCUGAAGGAGAUGCCAUUUGGAAUGAAAGAGUUGAAGAAGCUUCAAACAUUGUCCAAUUUUAUUGUGGGCAAGGGUGAAACUGCAUCCGGUGUGGAAGAUUUAAAAUGUUUAAGCUUUCUUUGUGAUGAACUUUGCAUUGCUGGAUUAGAGAAUGUGAAUAAUCCACAGAAUGCAAGAGAAGCCGCAUUAUGCGAGAAGCACAAUCUUGAAGCAUUGACUCUAGAAUGGGGGUCUCAAUUUGACAAUUCUCGAGAUGUAGCAAUAGAAGAGCACGUGCUUGACAUUCUACAGCCUCAUAAAUGUAUAAAAAAGGUGGCAAUCAGGAGCUAUGGUGGUGCAAGAUUUCCACUUUGGAUAGGAGAUCCGUUGUUCUCCAAGAUAGAAUUCCUUGAAUUGGAGAACUGUGACAAUUGUGUAUCUUUGCCAUCGCUUGGCCGUUUGAGUUCACUUAAACACCUUGCUGUUAAAGGGCUGAAGAAACUAAAAAGCAUAGAGCCUGAGGUUUAUGGGGAGGGUUUCUCAACGCCUUUUCCAUCAUUGGAGAUUCUAAGUUUCGAGAAUUUGACAGAAUGGGAGCAUUGGGACACGGAUAUCAAAGGAAAUGCACUUGUUGAAAUAUUUCCUCGUCUCCAUAAACUUUCCAUUGUGAAAUGUCCCAAACUCUCUGGAGAACUGCCUGAGCUCCUGCCCUCCUUGGAGACACUUGUUGUUAGUAAAUGUGAAAAGUUGGUAGUUCCAAUGUCUUGCUAUCCGAUGCUCUGCAGAUUAAAAGUUGAUGAGUGCAAAGAACUGGUCUGCCGGACUCCAAUUGAUUUUAAGUUGAUAAAGUCUGUGACUAUUUCAAAUUGUUCACUAGACAUGUAUGGAUGCAAGGGGAUGCUAUACAAUGGUCCAGCUGGCUCUUCACUGCCGAAAUCCAUGACUAUUACAAAUGUUUUGGCGUUUGGAAAAUUAUUGAAGCCUGGAUUUCAGAUAUUAGAAACUUUGGUAAUUGACAAUUCUGAACAGCUCAAGUCAUGGAGGCAGCGUGGGGAUUUUCGACAAGAAUAUUUGGGCGUUCGCGUAAGGCGUCACAAACCAUCACAAGGGCUAGAUAUGCUCGCCUCCCCAGAAGAGGUAACAAUUGAAGAAAGUUGUGUGAGUUUUGUUUUAUUUCCAGAGAUCAAUUUCUUUCCCAGAAAUCUGCGCUCUCUUCUAAUUUGCAACAGCACAGCUUUAAAAUCCUUACCCGAUGAAAUGAUGGACAAUUCACAACUCGAAAGGUUGUAUAUCAGAGAUUGCGAUUCUCUAACAUUCAUCACAAGACGCAAGCUACCUUCAUCUCUAAAAAGUAUAGAGAUUGAGAAUUGUGAGAAACUGCAACAUUUGUUCGAUGAUAAAGAGGAUGCUUCUUCUUCUUCUCCUCCUUCAUCCUCGUCCUCCCCAGUGAUGCUGAAACACCUGAGUAUAAAUAAUUGCCCAGUGCUCACCAGUUUAUCAACAGGAAUCCAAUUACUUGAGGCGCUUGAAAGCCUCGAGAUACGGGAUUGUCCAAAGCUGGAGUCAUUACCAGAUGGCCUUCACAAUCUUAACUGUUUACAGGAGAUUACUCUAAACAGUUGUCCAAGUCUUGUUUCCUUCCCAGAAAGAGGACUUCCCAACACGAUUUCAAAUCUUGUAUCGUUUCCAGAAGAAGGUUUUCCUACCAAUCUAACAUCACUUACAAUUGGAUAUUUCAAAAUGUAUAAGACACUCGUCCAGUGGGGGUUGCACAGGCUUACCUCUCUUAAACGCCUCUGCAUCAUUGGAUGUGAUGAUGAAGCAGAGUGUUUUCCAGACGAGGAGAUAGGAAUGACGCUGCCCACCUCUCUCACUCAUCUGACACUUUCGGAAUUCAAAAAAUUGAUAUCUCUGUCUUCGACGGGUAUUCAGAGCCUCAACUCUCUUCAAUCUUUGUCGAUCGGGAAUUGCCCGAAUCUCACAUCAUUUCCAGAGGUGGGCCUUCCAUCCUCACUUUUGGAAUUACACAUUUACAGUUGUCCAAAGCUUAAAAAAGCGUGCAAAAGAGAUCAAGGAAAAGACUGGCCCAAAAUUGCUCACAUCCCUUUCGUUGAGAUAGACGGUAAAUUCAUAUACGAUCCCGAAUCAGAGGAGUAGAUUCUAUUACACAGGUCAGUUGAUUUAUAUUAUCCGCUAUAACAAGCUCCUCCUUUUUUAUUUUUUUUAAAUAAUAAUUUUGCAGUCAGUCACGUGAUUCCGUUUUCACAAGUCAGAUUGUAUGUUGAGGCUAUUUGCCUUUUAAUCGCAGAUUAAAUUAUAACACUUAUCUUAAAAUUUAAUACCAUAGACAGAUAGACGAUUUUUUAAUCCAAAGUUUUUUUUAUUCACUUCAGUUAGCAUUUUUUUUUCCCCCAAAUCAUGCAAGCCGAGAGUUUCAAUCAAGAAUUGGAGGAUGUGAAUGGGAUUUUUGUGAAAGAGUAACAUAAUGGAUGACCGAACAUUUCAUCUGUGAUCUCAAAGUCAACAGAAUUUUAUUCACUCAUUGACUUUUCAACUGCCGUGGUUUUUAUGGGUGAAAGAUAAGGGCAAUUACAAAAAAUUUGCAAAAUUUGUCAAUUUCUUAGAUGGUAGAUAUAUCGACAUUUUAGAUUUCAGAUAUUUGUCACCAAUUUGCAAAAUUGAAAUUUCUGUCUUCAAUGGGUUUUCAAAGCCUCGCCUCUCUUCGAUUUUUGUGGAUUGGGAAUUGCACAAAUCUCACAUCAUUUCCCGAGGUCGAGGAAAAGAGCGGCCCAAACUUGCUCGCAUCCCUUGGGUUAUGAUAGAUGGAAAAUUCAUGUACGAUCCAGUCAGAGGUGUUGAUUCUCUUAUUAAGGUCAGCUGAUUUCUAUUAUCCACUCUGACAAUCUCCUAUUAGUGUUUUUCCUUUUUUUUUUUUCAAAAUUUUGCAGUUCUGUAUAAUUGAAAAUGCCACUCACUUGUUUCCUUUUUCACAGGUCAGAUAGUAUGUUGAGGCUAUUUGAUUUCUAUCGGUGUUUGUUAAGGUAAUUAGUGCUCCCUCAUAGGUAUGACUAGAUUUUUUUCACUUCCGUAAAUAUUGCAUUUUAGACUGGCAAAUUUAGCAGUAAUUUUAAUACAAUUUUGUUGGUGCCUUGUGUGCCAGAAGCUAGAAAAAUGUGUAGUUUUCAGAUAAGGAGUCUUGUUAGUUCUCUAGUAAGAAUCCAAUAAUUUGCUUUUGCACGUCCAUCUAAUUUGUGGAUCCUUGCAUCAGAAUUUGAUCAAUCCAAAGGAAUUGCUUUUAGACAGAAGAAGAAUAGCAGCACCUAGCCUAUGUCAUAGUGUAUGGACCCGCAAACCUGAAACUAUUAGAUUGAGGUAAAAAAAUCAUUGACCCUCACAUGUUAACUUCUUCUAGUUACUUUUGUUGGGAAAAAAAAACAUUUAAGGAAUUUGCAAUUUGUUGUUAGUUAUGGUAUCUGAUGUUCUUUUCUGUUUUAGCGUUUGUAGAAUCUACGGUAUUAUGUGUUGGCAGUUGCCGUAUCUGAGGUAACUUGCCUUUAUUUGUUUGCUUCUGACUUAAGGACACCAACAUUUGCCAGAGAUUUAGAGAAGCAUCUCAAAACACUUAGCAAACUUGACAAACUUCAAGAUGCACUUGCCCCCACGCCUUAUUCUCCACAACGCAAAACUUGUGAGUACACUUAUGCCUGCAAUUAUUGUGAAGUGUUUGCAAUUUCGAUGCAGAGAAAUGGUUUCUUGAUGCAAAGUAUUAAACUGUUAAGAUUUAUCCUGCAGGCUUGUUAGAUGUUGUAUACUCGAAAAGCCAACAACAUCAAGAACUACAACUCCAAGACCAACUUUGCAUUAAUUCAGUCAGCUGUAAAAAUGAUGCAAAUGACACUAUAUCAAGCUGGACUUAGAGACUAGUCAGAUCAAUCAUCCAUUUCAUCAACGGUUAAUGUCAUGAUGGUGGCUAUCAGAGGAAACAAAAGAUGUGUCAGAAUCUAUACGAACAUUGAGAAGCAUGAGAGGAGCUUUGAUUUUGAGUAGGGUCAAUGAACUCAUGUUGGUAAGUGGUGAUUAAAGAAAUUUGUAAGCUUAGUAGAGUUUCAGUAUUUUCUGUUUGGAGUAUAGUUGAUAAGUUGACUCUGUUUAAGAAGCCCGAUUAUAGUAGCUGACUGUAUUAACCUUUUUUUUUUUGGUCUGCUGUUGUUUUUGGUUUCGAUUAUUUUUUCAACAUUGGGUUGAUCUGUUGAAGAACAAGCUUGGGUUUGAUUAUGUUUUAACUAUAAGGAAGAGCCAGACUUGGUUGCAGGCGUUAAGCUUUUAAUGGGUAAGAACAAAUGAAUGCUUUAACCAUGUUUCUCACUUAUUAAAAUGCAUGGAUUGAAGGCAUCUGGGUUGAUCCUGACAAUGUGAUGGAAAUACUUCUCUGUUUUCAUGUAACAGGACAAAUAGAGAUCUCUGAUCAUGCCUGAAUUUUUGUUGCAUUGAAAUUUCUACCAUUACCAAACAUAGAAUGAACUGGGGAUACAUUAGCUUAAGACUCAAUUUUGAGAAGGAAGUUUGUACUUGCAGCCUAUAAAAUCAUGUCCGUGUCGUACGUUUCUUUGGGAAAUGAAAGAUUCUGUGUGUUCUUUUAUUUCAAGUUCACUGAAAUCACAUUUGUUUUCUCCGAUGCUUUCCAGAAGGUAACAACAUCAAUUUCAAAAAUGCUGGGGCAAGAUGCAUCAUGCAGUGCGACUCAACUUGAGAAUUCCUGGCCACAUUACCCGUAUGUCGAAUGAUCGCACAGUUCAACCUUGAGAAGCUUGUAAUGAGUACACAACUGGGUGCAAGUAGUUUUGAAAUGAAUUUGCCUCAAAUGAUUUCUUGCUCGCAUCCCUUGGGUUAUGAUAGAUGGAAAAUUCAUAUACGAUCCAGAGUCAGAGGUGUUGAUUCUCUUAUUAAGGUCAGCUGAUUUCUAUUAUCCACUCUGACAAACUCCAAGACCGGGUUUUUUUUUUUUUUUAAUUUUGCCGUUCUGUAUAAUUGAAAUGCCACUCACUUGUUUCCUUCUUCACAGGUCCGAUAGUAUGUUGAGGCUAUUUGCUUUUUAUCGGUGUUUGUCAAGGUAAUUAGUGCUGCCUCAUAGGUUGAUUACUCACAGAUGAAAUCAUAACUUUUAUCUUAAAAUUUAAUAGCAUACACAGAUAGAUGAUUUUUAGUCCAAAGUUUUUUUAUUCACUUCAAUCAAAAUUUUAGAUUGCAGAUUUUUGUCAAGUAUUUCAUUACAAUUUUUUCAUUUUUUAUUUUAAACCAGAAUAUGAGUAUAACAUUUUGGAGCGUGCAUACUCUGAUGCAUGCAAUUAACUGUUUUUAAUCAUUGGAUUUUGAAAUUAAUAAUGGUAAGAUGUGUACUUAUUCUGUCUUCCAACAACCUUGGCCUCUUUCUUCGGUCGCAUAUCUAAUGAAUAUUUCUCUGUUUAGUUAAGGAUGAAUGCUUGGAGUGGGGUACUUGGUAACAUUUCUGCCUCAGAUGAAUCCUUGAAGAAAUGCCCGCAGUUCCUGAGACCAAAUACAGGUCUGAUUCAAAACAGCACCUUUCUCAGAAAAUAUGAUCCAAGGCAAAGUCAUGUUCUGAUAAUGUUUCCUUAAGUACAAAGUUGCAAGGAAACUUGAUUCAUUAACUACAGUUUUUUAUUUUUAGGACCUUGUAUCUGAAAGGUUCAGUGUUUUUUUUUUUUUCAAAUUUAUUGUUCAGAUCUCAGAGGAGUAUAUGGUUUAGAUUACAAAACACCCAUGAUUAAUUUCAUUUUUUUUUUAAUUUCAGGGAGAAGAAGUGGUCAGUUUCAAUCCGGAAUUGGAAUAUGGCAAUUUGGUUCAAGCACACACACCUGGUCACUUGGUCAGUGAACCUGAACUUUACGCAGUUUUUUCAACUCAGUGAUUUUUGGAACGCAUAGUGGUGUAAGGAAAUCAAAAGAAAUUUAUGCAUAGUCAAAUUCUGAUAUUUGCUAUAUAUUAUACAUUCUAAAGUUUCUCCAGUUUGUUCUCAGAUUACCAUCAUUUUUUGCCUUCACCAAAAAAAAAAAAUUGAGUGGCUUUCCAGUGGAUAUUUAAUCGGAGGUAUGACUGGAUUUUUUUCACUUCUGUAAAUCUUGCAUUUUAAACUGGCAAAUUUAACUUUAAUUUUAAUACGACUUUGUUGGUGCCUUGUGCCCCAGAAACUAGAAAGAUGUGUAGUUUUCAGAUAAAGGGGCUUGUAAAUUCUCUAGUAAGAAUCCAAUAAUUUGCUUUUGCACGUUCAUUUUAUUUGUGGAUCCUUGCAUCUGAAUUUAAUCAAUCCAAAAGGAAUUGCUUUUAGACAGAAGAAGAAUAGCAGUACCUAGCCUAUGACAUAGUAUAUGGACCUGCAAACCUGAAACUAUUAGUUUGAGGUAAAAAAUUCAUGACCCUCACAUGUUAACUUUCAUGAAAAACACAUUUAAGAAAUUUGCAAUUUUUUGUUAGUUUCGUAUCCGAUGUUGUUUUCUGUUUUAGCAUUUGUAGAAUCUACUGUAUUAUAUUUUGGCAGUUGCAGUAUCUGAGGUAUGUUUUGCAUUUAACUUGCUUUAUUUGUUUUGCUUGUGACUUAAGAACACCAAUAUUUGCCAGAGAUUUAGAGAAGCAUAUCAAGCUGCUUGGCAAACUUGACAAACUUCAAGAUCCUCCAUUCUUCACAACGCAAAACUUGUAAGUACACCUAUGCCCGCAGUUAUUGUGAAAUGCUUGCAAUUUUGAUGCGCUGAAAUGGUUUGUUGAUGCAAAGGUUUAAACUUUUAAGAUUUACCCUGCAGGGUAGUUGGAUGCUGUAUACUCGAAAAGCGACCAACAUCAAGAACUAUGACUCCAAGACCGGGUUUGCUUUAAUUCAAUCAGCUGAAAUCAUGAUGCAAACGACACUAUCAGCUGGACUUAGAGACCGGUCAGAUCAAUCAUCCAUUUUAUCAACAGUUAAUGUCAUGAUGGUGGCUAUUAGAGGAAACAAAGGAUGUGUCGGAAUCAAUGUGAACAGUGAGAAGAAUGAGAGGAGCUUUGAUUAUACGUAGGCUCAAUGAACUCAUGCUGGUAAGUGGUAAUUAAAGAAAUUUGUGCGCUUAGUAGCAUUUCAAUAUUUUCUGUUUGGGAUAUAGUUGAUGAGUUGAUACUCUGAUUAAGAAGCCUGAUUAUAGUAGCUGACUUUUUUUUUGUGGUUUGCUGUUGAUUUUUCUUUUGAUUUUUUCAACAUUAGGUUGAUCUGUUGAAGAACAAGCUUGGGUUGAUUAUGCUUUAACUACAAGGAAGAGCCAGACUUGGAUGCAGGCGUUCAGCUUUUAAUGGGUAAGAACAAAUGUAUGCUUUAAACAUGUUUCUCACUUAUUACAAUGCACGCAUUGAAGGCAUCUGAGCUGAUCCUGAAAAAGUGAUGGAAAUACUUCUCUGUUUACAUAAAACAGGACAAGAGAUCUCUGAUCAUGCCUGAGAAUUAGUUGCAUUGAAAUUUCUACCAUUGCCAAAAAUAGAAUAAACUAGGAAUACAUUAGCUUAAGACUCAAGUUUGAGAAGGCAGUUUGUACAUGCAGCCUAAAAAAUCAUGUCUGUGUUGUAUACUUGUAUGUUUCUUUGGGAAAUGAAAGAUUCUGUGUGUUCUAUUAUUUCAAGUUUGCUGAAAUCACAUUUGUUUUCUUAGAUGCUUUUGAGAAGGUAACAACAUCAAUUUCAAAAAUGCUGGGGUAACAUGCAUCACGCAGUGCUACUCAACAUGAGAAUUCCGGCCGCAUUACCUGUAUGUUGAGUGAUCGCACAGUACAGCCUUUAGAAGCUUGUAAGGAGUAGACAACUAGAUGUGAGUAGUUUCAAUAUGGAUUCGCAUCAAAUGAUCUCUUGCCAGUGAUUACUAUAACCUCUAUCCCAAAAUUCUUGGAACUGGUCAUACCAAUAAUGAAGUGUUGUGUAUGUUGAAGACAUUGCGAAAGCUCCGUCAGCCUUUGUAUUGGAAAACAGUUGGUUGUAGUUGCUUCUGAAUGAUAUUAUUAAUAGAUACUGUAAAAAUGAACUGUGCCACUCAUUUUCAGAGCCCUGUUAAGAUGUGUUGGUAAUGUGUUUGAAGGUUGUUUGAUUUAUGUUGUAUUCAGCUAUAAAUCAAAGAUUCAGAACAUGGUUAUGUUACUGGUUUCCAAAUCAAAAAAUUGCCUUGUGAUGUUAGUGUUCAUUGUUUUCACAGGAGAUCAGGUUCCCUGUUGAUGAAUCAUUAAGGCAAACGCAUCCAUGUCUUAAGUUCAAAUGUGUCUCUUCUAUUUUCUAUUACUGACUCCUUUAUUUUGAUUUCUUCAUUGUAAUGGAAUUGGUUUUUAUUCCAAAUUAGUCUUAAGUUCUGUUAGCAUUUGAAGAUAGAACUAGAACUAAAUGAUUGACUGGAUUAAAUUCCGAUAAAGAAUUAAGUUAUAUAUUUAGAGAUAUUAUGUUUUUUUUUUUUUCAUUUGUUCAAUUUGGUUAGUGGUGAUUUCUUAAAGACUCAAUCCAUGUGCGUUUAUGCAUUUUUCUUUUGCCUUAAUUUCUGUUUCUUGGGGAGUUUAUACAGAUUCUUAUUUUAUGCUUCACAUGCCACAUGAAAGAUCGAAUUCUUAUAAUAAGAGUCUGAGAUCUCCCUGAAGGAUUCAAAGCAUUUUAUUUUAUAUUAAACUCCUUUACGUGGGUUUGGACACUACCACAAGUUCUUUAAAUACUAAAACGAUUUUAAGUCUUUUGUAUCAUCUGAUUGAAAUACAUGAAAGCACUCGUGGCUGCAAAAAUACAGUUGGGGCUAUUUCUAAAGUCUUCAACAGCAUUUUCUUUUUAACCUUUAUCCUCAUGGUUGUUUUUGCAGUUGUUCUUUAAGAAAACAUUUAAAAGGUUCUCUUUAUGGAUUUUUGAAAAUAAUUUUAACAUAAGCAAUUUUCAGAAGCACUUUAGAUGUCUGGCAUUUAGAAAAUUUUAUUCCGGUGUCACAUAAAAUACUUAGGAAGUUAAAUUUAUUUAUUUAUGAGCAUGUGCCAGUGCCCUGUGGCAUCCUCUUCACUUGUGAUAGUCAAAUGUAUUAUACGAUACAAUAUUAGCUUGACUGUAGCACAGAGGAGAAUAGGGUUGGUGUUGGUCUGAACCAGCUUAUGUAACAGCUGCCAAAGGAUAAUUUAAUUGUACUUUGAGUAAAGCUUUUGCAAAUUAAACAAGUGAUAAUUUGUUUCUAUUAAGAAAAACUUAAAGGAUAGGGCUAUUUUAACUCACCAAACUACACAUUAAAAAUCUACUUACAAAAAUAGUUUUUAAUUAUUAAAAUAUUCCUAAAUUAAAUUAUAAUUAUGGACACUAAAAUAUAAUUUUUUUUAUAUUUUACCCUUUGAAACUAUCUUUACAUUCGAUAUUACAUUUUUUUCUUAAACUCCAAAUUGAUUUUUUUUAUUAAUUUUAAAACACAUAUAAAGUGAUUCAUAUUGAUUUUAUACUAACAAACUAUUAUAGCACAUUCGAAAAAUAAUUAAAUCGUUCUUAUUUACAUAGUGAAAAUGCAAAUAGCUCAUUCAAAUGUUAAGGAAUUGGAGAGCUGCUGCUGGAGAUGAAAGAUGUGAAUUAAACAUCAGAGAAAAAAUUAUGUUCACUGUCUUGCCAGACCAAGCACCGAAAAGCGUCGUAAAGAAAAAUUAGAUAAUUUAGAAGAUAAAGCACGUGGAAUGGAGGCAGAAAGCAAGUAAUGAUAACUCUUUCGACAAACUAAUAUAUACCAAAAUGUAAUAUCGGCCCUAAUAAAAAAUGUGUUACGUAAGUAAAAGCACCAGGUCGGUCGUGCUACUAUUUCUGUCCCGGUAUGGCUCACCUCAACUGAAUGGUACAAGCAGAGCAUGGAGACGAAUAUGGCCCGACCAGAGAUGAGUACCGACCAGAGGUGUAUGUCGAGCCGAUACCCGUCUCCUGAAAAAGCGGGAACACGAUCCCACAGAAUCGCGGAAUUUGCGUUUUUCCCAGAACCGUUGCGAGAGAUGCGAUACCCCACGUUUACCCGUAAUGUAGUAGUUAAAGUUCCGUGAAAGGCCACCACCCGAAAAAGGAGGGAUGAAGACUGAGCGGGAACGUGGGAUAACGGCUAUAAAAGAAGGAGAAAUCGAUGAAGAAGGGGACAGAAAAAUCAAAAGAGGGAAAACGCUGCCAAAUUAUUGUCAGGCUAUCUUCUUGAAAAUUCCAGAUAAAUCAAAAACUACUCUUAAAUCUAAAUUGCUCUGUUUUCCCGUAAAUACCUUGAGCUAACUUAGGCAUCGGAGGGUUUACGCCGGCAAAACCACCCGCGUCUUUGAUCCGUUUUUUUGUGAGCGCAGGUCUAGAAAGAGAAAGGAGGACGAGUCCAAGUCCCGCGGUUCGAACUUGAUAACAUAAUCGUUGGUGGAAAAUUCUGGUCGGUAACAAGGCGAGCAGAUUUAAGCAUCAACAUUUUGGCGCCGUCUGUGGGGAGCUGGAUAAAAAGCUACCACCAACUUAGUAGUUGCCAGAGAAGCGGUAAACAAUCAGACAUGGAUGUGCCCAGGAAAGACGCUCUGAGGGAGGAUAACGAGUCUGGAGAGACAAUCACUCUUAGGGAAAUUGCAAAUGAAGCCCGGGAGAGGGUAAUGCAAGAUCGAUUGGAGCGGAUGGAGAAACAAAUGGAGACUCUCGCGACCAUACUAUUUGAGCUGAGAGACGAGCGGAGAAGGGAUUGCGAAACCCCUGUGGGGAGAGAUGAUGUCGGAGCAGAACCCAGCCUCCGGACGCGUAGAGUCGAGGAGAUCCCUCCGCCGGCGGACCAACCUAAUGGGGUGCAUCCCCACAGAAGUACUGGUCGGAUUCCAGGAGAACAAAUAGAUGAAGGGAGGAACCAACCUCGCCCUGGGCGGGUACUGGAAGCUGAUGGCCGAGGGGCCAGUGUUAAUGAAGGGGAGCUCAGGCAGCGGUUGCAGAAUGCCGAACAGGAGCGAGAUCAAAUAGCUGCACGUGAUCCUGACCGUGCUGUAGAAUUGGAGGGAGAGGUGCGCAGAUUAGCGCAAGUGAUAGAGGAGAUACAGGGUAGGAGAAAGCCCCCGAGCUGGAGGAUAAUGCUAGAUGAAGAAUCUCCACUAUCAGUUGAGAUCAUGGGCACUGUAAUCCCAAGAGAUUUCCGCUUCCCCGACCUCAAAUACUCCGGGCGAAGUGAUCCACUGGUGCAUAUUGAACGUUUUAAUGACGUGACGGGUGUUCAGGGGUUAACACCAGCUCAGAGGUGUAGGGUAUUCCCAUUGACACUAGAGAGACGAGCCCGAGAAUGGUACCACAAACUGUUACGAGGAAGUAUCAGAGGGUACGAGCAGAUGUGCCAAGAAUUGGCCGAACAAUUCCGGGGGGCGGUGGCCCCAGAGGAUGAUAUGAUGGAACUAAUGGGGAUAAAGCAGGAGGAACAAGAACCCCUUCGAGAUUUUGUAAAACGAUACCACCGAGCCGUGCUUGAUUUGGGAGCUUUCAAUCACCCGCAGGCGUUGAGGGGAUUGAAGGAGGGUGUGAGAAUAGGCCGACUGUGGUAUAACCUGAGAAGCCCCCUGGUGCAGAAUUAUUCCGCGGGGUAUGAGCAAGCAAAGAGAGACAUUGAAAUCGAAGAAGAAAAAUCAGCCAGGAUAAAGAGUGAACAAUUGGAGGAGCUGAGACGAAGAGAGAUGAGAGCCCCAAAAGGAGCGGGUCAGGAAAGCAAGCUGGGGAAUCUUCAAUGAUGGGUGCAGUAUCCGCUCGAUCUCGCCUUUAUCCUAUGGCUCAGAGACCGCAGCAGGUCCAACACAAUCGGGCUCAGCCCUCACGCCCCCCAUUCCUGGAACGACAACGAGAAUUUCGGCAGUUGGCUAACCAUCCCUAUCACAACGCUCCCAGAGCACCGCAUACAGCCAACCCCAGAGCGGGACGAUCAGGUCAGCUACCUUCAAUAUCCGCUCGGGAUGAUACUCAUGAUAGCCGAGCAGUCCAGCUGAUUGACCAGAACCCAGCGUACGGACAAUAUACCCCGCUAAAAGUCCCUAUGGAGGAGUUGUAUGAGAGAAUCGAGGGACGAGGCCUGUUGUACCCUCCAGCCCCUAUAACGAAACCUGCUCACCGAAGGGAUAAGAGCAGAUUCUGCAAAUUCCAUGACACUCACGGUCACACCAUCAGCCAAUGUCGUGACUUUAAGAUUCAGGUGGAGGAUUUGGUGAGAAAUCGUUAUUUGGAUGAGUAUGUAGAUGGGGUUUCUCCCGUCAUUGAAUCACAGUACACGCGGGGUGAAGGAGAUGAGAGGAGCCUGGAACGUGAACAGCCAACUAUCCGUGUGAUAGCAGGAGGGCCAACCCUGGCUGGGGAUUCGAAUAGGGCACGGAAGAACUAUGGGAAAUACGCCAUGACCAGCAAAGAAGUUCUUUUCAAUUUGCCAGCAGCCAAGAAGGCAAAAUUGCGGCAAGUUCCCAUUAUGUGGACAGAUGACGAUAAAGAGGGUAUCCUAUAUCCUCAUAAGGAUGCACUGGUGAUUAAGGCAAUGGUGGCUGGUACAGAACUACGACGGAUACUGGUAGACACGGGCAGCUCGGUUGACAUCUUGUUUAAAUCGGCCCUAGAUGAUAUGGGGAUUGCAGACUUAAAAUUGGAACGGACGAACACAUCUUUAAAGGGAUUUGGAGGGGGACGGCUAACUCCCAUAGGAAUCGUCGAACUCCCAAUUACUAUGGGGACAAAGCUGUUUGAAAGAACAAUGAUGUUGGAUUUUGUCGUGGUAGAGGAGAGAAGCCCUUACCAGAUGAUACUGGGGAGACCGUUCAUGAAGAUAAGUCAAUGCGUUGUGUCUACGCAUUAUCUGGCACUAAAAUACAGAAUAAACGGAGCGGUUGGUGUAGUAAAAGGUGACCAGAGGGUGGCAAGGAGUUGUUAUGCUACAGCGGCCAAGGAGACGCUGCAGGUUACUUCCUUAGAUAAUCGAGGAGAACCUAAAAAGGGCCGCCAAGAACCUGUUGAGAAACUGGAGGCAGUUUCGGUAAGCAAAGGCGACCUGAGCAGAGUGGUGAAGAUCGGAUCGGGGUUGGUUGGUGCAGUCAAAGGCGAACUGGUAAAUUGCCUACAGUCUCAUGCAGAUAUAUUUGCCUGGUCUCACGAGGAUAUGCCAGGAAUUGAUCGUGGGGUAGCUUGCCACAAGUUGGCAAUUAAGAAGGGGGCGAGGCCGGUGAGACAGAAGAGGAGAUGCUUUAACCAGGAAAGAUACCCAGACGGACGAGAUGUGAAGAGGUCAUGGAACGCCGAGCACUUAAAGAAGUAUUUUCAGUAAGCAAAGUGCUCUGCUAAAUCCUCAUUUUGAUAAGUUUUCUUUGUUAACUGCAUGAUGGUUUAUUACGCAUGUACAUAGUCUGUAUUUUGUAAUACAUUCAAAUCGCAAUAAAGAUGAAUUCAGCAUGAAACCCUUCUGUUAAGCAAGGCCAUUAUAAUUUAUACCAAGGCAAGUAAGUGCCUGCUUCUGCUCGGUCAACGAAAGACCAGCAGCUAAAUUAGCGAAAUUUCUACCAAGGCAAGUAAGUGUCUGCUUCUGCUCGGUCAACGAAAGACCAGCAGCUAAAUUAGCGAAAUUUCUACCAAGGCAAGUAAGUGCCUGCUUCUGCUCGGUCAACGACAGGCCAGCAGCUAAAUCUACGAAAAUUAUACUAAGGCAAGUAUGUGCCUGCUUUAGUUCGGUCCACGAAAGACCAGCAGCUAAUACUACGAGAAUUCUGCUAGGGCAAAUAAGUGCCUAGUUCUGCUCGGUCAACGAAGACUAGCAACCAAUUUUAUUAAAAUUUUACUAAGACAAGUAAAUGCAUACUCCUGCUCGGUCCACAAAGAAACCAGCAAGCAAAAUCAGAUAAGUUGUCCAAUUAUUUUGCAGAAACCAUCUAUGAGCAAAUACCAGACAAGAAAGUCAAUAGAGAACAUCUAAAAGUUUAUAAAUGUUUGAUUGUCUACAAAAUAGAUGUAAAUCUAAAGUUUACACAGAAAUAGACUUAAAGAUUAGCAGGGUCAACGGCUCCAGCAGCUGAAGAAUCAGCAACCUCAGGAGGCGGGAGAUCGGCAAUACCGGGAGGAGGGGGCAUGGACCCUUGACCCACCUCGAAAGUACGUCCCCCGGCUUCCCCCUCCUGCACCCCCUCCAAAGGAGCCUCCGCCUGAUCCUGAUGACCUUGCUCCUUAUCUGCCUGGCCGGUUUCCGCCAUAUACCGCUGCACUCCAGCCUCCAGCUUACUCAUGUCCAGCUCGGGAUAUUCUUCUUUAAGCACGGACAUGAUACACUUAUAGGAGAAAGCAACCCCAGAGUCAUACUCGGCAUCCAGCUGGUCGUCCACAUCAGCGGAUUUGCCUUUCUCCUCAGCCAGCUGUUCAUUUAGGGAUUUGAUUUCUCCCUCAAGGGCAGUCCUCAGAGUAUCUCUUUCACUUUGAGUUACCUGAAGGUCAGACUUCAGGCUGCCCAACUCACCCUCGAGUUUGGAGGCAGUGGACUCAGCAAUUGCAGUUUUCUCCUCCAGCUCCAUAAUCUGUUUGUUCAGCUCGGCCAGUUUCUCCUUGGAGCGAUCAGCAGAUUCAGCCUUCUUUUUCAACUCCUGAUUAUCAGCUUGAAGCUUCCUCUCAUGGCGUAUGGACACGUUCUUGUAACACGAAACCAUGGUGGCCAGCCUGAAGGAAACCCUUUGAACAGAGGCAGCUAACUCGGAGAGCUCCAUACUCUCGAUGUCCUUCACCAUCUUGGGCCCAACCGACCUCUUGUAAUCCUUUUGGUACGGGCUCAAAUAGUCACCCUGAUCCCGAGAUGGAAGAGGAGAAGAUCGGUCCCCAGAUUGUAAGCUGACCUCAGGGCUCUUGUCGGAAGUUUUCUCCCCACUACUCUUACGAGGUGGAGGAGGGGGCAGAGCAGGAACUGGAGCCUGAGAAGGACUGGCACUGGCCUUUUUCGGAGGAGGAGGAGGGUGGCUGGAGCUGCUCGAUGCCCGACCACGCUUUCUGCUCAUCGCGCUGAGGAUCUUGUUAUCCAUCCCAGCGGCAAUAUCUACUAAGCCCGAACCGACCAGGUUUGUUGGUGACAGGAGGUCUUGACAAGUAGACGCGCUCACCAGAGCCGUUUCCACCUGGAGUAAAGGUCGGUCCUCGAGAGUCUUAACCAAACCCCACGAUUCUGAAAAAACAGACAAGGUUAAAGAACCCAAUAAGUGGCAAUUCGAGAAAGAAUAUAGGCAAAAAAUGAACGACCUGGGGUGACAAAUUGCGUUGGAAGGUAAAUGUCACCACCCAACGACCGAACUGCUGGACACCAAUUUCCCCCAGCAAAGAAGAAUUUGUUCUUCCAAUUUUUGCACGAGGAGGGGAAACCGGUGAUUGGCUUUCUCUUCGCAGAACUGGACAUGAAGUAGUACCAGCCCGCCUCCCUUGGGCUGCUCCGCAGCUGAUACAGAUGCUUCACUUCAACAAGGGAAGGCUCCUCCGACCCACACCUCUCCCACAACACAAACAUAGCCGAGAGAACCCUCCACCUGUUUGGGUGUAGUUGACCUGGGGCCAGGUGCAUACCCCCUAAAAUCUUGGCAAAAUAGCGCUGAAGAGGCAGCCGAGCUCCUAAUUUAAAGCUCUCCAGGUGCAUGGUCACGUACUCCCGCGGAGGCCGACUAGGAACAUCACCUUUCUCAGGAACCACAAGGAGAACCUCCUUAGGAAUAUCAUAGAGGUUCCUAAGCUUGAACAGAUCAUUUUGGGUGGUGGCACAGGCUAUGUGAUCAAUGGGGUAAGAAUCUGCCUCCAUCCUAUGCCCAAGGUUUUGUUUCUUAAGAGGUCGGCUCGGCUCGGCUCGGAGCUGCUUCCCUCACUAUCACCCGCUCCUUCAGGAACCCCGACCCCACCAGAACUGUGGUUCUCGCCAGAGCCCGACGCAGGUCCCCCUCUAUUUCCUACAAGCUCUAAUUCAGAGGAGGGUGAAAUGGUCAAGGGACGUGGGUACUCAAGGAUAUCCCUACUAUGGGAUAAGCCUACACUACGAGAGGGAUUCAAAAAAUCAGUGGGUAUGGGCAAGUUAAGGUCUGAAUCCCCAGAUUCUUCAUCACCCUCGUCUGCAAUCAACUUCCUUCUUCGAUUUGACAUACCGGAGUUCCAAAAGAAAACCAAAACAAACCCAAGUACACGAAUACAAAAAGAGACAGUACAGAACCCAAUCAACAACAGCCAAAAAAGAGGUUAAAGGCUAUACCUGGAAUGGACUAACAUUGGUAGCACUGCCGUGACAGAGAAAACACCCAGCAAAUGGAUACUCCGGACGCUGGAAAUGGGAGCAAAGUCCAGAAAAGAAAUUGGUUAGUGACGGAGAAACGAAUCGCAGAAUGAUGAUGAUUUUAGUCUAGGGAUUUGGAACGAAAAGGGGGGAAACGGAAGCAUUUAAGUGAUGGGAUAUGCCAGCUCACUCACCAUAUAUCGAGGAAGGAUAGCCCGUCGUUUCAAAUUUCAAAAUAUGAAGAGUCGGGAAGCGCCACGUCACUAACCGAUACAAGAGGCCAGACUAGAGCAAGCCCAGAUAUGCAAUGGACAGGCUCAUUAAGGCCCAUGCUCAGAAGACCAGAUGAGAAGCCCCGGGCUGGUCGGCUUCAACCAUCAGUUUCUACUCUUAACUCAUUUCACUCGCAAGACCAGAAACUGGGGGACUGGUGUUAAGUAAGUAAAAGCACCAGGUCGGCCGUGCUACUAUUUCCGCCCCGGUAUGGCUCACCUCAAUCGAAUGGUACAAGCAGAGCAUGGAGACGAAUAUGGCCCGACCAGAGAUGAGUACCGACCAGAGGUGUAUGCCGAGCCGAUACCCGUCUCCUGAAAAAGCGGGAACACGAUCCCACAGAAUCGCGGGAUUUGCGUUUUUCCCAGAACCGUUGCGAGAGAUGCGAUACCUCACGUUUACCCGUAAUGUAGCAGUUAAAGUUCCGUGAAAGGCCACCACCUGAAAAAGGAGGGAUGAAGACUGAGCGGGAACGUGGGAUAACGGCUAUAAAAGAAGGAGAAAUCGAUGAAGAAGGGGACAGAAAAAUCAAAAGAGGGAAAACGCUGCCAAAUUAUUGUCAGGCUAUCUUCUUGAAAAUUCCAGAUAAAUCAAAAACUACUCUUGAAUCUAAAUUGCUCUGUUUUCCCGUAAAUACCUUGACCUAACUUAGGCAUCGAAGGGUUUACGCCGGCAAAACCACCGGCGUCUUUGAUCCGUUCUUUUGUGAGCGUAGGUCUAGAAAGAGAAAGGAGGACGAGUCCAAGCCCCGCGGUUCGAACUUGAUAACAUAAUCGUUGGUGGAAAAUUCUGAUCGGUAACAAGGCGAGCAAAUUUAAGCAUCAACAAAAUGAAAAUAAAAAUUCAUUACGAAUACGUGUUAAAGAUAUCCCAAGUAUAGAUGUGACUGAAAUAUUUGAGAUUGAAGAAGAAUUAAGACUCAAAAUCAAUUGGGAGGAAUAAAUGAGAAACCCCAAUACCAAAAAAUACACGCACAAAUCCUAAUACUAAUUGUAAUCACGGAUAAAAAGCAUAAUACGAAUAAAUUAAAUGGGCAACUAUUCCAUUGAGAAAUUAAUUAAAUCGUGUAUUAAUAUUUUGUAUACAUAUAUUUUUCUAUAUAUAACUUUCGGUAAUUUAAUUUUCCACUUAUCAUUUUUACUCCAAAAAAAUAAUUGAGAAUAUUAUUUAUAUUUUGGUGCAAAAUAUUUGAACAAUAUACAAAUUUUCAGUUUAAUAAAUCUAAACAUCUAUUAAGUUAUAAAUGAAUUUAAUGGGUUUAAUUAAUAAAAUUACUAUUAUUAUAUAAAUUGGGUUUAGUAAUGGUAUAUUGGGUGGGUUUGUUGAGUAAAUUUUAAAAUUUUGAAAUUUAAGGAUGGGUUUAUUUAGUAAAUGAGUUAAGGGAGUAGUUUGUUGGGAUUCACAUAGCCCCACCAAAUUCAAAUGUAAAAUUUGUGGAAAAAGAAGCUAUUGAGUUAUUCUUUUAAAAAAAGAAUUAAAAUGUCAAGAAUACCUUUAUUUAAUUUUAUAAUCUUAUUUUAUAGUCAUAUUUUAUUUCCACCUUAACAUAAUUUUAAAAACCUUAACUAAUAAAUUCUAUAUUUUUUUUAUAAAAGUUAUCAUUAAUAUCCAAACGGCUAAAGAUUUUUUUUUUUUUAAAAAAAAAGGAACUAUGCUUACAAAAGUUGUAUACAUUAACAAUAAAUUUAGUCCAAAGAAUAAAGUUAUUCCAAACAAGCACUCCAAUUCAUCUUGCUAAUGAAUCAAGAUGACUGAAUCCUUCUCUAAGCCAAAUCUAUUUUCACUUUUAGGUCAGAAAUUGUCAUUAAAAAAAUGUUUGAUAAAAUAUGCUCUAGGAACACUAAUUCGUCAGAUGGUUACUCCAAGUUUAUGAAAUCAAUGGGAUUUCAUCAUAUUCAUAACAUUCUUCUUUAAUGUCUAUUCUAACAAAGAAAUCAUAUACAGAGAAUAGGUUUCGUUAAAACUUUUACUAGAAAAACUAACCACAAUUCACCAUUCAUUUAUAUCUUAAGUAAGCCUAAGAUUUUAUCAUUAAAAUCCCAUCAUGAAAAAAACUCAUGGGAGAAAAACUAUAAAAAUUGAAGAAAAAAGAGUAUGGCGUGCAUGUAAAUUAUAUCGAUUUUAUCUACAUGACAAAUAAGACUCUCUUUUACAAUGGCACGGAUGCUUCAUUGAGUAAUCAUGAUUCUUGCUGGUAGUGCUUUGUUGUAUCAAUCUGCUAGCUAUUCAGCGUUCUUUCUUUCUUUCUUCUUAUUUUUUUGUUUUCAAAUAGCUUGUGGUUGUAGAAAUAUUUCAAUUAAACUAUACUUAAGUACUUAUUUGGUAUAACUUCUUUACUAACCAAAAGAAUUUUUUUUUUUGGUUUUUUAUAAUUUAAUUAUACUUUAACUAGAGUUUUUGGGAUAAAACAAGUGAUAAUUUCUCUCUAUUAAGAAAAACUCAAAGGGUAGGGCUAUCUCAAUCCACCAAACUAUUUAUUAAAAAUCCACUUAUGAAAAUAAUUUUUAAUUAUUAGAAUGCCUUUACAUUAAAUUAUAAUUAUGGACACUAAAAUAUAAUAAAUUUUUUUUUUACUCUUUAAAACUGUCUUUACAUUUGAUAUCAUAUCUUUUUCUUAAAAUCUAAAUUGAUAUUUUUAUUUUAUUUUUUAUUAAUCUUAGAACACAUAUAAAGUGAUUCAUAUUGAUUUUAUACUAACAAACUAUCACAGCACAUUCGAAAAUAAUUAACUCGUUCUUAUUUGCAUAGUGAAAAGGCAAAUAGCUCAUCCAAAUGUUAAAGAACUGGAGAGCUGCUGCUGGAGAUGAAAGAUAAAUAAUUCUCACUUAGAAGAAGGAGAAAAAAAGGAAAUACAAUUAGAAUGAGAGGUAGCCAGUAGCCACUAGCCGCCACCACCACCAGUGAAACUAUUUCACAUAAUAGAAGAUAAAGCACGCGUAAUGGAGGCAAAAAGCAAGUAAUGAUAACUCUUUUCGACACACUAAUACAUAUCAAAAUGCAAUAUCGGUCCUAACAAAAUGAAAAUAAAAAUUCAUUACGAAUAUGUGUUAAAGAUAUCCCAAGUAUUGAUGUGAUUGAAAUAUUUGAGAUUGAAGUAGAAAUAAGACUCAAAAUUAAUUGAGAGGAAUAAAUGAGAAACCCAAAUAUUAAUAAAAUACACGUGCAAAUCCUAAUGCUAAUUAAAAUCACGGAUUAAAAAUAAUAAUAAUAUGAAUGAAUUACAGGCGCAACUGUUUCAUUAAGAAAUUAAUUAAAUCGUGUAUUAAUAUUUUGUACACAUACAUUUUUCCAUAUAUAACUUUCGGUAAUUUAGUUUUCACUUAUCAUCUUUACUCCAAAAAAAAAAUUGAGAAUAUUAUUUAUGUUUUGGUGUAAAAUAUUUGAAUAAUAUACAAAUUUUCUGUUUAAUAAAUCUAAACAUUUCUCCAGUUAUAAAUGAAUUUAAUAGGUUUAAUUAGUAAAAAUAUUAUUAUUAUAUAAAUUGGGUUUGGUAAUGGUAUAUUGGGUAUUUAAAUGGGUUUGUUGAGUAAAUUUUAAAAUUUUAAAAUUCAAGGGUGGGUUUAUUUUAGUAAAUGGGUUAAGGCAGCAAUUUCCCAAACUAAAAUUUUUAGAAAAAGACGCUAUUGAGUUUUUUUUUUUUUUAAAAAAAGAAUUAAAAUGUUGAGAAUACCUUUAUUUAAUUUUAUAAUCUUAUUUUAAAAAAUUUACCCAAUAAAUUUUAUAAUUUUUAUAAAAAUUAUCAUUAACAUCCAAACAGCUAAAGAUUAAAAAAAAAAAAAAAGAAGAAGGGAACUGUACGAGCAAAAGUUACAUUAACAAUAAAUUUAGUCCAAAGAAUAAAGUUACAGCUAAAAAGUGCUCCUAUCCUAUUUUUCUCUAUUUUAACAAUAAUCUUCUUCCAAUCCGUUUUACAAUGGACUUUAACAAAUGGGCUCAAUCUCUAAACUUCAUUUUCUUUUGCUUACCCAUGGCCAUUAGCCAGAAAGCCUAAAACAAGACCAGCCCAUAUAUAUAAUUUUUUUUAAAAAAAAGUAAAAAUGUGUGAGAGCUUGUAGCAUUACAAUUUUAGGAUCACAUGUGUAAAUGGAACCCCAACAUUGAUCAAGAAUUAACAAGACAAGAUGAAGAGAUGAUCUUGUAACUAAGAAUGAAGAAAUUGAAUCAAGACAGUACUCUAGUAAAACCCAGAAAACAGAGCUUGAAGAAUCACGCACAAAGCAGUAAAUUUGUAAAACCAGAAUUGGAGCUUCACUUCUCAAGAGAGACGAAACAGGAUACAGUCUAGCUUUAGCCAAAGUGAUAAACUCGUAAUUAUUCUACAAAGGGAACAAUUUUGAACAGUGGGAAAUUCCAUAAUUAUUCUUUUCGGUGAAUUAUUUUAAAUAAAAUUAUAAAAACCAAUAUAAAAUUAUUACCCAGUAAAGACUUUAGAGAGACAAGUGCUCCCAACAGGAUCAAGUGAAUAUGCCCCACAAAGAUCAUUUCUUGUUCUUUUUCUUUUUGACAAUUUUAUCUGUGGUUUCAACUUUUAUGCUUUAUUGUCGUAUCCCGUUGAGGGCUCCGCUGCACCCAUUACAACUUACCCCUAAAUUGCCUCUUACUAACUAAACCGUUAGAUUUUAUGGAAGCACGUUCAAUGCUGAAUUUUAAUUAUGUCAUCAAAUUUCGUUUAGCUCCUUAAACUCCAUUUUAUUUGUAAUUUCUUCAUAAAAUAUUCAAAGCUUCAUCAAGCUCCUGAUGGACCAUCAUGGCUAGGGGUGCAUUAGAGCCGAACUGAAAUAUGUUAGUUCAGUUCAGUUUGGUCAGUUUAAAUCGAAUGGUUUAGAAUAUAUAAACUGAUCAAUUUUAAUUUUUAAUUGAACCGAAAAUCAAUUGGUUCAUUAUUAGUAUUUUUUUAUAAACAUGAAUUAUUAGUGAUUGUAAUUAAAUUGGACUAAAAAAAAUUCAAACUAAGGUGAAAAAUAUAAAAUCUUAGACAAUAUAAAAGAAAAAAUAUUAAAUUUUUUUAACCGAAUUAUUUUGACUCAAUUUGGUUCAUAAUUUUUUAAACCAAAUGGAACCCUCAUAACAAAAAACUAACAGAAACAAUAAGAACACGAUGUUAAAAUCUUAAAUCAAUCGCAAAAAAGCACCCAAAACAGAUCGAUUAGGAACAGUUAACAACAAAAGAUUUGAUGGUUCAAAAUCAUAAUGUGACCUACUUCCAUCCAAGAAUUAUACUAAUUUCUUUACUAGUUGUCAAAUACAAGAUCACAAGAUUAUUUAUCACUCUAUAGAGAAAAAAUUUUUAGAAGAAAUACUCCCCAAUUUUUCUCUUGAUAGUUAUGAAUCAACACCCCUAGAAAGGCUAUUGAUUUACUUUUCCUUAUUUCAUAUGAUCGGUUGCUGCAACUUAAUCCUUGCCAAGUUCCAACAUAGUCCAAACAUUUUUCAUGGUACAUGCAUAGUGCACCUUCAGAAACUUUACAGCUCUUCUUAAAACCUCAGUUCUCGUGAUGUUUCUGAUUUAUUUCUGGGACGAGUAACACUUUUGUUGAACCUAGACCAGAUUUAGUAUCCAAUCAAGAAUUUCCAGGAUCUAGCUGAACUCUCUAAUCAAGACCUAAAGAAUAGUUAAUCAAAUCCACACAAAAGAAUCACCCAAAAACAGUAUACAAAGAACAACAAAUAUAAGUGGUUUUGAGAUAAAUGUAAUUGACUUCUGAGCAUGACUUAAUUUUGAGAUCAUUACUUUUAGUUAAAUGAUCUCCUCCAGAGCUUCUACCUAUGUAGUGUUUUUAGACCUCUAUAGUUGAUAAAGCACGUUCAAGGUGAAGGCUUGUUUUCCAAUCUAUAGUCCAAUUAUAGACUGGAAAUGGUCAGGCUUAAUGCACCUUCAAAAGCUUCACAAUUUGUAUUGAAACCUUAAGCCUCAGAAUGCUACAAAUUUUAAAUCCAUAUACUUAGUGCUCUUAUGAUUUGUUUGAUUUUUACUUAGAUGAAGAGCAUUUUAGCUAUAGAAAACAUUGUAACUAAUUCAAAGCAUGCCUUAGCUACGAGAUCAUUCAUUCUAGCCAAAUGCCCCCUUUAGAGAUUCUGCUAUUGUUGUGUAUUCAGCCUCUAUAUUUGGCAAAGCAAUUACAUGUCGAAGGCUUGCUUUCCAGUUAACAGCGCAAUUACAUAGAUUAAAGGUGUAACCAGGCAAAGAACUUAGUUAUUCUGCCAAGGUCUCCAACAUACUCCAAAUCCAUAUAACCACCAGACUUCAAUCUUUAGACUCCAUAGAUCAAACCAUAACUUAGUGUGCCUUUCAAUCUCAGGUAACAUUUUACUGUUUUCCACGUCUUGCCAUGUACUUGCUGCUAACACUAACAAUUUGAGAAAUGUUAGGCAUCGUAAGCAGCCGACAACACUCUUCUUCAUUUCUUCAUUGUCAAUUUCCUUCUUGGAACAUUGCUCCAUUGAGAGUCUGCUAUCAUUGCUCCAAUUAUUAUUAUUUUUGUUUUUUUAAAAAAAAAAAUUAACCGUGCAAUAAGAGUAUAAGACUAAGCAACGGUCCUUUUUUUUUUCCCAUUCUUGAACAUGAAGUAUUUGAGUAUGCAAUAAAAAUUGUUUAUUGAUAAUUAAAAGUUAAUAGUGGGUGGCUUUAGGAUUUGUUUACAAAAUUGACAACAAAUUAAGAUUUUUCAAAUUCAUAGGUAAGAAACUUUUCAUUUAUUCAUAGAUUUUCCGGUUUAAACUUUAAAGGAAACUUAAAAGAAAAAGAUGUAUCAUUAGAUUUGUAAUUAAAAAAAUUUAAUAUUGUAUGAUCUGUUCGAUAUGCAUAAUUUAAAUAAACAUUAAUAUAGAUGUUAUAUAUCCUAAAACUUAAUUGACUUAAUUCUUACGGUGCAAGGAAGACGUUUCCAAGUUUAAAUCUAAUUUGGGGUCGGGAAAGCACUGGGAAAUAAAUGUAACAAAGGAAAAAAGAAAAGAAUGACAGUCUGAGUGGAGCCAACACGGUUUUGAAAAAAGUGCAAAAAAGGGUUUUAGGAUAUAUUCUAUUAUCGUUUGUUUGCUUGCUUGUGGAAAUAAAAGUCUCAUGUUUCUUUGAAAGGUAAGCAAGUGUGAAUGUUUCUAUCUAGAGCUGGAAAAUGCAUUUCCGUGCAACUUACUUGAUGAAUGAAGUUUUCAUCUCUGACCUUGAUGUUUCCCAGAGCUGCAUUCAUUUCAGCUGAUCUAUUUCAUUUCGUUUGCAAAGGAGUGACACAAAACCUCCUUUGUUAAGGGGAGAAUUUAGAGUGGCUUCAACGGUUAACAAAUAGCCUAAUGUAAGACUUAAUCAAUUUCCUGCCCGGUUGCUUACCACUACUUAUCACUUUAACGUAUGAAACCUAAUCAAGAUUCCUUUGAUGAUUUUUCUAUUUGCUAAUUGAUUGAUAAGCUCUUCAGUGAAGAUAUAGUGUCCGCAAGCCAUAUGUUGAUAGAGUUAGAGUUUGCAGAAGCUACUGUACCAUAUGUUGUUAGAGGCGGUAAAAACGGAGGCAGAUCAACACACAUUUAAAUUUCAAUGACAAUUUACUGGAAAUAAAUUUCCUAUGACCCUACAUGUGACUAAUUGAUGAGAACUUGACAAUGACAAAAGAAAGUGUAUGAGCUUUGCAGGCUGGCUUGCCAAUAUUGACUGUAUGGCACCAUCCGCAAGUAAGUAUCAUUACUGUUUAAUCAACUUGGUGGAGUCCACUGGGACCACCCCACAUGGUCAGUCUUAUCUCUACUCCUAAAUUUUCAAUAUUCCAUACAUCAAACCAAUUGCAGUUUUGAUAUCAAAUUCAAUUUUAUUGUUGGUGACGAUUCUGAUUCCUUUCAUUCUCACAAAACGGAACCAUGGUUGCUGUUGGAGAGAUCUUACUCAACGCCUUCCUUGAGGUGUUGUUUGACAGGUUGGCUUCUCGUAAUUUGCUCCGCUUUGUGCGUCAACUCCAAGGCGGGGUUGAUUCGGAGCUCAAGAAGUGGGAGAAAAAGCUGAAGAUGAUUCAGGCUGUGCUCUGCGAUGCAGAGGAGAAGCAACUGACCGAUGAGGCUGUGAAGAUGUGGCUGGACGAACUCCAAGACUUAGCUUUUGACGCUGAGGACAUUCUUGAUGAGUUUGCUACUCAAGCUUUGGAAAGCAAGUUGAUGGCGCAAAACCAGGAUAGCUCUGGCCAGGUUCUCAGUCUCAUCCCGGCUAGUUUGAAUCCGAAUGCUAUUAUGUUCAAUUAUAGCAUGGGGUCCAAGAUUAAAGAUAUGACUAGCCGGCUGGAGCAACUCUGCCAAGAAAGAAUUGAACUUGGACUGCAACGGCUUACUGGAGGGGCGUCAUCAACCGCUGCUGCUGCACACCGGAGGCCACCCAGUUCGAGUGUCCGAACAGAACGUGAAGUAUUUGGAAGAGAAGAAGAUAAGGCCAAAAUUCUUGAUAUGGUCAAUACCCCAAGUGAUCACGCCAACUUUGUUGUAAUACCUAUUGUUGGAAUGGGCGGGAUAGGAAAAACAACUCUUGCUCGGGAGGUCUACAAUGACAAGGCAGUUGAGGAUUCCAAGUUUGACGUAAAAGCAUGGGUUUGUGUCUCCGACAACUUUGAUGUUUUCAACAUUUCAAAGGCACUUCUCGAGUCAAUCACCUCCGCAGCUAGUGAUCUCAAGACUUUAAAUGAAGUGCAGGUUCAACUGAAAAAAGCAGUGGACGGAAAAAGAUUCUUGCUGGUCUUAGAUGAUGUUUGGAACGAGGACUACAGCUUGUGGGUAGACUUAAAAGCUCCGUUCCUGGGUGCUGCACCAAACAGUAAGAUGAUCGUCACCACACGCAAUUUAAACGUUGCAUCAACAAUGGGACCAAUUGAACAUUAUAAUCUCAAGAGUCUGUUAGAUGAUGAUUGCUGGUCCAUUUUCAUACAGCAUGCAUUUGAAGGUAGAGAUCUUAACGCAUAUCAAAUUUCAGAAUCAUUCAGCAAGAAAGUUGUUGGCAAGUGUGGGGGCUUGCCUCUGGCAGCAAAAACGCUCGGGGACUUCUGCGCACAACAAGGCAUGAUGCGUGGGACGAUAUAUUGGAUAGCAAAAUAUGGGAUUUACAUCAACAAAGCAGCAUUCUCCCUGUGUUAAGAUUGAGUUACCAUCAUCUUCCGUCUCAUUUGAAAAGAUGUUUUGCUUUUUGUGCCAUCUUUCCAAAAGAUUAUGCAUUCACUGAGAGGGAGCUGACUUUCUUAUGGAUGGCUGGAGGUAUUAUUCGACAGUCAAGAAACAAUGAGCAGCUGGAAGAUUUGGGCAGCAAGUGCUUUGGUGAUCUAGUGUCGAGGUCAAUUUUUCAGCAAACAGCAAGCUCUGAUAGUUCUAAAUUUGUAAUGCAUGACCUUAUUCAUGAUCUUGCUGAAUUGGUCUCUGGAGAAACCAUAUUCAGGUUAGAGGAGGCCAAUACUCGGUCAAGAAGAUUUGAAAGGGUUCGCCAUUCUUCCUAUGCUUGUGGUGGAUGUGAUGGUAAAAAUAUGUUCGUGGUUUUCAAUGAAAUUGAACAUCUACGAACAUUCUUGCCAUUACGCUUACGCAGAAGAGGUGGCUCUAAUGCUGGUUACAUAACUCGUACGGUUCUAUCUGAUUUGCUGCCGAAGUUCAAAAGGUUGAGAAUGCUAUCUUUACAAGGAUACUGUAUUGGUGAGUUACCAAUUCCAUUUGAAGAUUUGAGACUUUUAAGGUUUCUCAACCUUGCUGACACUGACAUAAGAAGUUUACCCGAGUCAACAUGCAAAUUGCUGAACUUGGAAAUUUUUAUAUUAAGAAAUUGUUCCCGUUUGAUAAAGCUUCCACCCAAAAUGAGGAAUUUGAUCAAUUUACGCCAUUUGGAUUUAAGAGGUGCGAAGUUGCUGAAGGAGAUGCCAUUCGGAAUGAAAGAGUUGAAGAAGCUUCAAACAUUGUCCAAUUUCAUCGUGGGCAAGGGCGAAACUGCAUCUGGUUUGGAAGAUUUAAAAUGUUUAAACUUUCUUUGUGAUGAACUCUGCAUUGCUGGAUUAGAGAAUGUGAAUGGUCCACAGAAUGCAAGAGAAGCCGCAUUAUGUGAGAAGCACAAUCUUGAAGCAUUGACUCUAGAAUGGGGGUCUCAAUCUGACGGUCCUCGGGAUGCAGUACUAGAAGAGAAGGUACUUGACACUCUACAACCUCAUGAAUGUAUAAAAGAGCUGGCAAUCAGGCACUAUGGUGGUGCAAGAUUUCCACCUUGGAUCGGACAGCAUUCGUUCUCCGAGAUGAAGGUCCUUAAAUUGGAGAACUGUGGCAAUUGUGUAUCUCUGCCAUCGCUUGGCCUGAUGAGUUCACUUAAGCACCUUGCUGUUAAAGGGCUGAAGAAAUUAAAAAGCCUAGAGUCUGAGGUUUAUGGGGAGGGUUUCUCAAUGCCUUUUUCGUCACUGGAGAUUCUAAGUUUUGAGAAUUUGCCAGAAUGCGAGCAUUGGGACACCAAUAUCAAAGGAAAUGUGCUUGUUGAAAUAUUUCCUCGUCUCCAUAAACUUUCCAUUGUGGAAUGUCCCAAACUCUCCGGAAAACUGCCUGAGCUCCUGCCCUCCUUGAAGACACUUGUUGUUAGUAAAUGUGAAAAGUUGGUAGUUCCAUUGUCUUGCUAUCCAAUGCUUUGCAGAUUAGAAGUUGAUGAGUGCAAAGAACUAGUCUGCCGGACUCCGAUUGAUUUUAAGUUGAUAAAGUCGGUGACUAUUUCAAAUAGUUCAUUAGACAUGAAUGGACGCAAGGGGAUGCUAUACGAUGGUCCAGCUGGCUCUUUACUGCCAAAGCCCAUGACUACUACAAAUGUUUUGGAGUUUGGAAAAUUAUUGAAGCCUGGAUUUCAGAUAUUAGAAACUUUGGUAAUUGGCAAUUCUGAACAGCUCAAGUCAUGGAGGCAGCAUGGGGAUUUUCCGAAAAAAUACAUGGUCACUGACCAUGGGUUUAAGAAACCAGUACGAGGGCUGAAUAUGCUCGCUUCCCCUGAGGAGGUAUCAAUUGAAGAAAGUUGCGUACGUCUUGUUUUGUUUCCAGAGAUCAAUUUCUUUCCCAGAAAUCUGCGCUCUCUUCUAAUUAACAACAGCACUGCUUUGAAAUCCUUACCCGAGGAAAUGAUGGAAAACAAUUCACAACUCGAAAGGUUGUAUAUCAAGGAUUGCGACUCUCUAACAUUCAUCGCAAGACGGAGGCUACCAGCAUCUCUGAAAAGGCUUGAGAUAGAAAAUUGUGAGAAAUUGCAACGUCUGUUCGAUGAUGAAGAGGAUGCUUCUUCUUCUUGUCCUUCAUCCUCGUCUUCCCCAGUGAUGCUGAAACACCUGAGAAUCGAUAACUGCCCAGAGCUCACCAGUUUAUCAUCGGGUGUCCAAUUCCUUGAGGCGCUUGAAGACCUCAAGAUAGGGCAUUGUCCAAAGCUGGAGUCAAUACCGGAUGGCCUGCCCAAUCUUAAAUGUUUACAGAGCAUUUAUAUACGGGAUUGUCCAAGUCUUGUUUCCUUCCCAGAAAGAGGGCUUCCCCACACCAUUUCAGGGGUUUUCAUUGCGAGUUGUGUGAAGCUCGAAGCCUUGCCCAAUGAUUUGCACAAACUCAACUCUCUUCGAGGUUUAAGCAUACAGCUCUGUCCAAAUCUUGUAUCGUUUCCAGAAGAAGGUUUUCCUACCAAUCUAACAACCCUUGUAAUUGAAAAAUUCAAAUUGUAUAAGACACUCGUCCAGUGGGGGUUGCACAGGCUUACCUCUCUUAGAGACCUCUACAUCAUUGGAUGUGAUGAUGAAGCAGAGUGUUUUCCAGACGAGGAGAUAGGAAUGACGCUGCCCACCUCUCUCACUCAUCUGUCCUUUUGUGGAUUCCAAAAUUUGAUAUUUCUGUCUUCAAUGGGUUUUCAAAACCUCACCUCUCUUCAAUCAUUCCCAGAGGUGGGCUUUCCAUCCUCACUUUGGGGCUUAGACAUUAGAUAUUGUCCAAAGCUCAAAACAGCGUGCAAAAGAGAUGAAGGAAAAGAGUGGUCCAAAAUUGCUCACAUCCCUCGCGUUGAGAUAGACGGUAAAUUCAUAUACGAUCCAGAAGCAGAGGAGUAGAUUCUACUAUUAAGGUCAGUUGAUUUGUAUUAUCCGCUAUAACAAGCUCCUCCUUUUUUAUUUUUUUUUUUGAAAUAAUAAUUUUGCAGUCACUCACGUGAUUCCGUUUUCACAAGUCAGAUUGUACGUUGAGGCUAUUUGCCUUUUAAUCGCAGAUUAAAUUAUAACACUUAUCUUAAAAUUUAAUACCAUAGACAGAUAGACGAUUUUUUAAUCCAAAGUUUUUUUUAUUCACUUCAGUUAGCAUUUUUUUUUUCCCCAAAUCAUGCAAGCCGAGAGUUUCAAUCAAGAAUUGGAGGAUGUGAAUGGGAAUUUUGUGAAAGAGUAACAUAAUGGAUGAACGAACAUUUCAUAUGUGAUCUCAAAGUCAACAGAAUUUUAUUCACUCGUUGACUUUUCAACUGCUGUGGUUAUUUAUGGGUGAAAGAUAAGGGCAAUUACAAAAAAUUUGCAAAAUUUGUCCAUUUCUUAGAUGGUAGAAAUUGGAGUAUAAUAUUUUGGAGCAAGCAUACUUGAAAUUUCUUUCUUCAAUAUUUUGAUGCUUUCUUAUCCCAUGCACAAAAAUACUAGAAAAAACUAAUAACAACUAACCGAAAAUCCCAGGCGUCAUAUUCCUUUUUACCGCGUUUUAAAAUGCACAACAAUGAUAUUCUUACAAAUUUGCAAAAUUUGUCAAUUUCUUAGAUUUCAGAUAUUUUAAUGCUUUUUUUAAUUUUUGAUCUAGUAAAAAUACAUAGCCUUCACCGGCAAGAUUCUAGUCUUGGAUUUCACCUCUCUAACUCAUCUGUUCCCAUUGGGAUUCCAGAAAUUGAAAUUUCUGUCUUCAAUGGGUUUUCAAAGCCUCGCCUCUCUUCGAUUUUUGUGGAUCGGGAAUUGCACAAAUCUCACAUCAUUUCCCGAGGUCGAGGAAAAGAGCGGCCCAAACUUGCUCGCAUCCCUUAUUAGGUUAUGAUAGAUGGAAAAUUCAUAUACGAUCCAGAGUCAGAGGUGUUGAUUCUCUUAUUAAGGUCAGCUGAUUUCUAUUAUCCACUCUGACAAUCUCCUAUUAGUGUUUUUCCUUUUGAAAUUUUUUUUCCAAAAUUUUGCAGUUCCGUAUAAUUGAAAAUGCCAUUCAGUUGUUUCCUAAUAGUAUGUUGAGGCUAUUUGCUUUCUAUCGGUGUUUGUUAAGGUAAUUAGUGCUCCCUCGUAGGUGUGACUGGAUUUUUUUCACUUCCGUAAAUAUUGCAUUUUAGACUGGCAAAUUUAGCAGUAAUUUUAAUACAAUUUUGUUGGUGCCUUGUGUUCCAGAAGCUAGAAAAAUGUGUAGUUUUCAGAUAAGGAGGCUUGUCAGUUCUCUAGUAAGAAUCCAAUGAUUUGCUUUUGCACGUCCAUCUAAUUUGUGGAUCCUUGCAUCAGAAUUUGAUCAAUCCAAAAGGAAUUGCUUUUAGACAGAAGAAGAAUAGCAGCACCUAGCCUACCCGCAAACCUGAAACUAUUAGAUUGAGGUAAAAAAAUCAUUGACCCUCACAUGUUAACUUCUUCUAGUUACUUUCGUUGGGAAAAAAAAAAACAUUUAAGGAAUUUGCAAUUUGUUGUUAGUUAUGGUAUCUGAUGUUCUUUUCUGCUUUAGCGUUUGUAGAAUCUACUGUAUUAUGUGUUGGCAGUUGCCGUAUCUAAGGUAACUUGCCUUUAUUUGUUUGCUUCUGACUUAAGGACACCAACAUUUGCCAGAGAUUUAGAGAAUCAUCUCAAAACACUUAGCAAACUUGACAAACUUCAAGAUGCACUUGCCCCCACGCCUUAUUCUCAACAACGCAAAACUUGUGAGUACACCUAUGCCUGCAAUUAUUGUGAAGUGUUCGCAAUUCUGAUGCAGAGAAAUGGUUUCUUGAUGCAAAGUAUUAAACUGUUAAGAUUUAUCCUGCAGGCUUGUUAGAUGCUGGAUACGCGAAAAGCCAACAACAUCAAGAACUGCAACUCCAAGACCAGCUUUGCGUUAAUUCAGUCAGCUGUAAUAAUGAUGCAAAUGACACUAUAUCAAGCUGGACUUAGAGACUAGUCAGAUAAAUCAUCCAUUUCAUCAACGGUUAAUGUCAUGAUGGUGGCUAUCAGAGGAAACAAAAGAUGUGUCGGAAUCUAUACAAACAUUGAGAAGCAUGAGAGGAGCUUUGAUUUUGAGUAGGGUCAAUGAACUCAUAUUGGUAAGUGGUAAUUAAAGAAACUUUGUAAGCUUAGUAGAGUUUCAGUAUUUUCUGUUUGGAGUAUAGUUGAUAAGUUGACUCUGUUUAAGAAGCCCGAUUAUAGUAGCUGACUGUAUUAACCUUUUUUUUUUUUUUUUGGGUCUGCUGUUGUUUUUGGUUUCGAUUAUUUUUUCAACAUUGGGUUGAUCUGUUGAAGAACAAGCUUGGGUUUGAUUAUGCUUUAACUACAAGGAAGAGCCAGACUUGGAUGCAGGCGUUAAGCUUUUAAUGGGUAAGAACAAAUGAAUGCUUUAACUAUGUUUCUCACUUAUUAAAAUGCACGGAUUGAAGGCAUCUGGGUUGAUCCUGACAAUGUGAUGGAAAUACUUCUCUGUUUUCAUAUAACAGGACAAAUAGAGAUCUCUGAUCAUGCCUGAAUUUUUGUUGCAUUGAAAUUUCUACCAUUAUCAAACAUAGAAUGAACUAGGGAUACAUUAGCUUAAGACUAAAUUUUGAGAAGGAAGUUUGUACUUGCAGCCUAUAAAAUCAUGUCCAUGUUGUACGUUUCUUUGGGAAAUGAAAGAUUCUGUGUGUUCUUUUAUUUCAAGUUCACUGAAAUCACAUUUGUUUUCUCAGCUGCUUUCCAGAAGGUAACAACAUCAAUUUCAAAAAUGCUGGGGCAAGAUGUAUCAUGCAGUGCAACUCAACUUGAGAAUUCCUGGCCACAUUACCCGUAUGUCUAAUGAUCGCACAGUACAACCUUGAGAAGCUUGUAAUGAGUACACAACUGGGUGCAAGUAGUUUUGAAAUGAAUUUGCCUCAAAUGAUUUCUUGCCGGUGAUUAAUAUAACCUCUAUUCCAAAAUUCUUGGAACUGGUCAUACUAGCAAUGAAGGAUUGCAUACAUUGAAGACAUAGCUGAAGGCCUUGCGAGAGCUCUGUCAGCCCUUGUACCGGAAAACAGCUGGUCGUAGUCGCUUGUGAAUGAUAUGAUUAAUAGAUACUGCAAAAAUGAAUUGUGCCAUACAUUUUCAGCGCUCUGUGAAGAUGUCUUGGUCAUUUGUUUGAUGCUUGUUUGAUUUAUGUUGUAUUCAGCCAUAAAUCAGAGAUUCAGAACUUGGGUAUGUUUCUGGUUUCCAAAUCAAAAAAUUGCCUUGUGAUGUUAGUGUUCACUGUUUUCACAGGAGAUCAGGUUCCUUGUUAAUGAAUCAAGAAGAAGGCAAGCGCAUCCAUGUCCAAGUUCAAAUGUGUCUCCUCUAUUUUCUAUUACCCACUCAUUUAUUUUGAUUUCUUCAUUGUAAUUGAAUUAGUUUUUUAUUCCAAAUUAGUCAAAACCUCGUAGAGUCAUUAAGUUCUUUUAGCAUUUAAAGACAGAACUACGAACCAAAUGAUUUAAGUUCUUCGUUGUAAUUGAAUUUGCUUUCCCAUCUUUAAAGAUAUUAUGUUCUUUUUCACUUUUUCGAUUUGGUUAGUGGUGAUUUCUUAAAGACUCAAUCCAUUUGCGUUAAUACAUUUUUCUUUUGCCUUGAUUUCUGUUUCUUGGGGAGUUUAUACAUAUUCUUAUUUUAUGCUACACAUGCCAUAUACAGAUUCUUAUUUUAUGCUUCACAUGCCACAUGAAAGGUCAAAGCCUUGUGUGUGAUUAGAAUUUACUGGCAUCAUAGUAACUUUAAACCAUUGUGACGUUUUAGUAAUAACAGUCUGAGCUCUCCCUGAAGGAUUCAAAGCAUUUUAUUUUAUAUUAUACUCCUUUAUAUGGUUUGGCUGGUCUCUUUUAAGGCAAUUCCUGUUUAAAGUAAUCAAAAUUUUGAUUUCGAAGUGUCUUUCAACACUACCGCUAGUUCUUUAAGAAAAGUAAAUCGAUUUUGAGUCUUCUGUAUCAUCUGAUUGAAAUACAUGAAAGCACUCUUAGCUGCAAAAGUACACUUGGAGUUAUAAUAGCAUUCUGAAAUCUCCUUGAAGGAUUCAAAAGCUCUUUAUUUGCUAGUCUUUGCUUGCAAUAAACUCCUUUAAUAUAGAUUGGUUGAUCUUCUUUAAAGCAAUUACCAUAAGUUCUUUAAAUAAUAAAACGACUUUGAGUCUUAUGUAUCAUCUUGUUGAAAUACAUGAAAGCACUCUUGGCUGUAAAAAUGCACUUGGGGUUAUAUAUAAAGUCUUCAACAGAAUUUUAUUUCCCCCUUUAUCCUCAUGGUGGUCUUUUUAGUUGUUUUUUAAGAAAUCGCUUGAAGGUUCUCUUUAAAAAUAAUUUUAACAUAAGCAUUCUUUAGAAGCACUUUAGAUGUCUGGCAUUUAGAAAAUUUUGUUCCUGUGUUCACAUAAUAUAAUAUAUAUAUAUAGAAAGCUGACUGUAGAAUAGAGGAGAACGAGUUGGUGUUGGUCUGAACUCUGAUCUUUGAAUCUCAUGUGACUCCACUACUUUUUACUUGUUCUGUACAAGGUCUUUUAGCUUUUCAAAAAGUUUUAGCUUUAUGGAUAAAAUACUGUUAAUUGUAAUCUAUAAAUAAUGAAAGGAAUUAAUAAAAUAUUUGGUAAAUUUUAUUUUCUAAAGUGUUAUGAGUUCUAAAACGGCUGUAUGUAUAUAAAUUUAUUUACACAUAUAUUUAUAAAUAUGAUUAUAUAAUAAUAUUUUAUGUGUACAUAUCAUAAUUGAUAACUAAAAUAAAUAUUUUUAUUUUAUUAAUGGUUUUUCCGUCUCAAUGUAGUUGGUAAUAAUAAUCUCUUUAGAUGUAACGAUUUUAUUUCCUAACUGAAUAAGGAAAAUUUUAGAUUUUUAUAAUAAAUGUUAAAUAUAUAUAGAAUUACAUUAAGUAUGAAAUAAUCCUCAAAAUUAGAUUUGAAAAGUUAUUCUUUUCUUGCUUUUAAAAAUAUGUCAUAUGAUGAGAUAAUUUUACUAAAAGUGAUUUUUUUUUAAAAAAAUUACUAAACAUCAAAAUUAACUCUUAACUUUUUAAAAUCAUUUCUAAUCUUCUCAUCCUAAGUUCUUUAUUGUUUUGUACAAAAUCCAAGGUUUUGACUUUUAUAAAAUGCCCACUCAAAAAUAAAUUAUUUUCUAAUUAAGAUUUGUUGUUAAUGUAUAACUCGAAGUAAUAUUAGAUAUUUGUAAUUUUAUUUCAAAAAUUUUAUUCAAAUGAUAUGGCAAGCAAUGAACAAUAGUUGAUAGCAAUUUUUUUUUUUUAACAAUGUUCAAAUCAAUCAGUUGCAUUAUCUCACCAUUUUUAUGAUGUCAUGUUAUUUUAAAUGAUUUUUUUAAUUUUUAUAUAAAACAUACGACGUGUUAACAUCAUUUGCAUAACUUGACCUUUUUUUUUUUCCUACAAAUAGUGUUUAAAAUUCAACACACAGAUGUGCCUCUUUCUUACUAUACUGGAAUCCUCGGUAAACUUUUUGUUUGCGCAAUUUAUGUGAGCAAAUUGUGUCUUCUUUUUCAUAUGUAAAUGUUUUUGAUAUCUUGAUGUGAAGGUAGAAAAUUGCAUGUUUUGAGUUUUUGCAUAUUUGAUGGAAACACAGAACCGUACCUGAAUAUUUCAGAACCCCCUUUUCUUUGAAGUUUGAACACUUUUCUUGAAUGUAUCAACUUUAUUUAUGGGAUAUGUUGCCAAAUUGGCAAAUCUAUUCGUUAUAAAACUUUCCUUUGACAGUUUAAUCUAAGCAGAUGUUAAUUCUGCAAAUAGAGUGUGCCUUAGAUUAGUUUCAUAGAUUUGUCUCCUUCUGUACAGUAAAAACUUUGAGCAUUUUCGCCAUAUUCUGAUCAAUACACUCCAACUAGUUAGUUCUUGAGGCGUUUUAUGGUUUCGUGGAGUGAGGCAAGAUGUAUACGUUUGCAAAUUGGCAAUGUCUUUUGCUUGAUGGGUUGAGAGUUGUGAGUGUCAACAGGAAACAAGACCUCUGUUUUAUGAACUCCAAAAAGUUAUUCUGUUAGAAAGAUCGAGACAGAGGCCAUACUAUAUUUAUUAUUGCUAUAAAAGUGUGAAAAAAUAUUCUUUAUUUAAUAUUCUAAACGAUUGAGCCAUUUAGUUAUGAUAUUCUGCUGUAUUGGGGCUAAUAAUCUAAGUCGGUUCAAAGUGGUAAAUUUAUAAAUUGAUAGGUAUGCCUGGUAUGACCGCUUACGUUGGAUUUUAUGAGGUCUGCUCUCCUAAGCAUGGAGAGUGUGUCUUCAUAUCAGCAGCAUCUGGUGCAGUUGGUCAGCUUGUGGGGCAGUUUGCAAAGUUAUUGGGCUGCUAUGUCGUCGGAAGUGCUGGAAGCAAAGACAAGGUAGGUUAUCUGUGUGAAGUACUUGAUUGUUUCCGUGUUACUUUCAAACAUUUAAAUUAAAAAGGAAAUUUUCAUAAUCUUGCCUUUUCUAUGAUUUUCAAAACCAAGGUUGAUCUACUGAAGAACAAGUUUGGGUUCGACGAGGCAUUUAACUAUAAAGAAGAAGCUGAUUUGAAUGCAGCAUUGAAAAGGUUAGCAUCAAUAAAUGCCUUAGCUUGAUGCAGCUUGAUGAAGUAUGAUACACAUUUCUGACCAAUAUACUGCGUUCCCUGAUCUCUUACUUGAAAUAUCUUGGUUUGAGAAUCUCAUGCCAAUGCCUUUAACAUUUUGGCAGGUACUUUCCUGAAGGAAUUGAUAUAUAUUUUGAAAACGUUGGUGGAAAAACGCUUGAUGCAGUGCUACCCAACAUGAAAAUCCGUGGUCGAAUUGCUGCAUGCGGUAUGAUCUCACAGUACAAUCUUGACAAGCCUGAAGGUGUGCACAACUUGAUGUAUCUUGUUUCGAAACGGCUUCGAAUGGAAGGAUUCAUUGUUCUCGAUCACUAUCACCUCUAUCCAAAGUUUCUGGAAAUGAUCAUUCCUCACAUCAAAGAAGGGAAGCUUGUAUACGUCGAAGACAUGGCUGAAGGUCUUGAGAGUGCUCCGGCAGCUCUCAUCGGUCUAUUCUCUGGCCAGAAUGUUGGGAAACAGGUGGUUGCUGUUGCUCCUGAAUGAAGAACAAGUUAGUGUUGCAGUUUGAAUGAUGCUGCUGCACAACUGCUGCCGAAAAAAUCCUUAAUAGAUGAUUAGCAAGGUUUCAAAAAUAAAAAGAAAUGUUUGUGCAACGUGCCGAAUAUGACAGCCACAAAGAAAGAGCAUACAAAUUGAUUGGUUUUAUGUCUUCUCUAGGAGAAAGCUACAAUACAAGAAAUUGUAUUGAUGGAGCCAUGGACCAAAUUUCUUAUUUAAACUUUUAAUUUUUUUUAUUAAAAUUACUUAUGUUAUUAUGGUUUAUAUUUUUAGAAAUUCUUUAGAAAUUAAUACAGAACUAGUAGCAAGUUGAGAAAUCUACUGAAUAGUCGAGAUAUGAUCAUGUUUAUUGAAUUAAAUUGACAAUCAUCAUUUUGAUAAAUUAUUGUUAGGAUAUUUGAUUCAUCACAGGUGUAAGUAACUAAAUGUGCUAAAAAAAAAGUUAAUGAGUUGUGAGUGUUUGAUAUUCGUUUGUUGUAAUUCUUUUAAUAAUUGUUGUGGGAAAAAAAUUAUGGUAAAAAAAUUAUAAUUAUAAAAUAAAAAUUAAUAAUAUAUUAUAAAUAAAAUUUUUAAAUAAUAAUUUUAAUAAAAUAAUAAAUAUAUUAUGAAUUUUUCAUUAUAAAUUUUUAAGUUAAAAUAAUAAAUAUUUAUUAAAUAUUUUAAUAGCACAACUUUUAAAUUAUAACAGUACAAUGUAAAUACCAGAGGUCUUAAAAAAUAAAAUUACAGUCAAGUUUUAAAACUGUUAAUAAUGCUAUUCAUAAAGGCGCUCGUCGUGUAAACAACACAUGGGACCCAACCAAUAAAUGUUUAUGAUCCUCAACUUUCCUCCUCACCGUCCCUGCAAACAAUUCUGAUCUUCUUGUCUGAGAAAAAAACUGAGAAACAAUGGCGGCCGAACAAGAAGCUGUGAGCAAUAAGCGGGUGAUUCUAAGCAACUAUGUGACAGGUUUUCCAAAAGAAUCGGACAUGAAGAUAACAUGUGGAUCAAUAAAACUGGAGGUAGCAGACGGUUUAAAAGACACGGUGCUUUUGAAGAAUCUUUAUAUUUCUUGUGAUCCUUACAUGCGAGAGCGUAUGAGCAAGCUUGAUAGACCUUCUUUUGUUGAUUCAUUCCAUCCUGGUGAGGUUAGUUCAUCACGACCCAUCUCUUGAUUUUUUUUUUUUUUUCAUUUGCUUCAAGUUUUGAUGAGUUUCUGAGGUCAUUUGUACGGUUUUGGAAUGUGAACACUAUUAGUGAUUUUGGGGCUGUAACUGUCAUUAAUGAUAUGUAGUAAUUCAAUCAGAAUUUGGAUUUAGUGCUGAUAUGAUCUCUGCUCAUUUUUUAAAAUCUUGUGUCCAGAUGCAUUUUUAUAAUCUUGUACGGUUGAGAUUGUAUGUAGAUUAAUCUACGUGCAGUAUUCUUGUCUAAUGACUACUAACCACAACCUUAUGAGACGAUCGAAACCAAGCUCAGAUCAAUAAUCCAAUUGAGAGAGGGUCCUAACUCAAGCUUAUCGUGUGUAGGAAUAUUUCGGUUAAAUUGUAAUUCUUUUAAUAAUUGUUGUGAAAAAAAAAAGUUAUGAUAAAAAAAUUAAUAAUUAUAAAAUAAAAAUUAAUUAUAUAUAAUAAAUAAGAUUUUUAAAUAAUAAUUUUAAUAAAAUAUAAUAAAUACAUUAUCAAUUUUUCAUCGUUAAUUUUUAAGUCACAACCACAAAUAUUUACUAAACACUUUAACACCAUAAUUAACACCACAACUAUUGAAUUAUAACUGUACAAUCUAGACGCCAAGAGGCCUUAGUAUGAAAAAAAAAAAUUACAGUUAAGUUAAAAUUCAUCAUACAGAUGUGCCACUUUCAUACUAUACCGGGAUCCUCGGUAAUGAUUUUUGUUACACAAUAAGAUUUGCUUAUAGUAAUAUCAAUACAUAUGCUGCUUAAAUGCUUUCUGAUUUUUUGCCGGCCAUUGUCCAUUUUGCCAGGGAGUCUAUAAUUGAAGGAAUUUACUGAAGGAAUGCUGAUUGUUGGGAAUUUGAUUAUUCUAGGUAUGCCUGGUGUAACUGCAUACGCUGGUUUAUACGAAGUUUGCUUUCCGAAGAAAGGAGAGUAUGUCUAUGUAUCUGCAGCAUCUGGAGCUGUUGGUCAGCUUGUUGGACAGUUUGCAAAAUUAGCUCGUUGCUAUGUUGUUGGAAGUGCAGGAAGCAAAGAAAAUAUAGCACCGUGCCUUCUAGCAGAAUUUUACUUGCUUUAUGUUCCAACUAAGCAUCCAUAUUUGAUCAUGAUAAUUAGCAAGGUCAAUAAUUUUUUUUUGACUAUUUUUUCAACGUAAGGUCGAUUUGUUGAAGAACAAGUUUGAACGAUGCUUUUAACUACAAGGAAGAGCCUGAUUUUGAUGCAGCACUCAAAAGGUCAGCUGCAACAAACGUUUCAACUCUAAUAUUUCAUUUUAAUAUUACAGAGCUUUGGUUGAAGUGUGUGAGUUGAUCCCAGAAACGUAACUUCAUCAGUGUCUCUGUUUUCAAAAAACAUGACAAAUAGAAAUCUGAUUUUGCUUUAAAAUUUCCCAGAUGCUUCCCUCAAGGAAUCGACAUAUAUUUCGAAAAUGUUGGGGGAAAGAUGCUGGACGCAGUGCUACUCAACAUGAGGCUCCGGGGCCGCAUUGCAGUAAGCAGUAUGAUCUCACAGUAUAACCUGGAAAAACCCGAAGGCGUACACAACUUAGAGCAACUGAUCGGGAAACGGAUUCGCCUGGAAGGAUUUCUAGCUGGUGAUUACUAUCACCUCUAUCUGAAAUUCUUGGAACUGGUCAUUCCUCCAAUCAGAGAAGGAAAGAUGCUGUAUGUGGAAGACAUGGCCGAAGGACUCGAGAAAAUUUCUCGUAACUGCUACACAUUAAACGCGUUUCACAUUUCCACUCUCUUUCUAUAAAUAAAUACGCACAUAAAAUUUCUCACCAUCCAAAAACAAAAUCUACAUAAAAAAUGGCGGGUGAAGAAGCAGUGAGCAACAAGCAGGUGAUUCUGAGCAACUACGUGACAGGGUUUCCCAAGGAAUCAGACAUGAAGAUAAUAACAGGCUCAAUAAACCUUAAGGUGCCAGAGGGUUCAAAAGACACAAUGCUUUUGAAGAAUCUUUAUCUUUCCUGUGAUCCUUACAUGAGAGGACGUAUGAGCGAGCUUGAUAAGCCUUCGUUUGUUGCCUCAUUCGAGUCUGGCGAGGUCAGUUACUUCAAUUCCCAUCUCUUGGUUUCAUAAUCUUUUAUGGUUUUAGAAGGUGUUUUAGGGAAACAUUGUGGUUUUGGUUAGUGGGCAUGAGUCUUUGAAGAGAUUAUAAUGUGUAGGACUAUGCAUGCAAUAAUAAGCAUAGGGGAUCUUGUUAGGAGAAGAUUCUCUUAGCAAAAUAAAAACUUUUAUCUUAUCAAAACAUAUGCAGGGAACUUAGUUAUGAUGUCAUGUUAGCAUUGUCUCUGAGGAUUUGAUUUCUUGAUGGGGAAAGGGGAAUUUAAGGUUACAUUAUUCAGCAAUGGUUUUUUUUUUAAAUUAUGUUCAAAUUAUGCAGCCUUUAAGCGGAUAUGGAGUGUCCAAAGUGUUGGAUUCCACGCCUCCAAAUUAUAAGAAAGAUGACUUGGGUGGUGUUUGUUUUUUAACUUAAUGACUUAAAGUGACUUAACUUAAUUAAUUAAGUUAAUUAGAGAUGUUUGUUUUUAUAACUUAAUGUGACUUUUUAAAUAAUUUUGACUUAAUAAAAUAAGCCAAUUUUAUUUACUUUUUACUUAAUAGAGACAUCUGAAUUAAGUCAAGUACUUUCUAAUGUCAAAAAUAUACAUGCUUUAUAAUUUAUUUUUCAUGUCUAUCCCAAAACUCACCCAUAGACAUUUACCCCACAUAAUAAUCUCAUCAUUAUUUUUUUAGCCGUCAUGAAAUCCCUCCUCACUUUGGUAUCAACUCCUCAACUAUUGAAGAUCAAAAUUACAUGCGACAACUUCGAGAUGAAUGGCAAAUCAACUGUUUCAAGCAUCUUAUUAGUUUUUUUUCUUUUUUAUAUUAUAUACGAUAAAAUUUGAAAUUUAUGGUAUUUUAUAUAUUAAAAUUCCAAAAUCAUUAUAUAUUCACUUGAAUAUAGUUUUACUUAUAAAUGUUAAAAUAUUGUGAUAUUUAAUAUAUUGUUUAUUUGACAUUCAAAUUUAAUAAGGAUACAAAUGUAAAAGUACAUAUUUUUCAGUUUUUUAAGUUGAAAAAAGAAAACAACUUAAUAAUUAUUUUUCGAGAUUCAGACGAAAAAACAAACAUAUUAUUCAGAUUCAGACAUUCAGAUCUAUUCAGAAUUUAGACUAAUUCAAGUCUAUUCAGAUUUCAGAUAAAAAAACAAACGCCACCUUGGUCCGGGGCUUAACCAGUUGGGAGGAGUUCAGUCUCAUCCAAUCACCACAACUUCUGAUUAAAAUUCUGGAUACAAGUGUGCCUCUGCCAUAAUUAAUUGACAGGUUGCUAUGUUGUUGGAAGUGCCGGAAGCAAAGAAAAGGUGAGUUUGCACCCUUAACCCUUACGCUCUAAAUAAAAACAUAACACCUUCUGAAAGAAUUGUGCAUAGAGAAUUUUGCAUGUCACAUUAUUUGUGUUCUAACUAAUCAUGGAUAUUUGAUCAUUAGUCUAACUAAAACUGACAUAUUACCACCUAGUUGACUGGUCUUUGAGAAAUGUUAGUUGAUAUAUGCUUGAAAUCAUACUUUGUUUUAUUAGAUGAUUAUAUUAACCUGCUUCUUUUUCUUUGUGCUGUUUCUCGUUUGAUUACAUUUUCAACAUUAGGUCGAUCUAUUGAAGCACAAGUUUGGGUUUGAUGAUGCCUUUAACUAUAAGGAAGAGCCUGACUUGGAUGCAGCUCUUAAUAGGUUAGCACGAAUGAAUGCUUUAACCAUUUUUCUCACUUCAUUAUUACAAUGCGCUGAUUGAAGUAAUCAGUGUUGGCUCUGAAAAUGUAACGUAUACUUCUCUGUUUUCAUAAAACAGGACAAACAGUGAUCAGUGAUCUCAUUCGUUACAUUGAUAUUUUCUACCAUUGCCAUACAUAGUAUAAACUAGGAAUUCAGUUGCUUAAUAGAUAUUCAUUUCAGAGGGAAAUUUUCACUUGCAGCUAACAGAAUCAUGUUUGUGAUGUAUGUUUAUUUGGGAAAUGAAAGGAUUUGUUGCAUUAUUUUAUUCCAAGUUUGCUGAAAUCAUAUUUGUUUUCCCAGGUGCUUUCCUGAAGUUAUCGACAUCUAUUUCGAAAAUUUUGGGGGUAAGAUGCUUGAUGCAGUGCUACUCAACAUGAGAAUUUGUGGCCGCAUCGCUGUAUGCGGAAUGAUCUCACAGUACAACUUUGAGAAGCCUGAAGGUGUACACAACUUGAUGCAAGUAAUUGGAAAACGAAUUCGCAUGGAAGGAUUUCUUGCCAGUGAUUUCUACCACCAAUAUCCAAAAUUCUUGGAACUGGUUAUGCCGGCAAUCAAAGAAGGAAAGUUAGUAUAUGUCGAGGACAUAGCUGAAGGCCUCGAGAAAGCUCCAUCAGCCCUAGUUGGGAUAUUCACAGGUCAAAAUGUUAAAAAACAACUGGUUGUAGUUGCUCGGGAAUGAUAUGAUUACUAUAUGCUUUAAAAAGUGGACUUUGCCAUGCACUUUAAAACCUUAGUGAAGAUGCCUUUGUCUUAUUUUUGAUACAUGUUAUGUUUGUUUGAUCAAGUUGUACUCAGCUAUAAAUCAAAGAUUCAGAACAUGUGUAUGAUACUGGUUUCUAAAUCAAUGAACGCCUUGAAAUGUUAGUGUUUUCACAGGAGAAUGCAAUUUAAUUCAUCAACAAUGUCCCAACAAGACCCUCAGAGCUGUAGCUUGUAAAGUUAAUUACGAUAUUUUUUUGUAAAGUAAAUUACCAUAUUUUUUUCUUUCCAAUAUAUUGCUUAUUUCAUAGAAAGUUUACAUUAAAGUCUCAUGUUUCUUUGAAAGGUAAGCAAGUGUGAACGUUUCAAUCUAGAGAUGGAAAAUGCAUUUCCGGGAACUUACUUGAUAAAUGAAGUUUUCAUCUCUGACCUUGAUGUUUCCCACAGGUGCAUUCAUUUCAGCUGAUCUAUAUAAUUUUGUUUUCGAAGGAGAGACACAAAAUCUCCGUUGUUAAGGGGAGAAUUUAGAGUGGCUUUGACUGUUAACAAAUAGCCUAAUGUAAGACUUAACCAACUUCCUGCCCUGUUGUAUGCUUAUGAAUUUUGAUAGAGCUAAGAGUUUGCAGAAGCUAUUGUAUUAUAUGUCGUUAGAGGCUGUAAACAUCAAACACAUUUAAAUUUCAAUGAAAAUUUACUGGAAGUAAAUUUCCUUUGAUCCCACAGGUGACUAAUUAAUGAGAACUUGACAAUGACAAAAGAAAGUGUAUGAACUUUGCAGGCUGGCAUGCCAAUAUUGACUGGGUGGCACCAUCCACCAUCUGCAAGUGAAUAUCAUUGUUGUUUAAUCAACAAGGUGGAGUCCACUGGGACCACACCACAUCGUCAGCCUUAUCUCUAUUCCUCAAUUUUCAGUAUUCCAUACAUCAAAACAAUUUCAGUUUUGUUAUCAAUUAUAAUUUCAUUGUUGGUGACGAUUCUGAUUCCUUUCUUUCUGACAAAACGGAACCAUGGUUGCUGUGGGAGAGAUCUUACUCAACGCCUUCUUUCAGGUGUUGUUUGACAGGUUGGCUUCCCGUGAUUUGCUCAGCUUUGUCCGUCAACUUGGAGGCGGGGUCGAUUCCGAGCUCAAGAAGUGGCAAAGAAAGCUGAAGAUGAUUCAGGCGGUGCUCAACGAUGCAGAGGAGAAGCAACUGACUGACGAGGCUGUGAAGAUGUGGCUGGACGAUCUCCAAGACUUGGCUUAUGACGCUGAGGACAUUCUUGAUGAGUUUGCUACUCAAGCUUUGGAAAGCAAGUUGAUGGCGCAAAAUCAGGAUAGCUCUGGCCAGCUUCUCAGUUUCAUCCCGGCUAGUUUGAAUCCGAAUGCUGUUAGGUUCAAUUAUAGCAUGAGGUCCAAGAUUAACGAUAUUACUAGCCGGUUGGAGCAACUCUGCAAAUAUAGAAUUGAACUUGGGCUGCAACGGAUUCCUGAAGGGGCAUCAUCAACUGCUGCUGCUGCACACCAGAGGCCACCCAGUUCAAGCGUCCCACCAGAACGUGAAGUUUUUGGUAGAGAAGAAGAUAAGGCCAAAAUUCUUGAUAUGGUAUUGGCCGAUAGCCCAAGUGAUCAUGCCGACUUUGCUGUAAUACCCAUUGUUGGCAUGGGCGGGAUAGGAAAAACAACUCUCGCUCGGGAGGUCUACAAUGACAAGGCCGUUGAACAUUCCAAGUUUGAUGUAAAAGCAUGGGUUUGUGUAUCUGAUGUCUUUGACGUUUUGGGCAUCUCAAAGGCGCUUCUCGAGUCAAUCACCCGCAGGCCAUGUCUUCUAAACAGUUUAAACGAAGUGCAGGUUGAAUUGAAAGUAGCUGUGGAUAAAAAAAGAUUCUUGCUGGUCUUAGAUGAUGUUUGGAACGAGGACUACAGCUUGUGGGUAGACUUAAAAGCUCCGUUCCUGGGUGCUGCACCAAACAGCAAGAUGAUCGUCACCACACGCAAUUCAAGUGUUGCAUCAACAAUGAGACCCAUUGAUCGUCACCACACGCAAUUCAAGUAUUACGAUCUCAAGAGUCUGUUAGAUGAUGAUUGCUGGUCCAUUUUCAUAAACCAUGCAUUUGAAUCUACAGACCUUAGCGCACAUCGAAUUUCAGAAUCAUUCCGCGAGAAAGUUGUUGGCAAGUGUGGGGGCUUGCCUCUGGCAGCAAAAACACUCGGGGGCCUUCUUCGUACUAAAACGCAUGCUGAGUGGGACGGUAUAUUGGAUAGCAAAAUAUGGGAUUUACCUCGGCAAAGCAGCAUUCUCCCCGUGUUAAGAUUGAGUUACCAUCAUCUUCCUUCUCAUUUGAAAAGAUGUUUUGCUUUUUGUGCCAUCUUUCCAAAAGAUUAUGCAUUCACUGAGAGGGAGCUGACUUUCUUAUGGAUGGCUGGAGGUAUUAUUCGACAGUCAAGAAACAAUGAGCAGCUGGAAGAUUUGGGCAGCAAGUGCUUUGGUGAUCUAGUGUCGAGGUCAAUUUUUCAACAAACAGCAAUCUCUGAUAGUUCUAAAUUUGUAAUGCAUACUUGAAAUUUCUGUCUUCAAUAUUUUGAUGCUUUCUUAUCCCAUGCACAAAAGUACUAGAAAAAACUAAUAACAGCUAACCGAAAAUCCCAGGCGUCAUAUUCCUUUUUACCGCGUUUUAAAAUGCACAACAAUGAUAUUCUUACAAAUUUGCAAAAUUUGUCAAUUUCUUAGAUUUCAGAUAUUUUAAUGCUUUUUUUAAUUUUUGAUCUAGUAAAAAUACACAGCCUUCACCGGCAGGAUUCUAGUCUUGGCUUUCACCUCUCUAACUCAUCUGUUCCCAUUGGGAUUCCAGAAAUUGAAAUUUCUGUCUUCAAUGGGUUUUCAAAGCCUCGCCUCUCUUCGAUUUUUGUGGAUCGGGAAUUGCACAAAUCUCACAUCAUUUCCCGAGGUCGAGGAAAAGAGCGGCCCAAACUUGCUCGCAUCCCUUAUUAGGUUAUGAUAGAUGGAAAAUUCAUAUACGAUCCAGAGUCAGAGGUGUUGAUUCUCUUAUUAAGGUCAGCUGAUUUCUAUUAUCCACUCUGACAAUCUCCUAUUCGUGUUUUUCCUUUUUAAAUUUUUUUUCCAAAAUUUUGCAGUUCCGUAUAUUGGUGUUUGUUAAGGUAAUUAGUGCUCCCUCAAUAUUGCAUUUUAGACUGCCAAAUGUAGCAGUAAUUUUAAUACAAUUUUGUUGGUGCCUUGUGUUCCAGAAGCUAGAAAAAUGUGUAGUUUUCAGAUAAGGAGGCUUGUCAGUUCUCUAGUAAGAAUCCAAUGAUUUGCUUUUGCACGUCCAUCUAAUUUGUGGAUCCUUGCAUCAGAAUUUGAUCAAUCCAAAAGGAAUUGCUUUUAGACAGAAGAAGAAUAGCAGCACCUAGCCUACCCGCAAACCUGAAACUAUUAGAUUGAGGUAAAAAAAUCAUUGACCCUCACAUGUUAACUUCUUCUAGUUACUUUCAUUGGGGAAAAAAAAACAUUUAAGGAAUUUGCAAUUUGUUGUUAGUUAUGGUAUCUGAUGUUCUUUUCUGCUUUAGCGUUUGUAGAACCUACUGUAUUAUGUGUUGGCAGUUGCCGUAUCUGAGGUAACUUGCCUUUAUUUGUUUGCUUCUGAGUUAAGGACACCAACAUUUGCCAGAGAUUUAGAGAAUCAUCUCAAAACACUUAGCAAACUUGACAAACUUCAAGAUGCACUUGCCCCCACGCCUUAUUCUCAACAACGCAAAACUUGUGAGUACACCUAUGCCUGCAAUUAUUGUGAAGUGUUCGCAAUUCUGAUGCAGAGAAAUGGUUUCUUGAUGCAAAGUAUUAAACUGUUAAGAUUUAUCCUGCAGGCUUGUUAGAUGUUGUAUACUCGAAAAGCCAACAACAUCAAGAACUACAACUCCAAGACCAACUUUGCGUUAAUUCAGUCAGCUGUAAAAAUGAUGCAAAUGACACUAUAUCAAGCUGGACUUAGAGACUAGUCAGAUCAAUCAUCCAUUUCAUCAACGGUUAAUGUCAUGAUGGUGGCUAUCAGAGGAAACAAAAGAUGUGUCAGAAUCUAUACGAACAUUGAGAAGCAUGAGAGGAGCUUUGAUUUUGAGUAGGGUCAAUGAACUCAUGUUGGUAAGUGGUGAUUAAAGAAAUUUGUAAGCUUAGUAGAGUUUCAGUAUUUUCUGUUUGGAGUAUAGUUGAUAAGUUGACUCUGUUUAAGAAGCCCGAUUAUAGUAGCUGACUGUAUUAACCUUUUUUUUUUUGGUCUGCUGUUGUUUUUGGUUUCGAUUAUUUUUUCAACAUUGGGUUGAUCUGUUGAAGAACAAGCUUGGGUUUGAUUAUGUUUUAACUAUAAGGAAGAGCCAGACUUGGUUGCAGGCGUUAAGCUUUUAAUGGGUAAGAACAAAUGAAUGCUUUAACCAUGUUUCUCACUUAUUAAAAUGCAUGGAUUGAAGGCAUCUGGGUUGAUCCUGACAAUGUGAUGGAAAUACUUCUCUGUUUUCAUGUAACAGGACAAAUAGAGAUCUCUGAUCAUGCCUGAAUUUUUGUUGCAUUGAAAUUUCUACCAUUACCAAACAUAGAAUGAACUGGGGAUACAUUAGCUUAAGACUCAAUUUUGAGAAGGAAGUUUGUACUUGCAGCCUAUAAAAUCAUGUCCGUGUCGUACGUUUCUUUGGGAAAUGAAAGAUUCUGUGUGUUCUUUUAUUUCAAGUUCACUGAAAUCACAUUUGUUUUCUCCGAUGCUUUCCAGAAGGUAACAACAUCAAUUUCAAAAAUGCUGGGGCAAGAUGCAUCAUGCAGUGCGACUCAACUUGAGAAUUCCUGGCCACAUUACCCGUAUGUCGAAUGAUCGCACAGUUCAACCUUGAGAAGCUUGUAAUGAGUACACAACUGGGUGCAAGUAGUUUUGAAAUGAAUUUGCCUCAAAUGAUUUCUUGCUCGCAUCCCUUGGGUUAUGAUAGAUGGAAAAUUCAUAUACGAUCCAGAGUCAGAGGUGUUGAUUCUCUUAUUAAGGUCAGCUGAUUUCUAUUAUCCACUCUGACAAACUCCAAGACCGGGUUUUUUUUUUUUUUAAUUUUGCCGUUCUGUAUAAUUGAAAUGCCACUCACUUGUUUCCUUCUUCACAGGUCCGAUAGUAUGUUGAGGCUAUUUGCUUUUUAUCGGUGUUUGUCAAGGUAAUUAGUGCUGCCUCAUAGGUUGAUUACUCACAGAUGAAAUCAUAACUUUUAUCUUAAAAUUUAAUAGCAUACACAGAUAGAUGAUUUUUAGUCCAAAGUUUUUUUAUUCACUUCAAUCAAAAUUUUAGAUUGCAGAUUUUUGUCAAGUAUUUCAUUACAAUUUUUUCAUUUUUUAUUUUAAACCAGAAUAUGAGUAUAACAUUUUGGAGCGUGCAUACUCUGAUGCAUGCAAUUAACUGUUUUUAAUCAUUGGAUUUUGAAAUUAAUAAUGGUAAGAUGUGUACUUAUUCUGUCUUCCAACAACCUUGGCCUCUUUCUUCGGUCGCAUAUCUAAUGAAUAUUUCUCUGUUUAGUUAAGGAUGAAUGCUUGGAGUGGGGUACUUGGUAACAUUUCUGCCUCAGAUGAAUCCUUGAAGAAAUGCCCGCAGUUCCUGAGACCAAAUACAGGUCUGAUUCAAAACAGCACCUUUCUCAGAAAAUAUGAUCCAAGGCAAAGUCAUGUUCUGAUAAUGUUUCCUUAAGUACAAAGUUGCAAGGAAACUUGAUUCAUUAACUACAGUUUUUUAUUUUUAGGACCUUGUAUCUGAAAGGUUCAGUGUUUUUUUUUUUUCAAAUUUAUUGUUCAGAUCUCAGAGGAGUAUAUGGUUUAGAUUACAAAACACCCAUGAUUAAUUUCAUUUUUUUUUUUUUAUUUCAGGGAGAAGAAGUGGUCAGUUUCAAUCCGGAAUUGGAAUAUGGCAAUUUGGUUCAAGCACACACACCUGGUCACUUGGUCAGUGAACCUGAACUUUACGCAGUUUUUUCAACUCAGUGAUUUUUGGAACGCAUAGUGGUGUAAGGAAAUCAAAAGAAAUUUAUGCAUAGUCAAAUUCUGAUAUUUGCUAUAUAUUAUACAUUCUAAAGUUUCUCCAGUUUGUUCUCAGAUUACCAUCAUUUUUUGCCUUCACCAAAAAAAAAAAAUUGAGUGGCUUUCCAGUGGAUAUUUAAUCGGAGGUAUGACUGGAUUUUUUUCACUUCUGUAAAUCUUGCAUUUUAAACUGGCAAAUUUAACUUUAAUUUUAAUACGACUUUGUUGGUGCCUUGUGCUCCAGAAACUAGAAAGAUGUGUAGUUUUCAGAUAAAGGGGCUUGUAAAUUCUCUAGUAAGAAUCCAAUAAUUUGCUUUUGCACGUUCAUUUUAUUUGUGGAUCCUUGCAUCUGAAUUUAAUCAAUCCAAAAGGAAUUGCUUUUAGACAGAAGAAGAAUAGCAGUACCUAGCCUAUGACAUAGUAUAUGGACCUGCAAACCUGAAACUAUUAGUUUGAGGUAAAAAAUUCAUGACCCUCACAUGUUAACUUUCAUGAAAAACACAUUUAAGAAAUUUGCAAUUUUUUGUUAGUUUCGUAUCCGAUGUUGUUGCAUCACAGUAACUUUAAACCACUGCGACAUUUUUAUAAUAACAGUCUGAGAUCUCCCUGAAGGAUUCAAAGCAUUUUAUUUUAUAUUAAACUCCUUUAUGUGGGUUUCGACACUACCACAAGUUCUUUAAAUACUAAAACGAUUUUAAGUCUUUUGUAUCAUCUUAUUGAAAUAUAUGAAAGCACUCGUGGUUGCAAAAAUACAGUUGGGGCUAUUUCUAAAGUCUUCAACAGCAUUUUCUUUUUAACCUUUAUCCUCAUGGUUGUUUUUGCAGUUGUUCUUUAAGAAAACAUUUAAAAGGUUCUCUUUAUGGAUUUUUGAAAAUAAUUUUAACAUUAGCAAUUUUCAGAAGCACUUUAGAUGUCUGGCAUUUAGAAAAUUUUAUUCCGGUGUCACAUAAAAUACUUAGGAAGUUAAAUUUAUUUAUUUAUGAGCAUGUGCCAGUGCCCUGUGGCAUCCUCUUCACUUGUGAUAGUCAAAUAUAUUAUACGAUACAAUAUUAGCUUGACUGUAGCACAGAGGAGAAUAGGGUUGGUGUUGGUCUGAACCAGCUUAUGUAACAGCUGCCAAAAGGAUAAUUUAAUUGUACUUUGAGUAAAGCUUUUGCGAAUUAAACAAGUGAUAAUUUGUUUCUAUUAAGAAAAACUUAAAGGAUAGGGCUAUUUUAACUCACCAAACUACACAUUAAAAAUCCACUUACAAAAAUAGUUUUUAAUUAUUAAAAUAUUCCUAAAUUAAAUUAUAAUUAUGGACACUAAAAUAUAAUUUUUUUUAUAUUUUACUUUUUGAAACUGUCUUUAUAUUCGAUAUUAUAUUUUUUUUCUUAAACUCUAAAUUGAUAUUUUUUUAUUAAUUUUAAAACACAUAUAAAGUGAUUUAUAUUGAUUUUAUACUAACAAACUAUUAUAGCACAUUCGAAAAAUAAUUAAAUCGUUCUUAUUUACAUAGUGAAAAUGCAAAUAGCUCAUUCAAAUGUUAAGGAAUUGGAGAGCUGCUGCUGGAGAUGAAAGAUGUGAAUUAAACAUCAGAGAAAAAAUUAUGUUCACUAUCUUGCCAGACCAAGCACCGAAGAGCGUCGUAAAGAAAAAUUAGAUAAUUUAGAAGAUAAAGCACGUGGAAUGGAGGCAGAAAGCAAGUAAUGAUAACUCUUUCGACAAACUAAUAUAUACCAAAAUGCAAUAUCGGCCCUAAUAAAAAAUGAAAAUAAAAAUUCAUUACGAAUACUUGUUAAAGAUAUCCCAAGUAUAGAUGUGACUGAAAUAUUUGAGAUUGAAGAAGAAUUAAGACUCAAAAUCAAUUGGGAGGAAUAAAUGAGAAACCCCAAUACCAAAAAAUACACGCACAAAUCCUAAUACUAAUUGUAAUCACGGAUAAAAAGCAUAAUACGAAUAAAUUACAUGGGCAACUAUUCCAUUGAGAAAUUAAUUAAAUCGUGUAUUAAUAUUUUGUAUACAUAUAUUUUUCUAUACAUAACUUUCGGUAAUUUAGUUUUCCACUUAUCAUUUUUACUCCAAAAAAGUAAUUGAGAAUAUUAUUUAUGUUUUGGUACAAAAUAUUUGAACAAUAUACAAAUUUUCAGUUUAAUAAAUCUAAACAUCUAUUAAGUUAUAAAUGAAUUUAAUGGGUUUAAUUAAUAAAAUUACUAUUAUUAUAUAAAUUGGGUUUAGUAAUGGUAUAUUGGGUGGGUUUGUUGAGUAAAUUUUAAAAUUUUGAAAUUUAAGGAUGAAUUUAUUUAGUAAAUGAAUUCAGGGAGUAAUUUGUUGGGAUUCACAUAGCCCCACCAAAUUCAAAUGUAAAAUUUUUGGAAAAAGAAGCUAUUGAGUUAUUCUAAAAAAUAAUUAAAAUGUCAAGAAUACCUUUAUUUAAUUUUAUAAUCUUAUUUUAUAGUCAUAUUUUAUUUCCACCUUAACAUAAUUUUAAAAACCUUAACUAAUAAAUUCUAUAUUUUUUUUUAUAAAAGUUAUCAUUAAUAUCCAAACGGCUACAGAUUUUUUUUUUUUAAAAAAAGGAACUAUGCUUACAAAAGUUGUAUACAUUAACAAUAAAUUUAGUCCAAAGAAUAAAGUUAUUCCAAACAAGCACUCUAAUUCAUCUUGCUAAUGAAUCAAGAUGACUGAAUCCUUCUCUGAGCCAAAUCUAUUUUCACUUUUAGGUCAGAAAUUGUCAUUAAAAAAGUGUUUGAUAAAAUAUGCUCUGGGAACACUAAUUCGUCAGAUGGUUACUCCAAGUUUAUGAAAUCAAUGGGAUUUCAUCAUAUUCAUAACAUUCUUCUUGAAUGUCUAUUCUAACAAAGAAAUCAUAUACAGAGAAUAGGUUUCGUUAAAACUUUUUCUAGAAAAACUAACCACAAUUCAUCAUUCAUUUAUCUCUUAAGUAAGCGUAAGAUUUUAUCAUUAAAAUCCCAUCAUGAAAAAACUCAUGGGAGAAAAACUAUAAAAAUUGAAGAAAAAAGAGUAUGGCGUGCAUGUAAAUUAUAUCGAUUUUAUCUACAUGACAAAUAAGACUCUCUUUUACAAUGGCACGGAUGCUUCAUUGAGUAAUCAUGAUUCUUGCUGGUAGUGCUUUGUUGUAUCAAUCUGCUAGCUAUUCAGCGUUCUUUCUUUCUUUCUUCUUAUUUUUUUGUUUUCAAAUAGCUUGUGGUUGUAGAAAUAUUUCAAUUAAACUAUACUUAAGUACUUAUUUGGUAUAACUUCUUUACUAACCAAAAGAAUUUUUUUUUUUGGUUUUUUAUAAUUUAAUUAUACUUUAACUAGAGUUUUUGGGAUAAAACAAGUGAUAAUUUCUCUCUAUUAAGAAAAACUCAAAGGGUAGGGCUAUCUCAAUCCACCAAACUAUUUAUUAAAAAUCCACUUAUGAAAAUAAUUUUUAAUUAUUAGAAUGCGUUUACAUUAAAUUAUAAUUAUGGACACUAAAAUAUAAUAAAUUUUUUUUUUACUCUUUAAAAUUGUCUUUACAUUUGAUAUCAUAUCUUUUUCUUAAAAUCUAAAUUGAUAUUUUUAUUUUAUUUUUGAUUAAUCUUAGAACACAUAUAAAGUGAUUCAUAUUGAUUUUAUACUAACAAACUAUCACAGCACAUUCGAAAAUAAUUAACUCGUUCUUAUUUGCAUAGUGAAAAAGGCAAAUAGCUCACCCAAAUGUUAAGGAUAUGAAAAGCAUGGUCAAGAAAAAUUGCAUAAUUCUCACUUAGAAGAGAGGUAGCCGCCACCACCACCAGUGAAACUAUUUCACAUAAUAGAAGAUAAAGCACGCGUAAUGGAGGCAAAAAGCAAGUAAUGAUAACUCUUUUCGACGCACUAAUACAUAUCAAAAUGCAAUAUCGGUCCUAACAAAAUGAAAAUAAAAAUUCAUUACGAAUAUGUGUUAAAGAUAUCUCAAGUAUUGAUGUGAUUGAAAUAUUUGAGAUUGAAGUAGAAAUAAGACUCAAAAUUAAUUGAGAGGAAUAAAUGAGAAACUCUAAUACUAAUAAAAUAUAUUCACAAAUCCUAAUGCUAAUUAAAAUCACGGAUUAAAAAAAAUAAUAUGAAUGAAUUACAGGCGCAACUGUUUCAUUAAGAAAUUAAUUAAAUCGUGUAUUAAUAUUUUGUACACAUACAUUUUUCCAUAUAUAACUUUUGGUAAUUUAGUUUUCCACUUAACUUUUGGUGAAAAAAAUAAUUGAGAAUAUUAUUUAUGUUUUGAUGCAAAAUAUUUAAACAACAUAAAAAUUUUCAGUUUAAUAAAUCUAAACAAUUCUCAAGUUAUAAAUGAAUUUAAUGGGUUUAAUUAGAAAAAAUACUAUUAUUUUAUAAAUUGGGUUUAGUAAUGGUAUAUUGGGUAUUUAAAUGGGUUUGUUGAGUAAAUUUUAAAAUUUUAAAGUUCAAGGGUGGGUUUAUUUAGUAAAUGGGUUAAGGCAGCAAUUUUCCAAACUAAAUUUUUGGAAAAAGAGGUUAUUGAGUUUUUUUUUUUAAGAAAAAGAAUUAAAAUGUUGAGAAUACCUUUAUUUAAUUUUAUAAUCUUAUUUUAAAAAAUUUACCCAAUAAAUUUGAUAAUUUUUUAUAAAAAUUAUCAUUAACAUCCAAACAGCUGAAGAUUAAAAAAAAAAAAAAAGAAGGGAACUGUACUAGCAAAAGUUACAUUAACAAUAAAUUUAGUCCAAAGAAUAAAGUUAUAGCUAAAAAGUGCUCCUAUCCUAUUUUUCUCUAUUUUAACAAUAAUCUUCCAAUCCGUUUUACAAUGGACUUUAACAAAUGGGCUCAAUUAACAAGAUUGAUCAAGAAUUAACAAGACAAGAUGAAGAGAUGAUCUUGUAACUAAGAAUGAAGAAAUUACGCACAAAGCAGUAAAUUUGUAAAACCAGAAUUGGAGCUUCACUUCUCAAGAGAGACGAAACAGGAUACAAUCUAGCUUUGGUCAACUUCGUUUGGCCACGUCAUAAAGUCUCCCCACAGUCUUUCCCGCCAAAACAGAAAAGCUUUAAAAGCCAUUUACCUUCCUGAGUUACUUGCUCCUAUUACAUCAAGGCCCUGGAAGUCUAUAUUUAUUAUUACAAAAGCACUCUUAGGGUGCGUUUGGAAUUGAGGUGUUGUAGUUUUUAAGCUACAGCUGUUGUGAAAAAAAACUGUAAUUAUGAAAUAAAAGUUAAUAAUAUAUAGUAAAUAUAAAUUUUAAAUAAUAAUUUUAUCAAAAUUAUUAAAGAUAUAAUAAAUUUUAUAUUAUACAAGUGAAAAAUUAUAUCAACAUAGCUUAAAAGCUACAGCAGUUAAUGUUUACCAAACACUUUAGUGCUGUAGCUUUUAAGCUUCAGCUGCCCAAUCUCAAUCGCAAACGCACCCUUAAACCGAGAUCGAAGCGCAUGAUUUCAUUACAAAGCAUUCGCAAAGAAAUUGUUUUUAAAUGAAACUCCUCGUCUUGACCAGAUUAUUUAUUAUUAUUCAAAAACAAAUGCUCAAAGCUUAGCCAAAGUGAUAAACUCGUAAUUAUUCUACAAAGGGAACAAUUUUGAACGGUGGGAAAUUCCAUAAUUAUGCUUUUCUGUGAAUUAUUUUAAAUAAAAUUAUAAAAACCAAUAUAAAAUUAUUACCCAGUAAAGACUUUAGAGAGACAAAUGUCCCCAACAGGAUCAAGUGAAUAUGCCCCACAAAGAUCACAUGAUCAUUUCUUGUUCUUUUUCUUUUGGACAAUUUUAGACAAUAUAAAAGAAAAAAUAUUAAAUUUUUUUAACCGAAUUAUUUUGACUCAAUUUGGUUCAUAAUUUUUUAAACCAAAUGGAACCCUCAUAACAAAAAACUAACGGAAACAAUAAGAACACGAUGUUAAAAUCUUAAAUCAAUCGCAAAAAAGCACCCAAAACAGAUCGAUUAGGAACAGUUAACAACAAAAGAUUUGAUGGUUCAAAAUCAUAAUGUGACCUACUUCCAUCCAAGAAUUAUACUAAUUUCUUUACUAGUUGUCAAAUACAAGAUCACAAGAUUAUUUAUCACUCUAUAGAGAAAAACUUUUUAGAAGAAAUACUCCCCAAUUUUUCUCUUGAUAGUUAUGAAUCAACACCCCUAGAAAGGCUAUUGAUUUAUUUUUCCUUAUUUCAUAUGAUCGGUUGCUGCAACUUAAUCCUUGCCAAGUUCCAACAUAGUCCAAACAUUUUUCAUGGUACAUGCAUAGUGCACCUUCAGAAACUUUACAGCUCUUCUUAAAACCUCAGUUCUCGUGAUGUUUCUGAUUUAUUUUUGGGACGAGUAACACUUUUGUUGAACCUAGACCAGAUUUAGUAUCCAAUCAAGAAUUUCCAGGAUCUAGCUGAACUCUCUAAUCAAGACCUAAAGAAUAGUUAAUCAAAUCCACACAAAAGAAUCACCCAAAAACAGUAUACAAAGAACAACAAAUAUAAGUGGUUUUGAGAUAAAUGUAAUUGACUUCUGAGCAUGACUUAAUUUUGAGAUCAUUACUUUUAGUUAAAUGAUCUCCUCCAGAGCUUCUACCUAUGUAGUGUUUUUAGACCUCUAUAGUUGAUAAAGCACGUUCAAGGUGAAGGCUUGUUUUCCAAUCUAUAGUCCAAUUAUAGACUGGAAAUGGUCAGGCUUAAUGCACCUUCAAAAGCUUCACAAUUUGUAUUGAAACCUUAAGCCUCAGAAUGCUACAAAUUUUAAAUCCAUAUACUUAGUGCUCUUAUGAUUUGUUUGAUUUUUACUUAGAUGAAGAGCAUUUUAGCUAUAGAAUACAUUGUAACUAAUUCAAAGCAUGCCUUAGCUACGAGAUCAUUCAUUCUAGCCAAAUGCCCCCUUUAGAGAUUCUGCUAUUGUUGUGUAUUCAGCCUCUAUAUUUGGCAAAGCAAUUACAUGUCGAAGGCUUGCUUUCCAGUUAACAGCGCAAUUACAUAGAUUAAAGGUGUAACCAGGCAAAGAACUUAGUUAUUCUGCCAAGGUCUCCAACAUACUCCAAAUCCAUAUAACCACCAGACUUCAAUCUUUAGACUCCAUAGAUCAAACCAUAACUUAGUGUGCCUUUCAAUCUCAGGUAACAUUUUACUGUUUUCCACGUCUUGCCAUGUACUUGCUGCUAACACUAACAAUUUGAGAAAUGUUAGGCAUCGUAAGCAGCCGACAACACUCUUCUUCAUUUCUUCAUUGUCAAUUUCUUUCUUGGAACAUUGCUCCAUUGAGAGUCUGCUAUCAUUGCUCCAAUUAUUAUUAUUUUUGUUUUUUUUUAAAAAAAAAAUAACCGUGCAAUAAGAGUAUAAGACUAAGCAACGGUCCUUUUUUUUUUACCCAUUCUUGAACAUGAAGUAUUUGAGUAUGUAAUAAAAAUUGUUUAUUGAUAAUUAAAAGUUAAUAGUGGGUGGCUUUAGGUUUUGUUUACAAAAUUGACAACAAAUUAAGAUUUUUCAAAUUCAUAGGUAAGAAACUUUUCAUUUAUUCAUAGAUUUUCCGGUUUAAACUUUAAAGGAAACUUAAAAGAAAAAGAUGUAUCAUUAGAUUUGUAAUUAAAAAAAUUUAAUAUUGUAUGAUCUGUUCGAUAUGCAUAAUUUAAAUAAACAUUAAUAUAGAUGUUAUAUAUCCUAAAACUUAAUUGACUUAAUUCUUACGGUGCAAGGAAGACGUUUCCAAGUUUAAAUCUAAUUUGGGGUCGGGAAAGCACUGGGAAAUAAAUGUAACAAAGGAAAAAAGAAAAGAAUGACAGUCUGAGUGGAGCCAACACGGUUUUGAAAAAAGUGCAAAAAAGGGUUUUAGGAUAUACUCUAUUAUCGUUUGUUUGCUUGCUUGUGGAAAUAAAAGUCUCAUGUUUCUUUGAAAGGUAAGCAAGUGUGAAUGUUUCUAUCUAGAGCUGGAAAAUGCAUUUCCGUGCAACUUACUUGAUGAAUGAAGUUUUCACCUCUGACCUUGAUGUUUCCCUGAGCUGCAUUCAUUGCAGCUGAUGUAUUUCAUUUUGUUUUCGAAGGAGUGACACAAAAUCUCCUUUGUUAAGGUGAGAAUUUAGAGUGGCUUUAACUGUUAACAAAUAGCCUAAUGUAAGACUUAAUCAACUUCCUGCCCUGUUGUAUGCUUAUGAAUUUUGAUAGAGUUAUGAGUUUGCAGAAGCUACUGUAUUAUAUGUUGCUAGAGGCUGUAAAAAUGAGGCAGAUCAAACACACAUUUAAAUUUCAGUGACAAUUUACUGGAAGUAAAUUCCUAUGACCCUACAUGUGACUGUGUGGCACCAUCCGCCAUUUGGAAGUGAAUAUCAUUAUUCUUUAAUCAACAUGGUGGAGUCCACGGGGACCACACCACAUGGUCAGUCUUAUCUCUAUUCCUCAAUUUUCAGUAUUCCAUACAUCAAAACAAUUUCAGUUUUGUUAUCAAUUAUAAUUUCAUUGUUGGUGACGAUUCUGAUUCCUUUCUUUCUGACAAAACGGAACCAUGGUUGCUGUGGGAGAGAUCUUACUCAACGCCUUCUUUCAGGUGUUGUUUGACAGGUUGGCUUCCCGUGAUUUGUUCAGCUUUGUCCGUCAACUUGGAGUGGGGGUCGAUUCCGAGCUCAAGAAGUGGGAUAGAAAGCUGAAGAUGAUUCAGGCGGUGCUCAACGAUGCAGAGGAGAAGCAACUGACUGACGAGACUGUGAAGAUGUGGCUGGACGAUCUCCAAGACUUGGCUUAUGACGCUGAGGACAUUCUUGAUGAGUUUGCUACUCAAGCUUUGGAAAGCAAGUUGAUGGCGCAAAAUCAGGAUAGCUCUGGCCAGCUUCUCAGUUUCAUCCCGGCUAGUUUGAAUCCGAAUGCUGCUAGGUUCAAUUAUGGCAUGAGGUCCAAGAUUAACGAUAUUACUAGCCGGUUGGAGCAACUCUGCAAAGAUAGAAUUGAACUUGGGCUGCAACGGAUUCCUGAAGGGGCAUCAUCAACUGCUGCUGCUGCACACCAGAGGCCACCCAGUUCAAGCGUCCCACCAGAACGUGAAGUUUUUGGUAGAGAAGAAGAUAAGGCCAAAAUUCUUGAUAUGGUAUUGGCCGAUAGCCCAAGUGAUCAUGCCAACUUUGUUGUAAUACCCAUUGUUGGCAUGGGCGGGAUAGGAAAAACAACUCUCGCUCGGGAGGUUUACAAUGACAAGGCCGUUGGAGAUUCCAAGUUUGAUGUAAAAGCAUGGGUUUGUGUAUCUGAUGUCUUUGACGUUUUGGGCAUCUCAAAGGCGCUUCUCGAGUCAAUCACCCGCAGGCCAUGUCUUCUAAACAGUUUAAACGAAGUGCAGGUUGAAUUGAAAGUAGCUGUGGAUAAAAAAAGAUUCUUGCUGGUCUUAGAUGAUGUUUGGAACGAGGACUACAGCUUGUGGGUAGACUUAAAAGCUCCGUUCCUGGGUGCUGCACCAAACAGCAAGAUGAUCGUCACCACACGCAAUUCAAGUGUUGCAUCAACAAUGAGACCCAUUGAUCGUCACCACACGCAAUUCAAGUAUUACGAUCUCAAGAGUCUGUUAGAUGAUGAUUGCUGGUCCAUUUUCAUAAACCAUGCAUUUGAAUCUACAGACCUUAGCGCACAUCGAAUUUCAGAAUCAUUCCGCGAGAAAGUUGUUGGCAAGUGUGGGGGCUUGCCUCUGGCAGCAAAAACACUCGGGGGCCUUCUUCGUACUAAAACGCAUGCUGAGUGGGACGGUAUAUUGGAUAGCAAAAUAUGGGAUUUACCUCGGCAAAGCAGCAUUCUCCCCGUGUUAAGAUUGAGUUACCAUCAUCUUCCUUCUCAUUUGAAAAGAUGUUUUGCUUUUUGUGCCAUCUUUCCAAAAGAUUAUGCAUUCACUGAGAGGGAGCUGACUUUCUUAUGGAUGGCUGGAGGUAUUAUUCGACAGUCAAGAAACAAUGAGCAGCUGGAAGAUUUGGGCAGCAAGUGCUUUGGUGAUCUAGUGUCGAGGUCAAUUUUUCAACAAACAGCAAUCUCUGAUAGUUCUAAAUUUGUAAUGCAUACUUGAAAUUUCUGUCUUCAAUAUUUUGAUGCUUUCUUAUCCCAUGCACAAAAGUACUAGAAAAAACUAAUAACAGCUAACCGAAAAUCCCAGGCGUCAUAUUCCUUUUUACCGCGUUUUAAAAUGCACAACAAUGAUAUUCUUACAAAUUUGCAAAAUUUGUCAAUUUCUUAGAUUUCAGAUAUUUUAAUGCUUUUUUUAAUUUUUGAUCUAGUAAAAAUACACAGCCUUCACCGGCAGGAUUCUAGUCUUGGCUUUCACCUCUCUAACUCAUCUGUUCCCAUUGGGAUUCCAGAAAUUGAAAUUUCUGUCUUCAAUGGGUUUUCAAAGCCUCGCCUCUCUUCGAUUUUUGUGGAUCGGGAAUUGCACAAAUCUCACAUCAUUUCCCGAGGUCGAGGAAAAGAGCGGCCCAAACUUGCUCGCAUCCCUUAUUAGGUUAUGAUAGAUGGAAAAUUCAUAUACGAUCCAGAGUCAGAGGUGUUGAUUCUCUUAUUAAGGUCAGCUGAUUUCUAUUAUCCACUCUGACAAUCUCCUAUUCGUGUUUUUCCUUUUUAAAUUUUUUUUCCAAAAUUUUGCAGUUCCGUAUAUUGGUGUUUGUUAAGGUAAUUAGUGCUCCCUCAAUAUUGCAUUUUAGACUGCCAAAUGUAGCAGUAAUUUUAAUACAAUUUUGUUGGUGCCUUGUGUUCCAGAAGCUAGAAAAAUGUGUAGUUUUCAGAUAAGGAGGCUUGUCAGUUCUCUAGUAAGAAUCCAAUGAUUUGCUUUUGCACGUCCAUCUAAUUUGUGGAUCCUUGCAUCAGAAUUUGAUCAAUCCAAAAGGAAUUGCUUUUAGACAGAAGAAGAAUAGCAGCACCUAGCCUACCCGCAAACCUGAAACUAUUAGAUUGAGGUAAAAAAAUCAUUGACCCUCACAUGUUAACUUCUUCUAGUUACUUUCAUUGGGGAAAAAAAAACAUUUAAGGAAUUUGCAAUUUGUUGUUAGUUAUGGUAUCUGAUGUUCUUUUCUGCUUUAGCGUUUGUAGAACCUACUGUAUUAUGUGUUGGCAGUUGCCGUAUCUGAGGUAACUUGCCUUUAUUUGUUUGCUUCUGAGUUAAGGACACCAACAUUUGCCAGAGAUUUAGAGAAUCAUCUCAAAACACUUAGCAAACUUGACAAACUUCAAGAUGCACUUGCCCCCACGCCUUAUUCUCAACAACGCAAAACUUGUGAGUACACCUAUGCCUGCAAUUAUUGUGAAGUGUUCGCAAUUCUGAUGCAGAGAAAUGGUUUCUUGAUGCAAAGUAUUAAACUGUUAAGAUUUAUCCUGCAGGCUUGUUAGAUGUUGUAUACUCGAAAAGCCAACAACAUCAAGAACUACAACUCCAAGACCAACUUUGCGUUAAUUCAGUCAGCUGUAAAAAUGAUGCAAAUGACACUAUAUCAAGCUGGACUUAGAGACUAGUCAGAUCAAUCAUCCAUUUCAUCAACGGUUAAUGUCAUGAUGGUGGCUAUCAGAGGAAACAAAAGAUGUGUCAGAAUCUAUACGAACAUUGAGAAGCAUGAGAGGAGCUUUGAUUUUGAGUAGGGUCAAUGAACUCAUGUUGGUAAGUGGUGAUUAAAGAAAUUUGUAAGCUUAGUAGAGUUUCAGUAUUUUCUGUUUGGAGUAUAGUUGAUAAGUUGACUCUGUUUAAGAAGCCCGAUUAUAGUAGCUGACUGUAUUAACCUUUUUUUUUUUGGUCUGCUGUUGUUUUUGGUUUCGAUUAUUUUUUCAACAUUGGGUUGAUCUGUUGAAGAACAAGCUUGGGUUUGAUUAUGUUUUAACUAUAAGGAAGAGCCAGACUUGGUUGCAGGCGUUAAGCUUUUAAUGGGUAAGAACAAAUGAAUGCUUUAACCAUGUUUCUCACUUAUUAAAAUGCAUGGAUUGAAGGCAUCUGGGUUGAUCCUGACAAUGUGAUGGAAAUACUUCUCUGUUUUCAUGUAACAGGACAAAUAGAGAUCUCUGAUCAUGCCUGAAUUUUUGUUGCAUUGAAAUUUCUACCAUUACCAAACAUAGAAUGAACUGGGGAUACAUUAGCUUAAGACUCAAUUUUGAGAAGGAAGUUUGUACUUGCAGCCUAUAAAAUCAUGUCCGUGUCGUACGUUUCUUUGGGAAAUGAAAGAUUCUGUGUGUUCUUUUAUUUCAAGUUCACUGAAAUCACAUUUGUUUUCUCAGCUGCUUUCCAGAAGGUAACAACAUCAAUUUCAAAAAUGCUGGGGCAAGAUGUAUCAUGCAGUGCGACUCAACUUGAGAAUUCCUGGCCACAUUACCCGUAUGUCUAAUGAUCGCACAGUACAACCUUGAGAAGCUUGUAAUGAGUACACAACUGGGUGCAAGUAGUUUUGAAAUGAAUUUGCCUCAAAUGAUUUCUUGCCGGUGAUUAAUAUAACCUCUAUUCCAAAAUUCUUAGAACUGGUCAUACUAGCAAUGAAGGAUUGCAUACAUUGAAGACAUAGCUGAAGGCCUUGCGAGAGCUCUGUCAGCCCUUGUACCGGAAAACAGCUGGUCGUAGUCGCUUGUGAAUGAUAUGAUUAAUAGAUACUGCAAAAAUGAAUUGUGCCAUACGUUUUCAGCGCUCUGUGAAGAUGUCUUGGUCAUUUGUUUGAUGCUUGUUUGAUUUAUGUUGUAUUCAGCCAUAAAUCAGAGAUUCAGAACUUGGGUAUGUUUCUGGUUUCCAAAUCAAAAAAUUGCCUUGUGAUGUUAGUGUUCACUGUUUUCACAGGAGAUCAGGUUCCUUGUUAAUGAAUCAAGAAGAAGGCAAGCGCAUCCAUGUCCAAGUUCAAAUGUGUCUCCUCUAUUUUCUAUUACCCACUCAUUUAUUUUGAUUUCUUCAUUGUAAUUGAAUUAGUUUUUUAUUCCAAAUUAGUCAAAACCUCGUAGAGUCAUUAAGUUCUUUUAGCAUUUAAAGACAGAACUACGAACCAAAUGAUUUAAGUUCUUCGUUGUAAUUGAAUUUGCUUUCCCAUCUUUAGAGAUAUUAUGUUCUUUUUCACUUUUUCGAUUUGGUUAGUGGUGAUUUCUUAAAGACUCAAUCCAUUUGCGUUAAUACAUUUUUCUUUUGCCUUGAUUUCUGUUUCUUGGGGAGUUUAUACAUAUUAUUAUUUUAUGCUACACAUGCCAUAUACAGAUUCUUAUUUUAUGCUUCACAUGCCACAUAAAAGGUCAAAGCCUUGUGUGUGAUUAGAAUUUACUGGCAUCAUAGUAACUUUAAACCAUUGUGACGUUUUAGUAAUAACAGUUUGAGCUCUCCCUGAAGGAUUCAAAGCAUUUUAUUUUAUAUUAUACUCCUUUAUAUGGUUUGGCUGGUCUCUUUUAAGGCAAUUCCUGUUUAAAGUAAUCAAAAUUUUGAUUUCGAAGUGUCUUUCAACACUACCGCUAGUUCUUUAAGAAAAGUAAAUCGAUUUUGAGUCUUCUGUAUCAUCUGAUUGAAAUACAUGAAAGCACUCUUAGCUGCAAAAGUACACUUGGAGUUAUAAUAGCAUUCUGAAAUCUCCUUGAAGGAUUCAAAAGCUCUUUAUUUGCUAGUCUUUGCUUGCAAUAAACUCCUUUAAUAUAGAUUGGUUGAUCUUCUUUAAAGCAAUUACCAUAAGUUCUUUAAAUAAUAAAACGACUUUGAGUCUUAUGUAUCAUCUUGUUGAAAUACAUGAAAGCACUCUUGGCUGUAAAAAUGCACUUGGGGUUAUAUAUAAAGUCUUCAACAGAAUUUUAUUUCCCCCUUUAUCCUCAUGGUGGUCUUUUUAGUUGUUUUUUAAGAAAUCGCUUGAAGGUUCUCUUUAAAAAUAAUUUUAACAUAAGCAUUCUUUAGAAGCACUUUAGAUGUCUGGCAUUUAGAAAAUUUUGUUCCUGUGUUCACAUAAUAUAAUAUAUAUAUAGAAAGCUGACUGUAGAAUAGAGGAGAACGAGUUGGUGUUGGUCUGAACUCUGAUCUUUGAAUCUCAUGUGACUCCACUACUUUUUACUUGUUCUGUACAAGGUCUUUUAGCUUUUCAAAAAGUUUUAGCUUUAUGGAUAAAAUACUGUUAAUUGUAAUCUAUAAAUAAUGAAAGGAAUUAAUAAAAUAUUUGGUAAAUUUUAUUUUCUAAAGUGUUAUGAGUUCUAAAACGGCUGUAUGUAUAUAAAUUUAUUUACACAUAUAUUUAUAAAUAUGAUUAUAUAAUAAUAUUUUAUGUGUACAUAUCAUAAUUGAUAACUAAAAUAAAUAUUUUUAUUUUAUUAAUGGUUUUUCCGUCUCAAUGUAGUUGGUAAUAAUAAUCUCUUUAGAUGUAAUGAUUUUAUUUCCUAACUGAAUAAGGAAAAUUUUAGAUUUUUAUAAUAAAUGUUAAAUAUAUCUAGAAUUACAUUAAGUAUGAAAUAAUCCUCAAAAUUAGAUUUUGAAAAGUUAUUCUUUUAUUACUUUUAAAAAUAUGUCAUAUGAUGAGAUGAUUUUAUUAAAAGUGAUUUUUUUUUAAAAAAAUUACUAAACAUCAAAAUUAACUCUUAACUUUUUAAAAUCAUUUCUAAUCUUCUCAUCCUAAGUUCUUUAUUGUUUUGUACAAAAUCCAAGGUUUUUACUUUUAUAAAAUGCCCACUCAAAAAUAAAUUAUUUUCUAAUUAAGAUUUGUUGUUAAUGUAUACCUCGAAGUAAUAUUAGAUAUUUGUAAUUUUAUUUCAAAAAUUUUAUUCAAAUGAUAUGGCAAGCAAUGAACAAUAGUUGAUAGCAAUUUUUUUUUUUUAAACAAUGUUCAAAUCAAUCAGUUGCAUUAUCUCACCAUUUUUAUGAUGUCAUGUUAUUUUAAAUGAUUUUUUUAAUUUUUAUAUAAAACAUACGACGUGUUAACAUCAUUUGCAUAACUUGACCUUUUUUUUUUCCUACAAAUAGUAAGUCAAAUUUACUCACCCUAUUUCUACCUAAAACUCAUGCAUCACUGUAAAACAAAUCCAAAGAUUGCGAUACGUUUUUCUUGGCAAGAAAUCAAUAAUUAGGUCAAGUACUACUACUAAGCGUGCACAAUUAAUUCUAAAAUACGGUGAUCAAAAUCAUACUUGACGCAAGAGGAUAAGGGCUGAACUUCAAUUAGGCAUUAUUCAUCCAAAAUUCAUUGACUCGGCAUUCUUUGCAAGUUGUAGCAUGGGACAGCUAAGAUAAUUAGCAAAUGAUAUGGACCAUAUGCACCCAUACAUUUCCUUUAAUGCCAACUCUUCAUUGAAUGAUUAUCAGAUCCAAUACGCAUCCUUUGAUUGGAUUAUUUUAAGUCAAUUAUUGGUGGAUUGGGGCCCACUUGACUCUACCAAAUCGGGCUCCACCAUAUCACCUAUUAACGACCACCUGUCCUUAUCAUAAAUAGCAAAUGUCACUUGUUUUAUUUUGUAUUUUACCAAAAGCAAAGUCACUAUGAACCCAAAUGAAAGUGACCUCAAUUUUGGGGGUCAUGAACUUUGGAUUAUUAUGGACACAAGAGACAAGCGCAAUGUUUCUCAUUUAUCACUGGAUAAGAUUUAAGUUAUCAACCCAAUAUUAAUAAAUUCUGCUUGAAAAGUAAAGUUUGAAGCUUCAUUUUGCGAAUAUUCAAUGGUUAACAUUUAAGUAAUUAACCUGAUAUUAAUCUAAUUAAACUUUUUAUGUUAUCCAAGUCAAACAUAUAUUGAUAAACCUAAAUUAAUCUAAUUGGACAUAUUAUUUCAACUUGAAAAGGUGAAUCUAUCAUUUUUCAAUUAAUUUUGAAUCAAGCUAUGUAAAAUAUAAGCUUAUUAAAGACAUAUUUGAAAAAUUCAAAUUGAAUUAUUUGACAAUUACAUUUCAACUAAGUUGUACUGCUAAUUAACUUCCUCAACUUAAAAUGUAUUGUUCUCAAUUAAUUCGUAACAAAGAAUGUUAGAUGUUUUGUUCGAAUAAUAACAUUCAACAUCCUUAUUCUUUAUGAUUAUUGCAUAAAAAACAUAUUUUAUCCAUUUACGUCACUAUCGAAAACUUUGAACAGUCAAUACAAAUGCUUCCGUUUCAUCCCAUAAACAAAUAAAAUUCACAUCUGUACACAUCUACUUUGCUUUGCUAGAUAGAGUUCCUCUGCAUUUCCCAAUUGCCUAAAGAGAAGGGGAAAAGAAAAAGAGGGCCAAAAAAUGCCUGAAAUGGUAAGGAACAAGCAAGUGAUAUUGAAGAACUAUGUGUCUGGUUUCCCAAAAGAAACAGACAUGCACAUGACCGAAAGUUCCAUAGAAUUGAAGGUGCCAAAAGGUUCAAAUGGGGUUCUUUUAAAGAACUUGUACUUGUCCUGUGAUCCGUACAUGCGACCAAGAAUGACCUACAUCGAAGGAUCUUACGUUGAAUCCUUUAAACCUGGCUUGGUUAGUGCACUCGCUCAUGGCCACGCUUUUCAUUUCCAUGGCUUCUUGCUCUUUUGUUAUAGAAAAUUUAUUUUUGGUUGCAGUUUGGUUCGACUGCUAAAAUCUCGUGCGAUAAUUGUAUAAGAUAUCUAGAGUUUGAACUUCUUUCACAUUAGGGUUCAAGGAAGUUAACUUAAAUGAUUUUCAAAAUUUUAAAUGUGUACCAAUGAAUUUAAUUUCAUAGCUUAAACUUAUAUUUUGAUCAUACUCUAACUUUGGACAGGAAAAAUUAUAUUUUUCCUUUAGUUCUUUGACUUGGAGUAUGUUGUGUGAAGUACUUGUGCUUGAAAAUGAAUUGCUGACACAGAAAUUUCUAUGAAUGCAUGCAGCCCAUAAGUGGAUAUGGGGUGGGUAAAGUUUUGGAUUCAGAGAAUCCAGAGUUCAACAAAGGUGACUUGGUUUGGGGAAUGACUGGAUGGGAAGAGUAUAGUCUCAUUACGGCUCCACACUUGUUUAAAAUUCAACACACAGAUGUGCCUCUUUCUUACUAUACUGGAAUCCUCGGUAAACUUUUUGUUUGCGCAAUUUAUGUGAGCAAAUUGUGUCUUCUUUUUCAUAUGUAAAUGUUUUUGAUAUCUUGAUGUGAAGGUAGAAAAUUGCAUGUUUUGAGUUUUUGCAUAUUUGAUGGAAACACAGAACUGUACCUGAAUCUUUCAGAACCCCCUUUUCUUUGAAGUUUGAACACUUUUCUUGAAUGUAUCAACUUUAUUUAUGGGAUAUGUUGCCAAAUUGGCAAAUCUAUUCGUUAUAAAACUUUCCUUUGACAGUUUAAUCUAAGCAGAUGUUAAUUCUGCAAAUAGAGUGUGCCUUAGAUUAGUUUCAUAGAUUUGUCUCCUUCUGUACAGUAAAAACUUUGAGCAUUUUCGCCAUAUUCUGAUCAAUACACUCCAACUAGUUAGUUCUUGAGGCGUUUUAUGGUUUUGUGGAGUGAGGCAAGAUGUAUACGUUUGCAAAUUGGCAAUGUCUUUUGCUUGAUGGGUUGAGAGUUGUGAGUGUCAAUAGGAAAGUCUCAAAGUGCGCAGUGCUCACUUGAGCACCCAUAUUACUUGGUGACCUGUUGCCUCAGCAAACAGGACCUCUGUUUUAUGAACUCCAAAAAGUUAUUCUGUUAAAUAGAUCGAGACAGAGGCCAUACUAUAUUUAUUAUUGCUACAAAAGUGUGAAACAAUAUUCUUUAUUUAAUAUUCUAAACAAUUGAGCCAUUUAGUUAUGAUACUCUGCUGUAUUGGGGCUAAUAAUCUAAGUCGGUUCAAAGUGGUAAAUUUAUAAAUUGAUAGGUAUGCCUGGUAUGACCGCUUACGUUGGAUUUUAUGAGGUCUGCUCUCCUAAGCAAGGAGAGUGUGUCUUCAUAUCCGCCGCAUCUGGUGCAGUUGGACAGCUUGUGGGCAAAGUUAUUGGGUUGCUAUGUCGUCGGAAGUGCUGGAAGCAAAGGCAAGGUAUGUAAUCUGUGUGAAGUACUUGCUUGUUUCCAUGUUACUUUCAAACAUUUAAAUUAAAAAGGAAAUUUUCAUAAUCUUGCCUUUUCUAUGAUUUUCAAAACCAAGGUUGAUCUACUGAAGAACAAGUUUGGGUUCGACGAGGCAUUUAACUAUAAAGAAGAAGCUGAUUUGAAUGCUGAUUGUUGGGAAUUUGAUUAUUCUAGGUAUGCCUGGUGUAACUGCAUACGCUGGUUUAUACGAAGUUUGCUGUCCGAAGAAAGGAGAGUAUGUCUAUGUAUCUGCAGCAUCUGGAGCUGUUGGUCAGCUUGUUGGACAGUUUGCAAAAUUAGCUGGUUGCUGUGUUGUUGAAAGUACUGGAAGCAAAGAAAAGGUGCUGUUAUAACAUUCUUAAGUAGUAAAUAUAGCACCGUGCCUUCUACCAGAAUUUUACAUGCUUUAUGUUCCAACUAAGCAUCCAUAUAUGAUCGUGAUAAUUAGCAAGGUCAAUAAUUUUUUUUUGACUAUUUUUUCAAUGUAAGGUCGAUUUGUUGAAGAACAAGUUUGGACGAUGCUUUUAACUACAAGGAAGAGCCAGACUUGGAUGCAGCACUCAAAAGGUCAGCUCCAACAAACGUUUCAACUCUAAUAUUUCAUUUUAAUAUUACAGAGCUUUGGUUGAAGUGUGUGAUUUGAUCCCAGAAAUGUAACUUCAUCAGUGUCUCUGUUUUCAAAAAACAGGACAAAUAGAAAUCUGAUUUUGCUUUAAAAUUUCCCAGAUGCUUCCCUCAAGGAAUCGACAUAUAUUUCGAAAAUGUUGGGGGAAAGAUGCUGGACGCAGUGCUACUCAACAUGAGGCUCCGGGGCCGCAUUGCGGUAAGCAGUAUCAUCUCACAGUACAACCUGGAAAAACCCGAAGGCGUACACAACUUAGAGCAACUGAUCGGGAAACGGAUUCGCCUGGAAGGAUUUAUAGCUGGGGAUUACUAUCAC
rnacentral:lncRNA from 1 species